UUAACCAUCACCCAUAAUAUUUUGAGCAUUCAGAAACACACCUAGCGAAGCGCACUAGCAACGACCUAACAACAAUGGCUUCCAAGACAUUAUCCCUCCUUGCGCUUCUUGCCCUUUUUGUGAGUGCAACAAAUGCGUUCAUUAUUCCACAAUGCUCACUUGCUCCGAGUGCCAUUAUUCCACAGUUCCUCCCUCCAGUUACUUCAAUGGGCUUCGAACACCCAGCUGUGCAAGCCUAUAGGCUACAACAAGCGCUUGCGGCGAGCGUCUUAGAACAACCAAUUGCCCAAUUACAACAACAAUCCUUAGCACAUCUAACCAUACAAACCAUCGCAACGCAGCAGCAACAAGCACUGAGCCACCUAGCCGUGGUGAACCCUAUCGCCUACUUGCAACAACAGCUGCUUGCAUCCAACCCACUUGCUUUGGCAAACGUAGCUGCAUACCAACAACAACAACAGUUGCAACAGUUUCUGCCAGCGCUCAGUCAACUAGCCAUGGUGAACCCUAUCGCCUACCUACAACAGCAACAACUUCUUUCAUCUAGCCCGCUCGCUAUGGGCAAUGCACCUACAUACCUGCAACAACAGUUGUUGCAACAACAGUUGCUGCAACAAAUUGUACCAGCUCUUACUCAGCUAGCUGUGGCAAACCCUGCUGCCUACUUGCAACAACUACUUCCAUUCAACCAACUGACUGUGUCGAACUCUGCUGCGUACCUACAACAGCGACAACAGUUACUUAAUCCACUAGCGGUGGCUAACCCAUUGGUCGCUGCCUUCCUACAGCAGCAACAAUUGCUGCCAUACAACCAGUUCUCUUUGAUGAACCCUGCCUUGUCGUGGCAGCAACCCAUCGUUGGUGGUGCCAUCUUUUAGAUUACAUAUGAGAUGUACUCGAUAAUGGUGCCCUCAUAGCGGCAUGUGUUUCCUAAAAAUAAUCAAUAUAUUGAUUGAGAUUUAUCUCGAUAUAUUUCUGAACUAUGUUCAUCAUAUAAAUAAUUGAAAACAUCAUAUCAUAAUUAUAAACUUAUGCUUGGUCAAUACAUAGACAAUACAAUAUUACUUCAUCAUCCCAAUGAUGUCCAAGCCAAACCUCUUGAAUGUUACUGUUUGGGUGUGUGCGGGUGUAUUUAUAAGAUAGAUGUGACUAUUUGCGCUUUUUGUUGAGUACACACAUAUAUGGUAUGUUGAUUUGAUAUAGUGAUGGACACAUGCUUUGACCAUGAAUAUUCAAAUCAGUUGUACUUGCACGAAGCAAAACAUAAUAUUAGUUUAGGAGUAAACUUAUAACUGCGUCCAAACAUGCUCACACAAAUUCAUACCACAUUAUAUUUUUUUGGUAAGUAUUCCACACAUGUAUUUUUUACAAGAACCCAAAUUUUGCACACAAAUGUAGCAUUCUAGAUAUGUAUAAUUCUUUGAAGCCCGUGAACUUAACAACAGCAAGGUCAUUAAAUCAAUUGGACCCUAUGAGUAAUAAUUUCGAUACGCAAACACCAAAUUAUGGAACUUAUUGGCUGAAAAAAUUAUGAUCAAUGUAAAGUUUAAAUUAUUAUACCAAAAAUAUAUCAAAGAACUUUUUUGAGGAACGUAAAAAUUGCAUGGAAUGGGCUGUCUAACGUGCUAGCUCACUUUUAUGCUAGGUAGCAUUACUAAAGAUGGGAAUGUUGCUGAUGAACGCCAAACCCACUCAAAUAAUAUUUAUAUUUGGGUUGUUUAGUUGUAAAAGUGAAGAUCCAAGAUUAAAAUACCAAUUGGCCAUUGUCAUUCGAUUGUUUUGUUUAGAGAGCACUUGGUGCGUCAUUUGGACUCGUAUCUUAGUCCAAUAGAUUGCAUUUUCCUUCAAUGUGUAGAAUCCGACAAAGUGCAUGUUCUAAAAUUGUAAAUCUAACUAAAUUAGAAAGCUUGUUACUAAUUCGAUGGUUUAUUAGUUGUAGCUCAUAAAACUAGAACCAACAUAGCCUGCACUCACAUGUCAUAGAAAAUAGGAGUAUCCAAGCACAAUUUGUGUGAGCAUCCAUGACACAAAUCAUAUAUAGACUGAUACAAUUAAUUCCUUCAAAAAUAAAAAAGGAAAAAAUAAAGUGUUUUUGGAUACUGUAGAAUAUCGAGCGAAGGGUGACGUCUUCACCUUCGCCCCAACAUUUGCCCUCCGAGGGACCAGUUCGACUAAGUCAUUUGGUGCCGAAGGUGUCGCUAGAUGGUGGAGACGCUGCCCUCGCUCGAAGUGGUUCCGCGGGGGUUUUUGACAUGACCGUUGAUUGACGCCACACUGUUGGAUUGCUGGCUUCCCGAAGCGUCGCGCCCUGUGUAUAUAAAGGGGGUGGGGGCGGCGGGGAUUGAAAUUUACCUUUCUGCGCGCCGCGAAAACCCUAGCCUCCCUGUCAAACUGCUCGCUUGCUCGUCUGCCCUCCUUGCUCCUGUUCGUCGGAGAACUGGCCCACGUGAAGCAGACUGUGCGCCGCCGUCGACGGUACGUAGCCAUGCCGUCUUCCUCCUCGUCUGCUGCGACCACGCCGACGGCCAAGGCGACUUCCGAAGAUCUCUCGGGCACUGUGGCGGCGGCGGAAUUACGACCGGGUGAUACGGUGGAAUUCGGUGUUUCGCGGAUGUCGUUGGUCCGCGUGCAAGAUAUGCAACAGUUGGUGUAUUUUGGCGGCGGGGUUGGUCGAGUCCCGGGGCCAGAGGAGGUCCCCGAGCUCGAGGGCGAAUUGGUUGUUUUUGAGGCAUUUUUCAUCGCCGGCCUUCGCCUGCCUGCGCAUCGUUUUAUGUCGGAGGUUCUGCAGAAGUUCAAAGUCCAGGUUCAUUAGCUCACACCGAACGCCGUGGUGGCGUUGGCGAAGUAUGUCUGGGCAACGACGUCGUAUGGCGGUCAGCCUUCGGUGGAAGUCUUCGCCAAGCAAUACGGUCUGCAUUGGCAGAAGAGAAAAAAUGGACAUAAGAUUGCUCAAUUCGGAUCAUGCACUUUCACGCCGAAGUCCGGGAAGACUUCGAUGGAAGUGGUGGAGCUGGUCCCCUGUGCCCAAAAUAAGUGGGGCAACUGGUGGGACUACUGGUUCUAUGUUUCGGAGGCUGAAGUCGAAGAUCACCCAGGGCUCCCUGCCGCCAUUAUGUGCUCUCAUUACUAUGUGGCAUACCCGCCAUUUGAAGUGGCGGAGGAUGAUGAAAAUGAAAGGGCCCUUCGGAUCGCUGCCCGCACGAGUAGUGGGCGCGAUCUAGUUGAGGAAUUCAUAGGGUAUGGGGUGUGGCCCUUGGCGCAUGGAUGGGCGUUGGGCAAAGUAUGCCCUCGCGAGAUGCCCUCCCUGGGCGGGCGGAAGGUGCGAAGUCCGCUUUUUGCUUUGGAUGUGCGAGGGCGGGAUCCUGCCGCGGUUGUGCAUGAGGCGGAGGAUGGGGCGGUGAGAAUUGUUGGGUGCUACGUGCCGAAGACGGAGGCCCAGCGGAGUUGGGAUAUACGUGGAUCCAACGACCGCCUGAAUAGGGUCUUCGAGUUGAAUUGUUUGCCGUAUGGCGGUUAUCCCGGGGAAGACGUUGUCGACCACAGCGGGAAAAAACCAGCGGCUGUGACUGAAGACGACCCCGCGUCGGAGGCCGCCCCAGCCACUAAGAAGAGGAAGCUAGGUACUGCGGUGGGAGAACUGGGGGUCUCCGAUAGUUUUGCUAUGGAGUUGAUGGGGACAUGCGUGGCCCCCGGGGGAAGGAUGUCUUCGCCCGAGCUCCGGGAGUCUUCGGCGCGGAUGUUGGAGGUUACCGGGGGUCGAUGGCCCAAAAACGUUCCUAUCCCCCGCGCGGCUGGCGAAGACUUCUUUACAUCUCGCAUGGCUCGUGACUUGAGAGUGUUUCCUUACAGACGGAAUAUUGCUGUUGUUGUGUCGAUAGUGAUGAACAAGGAUCACCAGGAUGCUGCGCAGAAGCGUCGGGCGGUCAUCAGGCUCCCCGACGCUAGGCGUGAAGCGAAGAGAGCGCGAGGGAGUGCGAAGGCUAUCGUCCCCGGCGGUAGCCAGCCGAUGCUGGCUGCAAAGCCGGCCGCGCCUGGAUCCAGCAAGGUGCCGGAGAGCGGGAAGGCGGUCGGCGCCGGUGGAACCAAGUCUGCCCCGGACGGAGCUGUGAAGGUCCGGGAGCUGCCUUCGACGGGGAAACGCGUUGCCGACUUCGGCAUGAAUAUUAGCGUGGACGACUAUCUCGUUGGUAAGCAUUUUUUUUAUUCUGACCGGUGAUACGUUGCAGGGUCGAGUGAGGGGCAACUGGUUGUUGUCCCACCUGUGGUGGCAACCACGGCGUCAACCGCGGUGCUUGGGGUGAAGGGUGGCGCUUUCAGCGCUGGCGGCGAGAUUUCGGCGGCCACUGCCGUCAAGGACGAAGCGGGCACUAUGUCCCGCCGGCUGAGGGAGGCGUCGCAGCAGCUAAGUCAAGUAAGUUGAGCUGGACUUCGGUGUUUCCUGCUUUCAUGGGGAUUGUGGUCUCAUGUGUGUCUGUUAGGCGGCCGACUUCGCCGACCGCGUGGCGUCGGGUGCCCUUACUGCAGAUGUGUCUGCCGAAGUCGAGAGACUUUGGGCGCAGCACGCGGACGCCGUCCGGGAGAAGUCGGCUGCGGAGAGCAAGAGCCACAGGCUGGCGGAGAAGGUGGCCGCCCUGGAGGGCGAGAGGAUGGACCUCCGGCGCCAGUUGGUGGAGGAAAGGAGGGAGGCCAACCAGGCCAUCGCCAAGGUGCAGGCGGCGCAGGCGGAGGCCAAAUUGGCGUGGGCGGAGGGGAGUCUCGCCAGCCAACGCGCCGAGGAAUGGGAGGUGCGGUUCAACGCUCUGCACGCCCGCAUGGAGAGGGCCGAGGCCUCUACGCGCUCGGAAGUUGAGCGAACGCGCAAACAGCUCGUGGACUCAUACCGGGAGCUGGGUGCGCGGACUGCUGACUUCGAGGUGCCCGACCGAGAAGCGAGCCUUCGCUUCCUCGAGUGGCUGCAAGAGGAAUUGCUGGCACUCCCGACCAUCGUGGAGGGAUUCAUGUCUUUUGCCUCCCUCGUCACCUGCGAAGGGGCCAUGAAUGCGUUGUCCCGCAAGGGAUGCAAUCACUAUGAGGGCUUCGACCGGUCCGAUGAAGACUUUGGGCGCGAAAUUUUUAAGGUCGAAGACCCUGUGGUGAAGGAUUCUGCGGGGGCCCUCUUCGAUCGGAUGUGGGGUCCUCAUGGCCGGGAGGCGGUCAAGGAGCGGUCUGAUCGGGCGAGAGAGCAUGUAAGUCUUGUCUGUUGUUUCGUGUGAUUGAAUGUGGGUACGUGUGGGUUUGCUGAAUGAGUGUGUUGUUGCUGCAGAUGGCGCAUGCUGAGGAUGUCAAAGACCUCGGAGGUCUAAACAGUGCGCCGCCCGAGGCUGCGGAGGGCAGACCGGUGCUGCCCUCGGAUGCUGGUGAACGCCCAUCGGACGUGCCCGUGCCUGCUGCUGUCGGCGAAGACCCUGUGUCGGCCCCUGUGCCGACAGUCAAAGGCGCUCAUGAGGUGGUGGCGGAGCCGGUGGUCGAAGGCCCUACGGCCGCGGAGGCGCCCGCGCAGGUGGCUAAGUAGUUGAAUAGGUUUAGGGGGGUUGUAAAUUUUGUCUACGUGUUACUGAACCUCGGUUGCUGCGCAGGUUCAGGGUUUUGGGCCUGCGUACGCAACCGCUACUGAAAGUGCUAAUUUUGUGGCGGCUUCGACCGUGGUUGCGGAAAAUGAUUCGGGUGAUUCUGUGUCUAAGUUUUUUGAGUCUGAUGAUUCUGUGAGUUCGGUGGUGUGGACUGAAGAGUCUUCGGAUGAGGACUUGGAUUAUUUUGCGGCAUUGGAUGUGGCUGCGGCGGAGGCUUCGCCGUGUGUGAUGGGUGCUGAGGUUCUCGGUCCGAGCGCUGGGCGUAGGCGGCAAAGGGCGGUGGCGAAGCGCGGAGUGAGUGAGGUGGAGGGUGGUCGUCUUCGUGUGGACAGGGCUGGUAGGCGGGAAUUGUUGUCCUUGCCAGAUGGGGCGAGUGUAGGUGAGGGGGAAUUGCGAAGUCUGUUUGAGGGUGAGGAGCUGAGGAUAAUGUUGUUUAACUAUAGGGAGAUGGGUAUCAUCCCGAAGGUUGAACCAUUGUAAGGUGUGAUGCCCUCGUUGUACGUAUGUAACUAUAAUUUGUAUGAUGAGGCUGUGUGCCUUAGCUGAUACGGUCGUGCCCGUAGGGGACUUGUGCACUAGGUCUAGCACGUUUAUUAUGUCGGUCCAGCUGCACCCUCAGGCGACUUUUGCACGGAUAGUCUUGGGAGGAAGACUUCGAUUUUUCGCACUUGUUGUGCUAGUCCGGCUGCACCCUUAGGCGACUUUUGCACGGAUAGUCUUUUGGAGAAGACUUCGAUUUUGCGCACUUGUUGUGCUAGUCUGGCUGCACACUUAGGCGACUUUUGCAUAGACAAUAUUUUGGGGAAGACUGGUUUUGCGCACUUUUUGUGCUAGUCCGGCUGCACCAUUAGGCGACUUUUGCACGGAUAGUCUUUUGGGGAAGACAUGUUUUGCGCACUUGUUGUGCUAGUCCGGCUGCGCCCUUAGGCGACUUUUGCGCGGACUGUCGCACGUGAGGGUAGCCAGCGCUGCCCCUCGCGGUGACUUCGUGUUUGUCGAAUGUCGAAGACUGUCGAUGCGGUCUUCUUUCGACGUUGUAAUUUUUUGCGGGGGAUUUUUUGCGUGUAUAUUACAUGGCUCCACCUCAUUAAAAACCUCACCCCCCGGUAGGAAAAGAGUGCGGGCCGGAAUAAAAACUGUCUUGCGAAUUACAAGGGUGAGCUGGCCCUAAGGAGUCAAACAAAAAACUUGCGAAGAUUGUCAAUGUUCCAAGAAUGUUCAAAGUCUUCGCCAGAUGGCGUUGUGAGCCUGUACGCGCUGGGGGACGCCUUCGUCUUGACAAUGAAAGGGCCCUCCCAUUUUUGCUCUAGCCUGCCCCGGGACUCUGUCCGAGUUGUCCGGACGAGUACGAGGUCUCCUUCGCUAAAUUCCCUCGGGAUGACUGUGUGGUCGCGCCAUGCUUUUGUUUGAGCUUGGUAUUUGUUUAGAGCCUGUAGGGAGAAGACACGGUCUCCGUCGAUGAGGUCCUUCGAAGUAGGUUCGUCUACGUCGGGGACGGCUGACGCGACUGUCCGCAGUGACCCAUGUUUUAUUUCUUGCGGAGUCAUGGCCUCCGAUCCAUAUAGAAGGCGGAAAGGGGUGAACCCAGUCGCCCUGAACUCAGUCGUGUUCAGCGCCCAGACCGCUUUAGGUAACAGGUCUGCCCACUUUCCUUUUUUGUCGUCGAGGAGCAUUUUCUUGAUGGCUGUGAAAAUUUUACCGUUGGCGCGUUCCACAACUCCGUUGGAUUGCGGGUGGUACACUGAGGCGAAGGCAAGCUUGGUGCCGAUGGAGAAGCAGAAAUCCUUGAAGUCUUGGCUGUCAAAUUGCUUGCCAUUGUCAGCUGUGAGUUCGGACGGGACUCCGAAGCGGCAAACAAUGUUUUGCCAGAAGAAUUUCUGGGCAGUCUUCGAUGUUAUCGUGGAUACAGUCCUCGCCUCGAUCCAUUUGGUAAAAUACUCGACGGCGACGAAGGUCAACUUGAGGUUCCCCUAGGCCGUGGGUAGGGGCCCGACAAUGUCCAGGCCCCAGCGCUGAAGAGGCCACGUGUGGGCGAUUAGCUUUGUGAAUUGCGAAGGGCUUCCCGAGCGUGGAGAAAAUUUCUGGCAGGCUUCGCAGGACCUUGUGACCCGAUUUGCAGCGCAGAUCAUGGCGGGCCAGUAGAAACCUUGAUGGAUCACCUUUGCGGCUAGGGCCCUGGGCCCUGCGUGAGAGCCGCAAGUCCCGCUGUGGACUUCGCGCAGAAUUUGGACGCCUUCGGUCUCGGUGACACAUUUAAGCAUGGGUUGACUGACCCCCUUUUUGUAAAGUUGGCCUUCGAUUAGUGCGAAGUCCCGGCUUCGAUGUUUGAGGCACUUGGCCUCAUUGAUAUCGGUUGGAUGAUAGUACCCCUGCAGGAAUAGGGUUAUUGGUGCCCGCCAGUCUUCGGUCAUGAUGAGGUUGACUAUGCGGUGGCCCUCGCUGUCAUUGGUUAUUUGGAGCCCCUCUGGGCUGCGGAAGGCUGGCGUGCCAAUGACAUGGUAGAAUACAUCGGAGGGCAGGGCCUCGCCUCUGGCGGCUGCCUUGGCUAAUGCGUCGGCCUCCUCAUUCUUGGCUCGGUCCACAUGCUGUAAGGUAAAACCUUUGAAUUGUCUUUCGAGACUGCGGAUAGUCGCGAGGUACUGCAUAAGUGUGGGGUCCUUCGUUGUGUAGUCUUUCUCGACUUGGCCGACGACUAUCUUGGAGUCUGUUCUGAUGAUGCAGGUGGUGACACCAAGUGGCCUUAGCUUGCGAAGGCCGAGAAUGAUAGCUUCGUAUUCUGCUAUAUUGUUAGUGCAUCUGUCAGACUCCAAAGCAAAGCUGAGGCGUGCUGCGUAUCUGUGCUUGACCCCUGUGGGUGACGUAAUGACUACAGCGGUGCCUGCCCCCGCAUGGCACCAUGCGUCGUCGCAAUGGAUUGUCCAUACCCUCUCCGCGGACGUGUCCGGCUGUGUUAUUGGCCCAGUCCAGUCGACGACGAAGUCUGCCAGGACUUGUGACUUGAUGGCUGUCCUGGGUUUGAAUGUGAUGUGUUAGCCGGAGAGUUCGGCUGCCCAUUUGGCAAUCCGGACUGAUGCCUUCGGGUUUCUAAACAAUUCGCUGAGUCCCCUAUCUGAGGUGACCCGGACCUUGAACGCUUCAAAAUAAUGGCGCAAUUUGCACGAAGCCAUAACAACUGCGUAGGCGAUUUUUUCCAGUUCCGUCAUAUUGCAUUUUGAUGUCGUGAGUACUUCGGAGACGUAAUAAACUGGACAUUGCCUGAACGAGCCCUCUCUAUUCCGCUCUUAGACCAGUGAUGCGCUGACCGCAUGCGGCGAAGCUGCGAUGUAGAGCAACAGUGGUAGCGAGGGGUCUGGGCUUGUAAGAAUCGCCAAUUCUGACAGAUACUGCUUCAAAGAGGCGAAGGCCGCCGCCUGCUCUGGUCCCCAUGCGAAGUCUUUUGCGCCGCGGAGUGUUUUGAGGAAAGGGAGACUUCGCUCUGCGGAUUUGGAGAUGAAUCUGUUGAGGGCGUCCAAUCUGCCUAUUAGUCGUUGGACGUCUCUGGCUGACUGUGGGGCGUCAUGUUGAUGAUGUCCUGAAUUUUGGUUGGAUUGGCUUCGAUCCCAUGGUGCGACACCGUGUAGCCCAAUAUUUUCCCCUAGCGAACGCCGAAGACGCACUUUUCGGGGUUUAGGCGAAGUCGUGCGUCCCGCAUGUUCGCAAAUGUUUCGGUGAGGUCAGCCAGAUGGUCUUCCUUGCUUCUGCUGGCGACGACGAUGUCGUCCACAUACGUAAAUAUGUUUCUGCCGACUUGGCCCUCGAGCACUGUUUUGGUGAGCCGAGAGAAAGUGGACCCGGCGUUCUUAAGUCCCUCCGGCAUUCUGAUGGUAUUAUUAAUUCAAUCUGAUAUAACCAUCAGAUCUUAAGUAUUUAAUUAAUCUAGAGCGUACAUUAGAUUAUCAAACCAAAUCAACCUGACAUAACCAUCGAAUGUUCCGCUAUGCACCUUAAGCGCAUGGUCUGGGGCUUAAUCAUCCGAAUAACCAUCCGAUCUUCUGGUAAGCAUAGUAAGCGUAUGGUUCACGACUUCGUCAUCCGGAAUAACCAUCAGAUUUUCCAGUAAGCACUGAAAGCAAAUGAUCCGGGGUUUUGUAGGGGAAAUGUUGUUAGGUGAAUGCGGAUGCUGGCUGAUGUUGCACGUGCGAACUGUUGUGUGGAAGCUGCUAGGUCCUCCUCUAUUGUGCGUGGCUUGUGGCGGGCUUGGACUUCUCUCAUGGCUUUGGCGCUUGGAACUGUUCGUCCGUUCGGUCCUGCGUGCAUCUCUCUCUCCUGGCUGGAGGCGUGGUGGCCUGGUGGCUUCUCUGUGUUUUUCUUUUUACGACAGCUUCUCGUGUUGGCUAGGGUUGGUGUCAGGGGCCCGGUCAACUAUGCUCCCUCAGCUUUUAUAGGCAGAGCACCACAGCAGGCAGAGCAGAGAUAAAGAUUCCAACUGCAUCCAUCUACAAACAAGGCUCUCAGCGGAAGGGAUAAAAGCAUGCAGCGCAAUUGCUGCUACCGUGCUGCAGCCUUGACUCUCGUCAAUUGGAUGACCAAAAGAUGCCACCGUCUAAAGUCUUUUCUUUGUGCAGCUGCCUGUUUGUCACCAACACAAAAUUGUAGGUGCCUGUUUGUCACCAAUUAUCCUCUACCACAAAGAACUACAAUAGUGAUGGAGGAUCCGAUCCUGCAUAGAUCCACGAUAAUGCAUAGUGGGUGAUGCAUGCCUAAUGGUGGUUGUUUAGUGUUAGUUUUGGCAUGUUGGAACUAAGCAAUUGUCGAUGCCAUACGCUAGAAGUGAAGAAUGUUGUUAGCGUUAGGAGUAGAGGUGUCAAUGGGGUCUGAUACCCGUUAAGCCAUGGAGAAUUUCUCUAUUAGAUUUAGGGUAUGGGAAGAUUUUACUUUCCAUUUGUUGAAGUUAGGUAUACAUCUAUUUGAAUCAACAGUUACAGUUCAAUAGAAACUUCUUCCGCUCUAGUUUGUUGCGUGUCCUACCUUUUUCCUAAACUAGUUUUCCCUAAAUUGACAUACUCUCUAGAAAAUCUAUCCAAAUUUUGAAGAUCAAAUAUGUUCGAUUGAAUUAUUCAUGACAUAUAUCUUGGUAUUGCUUUUUUGUCAUCAGAAUAUAUUUUGAACUCAGUAAAAGUUAUACACGAUUUUUUUUAGACAAUACUAAAGCAAGUUGUAAUCAAGAACACUUGAGGUGUGCGCCAAUUGCCACAUUUAGAUAUAAUCAUUCUAAUUUUGGUCGUCCUAUGUGUGUGCAUUCAUCUAUGCAUUCUAGGAUUUCAAUUAGUUUCAAUCUUGUAGUAUUGGUUCCUUCAUUGUCAAAUCACUUCUCAUCUAACUACUAUGCUUGUUUAACCAUCAGAACAUAACUACAACAAUAUCCAUUUAUAAACGUUUUGAUAGCAAACUUUACAUAUUCAUAUCAUGUUAAGGUUGUCACAUGUGUAAAGGUGAAGAGAUCAUGCAUGUCAUUCCACGUAGAUGAAAAGAAUUCCUAUAUAAAAUGACACCUUUUCUUGUAGGUAGUGGAAAGUAUCUUUCCAGCAAAUACCAUAUAAUCCGAUAAAGCGGAUAACUAAAUGUCGAAAUCGAGUAGAUGCCAUAUCAUCUAUACCUUAUCUGUUGUUUGGAAAAAAGACAAAAUCCAAAAAAUAUAUUUGAGACCUCACCUGUAUAAAUAGCUCCCAAAUCAGUAGUUAAUCCAUCACCCAUAAUAUUUUGAGCAUUCAGAAACACACCAAGCGAAGCUACCUAGCAACGACUUAACAACAAUGGCUACCAAGAUAUUAGCCCUCCUUGCGCUUCUUGCCCUUUUUGUGAGCGCAACAAAUGCGUUCAUUAUUCCACAAUGCUCACUUGCUCCUAGUGCCAUUAUACCACAGUUCCUCCGACCAGUUACUUCAAUGGGCUUCGAACACCUAGCUGUGCAAGCCUACAAGCUACAACAAGCGCUUGCGGCGAGCGUCUUACAACAACCAAUUAACCAAUUGCAACAACAAUCCUUGGCACAUCUAACCAUACAAACCAUCGCAACACAACAGCAACAACAGUUCCUACCAGCACUGAGCCAACUAGAUGUGGUGAACCCUGUCGCCUACUUGCAACAGCAGGUGCUUGCAUCCAACCCACUUGCUCUGGCAAACGUAGCUGCAUACCAACAACAACAACAAUUGCAACAGUUUCUGCCAGCGCUCAGUCAACUAGCCAUGGUGAACCCUGCCGCCUACCUACAACAGCAACAACUGCUUUCAUCUAGCCCUCUCGUUGUGGGUAAUGCACCUACAUACCUGCAACAACAAUUGCUGCAACAGAUUGUACCAGCUCUGACUCAGCUAGCUGUGGCAAACCCUGCUGCCUACUUGCAACAGCUGCUUCCAUUCAACCAACUGACUGUGUCGAACUCUGCUGCGUACCUACAACAGCGACAACAGUUACUUAAUCCACUAGCAGUGCCUAACCCAUUGGUCACUGCCUUCCUACAGCAGCAACAAUUGCUACCAUACAGCCAGUUCUCUUUGAUGAACCCUGCCUUGUCGUGGCAGCAACCCAUCGUUGGAGGUGCCAUCUUUUAGAUUACAUAUGAGAUGUAAUCGAUAAUGGUGCCCUCAUACCGGCAUGUGUUUCCUAGAAAUAAUCAAUAUAUUGAUUGACAUUUAUCUCGAUAUAUUUUUGAACUAUGUUCAUCAAAUAAAUAAUUGAAAACAUCAAAUCGUAAUUAUAAACUCAUGCUUGGUCAAUACAUAGACAAUACAAUAUUACUUCAUCAUCCCAAUGAUGUCCUAGCCCAACCUCUUGAAUGUUAUUGUUUGGGUGUGUGAGGGUGUAUAUAUAAGAUAGAUGUGACUAUUUGCGCUUUUUGUUGAGUACAUACAUAUAUGGUAUGUUGAUUUGAUAUAGUGAUGGACACAUGCUUUGACCAUGAAUAUUCAAAUCAGUUGUACUUGCACGAAGCAAAACAUAAUAUAAGUUUAGGAGUAAACUUAUAACUGUGUCCAAACAUGCUCACACAAAUUCAUACCACAUUAUAAUUUUUUGGUAAAUAUUCCACACAUGUAUUUUUUACAAGAAACUAAAUUUUGCACACAAAUGUAGCAUUGUAGACAUGUAUAAUUCUAUGAACCCGUGAACUUAACAACACCAAGGUCAUUAAAUCAACUGGACCCUAUGAGUAACAAUUUCGAUAUGGCAAACACCAAAUUAUUGAACUUAUUGGCUGAAAAUUAUGACCAACGUAAAGUUUAAAUUAUUAUACGAUAAAUAUAUCAAAGAAUUUUUUUUGAGGGACGUAAAAAUUGCAUGGAAUCGGCUGCCUAACGUGCUAGCUCACUUUUAUGCUAGGUAGCAUUACUAAAGAUGGGAAUGUUGCUGAUGAACGCCAAACCCACUCAAAUAAUAUUUAUAUUUGGGUUGUUUAGUUGUAAAAGUGAAGAACCAAGAUUAAAGUACCAAUUGGCCAAUGCCAUUCGAUUGUUUUGUUCAGAGAGCACUUGGUGCGUCACUUGGACUCGUAUCUUAGUCCAAUAGAUUGCAUUUUCCUUCAAUGUGUAGAAUCCGACAAAGUGCAUGUUCUAAAAUUGUAAAUCUAACUAAAUUAGAAAGCUUGUUACUAAUUCGAUGGUUUAUUAGGUGUAGGUCAUAAAACUAGAACCAACAUAGCCUGCACUCACAUGUCAUAGAAAAUAGAAGUAUGCAAGCACAAUUUAUGUGAGCAUCUAUGACACAAAUCAUAUGUUGACUGAUACAAUUAAUUCCUUCAAAAAUUAAAAAGGAAACCCAUAAAGUGUUUUUUAUACUGCUGGAUAUCUUCUUUAGCUAAUCAUGAGUACUAAAAGUAUGUUGCACUUUUGGGUGGGGAGAAUUCCCCAUUCAUAACUUUGACAUAAUUUUAAUUCAGAUCACAUAUAUAUAUCAUAUCUUAAUUAUUAUAUUAAUAUGGUAUGCAUCAUUGGAUUAUUAAAUCAAUUCGGUAUAACCAUCGGAUCUUAAUUAAUAAAUUAAUCUAAAGCGUACAUCAGAUUAUCAAACCAAAUCAACCCGACAUAACCCUCGAAUGUUCCGCUAUGCACCGUAAGUGCUUUGUCUGGGGCUUAAUCAUCCGGAAUAACCAUCCGAUCUUCCGGUAAGCACAAUAAGCGUAUGGUUCGGGGCUUCGUCAUCCGGAAUAACCAUCAGAUUUUCUGGUAUGCACUGAAAGCCUAUGAUCCGGUGUUUUGAUAGGCGAAACGUUGUUAGGUGAUUGUGAAUGCUAGCUGUAACUGUGUUUGGAUCUGCUGAGUGGAAGCUGCUGGGUCCUCCUCUACUGCGUGUGGCUUGUGGCGGGCUUGGACUGCUCUCAUGGCUUCGGCGCUUGGAGUUACUCGUCCGUCUGGUCAUGCGUGCGUCUCUCUCUCCUGGCUAGAGGCGUGGUGGCCUGGCGGCUUCUCUAUGUUUUUCUUUUUGUAGCGGCUGCUUGUGUUAGCUAGGGUUGGCGUCAGGGGCCCGGUCAGCUAUGCUCCCUCAGCUUUUAUAGGCAGCGCAGCACAGUAGGCAGAGCAGAGAUAAAGAUUCCAACUGAUCGAAUCCAUCUACAAACUAAGCUCUCGGAGGAAGGGGUAAAAGCAUGCAGCGCAAUUGCUUUUAUGUGUGACGGAUAUGUUUGACAGUUCUUCAACUGUGUUUGAUUUGGAACUAUAUCAUUGUUGAUGUCAAAGGCUAUGUUAAUGUCGAACUAUGAUGAUAUUAUGUGAAUGUUGAACUAUGAAGAUUUUAUGUGUGAUGCAUGUUGGAACUAUAUGUUGAUGUUAAAGACUUGUUGCGAUGUGUUUGUGAAUGUGAGUUGAUAUUUGAGAAUGUGAAUGCGAACGUGAAUUGAUGUUUGUGAAUGUAAUUGUGAAUGUGAAAGUGUGGUAAUUGCCGACGACUCUUUUGCGGCCGUCGGACAUAAGCUAUUUCUGACGGCCCGUCAGAAAUAACCUUAUUUCCGACCCGUUGCGAUCGAGGGACACAGGUGUCGUCGGACAUAAGACUUUGUCCGUCGGAUCUGAUGGUUUAGGAUUUAUUUCCGACGGCUUUGGCCGUCGAAAAUUUUAUCUUUUACUGUUGUGGGGUCCACAUGAACCUUAUCAAUUGUCACCGCCAUCUACCCCCACCUUUCGCUGUCUCGCGGUCCAUUUGCACGCCCUAAACGUGGUGUGACUUUUCAUGAGAGAAUUGGGAGCGACGACUAUGUAGUAGCUCGAACCUGCUAACGAAUUAUAUAUAUAAUCAUAUGGUAUCCACAACUUUUUUAUUCUUUGCGAAAUUGUACCCAGAACUUAACGCGCCCAUUUCGUUUCCGCUUUUAGAGAGACCUCUCUUGACUAGCUAGUGUUCAUACUUCACUUCAUAGUUCAUAGUGCAUAGCACUAUACAGCAGUCUUCCUCUUCUAAGCAGCCAUGGCUAGCACGACCUCUACAGCAGUCCUCCUCGUCUCAACCGCCAUCCUCGUCGCCGCAGCGACCUACUUCCGCCACGGCACGCUCAGCGGCGGCGGCGGCACCGCCGGAACGCACCUCCAUUUCUUCAUGCACGACCAGUACACCGGCGCGAACCCGACGGCCGCGCUCAUCGUGCCCGGAAGGCCGCCGCUCUCCAACGCCACCGCCACCGCCACCGCCACCGGCAGCGGCGAUGACGACGAGCACCCGCGCCGGUUCGGCGACAUCGCCGUGAUGAACAACGCGCUCACGGAGGGGCCCGGGCGCGGCAGCGCGCGCGUCGGCACCGCGCAGGGGUUCACGGUGCGCGUGGCGGAGCGCGGCUCCGUCAACGCGCUGAGCAUGCACCUGGUGCUGGAGGCCGGGGAGCACGCGGGCAGCUCGCUGGUGGUCAGCGGCAGGGUCGACACCGACCUGGCCGUGCGCGAGUCGGUGGUCGUCGGCGGCACCGGCCGGUUCCGCCUCGCGCGGGGCUACGCGCUCAGCAGGAGCUACGACUACGACCUGGCCAAGGGAGGCGUCGUGGAGGUCGAUGUGUACCUGCAGUAGGUUCGCAUGGCAUAUUGGCAUGCAUCGCUCGUUCCUUACCUCUGUACUGCUAUUUGAUCGGUUUUUAUGUUCACUAUCCUGCAGUUUCCCAGAUUUCAAAUUUAUGUUUACAAGAACUGGGACUAGCUAUGAGCUGAAAACUUGGUCCAGUAAUAACAAGGACUUUGGUUUGGCUAUACUUGGUUUUGUAUGUUUCUUUCGUGGGUGUACUGUAAAUUAAUCCUGUUUCACGGCCGUUUAAGGUAAGGUUUUUCUUUUGUUUUACUGUAAAUUUUCAUUAUAAAAACAGAACGAAAAGAUUCAUUUGUGAAUAUGAACACUUAUCCUAGCUAGCGAUUCUUAGCCAACUCCGGGAGACGCGGGCCAGAAAGCAAACUGAUGAUAGGUGAAGUUGAAGGUACAAACCAGUAAUGAUGAUAGGUGAAGUUGUAAGGGGCUCUAUUCUAAAACUAAUAUUUAGAAGCUAAAAUCAGCUGAGAGAUUUAGAACAAAUCAGCUAGUUAAUAGACUAGCUAAUUGUUAGUUAUACCCUCUCAAUCCAUCUAAUAACUUAUUAGCUGAUUAACAAUUAGUUUUAGAGGUUUGAAAUAUGACCUUAUUCUACUAGCUCCAUCUACAUGUUACUAUGAAAAGUCAUGAAUUCACAAGACGUUUUCGAAAACAAUUUCAGCUCCACUUGUAAAGUUGAUUGUGCGGCUGAAGCCAAGAAAACAUUAGAGGACAAACAAUAACUUACUAUGCUUUUCGUGAACUGUUUCAGGCCAGCAGUAAUAAUUAUUGGUCCUACAUGCAUUAAUGGUUAAGCCGCUAGCUUGCCAAGACGGAGCAUUAAUUAGGAGAUAAGACCUAGCGUUUCAUUGCAUCCCCAUGAAAGGGAUACUAUCACUAGUUCACUACUGCAUGAAUAAUUUUCAAAUGUAGUUAAAAACUGAUAUUGAAAUGUAGGUAAUCUGUCCACCUAUGUGAAAUGUUUAACAGAGGCAGCCACUCUAGGAUGUUGCCCUCGAUCUAUUAAUUACUGAUAGAUGCAGCCAUCCAACUCUAGCCACCUGUUGGCGUCUUUUUGGCCAAAUACUGAUGAACCCUAGAGUCUACAAGCGACGUGCAGUGCGUUGAGUUCCUAUCUACGAGCUGAUGGACUGUUCGGCCCUAGUGGUCGGACUACUGUCCGCGGUUGGCAGGCAGACUAUUCGCAGCGGACUGUACCUAGAUCCCACCUCCCCGAAGUGACCCUAUCGGGAAGGAGGGAUUAUAGAAUUGCUUUGGGAUCGGCAGACCAUCUAAAAGCACAUCAAGUUAAGGUAGAGACGAAGAUUGGAGAUUGGGAAGCUACAAUUAGGGCUAAACUAUGUCUAAUCUAAGAACAUGAAUGUAAAUAAGGUAAAACUAUUAUUUGGGUUCGAUUGAUUGUUGUUCCAAUCGGCCAUAACCCCUAAUAGGGGGAGGUCUAGACCCUUUCCUAGGUAGAGUCCAACAAAAUCCAUGAAUAAUCGAUUGAAUCUCGCAAAAAAUCAUGACCCGAACAUGUUUUGAUCUAUUCCCAAAUUGGUUGGGCUAACACACUAGACUAUCUUGCGCCGAACAGUCUGGGCUUCUACGCCAGACAGUCUAGAGGGUGCCAGUUUAGGUUCUCAACACAUGCCCCCAACCUUUUUGGCGGAGUUUUACGAGACAAAAGCACCUAGCACACCUUGUAUACUUCGACAAUUAAGACAUGCACAUGUCAAUUCAUAUUAUUCCGAAGUAAAGACUCAAUGUGAAAACAUCGACCUUCUAGGUGUCUUGCUAAACACUAGGAUAGUAUCGUUUUAACAAACGACCAUUUAAUGCUUUAGUUAGCUUCUCACCUUGCAAAGUCUCCAAUAUAUAUGCAUUACCAGAAAUUACCUAUACAAUCGUAUAAGGCCCUUUCGAACUUGGGGACCAUUUGCCAAACUUUCGAUCUUUGGUCUUUAAUGGCAAGAAUGUCUUCCAUAACAAAUCUCUAUCUUGAAAUUAUUUAGCCUUUACCUUCUUAUUGUAGGCCUUGGCAACUGCAAGUUUGUCCUUUUCUAUCUCCUUUAGAGCUAUCAACCUUUUACCGAUUACAUCAUCAAUAUUAUCCAUCAUUAGGUUAUGAUAUUCACCUAUUGCUAAGUCAUUUUAUUUUGUGAACAUAAUGGCAUUCAAACUUAUCUCCAAAGGCAAAAGAACUUCCUGGCCGUAUACAAGCUCGGAAGGAGUCACCUUAGUAGCAUUGUGCUUAGAUAUCCUAUGAGCCCAUAAAGCUUCGGAUAAAACCUUAUGUCAAUGUCUAGGAUAAUUAAAUAUCUUCUUUUUUAUAAGGCUAAUCAAUAUCUUAUUACUUGACUCGGGCUGAGCAUAGUAUGAAGAUGAAUUGUGCAACUUAAUCUUAAAAGAUUUAACAAUUUCAUGCACCUUUUUGUCGGACAUAAAAGAAGUUCCCUGGACCAUAGUUAAAGUUUGUGAAAUACCAAAUCUAAGAAUAACAUGUUCAGUUAUAAACUCAAUUACCUCCUAGUGUUUCAUUUUUCCAAAACAAAGGCUUCAGUCCAUUUAGGGCCCGUUCGGUUGUUAUGGAAUGGAGUACCGGAACUGUUUCAAGCCGGAUUGCUUCUCUAAUUUGUAUAAGUUUUGAUCAACAGGAAUAAUUCUUGGUGCGUUUCUGCAGAAACGAACAGGCCCUUAGUGAAGUAGUUUCACUACCGGAAUCCGAGCCUUUGCCGAGUGCCGGCCGCUUUGCCGAGUGCCUUUUCUCGGGCACUCGGCAAAUACGGCUUUGCCGAGUGGCGCACUCGGCAAAGCUCGGCUCUCGGUAACGAGCGUCUUUACCGAGCGUAGGACACUCGGUACAGGUCCACACUCGGUAAAUCCAUGUUUGCCGAGUGUCAAACACUCGGCACAUGGGGCUCUCGGCAAAGAGCCGUCAGCGGCCGUCCUAAAGCUGACGGCCGUCAGUCUUUGCCGAGCGCCAACGGUUGGCACUCGGCAAAGAGUCUUCUUUGCCGAGUGUCGCCCAGUUGACGCUCGGCAAAGAACUCUUUGCCGAGUGCCAUCCCUAGACACUCGGCAAAGUAUAUUUUUAUUUCUUUUAUUUUGUCUCCCAAACUUUUUGUGGUAUGUUCCUACACUAUGUAGACCUACAUGUAUCAUUUGUGGACAAUUUUAACAGAGUUUCAAUCGUUAGUAGAUUUAGUUCGUUUAUUUGAAUUUCUUCGGAAAAUUUAGAUUUGAACUGCAGGUCACUCGAAACUUGGAAAACCGUGCAUGAAAAAAUGAUAUUCAUGUUACUUAGCAUAAGUUACGACCGAUUCCAGGAGCGGACCAAAAACUUCGAGCAACAUGCUCACUAAACAUGGUCGUGAACUUGUCAUCAACAUGUUUAAAACUUGUAUAAAACACAAACAAAGUCAGAAAAUCUUGAAACUUGUCCACGUGUCAUGAUAUCAUAUGUACAGGCUGCGAUAAAAAAUUGAAAAAAUUUCGAGAAAACUAUGACGCGCUAUGUGUACAAACCUAAGAGAUCCACAUUGAAACUCUAUGAUUUCAUGUGUAGUUCUCUUAGGUUUCUACACAUAGUGUCUCACAACUUUGUCCAAACAUUCUCAAUUUUUUAUCACAACCUGUGCAUAUGAUAUCAUGACAUGUGGACAAGUUUCAUGAUUUUCUGACUUUGUUUGUGUUUUAUACAAUUUUUAAACAUGUGGAUGGCAAGUUCACGGCCAUGUUUAGUGAGCAGGUUGCUCGAAGUUUUCGGUCCGCUCAUGGAAUCGGUCGUAACUUAUGCUAAGUAACAUGAAUAUCAUUUUUUUCAUGCACGGUUUUCCAAGUUUCGAGUGACCUGCAGUUCAAAUUUGAAUUUUCCGAAGAAAUUCAAAUAAACAAACUAAAUCUACUAGCUAUUUCAAACUCUGUUAAAAUUGUCCACAAAUGAUACAUGUAGAUCUACAUAGUGUAGGAACAUACCACAAAAAGUUUGGGAGACAAAAUAAAAAAAAUACAAAUGCACUUUGCCGAGUGUCUAGGACUGACACUCGGCAAAGACUUCUUUGCCGAGUGCUAGAUGUGUGGCACUCGGCAAAGAGGUAGUAAAGAACCUUUGCCGAGUGCCGCAACGGGGGACACUCGGCAAAGAACUCUUUGCCGAGUGCCGCUGAUCUGGCACUCGGCAAAGAAUAUUUUAAAAUUUUAAAAAAAUCUUUGCCGAGUGCCGGAUCACGGGCACUCGGCAAAGAAACUAACUUUAACCGGCCGCGCGGCCGGCUUUCUUCUUCCUUCUGCUUUGCUUCUUCUUUCUUCUUCCUUCCCGCGCCUCACCGCCGCCGCCUUCCCACGCCUCACCGCCGGCCGCCUCACCGCCGCCCGCCUCACCGCCGCCGGCCUCCCCACGCCUCACCGCCGGCCGCGCCCGGCCGCCCGCGCCCCACCGCCCGCGCCCCACCGCCACCGUUCGCCCGCCUCACCGCCGCCCACGCGCCGUCGUCCGCCCGCUCGCCUCCGGUACGUAAGUUUAUCACAUGUUUAUUAGUGGCAGCCCAUAAUUAGCUUAAAGCUAGGAGGCUCCUUGGCCUCGUGCGGUCGGAGCUCGAGGUGGAGGAGCCUGCAAGCGGCAGCGGGGCAAGGGGCAGGGGCAGGGGCAGCGGGGAGUAGCUUGUGAGACGGUGGUGGUGGUGGCAUACCAGGGUUGAGCGCGCGGGCGAACAGGAGCACCGAAGAGGAGCCUGCAGCGGUGGUGUUGGGGGCAUGAGGCAGCGUGAGGAGUUACGGAUUUCCCAUCGCAUGGGGAGACUGAUAUUUGCCAGCUCCUAGAUUAGGCUAGCCAGCUCGCUGAUCCGGCCUUCCCAACGGCGGUCCAGGUCGUCGUCCACCUCCAGGUCCGAUCCUGCCCCUUCUGCAGCCACCCGGGCAGCGUCCAGUGCGACAUCUUUCUCAAGGAACGUCGGCCGUUCGCCGUGGCUGCGGUUGGUAGGGUCCAGUGCGACAUCUUUCUCAAGGAACGGCGCGUAGGGGACGACGGCGGAGGGGAGAGGGAGGCGGUGGUGGUACUGGUGGUGCACGACGGGCGGGUCGGGUCGGCACCGCCAGUCGAUGAAAAGCCUGCCGCGCGCCGCCUCGCUGAUGCCGCGGCCGAAGGAGUCCGUGUCCCCGGCGUCGAGGCGCUUCUCCUUGACGAAGCGGCUCCAGCCCUUGGUCAUCACGUAGCUCUGGCUACUGUUCCAGUAGGAGUAGCGGUAGCGCCAGGGCUUCCCCGUGCGGUCCUCGAAGCUGAGCAGGAGGCCCUUCUCGUUCGCCGCCGCGUCCAGCGGGAAGUACUUCUCCGCGUGCUGCUUCGGGAUCACCAGCCGGUUCAGCUUCCCGACGUCGCUCGGCGUCACCACCUUGUCGAACAUGUGCUCCUUCUCCACCGUCGCAUGCUGCUGCUGGUGGUGCUGGUUGUGCUCAGCAGCCGCCCUCUCCUCUCCGCCGCCCGACCGGGUCGCGGGCGGGGGAGUGGUGAACUCCAUCGAUCUCCGAUCGACGACCGGCGAUCGGUUGAGAUCGAGGCAGCAAGUCGAACGUAGGCCGUAGACGCCGGCCGAUCGAUCGACGCUGCUGCCGCUACCGCCUCCGCGUUGAGACUUUGGCCGUAGCUGCCUCGAGUCUGGGUGUGUUGAGGCCCGGGAACGAUAGCUCUUUUGGCCGGGAGGUGCUGUCGAUUUUUUUUUGUAUUAAUAGACUUGUGUUUCUUUUUUACAGAGAAGAUACUUGUCUUCCUAGCCGCUGCGGGUCUGCCUGCACCGCGUCGCGUCGCCACUGCACCGACCCGCCACAGCCCCACUAGCCUGACUCCACCGCCACCCUAGGUAUAACCUCUAUUUCCGCAUCAUGGUCGUAGAUCACGUAACCCAGUUAGGCGUCUCCCGUUCGAAAGUGAUACGGUGUAGAUAUGCAGAUCUUUGCAUAUCUACAAAUGUAUCAGUUUCGAAUUGUCCACGUUUUUUGGACAGCCCGCGGUUGCGUAGAUGGUGUUAGUUUCCAUGGUCUACUCCGGUCCGAGAAAGAGUUUCGGCGUCACCUCCCUGUUGUUCUCCGGACAGUACACUCUCCCUGCCAGGACGUGUAUCCGGAGAACAGCGGGGAGGUGCUGCCGAAAUUCUAUCUCGGAUCGGAGUAGAGCAUGGAAACUAACUCCAUCUACGCAACCGCGGGUGGGAUUAGGACCUAUCCUCACCUAUUAGAAGGUAGGAACGUAGUGUACAUGCAUUACAUGUCUAUAUUAAACUAUACUCGGUUAUAUAUGUUAGAGGAUGGAGGACCAUGAGUGGAUGUACACGGGCCGCGUUCGACGUAAUGAUGUCACCCCAGAAUGGAUUAGGAAGACCGAUGCUUUCGUGGAACGGGCAUAUGGCGAAGCUGCUAAAGGAGCUAGCCUAGUCCCUUGUCCGUGCAGCAAAUGUGACAACCGGAAAAGAAAACCAAAGAAGGCCAUGGUAGAACAUAUUUGGAAGAAUGGAUUUACGCCGGACUAUACUCGGUGGAUCUUCCAUGGUGAAGCGCAUCGCACGAGAGAGGAGGUGGUGAGACAACGCGUCGAGGAUUACGAUGCUGAUGCCGGGGUAGCAGACAUGUUGAACGACUAUCACGAGGCACAGUUCGCCGAAGGACGUACGGAGGACGAGCCAGAGGCGACCGCAAAGGCAUUCUACGACAUGUUUGACGCGGCACAGAAACCCCUUCACGGCAAGACAAAGGUUUCUCAACUGGAUGCCAUUGGGCGUAUAAUGGCGUUGAAGUCGCAGUAUAGCAUGAGUCGAGACGCCUUCGAUGGUUUGUUGACAGUUAUUGGCAGCCUGCUUCCGGAGGAUCACGUUCUGCCAAAGAGCAUGUACGAGGCACAGAAACUCCUUCGUGCACUCAAGAUGACGUAUGAGCAGAUACAUGCUUGUCCGAAGGGCUGCGUCCUAUUUAGGAAAGAACACACUGAGGCAAAGUACUGUCCGAAGUGUAAAUCGUCUAGGUUCAUGGAGGUAGACUCUGGUGAUGGACAGAAGAAGCAGCUCGACAUCCCCGUGACAAUCCUACGCCACCUUCCGUUCAUACCGAGGAUCCAGCGUCUAUACAUGACAGAGGAAUCCGCGAAACAGAUGACAUGGCACAAAAAAGGCAAACGAUACAAUCCUGACAAGAUGGUUCACGCAUCCGAUGGUGAAGCAUGGACCCACUUUGAUGCCAUUCACCAUGAGAAAGCCAAAGAGGCUCGACAUGUUCGUGUUGCGCUGGCCACAGAUGGGUUCAGUCCCUAUGGAAUGACCGCUGCCCCAUACACAUGUUGGCCCGUGUUCGUUAUCCCCAUCAAUCUCCCCCCGGCGUAUGCUUUCAAAGACAGAACAUAUUCGUGUCGUUGAUAAUUCCUGGACACCCGGGGAAUAAAAUGGGCGUGUACAUGGAGCCUUUGAUUGAUGAAUUGGUCCGUGCUUGGGAGGAAGGGGUAUGGACGUACGACCGAGCUACGAAGACAAACUUCAAAAUGCAUGUUUGGUACCAGUACUCCAUGCAUGACUUUCCGGCGUAUGGGCUAUUUUGCGCCUGGUGUGUUCACGGUAAGUUCCCAUGCCCAGUUUGCAAGGAAGCUCUUAGGUUCAUUUGGUUGAAGAAGGGUGGCAAAUAUUCGUCAUUCGAUAAACAUCGACAAUUUCUCCCUCCUGACCAUGCAUUCCGACAAGACAUCAAGAACUUUACGAAAGGUGUCGUGGUGACAGACCGCCCACCUGCAAUGAUGACUGGUGCCGAAGUUCGCGAACAGAUAGAUGGUCUCGUGGCCAACCCAGAAGGUGGUUUUGUGGGAUAUGGUGAGCAACAUAUGUGGACACAUAAGUCGGGCUUGACUCGGCUCCCCUAUUAUGAUGACCUGCUCCUUCCACACAACAUUGACGUGAUGCACACUGAAAAGAAUGUCGCCGAGGCACUUUGGGCGACAAUUAUGGAGAUUCCUGAUAAGUCAAAGGAUAACGUAAAGGCAAGAGUGGAUCUGGCAGAGUUAUGUGAUAGACCAAACCAAGAGAUGAAGCCGCCUAGUGGUGGUAAGACAUGGAGAAGGCCUAAGGCCGAUUUCGUCCUGAGCAGGGCCCAGAGGAAGGAAGUACUACAGUGGAUCAAGAUGUUAAUGUUCCCUGAUGGGUAUGCAGCUAACCUUAGUAGGGGGGUGAACUUAUCUACUCUGCGAGUCUUAGGGAUGAAGAGUCAUGACAUCCACAUAUGGAUUGAACGAAUUCUUCCGGCGAUGGUUCGAGGCUAUGUCCCUGAGCAUGUCUGGCUAGCGCUUGCAGAGUUGAGCUAUUUCUUCCGCCAGCUUUGUGCAAAAGAGUUAGCUCGGACCAUGAUUGCAGACUUGGAAAGGAUGGCACCCGUGUUACUGUGUAAGCUGGAGAAGAUCUUUCCACCCGGCUUCUUCAAUCCGAUGCAGCAUUUGAUUAUUCAUCUCCCAUAUGAGGCACGAAUGGGGGGGCCCGUGCAGGGACGUUGGUGCUAUCCAAUCGAGAGAUGUCUAAAGAGUAUCCGAAAGAAAUGUAGAAAUAAAUGCAAAAUCGAGGCUUCCAUUGCAGAGGCAUACAUACUGGAGGAGGUGUCAAACUUCACAACAACUUACUAUGGUGACAAACUGCCGAGCGUGCAUAAUACACCCCCUCGUUACAAUGAUGGCGGCAAUGAAUCGAACCUCAGCAUUUUUCGAGGGCAACUCGGAAGCGCGAGUGGUUCGACCACCAAGACCCUGAGACAUGAAGAGUGGCGCCAUAUCAUGCUAUAUGUAUUGACCAACCUUGAAGAGGUGACGCCAUACAUGGAGCAAUUUCUUCAUGAAUUCUGGCGUCGAUCAAGGGACCCAACUCCACAGGAAUAUGAUACCCUUCUUAGAAAGGGUGCGGGAAAUGGAUUGCCCGAUUUCAUUUCCUGGUUUAAACAUAAGGUACGUGCUUAGUUUGUUAUUCCAAGUUGCUCUUACGUGCGAAUAAUAUAACAAUCUAGCGUGUUUGAACUUGCAGGGCCAAAGAGAGCCGUCUAUGAGUGCCGAGUUGAGACAAGUAGCCAAUGGCUUUGCCUAUAGGGUCAGGAAAUUUUCUGGGUAUGACAUCAAUGGAUACCGUUUUCGCACAACAAGCUACGACCAAAGUCGGCCCAAUUGAAAAACCACGUGUUCUGGAGUCUUUACGCCCGGGCUUGACGAGGUCGAGUAUUAUGGAAGAAUUGAAGAAAUAUAUGAACUCAAUUUUUAUGGUUCCAAACCUCUUACUCCAGUGAUAUUCAAAUGUCAUUGGUUUGACCCUGAAGUUACGAGACGGACACAUUCUAAUCUUGGGAUAGUCGAAAUUCGACAGGAUUCCACCUUAACAGGAGACGAUGUCUACAUUGUGGCCCAACAGGCCACACAAGUGUAUUAUCUUCCAUAUGCGUGCCAAACGAAACAACAUCUUAAGGGUUGGGAUGUUGUGUAUAAGGUAUCACCGCACGCUAAAUUACCUGUUCCAAACGAUGAAGAUUAUAACUUAGACCCGGACACAUAUGACGGAGAGUUCUUCCAAGAAGAUGGGCUCGAAGGGCAAUUUGAGAUAGACUUAACCGAAGCGAUCGGAAUGGAAGUAGAUAUUGAAAUGGUUGUUGAUGACGAGGAUGAUGAGGUGCAAAAUGAGAAUGACUUAGAAAUACUUGAAGGCAAUGCCAAUGACGAAGUUGCGCCUUCAGAUGAUGUUGACUAUGAAAUGGUUGAUAGUGAUGAUGACACUUAUGAUCCGGCUAACCCGGACACAUAUGAAGAUUAUUUUUAAUCGAUGUAAUGCUAUAUUUCAUUUAUUUUGCAUAUGUUUCUAAAUACAUAUUUUUUUAUCUGUGCUUAAUUGUUUACUCUUAAUUGCAGGUUGUUGGACAAAGAUGGUUGGCGGUGGGACGAGGACGAGGAGGGGGAGGGGGAGGGGGAGGAGGAGCACCCGUAGGACGGAGGAGGAGGCGCAGCAGGACGACGCCGUACAGCAGCAGGUGGAGCAGCAAGCCGCUGUCGAUGCGGCACAGCAGGACGACGACGAUGCGGCGCAGCAGGACGACGACGACGACGACGCCGCUCAGCAGGACGUCUCAGGUUCUGGCUCCUCAGGUUCGAGGAGUAUCUACCUGCGAGGUCCCGCGAGCCUACCUAAGCGACCCAUACUUCGUGACAGACGUCCGCUCAUACGACCCGAUGGAGAGAGGUAGGUAACUUUAGAUGUUGUUGCUGCUUUUUCAUAUUAUAUGUUCAAAUUAAUAAUAGAAACUAAUACUUCAUCUUAAUCACUUUCGACAGGUCUUGGAUGAUUUUGGAGACUGCAGGGGGUCACGGCCGCAACCCCAAUGGCAUCCUCGGCCUUCUAUGCCGGGAACACUUCCCUGGGCUUGUCGAGUACGCCGGAGUGACGAGCCCAGCAUACACCUUCGACCACUACGCUGUCGCCCCCGAUGCAGUAGAUCGGGACGGCAGACAAUUCAACAACAAGGCGGAGCGGGUCAAGCAAGAGCUGUGGGUAAGUCUUCCUCGCACUAUAUUGUUUAAUAAGUCGCAUUUGUUGCAUAUUCUUUAAAUAAUGUAUGGAUACAUCGUCUUUGUAUGUAGGAUUUCUUCAGGUGCGAUGCUGGAUACGAGGCCAGGGCGGAUGUGGUGUCUACGACGUGCUGUAAGAAGCUCGUCGUGGACAUGCACUACGAGGCGCGCAUCCAGGCCAUCGUCACUUACCACGGCUCCGUCCUUGGGGAGAAGGUGAACAAGAAGGACGCCCGAACCAUGUCAUUGACUGCGGACCAGUACUUGCAGGUAAAUACAAAACUUUAUUAUUGGUACUAAAUAUGCUUAUUCUUAUCUUCUGAUAUGCGGUGUACUUAUAUUUUUUUAGAUGAUUCCUCAUUGGUGCGCCGCGCAUCCUGAGUGCUGGGAGAAGAUGGUGCAGAGGUGGUGCUCGGCUGAGUGGGACGAGGCGCACAACGCUAGCCGGGAACGGCGUUUGCUGAUGCAAGGUCCCUCCCACCAUCAAGGCAGCCGCAGCCUGGGCAAAUACGCGGAAGCAUGGGUACGCGCUCUUUUUUAUUUAGGUAUAUAACUUUCGAUUAGACAUGAUUUCUAACCAUAUCGUUGGUUUUCUCGCAGUCGGCGGCACAUGGUGGCGCGCCUUGCUCCACGUUCUCGGCAUAUGCCAUGGCCCACAAGGGGAAGGCGACGUCCGACGUCACCUACAACCCGGAUGACGGGCCCGAGGCGUACACCAACCCCGCCAUCCACAGCCGACUCAGUGAGUACACCGCAAUGGCCAAGGAGGUCCAUGGGCCAGAUUACGAUCCGAGGACCGAGGACAUCGACGGAGAUGUCCUCAUGAGGGUCGGAGGAGGCAAGAGGCAUGGGCGGUACUGGAUUGCCGACGGGGCAAUCGACUCGUCCUCCACUCCCACUCUCUCUCAGGUGCGAGCAAGGAGCACGAGCGCGAGCCCAGCCAUACGACCUCGGCAGGACACCUCACAGCAUCGUAUCCAGCAACUCCAGGUUAUUCCUUAUCUAUUCACCGUUCAUUAAUUUUUAUAUAUCUUCUCUUUGCAUUAUCGUAACAUUAGGGCAAAAUAUUACAGACUCAGCUAGAUGAUGAGAGGAGGCAACGUGAGGAGCUGGAGAAGAGGAUGGCGGAGAUGUUCGCGUACAUGCAGAGCCUUGGCGCCGCACAGGGUCAUGCUCCACCACCUCCGUUGUUCCCUGCAACUGACCCUGCUGAGUUCACUACUCCUGUGAGUAUCAAAAUUUUAGUACCGCAUGAUAUAUAUUCAUAUGUUCUCACACAUACAAUCUAUUCUCUAUGAAGGGUCAAUCGGCGGCGUCGAACAACCCUCAUGCUUCGUCCAGCCCUUCGCCGAACCAGUCCAGAUGCCCACCUCGUUGAUGAUCCAGACUUGGUCUUGUGAGUGUUGGUGAUGUUUGGCUAGUGACACUUUGUGAUAUAUAUGUGACGGUUGGUGAUGUUUGGCUAGUGAUCCAGACUUGGUAAAUACACAUACUUAUAUUUGUGAGACUUAUAUUAGUGACACUUUGUGAUAUAUAUGGUGUUGAUGAUAAAUGUGUUCAUUCUGUGAUGCGAUUGAUAUAUAAUGUGAUGUGAAUGAUAUAUAUCUUUUGUUUGUUUGGAUGGAACAGCAAAAACAAAUAAAAAAGGGACAUCCUGGUCACUUUGCCGAGUGUAACACUCGGCAAAGGGUUCUUUGCCGAGUGCUAUGACCAUGGCACUCGGCAAAGAAGGCAACCUGGGAACCGGUAAAGCCGUCUUUGCCGAGUGCUGACAAUGGCACUCGGCAAAGAAGGCAACCUGGGAACCGGCAAAGACAUCUUUGCCGAGUGCUGAAAAUGGCACUCGGCAAAGAAGGAAACCUGGGAACCGGCAAAGAUGUCUUUGCCGAGUGCCACUGCCAAGGCACUCGGCAAAGGGACUGGCAAAGGGGCCCACUAGAGGGUUCUUUGCCGAGUGCCAGUUCACCAGACACUCGGCAAAUAAACCUCCUUUGCCGAGUGUCGCCGUGGGCACUCGGCGAAGGAUCCGUCACCGUCACUUGGCGCCGUGACGGUGACUUUUCUUUGCCGAGUGCCAAAUGGCACUCGGCAAAGUCUUUGCCGAGUGCCCGACAAAAAGUACUCGGCAAAGAUGCUGUUGCCGAUGUACAGUUCGCCGAGCGUUCUUUGCCGAGUGUUACACUCGGCAAAGCAUUUGCCGAGUGUAAAAUAGCCUUUGCCGUGUGUCUCAGACACACGGCAAAGAAGCUGAUUCCGGUAGUGUUUGGGGGGCGACUAACACAAAUCGAUGACCUUUGAUGAAGAUGGAUGUAUUUCUCCCACAAAAUCUUGGAUCCAUCCUCUACUAUGAAAAGUCAUGAAUUCACAAGACGUUUUCGAAAACAAUUUCAGCUUCACUUGUAAAGUUGCUUGUGCGGCUGAAGCCAAGAAAACAUUAGAGGACAAACAAUAACUUACUAUGCUUUUCGUGAACUGUUUCAGACCAGCAGUAAUAAUUAUUGGUCCUACAUGCAUUAAUGGAUAAGCGGCUAGCAUGCCAAGACGGAGCAUUAGUUAGGAGAUAAGACCUAGCGUUUCAUUGCAUCCCCAUGAAAGGAAUACUAUCACUACUGCAUGAAUAAUUUUCAAAUGUAUUAAAAACUGAUAUUGAAAUGUAGGUAAUCUGUCCGCCUAUGUGAAAUGUUUAACAGAGGCAGCCACUCUAGGAUGUUGCCUCUAUUAAUUACUCAUAGAUGCAGCCAUCCAACUCUAGGAUUUCAAUUAGUCUCAAUCUAUGCAUUCGUCUAUGCAUUCUAGGAUUACAAUUAGUCUCAAUCUUGUAGUAUUUGUUCCUUCCUUGUCAAAUCACUUCUCAUCUAACUACUAUGCUUGUUUAACCAUCAGAACAUAACUACAACAACAUCCAUUUAUAAAGGCUUCGAUAGCAAACUUUACAUAUUCAUAUCAUGUUAAGGUUGUCACAUGUGUAAAGGUGAAGAGAUCAUGCAUGUCAUUCCACGUAGAUAAAAAGAAUGCCUAUAUAAAAAUGGCACAUUUUCUUGUAGGUAGUGGAAAGUAUCUUUCCAGCAAAGACCAUAUAAUCCGAUAAAGCUGAUAACUAAAUGUCGAAAUCGAGUAGAUGCCAUAUCAUCUAUACCUUAUCUGUUGUUUGGAAAAAAAAAAGACAAAAUCCAAAAAAAAAUAUAAGAGAUCUCACCUAUAUAAAUAGCUCUGAAAUCAGUAGUUAAUCCAUCACCCAUAAUAUUUUGAGCAUUCAGAAACACACCAAGCGAAGCGCACUAGCAACGACCUAACAACAAUGGCUACCAAGAUAUUAGCCCUCCUUGCGCUUCUUGCCCUUUUUGUGAGCGCAACAAAUGCGUUCAUUAUUCCACAAUGCUCACUUGCUCCUAGUGCCAUUAUUCCACAGUUCCUCCCACCAGUUACUUCAAUGGGCUUCGAACACCUAGCUGUGCAAGCCAACAUGCAACAACAAGCGCUUGCGGCGAGCGUCUUACAACAACCAAUUGCCCAAUUGCAACAACAAUCCUUGCCACAUCUAACAAUACAAGCCAUCACAACGCAACAGCAACAACAGUUCCUACCAGCACUGAGCCACCUAGCCAUGGUGAACCCUGCCGCCUACUUGCAAGAGCAGCUGCUUGCAUCCAACCCACUUGCUCUGGCGAACGUAGUUGCAAACCAGCAACAACAACAGCUACAACAGUUUCUGCCAACGCUCAGUCAACUAGCCAUGGUGAACCCUGCCGCCUACGUACAACAACAACAACUGCUUUCAUCUAGCCCGCUCGCUGUGGGCAAUGCACCUACAUACCUGCAACAACAAUUGUUGCAACAGAUUGUACCAGCUCUGACUCAACUAGCUGUGGCAAACCCUGUUGCCUACUUGCAACAGCUGCUUCCAUUCAACCAACUGACUCUGUCGAACUCUGCUGCGUACCUACAACAGCGACAACAGUUACUUAAUCCAUUGGUAGUGGCUAACCCAUUGGUCGCCGCCUUCCUACAGCAGCAACAAUUGCUGCCAUACAACCAGUUCUCUUUGAUGAAUCCUGUCUUGUCGAGGCAGCAACCCAUCGUUGGAGGUGCCAUCUUUUAGAUUACAUAUGAGAUGUACUCGAUAAUGGUGCCCUCAUACCGACGUGUGUUUCCUAGAAAUAAUCAAUAUAUUGAUUGAGAUUUAUCUCGAUAUAUUUCUGAACUAUGUUCAUCAUAUAAAUAAUUGAAAACAUCAAAUCGUAAUUAUAAACUCAUGCUUGGUCAAUACAUAGACAAUGCGAUAUUACUUCAGCAUCCCAAUGAUGUCCUAGCCCAACCUCUUGAAUGUUACUGUUUUAAUGUGUGACGGUAUAUUUAUAAGAUAGACGUGACUAUUUGCGCUUUUUUGAGUACAUACAUAUAUGGUAUGUUGAUUUGAUAUAGUGAUGGACACAUGCUUAACCAUUAAUAUUCAAAUCAGUUGUACUUGCAUGGAGCAAAACAUAAUAUAAGUUUAGGAGUACACUUAUAACUGUGUCCAAACAUGCUCACACAAAUUCAUACCACAUUAUAAUGUUUUGGUAAAUAUUCCACACAUGUAUUUUUUACAACUCAAUUUUGCAGACAAAUGCAGCAUUGUAGACAUGUAGAAUUCUUUGAAGCCCGUGAACUAACAACACCAAGGUCAUUAAAUCAACCGGACCCUAUGAGUAACAAUUUCGAUAUUGCAAACACCAAAUUAUAGAACUUAUUGGCUGAAAAAAUUAUGAGCAAUGUGAAGUUUAAAUUAUUAUACCAUAAAUAUAUCAAAGAACUUUUUUUGAGGAACGUAAAAAUUGCAUGGAAUGGGCAGCCCAACAUGCUAGCUCACUUCUAUGCUAGGUAGCAUUACCAAAGAUGAAAAUGUUGCUGAUGAACGCCAAACCCACUCAAAUAAUAUUUAUAUUUGGGUUGUUUAGUUGUAAAAGUGAAGACCCAAGAUAAAAGUACCAAUUGUCCAAUGACAUUCAAUUAUUUUGUUCGGGGAGCACUUGGUGCGUCAUUUGGACUCAUAUCUUAGUCCAAUAGAUUGCAUUUUCCUUCAAUUUGUAGAAUCCGACAAAGUGCAUGUUCUAAAAUUGUAAAUCUAACUAAAUUAGAAAGCUUGUUACUAAUUUGAUGGUUUGUUAGGUGUAGCUCGUAAAACUAGAACCAACAUAGCUUGCACUCACAUGUCAAAGGAAAUUGGAGUAUCCAAGCACAAUUUGUGUGAGCAUCCAUGACACUGUUAUAAAUGAAUGCGACACAAAUAGGAUCAAUCACAGAGAAGACACGAAUUUAACGUGGAAAACCCCUCCAAAGUGAAGGGGAAAAAACCACGGGCGCCGGCCGGCAACUUCUCACUAUUUUUGGGUGGUUACAGAUCGCAGGAGAUUUACAAUUGAGAUAGAUAUCUCCUGCGGCUUACAAAGAUAUUUAUAGAGGUGAAACCCUAAAACGAUCGCCUCCCGGCGACGGGCCUCCGCUUCGCUCGCCAACUUGGCCGCCUUCUUCAGAAUUUGGAUCACAAACUCAACAAACUCCACCUUGAGACAAAUACCUUGUAGCAUCAUAAUAGCAACCUCCACCUUAAACAAAUGCAUCAUCAUCUUGCCGGCGCCAACAGCCACUAAGGGCUAAUUUAUAAUACCAACUAAGUUUGAGCAUAGCUCAAACUUAGCAACAGAAACAUGCUUCGUCAUCACAUCAGCUGGAUUAUUAUCAGUACUGAUCUUGCAUACCUUCACCAACCCUUUUUCAAUGAUAUCACGAAUGAAGUGAUAACGAAUAUCAAUAUGUUUGGAUUUCUCAGUAAUCAUCUGAUCUUUGGUGAGAUGAAUGGCACUCUGGCUAUCACAAUAGAUGGUAAUGCAAGACUUAAUUCCACAUAGCUCUGAAUAUAUACCUUUCAACCAUAAGGCUUCCUUAGUAACUUCUGCAAUUGCCAUAUAAUCAGCUUCUAUGGUAGACAAAGCAACAGUAUCCUGUAAACGAGCUUUCCAACUCACAGCACAAUCUCCAAUAGUAAAGACAUAACCUGAAAGAGAUCUCCUCCUGUCUAAAUCACCACCAUAAUCUGAAUCAACAUAGCUAAUCAGCCCAUCUCCAGAUUUACCAAAACAUAAACAAGCACUAGAAGAACCACGUAGAUAUCUGAAAAUCCACUGAACAGCUUUCCAAUGCUCUUUACCAAGAUUAGACAUGUAUCUAGCAACAACGCUCGUAGCAUGAGACAAAUCAGGACGAGAACAAACCAUAGCAUACAUGAGUGACCCAACAACACUAGAGUAUGGAACUUUUGACAUAUAUUCAAGCUCAGCAUCAGUUUCAGCACACUGUUUAGCAGACAGUUUAAAAUGAGGAGCCAACGGAGUACUCACAGGUUUAGUAUUUUGCAUGUUGAAACGACGAAGGACCUUCUCAAUAUAAUUCUUCUGGCUCAAGUACAGCAGUCCAGACUUCCUAUCCCUGACUAUCUCUAUGCCAAGGAUUUUCUUUGCAGCACCCAGAUCCUUCAUAUCAAAUUCGCUACUAAGUUGUGCCUUUAAAGCAGUGAUUUCCUUCAUGCUCUUGGCAGCAAUCAACAUAUCAUCAACAUAUAGCAGCAAAUAUGUAGGUGAUCCAUUAACAAAUUUUAGAUAAACACAACUAUCAUAUUGAGACUUCUGAAAGCCCUUAGAAAGCAUAAAUGAAUCAAACCUCUUAUACCAUUGUCUGGGAGAUUGUUUCAGACCAUAUAAGGACUUCUUCAAGCUGCACACAUAGUCUUCUUUUCCAGGAACAAUGAACCCCUCUGGCUGGUCCAUAUAAAUGUCUUCCUCCAAAUCACCAUGUAAGAAAGCAGUUUUCACAUCUAACUGUUCAAGCUCAUAGUCAUGUAUAGCAACAAGACUAAGAAAGGUACGAAUUGAACUAUGCUUGACAACAGGAGAAUAGACAUCAGAGUAAUCAAUUCCUGGAAUCUGACUAAAACCUUUUGCAACUAGCCUUGCUUUAAAGCGCGGAGGCUCUUUUGGAGUCAUACCUUCUUUUCUUUUGAAGAUCCAUUUGCACUUAAUUGCCUUUUUACCAGAAGGCAGCCGAGCUAGUUCCCAAGUGCCAUUCUUAUCAAGAGACUCCAUUUCUUCAUGCAUAGCACCCAUCCACUUUUCACUAUCAGUAGACAAUAUAGCUUCUGAAUAAUUCAAUGGUUCCUGAAUAUUAUCAACUUCUUCAGCAACAGCCAAAGCAAAAGCAACAUUGCACUCUUGAAUCAGUCUUUGGGGCCGAACUAUCUGCCUCCUAGUUCGGCCUUCAGCAAGAGACUGGGGAUGAGACUCCACAACAGGUGAUGAAAUUUCAGAAACAGAAUUUUCAGCAGGUUCAGCAGAUGGUGGAGCAUGAUCAUCAACAUCCCCCCCCCCCCCCGUGCUCCACCUGCACACUGAUAGACUCAGAAUUCUGGUUAGUAGCACUGGUAGAUACAACCGAAGGGAACAUAGCAGAUUCAUUGAACACAACGUUUCUACUAAAAAAUGCCUUCUGUGUAUCAGGAUUCCACAAUUUAUAUGCUUUAACACCAGAUCCAUAACCCAAGAAAACACACUUAAUUGCUCUAGGCUCAAGUUUACCAUUAUCAACAUGUGCAUAUGCAGUACAACCAAACACUCUCAACUGAGAAUAAUCAUAGGGGGAACCAGACCAAACCUCAAUUGGAGUUUUCUUAUCGAUAGCAGUGGAUGGUGAACAAUUGAUCAAAUGACAAGCAGUGGAAGCGGCCUCAGCCCAAAACUUUCGGCUCAAACCUAAGUUGGACAACAUACACCGAGCCUUGGAGAUUAUUGUUCUAUUCAUACGCUCUCCCACACCGUUCUGCUGAGGCGUAUAUGGUAUAGUGUGGUGCCUCACAAUGCCCUCCUUCCUGCAGAAAGAGUUAAAAUCACCAGAACAAAACUCCAUACCAUUGUCAGUUCUCAGAACCUUCAGCUUCCUCUCAGUCUGCUUCUCAACCAUAGUCUUCCAAACCUUGAAAGACUCAAAGGCAUCUGAUUUUUGCUUAAGAAAAUAAGGCCAAACUCUGCGUGAAUUAUCAUCAAUGAUAGUCAACAUGUAACGAGCACCACCAUGUGAAGGUAUACGUGACGGCCCCCACAAAUCAGCAUGAACAUAAUCAAGAAUAUUUUCUGUAUUAUGAACAGCAGAACUGAAUUUUACCCUUUUAUGCUUACCGAAAACACAGUGCUCACAAAAAUCAAGAGUAUCAGCAUGGCAACCAUCAAGAAGGCCUCUCUUGCUCAAUUCUGCCAAACCAGGUGCACUCAUAUGGCCAAGUCGCAUAUGCCAAAUUUUAGUAGUCUCAGAAUCAGAUGCAACAACAGCAUUAGCAGAGCCAGAACUACCUCGAAGCACAUAUAAGUUUUCAGCUUUCAAAUCACCUUUAAUAACCACAAGAGAGCCUUUUGUUACCUUUAUGACACCGUCACCGGCGGUAUACUUGUAGCCCUUUGUGUCCAGAGUACUCAGAGAGAUGAGGUUCCUGGACAUGGAUGGAACAUGUCGUACUUCAGUCAAUGUGCGUACAAUCCCAUCGAACAUCUUGAUCUGCAGGGUGCCCAUGCCAACAACAGUGCAAGGGGAAUUAUCACCCAUCCGAAGAGUACCUCCGUUCUGCACAGCUUCAUAGGUACUAAACAGAGAUUUUUUAGUGCAAACAUGAUACGAGCAAGCAGAAUCGAGGAUCCAUUGGGCAUCAUCAGCAGCACAACCAGCAAAGGCAAUAAGAACAUCACCAUUAUCAGAAUUAUUUUCGGAUGCAACAGAGACAGUACCUCCAGUCUUACCCUUCUCCUUGUUCCUCUUCUCCUUGUUCUGCAGUUUGUAACAGUUCUCAAUUACAUGGUUCGUCUUCUUGCAGUAUUUGCAAAAAAAUUCAUCAGAUGGCCCCCUUGACUUGGAGCGACCCCUCUGGUUCUUCCCCUUUCCUUUGCCACCUGAGUUGUACUUUUUCUGAUCAGUGCGGCCACGGACAUACAAAGCUUCUCCACUCGAGCCAGCAGCAUCUUCCGAGUUAACCAUCUGUCUCAUCUUUUCUUUCGCAGUCAAAGCUUCAUACACUUCAGCCACGGUUAGAGUAUCACGAUUGUAUAGGAUGGUAUCUCGAAAAUUGCUAAACGAUGCAGGGAGGGAACACAGGAGAAGAAGAGCUAGGUCUUCAUCAUCAAACUUUACCUCCAUAGACGUCAGAUCGGCCACGAUCUCCUUAAACACCGAUAUGUGCGUCAGAACGGAUCCUCCUUCCUGCAACUUGUGGGAGAACAACUUCAUUUUGACAUGCAUCUUGCUGGUCAGAUCCUUUGACAUACAGAUCGACUCCAGCUUCAACCAGAGAGCAGCGACAGUUUUCUCCGCCAGAACCUCCUGCAGAAUAUUGUUAGACAGAUGAAGGUGAAUAUGUGCGAGCGCCUUACGAUCCUUGCGCCUCUCCUCAUCAGUCCACGUCCUGGCAUCCUUGUUGCCAAAUCCAUCUAGGGCAUCAUCCAGGUCGCGAUCAGAUUGCGAGAGAAUUGCCCGCAUCUUCACCUGCCACAGCGAGAAACGCGUGUCGAGAUCCAGCAGUGGAAGAUCGUACUUCAUUGUCGUCGACAUCCGUGCGCCGGCAGGAAACCCUAGCACACCGAUCAACAAACAACCAAAGCUCCGAUACCACUUGUUAUAAAUGAAUGCGACACAAAUAGGAUCAAUCACAGAGAAGACACGAAUUUAACGUGGAAAACCCCUCCAAAGUGAAGGGGAAAAAACCACGGGCGCCGGCCGGCAACUUCUCACUAUUUUCGGGUGGUUAUAGAUCGCAGGAGAUUUACAAUUGAGAUAGAUAUCUCCUGCGGCUUACAAAGAUAUUUAUAGAGGUGAAACCCUAAAACGAUCGCCUCCCGGCGACGGCCUCCGCUUCGCUCGCCAACUUGGCCGCCUUCUUCAGAAUUUGGAUCACAAACUCAACAGACACAAAUUAUAUAUAGACUGAUAUAAUUAAUUCCUUCAAAAAUAAAAAAAGGAAAAAAUAAAUUGUUUUUUGAUACUGCAGGAUAUCUCUUUAGCUAAUGAGGAGUACUAAAAAUAUGUUGCACUUUUGGGUGGCAAGAAUUCCUCAAUCAUAACUUUGACAUAAUUUUAAUCCGGAUCACAUAUAUAUCAUCAUAUCUUAAUUAUUAAAUUAAUAUGGUUGCAUCAUCGUAUUAUUAAUUCAAUCCGAUAUAACCAUCAGAGCUUAAUUAUUUAAUUAAUCUAGAGCGUACAUUAGAUUAUCAAACCAAAUCAACCUGACAUAACCAUCGAAUGUUCCGCUAUGCACCUUAAGCGCAUGGUCUGGGGCUUAAUCAUCCGGAAUAACCAUCCAAUCUUCUGGUAAGCAUAGUAAGCGUAUGGUUCACGGCUUCGUCAUCCGGAAUAACCAUCAGAUUUUCCGGCAUGCAAUGAAAGCAAAUGAUUCGUGGUUUUUGUAGGGGAAACGUUGUUAGGUGAAUGCGGAUGCUGGCUGAUGUUGCACGUGCGAACUGUUGUGUGGAAGCUGCUAGGUCCUCCUCUAUUGUGUGUGGCUUGUGGCGGGCUUGGACUGCUCUCAUGGCUUCGGCGCUUGGAACUGCUCGUCCGUCUGGUCCUGCGUGCAUCUCUCUCUCUCUCCUGGCUGGAGGCGUGGUGGCCUGGCAGCUUCUCUGUGUUUUUCUUUUUACGACAGCUUCUCGUGUUAGCUAGGGUUAGCGUCAGGGGCCCGGUCAGCUAUGCUCCCUCAGCUUUUAUAGGCAUCGCACCACAGCAGGUAGAGCAGAGAUAAAGAUUCCAACCGCAUCCAUCUACAAACAAGGCUCUCGGCGGAAGGGAUAAAAGCAUGCAGCGCAAUUGCUGCUGCCGUGUUGUGGCCUUGACUCUCGUCAAUUGGAUGACCAAAAGAUGCCACCGUCGCAGCUGCCUGUUUGUCACCAACACAAAAUUGUAGGUGCCUGUUUGUCACCAAUUAUCCUCUACCACAAAGAACUACAAUAGUGAUGGAGGAUCCGAUCCUGCACAGAUACACUAUAAUGCAUAGUGGGUGAUGCAUGCCUAAUGGUGGUUGUUUAGUGUUAGUUUGGGCAUGUUGGAACUAAGCAAUUGUCGAUGCCAUACGCUAGAAGUGAAGAAUGUUGUUACCGUUAGGAGUAGAGGUGUCAAUGGGGUCUGAUACCCGUUAAGCCAUGGAGAAUUUAUCUAAUAGAUUUAGGGUAUGGGAAGAUUUUAAUUUCCAUUUGUUGAAGUUAGGUAUACAUCUAUUUGAAUCGACAGUUACAAUUCAAUGUUUGUCAUUAAAUAUUCCACACAUGUAUUUUUUACAAGAACCCAAAUUUUGUAGACAAAUGCAGCAUUGUAGACAUGUAGAAUUCUUUGAAGCCCGUGAACUUAACAACACCAAGGUCAUUAAAUCAACUGGACCCUAUGAGUAACAAUUUCGAUAUUGCAAACACCAAAUUAUAGAACUUAUUGGCUGAAAAGUUAUGAGCAAUGUGAAGUUUAAAUUAUUAUACCAUAAAUAUAUCAAAGAACUUUUUUGAGGAACGUAAAAUUGCAUGGAAUGGGCUACCCAACGUGCAAGCUCACUUCUAUGCUAGGUAGCAUUACCAAAGAUAGGAAUGUUGCUGAUGAACGCCAAACUGAAAGUUCCCUUUGCUCGGGAACAGGAUCUGGAUGUCGCCUAGAGGGGGGUGAAUAGGCGAAUAAUAAUUAUCACUUUGAAGACUUAAAUUCUUACUCUACUUGAAGACCAGAUCGUAGUGGAAUGAAAGACCCUUCGAGUCGGUUGCAGCGGAAUAGAAGAUCCUGUCUCAAAAUGCCCUGCACUUCAAAUAUAACUUGAACCACAGAUAAGUAUUGAAGUGUAGAUAUAAAGAGUAGAUAAGACAGAGGAUCAACACACAACACAGAGCAGAGCACAUAGACGCAGGAUUUUAUCCCGAGGUUCGGCCAAGCCUGAGAUGCUUGCCUAGUCCUCGUUGGAGUUAGCCACACCUGGGCUUGGAGUCUAUUUCAACUCCUUCCUCCGUUUGCUCAGAUCUAUCAGUAUGACAGAUAGAGCCUUUCACUAUGUUGAGUUCGGUUACAACAACGCCGUGGCUGCUUACAGUCUUCUUGACAGCACUCCGGUAGAGUAACAAUGCGCUCAAGACUUUGCUCUAGCUCUUUGCAGCACCUCUCCACUCUCUAAAGGCUUAUAACUUUGCCUUCACACAAACUAGAGAGAUAUACAUUAGAGUGAGAGAGAGAAUCGAUCUGAGUGAUGUAUACAAUUGUUGGUUGCACUUGUGUGCUUGUUGGAGGCGCCUAGGAGUCCCUUUUAUAGACCCAAGGGGCCUAGGAGCCGUUGGAAUUCAUUUUGGAAGACAAUAUUUGCUUUCUAUCGGGUAGCAUGUCCAGUGCACGAUCUCCUUCCAAAACAAGCUCAACUGACCAUUGGAGCAACGUUUGACUUGGCUCACCGGACACUGUCCGGUGCACACCGGACAGUCCGGUGCGCCAACUAUCCGUUGGCCCAAGCCACACGUCGCCCGCUGAUCGCGCUGCCGACCGUUGGCUCACCGGACAGUCCGGUGAAUUAUAGCCGUACGUCACCAAACUUCUCCCGAGAGCGGCCUGUUCACCGGAGUUCAGUCUGGCGCACCGGACACAGUCCGGUGUGCCAGACUGAGCAGAGACAUGGUUGUACAUAGCCAAGUCUUUUGCAUCUCUUUUCUUUUCUUCUUUUCUCUGUUUCUAACACUUAGACAAAUAUAUUAGUACACACAAACCAAUGUACUAAGUCUAGAAACAUACCUUCUCUUUGAUUUUCACUUCUUCAGCAUUUGGCAUAAUUGAGAUUGAUGUUGGACUCAUAAAUCAUCAAGUCAACUUUACUUGAUCUAGAUUGACAUUUCUGAGCUCCAACAUCCUGCAAAGGUCACAUAGAAUAUCUUCAAACUAGGAACAACCCAAACUAGAGAUCAAGGUGCACUAAGCUCUUUUGGGCUUCUUCCAGUUAUGGUUUUGACACAGCUUCUCCUUUCAGUGACCUUGUUCACUUCUUGAGCUUGAUCUUGAGCCUUAUGACUUAAGCCACAUAAUUGUAGAUGUUACCUCAUUGGUUGUAAGUCAUGUCCUUAUGUAGUGUUCACUGAUGCACCAUAACUUUUCUUAACUCGAUCAACCUUGAUUCCGCAAGUCUUCUUCUUCACCCCUGGCCUUGGGUUCCUGGUCUCCUUGACUUUCUCCCAUGCACUCGGUACCUCGAAGCUCUUCUUGCUUCCAUCCUUGGCUUGAUCGGUUGUCUCUGAGUUAUGCACCUCGAGUCACACUUAAGCAAUGCCCAUCCUUCUUGUGAUGUCCAUUAUCUAUAAAUAGUUCAGUCUUUGGACCAUCACACUUGUUCACUUGUGUUGGACCAUAUUAGCUUUACAUAAAGCACCUAUUCAACACUUAGCACACUUGUUAGUCCUUUAAUUGGGUUGUCAUCUAAACACCAAAACUCACAAGAGAGCUUUCACAAACCCACUCAAAUAAUAUUUAGAUUUGGGUUGUUUAGUUGUAAAAGUGAAGACCCAAGAUAAAAGUACCAAUUGUCCAAUGACAUUCGAUUAUUUUGCUCGGGGAGCACUUGGUGCGUCAUUUGGACUCGUAUCUUAGUCCAAUAGAUUGCAUUUUCCUUCAAUGUGUAGAAUCUGACAAAGUGCAUGUUCUAAAAUUGUAAAUCUAACUAAAUUAGAAAGCUUGUUACUAAUUUGAUGGUUUAUUAGGUGUAGCUCAUAAAACUAGAACCAACAUAGCCUGCACUCACAUGUCAUAGAAAAUAGGAGUAUCCAAGCACAAUUUGUGUGAGCAUCCAUGACACAAAUUAUAUAUAGACUGAUAUAAUUAAUUCCUUAAAAAAAGAAAAAGGAAAAAAUAAAGUGGUUUUUGAUACUGCAGGAUAUCUCCUUUAGAUAAUGAGGAGUACUAAAAAGAUGUUGCACUUUUGGGUGGCGAGAAUUCCUCAAUCACAUAUAUAUCAUCAUAUCUUAAUUAUUAAAUUAAUAUGGUUCCAUCAUCGUAUUAUUAAUUCAAUUUGAUAUAACCAUCAUAUCUUAAUUAUUAAAUUAAUCUGGAGCGUAGAGUAGAUUAUCAAACCAAAUCAACCCGACAUAACCAUCGAAUGUUCUGCUAUGCACAAUAAGCGCAUGGUCCGGGGCUUAAUCAUCUGGAAUAACCAUCAGAUCUUCUAGUAUCUUCUAGUAAGCAUAGUAAGCGUAUGGUUCACGGCUUCGUCAUCCGGAAUAACCAUCAGAUUUUCCAGUAUGCACUGAAAGCAAAUGAUCUGGGGUUUUGGUAGGUGAAACGUUGUUAGGUGAAUGCGGAUGCUGGCUGCUGUUGCACGUGCGAACUGCUGUGUGCAAGUUGCUGGAUCCUCCUCUAUUGUGCGUGGCUUGUGGCGGGCUUGGACUACUCUCAUGGCUUCGGCUCUUGGAACUGCUCGUCCGUCCUGCCCUGCGUGCAUCUCUCUCUCUCCUGGCUGGAGGCGUGCUGGCCUAGUGGCUUCUCUGUGUUUUUCUUUUUACGGCGGCUUCUCAUGUUGGCUAGGGUUGGCGUCAGGGGCCCGGUCAGCUAUGCUCCCUCAGCUUUUAUAGGCAACGCACCACAGCAGGAAGAGCAGAGAUAAAGAUUCCAAGUGCAUCCAUCUACAAACAAGGCUCUCGGUGGAAGGGAUAAAAGCAUGCAGCGCAAUUGCCGCUGCCCUGCUGCAGCCUUGACUCUCGUCAAUUGGAUGACCAAAAGAUGCCACCGUCUAAGCUCUUUUCUUUUGUGCAGCUGCCUGUUUGUCACCAACACAAAAUUGUAGGUGCCUGUUUGUCACCAAUUAUCCUCUACCACAAAGAACAACAAUAGUGAUGGAGGAUCCGAUCCGGCGCAGAUCCACUAUAAUGCAUAGUGGGUGAUGCAUGCCUAAUGGUGGUUGUUUAGUGUUAGUUUGGUCAUGUUGGAACUAAGCAAUUGUCGAUGCCAUACACUAGAAGUGAAGAAUGUUGUUAGCGUUAGGAGUAGACGUGUCAAUGGGGACCGAUACCCGUUAAGCCAUGGAGAAUUUCUCUAUAAGAUUUAGGGUAUGGGAAGAUUUUAAUUUCCAUUUGCUGAAGUUAGGUAUACAUCUAUUUGAACCAACAAUUACAGUUCAACAGAAACUCCUUCCGCUCUAGUUUGUUGUGUGUCCUACCUUUUUCCUAAACUAGUUUUUCCUAAAUUGACAUACUCUCUAGAAAAUCUAUCCAAAUUUUGAAGAUCAAAUCUGUUCCAUUGAAUUAUUCAUGACAUAUAUCUUGGUAUUGCUUUUUGUCAUCAGAAUAUAUUUUGAACUCAUUAAAAGUUAUACACGAUUUUUUUAGACAAUACUAAAGCAAGAUGUAAUUAAGAACACUUGAGGUGUGCGCCAAUUGCCACAUUUAGAUAUAAUCAUUCAAAUUUUGGUCAUCAUAUGUGUGUGCAUUGAUCUAUGCAUUCUAGGAUUUCAAUUAGUCUCAAUCUUGUAGUAUUUGUUCCUUCAUUGUCAAAUCACUUCUCAUCUAACUACUAUGCUUGUUUAACCAUCAGAACAUAACUACAACAAUAUCCAUUUAUAAAGGUUUUGAUAGCAAACUUUACAUAUUCAUAUCAUGUUAAGGUUGUCACAUGUGUAAAGGUGAAGAGAUCAUGCAUGUCAUUCCACGUAGAUGAAAAGAAUUCCUAUAUAAAAUGACACCUUUUCUUGUAGGUAGUGGAAAGUAUCUUUCCAGCAAAGACCAUAUAAUCCGAUAAAGUUGAUAACUAAAUGUCAAAAUAGAGUAGAUGCCAUAUCAUCUAUACCUUAUCUGUUGUUUGGAAAAAGACUAAAUCCAAAAAAUAUAUAUGAGAUCUCACUUGUAUAAAUAGCUCCCAAAUCAGUAGUUAACCAUCACCCAUAAUAUUUUGAGCAUUCAGAAACACACCUAGCGAAGCGCACUAGCAACGACCUAACAACAAUGGCUACCAAGAUAUUAUCCCUCUUUGCGCUUCUUGCCCUUUUUGUGAGCGCAACAAAUGCGUUCAUUAUUCCACAAUGCUCACUUGCUCCUAGUGCCAUUAUUCCACAGUUCCUCCCUCCAGUUACUUCAAUGGGCUUCGAACACCCAGCUGUGCAAGCCUACAGGCUACAACAAGCGCUUGCGGCGAGCGUCUUACAACAACCAAUUGCCCAAUUACAACAACAAUCCUUGGCACAUCUAACCAUACAAACCAUCGCAACGCAACAGCAACAACAAUUUCUACCAGCACUGAGCCAACUAGCUGUGGUGAACCCUGUCGCCUACUUGCAACAGCAGUUGCUUGCAUCCAACCCACUUGCUCUGGCAAACAUAGUUGCAUACCAACAACAACAACAAUUGCAACAGUUUCUACCAGCGCUCAGUCAACUAGCCAUGGUGAACCCUGCCGCCUACCUACAACAGCAACAACUGAUUUCAUCUAGCCCUCUCGCUGUGGUUAAUGCACCUACAUACCUGCAACAACAGUUGCUGCAACAGAUUGUACCAGCUCUGACUCAGCUAGCUGUGGCAAACCCUGCUGCCUACUUGCAACAGCUGCUUCCAUUCAACCAACUGACUGUGUCGAACUCUGCUGCGUACCUACAACAGCGACAACAGUUACUUAAUCCACUAGCGGUGGCUAACCCAUUGGUCGUUGCCUUCCUACAGCAGCAACAAUUGCUGCCAUACAACCAGUUCUCUUUGAUGAACCCUGCCUUGUUGUGGCAGCAACCCAUCGUUGGAGGUGCCAUCUUUUAGAUUACAUAUGAGAUGUACUCGAUAAUGGUGCCCUCAUAGCGGCAUGUGUUUCCUAGAAAUAAUCAAUAUAUUGAUUGAGAUUUAUCUCGAUAUAUUUCUAAACUAUGUUCAUCAUAUAAAUAAUUGAUAAUUGAAAACAUCAAAUCGUAAUUAUAAACUUAUGCUUGGUCGAUACAUAAACAAUAAAAUAUUACUUCAUCAUCCCAAUGAUGUCCUAGCCCAACCUCUUGAAUGUUAUAGUUUGGGUGUGUGCGGGUGUAUUUAUAAGAUAGAUGUGACUAUUUGCGCUUUUUGUUGAGUACAUACAUAUAUGGUAUGUUGAUUUGAUAUAGUGAUGGACACAUGCUUUGACCAUGAAUAUUCAAAUCGGUUGUACUUGCACGAAGCAAAACAUAAUAUUAGUUUAGGAGUAAACUUAUAACUGCGUCCAAACAUGCUCACACAAAUUCAUACCACAUUAUAAUUUUUUGGUAAGUAUUCCACACAUAUUUUUUUACAAGAACCCAAAUUUUGCACACAAAUGUACCAUUCUAGACAUGUAUAAUUCUUUGAAGCCCGUGAACUUAACAGCACCAAGGUCAUUAAAUCAAUUGGACCCUAUGAGUAACAAUUUCGAUAUCGCAAACACCAAAUUAUGGAACUUAUUGGCUGAAAAAAUUAUGAUCAAUGUAAAGUUUAAAUUAUUAUACCAAAAAUAUAUCAAAGAACUUUUUUGAGGAACGUAAAAAUUGCAUGGAAUGGGCUGCCUAACGUGCUAGCUCACUUUUAUGCUAGGUAGCAUUACUAAAGAUGGGAAUGUUGUUGAUGAACGCCAAACCCACUCAAAUAAUAUUUAUAUUUGGGUUGUUUAGUUGUAAAAGUGAAGAUCCAAGAUUAAAAUACCAAUUGGCCAAUGCCAUUCGAUUGUUUUGUUUAGAGAGCACUUGGUGCGUCAUUUGGACUCGUAUCUUAGUCCAAUAGAUUGCUUUUUAUUUCAAUGUGUAGAAUCCGACAAAGUGCAUGUUCUAAAAUUGUAAAUCUAACUAAAUUAGAAAGCUUGUUACUAAUUCGAUGGUUUAUUACGUGUAGCUCAUAAAACUAGAACCAACAUAGGCUGCACUCACAUGUCAUAGAAAAUAGGAGUAUCCAAGCACAAUUUGUGUGAGCAUCCAUGACACAAAUCAUAUAUAGACUGAUACAAUUAAUUCCUUCAAGAAUAAAAAAGGAAAAAAUAAAGUGUUUUUGGAUACUGCUGGAUAUCUCCUUUAGCUAAUCAUGAGUACUAAAAAGAUGUUGCACUUUUGGGUGGCGAGAAUUCCUCAAUCAUAACUUUGACAUAAUUUUAAUCCAGAUCACAUAUAUAUAUCAUCAUAUCUUAAUUAUUAAAUUAAUAUGGUAUGCAUCAUUGGAUUAUUAACUCAAUCCGGUAUAACCAUCGGAUCUUAAUUAUUAGAUUAAUCUGAAGCGUACAUUAGAUUAUCAAACCAAAUCAACCCGAUAUAACCAUCGAAUGUUCCUCUAUGCACCUUAAGCGCAUGGUCUCAGGCUUAAUCAUCCGGAAUAACCAUCUAAUCUUCUGGUAAGCAUAGUAAGUGUAUGGUUCACGGUUUCGUCAUUCGGAAUAACCAUCAGAUUUUCCAAUAUGCACUGAAAGUGUAUGAUCCGGGGUUUUGGCAGGCGAAACGUUGUUACGUGAUUGUGAAUGCUAGCUGCAGUUGCACGUGUGAUCUACUGUGUGGAAGCUGCUGGGUCCUCGUCUGUUGCGUGUGGCUUGUGGCGGGCUUGGACUGCUCUCAUGGCUUCGGUGCUUGGUGCUGCUCGUUCGUCCGGUCCUACGUGCAUCUCUCUCUCCUGGUUGGAGGCGUGGUGGCCUGGCGGUUUCUCUAUGUUUUUCUUUUUGCUACGGCUUCUCGUGUUGGCUUGGCUUGGCGUCAGGGUCCCGGUCAGCUAUGCUCCCUCAGCUUUUAUAGGUACGCAGCACAACAGGCAGAGCAGAGAUAAAGAUUCCAACGGCAUCCAUCUACAAACAAGGCUCUCGGCAGAAGGGAUAAAAGCAUGCAGCGCAAUUGUCGCUGCCUUGCUGGAGCCUUGACUCUCGUCAAUUGGUUGAUCAAAAGUGGCCACUGUCUAAGCUAUUUUCUUUGUGCACCUGUUUGUUUGUAUCGAACACAAAAUUGUAGGUGCAUGUUUGUCACCAAUUAUCCUCUACUACAAAGAACUACAAUAGUGAUGGAGGAUCCGAUCCGGCACAAAUCCACUAUAAUGCAUAGUGGGUGAUGCAUGCCUAAUGGUGGUUGUUUAGUAUUAGUUUGGGCAUGUUAAAACUAAGCAAUUGUCGAUGUCAUACACUAGAAGUGAAGAAUGUUGUUAGCGUUAGUAGUAGAGGUGUCAAAUGGGACCGAUACCCGUUCAGCCAAGGAGAAUUUCUCUAUUAGAUUUAGGGUAUGGGAAGAUUUUAGUUUCCAUUUGCUGAUUUUAGGCAUACAUCUAUUUGAUUCAACAGUUACAAAUCAACAUAUACUCCUUCCGCUCUAGUUUGUUGCAUGUCCUACCUUUUUCCUAAAUCAGUUUUUCCUAAAAUGACAUACUCUCUAGAAAAUCUAUCCAAAUUUUGAAGAUCAAAUAUGUCCCAUUGAAUUAUUCAUAACAUAUAUCUUGGUAUUGCUUUUUGUCAUCAGAAUAUAUUUUGAACUCAGUAAAAGUUAUACACGAUUCUUUUUAGACAAUACUAAAGCAAGUUGUAAUCAAGAACACUUGAGGUGUGCGCCAAUUGCCACAUUUAGAUAUAAUCAUUCUAAUUUUGGUCAUCCUAUGUGUGUGCAUUCAUCUAUGCAUUCUAGGAUUUCAAUUAGUCUCAAUCUUGUAGUAUUUGUUCCUUCAUUGUCAAAUCACUUCUCAUCUAACUACUAUGCUUGUUUAACCAUCAGAACAUAAGUACAACAAUAUCCAUUUAUAAAGGCUUUUAUAGCAAACUUUACAUAUCAUAUUAUGUUAAGGUUGUCACAUGUGUAAAGGUGAAGAGAUCAUGCAUUUCAUUCCACGUAGAUAAAAAGAGUUCCUAUAUAAGAAUGGCACAUUUUCUUGUAGGUAGUGGAAAGUAUCUUUCCAGCAAAUACCAUAUAAUCCGAUAAAGAUGAUAACUAAAUGUCGAAAUCGAGUAGAUGCCAUAUCAUCUAUAUCUUAUCUGUUGUUUGGAAAAAAAGACAAAAUCCAACAAAAAUAUUCGAGACCUCACCUAUAUAAAUAGCUCCCAUAUCAGUAGUUAAUCCAUCACCCAUAAUAUUUUGAGCAUUCAGAAACACACCAAGCGAAGCUCACUAGCAACGACCUAACAACAAUGGCUACCAAGAUAUUAGCCCUCCUUGCGCUUCUUGCCCUUUUUGUGAGCGCAACAAAUGCGUUCAUUAUUCCACAAUGCUCACUUGCUCCUAGUGCCAUUAUUCCACAGUUCCUCCCACCAGUUACUUCAAUGGGCUUCGAACACCUAGCUGUGCAAGCCUACAUGCUACAACAAGCGCUUGCGGCGAGCGUCUUACAACAACCAAUUGACCAAUUGCAACAACAAUCCUUGGCACAUCUAACCAUACAAACCAUCGCAACGCAACAGCAACAACAGUUCCUACCAGCACUGAGCCAACUAGCUGUGGUGAACCCUAUCGCCUACUUGCAAUAGCAGAUGCUUGCAUCCAACCCACUUGCUCUGGCAAAUGUAGCUACAUACCAACAACAACAAUUGCAACAGUUUCUACCAGCGCUUAGUCAACUAGCCAUGGUGAACCCUGCCGCCUACCUACAACAGCAACAACUGCUUUCAUCUAGCCCUCUCGCUAUGGUUAAUGCACCUACAUACCUGCAACAACAGUUGUUGCAACAGAUUGUACCAGCUCUGACUCAGCUAGCUGUGGCAAACCCUGCUGCCUACUUGCAACAGCUGCUUCCAUUCAACCAACUGACUGUGUCGAACUCUGCUGCGUACCUACAACAGCGACAACCAUUACUUAAUCCACUGGCAGUGGCUAAUCCAUUGGUCGUUGCCUUCCUACAGCAGCAACAAUUGCUGCCAUACAACCAGUUCUCUUUGAUGAACCCUGCCUUAUCGUGGCAGCAACCCAUCGUUGGAGGUGCCAUCUUUUAGAUUACAUAUGAAAUGUACUUGAUAAUGGUGCCCUCAUACCGGCAUGUGUUUCCUAGAAAUAAUCAAUAUAUUGAUUGAGAUUUAUCUGGAUAUAUUUUUGAACUAUGUUCAUCAUAUAAAUAAUUGAAAACAUCAAAUCGUAAUUAUAAACUCAUGGUUGGUCAAUACAUAGACAAUACAAUAUUACUUCAUCAUCCCAAUGAUGUCCUAGCCCAACCUCUUGAAUGUUACUGUUUGGGUGUGUGAGGGUGUAUUUAUAAGAUAGAUGUGACUAUUUGCGCUUUUUGUUGAGUACAUACAUAUAUGGUAUGUUGAUUUGAUAUAGUGAUGGACACAUGCUUUGACCAUGAAUAUUCCAAUCAGUUGUACUUGCAUGAAGCAAAACAUAAUAUAAGUUUAGGAGUAAACUUAUAAAUGUGUCCAAACAUGCUCACACAAAUUCAUACCACAUUAUAAUUAUUUGGUAAAUAUUCCACACAUAUAUUUUUUACAAGAACCCAAAUUUUGCCCACAAAUGUAGCAUUGUAGACAUGUAGAAUUCUUUGAAGCUCGUGAACUUAACAACACUGGGGUCAUUAAAUCAAUUGGACCCUAUGAGUAACAAUUUCGAUAUUGCAAACACCAAAUGUUUAAUAGAGGCAGCCACUCUAGGAUGUUGCCUCUAUUAAUUACUGAUAGAUGCAACCAUCCAACUCUAGCCACCUGUUGGCGUCUUUUUGGCCAAAUUCCGACAAAUCCUAGAGCCUACAAGCGGCGUGCAGUACCUUGGGUUCCUCUCUACGAGCUGACGGACUAUUCAGCCCUAGUGGUCGGACUACUAUCCACGGUUGGUAGGCAGACUAUUCAUAGCGAACUUGUCGGGGACCAUAAUUAGGGGUACCCUCAAGACGCCUAAUUCUCAGCUGGUAACCCCCAUCAGCAUAAAGCUGCAGAGGCCUGAUGGGUGCGAUUAAGUCAGGGAUCAGUCCAUACGAGUGACUCGAUCACGCUUCGCUCGAGCCUAGCCUCGGACAAGGGCAGCCGACCUCGAGGGACUUCCGUCCCGCCCGAGGCCCCCCCUUUUUAACGGCGGAGACAUCUCCGGCUCGCCCGAGGCCUUGGCUUCGCUAAGAAGCAACCCUGACUAAAUCGCCGCACCGACUGACCGAGUUGCAGGAGCAUUUAACGCAAAGGUGGCCUGACACCUCUAUCCUGACGCUCGCCCCCCGGCAGAGCCGAAGUGACCGUCGUCACUCCGCCGCUCCACUGACCGGUCUGACAGAAGGACAGCGCCGCCUGCGCCACUCCGGCUGCAGUGCCACUCGACAGAGUGAGUCUGACGGGCAGUCAUGCCUUGCCAAAAGGCUCCAUAGGAAGCUCCGCUCCGCCCGACCCAGGGCUCGGACUCGGGCUAAGCCCCGGAAGACGGCGAACUCCGCUCCGCCCGACCCAGGGCUCGGACUCGGGCUAAGCCCCGGAAGACGGCGAACUCCGCUCCGCCCGACCCAGGGCUCGGACUCGGGCUAAGCCCCGGAAGACGGCGAACUCCGCUCCGCCCGACCCAGGGCUCGGACUCGGGCUAAGCCCCGGAAGACGGCGAACUCCGCUCCGCCCGACCCAGGGCUCGGACUCGGGCUAAGCCCCGGAAGACGGCGAACUCCGCUCCGCCCGACCCAGGGCUCGGACUCGGGCUAAGACCCGGAAGACGACGAACUCCGCCUUGCCCGACCCCAGGGCUCGGACUCCGCUCUGGCCUCUGCCGAACGACCUCCGCCUCGCCCGACCCAGGGGCUCGGGCUCGGCCUCGGCAACAGAAGACAGACUCGACCUCAGCUUCGGAGGAACCCCCACGUCGCCCGGCCUCGGGCGCGGGUCCGCCACGUCAACAGGGAGCGCCAUCAUCACCCUACCCGAGCCGACUCGGGCCACGGAGAACAAGACCAACGUCCCAUCUGACUAGCUCCGCCAGACAGGCAAUGAUGGUGCUCUGCGUGCCCUGUGACGACGGCGGCUCUCAGCUCCCUUACGGAAGCAGGGGGACGUCAGCAAGGACUCGACCGCUCCAACAGCUGUCCCUCCGCCAAGCUCCGUUGCUCCUCCGAUAGCCACGACAUCACACCAGCAGGGCGCCAAGAUCUCUCCGGCUGCCACAUUGGCAUGUACUUAGGGCACUAGCUCUCCCUCCGCUAGACACGUAGCACUCCGCUACGCCCCCGUUGUACACCUGGAUCCUCUCCUUACGCCUAUAAAAGGAAGGACCAGGGCCUUCUUAGAGAAGGUUGGCCGCGCGGGACCGAGGACGGGACAGGCGCUCUCUUGGGGCCGCUCGCUUCCCUCACCCGCGUGGACGCUUGUAACCCCCCUACUGCAAGCGCACCCGACCUGGGCGCGGGACAAACACGAAGGCCGCGGGAUUUCCACCUCUCUCACGCCCGGCUCCGGCCACCUCGCCUCUCCCCCCUUCGCGCUCGCUCAUGCGGUCGACCCAUCUGGGCUGGGGCACGCAGCACACUCACUCAUCGGCUUAGGGACCCCCUGGUCUCGAAACGCCGACAGUUGGCGCGCCAGGUAGGGGCCUGCUGCGUGCUGACGAACAGCUUCCCGUCAAGCUCCAGAUGGGCAGUCUCCAGCAACCUCUCCGGCCCGGAACGGUGCUCCGUUUCGGGAGUCUUGAGUUCAUGUCCUUCGACGGCAGCUACGACAUGAUACUCCUUCCACCGCCACGCGAUAACGACAAUGGCGGCCGACAUCCCGCCCACCGGUGGCGGAACCGACGACAUCUUCCCCGCGCGGUGGAAGAACAACACUCAAGCUCACCCCGUCCUCUCCCCCGCCAACGGAGGAGGAGGCAGGGCAACCAAGGCCAAGCGGGAGGCCGCGCUUCGUCGGCUGUCGAGCGAAUCGACAUCCCCAGCGCCCCGACGGAAGGUACGCCGGGCGUCGACCUCGCGUUCGAGACGAAGGCGAGCACCGUCCCCCGCGACGCGCCAAUCCUGAGCAAAUGGACGACGCCGGCGCACUCGCGGAGAGCUUGCAGGACGUCGCCCUCAUACCUGAGAUGACGGUGCAACCAGUCCCCGAUGUGACUAUGUCGCUCCGCGUCGACCAAAAGGUACUGACUAAUUCCCAUCCUACGUUUUUUCGACUCGGCCUCAACCCGCCAAGCGAUCACGCUUUGGCGGGCGCUCUCAUUGAGGCGAGUGCAACCCCACUGGGGUUUCGUAUGCGGUCGCCUUGGGACCGAUUGACGGACGUCUCGACCUACGGGCCCUCUGGGUCCGAGGAAGAUGACGAUCCCAGCACCUGUUGGGAUUUCUCUGGAUUUGGCAACCCCAGUACCAUGCGGGACUUCAUGACCGCAUGUGACUACUGCCUCUCCGACUGUUCCAACGGAAGCCGCAGCCUUGACGACGAGGACUGCGGCCCAAGCCGCGAAUGUUUCCACGUCGAGCUAGGGGAUCCCUCCGAAGGCAACCAUCUUGGCAUGCCGGAGGACGGUGAUCUUCCCAGGCCGGUGCCCCGCGCUGACAUCCCGCGGGAGCUAGCUGUGGUCCCCAUUCCGGCGGGGUGUCGCGACCCACAGCUCGAGCAAGUCCGCGGGGCGUAGGCCAGGCUCGACGAGGGAGCAGGAGCGCUUGAGCCGAUCCGUCAGGACGUCGGGCAGGUAUGGGCGGGCCAACCCCCGGCCGGAGAAAUACGUCACCUGCCCCAGGGUCUCCAGCACCGCGUCGCCAACGAUGUCAGGGUCAGGCCACCGCCCGCAUCCAGCGGGGUUGGUCAGAACCUGGCAGCCGCAGCGAUGCUCCUCCGCGCGAUGCCGGAGCCAUCAACCACCGAGGGUCGGCGAAUCCAGGGAGAGCUCAAGAAUCUCCUGGAAGGCGCUGCGGCCCGACGGGCCGAGAGCACUGCCUCCCGAAGGAAAGGAUACCCCUCGGAACCUCACGCCGCGACUUCCCGAUUCAUGCGGGAAGCCUCGGUCUACACCGGGCGCACGCGCAACACCGCGCCUGCGGCCCCGGGCCACCUCGGCAACGAACACCAUCGUCGUGACCGUCGGGCCCACCUCGACGAUAGGGUGCGCCGAGGCUACCACCCCAGGCGUGGGGGACGCUAUGACAGCGGGGAGGAUCGGAGUCCCUCGCCCGAACCACCUGGUCCGCAGGUCUUCAGUCGGGCCAUCCGACGGGCGCCAUUCCCGACCCGGUUCCGACCCCCGACUACUAUCACGAAGUACUCGGGGGAAACGAGACCGGAACUGUGGCUCGCGGACUACCGCCUGGCCUGCCAACUGGGUGGAACGGACGACGACAACCUCAUCAUCUGUAACCUCCCCCUGUUCCUCUCCGACACCGCUCGCGCCUGGUUGGAGCACCUGCCUCCGGGGCAGAUCUCCAACUGGGACGACUUGGUCCAAGCCUUCGCCGGCAAUUUCCAGGGCACGUACGUGCGCCCCGGGAAUUCUUGGGACCUUCGGAGCUGCCGGCAACAGCCGGGAGAGUCGCUCCGGGACUACAUCCGGUGAUUCUCGAAGCAGCGCACCGAGCUGCCCAACAUCACCGACUCGGAUGUCAUCGGCGCGUUCCUCGCCGGCACCACCUGCCGUGACCUGGUGAGCAAGUUGGGUCGCAAGACCCCCACCAGGGCGAGCGAGCUGAUGGACAUCGCCACCAAGUUCGCCUCUGGCCAGGAGGCGGUUGAAGCUAUCUUCCGAAAGGACAAGCAGCCCCAGGGCCGCCCAUCGGAAGAUGCUCCCGAGGCAUCUACUCUGUGCGGCGCCAAGAAGAAGGGCAAGAAGAAGUCGCAAUCGAAACGCGACGCCGCCGACGCGGACCUUGUCGCCGCCGCCGAGUACAAGAACCCUCGGAAGCCCCCCGGAGGUGCUAACCUCUUCGACAAGAUGCUCAAGGAGCCGUGCCCCUAUCAUCAGGGGCCCGUUAAGCACACCCUCGAGGAGUGCGUCAUGCUUCGGUGCCACUUCCACAGGGCCGGGCCACCCGCAGAGGGUGGCAAGGCCCGCAACGACGACAAGAACGAAGAUCGCCAAGCAGGAGAGUUCCCCGAGGUCCGCGACUGCUUCAUGAUCUACGGUGGGCAUGCGGCGAAUGCCUCGGCUCGGCAUCGCAAGCAAGAGCGCCGGGGGGUCUGCUCGGUGAAGGUGGCGGCACCAGUCUACCUAGACUGGUCCGACAAGCCCAUCACCUUCGACCAGGCCGACCACCCCGACCACGUGCCGAGCCCAGGGAAAUACCCGCUCGUCGUCGACCCCAUCGUCGACAACGUCAGGCUCACCAAGGUCCUGAUGGAUGGGGGCAGCUGCCUCAACAUCAUCUACGCCGAGACCCUCAGGCUCCUGCGCGUCGAUCUGUCCUCCGUCCGAGCAGGCGCUGCGCCCUUCCACGGGAUCAUCCCUGGAAAGCGCGUCCAGCCCCUCGGACGACUCGACCUCCCCGUCUGCUUCGGAACGCCCUCCAACUUCCGAAGGGAGACCUUGACGUUCGAGGUGGUCGGGUUCCGAGGAACCUACCACACGGUACUGGGGAGGCCAUGCUACGCGAAGUUCAUGGCCGUCCCCAACUACACCUACCUGAAGCUCAAGAUGUCGGGCCCCAACGGGGUCAUCACCGUCGGCCCCACGUACAAACACGCGUUCGAAUGCGACGUGGAGUGCGUGGAGUACGCCGAGGCCCUCGCCGAGUCCGAGGCCCUCAUCGCCGACCUGGAGAACCUCUCCAAAGAGGUGCCAGAUGUGAAGCGUCAUGCCGGCAACUUCGAGCCAGCGGAGACGGUUAAGGCCGUCCCACUCGACCCCCAGUGGCGACACCUCCAAGCAGAUCCGGAUCGGUUCCAGGCUCGACCCCAAAUAGGAAGCAGUGCUCGUCGACUUUCUCCGCGCAAACACCGACGUCUUUGCGUGGAGUCCCUCGGACAUGCCCGGCAUACCGAGGGAUGUCGCCGAGCACUCGCUGGAUAUUCGGGCCGGAGCCCGACCCGUCAGGCAGCCUCUACGCCGAUUCGACGAGGAGAAGCGCAGAGUGAUAGGCGAGGAGAUCCACAAGCUAAUGGCAGCAGGGUUCAUCAAAGAGGUAUUCCAUCCCGAAUGGCUUGCCAACCCUGUGCUUGUGAGGAAGAAAGGGGGGAAAUGGCGGAUGUGUGUAGACUACACUGGUCUCAACAAAGCAUGUCCGAAGGUUCCCUACCCUCUACCUCGCAUCGAUCAAAUCAUGGAUUCCACUGCUGGGUGCGAAACCCUGUCCUUCCUCGAUGCCUACUCAGGGUAUCACCAAAUCCGGAUGAAAGAGUCCGACCAGCUCGCGACUUCUUUCAUCACGCCCUUCGGCAUGUACUGCUAUGUCACCAUGCCAUUCGGUUUGAGGAAUGCGGGCGCGACGUACCAGCGGUGCAUGAACCAUGUGUUCGGCGAACACAUCGGUCGCACAGUCGAGGCCUACGUCGAUGACAUCAUGGUCAAGACGAGGAAGGCUUCCGACCUCCUCUCCGACCUUGAAGUGACAUUCCGAUGUCUCAAGGCGAAAGGAGUCAAGCUCAAUCCUGAGAAGUGUGUCUUUGGGGUACCCCGGGGCAUGCUCCUGGGGUUCAUCGUCUCCGAACGAGGCAUCGAAGCCAACCCGGAGAAGAUCGCAGCCAUCACCAGCAUGGGGCCCAUCAAGGACUUAAAAGGCGUACAGAGGGUCAUGGGAUGUCUUGCGGCCCUGAGCCGCUUCAUCUCGCGCCUCGGCGAAAGAGGUCUGCCUCUGUACCGCCUCUUAAGGAAGGCCGAGAGUUUCGCUUGGACCCCUGAGGCCGAGGAAGCUCUCGGGAACCUAAAGGCGCUCCUUACAAAGGUGCCUAUCUUGGUGCCCCCAGCUGAUGGAGAAGCCCUCUUGGUCUACGUCGCCGCGACCACUCAGGUGGUUAGCGCCGCGAUUGUGGUCGAGAGGCAAGAAGAGGGGCAUGCAUUGCCCGUUCAGAGGCCAGUCUACUUCGUCAGCGAGGUAUUGUCCGAGACCAAGAUCCGCUACCCACAAGUUCAGAAGCUGAUGUACGCUGUGAUCCUGACGAGGCGGAAGCUACGACAUUACUUCGAGUCUCAUCCGGUAACUAUGGUGUCAUCCUUCCCCCUGGGGGAGAUCAUCCAGUGCCGGGAGGCCUCGGGCAGGAUCGCAAAGUGGGCGGUGGAAAUCAUGGGCGAAACAAUCUCGUUCGCCCCUCGGAAGGCCAUCAAAUCCCAGGUGCUGGCGGACUUCGUAGCUGAAUGGGUCGACACCCAGCUGCCGACGGCUCCGAUCAAACCGGAGCUCUGGACCAUGUUUUUCGAUGGGUCGCUGAUGAAGACGGGAGCCGGCGCGGGCCUGCUCUUCAUCUCGCCCCUCGGGAAGCACCUACGCUACGUGCUACGCCUCCAUUUCCCGUCGUCCAACAAUGUGGCCGAGUACGAGGCUCUGGUCAACGGGUUGCGGAUCGCCAUCGAGCUAGGGGUCAGACGCCUCGACGCCCGCGGUGACUCGCAGCUCGUCAUCGACCAAGUCAUGAAGAACUCCCACUGCCGCGACCCGAAGAUGGAGGCCUGCUGCGAUGAGGUUCGACGCCUGGAAGACAAGUUCUACGGGCUCGAGUUCAACCACAUCGCUCGGCGCUACAACGAGACUGCGGACGAGCUGGCUAAGAUAGCCUCGGGGCGAACAACGGUUCCCCGGACGUCUUCUCCCAGGAUCUGCAUCAACCCUCUGUCAAGAUCGACGACUCGCCCGAGCCCGAGGCACCCUCGGCUCAGCCCGAGGCACCCGCGGCUCAGCCCGAGGCGCCCGCGGUUCAGCCCGAGGCGCCCGCGGUUCAGCCCGAGGUACCCUCGGCCCCCGAGGGCGAGGCACUGGACGUCGAGGAGGAGCAGAGCGGGGUCGCGCCUGAUCGAAAUUUGCAGGCCCCGUACCUGCGAUAUCUCAGCCAGGGAGAGCUACCCCUCGACCAAGCCGAGGCUCGGCGGGUAGCUCGACGCGCCAAGUCGUUCGUCUUGCUGGGCGAUGAGGAGGAGCUCUAUCACCGGAGCCCCUCGGGCGUCCUCCAGCGAUGCAUCUCCAUCGCCGAAGGUCAGGAACUCCUGCAAGAAAUACACUCGGGGGCUUGCGGCCAUCAUGCAGCACCCCGAGCCCUUGUCGGGAAUGCUUUCCGGCAAGGCUUCUACUGGCCAACGGCGGUGGCUGACGCCACUAGAAUUGUCCGCACCUGCGAAGGGUGCCAAUUCUAUGCGAAGCAGACCCACCUGCCCGCUCAGGCUCUGCAGACGAUACCCAUCACCUGGCCCUUUACCGUGUGGGGUCUGGACCUCGCCGGCCCCUUGCAGAAGGCGCCCGGGGGCUACACGCACCUGCUGGUCGCCAUCGACAAAUUCUCCAAGUGGAUCGAGGUCCGACCCCUGAACAGCAUCAGGUCCGAGCAGGCGGUGGUGUUCUUCACCAACAUCAUCCAUCGCUUCGGAGUCCCAAACUCCAUCAUCACUAACAACGGUACCCAGUUCACCGGCAAAAAAUUCUUGGAUUUUUGCGAGGAUCACCACAUCCGGGUGGACUGGGCCGCCGUGGCUCAUCCCAUGUCGAAUGGGCAAGUGGAGCGUGCCAACGGCAUGAUUCUGCAAGGGCUCAAGCCCCGGAUUUACAACGACCUCAACAAGUUCGGCAAGCGAUGGAUGAAGGAACUCCCCUCGGUGAUCUGGAGCCUGAGGACAACGCCAAGCCGAGCCACGGGUUUCACGCCGUUCUUCCUGGUCUACGGGGCCGAGGCCAUCUUGCCCACUGACCUGGAAUACGGCUCCCCGAGGACGAGGGCCUACAACGAUCAAAGCAACCAAGCUAGCCGAGAAGACUCACUGGACCAGCUGGGAGAGGCUCGGGACAAGGCCUUACUACACUCGGCGCGGUACCAGCAGUCCCUGCGACGCUACCACGCCCGAGGGGUCCGGUCCCGAGACCUCCAGGUGGGCGAUCUGGUGCUUCGGCUGCGGCAAUACGCCCGAGGGAGGCACAAGCUCACGCCCCCUGGGAGGGGCCAUUCGUCAUCGCCAAAGUUCUGAAGCCCGGAACAUACAAGCUGGCCAACAAUCAAGGCGAGAUCUACGGCAACGCUUGGAACAUCAAACAGCUACGUCGCUUCUACCCUUAAGAUGUUUUCAAGUUGUUCAUAUACCUCGCACCCACACAAAGUUUAGUCAUCAAGGAAGGGUCGGCCUCGCCUCGGCAAAGCCCGACCCUCCCUCGGGGGCUAAAAGGGGGGAGACCCCCUCUACGUCGAAAUUUUCCUCGAAAAAGGGUCUCUUUUUAGCAGAAUUUCUUUCGUGCUUUUUGACUACUUCGAAAAGCGGAUCCUGGAAACGACGGAGUACACGUAAGCAGCCAAGGCUGACCGAGCCGAGGGACUCCUACGCCUCCGGGAUACAGAUACCUCACUCAUCACCUUCUGCGAUAAGUAACUCGCGCUCGGAUAAAGUAAUUUCGCGGACCGAACAAGUCUUCACGUUCGGAAGCUCUUCUGCCAAGGCGGUCCUUCGAGCCUUCUUGACUGAAUCGGUGACAGGGCCUCAUGGACGGGCGGAAGUACGCGUAAGCGGCAAGGCCGACCGAGCCGAGGGACUCCCACGCCUCUGGGAUACGGAUACCUCACUCAUCACCUUCCGCGAGAAGCAACUCUCGCCCACGCAAACAUCCCUGUUACCGACGGAAAGUCCAGAUGCUCGAAAUAAGAGGAAAGGAGACGCGGCUUUACAACGCAGCGAGGGUGUGUUUUCUGGCCUCGGCGGCCGCAGAAGGCACACGCUACAAGACAAUCUGAUCCUGCAGGCUCGGGUCUUCAUGCUGGAAGGGGGCUGUAGCACCCUCGGCAUCGACGACGCCUUCAGCGAGAUCCGACCCAGCCUCGGACGGCGAUGCGGUCCGGGGACUUCUCCGGGAAUCCGGCCCGAGCAGGCGGUUCAGCCGGUUACCCCUGGGGCCUCGGCCGACCAUCUUCCAAGGGCGCCAGCCCGGCCCGAGGCCUCGGCUGAUCGACUUCGGCGUCGGCCCCGCUGACGGACAACCCGGCUAGGCUCCGGCCAACCAGGUUCCCAUUUUCGAGCCAACUCCGCCUCUGUUCGAGCUGAUAUCGCUACCCCUGGCCUCGGCUCAUCGAAGAGCGGCCGAGGGGUCUCCUUAACUAAGCUAGAGGAGCCUCAGACAACAAGGCCGAUCGAGCCGAGGGACUCCUACGCCUCCGGGAUACGGAUACCUCACUCGUCACCUUGACACGGGGCGACUCAUGCUUGGUGAAGCGGUUCAGAUAAUCGACAGGCGAGACUUAGUGCUCGAAAACAAAGAAAAAAAAACACGGCUCCGUGCCGAAAUUACAUACAUGUUCAGGCCUCGACAGCCACAAUGAACAAAAACACUGGCAUUCGAAGUGCCAUUACAAACGGAACUCCGGUUCCCCCUCCACAGGUACGAACAACCCCACUCCGAGGGGGAAGGCCUGCGGAGCAAUGGAAGGCCGACGAACGGCGCGCCGUCACCUGCUCCAGCAGCGGCGACGACGACGACUUCUGCUCCGGGGGCCGAACAGCGGCAACGCUGACCUCAGGGUGGAUGCCGCUGCCAGGAGGCCCCCGCCCAUGCCAAAACUCGUGAGGCAAGGACGGGCAGAAGGCCGUAGAGUUGGAGGUCAGCCCGUGGUCGGCCCCGGCUAUCGCGCCGGUGGAAGAACCUCUUCCAGCUGCCGUGGCAGACGCCGGCGCCGCGAGCGGCUCCGAAGCCACUCGCGUCUGAAGACCGGGCACGCUGCAGCUGCCAGCGCCACGGACAACAACCGCUCCUUCCCCCCAUCACUGAGUGAAGGAGCGGGCCACCACCCGCGCAGGGGUCGACCCCAACUCGGCACACUCCCCUCCCCAGCCCUGGUGAUGAAAAUCCUUGAGGCUGAGGGAGGGGCAGAGGUCGCAGCCCGGCUCGCUUUCCCCCACCAUCAAGCUGGAGGUCACCAUCUUGGGUGACCGCCGGUGGAGGGGUGCAGCCGGGCUGCACGAUGAAAAUCCUUGAAGCCGAACGAUGGCUGAAAGGUACCAACUCCCACGGAGUUGCGUUCCUCCAGCAAGGAGGUGGAAAGACGGCGGAUACCCCCCAUCCGGGGGCUUGGAAGAUGGAAAGACACGGUGCAUAAGGGAGGAAGAAGACAUGGUUGCCUUCCAAAAGGGGUCGCCCUCCUUUUAAAGGCAACUCUCCCUACGUGUGCCCCCAAACGCCACGGGCUGAGUCUUCUCCAACACGCUCCAAGGCCCUCCCCUGCGGCGCGGGGGCUGGGUCCCGCAUGUCAUGCAAACCGACUCAGAGCAGAAGAAGCCAAAGCGCCGCGCGCGGUGUACGCGACCGCCCAGCGGUUCCAAGCGACCCCCCACUUUUGCCCAGACCAACGGGCGGAAGGGGCGGGCAGCCAUGCAGGCGGCAUGCAACCGCGCCAGGUGGACGCGCUUCUCCGACUUCUGACACGCCAGCUUGGAGGCCCAGGCCCGCGCGUCGCGCAACCGGCGCGCCGGAUGCUGCAUGCACGCAACUGCACCGCCACUUGCGCCACUGUCGCACCUCUUUGGUUGCGGAACCUAUGCCGCAACUCGAGGCGACCCAGCGCAUGACCCAGCAGCGCCAGCCUGGCGCGACGGUCAAUGCGGCCAAAAGUGGGCCGGCAGUAAUGACGGUGGCAGGCGGGCGGGAGCAGCAGUCACGUCGUCAGCCAGGCUCACGUCCCAUCUAAGGGCAGCCAGAGAGCCUCCUCCCACGGCGUGAAGACGGUGCGCCCGUGAUCCGUUCCUCGAACGGCUCACGCACGCGCAGCGGCCGCCCCGCCAACCACUCGCCCCGUCGCAUUAACUCCGCGGCGGGACAGGCGGCGCUCCUGGCAGGAGAAGCGGGCGACGCUUCGCCUUCGCCGUAAUAACCGCGUCAAAAAAGGUACGCCACGUCGUUCGAUUUCGUAUCCUUUUCCUUUUUUCCUCUUUCUCUAUCUCUUGCAACAGGGACCGGGAAAGGGGGAUACCCCGAAAAGGAUCCUUCUCUGUGAAGGAAUCGGGCUCCGAGCCCCCCCUACUGAUCAGGGGUUCGAAGACUGGCCCACCGAAGGGUUCAACAGUCGCCUCAGAUCGCGUGGGCCCGACACCCACUACUGGUAAGGGGUUCGAAGGCCGGCCCUCCGAAGGGCUCCAUGGCCGCCUCAGGCUACUCGGGCUCCGCGCCUAUUACUGAUCAGGGGUUCGAAGGCUGGCCCCCGAAGGGUUCACAGUCGCCUCAGACGCCGAGCGAGGGAUGACCAGGGGUACGUUCGAUACAUAACCGAGGCUCGGGCUGUGCUCCCGAGGUACCCUAGGACAUUUCUGAGACCAGCGGGAGCGAUCUUGUAACGGAAUCCCAUCGAAGGGAGGCAUCGAGCCCUCGGACCCCGUCGCCAGGGGACCGGGUCCGGCAGAUCACCCGCAGGUACUUUUGGGCGCGCCUCUAGGCCCCUAGCCGACCCCCAAUGUACGGGGCACGGACGUCCACUCGGAUUACCCGCUUGCAGCUCACCGGAGACACCAUGUUCGAUGCCCAUCGAGGGUAACAUGGCGCUCUCCCCCCCUCCUCCUUGCGGAAAGGCGACGUAGGGGCGUAUGUAAAAAGCUGAGUCUAUCCCUGAUCGCCCUCUCGCCCUGUGCGGAGGCUCGGGGGCUGCUCUCGCAAACCCGGCUCCGGCCAAACCGUUGACAGCGUCAACAUACCAGCCCGUGAGCUUGGGCCCCGACCGUGCACCCGGGCUACGGCCAGUUCGCAUGAGGGAACAACCAGACCAGCCGAAGCAUUACGCAAGGCAUUAAGACCUCGAAGGAGUGAAACCACUCCUCCGAGGCCUCGGGGGCUACACCCGGCGGGUGCGCUCGCGCGCACCCACCGGAACAAAAUGCAACCGAGAAAGGCUGGUCCCCUUGCAAAAAAGUGCGACGAAAGCCUCCAAGCGAGUGCUAACACUCCCUUAGAGGCUCGGGGGCUACUGUCGGGGACCAUAAUUAGGGGUACCCUCAAGACGCCUAAUUCUCAGCUGGUAACCCCCAUCAGCAUAAAGCUGCAGAGGCCUGAUGGGUGCGAUUAAGUCAGGGAUCAGUCCAUACGAGUGACUCGAUCAGGCUUCGCUCGAGCCUAGCCUCGGACAAGGGCAGCCGACCUCGAGGGACUUCUGUCCCGCCCGAGGCCCCCCUUUUUAACGGCGGACACAUCUCCAGCUCGCCCGAGGCCUUGGCUUCGCUAAGAAGCAACCCUGACUAAAUCGCCGCACCGACUGACCGAGUUGCAGGAGCAUUUAACGCAAAGGUGGCCUGACACCUCUAUCCUGACGCGCGCCCCCCGGCAGAGCCGAAGUGACCGCCGUCACUCCGCCGCUCCACUGACCGGUCUAACAGAAGGACAGCGCUGCCUGCGCCACUCCGGCUGCAGUGCCACUCGACAGAGUGAGUCUGACGGGCAGUCAGGCCUUGCCAAAAGGCUCCAUAGGAAGCUCCGCUCCGCCCGACCCAGGGCUCGGACUCGGGCUAGGCCCCGGAAGACGGCGAACUCCGCUCCGCCCGACCCAGGGCUCGGACUCGGGCUAAGCCCCGGAAGACGGCGAACUCCGCUCCGCCCGACCCAGGGCUCAGACUCGGGCUAAGCCCCGGAAGACGACGAACUCCGCUCCGCCCGACCCAGGGCUCGGAUUCGGGCUAAGCCCCGGAAGACGGCGAACUCCGCUCCGCCCGACCCAGGGCUCGGACUCGGGCUAAGACCCGGAAGACGACGAACUCCGCCUCGCCCGACCCCAGGGCUCGGACUCCGCUCUGGCCUCUGCCGAACGACCUCCGCCUCGCCCAACCCAGGGGCUCGGGCUCGGCCUCGGCAACAGAAGACACACUCGACCUCAGCUUCGGAGGAACCCCCACGUCGCCCGGCCUCGGGCGCGGGUCCGCCACGUCAACAGGGAGCGCCAUCAUCACCCUACCCGAGCCGACUCGGGCCACGGAGAACAAGACCAACGUCCCAUCUGACUAGCUCCGCCAGACAGGCAAUGAUGGUGCUCCGCGUGCCCUGUGACGACGGCGGCUCUCAGCUCCCUUACGGAAGCAGGGGGACGUCAGCAAGGACUCGACCGCUCCAACAGCUGUCCCUCCGCCAAGCUCCAUUGCUCCUCCGAUAGCCACGACAUCACACCAGCAGGGCGCCAAGAUCUCUCCGGCUGCCACAUUGGCAUGUACUUAGGGCACUAGCUCUCCCUCCGCUAGACACGUAGCACUCCGCUACGCCCCCGUUGUACACCUGGAUCCUCUCCUUACACCUAUAAAAGGAAGGACCAGGGCCUUCUUAGAGAAGGUUGGCCGCGCGGGACCGAGGACGGGACAGGCGCUCUCUUGGGGCCGCUCGCUUCCCUCACCUGCGUGGACGCUUGUAACCCCCCUACUGCAAGCGCACCCGACCUGGGCGCGGGACGAACACGAAGGCCGCGGGAUUUCCACCUCUCUCACGCCCGGCUCCGGCCACCUCGCCUCUCCCCCCUUCGCGCUCGCCCACGUGCUCGACCCAUCUAGGCUGGGGCACGCAGCACACUCACUCGUCGGCUUAGGGACCCCCUGGUCUCGAAACGCCGACAGAACUGUACCUAGAUCCCACCUCCCAAGAGUGACCCCAUCGGGAAGGAGGGAUUAUAGAGUUGCUUUGGGAUCGGCAGACCAUCUAAAGCACCUCAAGUCGAGGUAGAGACAAAGAUUGGAGGUUGGGAAGCUACAAUUAGGGAUAAACUAUGUCUAAUCUAAGAACAUGAAUGUAAAUAAGGUAAAACUAAUAUUUGGGUUCAAUUGAUUGUUGUUCCAAUCGGUCGUAACCCCUAAUAGGGGGAGGUCUGGACCCUUUCCUAGGUAGAGUCAAACAAAAUCCAUGAAUAAUCGAUUGAAUCUCGCAACAAAUCAUGACCCAAACCCAUUUUGAUCUAUUCCCAAAUUGACUGGGCUAACACACUGGACUGUCUUGUGCCGAACAGUCUAGGCUUCUACGCCGGACAAUCUAGAGGGUGCCAGUUUAGGUUCUCAACACAUGCCCCCUACCUUUUGGCGGUAUUUUGCGAGACAAAAGCACCUAGCACACCUUGUAUACUUCGACAAUUAAGACAUGCACAUGUUAAUUCAUAAUAUUCCGAAGUAAAGACUCGAUGUGAAAACAUCGACCUUCUAGGUGUCUUGCUAAACACUAGGAUAGUAUCGUUUUAACAAACAGUCAUUUAAUGCUUUAGUUAGCUUCUCACCUUGCAAAGUCUCCAAUAUAUAUGCAUUACCAGAAAUUACCUAUACAAUCCUAUAAGGCCCUUUCCAACUUGGGGACCAUUUGCCAAACUUUCGAUCUUUGGUCUUUAAUGGCAAGAAUGUCUUCCAUAACAUAUCUCUAACUUGAAAUUAUUUAGCCUUUACCUUCUUAUUGUAGGCCUUGGCAACUGCAAGUUUAUCCUUUUGUAUCUCCUUUAGAGCUAUCAACCUUUUACCAGUUACAUCAUCAAUAUUAUCCAUCAUUAGGUUAUGAUAUUCACCUAUUGUUAAGUCAUUUUAUUUUGCGAACAUAAUGGCAUUCAAACUUAUCUCCACCGGCAAAAUAACUUCCUAGUCGUAUAUAAGCUCGAAAGGAGUCACCUUAGUAGCAUUGUGCUUAGAUAUCCUAUGAGCCCAUAAAUCAUCGGAUAAAACCUUAUGUCAAUGUCUAGGAUAAUUAAAUAUCUUCUUUUUUAUAAUGCUAAUCAAUAUCUUAUUAUUUGACUCGGUCUGAGCAUAGUAUGGAGAUGAAUUGUGCAACUUAAUCUUAAAAGAUUUAACAAUCUCACGCACCUUUUUGUCGGACAUAAAAGAAGUUCCCUGGACCAUAGUCAAAGUUUGUGAAAUACCAAAUCUAUGAAUAACAUGUUCAGUUAUAAACUCAAUUACCUCCUAGUGUUUCAUAUUUUUCAAAACAAAGGCUUCAGUCCAUUUAGUGAAGUAGUUUGUGGCGACUAACACAAAUCGAUGACCUUUGAUGAAGAUGGAUGUAUUUCUCCCACAAAAUCUUGGCUCCAUCCUCUAAAGUGACAAGGCUUAAUGAUGGGAUGAAGUUUAGUAGCAGGAACUAUCUGUAAGUCACCGAACUUUUGACAUGCUUGACAUCCUUUGUAAUACUUAAAAUAAUCAGUAAUCAUGUUGGGCUAAUAAAGCCCCAACCUUCUCAAAAAUUAUUUAUUUUUAGAGCCAAUUGAUGAGUACCACAAAUGUCUUCAUGUACUUCGACCAUAGCUAAUAUAGCAUCAUCAGAGCCUAAGCACUUAAGCAUGAUAUCACUAGGAGUUAGACGAUAAAGUUUAUUAUUAAUGAGAACAUAUUAUAAAAGUUAUCCAUCAAAAACUCCUAUUUGUUCUAAUACCCGGAUCACGUAAGCAUGUGAUCAACGACAUCCUCAAAUCAAUCACAUCGGCUAUGUUGCCAACCGAAUUGGUCAAAGACAUCAUUGUGAUGGUUCUAUCAAUGCCUAACAGUCUGGUGGCCUAUUUCGGACAGUCCUACACACGAGGUCUUGGAGCACUAACAACCCCGAACAUCGUAUCUUUAGAAAUAUGAAAUUUUCUUUUGUUUAUCUAAUAUCCUGAAGCCACUUGGGCCAAGGAAUUAGCUCCAUAAUUCUCAGUUCUAAAUAUAUGACGAACAUCAAAAUCGUCAAAUAAAUAGAUUAUGUCCCUGCACUUUUCGAGAUAACUAUUUAAGGUACCAUCUAAACAUUGAUAUUCUCCCGAAACUUGUUAAACUACUAACUGAGAAUUACCCAAAACUUUCAUAUGUCUUACUCCCAUAUAUUUUAAUAACUUCAAGCCGAAUAACAAAGCCUCGUAUUCGAUCUAGUUAUUAGUGCAAUGAAACUCCAAUCGGCUAGAAAAAUCAAAGGCGACACCUUUUGGUGAAAUAAACACUAUGUCUAUGCCUCGUCCUUGUUUGCAAACUGAUCCAUCAAAUUAAAGUGUACAAGGAGUAAUAAAAAUAUAUCUAGCUCACCAAAAUCAUCAAUUUGAUGUUUUGCAAUGAAACCAGCUACCACUUAGCCUUUCAUAGCUUUUAAAGACUCAUAGGCCAAGCCAUAUUCUAUCAGUGCAAAUGCCCACUUGCUAAUUCUACCACUCAUAAUAGGAUUAUGCAACAUACAUUUAAUUACAUCAGUUUGGCAAGCAACAACACAAGAGCUAGUUAAUAGAUAAUGUAUAAGAUUGAUACAUGCAUAAAAUAAGCAUAAACACAAUCUCUUAAUAAAAGUAUACCUUGUUUUAGCGUCCACAAGUUGAUGACUCAGAUAUGCUAUAACAUACUCUUUUCCUUCAGUCUCCUGAGUCAAAACAACGCCAAUAACUUCAUUUUUGGUUGCUACAUAUAACCUGAAAGGAUCUCCACUCUUCGGUGCCCUAAGUACCGGGGCCGAAGGCAAGUAUUAUCUAAUUUGAUCAAAAGUGUGAUGUUUUCCCCCAAGUCAAAUCGGAAUUGUUCCUAAGCCGAAGAAUGGGAUAAAGGCAUCAACCUUUCCUAGGUGGUUAAAAAUAAACCUUCGUAAAUAAUUUACUUUGCCGAGAAACUUCUGCAUCUCAAACUUACAAGUAGAGGCUCCCACAUUCUGAAUAGUCUUUAUUCGGUCGGGGUCUACUUCUAUACCAUGCUCAUGAAUUAUAAAGCCUAAAAACUUUUCGGUCGACACACCAAAAGCACAUUUCAGUGGAUCCAUUUUUAAACCGUAUUGACGCGUUUUUUCAAAGUCCAUGUGCAAAUAGACCAGAUGAGAAUUGAACUCAAUUGAUUUGACUGUCAUCAAUGUAGACUUCCACAAUGCUUUCUAGCAUCUCAUGAAAGAUUAAAUUCAUAGUUUAAUAAGUAGUGCUUGUAUUCUUUUGCCCGAAAGUCUUUACAACCCAUUUGAAUAAACCAAUGAAGCAUGUACAUACAAAAAUCGUUUUGGGUGUAUCUUCUUCGGCUAUAAAGAUGAAUUAAAAACAAAAAAAAAGAUGAGCUAAACAAAGUAUAUUAUAUGCUAAACGAUAUCAUAGUAAAAAUUAAUAAUAACUGUGAUAUUAUUGAACAAGACGAGCUAGCCAAAUUUGACAUAAAAGGUCAAAUAAAUUAUAAAUUGGAACCGUGGUGUACUAAAUUAAUCGUAUACUGUCAUUUGCAUAAGUUACCAAAUGAAAAAAAAACUAUGUGCGGAGAGACCAUCGAAUAAGAACAAAAGGGAGAAGCAUAGUUUAGCGAUGUAAGUGGUGACAUCAAUGGUAGUUGUCGGUUCAUUUUUAGCUCACUCGCCUUGCUUCAAAAUUGGGAUUAGUUCAAUCUAUCAAAUUAGUUAUGAUUACGACUGGACAAAAUAAUGACCCGCUGCUGGAAGCAAAAGUUGACCAAAGCAUAAUCAAUAGUACGCACGGAUUAAUCAACUGGCCAUGAUAUAUUUAGAUAGACGUAAUGUACAUUCAUUUGUAUUAAUUAAAAACAUGGUCAAAUAUGGUUAACUACUACUAAUUAAUAGGAGCAGUUAGCCUGCAUGCAUCAGCAUCACAGAAUAGAUUUAUACUCACUGUACGCUGCAGGAAGGUACAUUUUUAUUUCCAGGCUCGCAUUAUUGCAGCUAAAGGACGUGCCAUCGGUUUGGAAUUGAAGAUUAAAAUCAACACUACGCGUGACCGGAGAGAGAACAGCGAUGGCACCAUAUGAUGCAACUCUGUUUCCGAAGCUUGUUCUUAUCAGCAUUCGGCAACCUUGGUUUGUUUUCGUAUGGUGAAGAGUAGUUAAACUAUCGUCCUUAGAAACUUUUUCCAGAGGAAGGAUAUUUUUUGUGUUUAGAUAUGAGACUUAGGGCUGAUUUAGUGACCAGCGAAUUGAAGCGGAUCCCUAUGAGGAAUCCCCUUCAAUUCUUUGGUCACCAAACCACCUUAUGUACUGUAACGUUUGGCUCUAGUCCACUUGGAACAGUUUUGUUGUUUAUAUGCUCAAACAAUGAUCAUGACCAGACCAUAGAGGCGAGUAUUUGAGACACGAGUUUGGCGAUCAUCUAAAACAAUGUGGAAUUGUUCCAUAUUUAACUCCACCCGCUACGCCUUAAUAGAAUGGGGUCUAUGAGCAAAGGAAUCGUAUUCUGUUGGAUAUGGUUCAGCGAAUGAUGAGCCAAGCUAAUAUUCCAUUGUCCUUCUAGGAAUAUGCCAUAUAAAUUGUUGUGUUUAUAAUGCACAUAGUUCUAGCUAAAUCAGUGGACAAGGCUCCGUAUGAGAUACGAAUUAGGGAAUAUUAUGGACUAUCUUAUCUUAAAAUAUGGGGUUGUGAAACUUAUGUGAUAUAGUUGACAUCUCAUAAUCUCUAUCCUAAAUAUGAUAAGUGCUUCUUUGUAGGGUAUCCUAGGGAAACAAAGGAUAUUAUUUUUAAAACCGGGAAUAAGGAAGUGUGUUUGUUGUGCUUAGAGUGGUGUAUUUGGAGAAAGGGUUUCUCUCAAAAGGAAUUAGUGAGAGUAGGGUGUAACUUGAGUAAUUUGAGAAAUAGUAAAAAGGUUUCAAUCCCUAUUUAUCCUCCAUAGGAUGUACAAAAUGUUGUACAACCAAUUAUUGAGGUAUCACUUUAACAACAACAACCCAAUUAAUAACUAAAAAUGCUAAUAUUCAGUCAGUCCAUUAUAAAGCCUUCGUAUGCAUUGGUUUUUAGUAUCACUUGCUACCCUUUGCUAUUUUUCUACAAAAAAUUAUGUUGCAUCCAAUGCAACCAUUGCUUAAUUAGACGGAGGAGGUGAAGAACAGGAGUACAUCAUGGAGUUCCAAGAGUACAACAACUAUUAGGCAGGUGGACCACUAGUCAGUUUGUCUGUGGAGCUUUGUUAUUAGUUAUAUACAUUAAUCAUUAAGUUUAAUUCGCUUUCGCUAGGCUAUGGUUUAGGGUUUAGGGUUCUAGGAGUAUCAUUGUGUUGAUACUUUCACUAAUGAUGUUGUUGUGUACAUGGAAUCGAUCCUGGCACAUGUAUGGUCGUAUUCAGUUGUCUUCUUAAAAUUGGGUGUGACAUACCAUAAGCUUGCACCUUCUCAAGAACGAUUUAAAUAAAUCUCGUAGAAAACCCAAGAUGUCGAUGUUGAAGCAACCACGACAAGAGAUUUGAAAUUUGGUGAAGCCAACCCCAAAUUUUAUAAGCAUGACUCUAAAAAAUAGUAGUGAGUGUCUGUCUCGCACAACCCUAUCUGUCCCUCUAGAACCCAAGUAAUUCUUGCCCUAUACAAGAAUCUAGUAUAACAGAACUAUAUAUCUAGCUUAAUCAUUUUGAGCGCUUCAAAUUGCUCCUUACAAGUUACAAGUGUUCUAUGAGAUCUUUGUGUCAGCUUGGUUGAUGCUAUGACGGUAUGACCUCUACCUCUUGUUUAUGUAGUCCCCUCCAAAAUUCUUAUACAUGCAAGUUGGACUACUCCUGGUAGGAUUCUAUACUCGGGUUCCAAUAGAAAUAGAGGUUAUAAUAGCACACCCCUAUUAAGUCCUAUUACAUGUAGGAUUUGUAUGUCACCCUACAACAGUUGUUUAUUACUCCCUCGAUUCUUUAUUUGACGCGUUUUAGUUCAAAAAUAAACUAGCGGGCGACAAAUAUUCGAGAACGGAGGUCGUGCUAUUCAAGAUUAACAGUAAUUAAGGAGUUGUACUCUCCAAUGAGCUUCUUUUAAUUUGAAUGGAGCUCUAUUUUAUAAACACUAUUUUAUAAACUUUUAUAAGAAAAAUAUAGAACACACUAUAAAUUGACUCAAAUAUACUACACCUCAGAUUAGUGCUAUAUCCUUGUUUUCUAUAUCAUUCUCGACUUUUUCUUUCAUAAUAAUGUAAUUUAAUUUCUAAAAUACCAUGAUUUAUUGCUUAACCGUUGGAGCUCAAUUCGUCUUUAGUGUUCUAAACACUUUAAAUAAUGUAGCUUGUUGGAUAUGCUUUAGAUAGUCAAACAAGCUAGGACAAAAAAAAUUUGGUGUGUUAUGAUAUGAAGACAAAUAGCAAACCACAGAAGUGACAAUUUACUUGUACUAGUUGGUGCUAUAUGAGUGUUGUCUAAAAUAAUCCUAAAAUCCAGGCACCUAAAAUAUAGCGCAUUAAUUCGAGAUGAUAAUGCAUGUGACGAAGCUCUCCGACCUGCUCUCGACUUAUUGGCAAGUCUAUGAGUGGUUACACCGACAUGGAACUACUUAGGAAAUGUUUGAAUGCACUAGCUAGAAUUAGUAGUUAGCUGCUAAAAUUAGCCGAAACAUACAAAUAGUCUAGAUAAUAGUUCAACUAUUAUUAUAUUUUUAACAAAAUAACUAAUAACUAGCUAGCUUAAAGCUAUAGUGUAUUAUUCAAACACCCGCUUAAAAAACUCGUGCUGAUUACGUCCAUUCAAGCUUGUGAUUGUGCCCUCAUCCAUUCAGCAAACAGGGAAGUAAUUUUAUACACGUGAAAAACGUGGAGAGCAACAGCUAGCACGUCGUGUCUACUUCUCAAGUUGCCUGCACAGAAGUAGUGUGACGACUAUGGUACCCAGUAGUCAGCUUUCCGUGUGGUAACGAGUCUAGCGUCGUACCUCAACAUCACUCCUCCUGUGAACACGAGUUCAUGGCACGUCUCUGUCGGCUUUUUCAGAUGGUGAUGCAUGUCGCCAUUUUUUAUUAUAAGAUACUGUGGAUUUGUUAGAGAAUUAAAGUAUCUUAGGUUUAGUUCAAAUUAUAAAUAAAGCACAAAGAUUCAUUUUUGCAUUCUAUGAAAACAUAUAAUUAAUAAAGAAUCCAAAUUAUACUUGUUUUGUACCAUAAACAUUUCUAUUUUCUGCGCCACAGAUUAUUAUUGGGGUCACGACGUGUCACUGCGCGCAUUAAAAAAAACCACCACACACGUAGACAUGGCAAUUUUGUUACUCGCACAGUGUAUAUACUAAUAUACACACUUCAGUAGCACGGAGAACUGGAAAUUACAGUCUACCCCAAGGCCCAAGUCAUAAUCACAUGUUUUUCAUGUGCUUUUCAUGUUGAACACACUAGCGGGAAAAAAAAGCAUCGACCCCGUGCGUAUGGGGCACACGGUCGUCUAUGUCAACCGUACAUGUUUUUUGUAUUGUGGAGGGGGACGACAUAUGCAUGGAUGUCGAAACAAGGAGAAACGAGAUAUAUAAUGAUUGGUCUUCCAAGUUUCCGAUAGCUCCACACGCUACAGAUCCAUCUAAACCAAAUUUAGAUCUAAAAUUUUUUAGCCAAAACACCAUCUAACUCCAUCAGAUCCACUGGUGAAUCUAUACUCCACCAAAUUUCUAGAUCUGCCCUUAGAUUUAUUAAAUUAUCGUAUCACCUUAAAGUUCGCUCCACCAAAUUCAACUUUUGAUAGAGUUGGGAAAAAUAUCCACUAUGCCACUAUUAUACCAACUUCAAAUUCAACUUUAAUGGAGUUGGGAAAUUAUCCACUAUGCCACUAUUAGACCAGCUCCAACAGCGCUCCGUAUUUCUGUAUGGAUCCCCAUUUUACACGCCUUAAGCUACUAUUGCGCCCUUCAGCGACCCAAACCACCACACAAAAUUAUCAUGUUGUCCCGCCCUCCCCCCCCCCCCCCCCCCCCCCCCCGCUUUUUAUGGUGUCUCUCUCCACUCCGCAGAAGACUAGAAAAACAUGGAUUUUAAACCUGGCAGCCGUGAGACCCAACUCUCAUUGAGAAGGAUGGAGAUAUGGAUGGGGAACCUGCUGGAUGACCCGGUUUAUGCAGACCAUAUGUUGGAGCUGGUCUUAGCAAAUAUAUGAUGUUAUUGACUUUUCCACCAAAACUUCAACCACCCGCCUUAUUCAAAAUAUUUAUUCAAAAAUGUAAAAUUUUAAGUCACAUUCAAAUGACUUUUUGCCUCUCAACGGGCGGAGAAUCCCCACCUGAAUUUCAUUGAUUCUGGCAUGACUAAGUCAUGCCUCAACGACCUCGUUUUUAAGGGAAACGAGGCAAACCCUUACAUAAUGUUGUGACAGAUCACAGAUUACAGACAACUACAAGCACAAAUGCACAAUGCAGCAAGGACUUCAGCAAUAGAGAGGAAACAAAGAGAGUAAAUACAACAGGACACAUGUUAAAGCGAUCGAAACGGCGAUUGUCGUACAACAACCAGCAACCUCCACUAAGAGCAACAUGCUCGUCAGCACACCGAAGCCAUUGCGCAUCUAGACAUCCCUCGUAGCUAAGCGCAUCUCGCUGCCUUGUGGCCAUCUGCCAUGCAAACGCGGACGGGGACUAAAGGAGGCAGGAGGCACGCUGACCACAAUAUACUACAAAUGACGACCUCCAUUCGAGCAAACAGAAUCACUCGACAGCGCAUCCGGGCUCCGCUUGCCACCAUCCAACGCCAUGCGAGAGGGGAAAUCCUCGUGGGGGAAUGGCGGUAGAUGCGGAUAUUCACUGACCCAGCAUAAGAUUUUCGUGUUCCAGUUAACAAGGAGAGCACUGACGGAGCAGAGGCGCCAAAGGGAGGCACCCGUUGCAUCACGACAAGGGUGAAACACCAGUGCCAAGCACAAGGGCACAAGAAACCUGCAAGAACAUGAUGACGACCAAAUCACCGUCGCAGCAUGAGUCGUCCAUGACGACACCUAGGGGUUGGAGGAAAGGUGAGGAGGCUCCCUGACGAUGCCUCCAAGGAGGUCAACGGCGCCGAGGGCAUCGACGUCGUUUGCAUAGACUAUACAUUUUGCAUGGCUUUCGCUUGGGAUCUCAGUGUUGCCAUGUGUUUGUGAAUAGAGGUAGCAUAAAAAAUAGUUUGUUCUUGCUUUUGUACGACUCUUUUCCUUCCAUGUGACCAAAUAUUGCAGGAAUGUGCCACACCUUAGGAUGGCAUCGGAUAAGAUACCUAAUUAGCACACAAGGCUAUACACAUAUUCACCAAAAAAAUACCUCAUUCCCGUACCUAUCAUGGUACAAAUUACCAUAUACUCAUACCCACUAACAUUUCAGUAGACAUGAUCAUUUUAAUUUCAAAAGUAAAUAUCAAAUAUAAAAUAUUAAAGUCCAACACCUCAUCAGUAAUGAAAGAUACUAAAAUAUCAUAUUAUCUUUGUGUUUUUAUCGAACCGAGCAUAAUUUUAUUACAAGUUCAAUGUUUUAUUUUAUGUGGAACACAUUUAAUAAUUCGGACACACAUGAUAUAGGUUAACGAGUAUAGUAAAUGACCCAAUAAAAUAUAUAUGUUAGCAGAAACAGCAUAAAAAAUGAAGUAGAUUAACCAACAAAACACAGAGCACGACACACAGAUUUACAUGAAAAAUCCUUCAAUGUGAAGGGAAAAACCACGGACACCAGUCAGGUGAAACCUUCACUAUAUAUUAAGUGUUUACAGAACACCGUUCACUAUAGAAUUUGAAUCACAGACUCAACACUAUGGACAUCAAAAUACCUCAUAUCAUAUCGAAUGGGGUUUUGACCCAUCGGACCUUGGAUAGCCAUUAUUGCCAUUUCUAGCCACACCUGCGCCUGCCGAGGCCCCGCCCGGCAAUGGACACCUCAUGCGCGCCCGCCCUUGCCGGCCCCGUGGUCGCUGGAGGGAAGAGAAAAGCACGAGUGGCAUAUAUGGGGCCUAGCUAGAUCUAGAUGAAAGUGAGCUGUUGCAAACAGUUUGAUAAAUUCCAACUCCAAUAAUGAACCUUGAUCGCGUUGAAUCCAAGUGGAUUCUGACAGCACUGUAUAUAUAUCUACACACAAGCAGGCUUUUAAUUGCCCAACACCCCGCCAACUACCCCCAAGUUUGAUCGAGCUCUCUCCACGCACCACCAGCAUACUUGCAAUGGCUUUCAUCGUGCUCCUUGCUGCUGCAGCAGCGGCAAUAGCCUUGGUUCUCCACCACCUCCUCAGUGCCCAAAAAAAGCGCAGCAGCAGGUCUGCAGGCUCGACGUCCUACAGCCUACCGCCCGGCGACCUCGGCGUCCCCGUCAUCGGCCAGACCUUCUCCCUCCUCCACGCGCUGCGCAGCAACACGGACGACCAGUGGUUCAGGGCGCGGAUCAAGAGGUACGGCCCGGUGUCCAAGAUGUCGGUGCUGGGCUCGCCGACGGUGCUGCUGGCCGGGACGGAGGCCAACCACUUCAUAUUCACCAACCAGGGCCUCAUCCUCACGCAGACGCGCGCGCUCCGCUCCCUCCUCCGCCGCUCCAUCCUCACGCUCACCGGCGACGACCUGAAGCAGGUGCGCAGCGCGCUGCAGGGCUACUUGCGGCCUGAGAUGGUCCGGGGGUACGUGGGGAAGAUGGACGCCGAGGUCAGGAGGCAGCUCAAGCUCAACUGGGUUGGUCGCAGCACUGUCAACGUACGUACCUACCUGUGAUUAUCAUAAACAGCUGUGUGUUUUAGUUUCGUUGUUCUAUCUAUAUUGUCGUCUAUCGUUGUGAGCUUUGACCAACAAUUUACUAAAAUUCUCCAGAUAGAUUAACAACGCAAAUUAAGUUGAUGUAUAUAUUCAUCAUGCAAAGCAAUUAGUUAUCUCUAUCAAGUUCUACAUCUUCAUAGACAUUGUUAGUCAAAUACUAUAGCCUUGUAAAAAUGUAUUGGUAUACCAUAUAUAACCAACCGAUCGACGACUUAAUUGAAAUUAUAAACGUGUGUUCUUGCUGGCCAUAUAUGUAGGUCCUGCCGAUGGCGAGGAGCCUUACACUAGGGGUCAUCUGCUCCGUCGUCUUCGGCGAGGAAGCAGCCGCCAUAGUAGACGCCCUAGCUACCGACUUCCAGCAGCUAGGUGACGCGAUCCUGUCGUUCCCAGUCAACAUCCCCUUCACCAGGUUCGGCAAGGGCAUGCGGUCGAGCGCCAAGAUCAGGGAGGCCAUCACGAAGUUCGCCAGGAAGAAGGAGGAGGAGUACUCCUUGCUGCUGUCGCAGGACGAAGGGUGCACCACCGCCACUGCUACUGCUACGACUUCAGCCGCCACCGACUUCGUCACCUACAUGCUCCUCCUGCGCUCCAGGGGCGCGCACUCCCUCUCGCUGGCGGACAUCGUCGACAACGUGAUGGGCAUCGUCAUCGGCGCGCACGGCACCACCUCGACGCUCAUCACCUUCAUGGUGCGCCACCUCGCCAACGAGCCAGACGUCCUCGCCAAGAUCACCCAAGGUACUGUGCGCGCGUCAGUGUGUGUGUGUCCACACUCCACAGUAGCUAGCGCCUAGCUACUACAUACACUUUUGGUCUCCUUUUCUGUAUAUCGAAGUGAACAUAUAUAUACAUAACAUCAUAUACUGGCAGAACAAGAUGAGAUCGCUGGUAGAAACGGAAGAGACGGUGCUCUAACAUGGGAAGACGUUUCGAGCAUGAAGUACACAUGGAGGGCGGCGCUGGAGACGCUGCGCACGGUGCCGCCGGUGUUCGGGAGCUUCAGGACUGCCACCAAGGACAUCGAAUACCAGGGCUACCUCAUCCCCAAGGGCUGGAAAGUAGGCAUCUUUUUCUUUCCUGCACAUAUAUAUAUGUUUUCAUCAGAACACAAUUGAUCAAGAAAUUAAAGCUUUAAUUUUGCUUCGCAACAUGCAAUUCGUGGCAGGUCUUCGCAUCCCAAAGCAUCACGCACAUGGAUCCCAGGUUCUUCGCCGAACCCACCAAGUUCGAUCCGUCCCGCUUCGAGAAGCGCUCGUCGAUCCCGCCGUACAGCUUCCUGCCGUUCGGGGGAGGGCCAAGGAUGUGCCCUGGAACCGAGUUCUCCAGGGUGGAAACCAUGGUGGCCAUGCACUAUCUAGUGACGCGGUUCAGGUGGAAGCUGCGCUUCGAAGACGAAGCCUACAACAAGGAUCCCAAACCUACGCCUGUUUUCGGAUGUCCAGUGGAACUGGAGCUGAGAAAAACCCCUGCAAUAUAAUAGCUGAUGGUGCUUGAAAUGAUGCUUUAAUAUUGUACGCCCAUUGAUUGUAAAAUGUACAGGCUGCUUGUUUGGCUGUGGCCAAACCAUUGUUGUCCGUCCAGCAAUACUUGGCCUAAGAAGAGUGCAUGGAUAUGUUUGGGUGUGCAGUUUUCAUGUGUAGAUGUAUAUACACUGAAGAAGUAGAUAUAUAUAUAGGUGUCACUUGUAAUUAGUUUAGGUUUCUAUAUAUGUUGUGAUUGUGUAAUGUCAAUGGCAUAAUAUUAGGCAGAUCAUCAAAACUUAUUCCCUGCAGCUUUAUUGAGGUAAACCAUAGUUAUUACCUUCCUUUGCUGUAUAUAUAUUUUUACUUUUUCUAUAACAAAUUAAUAGACUGGUUGUCUUUGAGCUAUGUGGUUUCUGACCAUCAAACGCCUCCGGAGCUAAUCAGACUACUACAGAACAAGUAAUCGCUGAUGGGUCGAAACCCUACAUCACUAUUGGAAUUGGGUCCGGCAGUGGGCAAUCAGCAGUGAUGGGAUCACCACUGCCGGUUUUGGAUCCGCACAACAGUAAAAUAGGGAAUUUCCGAGGGUCUAAACCGUCGGAAAUAAGCCAUAAACUUCGGACAUAAGUUAUUUUCGAUGGCUUAAGACUUAUGUUUGACGACAGGCGUCCGUCGGCAUUAAUGGGUCGGAAAUAGCCUUAUCUGACGGCUGUCGUCGGACAUAAGUUAUUGUCGAUGGUUGCAAGAGGUCGUCGGCAGUUGCAACCGUGAACGGCUAGCUGUAACGAGCGUUCGUGGGGCCCACACCUUUAUGUUUGACGGCUUUAAUGGGUCCUCAGACAUAAGGUGUUCUUAAUGUUGACGGCCUUAAUGGGCCCCACACCUUUAUGUCAGUAUAGCCAUCGAAGAUAACUGUUAUUUUCGACGGCCAAUCGAUGUCGUCGGACAUUGCGGGGUCGUCGGAUCUUUGUCGUUUUCCUAUUGUGCCGGUAAUGAAAUUUCAGUCAUGGUAUAGCAAAGAUGAGUGUAAUAGCUAGUGGUUGGUACUUGAGGUUGCGAAGACUUCGAGAUGUUUUUUAGUAUCAAAAGAUUCUAGAAACUUAUAAGUUACAGAUACAAUAGUGCAGAUGGAUGGCACAGAGGGGUGCUAGGAUGUGUAUGGGGUUUGUCCCUAAGACGGUGUUCAGCAAAUCGUGCAUAUGACCAUGCAAAACACUAUUUUGUAUUGUAAACCACAUUGUUUACAGAGUGAGGUUUGAAAUAGAAGGUAGGAUAGGAGAUGAGAUAGAAAGUCUGCUGGAGACAGCAUAAGGAGUGUGACUGCUAUGCUUUGACUUGUGUGCCAAUUAAUCUUGGUGAAUGGGCUCCAUAGAAUCUUAGGAGACCAAAUCCUUAAAAUCAAAUUAAGUGGUCUAGUAUAUCUUUCUAUGGGGCUAUAAAUAGGAUCCCAACCGACCAUUUAAGAUGUGUGGGAGCUGAUACACAUAUCUAAUGAGCUAACUCGUUCAUAUUAGCAACAGACAUGGAGGUACCCGUGCACAUAUGCGAUUUUUGCCCUUCAACUUUGAUUUGUCGCUGCAAUUUUUACAAUGAACCCUUCCACUGUUGACCUUGUGUUUGAGAGCACCUAGAGGGGGGUGAAUAGGUGAUCCUGUAAAAUCAAACACUAAUGGCCACAAAACUUAGUUUAAAGUGUUAGUACGGCUAAGUAGCCUUGAAGCGAGUUCUUGUGAACACAACAAUCACAGAGAAAGCAACACAAGAGACACGCGAUUUUUAUCCCAUGGUUCGGCCAAGUAACACUUGCCUACUUCCACGUUGUGACGUCCCAAUGGACGAGGGUUGCACUCAACCCCUUUCAAGUGAUCUGAUGAUCAACUUGAAUACCACGGUCUUUUCCUUUAGAGUAUGUUUCCCGUUUGCGAGGAAUCUCCACAAUUUGGAGUCUCUCGCCCUUUCAAUUGAGAUCACAAAGAAAGCACAGAGUAAGGUUGGGGAGAGCAACACACACAAGAUCUUUAUGUAGUGUGUCUUUAUAUAAGAUCAUAAUCGUAAUUGUGUGUUGCUAUACUUUUUAAAUCCGCAGCACAACAACGCACACAAGUGAGAACGUGAGCACACAAACACAGCGCGAGGAGUUUACAACUCGAAUUGUGCUCAAAUCUCAAGAACGAUGAUCCAAUAGCGUGAAAGCGGAGUCUAGAUGUCUUAGGAUGUUUCUUGUAAGCUUGGUGUACUCCUCCAUGCGCCUUGAAAGGGAAUUAGGCUUACACCUAUUUUCCUAAUUGAUUUUGGUGGUUGAAUUGCCCAACACAAAUAAUUGGACUAACUAGUUUGCUCUAGUGUAUAAAUUAUACAGGUGUAAAAGGUUCACUCUUAGCCAAUAAAAAGAUCAAAUAAUGAGGUUCAACAAAGAGAGCAAGGGAUAACCGAAGGCACCUCUGGUCUAGGGCACUGGACUGUCCGGUGUACACCGGACAGUGUCCGGUGCAUCAGAGGACUCCAACUCAAACUCACCACCUUCGGGAAUUUCCAGAGGCGCUCCGCUAUAAUUCACCGGACUGUCCGGUAUACACCGGACAGUGUCCGGUGCUCCAAGGAACGGCGCCUCAGGAACUCGCCAGCUUCGGGAAACCACGACGGCUGCUCCGCUAUAAUUCACCGGACAUGUCCGGUGUACACCGGACUGUCCGGUGUAACUGCGGGGCAACGGCUAUUUCGGCGCCAACGGCUACCUGCAGCGCAUUAAAUGCGCGCCAGCGCGCGCUGAAGUCAGGCUCGCCCAUACUGACGCACCGGACACUCUACAGUACAUGUCCGGUGCGCCACCGGACAUCCAGGCGGGCCCAGAAGACAGUGCUCCAACGGUCGAAUCCCAACGGCUUUGGUGACGUGGCUGGCGCACCGGACAUGUCCGGUGUACACCGGACUGUCCGGUGCACCAUACGACAGCCAGCCCCACCAAACGGCUAGUUUGGUGGUUGGGGCUAUAAAUACCCCCAACCACCCACCAUUCAUUGCAUCCAAGUUUUCCACUUCUCAACCACUUACAAGAGCUAGGCAUUCAAUUCUAGACACACCAAAGAGAUCAAAUCCUCUCCAAUUCCACACAAGGCUUUAGUGAUUAGCGAGAGAGAUUUGUCGUGUUCUUUUGAGCUCUUGCGCUUGGAUCGCUUCUUUUCUUUCUCACUUGUUCUUGUGAUCAAAACUCUAUUGUAAUCAAGGCAAGAGGCACCAAUUGUGUGGUGGCCCUUGCGGGGAAGUUUUGUUCCCAGUUUUGAUUUGAGAAGAGAAGCUCACUCGGUCGGAGGGACCGUUUGAGAGAGGGAAAGGGUUGAAAGAGACCCGGUCUUUGUGACCACCUCAACGGGGAGUAGGUUUGCGAGAACAGAACCUCGGUAAAGCAAAUCCUUGUGUCACACUCCUUAGUUGCUUGAGAAUUGUUUUGCACCCUCUCUCGCGGACUCGUUUUUAUUUCUAACGCUAACUCGGCUUGUAGUUGUGUUUAUAUUUGUAAAUUUCAGUUUCGCCCUAUUCACCCCCCUCUAGGCGACUAUCAAUUGGUAUCAGAGUCUGGUGCUUCAUUAGAGCCUAACCGCUCGAAGUGAUAUCGGGAGAUCACGCCAAGAAGGAGAUGGAGACCGGCGAAAAGCCCACUACAAGCCACGGGAGCACUUCAUCGGAAGAGUCCCGCAUCAAGAGGAAGGAGAAGAAGAAGAACUCCUCCAAAGGGAAGGAGAAAAGAUCUUCUUCACAUCACAAAGAGAAGAAGGAGAAAUCCUCUUCCCACAAUCCGCAUCGGAGUGGGGACAAGAAAAAGAGGAUGAGGAAGGUGGUCUACUACGAGACCGAUUCUUCAUCGACAUACACCUCCGGCUCCGAUGCGGCGUCCGUCACUUCUAAGCGCCAAGAGCGUAAGAAGUAUAGUAAGAUUCCCCUACGCUAACCUCGCAUUUCUAAACAUACACCUUUACUUUCCGUCCCAUUAGGCAAACCACCAAUUUUUGAUGGUGAAGAUUACGCUAGGUGGAGUGAUUUAAUGUGAUUUCAUCUAACCUCGCUCCACAAAAGCAUAUGGGAUGUUGUUGAGUUUGGUGCACAGGUACCAUCCGUAGGGGAUGAAAACUAUGAUGAGGAUGAAGUAGCCCAAAUCGAGCACUUCAACUCCCAAGCCACAACCAUACUCCUCGCCUCUCUAAGUAGAGAGGAAUAUAACAAGGUGCAAGGGUUCAAGAAUGCAAAGGAUAUUUGGGAUCUACUCAAGACCGCGCACGAGGGUGAUGAACUCACUAAGAUCACCAAGCGGGAAAUGAUCGAGGGGGAGCUCGGUCGCUUCCGUCUUCUCCAAGGGGAGGAGCCACAAGACAUGUACAACCGGCUCAAAACCUUGGUGAACCAAGUGCGCAACCUCAGGAGCAAGAAAUGGGAUGACCACGAGGUGGUUAAGGUUAUUCUUAGAUCACUCAUCUUCCUUAACCCCACUCAAGUUCAAUUAAUUCGUGGUAAUCCUAGAUACACACUAAUGACUCCCGAGGAAGUUAUCGGAAAUUUUGUGAGCUUUGAAUGUAUGAUCAAGGGCUCAAAGAAGAUCAACGAGCUUGAUGAUCCCUCCACAUCCGAGGCACAACCGGUGGCAUUCAAGGCGACGGAGGAGAAGAAGGAGGAGUCUACACCAAAUAGACAACCAAUCGACGCUUCAAAGCUCGACAACGAGGAGAUGACAUUAAUCAUCAAAAGCUUUCGCCAAAUCCUCAAGCAACGGAAGGGGAAGGAUUACAAAUCCCGUUCCAAGAAGGUUUGCUACAAGUGUGGUAAGCCCGGUCACUUUAUUGCUAAAUGUCCAUUAUCAAGUGAUAGUGACAGGGAUAACGACAAGAAGGGCAAGAGGAGAGAAAAGAAGAGGUACCACAAGAAGAGGGGCGGCGAUGCCCACGUGUGCCGCGAGUGGGACUCCGACGAGAGCUCCACCGACUCCUCCGACGACGAGGACGCCGCCAACAUCGCCGUCACCAAGGGACUCCUCUUCCCCAACGUCGGCCACAAGUGCCUCAUGGCAAAGGACGGCAAAAGGAAGAAGGUUAAAUCCAAAUCAUCCACUAAAUAUGAGUCUUCUAGUGAUGAUAAUGCUAGUGAUGAGGAGGAUAACUUGCGUACCCUUUUUGCCAACCUUAACAUGGAACAAAAGGAAAAAUUAAAUGAAUUAAUUAGUGCUAUUCAUGAAAAGGAUGACCUUUUGGAUUCCCAAGAGGACUUCCUAAUUAAGGAAAACAAGAAACAUGUUAAGGUUAAAAAUGCUUAUGCUCUAGAGGUAGAAAAAUGUGAAAAAUUAACUAGUGAGCUAAGCACAUGCCAUGACACUAUUGCCAACCUUAGAAAUGAAAAUGCUAAUUUAUUAGCUAAGGUUGAUUCUCAUGUUUGUAAUGUUUCAAUUUCCAAUCCUAGAGAUGAUAAUGAUGAUUUACUUGCUAGGAUUGAAGAAUUGAACAUCUCACUUGCUAGCCUUAGAAAUGAAAAUAAAAAUUGCUUGCUAAGGCUAAAGAUUUUGAUGUUUGCAAUGCUACUAUUUCCGACCUUAGAACUAAGAAUGAUAUGUUACAUGCUAAGGUUGUAGAAUUAAAAUCUUGCAAGCCCUCUACAUCUAUCGUUGAGCAUGUAUCUAUUUGUACUAGGUGUAGAGAUGUUGAUAGUAAUGCUAUUCAUGAUCACAUGUCUUUAAUUAAACAGCAAAAUUGUCGGGGACCAUAAUUAGGGGUACCCUCAAGACGCCUAAUUCUCAGCUGGUAACCCCCAUCAGCAUAAAGCUGCAAAGGCCUGAUGGGUACGAUUAAGUCAGGGAUCAGUCCACACGAGUGACUCGAUCACGCUUCACCCGAGCCUAGCCUCGGCCAAGGGCAGCCAACCUCGAGAGACUUCCGUCUCGCCCGAGGCCCCCCUUUUUACGGCGGACACAUCACCGGCUCGCCCAAGGCCUUGGCUUCGCUCAGAAGCAACCUUGACUAAAUCGCCACACCGACUGACCAAAUUGCAGGAGCAUUUAACGCAAAGGUGGCCUGACGCCUUUAUCCUGACACGCGCCCCCGGCAGAGCCGAAGUGACCGCCGUCACUCCACCGCUCCACUGACCAGUCUGACAGAAGGACAGCGCCGCCUGCGCCACUCCGACUGCGGUGCCACUCGACAGAGUGAGUCUGACAGGCAGUCAGGCCUUGCCAAAAGCGCCACGGCGAACUCCGCUCCGCCCGACCCCAGGGCUCGGACUCGGGCUAAGACCCGGAAGACGGCGAACUCCGCUCCGCCUGACCCCAGGGCUCGGACUCGGGCUAAGACCCGGAAGACGGCGAACUCCGCUCCGCCCGACCCCAGGGCUCGGACUCGGGCUAAGACCCGGAAGACGACGAACUCCGCUCCGCCCGACCCCAGGGCUCGGACUCGGGCUAAGACCCGGAAGACGGCGAACUCCGCUCCGCCCGACCCCAGGGCUCGGACUCGGGCUAAGACCCGGAAGACGGCGAACUCCGCUCCGCCCGACCCCAGGGCUCGGACUCGGGCUAAGACCCGGAAGACGGCGAACUCCGCUCCGCCCGACCCCAGGGCUCGGACUCGGGCUAAGACCCGGAAGACGACGAAACUCCGCCUCGCCCGACCCCAGGGCUCGGACUCGGGCUAAGACCCGGAAGACGACGAAACUCCGCCUCGCCCGACCCCAGGGCUCGGACUCCGCCCUGGCCUCGGCCGAACGACUUCCGCCUCGCCCGACCCCAUGGCUCGGGCUCGGCCUCGGCAACAGAGGACAGACUCAACCUCGGCUUCGGAGGAGCCCCCACGUCACCCUGCCUAGGGCACAGACCCGCCACGUCAACAGGAAGCGCCAUCAUCAUCCUACCCCGAAUCGACUCGGGUCAUGGAGAACAAGACCGGCGUCCCAUCCGGCCUGCUCCGCCGGAUGGGCAAUAAUGGCGCUCCACAAACUCUAUGACGACGGCGGCCCCCCAGCUCUCUUACGGAAGCAGGACGACGUCAGCAGGGACUCGACCGCUCCAACAGCUGUCCCUCCGCCAGGCUCCGUCGCACCUCCGACCGCCACGACAUCACGCCAGCAAGGUGCCAAGACCUCUCCGGCUGCCACAUUGGCAUGUACCAAGGGCGCUAGUUCUCCUUCCGCUAGACACGUAGCACUCUGCUACACCCCCCAUUGUACACCUGGAUCCUCUCCUUACGACUAUAAAAGGGAGGACCAGGGCCUUCUUAGAAAAGGUUGGCCACGCGGGACCGAGGACGGGACAGGCGCUCUCUUGGGGCCGCUCGCUUCCCUCACCCACGUGGACGCUUGUAACCCCCCUACUGCAAGCGCACCUGACCUGGGCGCGGGACGAACACGAAGGCCGCGGGACUUCCACCUCUCUCACGUUCGACUCCGGCCACCUCGCCUCUCCCCCCUUCGUGCUCGCCCACGCGCUCGACCCAUCUGGGCUGGGGCACGCAGCACACUCACUCGUCGGCUUAGGGACCCCCCUGUCUCGAAACGCCGACAGUUGGCGCGCCAGGUAGGGGCCUGCUGCGUGCUGACGAACAGCUCCCCGUCAAGCUCCAGAUGGGCAGUCUCCAGCAACCUCUCCGGCCCGGGACGGUGCUUCGUUUCGGGACUCUUGAGUUCAUGUCCUUCGACGGCAGCUACGACAUGAUACUCCUUCCACCGCCGCGCGACGACGACAAUGGCGGCCGACAACCCGCCCGCCGGCGGCGGAAUCGACGACAUCUUCCCCGCGUGGUGGAAGAGCAACAUUCGGGCUCGCUCCGUUCUCUCCCCCGCCAACGGAGGAGGAGGCGGGGCCAUCAAGGCCAGGCGGGAGGCCGCGCUUCGUUGGCCGUCGAGCGAAUCGACGCCCCCGACGCCCCGACGGAGGGCACGCCGGACGUCGACCUCGCGUUCAAGACGAAGGCAAGCGCCGUCCCCCCGCGACGCGCUGACCCCGAACAAGAAGACGACGCCAGCGCGCUCGCGGAAAGCCUGCAGGACGUCGCCCUCGUACCUGAGAUGACGGUGCAACCAGUCCCCGAUGUGACUACGUCGCUCCUCGUCGACCAAAAGGUACCAACUAACUCCCAUCUUGCGUCAUUUCGACUCGGCCUCAACCCGCCAAACGACCUCGUUUUGGCGGGCACUCUCAUUGAGGCGAGUGCAACCCCACUGGGGUUUCGUAUGCGGUCGCCUUGGGACCGGCUGACGGACGUCUCGACCUACGGGCCCUCUGGGUCCGAGGAAGAUGACGAUCCCAGCAUCUGUUGGGAUUUUUCCGGACUUGGCAACCCCAGUGCCGUGCGGGACUUCAUGACCGCAUGUGACUACUGCCUCUCCGACUGUUCCGACGGAAGCCACAGCCUUGGCGACGAGAGUUGCGGCCCAAGCCGCGAAUGUUUCCACAUCGAGCUAGGGGAUCCCUCCGAAGGCAACCAUCUUGGCAUGCCGGAGGACGGUGAUCUCCCUAGGCCGGCGCCUCGCGCCGACAUCCCACGGGAGCUAGCUGUGGUCCCCGCUCCGGCGGGGGGUUACGACCCACAACUCGAGCAAGUCCGCGAGGCGCAGGCCAGGCUCAACGAGGGAACAGGAGCGCUUGAGCCGAUCCGUCGGGACGUCGGACAGGCAUGGGUGGGCCAACCCCUGGCCGGAGAAAUACGUCACCUGCCCCAAGGUCUCCAGCACCGCGUCGCCAACGAUGCCAGGGUCAGGCCGCCACCCGCAUCCAGCGGGGUUGGUCAGAACCUGGCAGCCGCAGCGACGCUCAUCCGCGCGAUGCCGGAGCCAUCAACCACCGAGGGUCGGCGAAUCCAGGGAGAGCUCAAGAAUCUCCUGGAAGGCGCUGCGGCCCGACGGGCCGAGAGCACUGCCUCCCGAAGGCAAGGAUAUCCCUCGGAACCUCACGCCGCGACUUCCCGAUUCAUGCGGGAAGCCUCGGUCUACACCGGGCGCACGCGCAACACCGCGCCUGCGGCCCUGGGCCACCUCGGCAACGAGCACCAUCGACGCGACCGUCGGGCUCACCUCGACGAAAGGGUGCGCCGAGGCUACCACCCCAGGCGUGGGGGCGCUACGACAGCGGGGAGGAUCGGAGUCCCUCGCCCGAACCACCCGGUUCGCAGGCCUUCAGUCGGGCCAUCCGACGGGCGCCAUUCCCGACCCGGUUCCGACCCCCGACUACUAUCACGAAGUACUCGGGGGAAACGAGACCGGAACUGUGGCUCGCGGACUACCGCCUUGCCUGCCAACUAGGUGGGACGGACGACGACAACCUCAUCAUCCGUAACCUCCCCCUGUUCCUCUCCGACACUGCUCGCGCCUGGUUGGAGCACCUGCCUCCGGGGCAGAUCUCCAACUGGGACGACUUGGUCCAAGCCUUCGCUGGCAAUUUCCAGGGCACAUACGUGCGCCCCGGGAAUUCCUGGGACCUUCGAAGCUGCCGGCAACAGCCGGGGGAGUCGCUCCGGGACUACAUCCGGCGAUUCUCGAAGCAGCGCACCGAGCUGCCCAACAUCACCGACUCGGAUGUCAUCGGCGCGUUCCUCGCCGGCACCACUUGCCGCGACCUGGUGAGCAAGCUGGGUCGCAAGACCCCCACCAGGGCGAGCGAGCUGAUGGACAUCGCCGCCAAGUUCGCCUCUGGCCAGGAGGCGGUUGAAGCUAUCUUCCGAAAGGACAAGCAGCCCCAGGGCCGCCCAUCGGAAGAGGCUCCCGAGGCGUCUGCUCCGCGCGGCGCCAAGAAGAAGGGCAAGAAGAAGUCGCAAUUGAAACGCGACGCCGUUGACGCGGACCUUGUCGCCACCGCCGAGUACAAGAACCCUCGGAAGCCCCCCGGAGGUGCAAACCUCUUCGACAAGAUGCUCAAGGAGGUGCCAGACGUGAAGCGCCAUGCCGGCAACUUCGAGCCAGCGGAGACGGUUAAGGCCGUCCCUCUCGACCCCAGUGGCGACACCACCAAGCAGGUCCGGAUCGGUUCCGGGCUCGACCCCAAAUAGGAAGCAGUGCUCGUCGACUUUCUCCGCGCAAACGCCGACGUCUUUGCGCGGAGUCCCUCGGACAUGCCCGGCAUACCGAGGGAUGUCGCCAAACACUCGCUGGAUAUUCGGGCCGGGGCCCGAUCCGUCAGGCCGCCUCUGCGCCUCGGUCAUCAAGGAAGGGUCAGCCUCGCCUUGGCAGAGCCCGACCCUCCCUCGGGGGCUAAAAGGGGGAACCCCUCUGCGUCAAGAUCUUUUUAAAUCAAAAAAGGGGCCUCUUGCGUGCUCCCGGCUAUGUCAGAAGCAGGGUCUCGAGGAGCGAACGCGGGUACAUGAAAAUGGCAAGGCCGACUGAGCCGAGGAACUCCCGUGCCUCCGGGUUAGGGAUACCUCACUCAUCACCUGCCACGAAGAAUGGCCCAACUCGAGAAGCCACCCUAUUAUUGAUGAGCCAGGACGAACAUGUAGAUGGAAAGAAAGGAGAGUACGACUCCAUGCAAGAAAGACAAAAGUGUUCAGGCCUCAGCGGCCGCGGUGAGACGCACAUUCAACAAGAAACUGUUCAAACGAGAAUCAGGCGCCGCCUUGGGAAGGAGCCGCGCCUUCAGCUCCAUCCCCGCCAUCGGUGGGGUCCAUCUCGGCCCCCGGUGACAUCGCAGGGGGAAGGACCUCCGCCUCAAAGGUGGUCGCCAGCACCGCGCUCGGACCCGCGGCGACCGCGUCAAGCCGCUGCACCUCCGCUAGAGCAGCAUCGUCUUCGUCAGGAAGACAGUACCCCUCACUAACCCGCUCCAGGUCCACAACGUAGUGGGAAGCGAGCACGGCGAAGGCCCGCCUGACGCCAUGGUGUAGCGCUUCGCGGACUCUGCCGCGGGCGUGACCACCCAAGGCUCGAAGGCGGCUCUGAGGGGAGCUUCCUGAAGGGACGUCGCCGGAGCCGAGGACACGAUAAAAGUCCGAGACGGCCUCGGACAUGGCCGCGAGGUCCGCCUCCCUCUGCUCGGCGGCUCCGGCAAGCGCCUCAGCAAGCGCCUUGGCGGACUCGUCAAGGGCGGACUCAAGCUCUGCAAGCAACCAGGAGAAAUACCUCAAGCACAAGCAAAGGAAACGGACAAGAAAAAGAACUAGGGAGGACCAAGACAUACUCCCGGCUCGGGCACGGUGCUCCGAGGCCGCGACCUGGGCCGCGGCUAAGUCAGCCGCAAGGGUCUCGGCUCGGCUUUCGGCCUCGGCAGCCUGGCCCUGAAGUCGGUUCCGUUCCUCGACGACCUGGACGAGCUCCGAUCGCUGCUGUUGCGCCUCCGCACGCGCUGCUGCCGCCUCGGCUCUCAGGUCGGCGCAGAGCAGCUGGAGGUCCGCCACCUUGGCAUCCUGCUGAGAAAGGCGCGUGGUAGCCCCGGCGAGCGAAGACCUCAGGGAUCGCAGCGAACCCCAGACAUCAACCUCGCGGCGGAUGAACGACGACUUGGCGGCGCUCCGGUCCGUCAGAUCCUGGGGAAAGGAAACAGGGCGUCACAACGAGUAUCUCGCUCACAGAAGGAAAAAAGGUAUGCCCGAAACCGCUACCUGGAGGAUUUUGGGGACGUCUCUGCAGAAAACCUCCAGUGACGACCGGAGCGACCCCACCGUUGCCUCUGCGCGCUCGCGGAGCUCACCCCAGGACUGGUCCUCCUGCUCAUCAUCGAGAACGAAGACGGGGUCCGAGGCCUCGCGGGUCCGGAAUCGGAGCAACGGGUGCCGGGCCUCGGGGCUCCGCCGCACAGCGAUGAGGCUGUCACCCGGCUGGACGGAUUGCGCGACCGCGCCCACCUCUUCUGAGGUCUUGGGUGCCGACGCAUCAGCCAUCCCGGCGCUGGCGGCAACUGGGCACCCUUCGACAGGGACGGCGGCAACCUCGGCGGUGGCAGGCGCCGGCAUGACCGGCACGACAGGCGAACUCAGAGCCGCGUGGGCGUCAGCCGCCUACUCAACCACGAUCGCCGCCUCGGCUGGAGAGCCGGCCUCGGGAGCCCGCUCCUCCGAGAUUGGCGACGCUCGAGCCCCCGAUGGUGGAGUACCCCGCGAAAGGGUCGGCUGAAUGGCGCUGGCCACACAGUUCGGCGCCGUCUUGAGGGCCUUCCGGGGUGCCAGGUCGGUCUGGCCAUGACUUCGCUUGCUGGAUAAAAAAGAAAAGGGAUCACAACCGAGACAUACAAAUGGGAAGCCAAGACGAAGACGUUCCGAGGUACUCACCCACUCCGGGCCAUGAUCCACCGCGCCUGGGGGGAGCCUUCUUGGAUCCCGGCUCUCGAAACAGCCGCCGAGGUCCGCUUCGCCGGCGCUUGGGGCGCCUGGGAGGCAGAUUCCCCGGGCACAGCCGCGACGACCUGAGGGUCACCCCCAUGCGCCACCAACACGAGCGGCGGCCCCUGGGGAACAGACGCCUUGGCCUGGACCUCCGGAACUGCUUCAGCUCCUCCGGCUGAGGGGUCAGAUGACCUCUCGGUUCGCCCCGUGCCUCGGGUCGGGAGCCCGACGCCCCGACUUCGGGGGCUGACGGAGUCGGCUCGCUCGGGGGCUGGCUCGACGGCUCCUGGCCACACCCCAGGCCGAGGCUGAGGCCGAGACGGGCGGCCAUGUCAUCAUCAUUAUCAUCAUCAUCGUCGUCAUCGUCGUCGGGCGUCUCCGGCGACGGCUCCCUCGGGAGUCCGUCCCUCUCCUGCUGGCGACGGCGCUUCUCCAAGGCGUCCCGAGCCCGCCUUCGCUCGCGGGCCCGGGCCUUCUCCGCGUCCUUCUUUUUCUUCUUCUCCUCCGCGGCGACCCGCCGCGCUGCACGGUCCACCGCGUCCUCCGGGACCCGUGGCAGGGAGGGUUUGUGCCACCCCACAUCCUAAAAGGAGGGGAGAAAGGAACCCGAUCAUGAGGACCCGGAGCGACCAGAUAUACGAAGAAGGGAGGAGCGAACACUCACCAAAGUCACGCACCCCUGGUCGGGGCGCAUCCGAAGCUGGGAGUAUGCGUGGGGGUCCGGCUUCCCCAUCGCGGCCGACACCCGCCAUUGGAGGGCGUUGAAGGGGAGAGAAUCAGGGGACAUUCGUGAGCCCUCCCAGUCAGCUUCCGGGGUCAUCUCCCAGAGCGGCAGCCGCCGCUCCGCCAAUGGAAGCACCCUCCGACGGUGGAUAGUGGCGAUCACUCCCGCAGCGGUAAGUCCCCCCUCCCGCAACUCCUUCAGGGCCUGGAGAAGGGGCUCGAGAUUCUUCUGCCUCUCGUGCGGGGUCCCGUGGCGCCAGGCGUCGGUGGCAGCCGUAACUACUCGCUGGGAAAACGGUGGGAGCAACUCACCGUCAUUCCGGAGGUAGAACCACCGGCGCUGCCACCCCUUGUUCGAAGACGCAAGAAUGGCAGGAAUGUACUGCAACGCCCGCGACUGCCUCAACAAGAGAAUGCAGCCGCCGGCCCGCACCGCUGCACGGAUCCUCCUCUCCCCCGUCGACAAGGCGAAAGGCUCGGCGAGAAAGAGGUGAGUCCACAAAUCCCAAUGAGGAGCGAUCCCCAAGUACCCUUCGCAUAACACUACGAAAAUAGCGGCCUGCGAGAUGGAGUUGGGGGAGAGGUUGUGCAACUCCACCCCGUAGUGGAAUAGGAUGGCCCGCAUAAAGCGGCCCGUCGGCACACCAAAUCCCCGCUCAUGGAAGGAGACGAAGCUCACGACAUACCCCGGCGGUGGGGACGGAGCGGCUCCGCCCACGGGAGGAAUCCACUCUGGUCGCUGCUUGUCGGUGAGGGGGCGGAGCAAACCUUCGCCGACCAGCUCCUCCAGAUCACUCGCCGUCACCGUGGAGAAGGGCCACGGAUCGCGCGGGGGGAUUAUGGUCACUCGAUCCGCCAUCACCAAGAUGGAGAAGAUGGCGGCGCGGGGGGCAGGGAGGGCGGUUUCUCUCUCCUCCGACUAAAGUUUCCCGGGUUGCGAAAACCUAAAGGGAAAAGAAGGGAGCAGAGCGAAGAACCGUCACCGGACCCCCUCUCAAGUAUAUGAAGGCCAGGGCGAAACCGUUUCCAGCACGCCGCCUGGACCGGACGCGGGAUUCGAAAAGCGCGAAGUGGUACAGCCGUUCCUCAAACAGCUCGCGCACGCGUAACGGCCACCCCGCCAACCACACGCCCCGUCGCAUUUACUCCGCGGCGGGACAGGCGGCGUCUCUGACGGGAGGAGCGCGCGACGCUUCACCUUCGCCGUAAUAACCGCGUCAGAAAAGGUACGCCACGUCAUUCGAUUUAGUAUCCUUUUCCUUUUUCCUCUUUCUCUAUCUCUUGCAACAGGGACCGGGAAAGGGGGAUACCCCGAAAAGGACCCUUCUCCGCGAAGGAACCGGGCUCCGAGCCCCCCCUACUGAUCAGGGGUUCGAAGACUGGCCCUCCGAAGGGUUCAACAGUCGCCUCAGAUCGCGUGGGCCCGACACCCACUACUGGUCAGGGGUUCGAAGGCCAGCCCCCCAAAGGGUUCCAUGGCCGCCUCAGGCUACUCGGGCUCCGCGCCCAUUACUGAUCAGGGGUUCGAAGGCUGGCCCCCUAAGGGUUCACAAUCGCCUCAGACACCGAGCGAGGGAUGACCAGGGGUACGUUCGAUACAUAACCAAGGCUCGGGCUGCGCUCCCGAGGUACCCUAGGACAUUUCCGAGACCAGCGGGAACGAUCUUGUAACGGAAUCCCAUCGGAGGGAGGCAUCGAGCCCUCGGACCCCGUCGCCAGGGGACCGGGUCCGGCAAAUCACCCGCAGGUACUUUUGGGCGUGCCUCCGGGCCCCUAGCCGACCCCCAACGAACGGGGCACGGACGUCCACUCGGAUUACCCGCUUGCAGCUCACCGGAGACACCAUGUUCGGUGCCCAUCGAGGGUAACAUGGCGCACUCCCCCCUCCUCCUUGCGGAAAGGCGACGUAGGGGCGUAUGUAAAAAGUCGAGUCUGUCCCUGAUCGUCCUCUCGCCCUGUGCAGAGGCUCGGGGGCUGCUCUCGCAAAAAUCGGCUCCGGCCAAACCGUUGACAGCGUCAACAUACCAGCCCGAGAGCUUGGGCCCCGACCGUGCACCCGGGCUACGGCCAGUUCGCAUGAGGGAACGACCAGACCAGCCGAAGCGUUACGUGAGGUAUUAAGACCUCGGAGAAGUGUAACCACUCCUCCGAGGCCUCGGGGGCUACACCCGGCGGGUGCGCUCGCGCGCACCCACCGGAACAAAAUGCAACCGAGAAAGGCUGGUCCCCUUGCAAAAAAGUGCGACGAAAGCCUCCAAGCGAGUGCUAACACUCCCUUCGAGGCUCGGGGGCUACUGUUGGGGACCAUAAUUAGGGGUACCCUCAAGACGCCUAAUUCUCAGCUGGUAACCCCCAUCAGCAUAAAGCUGCAAAGGCCUGAUGGGUACGAUUAAGUCAGGGAUCAGUCCACACGAGUGACUCGAUCACGCUUCACCCGAGCCUAGCCUCGGCCAAGGGCAGCCGACCUCGAGAGACUUCCGUCUCGCCCGAGGCCCCCAUUUUUACGGCGGACACAUCACCGGCUCGCCCAAGGCCUUGGCUUCGCUCAGAAGCAACCUUGACUAAAUCGCCACACCGACUGACCAAAUUGCAGGAGCAUUUAACGCAAAGGUGGCCUGACGCCUUUAUCCUGACACGCGCCCCCGGCAGAGCCGAAGUGACCGCCGUCACUCCACCGCUCCACUGACCAGUCUGACAGAAGGACAGCGCCGCCUGCGCCACUCCGACUGCGGUGCCACUCGACAGAGUGAGUCUGACAGGCAGUCAGGCCUUGCCAAAAGCGCCACGGCGAACUCCGCUCCGCCCGACCCCAGGGCUCGGACUCGGGCUAAGACCCGGAAGACGGCGAACUCCGCUCCGCCCGACCCCAGGGCUCGGACUCGGGCUAAGACCCGGAAGACGGCGAACUCCGCUCCGCCCGACCCCAGGGCUCGGACUCGGGCUAAGACCCGGAAGACGGCGAACUCCGCUCCGCCCGACCCCAGGGCUCGGACUCGGGCUAAGACCCGGAAGACGGCGAACUCCGCUCCGCCCGACCCCAGGGCUCGGACUCGGGCUAAGACCCGGAAGACGGCGAACUCCGCUCCGCCCGACCCUAGGGCUCGGACUCGGGCUAAGACCCGGAAGACGACGAAACUCCGCCUCGCCCGACCCCAGGGCUCGGACUCGGGCUAAGACCCGGAAGACGACGAAACUCCGCCUCGCCCGACCCCAGGGCUCGGACUCCGCCCUGGCCUCGGCCGAACGACUUCCGCCUCGCCCGACCCCAUGGCUCGGGCUCGGCCUCGGCAACAGAGGACAGACUCAACCUCGGCUUCGGAGGAGCCCCCACGUCACCCUGCCUAGGGCACAGACCCGCCACGUCAACAGGAAGCGCCAUCAUCAUCCUACCCCGAAUCGACUCGGGUCACGGAGAACAAGACCGGCGUCCCAUCCGGCCUGCUCCGCCGGAUGGGCAAUAAUGGCGCUCCACAAACUCUAUGACGAUGGCGGCCCCCCAGCUCUCUUACGGAAGCAGGACGACGUCAGCAGGGACUCGACCGCUCCAACAGCUGUCCCUCCGCCAGGCUCCGUCGCACCUCCGACCGCCACGACAUCACGCCAACAAGGUGCCAAGACCUCUCCGGCUGCCACAUUGGCAUGUACCAAGGGCGCUAGUUCUCCUUCCGCUAGACACGUAGCACUCUGCUACACCCCCCAUUGUACACCUGGAUCCUCUCCUUACGACUAUAAAAGGGAGGACCAGGGCCUUCUUAGAAAAGGUUGGCCGCGCGGGACCGAGGACGGGACAGGCGCUCUCUUGGGGCCGCUCGCUUCCCUCACCCGCGUGGACGCUUGUAACCCCCCUACUGCAAGCGCACCUGACCUGGGCGCGGGACGAACACGAAGGCCGCGGGACUUCCACCUCUCUCACGUUCGACUCCGGCCACCUCGCCUCUCCCCCCUUCGCGCUCGCCCACGCGCUCGACCCAUCUGGGCUGGGGCACGCAGCACACUCACUCGUCGGCUUAGGGACCCCCCUGUCUCGAAACGCCGACAAAAAUGAUCAUAUAGCAAAAUUAGAUGCUAAAAUUGCCGAGCAUAACUUAGAGAAUGAAAAUUUUAAAUUUGCUCAUAGUAUGCUUUAUAAUGGGAGACGCCCUGGCAUCAAGGAUGGCAUUGGCUUCCAAAGGGGAGACAAUGUCAAACUUAAUGCCCCUCCUAAAAGAUUGUCUAAUUUUGUCAAGGGCAAGGCUCCCAUGCCUCAAGAUAACGAGGGUUACAUUUUGUACCCUGCCGGUUAUCCCGAGAGCAAAAUUAGGAGGAUUCACUCUAGGAAGUCUCACUCUGGCCCUAAUCAUGCUUUUAUGUAUAAGGGUGAGACAUCUAGCUCUAGGCAAUCAACCCGUGUUAAGUUGCCUAAGAAGAAAACUCCUAGUGCAUCAAAUGAACAUAGUCUUUCAUUUAAAACUUUUGAUGCUUCUUAUGUUUUGACUAACAAAUUCGGCAAGGUAGUUGCCAAGUUUGUUGGGGGCAAACACAAGGGAUCAAAAACUUGUGUUUGGGUACCCAAAGUUCUUGUUUCUAAUGCCAAAGGACCCAAAACCGUUUGGGUACCUAAAGUCAAGAACUAAAAUUGUUUUGUAGGUUUAUGCAUCCGGGGGCUCAAGUUGGAUACUCGACAGCGGGUGCACAAACCAUAUGACAGGGGAGAAGAAGAUGUUCUCCUCCCACGAGAAAAACAAGGAUCCCCAACGAGCUAUCACAUUCAGGGAUGGAAAUCAAGGUUUGGUCAAAGGCUUGGGUAAAAUAGCUAUAUCCCCUGACCAUUCCAUUUCCAAUGUUUUUCUUGUUGAUUCAUUAGAUUACAAUUUGCUUUCCGUAUCUCAAUUAUGCAAAAUGGGCUACAACUGUCUCUUUACUGAUAUAGGUGUCACUGUCUUUAGAAGAAGUGAUGAUUCAAUAGCAUUUAAGGGUGUGCUAGAGGGUCAGCUAUACUUGGUAGAUUUUGAUAGAGCUGAACUCGAGACGUGCUUAAUUGCUAAGACUAACAUGGGUUGGCUCUGGCACCGCCGACUAGCCCAUUUUGGGAUGAAGAAUCUUCAUAAGCUUCUAAAGGGAGAACACAUUUUAGGACUAACAAAUGUUCAUUUUGAGAAAGAUAGGGUUUGUAGCGCAUGCCAAGCAGGAAAGCAAGUUGGUGCCCAUCAUCCACACAAGAACAUCAUGACGACCGACAGGCCGCUUGAGCUACUCCACAUGGAUCUAUUCGGCCUGAUUGCUUACAUAAGCAUCGGCGGGAGUAAGUAUUGUCUUGUAAUAGUGGAUGACUAUUCUCGCUUCACUUGGGUGUUCUUUUUGCAGGAAAAAUCUCAAACUCAAGAAACCUUAAAGGGAUUCUUGAGACGAGCUCAAAACGAGUUCGGCUUAAGGAUCAAGAAAAUUAGAAGCGACAACGGGACGGAGUUCAAGAACUCUCAAAUCGAAGGCUUCCUUGAGGAGGAGGGAAUCAAGCAUGAGUUCUCUUCUCCCUACAUGCCACAACAAAAUAGUGUAGUGGAGAGGAAGAAUCGAACUCUAUUGGACAUGGCAAGGACCAUGCUUGAUGAGUACAAGACUUCGGAUCGGUUUUGGGCCGAGGCGGUCAACACCGCCUGCUACGCCAUCAACCGGUUAUAUCUACACCGAAUCCUCAAGAAGACAUCCUAUGAACUCCUAACCGAUAAAAAGCUCAACAUUUCAUAUUUUAGAGUCUUUGGUAGCAAAUGCUUUAUUCUUGUUAAAAGAGGUAGAAAAUCUAAAUUUGCUCCUAAGACUGUAGAAGGCUUUUUACUAGGAUAUGAUUCAAACACAAGGGCAUAUAGAGUCUUUAACAAGUCCUCUGGACAAGUUGAAGUUUCUUGUGACGUUGUGUUUGAUGAGACUAACGGCUCUCAAGUAGAGCAAGUAGAUCUUGAUGAGAUAGGUAAUGAAGAGGCUCCAUGCAUCGCGCUAAGGAACAUGUCCAUUGGGGAUGUGUGUCCUAAGGAAUCCAAAGAGCCUCCAAAUGCACAAGAUCAACCGUCCUCCUCCACGCAAGCAUCUCCACCAACUCAAAAUGAGGAUGAAGCUCAAGUUGAUGAAGUAGAAGAUCAAACAAAAGAGCCACCUCAAGAUGAUGGCAAUGAUCAAGGGGGAGAUACAAAUGAUCAAGACAAGGAGGAUGAAGAGCAAAGACCGCCACACCCAAGAGUCCACCAAGCAAUCCAACGAGAUCACCCCGUCGACACCAUACUCGGCGACAUUCAUAAGGGGGUAACUACUAGAUCUCGUGUUGCACAUUUUUGUGAGCAUUACUCUUUUGUUUCCUCUAUUGAGCCACACAGGGUAGAGGAAGCACUCCAAGAUUCGGAUUGGGUGGUGGCGAUGCAAGAGGAGCUCAACAACUUCACUAGAAAUGAGGUAUGGCAUUUAGUUCCACGUCCUAAUCAAAAUGUUGUAGGAACCAAAUGGGUCUUCCGCAACAAGCAAGAUGAGCAUGGUGUGGUGACAAGGAACAAGGCUCGACUUGUGGCCAAGGGAUACUCCCAAGUCGAAGGUUUGGAUUUCGGUGAAACCUAUGCACCCGUAGCUAGGCUUGAGUCAAUUCGCAUAUUAUUGGCCUAUGCUACCUACCAUGGCUUCAAGCUUUACCAAAUGGACGUGAAAAGUGCCUUUCUCAAUGGACCCAUCAAGGAAGAGGUCUAUGUUGAGCAACCUCCCGGCUUUGAAGAUAGUGAGUACCCUAACCAUGUUUAUAAACUCUCUAAGGCGCUUUAUGGGCUCAAGCAAGCCCCAAGAGCAUGGUAUGAAUGCCUUAGGGAUUUUCUUAUCACUAAUGGAUUCAAAGUCGGAAAGGUCGAUCCUACUUUAUUUACUAAAACUCUUGAAAAUGACUUGUUCGUAUGCCAAAUUUAUGUUGAUGAUAUUAUAUUUGGGUCUACUAACAAGUCUACAUGUGAAGAAUUUAGUAGGAUCAUGACACAAAAGUUCGAGAUGUCUAUGAUGGGGGAGUUGAAGUACUUCUUGGGAUUUCAAGUAAAGCAACUCCAAGAGGGCACCUUCAUUAGCCAAACGAAGUAUACUCAAGACAUUCUAAACAAGUUUGGGAUGAAGGAUGCCAAGCCCAUCAAGACACCCAUGGGAACUAAUGGGCAUCUCGACCUCGACACGGGAGGUAAGUCCGUGGAUCAAAAGGUAUACCGGUCGAUGAUAGGUUCUUUACUCUAUUUAUGUGCAUCUCGACCGGAUAUUAUGCUUUUCAUAUGCAUGUGUGCAAGAUUCCAAGCCGACCCUAAGGAAGCUCACCUUACGGCCGUAAAACGAAUCUUGAGAUAUUUGGCUUACACUCCUAAGUUUGGGCUUUGGUAUCCUAGGGGAUCCACUUUUGAUUUGAUUGGUUAUUCGGAUGCCGAUUGGGCAGGGUGUAAAAUCAAUAGGAAGAGCACAUCGGGGACUUGCCAGUUCUUGGGAAGAUCCUUGGUGUCUUGGGCUUCAAAGAAGCAAAAUUCGGUCGCUCUUUCCACCGCCGAAGCCGAGUACAUUGCCGCAAGCCAUUGUUGCGCGCAAUUGCUUUGGAUGAGGCAAACCCUGCGGGUCUAUGGUUACAAAUUAACCAAAGUCCCUUUGAUAUGUGAUAAUGAGAGUGCAAUCAAGAUGGUGGACAAUCCCGUCGAGCAUAGCCGCACUAAACACAUAGCCAUUCGGUAUCAUUUUCUUAGGGAUCACCAACAAAAGGGAGAUAUCGAGAUUUCUUACAUUAACACUAAAGAUCAAUUAGCCGAUAUCUUUACCAAGCCUCUUGAUGAACAAACUCUUAACAAACUUAGGCAUGAGCUCAAUAUUCUUGAUUCGCGCAAUUUCGUUUGCUAAAAUUGCACACAUAGCUCAUUUGUAUAUCUUUGAUCAUGUCUCUUUCAUAUGCUAUGACUAAUGUGUUUUUCAAGUCUAUUUCAAACCAAGUCAUAGGUGUAUUGAAAGGGAAUUGGAGUCUUCGGCGAAGACAAAGGCUUCCACUCCGUAACUCAUCCUUAGUCGUCGCUCCGCGCAUCUCUCCAUCUUUUUGGGAGAGUUCAAAAGGACUUCGUCUUUGGUACAAUCUUCACUCAUUUAUUCAUGAACAAAGGGGAAGAAAGUACUUCCAGGGCUCUAAUGACUCCGUUUUUGGCGAUUCAUGCCAAAGGGGGAGAAAAUAUUUGCCCAAAGCAAAAGGACCGCACCAUCACCUAAUUUUAAAAAUUAGAGAUUUCUUAAUUGGUAAAAUUGGUAUCCUAUUGUGUUCAAAAGGGGGAGAAAGUAGUAUUUCAAAAAUGAUAUAUCAAAACCCUCUUGAACACUAAGAGGAGGAUCUCAUUUAGGGGGAGUUUUGUUUAGUCAAAGGAAAAGCAUUUAAAACAGGGGGAGAAAAUUUCAAAUCUUGAAAAUGCUUCGUAAAAUCUUAUUCAUUCACCUUUGACUAUUUGCAAAAGAACUUUGAAAAGGACUUACAAAAGAAUUUGCAAAAACAAAAUCUGUGGUGCAAGCGUGGUCCAAAAUGUUAAAAAUGAAGAAACAAUCCAUGCAUAUCUUGUAAGUAUUUAUAUUGGCUCAAUUCCAAGCAACCUUUGCACUUACAUUAUGCAAACUAGUUCAAUCAUGUACUUCCAUAUUUGCUUUGGUUUGUGUUGGCAUCAACCACCAAAAAGGGGGAGAUUGAAAGGGAAUUAGGCUUACACCUAUUUUCCUAAUUGAUUUUGGUGGUUGAAUUGCCCAACACAAAUAAUUGGACUAACUAGUUUGCUCUAGUGUAUAAAUUAUACAGGUGUAAAAGGUUCACUCUUAGCCAAUAAAAAGAUCAAAUAAUGGGGUUCAACAAAGAGAGCAAGGGAUAACCGAAGGCACCUCUGGUCUAGGGCACCGGACUGUCCGGUGUACACCGGACAGUGUCCGGUGCACCAGAGGACUCCAACUCAAACUCGCCACCUUCGGGAAUUUCCAGAGGCGCUCUGCUAUAAUUCACCGGACUGUCCGGUGUACACCGGACAGUGUCCGGUGCUCCAAGGAACGGCGCCUCAGGAACUCGCCAGCUUCGGGAAACCGCGACGGCUGCUCCGCUAUAAUUCAUCGGACAUGUCCGGUGUACACCAGACUGUCCGGUGUAACUGCGGGGCAACGGCUAUUUCGGCGCCAACGGCUACCUGCAGCGCAUUAAAUGCGCGCCAGCGCGCGCUGAAGUCAGGCUCGCCCAUACUGGCGCACCGGACACUCUACAGUACAUGUCUGGUGCGCCACUGGACAUCCAGGCGGGCCCAGAAGACAGUGCUCCAAUGGUCGAAUCCCAACGGCUUUGGUGACGUGGCUGGCGCACCGGACAUGUCCGAUGUACACCGGACUGUCCGGUGCACCAUACGACAGCCAGCCCCACCAAACGGCUAGUUUGGUGGUUGGGGCUAUAAAUACCCCCAACCACCCACCAUUCAUUGCAUCCAAGUUUUCCACUUCUCAACCACUUACAAGAGCUAGGCAUUCAAUUCUAGACACACCAAAGAGAUCAAAUCCUCUCCAAUUCCACACAAGGCUUUAGUGAUUAGCGAGAGAGAUUUGUCGUGUUCUUUUGAGCUCUUGCGCUUGGAUUGCUUCUUUUCUUUCUCACUUGUUCUUGUGAUCAAAACUCCAUUGUAAUCAAGGCAAGAGGCACCAAUUGUGUGGUGGCCCUUGCGGGGAAGUUUUGUUCCCAGUUUUGAUUUGAGAAGAGAAGCUCAGUCGGUCGGAGGGACCGUUUGAGAGAGGGAAAGGGUUGAAAGAGACCCGGUCUUUGUGACCACCUCAACGGGGAGUAAGUUUGCGAGAACCGAAUCUCGGUAAAACAAAUCCUUGUGUCACACUCCUUAGUUGCUUGAGAUUUGUUUUGCACCCUCUCUCGUGGACUCGUUUUUAUUUCUAACGCUAACCCGACUUGUAGUUGUGUUUAUAUUUGUAAAUUUCAGUUUCGCCCUAUUCACCCCCCUCUAGGCGACUAUCACGCCUAGGGGUCCCUUUUAUAGCCCCAAGGCAGCUAGGAGCCGUUGAAGGCCAACUUGGAAGGCCAAACUUGCCUUCUAUCGGGUGGUGCACUGGACAGUCCGGUGCACCACCGGACAGUCACUGUAGUUGUCUGGUGCGCGAUCUCCUUCCAUAUCUGGCGCAUCCGACCGUUGGUCCUCAGGGUCGGUUGUGCACACCGGACAGUCCGGUGUGCCCAACCGACCGUUGUUGCGGGCCACGCAUCGCCCGCGGAUUGCGCAGCCGACCGUUGGCGCUGGCGACCGUUGGCUCACCGGACAGUCCGGUGCACCACCGGACAGUUCGGUGAAUUAUAGUCGUACGCCUCUGCAUUUUCCCGAGAGCAGUCGGUUCACCGCCGGCCAGCCUAGCGCACCGGACACUGUCAUGUGCACCACCGAACAGUCUGGUGUGCCUGGCCAGCGUUGGUGUUGGCUGUACUCAGCCAAGUCUUUUCCUUUUCUUUUCUUCUUCUUUUGUCGUUGUUUCUAGCACUUAGACAAACACAUUAGUAUACAAAAUAAUAUACUAAGUCUAGAAACAUACCUUAUGCUUUGAUUUGCACUCUUCACACAUUUUGCACAUAAGAACUCAAUUAAUGUGUUGGGCAUCUAAUCACAAAAAUACUUAUAGAAAUGGCCCAAGGGCACAUUUCCCUUUCAAUCUCCCCCUUUUUGGUGAUUUAUGCCAACACAUCCAAAAGCAACCAAAAGAAGUGCAGCAUCAAUGCAAUUGAAGACCAAAUUGUUUUCACUAAUGAUUUGGCAUAUUUGGAUCACUCUUUGCCACCACUUGGUUUGUUUUUGCAAAUCAAAUUCUUUUUCAUAUCUCUAAGUCAAACACACUUGUUUGGGCAAAUCGAGAGAUAUUUUAAGAGAAAAUUAAUCAAGUGCCAAAAACUCUCCCUUUUUCCCAUAAUCAAAAUUCUCCCCCAUAAGAGACCAAAUUUUGCAAUAAGAGUAUUUUGGACAAAUCACAAAUUCUAACUCUACUAUUUUCAAAAUUCUCAAGUGGUUGGCUGAUCCAGUUGCUUCGGCCUUAAUUUCUUCCCCUUUGGCAUUAAGCACCAAAACGGGAUCAUUUUUGGCCCUUUAACCCCAUUGCCUCACCAAAAAUGUCAAUUAAGAGCAAAAGGGCAAUGAGAGCAUAAUUAUGAACUUGGAAUUAAAUACACUAAUACCGGAGUGCAGUGGAAGUCUUUUCAUCGUCCAAGUUCACCUUUCCCUUUCAAUGCACCUUUGAGACUACAUCAAGUAUACUCACACAAACAGGUUAGUCUCAAAGGGUCAAGUUGUAGCAUAUCUCCCCUUACAUAUGUGCACCAUUUGCAUAUGGACUUGUGAGGUCCGGGGAGGGCUUGUACAACUUGAGCACCACAAAUAGAUAACAAAUGUUGUAAAUACAUAAAGUAACAUGAUCAAAGGCAUAGCACACAUGUAUGCUAUAGAUCAAUCCAAGUUACGUGAAUCUAAGACACAAAAUGUUUUCUCCUCCAACGGCUUGGUGAAAAUAUCGACUAGCUGGUUCUCAGUGCUAAUAUGAAAAUAUCGAUAUCUCCCUUUUGCUGGUGAUCCCUCAGGAAGUGAUGCCGGAUGUCUAUGUGCUUAGUGCGGCUGUGUUCAACAGGAUUAUCCGCCAAGCGGAUUGCACUCUCAUUGUCACAUAGGAGUGGGACUUUGCUCAGAUUGUAGCCAAAGUCCCGGAGGGUUUGCCUCAUCCAAAGUAGUUGCGCGCAACAUUGUCCUGCGGCAACAUACUCGGCCUCAGCGGUGGAUAGGGCAACGGAUGUCUGUUUCUUGGAACUCCAGGACACCAGGGACCUUCCUAGAAAUUGGCACGUCCCUGAUGUACUCUUUCUAUCAACCUUGCACCCGGCAUAAUCGGAGUCUACGUAUCCAAUUAAGUCAAAGGUAGACCCCUUUGGAUACCAGAUCCCGAAGCACGGCGAAGCAACUAAAUAUCGAAGAAUUCGCUUAACAGCCACAAGGUGACAUUCCCUGGGGUCGGAUUGAUAUCUAGCACACAUGCAUACACUAAGCAUAAUGUCCGGUAUACUAGCACAUAAAUAAAGUAAUGAACCUAUCAUGGACCGGUAUGCCUUUUGAUCAACGGACUUACCUCCUUUGUUGAGGUCGACAUGCCCGUCGGUUCCCAUCGGUGUCUUCGCGGGCUUGGCGUCCUUCAUCCCAAACCUCUUGAGAAGAUCUUGAGUGUACUUCGUUUGGGAGAUGAAGGUACCGUCCUUGAGUUGCUUCACUUGGAAUCCAAGGAAGUAUGUCAACUCGCCCAUCAUCGACAUUUUGAAUUUAUGCAUCAUCACCCUGCUAAACUCCUCACAAGACUAUUGGUUAGUAGAACCAAAUAUUAUGUCAUCGACAUAAAUUUAGCACACAAAGAGAUCACCAUCACAAGUCUUGGUAAAAAGAGUGGGAUUGGCUUUCCCAACCUUGAAAGCAUUAGCAAUUAGAAAAUCUCUAAGGCAUUCAUACCAUGCUCUUGGGGCUUGCUUAAGUCCAUAGAGCUCCUUAGAGAGCUUAUACACGUGGUCGGGAUACCUGUCAUCCUCAAAUCCAGGGGGUUGUUCCACGUAUACCUCCUCCUUGAUUGGCCCAUUAAGGAGAGAGCUCUUCACGUCCAUUUGAAAUAGCCUAAAAGAGUGGUGAGCAGCAUAGGCUAACAGUAUUCGAAUUGACUCUAACCUUGCAACAGGAGCAAAAGUCUCCCCGAAAUCCAAACCUGCGACUUGGGCAUAACCUUUUGCCACAAGUCGAGCCUUGUUUCUCGUUACCACCUCGUGCUCGUCUUGCUUGUUGCGGAACACCCACUUGGUGCCCACAACGUUUUGCUUUAGACGUGGCACCAGGCUCCAGACUUCAUUUCUUUUGAAGUUGAUAAGCUCUUCCUGCAUGGCCAACACCCAGUCUGGAUCCUGCAAGGCCUCUUCUACCCUGAAAGGUUCAAUAGACGAGACAAACGAGUAAUGCUCACAAAAAUUAGCUAAACGUGAGAGAGUCGUUACUCCCUUGCUGAUAUCACCCAGAAUUUGAUCCACGGGGUGAUUUCUUUGGAUCGUCGCUCGGACUUGAGUUGGAGGGACCCGUGGUGCUUCUUCCUCCAUAACUUGUUCUUCUUGUGCUCCCCUUGAUCACACUCCUCUUCUUGAGGUACAUGUCCAUCAUCUUGAGUUGGGGGAUGCACCACCGUAGAGGAGGAUGGUUGAUCUUGCUCCUGUUGUUCCUGUGGUCGCACAUCACCUAUCGCCAUCGUGCGCAUUGUGGCCGUUGGAACUUCAUCUUCAUCUAUAUCAUCAAGAUCAACUUGCUCUCUUGGAGAGCUAUCAGUCUCAUCAAAUACAACGUCGCUAGAGACUUCAACUAAUCCUGAUGAUUUGUUGAAGACCCUAUACGCCUUUGUAUUUGAUUCAUACCCUAGUAAAAACCCUUCUACAACCUUGGGAGCAAAUUUAGAAUGUCUACCUUUCUUCACCAGAAUGUAGCAUUUGCUCCCAAAUACACGAAAGUAAGAUACAUUGGGUUUGUUACCAGUAAGGAGUUCGUAGGAGGUCUUCUUGAGAAGGCGAUGCAGAUAGAGCCGGUUUAUGGCGUGGCAAGCUGUGUUCACAGCUUCCAACCAAAACCGUUCGGGUGUCUUGAACUCUCCUAGCAUUGUUCUCGCCAGGUCGAUAAGCGUGUUGUUCUUCCUCUCUACCACACCAUUUUGAUGUGGUGUGUAGGGAGCGGAGAACUCGUGCUUGAUGCCUUCCUCCUCAAGAAACUCUUCAACUUGCAGAUUCUUGAACUCGGACCCAUUGUCGCUCCUUAUCUUCUUCACCUUUAGCUCAACUUCAUUUUGAGCCCUCCUUAGAAAGCGCUUUAGGGUCCCUUGGGUUUCAGAUUUGUCCUGCAAAAAGAAUACCCAAGUGAAGCGGGAAAAAUCAUCAACAAUUACAAGACCAUACUUGCUUCCCCCGAUGCUAAGGUAGGCAACGGGUCCAAAGAGGUCCAUGUGGAGAAGCUCCUGUGGUCUUGAUGUCGUCAUCACAUUCUUGCUGUGAUGAGUGUCUCCCACCUGUUUCCCUGCCUAACAUGCUGCACAAGGUCUGUCUUUCUCAAAGCAGACAUCAUUUAGUCCUAACACAUAAUCUCCCUUUAGAAGUUUAUGAAGGUUAUUUAUCCCAACAUGUGCUAGACGGCGAUGCCAAAGCCAGCCCAUAUUAGUCUUAGCUAUUAAGCAUGCAUCUAGAUCGGCAUUCUCUUUCGAAAUAUCUACUAAAUAGAGUUUGUCGUCUAAUACACCCUUAAAUGCUAAUGAACCAUCACUUCUUCUAAAGACAGAUACAUCUAUAUUUGUAAAUAGAUAAUUAUAACCCAUGUUACACAAUUGACUCACAAAUAACAGAUUAUACCCGAGCGAUUCAACUAAAACACAUUAGAGAUAGAAUGCUCGGAUGUAAUGGCUAUUUUUCCUAAUCCUUUGACCUUGCCUUGGUUCCCAUCUCCAAAGAUGAUCGAAUCCUGGGAAUCCUUGUUCUUGACGUAGGAGGUGAACAUUUUCUUCUCCCCCGUCAUGUGGUUUGUGCAUCCGCUGUCGAUAAUCUAGCUUGAGCCCCCGGAUGCAUAAACCUGCAAGGCAAUUUACGCUUGGGUUUUAGGUACCCAACUCUUGUUGGGUCCUACAAGGUUAGUCACAAUAAUUUUUGGAACCCAAAUACAAGUCUUGUCUCCCUUGCAUUUGGAUCCCAACUUCCUAGCAACUACUUUUUCAUUCUUACAUGAAAGAAUAAACGAAGUGUUGCAAGCAUGAAAAACAAUAGUGGGUUUAUUACACAUUUUCCUAGGCACAUGAUGCACAACAUGAUUUCUCCUAGGGCUACAUCUACCAUGCACAAAAGUAGAGCUAGAGGCAAACAUAGCAUGUGUAUCAUUGUAAACAGUAUGAACAUAACUCUUAUUAUAAUUAGAACGACUAGCAAUUUUCCUAUCAUAAAUAAAAGCAUGGUUCCUUUGAGGACUACUAGCCAUAGGGGCCUUCCCUUUCUCCUUGUUGAGAACAGGAGCCUUUUGCCUUGUUAAGUUCUUGGUUUCCUUUCAAAAACCAAGUCCAUCCUUAAUUAAGGGGUGUCUACCAAUAGUGUAGGCAUCCCUAGCAAAUUUUAAUUUUUCAAAAUCACUUUUGCAAGUCUUAAGUUGAGCAUUAAGAUUUGCCACCUCAUCAUUUAAUUUAGCAAUAGAAAUAAGAUGAUCAUCACAAGCAUUAACAUCAAAGUUCGUGCAUCUAUUGCAAAUAACAACAUGCUCUACACAUGAACUCAUUUUAUUUGCUUCCUCUAGCUUAGCAUUUAAUUCAUCAUUUAAACUCUUUAAACUAGAGACAGAUUCAUGGCAAGUAGACAACUCAGAUGAUAGCAUUUCAUUUCUCUUAAUUUCUAGAGCAAGAGAUUUUUGAACACUAACAAAUUUAUCAUGUUCUUCAUACAAAAUGUCCUCUUGCUUUUCUAAAAGUCUACCCUUUUCAUUUAGAGCAUCAAUCAAUUCAUUAAUUUUCUCUACCUUAGCUCUAUCUAAACCUUUAAACAAUUCAGAGUAAUCUACUUCAUCAUCAGAAGAUUCUUCAUCACUAAAGGAAGUGUACUUGGGGGUGUCUCGAAUAUGUACCUUCUUCUCCUUGGCCAUGAGGCAAAUGUGGUGUUCGUUGGGGAAGAGCGAAGACUUGUCGAAAGCCGAGGCAGCCAAUCCUUCAUCAUCGGAUUCAGAUGAGGAGCAGUCAGAAUCCCACUCCUUUCCAAUGUGUGCCUCGCCCUUCGCAUUCUUGUAGUUUUUCUUCUUCUCCUUCUUCCCGUACUUUUCUUGUCCCCAGUCAUUAUCGUUAUCGGGGCAUUGUGCUAUGAAAUGACCAGUCUUACCGCAUUUGAAGCAGGAGUGCUUUCCCCUUGUUUUAUUCUUGGAGGGGUACUCUUUGCGUCCUUUGAGCGCGGUCUUGAAAGCGUUUGAUGAUGAGUGCCAUCUCAUCUUCAUUUAGCCCGGCAGCCUCAACUUGUGCCACCUUGCUUGGUAGCGCCUCCCUGCUGCUUGUUGCUUUGAGUGCAGCGGGUUGUGGCUCGUAGACGGGUAGUGGACCAUUUAGAGCAUCAUCCACGUAUCGCGCCUCCUUCACCAUCAUGCGCCCACUCACAAACUUUCCAAGGAUCUCCUCGGGUGUCAUCUUUGUGUACCUGGGGUUUUCACAAAUAAGAUUGACAAGAUGGGGGUCAAUAACCGUAAAUGACCUGAGCAUGAGUCAGACAACGCAUGAUCCAUCCAUCUUGUGCUUCCAUAGCUUCGAAUCUUGUUGACCAGGGUCUUGAGCCUGUUGUAGGUUUGUGUUGGCUCUUCUCCCCUGGUCAUGGCGAAUCUCCCUAGCUCGCCUUCCACCAGUUCCAUUUUGGUGAUCAUUGUAGCAUCAUUUCCCUCAUGUGAGAUCUUGAGGGUGUCCCAGAUUUACUUGGCGUUGUCCAAGCCGCUAACCUUGUUAUAUUCAUCCCUGCACAGAGAUGCUAGCAAAACAGUAGUGGCUUGGGCAUUUUUAUAGAUUUGUUCAUUGAUAAUCACAGGGUUAUCAGUGCUAUCAAAAUGCAUCCCAUUUUCUACAAUUUCCCAUAUGCUAGGAUGGAGAGAGAAUAAAUGACUACACAUUUUAUGACUCCAAAACGAAUAGUCCUAUCCAUCAAAGUGUGGAGGUUUUCCAAGGGGAAUUGAAAGUAGAUGCGCAUUUGAAUUAUAGGGAAUGCGAGAGUAAUCAAAAGAAUAAUUUUGAUUAACCGUCUUUUUCUUUGACGAGGAGUCAUCGUCGUCAUCGUCUCUUGGUGAAGAAGAGGAGGCAUCGCUAUCGUAGUAGAUGAUCUUCUUGAUGCGCCUCUUCUUAUUCCCAUCCCUCUUCUUGUGACUCGAACCUGAGUCAGUGGGCUUAUCGUCCCUUGGUUCGUUGAAGAGAGACUCCUCCUUGUCGUUGACCACCAUCCCCUUUCCCUUAGGAUCCAUCUCUUCGGGCGAUUAGUCCCUUAGAUGAAGAGUACGACUCUGAUACCAAUUGAGAGCACCUAGAGGGGGGUGAAUAGGUGAUCCUGUAAAAUCAAACACUAAUAGCCACAAAACUUAGUUUAAAGUGUUAGUACGGCUAAGUAGCUUUGAAGCGAGUUCUUGUGAACACAACAAUCACAGAGAAAGCAACACAAGAGACACGCGAUUUUUAUCCCGUGGUUCGGCCAAGUAACACUUGCCAACUUCCACGUUGUGGCAUCCCAAUGGACGAGGGUUGCACUCAACACCUUUCAAGUGAUCCGAUGAUCAACUUGAAUACCACGGUCUUUUCCUUUAGAGUAUGUUUCCUGUUUGCGAGGAAUCUCCACAAUUUGGAGUCUCUUGCCCUUACAAUUGAGAUCAUAAAGAAAGCACAGAGUAAGGUUGGGGAGAGCAACACACACAAGACUCAAAAUCCGCAGCACAACAACGCACGCAAGUGAGAACGUGAGCACACAAACAUAGCGCGAGGAGUUUACAACUCGAAUAGUGCUCAAAUCUCAAGAACGAUGAUCCGAUUGGGUGAAAGCGGAGUCUAGAUGUCUUAGGAUGUUUAUUGUAAGCUUGGUGUACUCCUCCAUGCGCCUAGGGGUCCCUUUUAUAGCCCCAAGGCAGCUAGGAGCCGUUGGAGGCCAACUUGGAAGGUCAAACAUGCCUUCUGUCGGGUAGUGCACCGGACAGUCCAGUGCACCACCGAACAGUCACUGUAGUUGUCCUGUGCGCGAUCUCCUUCCAUAUCUGGCGACCGUUAGUCCUCGGGGUCGGUUGGCGCACCCGACACUGUCCGGUGUGCCCAACCGACCGUUGCUGUGGGCCACGCAUCGCACGCGGAUUGCGCAGCCGACCGUUGGCGCUGGCGACUGUUGGCUCACCGAACAGUCCGGUGCACCACUGGACACUCCGGUGAAUUAUAGUCGUACGCCUCUGCGUUUUCCCGAGAGCAGCCGGUUCACCGCCGGCCAGCCUGGCGCACCGGACACUGUCCGGUGUGCCUGGCCAGCGUUGGUGUUGGCUGUACUCAGCCAACUCUUUUCCUUUUCUUUUCUUCUUCUUUUGUCGCUGUUUCUAGCACUUAGACAAACACAUUAGUAUACAAAAUAUUAUACUAAGUCUAGAAACAUACCUUAUGCUUUGAUUUGCACUCUUCACACAUUUUGCACAUAAGAACGCAAUUAAUGUGUUGGGUAUUUCCUUUCCUUAUUAUUAAAGCAGUAAGGAAAACUGCUCCCAGAAUCGUCCACGUCAGCGAAAUUGUUUUGGUUGUUGGAUCGUUGAUCAUUGGUGUCAUUUUCUCCUGUGCGCCAUGUGUGUGUAGAUUCUUCUAGCAGGCUGUGUCUUCUUCUUCCUUCACAUCUCGCUCUCGCGCUCUCUCCUCCUCCCCCAAAACUCCACCUUCCCCCGCUCGCCCGCAUGCUCUGGCAACAGUCGCUUUCGGACUUUGGUUUCCCUCCACCGGCGCUCCAAAGGUAAGUACACUUCCUCCCCCGCCCCCUCCACCCCACCCUCUCCACCACAUUCUGAUUCCCAUUGCUAGGGUUCGUCGUGUUGGGGUUGGAGUAGACACGGCAGCGGCUCUUCCCCCUCCCCCCUCGUACGUUUUUUCUUGCUAGGGUUUGACUAGGAAUCCUCAUGCUGCCAUUUAGGGUUUAGGGUUCAUCGUCCGAUUUCUUCCUUCACAUCUCAUGCUCUCUCCUCUUCCCCCAAAACUCCACCUUCCCCCGCUCGCCCGUGUGCUAUACUUCUAGAGUCCUCUCUCUUUCUGGCGAAAAGGGGAGCAGUUUGAUUCCCCUCUGACGAUGCGACGACAGUAGGUCCAUGGCUUCCCACCUCGCUGCAUCGUCCGACCAGCCGAGCUGCUAAUUUCUUCGCGCCUCUCGAUUCUUCUCGCAUGUGUCACCUCUCUCGUUGUCCCUUCUUGCCUACAUAUGGAUGUGCUUCAGUAUAUCUUAUUUCAGUUUUUUAUUCAUUGAAUUAUGUGCUUCAGUACUCGAUAUGGAUGUUUUCAAUGGAAAAAGUGGCUCCUGUUCUUCGGAUUUUUUUACUCCUUCCUCGUAGCCAAUAUUUCUAGCAAUCGUAAUAUCAUUCAAACUGCACCUAGAGGAAUGUAAUUGAUUGCAUUGUGCCUUCUGAGGAGCUUAGAAGGCUUACGAAAUGUCAAACUGCUUUAGCACUAACGAGGAGAGACAGACCUUUGUUGUUUCUGUUUCAGAAAAAGAAGCAGCGACAGCAAUCUGAACUCUGAAGAGUUGUUGUUGCUUAUGUGCUAACCGAACAAGGAAAAAAGAGGCAUGGAUUAAUGAACCACCUAGGGAAAGAGUGACAACAGGGGAUCCAUUCAAUCCACGUCUGGAUUAAUUCCACCUGGGGAUUAAAUCCAUGCCUACCGAACAUGGCCCGAAGAGGAUGAAAAGGCAGGGAAGGUGGUCCAUGAAGCAUCAAUCAACUUAUUAGUGACAUGGCAUUGGCUUAAUGUGUGGAGUGCAUCCAUUUAAUUGCUUUCAUGAAUUGUUGUGAUCUUUCAGAUCUGUCAAACUCAUAGCUUUACAGGUGCUACAGAUGGUAAAAAAGAUUCUACAGGAAAAAAUCUAGAAAAUAACAGCAUGGUUAAAUGUAUUUAGAAACAAAUGGAGAAAAUCUUUCGAAACAUGAAACUUGAAAAGCAGGAAAAAUUUUCAGUAUGAUGCUAUAUCCCAAGUAACCGGAAGUUAAAACUGUUGAUGUAACACUUUGAACAAAAGGAGCAUUUUCAAAAUGCGGACUUCUUAUCUGAUUAUUUGCACAAUACAAAGGCUAACCUGUAUCGGUCACACCCUCAGCAGUUGUCCACGGAUUUAACUGCCACAUUUCAGGUUACUGCUUUCCAUUCCUUGUCCAUAGGAUGGCAGUGUGGAAGUGGAGGAAACAAAUGGAGCAAACAGUGUGUCCUGCACUGGAGAGCUCAGAGCCAUUCAGCCAUCAUAGAGAAGUCCCUUCAUCAAGUUAAUAAAUCUCUGUGAAAAUUAUGUAAUUAUGUUACACCCUUCGCUUUCUGAGAAUCAUCACAAUCACCCAUGUCAUUGCCAAUGCCCAAAAUGCAACACAGCUUUCCAUCUGGAACAAUUUCUGCAUGACGCAUACUCUCGUACAUCAUACAAGCUUCCUUCUCAUCCCCCAUUUUAAGGUAUCCAAUAAUGUUAAUAAGGAAGAAAUUGGAAAUAGGUGACUUACACUAUGUAGGCUUACGUAUCGAGGUUUCCAAUAUCGAUAGUGUUCCAAAAUCAUCUCUUCUAUCAUUCUUCUUUAGUCAUCGUGUUCUGCUCCGCAAAUCGCUGUCCGUGUUGCUGCGCUUUUAUUUUCGCUUCGUCACGUUGUUCGUCCAUGAGCUAAACCGCAUUGGAGACGUAGAUGAAAUGUUGUCGUGCAUGUUGUAUCUUCUUCGUGCUGACUUAGCGCUGCUUUGUCAGCUUUCAUAAUAAGAAAUUUUCUUUUUUGUAAUAUUUCUGACUGCUUCAAAUUUUGUAUUAUAUUUUUUAAAAAUCUGUGAAUCACUAAUAUACCUGCCUUUUUUAUUUAGCCUACAACGACGGAAAGGAAGUUGGCACCUUCAAGGGUCCUCAAACAUUGCUGCACUGGACGUUGUGUCGUGUAUCAUUGGUAAGAGUACUUUUGAAAUUCUAGAUGCUAUUAGUUUUCUGUAAGUCGUUUUAUGCUUACUAAAGUAUGAUCUAAAUCUAGUUGUUUGAUUCCUCUUUGGGAUCCUUUUUUCCUUCAGCAACGUGCUUUCAUGUUCCUUAAAAAUGAUUUUCUGGUUUUGAAGACUAUGUAUAGUUUCAUACAAAUAAAUACCUAUUAUGCUUGAGAUAGCUUCAGCUAAGAGUUCCUCCAUAACUGUGCAUUCAAACAUUAAGAGAACAUUUUGCAUGAAACAUACUUAUCAUCAGUUCUGAAUGAAACCCUUUUAUCUGCUAACUAUAAGUUCUCUAUACGCUAACUAUAAGUUUUACAACGCUAACUUUUGAUUCUUAUAUCAGUCAUGUAAAUUAUCUCUUCUAGUCACCAUCCAUUAUGAUAUGGAAUCUACAACACAAGGAUGCAUAAAUAUGACAUCUUCUGGUUUUAGGACCUUAGAUCCUUAAACAAAAAAAUCAAGAAAAUGACUAUGUAUAAUUUAAAGUAAUUUUUUGAUAGGUCAUGUUCAUCACCAAAACUGCAUGUGCCUGUCAUAUCUGACAAAACAAAUACAUAUCUAAGAAUACAAGAGUUAAUCUACAUAGUUGUACAAGAAGAAUGAAUGACUUUGCGACUCCAUUUUUUCGUUUAAAUUAUGAAACAUUGCAUGUGUUCAUGUACAAUUGUGAUUCCAUUUUUUCGUUAGAAUUAUUAAACACUGCAUGUAUUCCUUAUUUUGCUGGUACAACAGUGUAUAUUUAUAUACCGAAAGAUCACUAUAUACUUGAUCUAGGUAUAUAUACUUACGUAUUAUUAGAAAAAAAACGCAGGUUCAAAACGUGAAACGUUCCAAGUUGCUACAUUAUUAAUAUAUAAAAAUUAAUAUCGCUGAUCUAAAAUGGAACAUGUUAUUCCAAACAUCAUAAAGAAGAGAAGUAAGCGCCUUCGUACCCUGUCUACAUACAUCUCCUGAGUCUAAACGGAAAAAAGUAUCAUCCAUGGACAACUACUGCUAUUGCGCUAUUGGUAGACAACACGCGCGCAGGCGCGCGCGUAACGCACUAGUCUAAUCACCAAAAUACUUAUAGAAAUGGCCCAAGGGCACAUUUCCCUUUCAGUGUUGCAAACUUCCUUUGCAAAAAAAAUCCUUGUCCCCUUCUUCCCCCGCCAGAAGCAUGGGAACGACAGCUUCGAGUGUCGUUGCAUCCUCGUCAGUAGCCUCCUCCUUCAUCGUCGGUCGUCGCCUCUGGCCUCGCCACUCCACUGUCGACAAAUGCCUCGGGCCACCUCGGCGAGGUCCUAUGGUUCACCGCUAGUUGCCAUGGUCACCGCAUCCAGCCACCUACGUCCUCAUGGGCCUCUGCCUCCGCCAUCGACCAUGUUACGCGCUCCUCCACCGCCCAAUCGCCUUCGUCCUAGCUUCUGCCCAGUCGACUGGAACUAUCACGAACCAUACGUAGCCAGGGUUAGUACCACCUCGCUUGUGGGAGAGAGUCAUGGUCGGCUUAUAAGAGUGAGCUUCCCUCCUCUCUCUCAGCAUGGGUUUUGAGAUGUGAGUGCGGGGCUCGCUGCUGAAGACCGGCCCACGAGCGCAUGAACGACCGAACGCAUGUCGAGUGUGGGUUUUUCGGUGGACUGGCCUAGGUACGCUGACAAAUGGUAUCAGAUCCUAAGCCCGUCUGUUUAGGGGGAUAGGAUGUCACGAACCAUGUGUAGUCUGGGUUAGUACCACCUCGCUUGCGGGAGGGGAUGUAGCCGGCUUAUAAGGGUGAGCUUCCCUCCUCUCCCCGCCCGAGUUUUGAGAUGUGAGUGCAGGGCUCGCUGCUAAAGACUGGCCCACGAGCGCAUGAACAACCAAACGCAUGUCAAGUGUGGGUUUUUCGGUGGACUGGCUCGGAACGCUGAUAAGAACUCACCGUAGUGAAAGGACCAGGACACGCUGGGUCCUGCAUGCAACAAACAUCUGAACCCCAUGUAAUUAGCCGGCACACGCCUUAACCACUUGAAAAAAUUCUUUGCAUCCUAGAUGUAAACGUGGUCCUUUGCAGCCCCUCACAUCCACCACCUCGAGGCAUAUAUAAAUUGAAAAAAAACAAAUUACCAAAAGAUUAAGUUGCAAAUUUGAUCUGUUUUGGUGGGUCUCCAGGUGGUGGAUGUGAAAUACUGCAAAAGAGUGUGUUUGCAUCCGAAAUGUAGAGAAUAUAUUUCCUAACCACUCCACCAAAACACUAUUUGGUAUAUUUUUUACUCGUUUUACAUAAACAUGGUACUAUAUGAUAUAAAUGAAAAGAGGCUUGAACAAUGCAAGGGCCCUCUUUAUUUUUCUUUACAAUAGCCGAAAAGAGAAGAUAUUUUAUUUGUUGUUGUUUUGGCGGACCAGUGAAACAUGUUUUUGGAUCUUGGCUACUAGAGGUAUCAUCAAAAAUAAAAAAAAUAUGAUUUUUACAAGUGUCGUAGCAUUAUAUUGGGCUAUCUGGACUAGUGGGAAUGAUUUAGUUUUUAUAAACCCCUAUGGUUACUUAUUUGCAGGUGAUGUUUUGAAUGAUGUAUUGGCUUAGACUUUGGGCUCAACUUCAAAAGGAUGAAGAGGUUAUAAUAAAGGUGGCAUGUAAGCGAUUGGAGAUGACGUCUAUCCAAAUUUUCGCUCACUUUGGCUGGAGAUUACGAAUCGGAUCAUGUCUGUUUAGAUGUCGUCAAAGUCUGUUUUAUUUCUCUUAGUUGUUUUGUUUUCUGUUGAAUUCAGUUCGGUGAUUUUUUUAUGUGGUGGUCAAGGACCGAGCCAGAAAAAAGUUUAGGAAGGACUAAACUAAACUGUUGCAGUAUAGAAGCCCUUCGUUAUAUUGUAUAUAUUUUAGAUUAGAGGAGCCUCUAGUGAGGCUCUAUAGGACCGGAAGCAGUAGGGGGCUCGAGACCCGUCCGCCCCAUCGCUGAAUUUGUCCCUGGUGGCCGAAUUUUUUGUAUUUUAGCCCUUAAACAGAAGUAAAAUCACGUUUAGACCUAAAAAAAUUUUAAAUGCAGUUUUGGACCCUUUGCUCGGCGCCAUAGCCUAUGGCGCCGAGCUAACACAGCUCGGCGCCAUAGGCUAUGGCGCCGAGGUCGUGUUGCGUUGGCACAACCCAGACGCGUGGCGUCGACGUGGAACCGAGCUCGGCGCCACAGAUCUUGGCGCCGAGCUCGGUUGUGUUAUUAAAAUAUUUGUUGCAGACAUGAGCACAAAGCCCAUCUAGCCCACUUGGUAGAGCACAAGGCUUCUAACCAUGUGGUCGUGGGUUCAAGCCCCAUAGUUUGCAUUUUUUUGUUUUUUUUGUUUAUGUCAUUGGUGUGUCCGCUUAAAUUUAUUUCUCGCCUAGAUUUUUUUUAUCUUUGUUUUGUCACUGAAGUCAGUUCAGCUUAUAUAAUUUACCUAUACUUACACUGAAGUUUUGCUAAAAAUUUCUAGCCAUCUGUCCCUUCCAAGGUGUAAGGGAUCAAGAGCAAAAGCCCAAUACAGUACAGCCGAAUGUCGCCUCGCAACACCGUCGACAUGCAUGCAUGGUCACUCUUUCAGCUGUACACACGUAGCUGGCACGACGUGUGCAGUGCGCGUAGGUAUAUACGCCCAGAUGUAGCACAGGACAUACAUGUCUUAUUGGCAUGCAUGCAUCAUCUAGGAUGGCAGGGAUCGAUCGGACCAUUUUGUAAAUUAAGAAAACGUUAACUUGGUUGAAACCUAGAUUAAUUUGUAUAUUCGUGCCGAGAAUAUAUAUGGUUUAUCGUCUCAGCUAGAGCUAGGAAUAAUGGCAUGCAGACGACAUAGGUUAUGGCGCCAAGGUACGUGAUACGCCGAGAUUAAAAAAAAUCUAGGCGAGAAAUAAAUUUAAGCGGACACACCAACGACAUAAACAAAAAAAAACAAAAAAAUGCAAACUAUGGGGCUUGAACCCAUGACCACAUGGUUAGAAGCCUUGUGCUCUACCAAGUGGGCUAGAUGGGCUUUGUGCUCAUGUCUGCAACAAAUAUUUUAAUAACACAACCGAGCUCGGCGCCAAGAUCUGUGGCGCCGAGCUCGGUUCCACGUCGACGCCACGCGUCUGGGUUGUGCCAACGCAACACGACCUCGGCGCCAUAGCCUAUGGCGCCGAGCUGUGUUAGCUCGGCGCCAUAGGCUAUGGCGCCGAGCAAAGGAUCCAAAACUGCAUUUAAAAUUUUUUUAGGUCUAAACGUGAUUUUACUUCUGUUUAAGGGCUAAAAUACAAAAAAUUCGGCCCUGAUGGUGGUGUAAACUGUUUGUCAUAUCCUACAUGUGAGUGAAAAGGCCGGAAUGAUGUUUUUCCAUUAUCUAAAAAUAGAAGAAUAGGGUAAGAGGAGUGCGGCUCGAUGAAACUAAUGCUUAAAUGCCUAGUUUAGUUGUAAAUUUAGCAAAGAUAGAAUGUCUUAUGAAAUUUACUCAAACAACACAGGACUUUCGAAUCUAAAAUACAUGCAUCCUUAAUUACAACAAAGCCAUAGCAUCCUAGGACAAAACGCUGCUUUUGGCAUGCUUGAGGUCGUAAAUGCUCUCUCUCUCUCUCCUCUAGAAGCCCCUAGUAGAGUAUGUUUUUUUCAAAUUGGCAUGCGUACACCCAGCUCCCUCUUCCAUUUUUGCCCUUUUCAUUUACAAAUUCGGACCACAGCAAUACUUCUGUACACGCGGCACAACCAUACCCAUACGUCAUCUGUGAUGAACGGUCAGGAUCUGACGACCUGGCUCCUCCACAUGCAUGCAUGUCCUUCCGUUCCACUCCACCGAUGCAGCGCCAGCGACGUCGACGUGCGUGAAGCGUGAUCACGAUCACGACGCGCCGGCGCCAAUCUCCUCCACCAUCGAUGCCGCCUCCGCCACGCUGAGCCGGCGCUCCGGCUCGGGGUUGGCGCAGCGCACGCCUACCCGGAGCAGACUCACGGCGGCAUCCCGGCCGGCCGCGGCGAUGGCGGGGUCCACGAGGUCCCGCUCGCCGCCCUCCGCCACUGCCGUCGCCGCCCAGUUCACGACGUCGGUGCCGCCGCGCGCGUUGAGGAGGUACUGCGACGGGAACCGCCCCGUGACUAGCUCCAGGAGCACGACGCCGAGGCAGUAGACGUCGGAGCGCGCCGACACGACCCCGCGCGUGGUGCCCUCGGGCGACCGGAACGCGAACAUGGCCUGCGGCGCCUGCGCCGCGUUCACCAGCGGGAAAAAACCGUAGUCCACCAGCCGCGGCUCCAUGUCCGCGUCCAGCAGGAUGUUGCCGGACUUGAGGUUCCCGUGCGGCGGCGGCGGCGGCGGCGCGUCGAAGUCGGCGCCGUCCAUGCUCACCAGCCGCCCCGCCGGGAUCCCGAGCCUCUCGUGGAGGAACGCCAGGCCGCGCACCACGCCCACGGCGACCCUCAGCCGACCCUGCCAGUCCAGGAUCAGCCUGUUCGGACUCUGGUCGCCUGCCAGUUAUUAAUUAGAUCGAGGUGAUUAGUCACGUCACGUGAUUAGGUUAGCUGUGCUAGUUAACCAAUCAGAUGGAGAUGGUUGCCAUACCAUGCAGGAUGUAGAGGAGGCUGCCGCGUGGCAUGUACUCGGAGACGAUGAGCUUCUCCUCCUUGCGGUAGUGGUAGCCGACGGGCGGGAGCACGUUGGGGUGGUGGAGCCCGCCGAGCAUCUGCACGUGCUGCUCAAACUCCUCGCGCCCGACGCGGUUCAUGUCGCGCAAGCGCUUGACGGCCACGGUGACGCCGUUGCGCAUGGCGGCCUUGUACGCCGACCCCAGGGUGCCGUUGCCCAGCACCUCGGCGGAGGCCUUCAUCAGGUCCGGCAGGCCGAACGCGGGGAUGUGGUCGUUCAGGAGGACGAACUCGCCCAUCCGCCGCCCGCCGUGGCUGGACGACCCGCCGGCCACGUCCACGGCCACCAUCUCCCCGGCGCGCGGCGCCGCGGACUUGCUGGCGCUGGCGCCGGCGCCGACGGCCGUGCCGGCGUAGUAGUCCCACGCCGGCGCGGCGCUGUUCCUCUCGUCCUGCCGCAGCAUGAGCACCAUGGCACCGCUGACCAGCAGGAUGACGAGCAGGAUGAUGCCGACGACCACGAACACGCUGGUCUCCUCCUCCGUGGCCGCGUAGUCCGCCUCCGUGGGCGACGGCAUGGCCGGCGGGAGCGCCGGGCCGGCGGCCACGCACACCGCGGCGUCGCUGCCCUGCGAGCCGCACAGCCCGGGGUUCCCGGCGAACGAGGACGCGUCGUAGCGCACGGCGACGCUGGGCGGGAUGGAGCCGCUGAGGCGGUUGUGGGACACGUUGAAGCGCUUGAGCGAGUCCGGCAGCUUGGACGGGACGGGCCCGUCGAUCUGGUUGUGGUCGAGGUGGAGCUCGAUGAGGCGCGGCGCGCUGGCGAUCGCGUCGGCCGGCAGCGGGCCCGUGAUGCGGUUGUUGUCCAGGUAGAGCUUCUUGAGCCACCGCAUGUUGGCGAACACGGCGGCGGGGAUCGGCCCGGAGAAGUUGUUGGAGGACAGGUACAGCGCGCGGAGGCCGCGCAGGGUGCCGAGGCUCGGCGGCAGCGGGCCGGAGAGGGCAUUGUGCUUGAGGUUGACGGAGUGCAGCCGCGGGAGCUUGGCGACGGCGCCGAAGUCGAACGUGCCGGACAGGUUCAUGUGCGUGAGCCGGAUGCCGACGAGGCUGCCCUUGUAGCACUGCACCCCGGGCCAGGGGCUCGCGGCGUCGCACGGCGCGAACGGCGACGCCGCCGACCACGCCUCCAGCCUACCGGUCGGGUCCGCGAACGACUUCUUGAGAUUUAAGAGCGCCGCCAUCGCCUCCGCCCCUUCCUGCGGCAUAUUGCCAUCGUCGGCAGCGGCUGCAAUGAGGGGGAGGAGGACAAGGAAGAAGAAAAAAAGAGGUGGGAGCCGGAAGGCGAGGAGGGUGACCAUGACCGGGUGUGGUGGUGGUCAGAGCCUGUCCUCUAGCUUUCUCCCAGCUCUCUCUUCUCGGACGGAUCCUGCCUUUCGUGGCGCUGCUUCGCCCUGGUUUCUGUCUAACGCCUCCUCCAGUGGUUGCGCUGGCGCCCAAAAAUAGGUAGGGUGCCCCUGCCCCCGCAGCUGAGACGGCAAGCGACCAACGGGAGAAGACGAUGCGAUGCAAUGCAAAGCAGCAGAGGUACGGUGCUCCAGCUUCUUUCAGAACAGGUGUGGAGGAAUGUAAUGGGAGACCAAGGCUGGAUUACAAUUACAACAGAGGAUGUCCUACAGCUAAACCUCUCUUUCUCCCUCCCUGGCCUGGCAGGUAAAAUGGUCCCUGGCUAAAUAUAGCCAGGGUGCAAAAUAAGCAAGGAUUAAAUUGGUAAAAGCUGAAACAGCUUCAUGUUCGUUGUUGCAUUGCACGAAUAUAACAUGCUAGAAAUCAAAUGCGGAAAAUGAGGCAUAGGAUAUGUUUACCUUCGUUUAGAAAUUAUACAUACAUAUGCUUUUCUUCAUAACCACAAGCCCACAACCAGUAAGCCUUUUAAGAAAACAAAAUCAUCCUCCGAAGAACCUUACGUAACUUGAUAUGUAAUACUUCUCUCUAAUAAAUGAAUUGAGUACCGAAGAAUUUCUUGCUGUACAUCUAAACCAAAGAAAAAUUGUCUAUAUGCCAAAUUUUGUCUAAUACUUUAUUUCCAAUCGCAAAUGUCCUAAUCUCUCGUAAUGACACUCGGAUGGAUGCAAUUUCUUACCUUUCCAUGCCACCGGCGACGGCAUAAAAAAAUAUAAGAAAACUGCAUGUCCUGGUCCCUUCUAUACCACUAGCAAUGGUAUGGAAGGAUAAGAAAUUGCAUUAGGAUAUUUGCGAUGACAAAUAAGUUAUAGGGUACAUUACAAUUACAGUGGAGUACAGGAAUUCCCCCUAAGACAAAACACUACAAACACUGCCAGCAACCUGUGGACAGCAAAAGAGUAAACCACUUCGUACACUAUCACCAAUCCUCCUAACUAGCAAAAACAAAUUCAGCAUCCAAAGUUACAUUUGUCAUAUGUACACACAUCACCAUCCAUCGGCACUCAGCCUGGGCUACCUCGGUUCCUGGACAAUCUACUGUACAUGCUCCUGCCUUGAAAGCUUGAACAGCUCCGCAAUGAGCUCCAGGUUAAGCAUCUUCGUCUCUGGUAUUCGAUAGUAGACGAGAAAAAGCGGAGCGCAGCACACAAGUGCAUAGAUCCCACACGCUCCGCCAAGCCCGAUGGUGCUCAACAUCACCGGGAAGCAGUACGCUGAAAGCAGGCCCCCAAACCAGAAGGAAAGCGAACAGAAACUUGCACAUGUCGCACGGGCCUUGGUUGGGAAUAUCUCGGAGCAGAGAAUGUUUGGUAUCGGUCCCAAACCAAUGACAUAGGACCAGAAGCAAAUGGUUAAUGCGAAGUGGAAGAGGACGGCACUUUCGAACGGUCCCAUAUUCACCAGGGUGGACAUAGACAUAACACUCAAUGAUAGUAUCAGGACAGGAGUAGUGGCCAGCACAAUAACCCUGCAAAAAAUGUUGAGAUGUAUUAAUAAGUAGUUUCUCUUAGAAACCGGAACAUGAUUAACUAAAAAACUCGACCUACAGGCUACAGGGGUAAGAUAGCCCCCAAGUGUUGUAUUAAGAAGAAGACAUUCUCUCUCGCACAGGUCGAGAAAACCCCCGAACCCUGCCCCACCCAUACACAGCGGCAAUGAAGCACAUAUGAGAACGACCGCGACUGAGGCUGAGCCUUAGACCCGUGCUUUGGCGUGGGACAGACGAGGGGAUUUUUUGAACCACAGCCUGAAAUUCGCUCCCACGGUAAGUCGAACACAGGACCUGAGGAGUGCUACUCAGACCACCUAAUCAACUCAGCUAGAGGCCCUUUCGCGGGAACAUGAUUAACUAAAAAUGGAUGUAAUUCAAAAUCAUGAUCGCUACAUGAAAAAGACAAACUUGUUGCUGGAAAAGUCUGCAAAGCGAAAUGUUGAUAGAUAAUGUUGGCAAAGGAUUUUUAUUUUACGAUACUAAAAGCAAAUGAACCUAAGAAGCAAAGUGUGGAAUCACAACUAUCAACUAUGCAACGUCAGAGGAGUACUGGAGUUCAGAAAUGGCACAUCUAAUGCUGAUCCGGUGAGGCAGGAAAAGGAUAUAAUAGACCAAAUGAUGUAUAUAUGAACAAACCUUUUUUUCUCUUGGUCAUGUGGAUGCAUUUCUACUAAUUGUAAAUCAACAUUAUUUUGAAAUCUUAAUUUUCAUGGUGUCUCAGAUUCUACCUUCUCCCGCAGACAUCCAUCAGCAGCAUUGCGGCAGUUAUACAAGGGAGUAUCAGCAAAGCAUUAAGGGUACUCAUGAGAAUUGAUGUUGAAUGAGGAGAAAGUCCAAUGUCUGAAAACAAACUAGCCACUCCAGACUGCUCAAAUAUUUCAGGAGCGCAGCGGAGAAGACCACUGAUUCCUGUAGACUGUAUUUUUUAGAAGAGCAAACAAGAAACAAGCAAAAAAGAACGUGUCAGCAGACUAACUAGCAUUCUGUAUACAUGGUAGCCAGUGCGCAAGUAAACUGAACUCCAUGCUGAAUUGAAUACAUAAUCUACAAUAACACAUAAUCGUACUUGCUGAAGGGCUUGAAUUAACAUGCCAUAACAUAAGGCAUGCCUGAUUCCUGGUUGAAGAAGCACCCGCCAUUUAAACUUCAUAUCAGCUGUUUCAGAUAACCGGACUAUUUGAUGUCUGAAUGGAUGUCUCCCGGUGCUUUCCAUAUCACGAGGUGCAGACUGGUGAGGCAAUGCAAACCCAUGGAUUUCUUCUUCUUCUUCUUCAAUGUCAUAAUCAUGUAUAGACGCCAUAAACUCUUGUGCAAGCACUGAUGUUCCAUGCCUUCUUAAAUAUGAAGAGCUCCCUUCAGAAGUAAAAGAGGUAUUUGUAUCAUUUACUUCAACACUUGCUGCCUGAGAAAGCAGAGAAGCCCUUAAACCAUCUCCAUUAUUAGCUUCUCCAGCAUAAUAAGUCUCCCUAGUCUGUUGAUCACUGUUACCAUCCCUGUGUUCAUUCAUAUGUUCAUGCUCUGGAAAAGAAAAACUGUUGAAGACUGGGAAGAAACUAUUCCGUCUACUUCCUCCUUCUGACAUAUUCUCAUGAACGCUUCCGAGAAGAUCAACUAGUGGGUCUGAAAGCUGCCAAUAAAAAGUACUACGGGGCCAAGUGUGGCUAGCACUGGUUCCAGAGAAACUCUGAGCACGAGCAGCGCCAACAGUGGAGUCCGAUAUGAUGUCCACACCUUCCACAAUAGCAGCUAUCUCUCCUGCAGGUCUAUGUGAUGUCAUGAUGCAUUUAUGCUUCUUAAUUCUUGACAAAAUAGAAAUGAACAAGUGAUUGGCUCGAUUUACCAAAACAAGACAGUCUGUUAAUGCAUCAUGUGUAAUUAAAGCACCAUCAACCCCCAAUUAUAUUGACAUAUUGUUGUCAGUACUUUAUCAGCAUUGCUUCACAGCCUUUAACUGUAAAACAAAACCCUCAUCCAAUUGUACAAACUCUAUGUUAAGUAUGUAAUGUUAAGUGACCCUUAUGUUUACAAUGUUACACCAUAAAGGUUCUAGGACAUGAAUAAGAGGACUGAAUUAGUUCCCAAUCAGUUCUUUGAUAUGAAGUCAUGUAUUACUAGGCCACUAUGUUACUUACAUAGUUCUGUUAGUAUCUUCUAUGUUAGGAGGCCUUUUGUAUGUAAUGUAAGAGGUUGUUCAAUUAGCACCUCCAGUGACAAGCUGAAAUUAAAAGAUCGUAUCUCUUCAAUUAUCAUAGUUCUGACUGCGUGGACACAAGACAAAGAAAUCGGUGGAUAGAACAGCACCAUCCAUCACCCAUUAAAUGCCACAAAAAUCAGGUUCAUGGUCCCACAAUUCAACUGACAACAGUAAUAUUUCUAAACUACAGAUUUAGUUUGUAUGGUCAUGCUGUCAAACAUUGGUUACAACUUUACAUUUCUCAAGUCCCCGCAAUAACGACAUCUAUUUACUCAGUUCCCUACUAAUUAAGACUGAACCAUCUUCAGAUGAAAUAGUAGCUUGUGAAUAAAUUUGGAAGCAUUGUCAAGUGGCAACAAUCUCACCUGAAACAUCAUGUUUCUUUCCUCUAAGCCACUGCAGAGAAACUCUGGCCUCACUAAUCUUUCCAUCACUUGCAAGCCACCUAGGUGACUCUGGCAAGUAGUAAACCAACAAAGCAAAGUACACGAUGGAAGGAGCAAAGAUUGCACCAAUCAUGAUUCUCCAGCUAGGUGAAGACAUUAAUGUUAACCAGAAUAUCAGGCAAUAUGAAAAGAUAGUUCCUAUGAAGAACAUAAACUGUGGCAUAGUUCCAAGUAAGCCCCUCAUAUUUGAAGGAGAUGUUUCGGAUAUAUAAAUAGGGACACAGGUGAAAACCAACCCACUUCCUGAUCCAACAAUUAACCUAGCUAGAAGUACAAUGUAGAUGUUAGGAGACCACAGCAUCAAGACGCCACCCGAAAAUAAUACCAGAGACGAGUAAACCAGUAUGACACGUCUUCCGAGCCAAUCUAAUAGCGCGCCAGAGAAUAUUGUUAUCACAAUAGCCCCAAAUGUUGAGGCUGCUAAUGUUAUACCUUCAAUAGAAGGUCCAUUCAACAAUUCAAAUUCUUUUUCCAUAUGAUGAUUAGCUUCUGUCAGAUGAUAAAAAAUCAUGGUUAGCAUGGUUGUAAGAUAGUUGAGAUCUCUAAUGGAGGUAAUUAAUGUAUAAUGACAAUCAAUAGAGCACAAAAUUAAAAAAUACCUGAUAAUGCUGCAAAAUCCCAUCCAAGCAAUGCAUACCCAAUAGAAACAACAGCUGUUGAAAACACUGUUGACUUCAUCUCAUCAAGUACUAUAGCCCUUUUGCAAACAAUUAUAAAACCUAGAAAAUAUGAAACCUGUGAGAAAAAACUUGCUUAAAAUAGAAUCCAGUCAAGUUAAUUUUUUUAAGGCAACCAGUUGAACUUCUCAUCUCAAAGUUAGACAAACAGUUGCCUGUCUACAAACCCAUCAGUCACUACACCAGUUAUGUUACAACAUAUGAACCCUCGUUUGUUUUAAAAUUAGCAGGUUAUAUAGCUAUGUCAUAAACUUACGUGUGGUAAUUGUGUCAUUUGUUAUAAGAAACUUUAGAUACUUCUCCAGUGUGUUCAGUUUUACAUCUCAAAAAUAGUUAUAACCUUUGAUUCCAUCUAUAGUGACAGCACAUUUGAUUGAUACUAGAAAAGGCACUCUGAAAGGCAGCAUACAUGAUUAAAUGCACAACAAGCAGAAUAUAUCAGGACUCUUCAAAAUGUGUGUAAAAAUAUCCUGCUUUGACAGUUCAGUUACCAGUAGACCACAUUAAGGACUUGUUCGGUUAUUUCCAUCCCAUAGGGAUUGGAGGGAAUUGGAAAAAAUUAAGAAUUUUUUUGACUUGCUAGGGAUUUAAACUCACUCAAUCCCCUUCAAUCCACAUGGAUUGAGAUUAAAACGGACAUGCCCUAAGGUGGAACCAGAUGCAAAUGAAUAAACAAUAAAAGAGAUAUAUGACAAGAAUGUGUUCAGGGAGCAUUUGAGUGAAGUUUUUUACUGUGUUAUAGAUUACUCCAACUCUGAAUGACUCCAUCGGAGAAUCCUCCUCUCACAUUUGUCAAUUGUAAAAUCCUUCUCACACCUCAACUGCCACUAUCCUGUCAUUCCUGUGGCUCACACCCAGCGGAUCCAACUCCUCUAACUUGCCACCAUUACGUCACUGUCAUCUCAAUUUACAGUCUAUCAUGCUCGCUGAUGCUUGCCAGUAUCAUGCAGCACCAUACCAUUUCCCACACCAGGUUUGUCCCAUUUUCCGAGAGAAUCUGAUAUUUGCCAUUAUAAUGAAACAGGUUCGCAAAAUUGCCAGCAGACCCACGUUUCAGACUCAGAUGGACUUACAAUUCAUAGACACAGUGGCAAAUAUAACAAUGAGGCAACGUUUUGAGUGGUAAAAUACCAAUUAUUUCCCCCUUUUCCCCAUUCUCAAUCUAUAGUCAGAGAAUCUGCCCUGGUGAAACCAAACCCAAAUAUAUAAGAUACUCAUGCAAGUUCACAAAACCCAAGUGCACACACAAACAUGAAUACACCAAUCACCCUACACCUACAUCAUCAUGCUGAUCACCUCUAAAAGUCCCCACCAAUUCCAAGCCACUACUGCCAAGUGCAACUGCAAAGUUUCCAUGUUUACAUUAGUUCUCUUGACUGACGGGUCCACGGAAUUUAAAGAAAAAUAUGUUAAAUUAUCAGGAAUACACGGCUCAGAUACAUGAGUUUUCUCCGUCUACUGUUGUCUAAACAUAUUAUUAUACAGCUGCUUGACAAUUUAAACCCUAGAAAUGAGGCAAUCACGAGCAUUUAGAAGCAUGACUGAUCCAUUGCAGCUCUUUGUUUUUCUGUUUGUUUAUCCCAUUUGCAAUAUUUAGCUAACAAAGGGCAAAGUCACAACAGCUAAAAUGGCCCCAACAAUCAGUAAAAAAUUGCUGAUCCAACCAACCCUGCAGAGCAUGCAACGCAAGAUGUGUAUUGAAGGAUAUGCAUGGAGGGUAUGCCAUAAAAAAAUCAAAGACAGCAUGCACAGUACGGUACAGACAUUAGGAGAAGUAAUACUUUUUGGGUGUAAAACACAAUACUUGUCAAAACAUAUUUGGAAUGGGAUCAACUUUGUCUAUUUGUGAAAGUAUCAAGUAUGGAACACCUGUCAGAAGUCAAAACAAGAUAAAAAUAACCCCAGUGGAGAAGUGGAAAGAUAUGGCCUUCUAAUAAUAGGGGUUCGAUUAAAAACACUCAGCAAAUUAAGUAGCAUUUGUAAUUAUCACGAGCAAUGGUGAACCAACGAAAAUCAAUGUAGUCAGCUGUAUUUCAAAUAUCAACCAUCAGCAUUGUCCACAAGAAAUGCUCUUAAUUAUCUCCCAUCUCUCUAAGAGAAUAUGUGUUUGAUCUUUACGGAAAUCGACUCAACUAUAUGACCCCACAUUCAGACAGAAUUUACAAACAAAUGUAAAAUCAAAUAUCCCGCCAAAAAAGUAGAAAUAGAACUACUGGGGUACAGAAACAUUUGAGAAACCCAAUCCAAGUCAUACAACGAAUGUCGGCUGAUUGGCCCAUCUCACAUCAAAUACAGUUCUUCGUUUUUAACCUCGAUCACCUGGCCUGAGGAAUCACAAGUGGUUUCGCCAUUUUCUUCCAUCAAAUGUCAGCCGAAGCACAUGGCGCGGCAUACAGAAAUCCACAAGCGUGCAGUACAGGUAGGCAUAGUGUGCACUGUGAACUGAUUGUAGAUGGGCACGUGCUGCUAUAAUUCCCGAUUGCAAACACAAGGUUCAUCCAGAAGCACGAACGGCCAACUAGUUUUACCAAUAUGGGCAGGGAGCCCCAAAAGCCAAUCCAUAUCACGAUACGCUGGGCUUCUUCCACUUCCUUAUCUAUAUACUGUAGUACCAUAUCAGGAUCUUACCAAUCCCGUCCAGUAUGACUAUGAUCUACAGCCACGCCCACCAAAAUAGUGUCGGAAAUACCCGUCGGCACAGACUAUCACAAGCAGGCGUGGACAGGCAAGGAUUCAUCUCCGCCCGUGCUCCGACGCCGCAACAGCCACGGGAGAUCAAGCGUUUCCUCAAUCGACACUCCAAAAUGAGUAAAUGACGCGAGACAGGGGGGAAUAACAGGGAGAAAUCAUCACCUGUGAGCGUGCGAGUUCACGGGAGGGAACCAGCUGGUGCGGGGGCGGACGGAGGAGAGGCGGGGCGGGUUUGGUCGCCGCCGGCAGCUUAGAUGCGGAGGAUACGCGACGGCGUCAGCGACAAGCGGCAGCGGCAGCAGGGACUAGGGAGACUGGAGACGAUGAUGAUUAGUUGCACAGAUUAGCAGAGAUGGAGACACGGAGAGAGCGAGGGGAGAAGAGAAAACUGGGGUAGGGGGUAGAUUUGCUGGACUGCGGCCCUGCCGUCCGUUGGUGGAUCAACGGCGCUGAGUUCACCUACAUGCGUUGGAUCGGUGGCAGCUGGCUAGGAGUUGAUCGAAUGGGAUUAAAUAGGAUUACAUUACUUCUUUAUUUAAAAUUGAAUGAAUGGAAGAGGAUUUAAUCUCCGCUCAGGGCUAGCUUGGAAACUCUAUUUUCGUAAUAGCUUGUUUGGAUAUCGAUAUUAGAGUAUAAAAUUGGGAAUUAGCUUUCCUAAAUUCUAUUAUUUGAUUACACACAAAAUUGAGAUUUGGAAUUAGAGACUUAGUUCUCUGGAAUUGGACUAUAACUAGAAACUCCAGCUCUCAAUACAUAGUCUCACCCCUGCGUAUUUGCGUGGAAUUAAACGACACAAUUCUAAACUCCAAUUCAUCAACAUCCAAAUUGUAAUUACAUCUCUUCAAUACCAUGGUUGAUUGGUAUUAAACACAAUUCAAUUCCAUGUUCUCUAAUAUCGACAUCCAAAUGCAUAAUACCUCGUUUUGAUGUAGAUAUUGGAACACAAAAUUAGAAAUUGGAAUUAGCUUUCUAGAAUUCUACUGUUUUGUUGCACAUGGAAUUGAGAUUUUAAAACCAAAGACUCAAUUCCUUAGAAUUAGACUACAACUAGAAACUCUAUAUCGCAAUAUAAAACAUCACCCCUUUGUAUUGCGUGUAAUUGGACCACAUGAUUUCAAACUCCAAUUAAGUGACAUUCAAACAAUAUAAUUAGAAUUACAUUCCAUUUCAAUAUUAUGGCUGAUUUGGUAUUGAAUCCAAUCAAAUUCUAUGUAACAUUCAAACGGAGCAUAAAAGGAUUUUAUUUUCUCAAUAAAAAAUAAACUAUUUUUUGGAAAAAUAUCAAGAGAAAAUAAACUACUUUCCAUUAAAAAAUGGUCCAUGUUUACCAAACACCGGUAUCUCGGUCAUCUGGCUCAAGUGCUGCGCCCACAGGAACGCACACUUUGCACUCUACCCCUCGAGUUUCUCCACAACCGCAACGAGCAUCCACUCACCCAUUGACACAACACACUCCGGGGACAGGGCACGGUUGGAGAUCACGACAACAUAAGGGUCCGAAACGAAAAUCCCGCACGCCCGUGGAAAUAUCCACCCGCGGCCCGGGUCACCCCGCAAGGCCGCAACGCCUCCGCUUUCAUUCUUCUCUUCCCCUCGGCUUCGAGGGUUAUUUUUAUUUCUUUCUUUCCUUUUUUCGUUUUUAUUUUCUUUUUAUUUUCUUUUUUCUUCCUUUUCUCGUUCCCCCGUUGGGGUUUUGAGCUCCGACGAACCCUAAUAAUCGCCGGGGACCGGCGGCCGAUCGCCCGCCGGCAUGCACCAUCAGCAGCGGAUGAAGCAGGCGGCGGCGGCCGCGGCCGCGGCGCAGCAGCAGCAGCUGAUGCAGCAGGCACUGCUCCUGCAGCAGCAGCAGCAGUCGCAGGCGCAGCCGCCCUUGUUCCCCGGGCACCACCCGCACCCCGGCCUCCUCGCCGCACCACAGGUGGGGCAAUUCUCUGUGAUUCCUCUUUCUCGUCUCUCCGGUGACGGGUGACGGGUGACGGGCGUGGCUUUUGUGGAAUCUACGAUUGAUGGGGUUACGAUUUGGGGGUUUUCCGCGCUUAAGGCAGCCGGCGGGGUUCGGGAGCUUCGAAUCGGGUUUGUGGAUUUCCAUCCGCAAGGGCUGUUUGGGGUUCCGAGGUUGCGGGUUUCCGCUGGAAUUUUGGGAUUUAGUAGCAGUGUUCUGCGGUCGGUUAUGUCAAUCGCAUCGCCAUUUGUCGCGAUUCUCUGGGAUCCUCGUUGUGGAUGCGGCCAUUUGUCACGAUUCUGGGAUCGUCGAUGCGGGUCGUGCGUGUCAGAAAACAAUUUAAAUUUCUGCUUCGUUGGUAAUUUUAAGAUAAUUUUGUAUCACUAUGUGCAUGGGCCGAGUAUUGUGAUGCCCGAAUCUUUUUGGUUUCACUUUUAGUUUAUUGUUCUCCCCCAAAAAGAUAAUAUGUAUGUUCAGUGGUGCACACUUUCCCAGUUUUGGAGGUUUUGCUUUAGUAUGGUCCGGAUAUUCAUUAUUUGGACUAUGGCAGUGGUGUUUGAGGAGUCAGGAUUGUCAGUUCCUUUUUCUUAGCAAAGGAGCCACUUUGAACUUUUGCAAACUGCAACAUCGUCGGGCUACAAACUGAAUGCGUGAUUUCGGUAGAGCUUUAUGGGAUGCAGAAAGGGAUUCCAUUGCAAAACACAUUGGGCGUUUCAAUGUUAACAGUUUUGGUGCAAAUUGUCCUAAGGUGAAAGUGGGUUCCUGGCAAGGCUGGGUAGGUUAGAAAUCUGCCCCCCUAUGUUUUAUAUACUUCUGCUCUAUCAAUCAAUCAUAUCAUAAAGAAGUGUACUUGUACGGUGAAUUUGUGUUUCCUGUAUCAGGGGUGCAAAUGGUACGUAUAUUUUCUGAACAUAGAAUAUGUUUAGAGGAGUUCAGAUCCGUUCGUAUUUGAGUCUGGAUGUUUAACAUCCGAUACCGCAUCCAUAUCAGAACAAAUAAAUCACAUAUUUAUGAUGUCGAUAUCCAUUCGUAUCCUAUCCGACAUAGCUAGUUGAUACUAUCCAUAUUCGAAUCCGAAUAGAAAUCUGGAAACAAAUGUAAUAUUAGUGAUAUCUGUUUGUGUCCGAUCCAUGUGCACCCUUAUCUUUAUGAUUUCACUGGGUUAUUUGUGGGUAUAGUUUCACUUAUUUGUUUGCCUGGCUCCAGUUUUCUUCAUUUAAGACAAAUGCGAACUGCGUUAUGAAAUCAUAGAUGUUAUCUCUGUUCUUCAUAGAACCUUUUGCUUACACUUGUAUGUCUUUGCAGAUAGAGCCCAUAGUCAGUGGAAACCUGCCUCCUGGGUUUGAUUCAAGUACAUGCCGCAGCGUGUAAGUGUUGGAAGUUGUUCUUUCUCUGAUCUUAUACCCUAGGGACUGCUAUAGUUCUAAAUUCUUCUUUUAAGAACAUCUACAUAAAAUAUGGCUUUUCUGACCCCUUAAUUUCUAAAUGGUCGAAAUGAAACAAGGCCUUUAUGCAGAAUGUUCUGUGUUCAAUGUUAUAGAUCAUAUUGCCCCUGCAUGCUGUAAUUCUGCAAAAUAAUGUUGACUACCUUUUCUACAUUUAUCUUUUUUGUGCUCAUCGAUCACAUUCUCAAUAGGUAUGUUGGCAAUAUCCAUCUUCAAGUGACGGACACAGUACUGCAGGAAGUCUUCCAAAGCAUUGGUCCAGUAGAAGGGUGCAAGCUCAUCAGAAAAGAAAAGGUGGAUCUUUCUUUAUUUUAAUUAAAAAAUGACUAUAGAUAGCUUGUAACAGAUAAAUCCAUACCCCACCUGUCCCCAACACCCACUCGCCCACUCACCUGUAAAAUUGUGGCUGCCUUUUCAGAUUGCUCUUCACAUCUGAUUUUUGGCUUUGCUUUCCCCGUAUGUCUCAAGUCUAGUUACCAUGAAAAUACAGAGUUACAGACCAUGUAACAUGCUUUGCAGAUUUUCAUUUUCUUUGGCUCUUGUUUUGACGAAUUAAAUCCUUGAUUAUUUCUUUCAACACUUUUUGAUAAGUUUUCUUUUAUCUGAUGCUUAAUUGUAUAUUAGCUGUAUUAAAACCACUGAGAUACAUAAAAUAUUUAUUGUAGUCACUUGAAAAUAAUUAUGAGUAGUACUAGAAUGCUUCCUUAUGGUGUAUUUUUUGUUACUCAACUUAUUUUGGCUGAGCAAACAAAAUGAGUAUAAGACAAGAUUAGCGGGGAGAAGGGGGGAUUGGGUUGAUUAUUGAUACUCCUUUUUGAAUUGUAAAAUAUUAUGCUAAGUUUUUUUAGAACAAAAGUUUAAUUUCAGCUGGCUGACUACAAUCAGCAGUGUGCUAAUCUUCUUCUACUGGAAUGAAAGCACACAUGCACUCUGCAGUGCAGCCUAACCUAUUUAUCUAGGUGGGCAUAACAGUCUCAUUGCUAUUCAUGUUAGCUUUUAAAAGUUUGAUGAGUGCAAUGUGGUAAAUUGAGAUGGCAUCGGGGGGCUGAGCCAUAAAGAUAAGUGAAACUGCAUUUCAUGAAAAGGGCAUAGUUAAUGUGGUUUGACUUCUGGUGGAAUGUAGACCAACUUAUUGACAUGUGCUUCCAUCAAAAGCCAAAAGGGCAUGAGUGCAGGAGGCUCCCACAUGAGUGGGGUCUGGGGGGAGGGAUAAACUCUGGCAAGCCUUCUAAAUAAGUCUGGGGGGAGGGAUAAACUACCAGCAAAUGCGGAGAGGCUGCUUCAAAUCCAUGACAUGGUGACAUGUGCUUCCAUACCUGUCUCUAAAUUAUUAUGUUGUAAUAUCAGUUAAAACACAUACGAGAAUUUAAACAUUUGUGGAUAGAACUUAUCCAUCUGUAGUUGCUGUUUACUGUCUUUCAGAAACACCUUUCGACUAGCAUAUUAUUUCCGGGAUGUGGAAGCAUAGUUAGAACUUAGAAGCUAUUAGAUGCAACGAACAUUUUGAAUGUGAGACAUAUUAUUUUAUUGGCUAAACUUUGAAUGGAUGAAAAUGAUUAUGAUUUUAUAUGGUUGUUCUAGUGCUGUCAAUACUCACACUCUCUCAUCAGUACCCCUUUAUCUUAGGAUUAGGAUAUCUUAAUCUGGGAUACUGCAUUUUCAUAUGUAUAAUGUGUUAAUUGUUAAUGAUUUAUGUAGAUUUUCUUAUCCUUUAUAUAUUAAAUUGUUUAUGGCAAUGUGAUCUUAACACUUUCUGUUCUGAUGUUGCAGUCAUCCUUUGGUUUCAUUGACUACUAUGACCGCAGAUAUGCUGCACUAGCAAUUUUAUCUCUCAAUGGCAGACAACUGUAAGUUUUUUAUUGGUUUUGUACUCUCCACUCCUAAUUGUAAGUCGUUUUGGCUUUUCUAUAAUCUAUGUUCAUACCUUUUACUAUGUACCUAGACACAGUGUAUAUCUAGGUGCGAAGAAAAAGCUAUGUACCUAGAAAAGCCAAAAUUACUUACAGUUCAAAAGGGAGUACGUGCUAAUUCCUCUUAACAUUGCCCUUGUUUUGGCUCUGAUUUUUUAAUACCACCAAAAUUCAGGUAUGGUCAGCCGAUUAAAGUCAAUUGGGCAUAUACAAGUACUCCGAGGGAGGACACAUCAGGUUUGGAACUGAAGCUGAAGUGCUGAACUAAUCCUGUAUUUUGUAUUUGUAUUUUACUUGGUUCAAGUCAUGCAGGUAUGUGAAUGUAUGGUUUCUGAAUUCUAAGCUUUGGUGGUGAAUCUUCAUCUAUGCAGGUCAUUUUAAUAUUUUUGUUGGGGAUCUUUGCCCGGAAGUCACUGAUGCUACUUUGUUUGCAUUUUUCUCUGGAUACUCUACUUGCUCGUAAGCACUGCCUGGCUCUCAUCUCUCCUCCAUUUACUUGUCAUUGUUGACAUUUUAGCAGAGUGGCUUGCUACUUGUGCAGUACAUGACAUGUCUAUUUACCAGUUUAGCUUGGUAACUUUUGCAGAGAUGCUAGGGUUAUGUGGGACCAGAAAACAGGACGAUCCAGAGGGUUUGGUUUUGUUUCUUUCAGGAACCAGCAGGUAGUGUCGCCAUUAUUUAAACCCUUUGUGCAUUGUUGCCAUGAACUUUUGGAGCUGCUGUUUCAUCUCGUUAUGUCAUUAUUCCUUAACAGGAUGCUCAAAGUGCGAUAAAUGACUUGAAUGGUGUGUUCUCUAGUUCCAUGUUUCUAACUUAUGUUUCAUUUUGAAGUCCUAAGCUUUCACAAGGUGAUUACACCCGUUCACUUUUCUACUGGCAGGGAAGUGGCUUGGGAACCGUCAAAUUCGUUGCAAUUGGGCAACGAAAGGUGCUAAUGCUGGUGAAGAGAAACAGAUUCUGGACACUAAGGUUGACCUGUCAAAUGGUUCAUCAGGUGAAUACAUGUGCUUUGGCUUCUUGAGCUUCUCUUUUUCUGAGUGUUUCAAAAAGUGCUAGCCGCUAGACGUGCCUAGCAACCUAGGUGGUGCUCAGGUGUUGCUUGACAUUUGUACUUUCUAUGGACAGUAUGCCAUGUUGAAUAAAGUACUUUUGGCAUGGCAUAUCAGAACAAAAAUAUUUUACCAUGCUCCCUUGAGUAAUAUGACUGUAGUUUAUGUUCCUCCAUCUCUAAUUUGCCAUGUUCAUGCAUACAUCAGACCUGUAACACACUUAUCCAGGAAAUAAAGCCUAGACAAAAUGGCUAGGUGCUUUGUCGAGACAGUGCAGCACUGCCUAGGUAGAAUGACAGUUUUUCUCCUCAGUAUGUAUGAUAUGGUACAACAUAUAACAACAAAUUCUGCCAGGCUCUUAUGUUCAACUUUUACCAAGAACUUUUAUUCUGUUAGAACUAUUUCUGAAUACUUUAGUUGUGUGUACUACUGCCUCCAUUCCAAAUUACAGUUCAAUUUAGUUUUGUCCCAAGUCAAAGUUCUCUAACUUGAUGUUAUAUCUAGACUACAAGUUCAAAUAAACGCACUGUCAAGAAGUUCCAUGGAGAAUUUAAUGAAAAUAAUUUGAUGCUGUAGGUGUUUGUGUAUUUUCCAACAACCGUGGUCGCAGUUAGAGAAGUCUGACUUAGGACAAGGCUAAAGUGAACUAUAAUUUGGGAUGGAUAGAGUACAUUCUAAUCUUAGUUUUUACUCCCUCGGUCCCAAAAAAUGACAUCCUAGUAUUAAAUUUCAAAGAUUGUCCAAAAAAACUUGAUCUAGCCCACUAUACAUAAUGAGUCUAUCCACUUUAAUUGAGGGGUCUAAUUAGAUCCAAGCAUGCUAACUAAUCUGCAUGCCUGCAAUCGGUUCCUUAAUUUUGCGUGCACUGUGGAAGGUUACCCAAGUGACAGCCCUGUUUCAAGGGAAAACACUUCCUAAUAAAUAGGGUACCAUGGUCAUUUCCCUCGAUACUAAUAUAUCUGAAAAAUCCUAGGAUGUCAAGUUUUUUGGGAUGGAGGGAGUACAAUUUUGAUUCAUAUGUAAGAUGGGAAUUUGGUAGAAGCCGGAAUUUGGUAGAAGCCGUACAUGUCACAGUUAUGGCUUGAAAUUGACCAGCAUUGCAGCAACACCUUUUAAUCUUUUAUAAUGUUCUGCAGAAUCUGGAAAAGAGAAUCCAAAUGAAGAUGGUCCUGAAAAUAACCCUCAGUUUACUACUGUUUAUGUUGGCAAUCUUCCUCACGAGGUAUUACUCUUCCAAUAGAACAGCUGCUGUCUAUGUUUACUGUGCUUGUGUUUGGCUUUCUAUUUGCUCUUACCUUUUUUUUGUUAGCUUUCUUUUUAUUGUCUAAUUUGUCUUAUUUUUUUUCAGGCUACCAUGAAUGAUGUGCACCUGUUUUUCCAUUCACUGGGGGCUGGUUCAAUUGAGGAAGUCCGUGUAACUCGUGAUAAAGGCUUUGGCUUUGUGAGGUACAGCACCCAUGAGGAGGCUGCAUUGGCAAUUCAGAUGGGUAAUGGCCAACUUAUUGGCGGGAGGCAGAUAAAGGUAUCUUUGGUUCAUGUUUUCACAUUUCCUUGGUAACGGAGAGUAGAUUAGGAUUUAAUAAAACCCUGAAAGUUCCUGGGUCAAUUUUACAAUAGAAUAAUAUUGUUGGUGGGUACGGUAGUAUUACUAGGCUUGCUUUUGGGUCAAAACUCAUUCCUUUUCCAACCCCACCCCACAGCAGGACUCAACCUGGCAAGCCACUCCAAACCUCCUAGCACCCAACCCACUGAAAAAGUUCACCCAACCCAACCCACUGAAAAAAUUCACCCAACCAAGUAGAUACAACCCAAACCCACCUGCAUUGACCGAAAUUUGCUAGGUGGAAAACGGCACCAGGAAGCAUGGUGUAUGCGCAGCGGUCAUCAGAGUGGAGGACGAGGGGCGAAUGGACACACAGCGGCCAUCAGAGAGGAGGACGUGGGGUGGAUGGACACGCAGCGGCAGUCGGGGAAGAGGAUGUGGAGUGGGUGGAUGCGCAGUGGCGGUCGGGGAGGAUGGGUUACCGCGGUGCUGUACCGAGUGCCAACUCUAGUGCUUCUGCUUCCACCAGUCCAGCAAGCACGAACUGCAGCUCCUGUCAACCUUGAGUGCCACCUUUAGAUCGUGCACCUGGACAUCAACCCAUCUCAACCACCGUCUACGAUGGUGCCUAUGAGCUUAGGACAACCGAGGAAUCUGACCACUGCAAGGUCCUGAUGGCUGCUGUACUGGUUGAGGCUGGUGACUGGCGGCGUCCUUAGGGGUCGUCUUCCGUGGAGUUCCUGCUGGAGGGCAUCCUGCUGGAGGGCAACGAUGCUGUCAGGCAGGGUGGUGACCUCCUGUACGAUGCUGGCACCACGUGUAUGCCCUGCACCCACAUCUAUGUCACUCCAAUCAAGUGCUUCUUCCAGACCCUGUCGGCUGUCAGGGUGCUCGGUUUCAUCAUGACCUACCUUGUGGCUGCCCAGCCGCCGGACGAGAGCUUAUUGACGGAUGAAGGACGCUGCUGCGACACAUGCGAGGUGAUCAUCCGCCAGGGCGAGCCGUGCAGCAGUGGCGUAGCAGAGAGCAGCGAGGACAAGCGUUUAGCUGUUGACUGUGGGACUGAGUCUCACCAUCCAUUCAUUCUGAGUGUCAUCUCUCGACCCUAACCUGCCCCCCCCCCCCCCCCCCAACCCAGCCUGCUGAUUAACCCAUUCUAACCCUUCUAAACCAAAUGAGAACCCACCCGGUUAACCCAAACAAACACAACCCAUUAGCAGCAUGCCUAAGUAUUACAUUAUUGGUUUGUAGGUAACAUAAAAUUGGUUUAUCUACAUUAUCCCCUGAAAAUAUAGCCAGAACGUAGAAGUAUUGUUUGCAUUGAUUAAGGUCAUCAGUAGGUAUGCACGAUGUGAUCUAGUUGUUUACUUGUAUUAAUCACAUUGAUCACAGCAAAAUACUGAAGUAGUCUUGUGCCUCAAUUUGUUGCAGUGUUCCUGGGGAAGCAAGCCGACUCCACAAGGGACAGCAUCCUUGCCUCUGCCUCCUCCAGCACUGGCACCAUUCUCCACUGGAGUGUCGGCCACCGACUUGCUGGCCUACCAGCGCCUGGCUCUGAGCAAGAUGGCCUCGAACCACCCAGCCCUAAUGGGUCAGCACUCCUUGAAGCAGGUCGCUGCAUUGGGGAUUGGCGGCGGAGCCAGCCAGUCCAUCUAUGAUGGCGGCUUCCAGGGCAUCAAUACUGUCACCGGCACAACUUCCGCCCAGCAGCAGCAGCAGCUCAUGUACUACUAGAGUACUACUACUCCAUGAGGCACCCAGCUACCUAUCCCUUCAAGAGGAAGGCGAGGAUGAAUGGAUGAUGCCCCUUACUAUACCCCUAUACAUAUAGUAGAUGAUGAAGUCAUUACUAGGACCUUUUUUCCCUAAUCUUUUUAAGACCCAUCUAAGUAACAUGUCCUCUCUAUGCUAGCUAUAUAAUUGUGUAUUUCUGGAUACAUAAAGCCAAGGUUCUUAGUAGUAUAAUCUUCUGUGUUUGACCAUCUUUUAUUGUGAUGUAUGGAUUUUCGUUGGCAAUUACCGUAUGUCACUGGAUAGGGGUGGUAAUGGAUCGUGAUCCAAAUGCUUCUUCACAAUAUUGUAGAGUCCUAAAUAAAUUUCAGUUUAAAAAUGAAUAGAAAUAUAGUUUGAUCCUAAUCCGAUUCUUAAAUCUUAUAGUGUAAAAUUGAAAGCACAUUGUCAACCCUAUCAUUGGAUGGUAAGCGUCAUAUCAUCUGAGUCUUAGGGCAUGUAUAACCUAGAGCCUCUUGCUCGGUUUUUUAUGUAGAAGAGAUGGUUAAGAAAUUACGCCAUACAAACCCUGAGCUUCUAAAACAUUAAUGCAGUUAAGAGACCGCGUGUAGAAAGUCGUGAAGAGUUGUUUCUUGAUUUUUUUUGCACUUAACACUCUAGAGACUAUCAAGAGACUCAUUAAUCAAUAGGGUUGUACAUGCCUUUAAGCCAUUUUUAGUUGGAGUUUCAUUCUCAUUAAAUGACAUGCCACAUAAGAACACAAGAUGACAUGUCAUAUAAUUUAAUGAGAGAGAUAAGAGAGAUAUGAGAGUUUCAUGGCUCAUGGGAGAUGAGAGAGAGCUUUAUGGGAAACAAAUGUUGACAUGGUAGUUUUGAAAAUAGUGUGAUGAAACCCUUUAUUGAGAAUAAUGACCUUACCGGGUGCUGUUUGGUUACCCAUUGUUUCAAUCUUGGUUAGAGCCAGGGGCGGACCCACAGGGGGGUCCGGGUGGGCUCUGGCACACCCUAAGCCAGGCCCACCGGGGACCCCACCCGGCCACCCGUUCAGCCGUCGAGAUGCCGUUUCAACUUCUCCAGACUCUAGUUCUCUGAUUUUUGCGGUUGUUCGACUGUUCCUGGCGUCCUGGCGGUUGGAGACCUGGCCACUGCGAGAAGAGUUCCUGGCGGCUGGCUUCCUGGCAGCCGGAGUAGUGGAGUGGUGAGUGCGCGCUGCCCGCUGCCGCCGCUGCGCGGCUAUCCGCCACUGUGGCUGAACGCCCAGACUGCCACUGCGGUACUGCCUGUUCCUGGCGGCUGCCUGCUGGUGAUUGGUACGAGUUGCUGCCUACUGGUUUAGGAUUUAGGAUUUUUGUUUUAUUGAUUGUUGAUUUACUACCAUUAUUUUUGUAGUGACUAAAAUAUGAAGCAGAGAGAUAUUGCAUCUCUUUUUCGUAAUCAUGCUGAAAAAAACAGAAGUUUAUUGUUUUUUCAUGUUUAUUUGUUGAGUGUCAAAAUUUAUAUCUAUAUAUCAAAUUGUUUACCAAAUUUAUUAUCAAAUUAUAUGUACAUUAGAUAUAAUUAUACAUAAAAAUUUUGUUGCGGCACACCUUAUGUAAAAAUUCUAGGUCCGCUACUAGUCAGAGCAGCCCGUAUUGAUUCAUAAGGCUACGAGAUACAACUGACAUGAAUGCCACAUACUUUAUCGUUAAUACAUUUAUGCUCAUUGAAUCUCGUGUUUUAGUUGUGGAAAGUUUUUUAGAAGUAUUUUGUUGAUUAUAUUUUUUUGGUAAUUCUAAAGAUUACCUAGAUACAUUCUCAGUUCUCUAGAGCUAAAUCUAAUGUCUAGAAGCUUCUAUACAUACAAUUUAACAAGAUUUAAAUAUUUUAUUUGGGCUUAGUGUAUCAAAAAUAUCUUUAUGAUUGUUUCUAAGAAGUCAGAAACUAAGCCCCAUAUAUACCAUUUAGUACUUCUAACCGGGGCAAUGAGAUAGUUUAAAUGAUUUUUUGAAAGUAAACUAGGGCUAGUUUCUCCAGUUUUAUAGUAGAAACACAACAAUGAGAUGCAUGCGAAGUUUACUUAUAAUUGCAUGCGCAGUUUUAUAGACAGAUGCAUGCGCGGAGGCCUCGAUGGGAGUUGAUGCAUGCGCAGUUGUGGAUAGUUGCGACACCAAACUCCAAUGAGACAAAGUUUACAAGGGAUCCCUUGCUCCUGUUAUGUCACCCGCCCGCACGCUACCAAACGGUUGACAUAAAGAUGGAAUAAACAAAUCACACCUUGCUCCAUGUUUUGAGGGCAUUCCAUGUUUUGAGGGCAUGUGUUCUCCCUUUUAGAUCUAAAAUAGACUGGCGAUUGCGAAAAAUAUUCUACCUUUCCAAAGAGCCUGUUUGGUUCGUGGCUAACUACGUCAUACUUUGCCUAAGGUUAGUCGUUCGAAUUGAAGAACUAACCUUAGACGGAAAAGUUAGGUAAAGUGUGACAAGUUAGGUAGCGAACCAAAUAGGCCUUUAAUCCUAUUUCACGGUCAGAUUGUCUCAUGUGCUGUCCGUGUCCGGCAAGGUCUGUCUUGUUUCUUUCAACGAGCAAGGACUUCAAAGUUUCAGAAUUUCAAAGUUUCGACCCAAGCUACCAUCGGGCGACCCCAACAAUUUCAAAAACAACUCUAAACACUUUUGCUUCAAAGUUCAAUCAGAUAAUACGAAGCUUCCAAGCACGCAUGUGUAUAACCAAUUAAGGCCUUAUUCGGUGAAUCCUGUUAACCAUAGAUUGAGUGUAAUUAGAAAAAAUUAAGAAAAAAAUUGACUUGUUUAGGAUUUAAACCCACACAAUCUCAAUUAAUAUAUAUGAAUUGAGAGCUAACCGAACAAGCUCAAACAAUACAGACCAAGUGUGGUAGUGUGGAGUGCAGGCCCCACGUAUAUCGGUAGACAUUUCGAAAUAAUUUAACUUAUCGGUAAUAAAAGUGAUCACCUCGUAAGCAUGCAGCCUAGCUCUUAAUGGUGUGGUGGCCUUGUAAAUGUAACCCCUACACUACACGUCCAAACAAAACAAAACCAGUAGCUUCCGUCAUGAAAAGAGGAGAAGCAUGUCAAGGAAGGAACAUGUACAAAAUAACUUAAUCGCAUAAACGCACUGCAUCCCAAACCCAUGGCCAACCACUCCAGCAAGAAUGGAUCUGAGCUCACCAACAGCGGCCACCACCACCAUCCAAGCCUGUUCUGCUACAACAGUGCCAUGGCAGCCUCGCCGCAGCACCCAGGUGGUCGAGAAGCUGCUGGAGAGCGCUGCUGAGAAGGGACAUUGAAUGUUGACGAGGCAUGCACACCGAAACGGAAGCUCGGCGCCAUGAAUCAUGGUGCUGAGCUCUGCCACAAGACGCCAGUGUAGCAGUGACAGUUUAGUGCACUAGAUAUCUCGACGUUGUAGGCUAUGACGUCGAGCCGUGUUAACUCUGUGUCAUGGGCUAUGGUGACGAGUAAAUGGUUCAAAAGCGACAUUAAUUCAUCCAAGGGUCUAAACUUAAUUAAAAAAAAUUCAAAUAAUAUAAAAUUCGUCCCCAGCAUGUGGGACUUGUGGGCCGAAAGAAACUAAGAAGCCCAAGCCCAGCUGACCAAGAGAGGUAGCUGAGCGAAGCAUCCGGUGUGUUCCCUCGCCAUCCGCCGCCGCCGCCAUGCCGGGCUUCGCUCAGCGUCUCGCGGGCAUCCCGUGGCGGAGCAUCGCGAGGCAAGGCCUCUCCCGCGUGUUCCUGGUGGCGAAGGCCUACUGCGUGAUCCACGUCGUCAACGACCACCUCUGCUCGGUGACCUUAGUGCGGGGCGCCAGCAUGCUGCCGUCCCUGAACCUGGCGGGCGACGCGGUGGCGGUGGACAGGGUCAGCGUGAGGCUCGGCCGGGUCGCGCCGGGGGACAUCGUGCUGAUGAUCUCCCCUGAGGACCCGCGCAAAUCGGUCGUCAAGCGCGUCGUCGGGAUGCAGGGGGACUCCGUCACCUACCUUGUCGACCCCGGCAAAAGCGACUCCUCCAGAACCGUCGUGGUGAGUUGGUCACUAACUGGGCUGGGCUGGGCUUUUGGGUUCCUACUGCUUGUUAGGUGCUGCCUCCGUGAUCGGAUUUGUGCUCAACUGAUUGAUGCUGAAUGAGCAUUGUUGGUCUUAAAAGGAGUUUCAGCAGCUGCUUUUAGAGACAGUACAUUUUUACACGCUUCGAGUUGAGAUGCAUAGGAAUUAGGAGACGUGUGUUUUUGGUAAUUGGUACCUACUUGCGCCUGAGACUCUAGUCUAGGCACCAAAGUCAGGGAGGUGUUUCUAUGAGCUCUGCUUCAAAACUGUAUUAUCUGAUGUCUGUCUGAGCCACUGGUGGUGUUGGAUUGGAUCAGUAAUGAGAUGUGGUGUUACUACUGACCCUAAAAUUAAUCACUACUGAUAUAAUUAGAUCCUCAAUGAAUUAGAACUAUGUGCUGGUAAAACCUUGCACUAUGCUACCCUCGGUAUAUUUACCCCGCCAGACCAGAAGGUGCAAUUUCUACACUUCUGUUUCAACUUAUAAUUGUAGAUGUCAAUAGCGCAGAGUUUGGCUUAUUUAGGUUUGAGUUUUCAUAGACUGUCGACACCACUGGUGGUGUUGGGUCAGUAUGAGAUAUGAUGUUACUAACCCUAAAUUAGUUACUACUGGUAUAAUUAAGUUCUCGAUGAAUUAGAACUACAUGCUGGUAAAUCCUUGCACUAUGCUACCCUCAGUAUAUUUACCCCACCAGAAGGUGCGAUCUCUACCAUUCUGUUUCAAGUUUCAGCUUAGGGCUUGUGUAAUUUAUAUAAGUUUUGAUCAGAUGGAAUGAUUCUAGGGUGGAAUGCGGAAGAAACGAACAGGGCCUUAUAAUUGUAGAUAUCAAUAGCACAGAGUUUGGCUUAUUUAGGUUUGAUUUUCAUAGUGUGUCUGUAUGAUGUCCAUGUCUUUAAAUUCAGGCGUUUAUUUAUGUUCACUUCCACCACUGAUUCAGUGGGCUCCAGGCGUAAUGUUAGGGCAUGACGAGUUCAACGCUUUCUUGAGUUUUGUAUUCUUUUAGUUAUCCCUUACCAUUCUUUUUGCUCCAAAAUUGUAUGGUCACUCAGUGCCCUUUAACUUGGGUGACUGCAUUGGUUAUAGGUACCGCAAGAUCAUGUCUGGGUGCAGGGUGACAAUAUCUUUGCUUCUAACGAUUCGAGGCAAUUUGGAGCUGUGCCUUAUGGGCUGAUUACAGGGAAGAUCUUUUGCCGGGUAAGUUCAGUCAGCUACUUGUUUUGCGUCUUUGUCGAUUCAGUUUAGGAGGGCUGCUGCAACCUCUGGAGCAAACGUUUUUGCUUUAUGGCACCAUUAAGCCGGGGGGGACACAAUGCAAGCAACUAUCAAUUGUUGACUUUGCUGAAAAGGAAAAAAAGCUACCAUGUUUCCUAAGGCUUAAGGUUCAGUUAUAUUGUUUCCAUAAUCCUUCCUCAGCGCAUCAGCCAAACGAUUCGCUGCUUCCGAAUCGCGUCGACGACCACCCUUUGUCGCCGCAGCUGCGACGAGUACUGACAGUGGCUCUGUUGGAUGUUAGGUUUGGCCGCCAGAGAGUUUUGGCGCAAUUGAUGACGCAACGAAGCAGUCUUAACGCUGAGGAGGAGCCGAGGAGGUACUGAGGUAGUCUAUAGCUUUCUGUUUGCAUCUUGUUUUCCGAAACAUGCCUGGCUCUCUCUAACCACCAUUUUUGCUGUCGGUUUCUUUUCUUCUUCUUCCCCCAGAGCACAUGGACCCAUAUUGUUUGCUCGCCCCCAGAGAUUCUAUAAUAGCCAACUGCAGGGGGGCCCUUCCUUGAGCUCGAGAGCUUUCGACGACCUACCGCAGCGCAUUUCUACAGCGAAGCAAAGAGCGUUGUGUGUCUUGAUUGAUGUCCCGUGUUUUUACAGUUUUGGUGUGACAAGUUCUGAAACCCGUGUUUUUACAACUACACUACAACUUCACAUGCUUAUUCGAAACAUUUGAACUGAUUUGUCAGUCCUCGUUUUGCAGAAGGGCGUGUCUGUUUGUUUAUCCAUGUCCAUGUCAAAACACACGACGAUUAUUGUUCAGCAUGUCCAUGUCAAAACAUACAUCGAUCUUGAGGUUAUUAUGCCAUAUACUAUAUAUAACACUGUAAUAAAGUCAUCCAUCCGGCCUCUACGUCGACGCGGCGGCGGCGGCGGUGGCGCUGGGCUCCGGUGCUGCUGCCGCCGCUAGCUGGAACCGAUGGUGCUGCUGCUGCAGCAGAAGCAGCGACGACUUGCACUGGGCGCACAUGCAGAUCUGCUGGGUGGUGCAGAAGCCGCCGACGUAGCCCUUGUCCUGGCAGCGGGCGAUGCAGAGCAGUGGCGCGUCGCGGCACUCCGGGACGAUGCUGCGGAACAGCGGGCACAUGCCCUUGCCGUCUGCUUGGUAAUUAAUGUGAACCCAUCCAUCCAUCCCAGAUUAAAUUAAAUUAAAUUGUAUUGUUACCCGAUGAGCUGAGAGGGUGAGCUAUACAGUAUACGUACUUAUGUAUAUAUAUACAUAUGUGUGUGUAUACCUGAGGGUGACGGCAAAAUAAGGAAGGAGAACAUGAUCAGUAGUAGGGCAUCAGUUGCAGCCAUGACGACCACCUUGGAAGAAGCCAUGGCACUGGUUGUAGCUUCCGCUUCCGAUCUGCAGGCGGAACGAAUAAUCGGUUUCAGGCUUUCAGCUGUGCUGCUUAGAUGUACUGUCUGUACUUACAUAUAUAUGCAUGCGCCGGGGCGAUAAUAAGGAAAAGAGCUAGGAGUUUUAAUUUUCUUCUUCUUCCUUUUUUAUGCAUGGCAACCAUUAAUUCAACGAUAUAUGAAGUGACUAAAUAGGGGCGGUCUUUAUUAGUAUAUAUAUAUAUAUAUAUAUAUAUAUAUAUAUAUAUAUAUAUAUAUAUAUAUAUAUAUAUAUAUAUAUAUAUAUAUAUAUAUAUAUAUUAUAUGUCCACUAAGUUAGUGCAAGAAUGGAAUUCACGAUAUAUAGAUGGCCCUUAACUUCUGCUGUCCUUUUGGUCCCGCAAUUCAGGAAAUUAAACCCUACUUCCGGAUUAUUAAACUUGGCACUUAUAUAUGCCUAACUAUAGAAAAUGCUGUGUUUCUUGUAUUUUUUUAAAUUCUACGUUUUACACUAUUUCUAAAAAAAGGUUCGGGAAACUUUUUAAUGUACAUCAUAGGCCGGAAGGGGUACUGUACUGAUCCAUUAUUGGUUUCUAAUGUACAUCAUAAGAAAAAUAUGUUUGGUUUCUAGGGACUAAUUUGUAGUCCAUCCAUUUUAUUUCAUUUUAAGCCUUAAUUUACUAAAUAUAGAAACUAAACGUAUUUGACAAUUUAGUAUUUGACAAUUUAAUGACUAAAAUGUCCCUAGAAACUAAACAUCCACUAAACCUAACUCAGUGGCGGAGACAGGCCUAUGGCCAGUAGGGCCUGGGCCCUAACCCUUGGGCCGACUAGCCUCGAAAGGUCUAUAUACCAGUCAGUAUGGUUAGCUGUGAUUGCUUUUGAAAGAGCUAGCUUUUGAUGCCUAAAGAUUUAUACAUCGUUUUUAGUGUUAUAUAUGGUCUCAUACUUAGAGAGAUGACCUAACUGUAGGAUGAAUUACCAGGUCCGAUAGCGUUGAUGGUGUGGCUGGUGAAAAGACGAUGGCAUGGCUCAUCGCACCAUGGAACUGGUUCAUUCUCUGUCGGGGGGGAAGAACUUAAAGAAAGAAAGAAAUUCCAAUCCAUUCUCCUCCCUGGGAAAAAGAACUGAAUCCAUUCUCGGUCAGAAAACAAAACCUUGUGGAAAUAUAUCUGAACCUAAAACAAAAAAAAAUUAUCACAGUUGCAAGGAUCAGAGCGCUCGGCCUUCGCACAUCACAUGUGAGAGAGAGAGAGCACACAAGCUCUGAACCUCAUGAGACCAUACACACACUUGUGGAGUUGUGGUCCAAAACAAACACCUCAUCUUCAGGGAUCUGAAUUUGCUGCACUACACAAAAAAAAAAAACAAAAAGGUGGUGGUAUUGGGGAUUCCGAGAAUUGAACUCGGGACCUUACGCUCCCUAAGCGUACAUCUUACCACUAGACUAAAUCCCCAGCUGGUGCUGUACGUAUGCAUGCAGAGUUUCAGAAACGAAGAAAGGGGCAGCAAAUUCAGACGAUUCAGAAACCACCUCCGCAGGGCCUCUCUGAACGAUGGACUUGAGACCCUUCAAGAGUCCAUGCAUGUGUUUCAUGUCACGGAGAACUGAAGCCAUUUUUUGCCACUGCACCGCUCCUCCGCGCGUCAGCAUUGCAUUGCAAGCCAUCGGGGCCGCCGGCCGUGGGCCAUUUUGGCUCAGUGUAAACUCCGCUAGCUGGGCCAUUUUGGCUCUUGUUCCGCAGUCGCUUAUACUGCUUCUAUAUUGUUCAUGUGUCAGCAUGGUUGAGGAAAGAUGGUGCCUCUGCCGAGAAAGAUAAUAAAAAGAUGGUCCUACUCCUACGUAGCUGUAGCGCCCUAGACUGACAUAGUGAAUUCAAGAGCCUGCAAUGCAAAAGUAACGUCGCUGCAGGGCCGGGCCGGGUGACCAACAAAUUGACGGGUCAACAUACCGAAACUGCCCGCCGUAAACUCUCUGACGAGUGACUGACGACGAGCAUUCAGAAAUGGUGACAACAUUCAGACUGACAGCUUCGUCGUGUCUGGCAUCUCGGGCAAAUUUUUUUUUUUGGAUUAGAAAGAAUAUUCAGAUCAGUGACCUCUCUUGUGGGCAGGAGGAUUGUUGCAGGUAGUGUGAGUGUCUGACAAAGGUGCUCUCAACUCGAUGGAGACUCUACUAAUCGACCGUUGUUAUGCAGCAAAGGUCAUAGCUAGGCCCACAAGCCAUGCCUAUUCUAUUACUAGUUUGCUUCGUAGUUCGUACACACACAUUACUGUAGUCCGUCUCCUCUGAAAACGGUUUCCGGCUCCUCACAGAGUAGUAGCUCCUCUGAAAGCUCGGUCAGGGUGACCAACCAAGAACACACACACACAUGUCCAUGGAGCUCAAGUCCUCCUCCUCCACCUCCACCUCAACAACAAGAGGAGCAAGCAAGCAAGCGACCACCACUUGUCUCUGUUUUCUUCACCCACCAAGACCAGUAAACACAGAGCAACCACCAAGCCUGUUUCCUGGAGCGUCUACUCUUUCACGAGACGGUUUCACCACACUUGUCUGAACGUGAAAGAGACCCUCCGAGUUCGUCAGACCGUCCUCCUUUCCCCAUGGCCACCACCCUCGCCAUGAGCAGCAGCAGCAGCAACGGGCACGGACGCCGCCACGAGGCCUCCACCACCUCGUCUUCGUCGUCGUCCUCCACGGCCUCGGCUCAGAAACGAAGGGGGGAGUCGCAGCAGCAGGCCGCCGUCGUCCCGGCGACGCCGGGUCCGGCGCUGCAGUUCCUCGCGAGCCCCGCGCACCACCACAACCACCCCCAGACCCAGCUCGUCGCCCCGAGGAGGUCGGUGCCGUCCAAGUGGGAGGACGCGGAGAAGUGGCUGCGGCAGUCGUCGUCGUCCUCGGGUUCCGACCACCACCUCCACGGCAACGCGAGGGCCGCCUUCUCCAGGCAGCGGAGCGGCGGGCUCGGACACCGAGGCGGCGCCGGAGGCGGGGGUGGGGACGAGAAGAGCGCGGCGGUGGCGGUGAGGAGGUCGGUGGACGCGCUCCGGGACGCCCACUCGCUCGCGCUGUACGCGGCGCCGGCAGCGGAGGUGCUCCUCAAAGGUGUUUUGUGGGGUUUUUAUUUAUUUAUUUAUUUGGGUAUUUAUUUCCUGCUCCGCUCGAAUUUCGCAAGACAUCUUAUUGGCGUUCCAUCCAACUCGACGCUGAGCUUUGCAAGACAUGGCUGGUUGCAGACAAGUUCACCGACAAUGAGGAGCCGUCCAAGGAGAGCUUCGUGUUCCGGAGCUCGUGCUGCGAGGCUGCUGAACCGGCGAAGGGCGCCGACGACGACGACGACGGUCGCUGCCAGCGGAGGAGGGACGUCGGCACGGAGACGACGCCGCUGGGCAGCUCGUGUCACACGCCGCUCAAGAGCGCGUCCCCGGCGCGGCACAACACGCCGGCGAGCCGGUCGUCGGGCCCGCUGGUGCCGUACGCCGGCGGCGGCGGCGGGACGGACAUCUCGGAGCUGGCGGGAUUCCGCCUCGCCAAGCUGGACCUGGGCGCGCGGUUCGGCGCCCACGCCACGCUCGUCGGCUGGAGCUCCAAGGAGGAGGAAGAGGACGACGAGGACGUGUCCAAGAGCCUCAGGCACUUCGAGGCCACCGUCGGCGGGAUAGCCUGCGAUAGACGCGGCGGCGACUGCCGUUGGGAUGACGACGACAGGGCCAAGAGCUGUAUCAGGUAUCAGAGGGAAGAGGCGAAGAUCCAGGCCUGGGUUAACCUGGAGAGCGCCAAGGCUGAAGCGCAGUCAAGAAAGCUGGAGGUAAAAUUAAACCAGGUUCAGUACCAUCUUUGGGCAGGAUUUUUCUUUGUUUUCAUCGGCAAAUGUCAUUGGCUUCAUUCCCCACCACCCCUUGAUUCAUCUUUCGGACUGAUUUGGUGAAUAGGGAUCACCAGAGAUUGGAGGGGAUUGAGAGAUAAUUUGUUCAUUUUCCUUUCAAUCCUCUCGUGAUCCACUUGUCAGCCCUUAGAGUUUAAGGGUUUUAGUAAGGCAAUAUUUGGAGCCAGAGUUUUUUUUUUAGAUCCAUGUCUACUUCCAUUCACGUUACAUAUCCUGUUCAAACUCCGCACAUCGCGUUCCAAAGAAUGGCCAGCGCGUGUGAGUAGAAACAGAUCGAAGCUGUUGGUUGCUUAGAACGUGAGACCCUUUAGUUGCUUAUUAGAACGUUGUGAGGCAUGAUUGUUCGUUGUUGCUUUCUAUGCAAAUGAAACCCCCCCCCCCCCCCCCCCCCCCCACACGCGGCGGUUCAUCGGAACUCGAAUUAGUUAGCUGCUCUUGUUCUCAACUUGGUCGACUAGGCAGCCAUGUGACAAAACUCCGAAGGCGUGCAUGGAGUUCAAAGUUUGAAACCUUUUUUUUUUCUCUCUCUCUCCCUCCAUGCUGCACUGCUCAAGGCAGCAACGACAGUGCGUGCGUGCCCGCCAUGCUGCGAACCCAGACCCAGCUAGCUGAUCAGGUUCAGAUCCGAUCCUGACGUUUUUUUCUUUCUUUUUUGUUUGCAAUGUGCGGCCGGCUGGUGUCUGCAGGUGAAGAUCCAGAAGAUGCGGUGCAACCUAGAGGAGAAGCUGAUGCGGCGGAUGACGACGGUGCAGCGGCGCGCGGGGGAGUGGCGCGCCACGGCGCGGGCGCAGCACCUCCAGCAGCUGCGGCGCGCGGCCGCCCACGGCGACGGCGACGGACGGCGGCUCAGGGCCACGGCCACGUCCACGGCCCACCACCACCGCCACCUGCCGGGCAGCAGCGAGGCGCCCUCCUGCGCCUGCUUCCCCUGCAGCACCAGCACCAGCGGCGGCGGUAACAACGUCGUCAGCGGCGGCCUCCUCAGCUACUACUAGCUAGCUUGCUUGCUGGUGUCGUUGUUGUUGUUUUCUUUGAGGUCUGCGAACGGAGAGAUUGGUCGGCACGGCAGUGCAGCUGUGCCGCGCACUUGAGAAUCAGUGUUCUAACCCAAGCUCCAGACCUGAUCUAACUAUUAUGCAAUUCGUAUUUAAAAAAAGAGAGUCAUGGAUCAUCAUCUAACUAUUAUCCAUAAUCGUGAGGAAUACGUACGCGACAAAACUAUUGCCAGUUAGUUUUCUUUCUUUCUUCAAAAGCCAUUUCAGUGUCCACGGAAAUACGGCGGCAGUUUUUCACUUGAAGCGCGUCGCGACAGAGCACGGCCAUCUAUGCCGCGCAGGCGGGGGCCCCCUGUCGUGGAGCCGUGUGUCCAUGUCGGGGAGCGAGAAGGGGGCGGCUGAACCAACGCGAGGUGAUGGCCACCCACGCCGUGGAUGUUACUGCAGCCUGCUGCUACUUUCCACCACUGCCGAAGCAGCAGGCAGGCAGAGGUUGGAUUGGAUUGGACGGAGAAAGAAGAAGUGCCAUCAUGUCCCCGAGUCCCACGUCGACGGCGGAGGUCGAGGUCGUCGUGGGCCGUCGGGGUCGGGGCACGACCUCACCAGGCCUCCUGCUCCUCCAUGGACUGGGGCCACCAACGGUGAUGGUAGUAUUACGUGGGCCCGCCCCGCCUCCGAGCGCAUCGGCCGUCGUGCCAGCGCAGAGCACGGCCAUCCAAGACGGUACUGGCCGGCAGGCACUGUACUAGCACUCUAGCAGAGCUCUCUCUCUCUCUCUCUCCUCGCUCGUCUUCUCGCUCGGUCACUGACCGCACGCCUCACCUUGUCGUGGAGCCGUGUGUCAGGCGAGGCAGCCAUGCGUAGCUCCUUUCCUGGUUGGUCAAUGGUACCGUACGGACGGCGACGACGCUCGCUGUCCAGUACGUCCGCUGCCUGGGAUUCCAUUCCGUCCGCGGCGGCGGGCCCGUUCCUGCACGCAAGUGCACGACAGACUGCUGCCAACGCCUGAUGCCGUUCCUUCCCUCCAUGCACGCUCAGUCAAACCGGUGUACGUACUCGGGACGGCAUCCGAUGCCCAUGCAUGCGUGCGAGGGCCCAAAGUAGGGGUGGACAUUUUACAAACUAAAACCAGAACCCAAAUUAGAAUACAUCUAAUUGUCAGUUUAUUCAGGUUUUUUCGAGUUCGAGUUCGGUUUCUAUAUAUAUAUAUGCUAUAUUUCAGGAUAUGUGUUCGGUUCCUAACCUUUAAAACCCGAAUAAAUCGAAUAAUCCGAAAUAUAAAAAAUCUCUUAAUAUAUGAUGAUAUUUGUCGGGUACCAUAAUUAGGGGUACCCCCGGCAUUCCUAAACAUGGCUGGAGAACAUCUUUAAAAAGACUGGUAAGCACGAUUCAGGGUUAAGGCCUUGUCUACCGAGGGACGCGGUCCCGUCUCACCCGAGUCCAGCCUCGGGCAAAAACAGUAGUCACGUACGGAUUCACGGCUCGCCCGAGGGUCCCCUCAGGCAGUGGAGGCGCCCCCGGCUGGCCCGAGGCAAAACUCGAGUAAACUUUGUCGCAUAGCGACCUCGACCAAACCGCCUUGCCACCGACCGUAUCACGUGCACAUUUAGUGCGGGGAUCACCUGACACCUUAUCCUGACACGCGCGCCUCAGUGGGCAAGAUCAAAAUGACCGCAGUCACUUCACCCUUUUACUGAUCGUUCUGACAAGAUAACAACACUAUUCACCCUGUUCCGACUACUGUGCCAACCACCGGGGUAAGACUAACAACAGUAAGUUACCGCCUCUCCCGAGUUCAGCCUCGGGCGCAACAGGGAGUUCCGCCUCGCCUGACCCCAGCUUCGGCCUUGGAAGGAAUCGUCGCCACGCCCGACCCAGGUCUCGGCCUCAGCCUCGGCCUCGGAAGGAGGUCUUCGCCUCGCCCGACCUAGGCCUCGGCCUCAGCCUCGGCCUCGGGAGGAGGUCUUCACCUCGCCCAAAACGGCCUCGGACCGACUACGCAAACAGGGAAUACAACACUACCCUUCCCCUAGCUAGCCACCUCAGGCUACGAAGGAACAAGACCGGUGUCACAUAAAAUUACUCCAGUAACAGGUAAUGAUGAUCCCCGACAUGCGCCCAUGACGUCGACUGUCCUCAAGCUCUCUACGAAAUCAAAGGAACGUCAGCAGGACACAUACUUCAAGGCCACCUCGACGACCAGGCCAUACCGCCAGCAACACUUCUACAGGACUCAAGCACUUCUCCACCGUCCAUGUUAGCGCAUAGCUACACCCCCAUAUGUACAGCUGGGUCACCUCCUUGCACCUAUAAAAGGAGAUGCCCAGGGCCUUCCCAGGGAAAAGGAGGAGACGGACUGAGACGGCUCACUCAACAUCAGCCUCCUCUCCACAACACUAGACCUCUCAAGAGACCUGGGAUCUGUUCCCUCUCUCGAAAAAGCUUGUAACCCCUAAUACAAGCACCCCGAUGCAAGAUAAUAUAAGCCUCAUCCUCCCUCUGCUGGAAGUAGGGCCUUCCUAGCCCGAACCAGGAUAAACCUUGUGUUUCAUCUUGCAUCAAUCCAUCCGGGCAGGGACACGCAGCAUAAGAUUUACUAGUCGGUUGAGGGUCCCCGGGUCUAAAACACCGACAAUAUUACCGAAUGAUUUAUGAAUUUAUUAGAUAAAAAUUAGAUAUAUCAUCUUAACGAUAGUGUAUAUAUAUAUACUAGGUACAUGCCCGUGCGAUGCUACAGAAAAAUUGACGAGACUACAACAAAAAACUGUGAUUAAACAAAAAUACGAAAACAUAAUUCAUACAUGCAACAUAUCUUAGUUAAGAAAUAUAUCCUACAGAAAGGAAACACAAUAAGUCACACGAGGAAACAUCAAUCAUGUAUACAACAGAUCCUAAUUAAGGAAUAUAAUCAUGUAUGCCCUAAAAAAGGAAACACGGAAUAAGAAAAGAAACACAAUAAUCAGGCAAAGGGAACGUGCAUGCACCCGAUCCUAAUUAAGGAAACGUCAAUCAUGCAUCCAACACAUCCUAAUUAAGGAAUAUAAUAAACAUGGAUGCCUAAAAAAGGAAAGAAAAAAUAAAAAAGAACCACAAUAAUCACGCAAGGGACGUGCAUGCACCAUAUCCUAAUUAUUAAUAAGGAGUAUAUAAUAAUGCAAGGGAACGUCAAGAGAAAAUUGAAGGCAGAUAUCUAGUGCUCAAAUAUAUUACAUGGCAUUAUAUAGAAUACAACCAGGAGUAAAUUCAGAUACUAUGCUAUGGACAAUUCACGAUAUUAGGGACAACUCACGAUUCACUUUGCAGCCUAUCCAAUACCAUACUUCACUUCCUAAUAAAGAUAACGUGUUACUAAAGGAUAACAUCAACAAAAUCUUACUGAUUUUUUACAAUAAGCAUGUUGAUUUUUAUUUAUUUACAUCUUCUGUCUUCUCAAUCAAUUAAGCAUCACAAUCGGUAUCACCUUCUUGCACAGCAACACCAAGCUUUUCAUUGAUUUCAGUAAUUAUGGCCUGCAUUAAACAUAUUAACAUGUAAGAAUUCGAGGAACAUAGGGUGGAACACAAAAUGCAAAAAGCAGAGAAAGGUAAUCAGGCUCAGAUCAUCACUCACCACCUAGGGAAAUAUCGAAAGUUAAGUGCAUCAAAUGCAAGUGUUGUAUGGAUUUACCAAAAGUUAAGUUUGUAUGGAUUUGUCAAACAUAUUACCUGGUUCUAAUUUCCAAAUUGUUUUAGCUAUCAUAGUAUUAAGCACCUGACAAUCAAUUUGCCAAAACAAGGGCAUGAUAUGAUGGUACAAUAAUAGAAGUAGAAGAGGGAUUUUUAGGCAGACACGACAGUAACUCGUCGACUGAAACCGUCAUGUAUAAGUGAUCUAGGGACUGGGGGCACAUGUGAAUAAUUUUAGCGAUCAGGUCAAAUAGAGCACGUGUGAAUAAUUUCAGAUGCACUAUUUUUCAACUUCACCAGCAGAGACCUUACGCAAUGGGAAGUUUAAAAAAAGGGUGGUAAACCUAGAUCACCUCCAACCAGAAGAAUUUUCAUAGUAGACUUAGUCGCUUAUCACAAUCAGAUGACUUUUUUGUACGGCUAGAACUGCAUGAUUAACUAAAGAUGAGUCUAGCUAGAGAAGUACUAAAAUGAAAACUAUCAAUCUAUUUCAUUGGUGGAAAAUUAAUACAAAGUCCUACAUCACAACAUUGACAGCAUGGCUUUCAAUACUGCUAUAGAAUCAUGAGAUGAUGCAUUACAAAAUGCAUGAGCCAUAUAUGCAUCACAUACCGAAAUAAAAAAGGACCCCAAAAAUGGACUCAAAUUUUUAGUCAUGACUAAAUCUGCAAAAAUAUAUAGAGCAGAGAUUACUGAGAUGACAGACUGUACAUACCACCAUAUCCCCAGUUGCCUCGUCCUCGGCCACCACCACCUCCUUUGUUCCCGUUGUAAUUCCAGCCUCCAUUUUCUGAUGGCAAAAAUAUUAUCGUCAUACAUGAUUGUAUAGAACCAUAAAUAUUAUCAUCAACUCAAGGCAAGGAGCAAGGCAGAAGGAAAUCCGUGCAGCCUAGCAGUAGCAGCUCUAAUGUUUUAAAAUAUCGUAAGUUAAUGUCAAGGAUAUGAGCUUUGACAUGCUUGAAGUUUUACAGACCAAUAUAAAAUUAUCAAUUGUGAGUUUGUGAUGAAGUUAAAAACUAAUUUCACCUGAUGCCAUUUGAAUGUUGUCCUCAGCAGCAGGCUCACUACUUCCAGCACACAUAUCAAAGAGGUCAACCCUCUUAUUGUUGUUACCAAGGUUACUUUGGUAUCUAAAAAAAACAUAACAAAAGUAAUAACCUUGAAUCCCAAUGUGAGUCUGCGAGUCUACGAGUUUUGUACUCCACAUAAUAGCUAAUAAUUACACUGUGAGUCUGCGAGUCAUCAUUCACCUUGAUUCCUUGAAGCUGUAUGCAGUGCAACAAAAUUGAUGGCAAUAGUGCCAAGCAUUGCAAGCUUCAGGUGAGAUAUGCGGGGUCAGGACGACAACAAAAAAGUGGCAAAACAAAAUUAUGCCUACAUCCACUUGUGUGUGGACAAAUGGAGGCAAAAAAUGUGACAAAAUCAGAUGAAUCUUCGAUCGUAUUGAGAACAACGUGAGAUAGUGACAUUAACGAAGAAGAAAAAAUAAAAUGAAAUCCAUAUUUUCGGAUAAUGGAAUCGAAGCUCAAAUGCUAAAUUGGCACGAUUAGUACAAAUGUCUAUGUGUUGGGGACGCUGUAGACAUUGAAUCUCAAUGUAAUGACCAACAGUCGCCACCACUUCACCAAAAUGGAGGGGAUAAUCACCCACCGGCGAGGGUACUUGGGCUUUCCAUCCUUGCUAUCAAACAACUGCAGAUGUGCUUUAGUAAAGCUAUGAAAAUUUUCCAAGGCAAUGGUCAGUAUACAAGGAAGAACCACACUUGCCUUGUUUAGACGGUUGUGCUUGCCAAGCACCCAUUUGUUGAUAUGACAUAUCUAAUCUAUUGAUGCACAUUAGACCCAUAGAGAAUUAAUUGCUGCUAAUUUGGUGAUAGAUAUUCCUUGACUAAACUGAGUAGUGAAUACACUGUCUACAAUCUAAAACUUUAUUACUAAUUUUGAAGUGCUAGAUUGAAAGCGUUGUAAAUUUAGUUGACUACAAAUACUGUACAGACAUGGAAUAGAACAUAUGAGCGGUGCUUGAAUGUGUGGUUUAUUCAAUUUCAUACCAAAUGCAGUACUGCCAAUUGGUCCCGACGUCAGGAGGGCUCGGGUGCCGGACCUGCUGAUGCUACUGACAUGAGGAGGUGUCUAGUGUUGCAGACAGGGCGCGGUCACACAAAAGCGGAAGCAUAGGGCGCAAAAGUGAAAGGGAAUUAGGCUUACACCUAGUCCCUAAUUAAUUUUGGUGGUUGAAUUGCCCAACACAAAUAAUUGGACUAACUAGUUUGUUCUAGUGUAUAAGUUAUACAGGUGCAAAAGGUUCACACUCAGCCAAUAAAAAGAUCAAGUUUUGGAUUCUACAAAUGAGCAAAGGGCCAACCGAAGGCACCUCUGGUCAGGGGCACCGGACUGUCCGGUGUACACCGGACAGUGUCCGGUGCACCAGAGGACUCCAACUCAAACUUGCCACCUUCGGGAAUUUUCAGAGGCCACUCCGCUAUAAUUCACCGGACUGUCCGGUGUACACCGGACAUGUCCGGUGCUCCAAGGAAGGGCGGCCUCCAGAACUCGCCAGCCUCGGGUUUUCACUUCAGCUGCUCCGCUAAAAUUCACCGGACUGUCCGGUGUACACCGGACUGUCCGGUGCAUCCUCGGGGCAAUGGCUACUUCGCGCCAACAGUCACCUGCAGGCGCAUUUAAUGCGUGACAGAAGCGCGCAGUCGUCAGGCACGCGAGAGCAGGCGCACCGGACACUCUACAGUGCAUGUCCGGUGCGCCACCGGACAUCAAGGCGGGCCCAGAAGUCAGAAGCUCCAACGGUCGGAAUCCAACGGAACUGGUGACGUGGCUGGGGCACCGGACUGUCCGGUGUGCACCGGACUGUCCGGUGCGCCAUCGAACAGACGGCCUCCACCAACGGUCAAGUUGGUGGUUGGGGCUAUAAAUACCCCAACCACCCCACCAUUCAUUACAUCCAAGUUUUCCAGCUUCCAACCACUAUACAAGAGCUAGCAUUCAUUGCAAAGCACACCAAAAGAGAUCAAAUCCUCUCCCAACUCCACACAAAGCAUUAGUGAUUAGAGAGAGUGAUUUGUAGUGUUCAUUUGAGCUCUUGCGCUUGGAUCGCUUCUUUUCUUUCGCAUUCUUUCUUGUGAUCAAACACUCACUUGUAAUUGAGGCAAGAGGCACCAAUCGUGUGGUGGGCCUUGCGGGAAGUUUGAUUCCCAAGUGAUUUGAGAAGAGAAGCUCACUCGGUCCAAGGGACCGUUUGAGAGAGGGAAGGGUUGAAAGAGACCCGGCCUUUGUGGCCUCCUCAACGGGGAGUAGGUUUGAGAGAACCGAACCUCGGUAAAACAAAUCCACGUGUCUCACUUCAUUAUUCGCUUGCGAUUUGUUUUGCGCCCUCUUUUGCGGACUCGAUUAUAUUUCUAACGCUAACCCGGCUUGUAGUUGUGUUUAUAUUUGUAAAUUUCAGUUUCGCCCUAUUCACCCCCCCUCUAGGCGACUAUCAAUUGGUAUCGGAGCCCGGUGCUUCAUUAGAGCCUAACCGCUCGAAGUGAUGUCGGGAGAUCACGCCAAGAAGGAGAUGGAGACCGGCGAAAAGCCCACUACGAGCCAAGGGAGCACUUCAUCGGAAGAGUCCCGCACCAAGAGGAAGGAGAAGAAGAAGGACUCCUCCAAACGGAAGGAGAAAAGAUCUUCUUCCUCACACCACAAGGAGAAGAAGGAGAAAUCUUCUUCCCACAAGUCGCAUCGGAAAGGAGACAAGCACAAAAGGAUGAGGAAGGUGGUCUACUACGAGACCGACACUUCAUCAACAUCUACCUCCAACUCCGAUGCACUGUCCGUAACUUCUAAGCGCCAAGAGCGCAAGAAGUUUAGUAAGAUUCCCUUACACUAUCCCCGUACAUCUAGACAUACUCCAUUGCUUUCCGUUCCAUUAGGCAAACCGCCAACUUUUGAUGGCGAAGAUUAUGCUAGGUGGAGUGAUUUAAUGAAAUUUCAUCUAACCUCACUCCACAAAAGUAUAUGGAAUGUUGUUGAGUUUGGAGCACAGGUACCUUCUGUAGGGGAUGAGGAUUAUGAUACGGACGAAGUGGCCCAAAUCGAGCACUUCAACUCCCAAGCCACAACCAUACUCUUGGCCUCUCUAAAUAGAGAGGAAUACAACAAGGUGCAAGGGUUGAAGAAUGCAAAGGAAAUUUGGGACCUCCUCAAGACCGCGCACGAGGGUGAUGAACUAACAAAGAUCACCAAGCGAGAAACGAUCGAGGGGGAGCUCGGACGCUUUCGACUUCGCCAAGGGGAAGAGCCACAAGACAUGUACAACCGGCUCAAGACCUUGGUGAACCAAGUGCACAACCUCGGGAGCAAGAAGUGGGAUGACCACGAGGUGGUUAAGGUUAUUCUUAGAUCACUCAUUUUCCUUAACCCCACUCAAGUUCAAUUAAUUCGUGGUAAUCCUAGAUAUACUCAAAUGACCCCCGAGGAAGUUAUCGGGAAUUUUGUGAGCUUUGAAUGCAUGAUUAAAGGAUCAAAGAAGAUCAACGAGCUUGACGAACCCUCCACGUCCGAGGCACAGCCGGUGGCAUUUAAGGCGACGGAGGAAAAGAAGGAGGAGUCUACACCAAGUAGACAACCAAUCGACGCCUCCAAGCUCGACAAUGAGGAGAUGGCUUUAAUCAUCAAAAGCUUUCGCCAAAUCCUCAAGCAACGGAAGGGGAAGGAUUGCAAAUCCCGUUCCAAGAAGGUUUGCUACAAGUGUGGUAAGCCCGGUCACUUUAUCGCUAAAUGUCCAUUAUCAAGUGACAGUGACAGGGAUAACGACAAAAAGGGAAGAAGGAAAGAAAAGAAGAGGUACCACAAGAAGAGGGGCGGCGAUGCCCACGUGUGCCGCGAGUGGGACUCCGACGAGAGCUCCACCGACUCCUCCUCCGACGAGGACGCCGCCAACAUCGCCGUCACCAAAGGACUCCUCUUCCCCAACGUCGGCCACAAGUGCCUCAUGGCAAAGGAUGGCAAAAGGAAGAAGGUAAAAUCAAGAUCCUCUACUAAAUAUGAAACCUCUAGUGAUGAGGAUGAUGCUAGCAAUGAGGAGGAUAACUUGCGCGUUCUUUUUGCCAACCUUAACAUGGAACAAAAGGAAAAACUUAAUGAGCUAAUUAGUGCCAUCCAUGAAAAGGAUGACCUCUUGGACUCCCAAGAGGACUUCCUAAUCAAGGAAAAUAAAAAGCAUGUUAAGGUUAAAAAUGCUUAUGCUCUAGAGGUAGAAAAAUGUGAGAAAUUGUCUAGUAAGCUAAGCGCUUGCCAUGAGACCAUUGACAACCUUAGAAAUGAAAAUGCUAGAUUAAAUGCUAAGGUUGAUUCUCAUGUUUGUGAUGUUUCAAUUCCCAAUCCUAGAGAUAAUAAUGAUGAUUUUCUUGCUAGGAUUGAAGAUUUAAAUGUUUCUCUUGCUAACCUUAGAGUAGAAAAUGAAAAUUUAAUUGCUAAGGCUAAAGAACUAGAUGUUUGCAAUGUUACAAUUUCCGAUCUUGGAGAUAAUAAUGAUAUCUUGCGUGCUAAGAUCGUUGAGCUUAAUUCAUGCAAACCCUCUACAUCUAGUGUUGAGCAUGUUUCCAUUUGUACUAGAUGUAGAGAUAUUGAUAUUAAUGCUAUUCAUGAUCACAUGGCUUUAAUUAAACAACAAAAUGAUCAUAUAGCAAUAUUAGAUGCUAAAAUUGCCGAGCAUAACUUAGAAAAUGAAAAAUUUAAAUUUGCUAGAAGUAUGCUCUAUAAUGGGAGACGCCCUGGCAUCAAGGAUGGCAUUGGCUUCCAAAGGGGAGACGAUGUCAAACUUAAUGCCCCUCCUAAAAACUUGUCUAACUUUGUUAAGGGCAAGGCUCCCAUGCCUCAGGAUAAUGAGGGUUACAUUUUAUACCCUGCCGGUUAUCCCGAGAGCAAAAUUAGGAGAACUCAUUCUAGGAAGUCUCACUCUGGCCCUAACCAUGCUUUUAUGUAUAAGGGUGAGACAUCUAGCUCUAGGCAACCAACCCGUGCAAAGUUGCCUAGAAAGAAAACUCCUACUGCAUCAAAUGAUCAUAGCAUUUCAUUUAAGACUUUUGAUGCAUCUUAUGUGCUUACUAACAAAUCCGGCAAACUAGUUGCCAAGUUUAUUGGGGGCAAACACAAAGGGUCAAAGACUUGUGUUUGGGUACCCAAAGUUCUUGUUUCUAAUGCUAAAGGACCCAAAACUGUUUGGGUACCUAAAGUCAAGAACUAAAAUUGUUUUGUAGGUUUAUGCAUCCGGGGGCUCAAGUUGGAUACUCGACAGCGGGUGCACAAACCACAUGACAGGGGAGAAGAAUAUGUUCUCCUCAUAUGAGAAAAACAAAGAUCCCCAACGAGCUAUCACAUUCGGGGAUGGAAAUCAAGGUUUGGUCAAAGGAUUGGGUAAAAUUGCUAUAUCACCUGACCAUUCUAUUUCCAAUGUUUUUCUCGUAGACUCCUUAGAUUACAAUUUGCUUUCUGUAUCUCAAUUAUGCAAAAUGGGCUACAACUGUCUUUUCACUGAUGUAGGUGUCACUGUCUUUAGAAGAAGUGAUGAUUCAAUAGCAUUUAAGGGAGUGUUAGAGGGUCAGCUAUACUUGGUAGACUUUGAUAGAGCUAAACUCGACACUUGCUUAAUUGCUAAGACUAACAUGGGUUGGCUCUGGCAUCGCAGACUAGCCCACGUUGGGAUGAAGAAUCUUCAUAAACUUCUAAAGGGAGAGCACAUUUUGGGACUAACAAAUGUUCAUUUUGAGAAAGACAGGAUUUGUAGCGCAUGCCAAGCAGGAAAGCAAGUUGGCGUUCAUCAUCCACACAAGAACAUCAUGACUAGUGACAGGCCACUGGAGCUCCUACACAUGGACCUAUUCGGGCCGAUAGCUUACAUAAGCAUCGGUGGGAGUAAGUACUGUCUAGUUAUUGUGGAUGAUUAUUCUCGCUUCACUUGGGUAUUCUUUUUACAGGAAAAAUCUCAAACCCAAGAGACCUUAAAAGGAUUCUUGAGACGGGCUCAAAAUGAGUUUGGCUUAAGGAUCAAGAAAAUAAGAAGCGACAACGGGACGGAGUUCAAGAACUCUCAAAUCGAAGGUUUUCUUGAGGAAGAGGGCAUCAAGCAUGAGUUCUCUUCUCCCUACACACCUCAACAAAAUGGUGUAGUGGAGAGGAAGAAUCGAACUCUAUUGGACAUGGCAAGGACCAUGCUUGAUGAGUACAAGACUUCGGAUCGGUUUUGGGCCGAGGCGGUCAACACCGCCUGCUACGCCAUCAACCGGUUAUAUCUUCACCGAAUCCUCAAGAAGACAUCCUAUGAACUCCUAACCGGUAAAAAGCCAAAUAUUUCAUAUUUUAGAGUUUUUGGCAGCAAAUGUUUUAUUCUUGUUAAAAGAGGAAGAAAAUCUAAAUUUGCUCCUAAAACUGUAGAAGGCUUUUUACUAGGAUAUGACUCAAACACAAGGGCAUAUAGAGUCUUUAACAAGUCCUCAGGACUUGUUGAAGUUUCUUGUGACGUUGUGUUUGAUGAGACUAAUGGCUCUCAAGUAGAGCAAGUUGAUCUUGAUGAGAUAGGUAAUGAAGAGGCUCCAUGCAUCGCGCUAAGGAACAUGUCCAUUGGGGAUGUGUGUCCUAAGGAAUCCGAAGAGCCUCCAAAUGCACAAGAUCAACCGUCCUCCUCCACGCAAGCAUCUCCACCAACUCAAAAUGAGGAUGAGGCUCAAGUUGAUGAAGGACAAGAUCAAGAAGAUGAGACACCUCAUGAUGACGACAAUGAUCAAGGGGGAGAUGCAAAUGAUCAAGACAAGGAGGAUGAAGAGCAAAGGCCGCCACACCCAAGAGUCCACCAAGCAAUCCAACGAGAUCACCCCGUUGACACCAUCCUCGGUGACAUUCAUAAGGGGGUAACUACUAGAUCUCGUAUUGCACAUUUUUGUGAAUAUUACUCGUUUGUUUCCUCUAUUGAGCCACACAGGGUAGAGGAAGCACUAUAAGAUUCGGAUUGGGUGGUGGCAAUGCAAGAGGAGCUCAACAACUUCACUAGAAAUAAGGUAUGGCAUUUAGUUCCACGUCCUAAUCAAAAUGUUGUAGGAACCAAAUGGGUUUUCCGCAACAAGCAAGAUGAGCAUGGUGUGGUAACAAGGAACAAAGCACGACUUGUGGCCAAGGGAUACUCCCAAGUCGAAGGUUUGGAUUUCGGUGAAACCUAUGCACCCGUAGCUAGGCUUGAGUCAAUUCGCAUAUUAUUAGCCUAUGCUACUUACCAUGGCUUUAAGCUUUAUCAAAUGGACGUAAAAAGUGCCUUCCUCAAUGGACCAAUCAAGGAAGAGGUCUAUGUUGAGCAACCUCCGGGCUUUGAAGACAGUGAGUAUCCUAACCAUGUCUAUAAGCUCUCUAAGGCGCUUUAUGGGCUCAAGCAAGCCCCAAGAGCAUGGUAUGAAUGCCUUAGAGAUUUCCUUAUUGCUAAUGGCUUCAAAGUCGGAAAAGCCGAUCCUACACUCUUUACUAAAACUCUUGAAAAUGACUUGUUUGUAUGCCAAAUUUAUGUUGAUGAUAUUAUAUUUGGGUCUACUAACGAGUCUACAUGUGAAGAGUUUAGUAGGAUUAUGACACAGAAAUUCGAGAUGUCUAUGAUGGGGGAGUUAAAGUAUUUCUUAGGAUUCCAAGUAAAGCAACUCCAAGAGGGCACCUUCAUUAGCCAAACGAAGUACACUCAAGACAUUCUAAACAAGUUUGGGAUGAAGGAUGCCAAGCCCAUCAAGACACCCAUGGGAACCAAUGGGCAUCUCGACCUCGACACGGGAGGUAAGUCCGUGGAUCAAAAGGUAUACCGGUCGAUGAUUGGUUCAUUGCUUUAUUUAUGUGCAUCUCGACCGGACAUUAUGCUUUCCGUUUGCAUGUGUGCAAGAUUCCAAGCCGACCCUAAGGAAUCACACCUUACGGCCGUAAAACGAAUCUUGAGAUAUUUGGCUUAUACACCUAAGUUUGGGCUUUGGUACCCUCGGGGAUCCACAUUUGAUUUGAUUGGUUAUUCGGAUGCCGAUUGGGCAGGGUGUAAGAUUAAUAGAAAGAGCACAUCGGGGACUUGCCAGUUCUUGGGAAGAUCCUUGGUGUCUUGGGCUUCAAAGAAGCAAAAUUCGGUCGCUCUUUCUACUGCCGAAGCCGAAUAUAUUGCCGCAGGCCAUUGUUGCGCGCAAUUGCUUUGGAUGAGGCAAACCUUGCGGGACUACGGUUACAAAUUAACCAAAGUCCCUUUGCUAUGUGAUAAUGAGAGUGCAAUUAAAAUGGCCGACAAUCCCGUCGAGCAUAGCCGCACCAAGCACAUAGCCAUUCGGUAUCAUUUUCUUAGGGAUCACCAACAAAAGGGAGAUAUCGAGAUUGCAUACAUUAAUACUAAAGAUCAAUUAGCCGAUAUCUUUACCAAGCCUCUUGACGAACAAACUUUUACCAAACUUAGGCAUGAGCUCAAUAUUCUUGAUUCUAGGAAUUUCUUUUGCUAACUUGCACACAUAGCUCAUAAAUAUACCUUUGAUCAUGUCUCUUUUGUAUAUGCUAUGACUAAUGUGUUUUCAAGAGUAUUUCAAACCAAGUCAUAGGUAUAUUGAAAGGGAAUUGGAGUCUUCGGCGAAGACAAAGGCUUCCACUCCACUCCACUACUCUUUCUUCGCCGUCACUCCGAGCAUCUCUCCAACUUUGGUAUACUCUUCAUUCAUUUAUUUUAUGACCAAAGGAGGAGAAAAUACUUCAAGGGCUCUAAUGAUUCCGUUUUUGGCGAUUCAUGCCAAAGGGGGAGAAAGGUUGAGCCCAAUGCAAAAGGACCGCACCACCACCAAUUUCAAAAACUUAGUGUUUUCCAAGAGUAUUUUUCAAUUGGUAUCUUAUUGAGUUCAAAAGGGGGAGAAAAUAGUUUUUCAAUUUGAAUCAUCAAAACCCUCUUGAACACUAAGAGGAUGAUUUCAUUUAGGGGGAGUCAAAGGAAAGGCAAUUGAAAUAGGGGGAAAACAUUUCAAAACUUGAAAAUGCCUUGCAAACUCUUAUUCAUUUACCUUUAACUAUUUGCAAAAGAACCUUGAAAAGAUUUACAAAAGAUUUUUGCAAAAACAAAACAUGUGGUGCAAGCGUGGUCCAAAAUGUUAAAGAUGAAGAAACAAUCCAUGUAUAUCUUGUAAGUAUUUAUAUUGGCUCAAUUCCAAGCAACCUUUGCACUUACAUUAUUCAAACUAGUUCAAUUAUGCACUUCCAUAUUCGCUUUGGCUUGUGUUGGCAUCAAUCACCAAAAAGGGGGAGAUUGAAAGGGAAUUAGGCUUACACCUAGUCCCUAAUUAAUUUUGGUGGUUGAAUUGCCCAACACAAAUAAUUGGACUAACUAGUUUGUUCUAGUGUAUAAGUUAUACAGGUGCAAAAGGUUCACACUCAGCCAAUAAAAAGAUCAAGUUUUGGAUUCAACAAAUGAGCAAAGGGCCAACCGAAGGCACCUCUGGUCAGGGGCACCGGACUGUCCGGUGUACACCGGACAGUGUCCGGUGCACCAGAGGACUCCAACUCAAACUUGCCACCUUCGGGAAUUUUCAGAGGCCACUCCGCUAUAAUUCACCGGACUGUCCGGUGUACACCGGACAUGUCCGAUGCUCCAAGGAAGGGCGGCCUCCAGAACUCGCCAGCCUCGGGUUUUCACUUCAGCUGCUCCGCUAAAAUUCACCGGACUGUCCGGUGUACACCGGACUGUCCGGUGCAUCCUCGGGGCAACGGCUACUUCGCGCCAACGGUCACCUGCAGGCGCAUUUAAUGCGUGACAGAAGCGCGCAGUCGUCAGGCACGCGGGAGCAGGCGCACCGGACACUCUACAGUGCAUGUCCGGUGCGCCACCGGACAUCAAGGCGGGCCCAGAAGUCAGAAGCUCCAACGGUCGGAAUCCAACGGAACUGGUGACGUGGCUGGGGCACCGGACUGUCCGGUGCGCCAUCGAACAGACGGCCUCCACCAACGGUCAAGUUGGUGGUUGGGGCUAUAAAUACCCCAACCACCCCACCAUUCAUUACAUCCAAGUUUUCCAGCUUCCAACCACUGUACAAGAGCUAGCAUUCAUUGCAAAGCACACCAAAAGAGAUCAAAUCCUCUCCCAACUCCACACAAAGCAUUAGUGAUUAGAGAGAGUGAUUUGUAGUGUUCAUUUGAGCUCUUGCGCUUGGAUCGCUUCUUUUCUUUCGCAUUCUUUCUUGUGAUCAAACACUCACUUGUAAUUGAGGCAAGAGGCACCAAUCGUGUGGUGGGCCUUGCGGGAAGUUUGAUUCCCAAGUGAUUUGAGAAGAGAAGCUCACUCGGUCCAAGGGACCGUUUGAGAGAGGGAAGGGUUGAAAGAGACCCGGCCUUUGUGGCCUCCUCAACGGGGAGUAGGUUUGAGAGAACCGAACCUCGGUAAAACAAAUCCGCGUGUCUCACUUCAUUAUUCGCUUGCGAUUUGUUUUGCGCCCUCUUUUGCGGACUCGAUUAUAUUUCUAACGCUAACCCGGCUUGUAGUUGUGUUUAUAUUUGUAAAUUUCAGUUUCGCCCUAUUCACCCCCCCUCUAGGCGACUAUCAAAAAGCUCCCGUCACGCACGGUAGAUAGGGUCGCGCUGCGUGGGCUCCUCAGCUCUUGGUGGCCGGCCAGCGGCGGAUGGCUUCAGCCGGCCACGGUGCGCUCCUAGUGGCCAGUGAGGCGGUGGACGACAUCAGCGCUCGAUGGGUCACGCGGCAGCAGACAGCUUUGGAGUCAUCUACUGACCUGGACCAUGGAGAGGGAGGAUGAAGAGGCGUGACGGGAGAGGAGCCUCCGAGCGGCGGCAGCAGCCAUGGUGGCAAAACCCUAGCGGGGAGGGCAGAGACAGGUGGGUCUGCAUGGGGGACCAAAUAAAAAUGAAUGCCUAGAUGCUACAAUGUUGCAGAUAAUAUGAACUGAACUGAAAAACUGUUUUUAAAGUUUGUUUCUUGCUUGCUCUAUUUCCUCGACCGACGUGAUGUGCACGACAUGCACAUGCAUAUUCUGCAACUGGAGAUGCACUUCAAGGAUCAGUAGGUGGUGUCGGACUGCUGGGUGCUUGACCAGUAUUUAUCAUUAUUUACAAGAGUUCAACAUGAAAAGUUUGUGGUAAGAGAGAAUAGAAAAGGCUAGCAGAAUACUAACGCAGCUUGAAUGCAAAAUGCAAUAAAUUUAUAGAGUAUACAACCAAAAUGAGGUCAUGGAUAUGCUCUCCUAGCUCUAAGGGGCUACAAAGUGAUAUUACUAACACAAAUAGAAUCAUGUCUGGUAGGCUCCAAAAUGCAAGUAACAAAAGAUACCAUGCUAGAUUGAUUGAUAAUAAUUACUGGAGAAAGAAAAAAGAUACUUAUGAUUAUCCAUAAUCUAUCUAGGUCAUUUGACCCCCCCUAUCUACUAAGGUGAACAUAAAAACAUUUUUCUUCCAUGUCAUCUAUAUUUAGGUGAAAAUACAAGGCAAUUAACCAUGCUUAUUGGAAAAGAUAAACAUUAUAAAGCAGACAACACACUCGCAACAAUGAACCAUGGCAAAUAUUUCUCUUUCAUCAUAUCACAUAGGUCAACCAUGCAUACAGAACAAAAUGGCUAGCCAUGGCGAUGGCGGAUGAGCAGCGCAACAACGAUGAACUUACGGAAGCGAUGGCUGAUGACCUUGAGCGUCUUGUGAAUUUCAAGCUAAGACAUGUAAACCAGUUUGUCAGUUUGACUUCUUACAAAGUCAAGUUUUAUAAAAUUAAAUGAAAAGUCAAAUACCUUGCUCAAAAGAUUAUUUUUUACGCACAAUACCCCGCACAUCCUGAUACUCGGCAACAUCAAAUGAGAUUAACUUUUUUAACUGUAAAUUGUGAGGAUAGGGAUACAAAUGUCAUAUAUGAACUAAAGUUUAAAAAAACAAGAAAGUGUUUAUACAAAAUGCCAUAUAUGAACUAUAGUUAGUUGCCCGUGCGUUGCGACGGCACCCAGCCAUAUUUGAUGGUACCGGUUAGGGUAGGGGUCAGAUCAUAUCAGCAUGGUUAGGGGUUACAUGUGGGUCCUGUAGUACCCUCCCACAAAAAAUAAAUUUAAUAUCAAAGUGGGCCCAUAUUGGUACUACACUUGAUUUUAACUAAAAGACCCAAAAAGUAUAAGUUGAAAAGGAAUUUACCUCUUUUUAUAGCUAGUUGUACACCCGCGUCAGCACCUCGUGUGGGAAGUCCAGCUUGACCUGCACCACAUGUGUUCUAGGAGAAAGGGUGUCAUGUGCUGAAGAAAUAUGCAGGGCUGAUGGCCUAAUAAGUUCCAUCAUUUUUUCUAAUAAUAAAUUAUCACAUUCUAUGCAUUAACAGAUCCAAAAAAAGUAUCAAUGACCAAUUCUGCAAGAUGAGGAUGACAUAAAUCAAAUGUAAAAAUCAAUUUCAGCUAUGACGAGUCAAUGAUAACAUGGACCAAAGUCGCAAUUGCAUCUUGUGCUUCUGUUGAGACUAUGACAACAUGGAUAAGUCUGUUACUUAUAGGUGGUGGUUGAAUCAGAAUUUCAGAGCAGCUCUUGCCAUUUCCGAUGCUCCCUUGUAGGUCUUGUUGCCCCCAAUGAAGCCAUUAAUAUGCACAAACACACAGCUAGAUGUCGGUUUCUGCUGAAAGUCUUUCGUCUCUCAUUCCCCUCCACUUUUCUGCCAGAGCCUUUCGCCUCUUGAACCCAUUAGGAGCAACUGCGACUGCUUAGACUCGCCAACACUUGCUCUCAUCCUGCAAUUAAUUAGUGAAAAUCAAAUACACGUAGCAAUGAUACUGGGUUUUAAGAAGAAAAGGUAAAUAGCAAGGCUCAAAAAUCUACAUGAGCAAUUUAAAAUUCCAUCAGUUCAGAUAUAUACAAAAUCAAAUCAAUUACACGUAGCCUAAAUGUUUCAUGUGCGAGAUCUUACAUUGCUUAUGAGAUUCAUUAUGAAGCUAAAAUAUCAGAGGAUACAAAAUGUUGGAAAACUCAGCAACUAGUAAAAGAAGUGUACAUUUUAAUUGUAGUAGUCAACUACCAGUAAAAAAGUGUACACUUGAGCGGUCAGCAACCAGUGCGAAAGUAUACAAAAGCCUGAUUUCCUUUAGUGGUCAAAAGAAACAUUCAUUUCAGGGUGACAUCGUAGAUUGCUACAAACUGCAUCACGUUUUAUCUUUCAAUAGCAAGCGAACUAAGAAGCAUCAUGAAAUCUAUGCUGGAUUGCACUCUGAGAAGAGAAGACUCUUACCUGAUACAACACAUACUUGGUCAAAGGAUUAGUCGUUAGCACCUCUUCAAGCUCAAAUAGAUGAAGUUCCAAUAUUGUAAGAUAAAUCAUCAGCUUACAUGUUCAAAGCAUUUCGAUAGGCAAGUUCAAAGAUAUAAUUUCUAAAUUAAAUAACUUGCUACAAUCACCAAACAUAGGUCAGCCCAAGUUUGAAGAUGGUACCUAAAGCACAGACCAUGAAUUUUCCUUUUUUAGGGGGCACAACAAUUUUUAAAUGUCUCAUUUACAACAAAAGCAGGACAACUUGAUCUCAUGUAGAUAUCACAUAAUACCAUGCACAUGAGAUGGUAAAAUCUAUAUAUGGAAAGACUAACUCGGCAUGGUUGAGAUUAUUUAUUAUGAAAACGGUUUAUGUAGUUUGCACUAUUUAAAGCGUCACAUAGGAAAGUCGAGAAGUUGUCCUAUAGAACUUACAUUUCGGAUAAGAGGAGGUAUACCAUACACAACACAUUUAAUGUAAGAAACUAAAGAAACAACUUGUCAUAAACAAAAGGCCUUGUAGCUGCUCCACCAGCAAUCAUGUUCAUCAUCGGAGUCUCCACCUAGAACUAGAAUACACAUAAGGUCAGAUAUUGAAGUGUCAACGGGAAAGAAACUGCACAAAUCUCGUGCUUUCCUCCAAAAAUUCAUGGUAAAGGUUCAUGCCAUGCCAUAUGAUCAGUAAUUACUUGUUCCCCAUUCAGAUAGACCUAUGCAUAGAAGAGGAAGAUUGACAUGCAGAAAACUGUGUGUGACACAACUAUAUACCUACCUACAUGUGUAGCUAGUAUCUAGGUACAAAAUAUACAUGACAUGGCUCCACAAAAUUUCGUAAACAUAUAUACGCAUACCGAAUCAUAUGACCCAACAACAUGCCCUCUCUCUCUCUCUAUAUAUAUAUAUAUAUAGUUUAUAUAUUAGGAGCCCUGGGCUUCUAAUAACUAGAGGAAGCCCAGGUCAGACGGUGCAAUCCGGUCGAGCCGGACCACAUCCGGACGUCUAUAAAAUAGGACCCAGAGUGCUAGGGUUCGGUUUUUUACGCUCCACCCCGAUUCAUUAGCGACGCCGCAUGCGACGACGGCGGUUGCCCCAGAGCAUGCGCGGCGGUGGACCCCCAGCCGGUGGCCUCAACUCCAUGACCUCGACGCGCGAUGGCGGAGGUUCUUCGAUCCAGAGUAGUGGCAGCGGUUCCCAAGUCGGUGGCGGCGGCUCCCCGAUGCAGAGGGCGAGCGACAACGGGGCCCUUGUGCGGGCAAGCGGCGGCGUCCCCGAGGUCCCGAGGAGGCGGCACUUCCAAGGCCGGCGAGCAAGCGACGUCCGUCGACGUGCGAGUAGCGACGGCAACGCAUGAGGCGCGAUGUUCGAGCGAGCGGCGUCACGGAAGGCCCGAGAUGCGCGCAGCGAUGAUCGCACGUGACAUCCUUCGAUCCGGCGCAGUUUUCUUUUUGAUUAUUAUGUUUUAUGCCUACCACAUGUAUUAUUUACGCCAAAAACUAUACGAUUUUAUGCUUAAAUACAGAGUUCGUAUAUCAGUUUACUGCACGCACAUUGGAAAGGCAAUUCCUUGAUUUAUGUUGUUCGUAAUUUGCGCGUAUGCAAUGGAAACUCCCACGAUUUUUGCCAUAAUUUUUGGAUCUGUAUAAAAAUAGAAACCACAUGCAUGCGGCUGCCAUGUUUUCGGAUUUGUCAUAAAAAUAGGAUAGUAAUAACAACCUACUAGAGCUAUCAACCUCUCACAUUGACUUGUUAUUUACGCUUAUAAUUGAGGGAUUUUAUGCUCAAAACUUAAGGUUAUUACACUCCAACCCGGAGAUGCGUCCACCAGUGAACAACAUGCCAGAUUUUUUACGCAGCGUAACGAAUUGCAUAAAUACCUACACUAUGUAGUAUAAUUUGUAUCAGUAUAUAUCAUAAACUAGUUCCAAUGUGUUUUAGCUGCAUGGCUGUUGGAGGGAUCCUAUAUUUACGAAGAAAAUAAAACAUUAAAUACGAUUUUUUGUUUCUAUGCAUGCAAUUCAUUUCCUUUCAUUGCAUAUUCUUUCCAUCAUAAAUUCGUGUGCAUGCAGUUGGUAACAGAUUUUUACGCAGUAUACCGAAUUGCAUAAUUAUUUACACAGUAUGGCAUAUUUAGUAUCAAUAUAUAUCAUAAAAUGUCAAUACGAGUCUAGAUGCAUGGCUGUUACAGCGAUCCUAAAUUUAUGGAGGAAAUAAAACAUUUAAAAUAGAAACCGCCACGCAUAUCUUUCCUAAAUUUACGCGCAUGCAAGAGAGAACGUGUUUGAUUCAUGCAUGCAUUUUGCCAUAAUUUUUGGAUCUGUAUAACCGUAUGCAUGCGGCUGCCAUUUUUUCGGAUCUGCCAUAAAAAUAGGAUCGUAAUAACAACCUAAUAGAGCUAUCAACCUCUCACAUUGGCUCGGUAUUUACGCUUAUAAUUGAAGGAUUUUAUGCUCAAAACUUAAGGUUAUUACACUCCAACCCGGAGAUGCGUCCACCAGUGAACAACAUGCCAGAUUUUUUACGCAGCGUAACGAAUUGCAUAAAUAACUAUAAAAUAUAGUAUAAUUUGUAUCAAUAUAUAUCAUAAACUACAUCUAAUGUGUUUAGCUGCAUGGCUGUUAGAGAGAUCCUAUAUUUAUGAAGGAAAUAAAACAUUAAAUACGAUUUUUUGUUUUUAUGCGUGCAAUUCAUUUUCUUUCAUUGCACAUUAUUUUCAUCAUAAAUUCGUGUGCAUGCAGCGGGUAACAGAUUUUUACGCAGUAUACCGAAUUGCAUAAUUAUCUACACAGGGUAGCAUAUUUAGUAGCAGUAUAUAUCAUAAAAUGGUCCUUACGAGUCUAGUUGCAUGGCUGUUGCAGCGAUCCUAAAUUUAUGGAGGAAAUAAAGCAUUUAAAAAUAGAAACCGCCACACAUAUCUUUCCUAAAUUUAUGCGCAUGCAAAGGGACGUGUUUGACUCAUGCAUGCAUUCCUUUUUUGCGCGCACAGACGUGGGCGCGGGUGAUGCAACCGACAGCCUGGUCCAGUCGGUGCGCUGGGUUGAACCAGGUUGCAGGGAUGAUCGACCUGAGCUUCCUUUAACUAUUGGAAGCCCAUGGCUCCCGUUAUACCUGCCCUAUAUAUAUAUAUACAUAAUUAAUUACCUCAAGCACAAUGUGACCUUGCCAUACAGAUAACAAUUCAAGCACUUGAAGAAAUGGGGUCUCCUACUGAAUAUGGUAUAUUUAACUAUAAAUCUGUUGCAGCAAGGUGAAAAUCAUAUGUCAAAUACGUGUUGUGUAGCUGCAGCAAUUGAAGUAAAAGAAAAUACUGAUGUCUGGCUGCUGCUGGUAGUGAUAGGUGCCCCGACAACCAAUGCAAAUAUGAGAAGUUUGUUCCCAUAGAACGCUGCAACGAACCUUUAGCUCCUAGUCCUAACUACCUGCCAAGUUAGUUUGUAUAUGUUACAUACAGUUAAUGUCGAGAUAGUAUGUAAACGAUUCAUGUGAUUUCUUGAUAUGUGAUCAUGACAAUAAGUAACCCAUCACUUGUUACAUAAUAUAAGCUACAAUCUACAAAUCAUUCAAUCAAGUGUAGCUUAUUUUGCGAGUCAUAUGCAUCAUCACUAAUUCACAUGUGCCUUGCACAAACUCUGACAGCAACAAGCAGUCCCAGCUUCUUGCUUGUUUUAUUGCAGUUAGAGAAUAAGUUAUUGUCCUAAUUACACAGAGGAAGCUGGAGCAAAGCAACAUGUUGAAAGGGAAAUGUGCCCUUGGGCCAUUUCUAAGUAUUUUGGUGAUUGAGUGCCAACACAAGUGUUUUUGUGUUAAUCUAUGCAAAGUGGUGGACAAAGUGCAAAUCAUGUCAAAAGGUAUGUUUCUAGACUUAGUACAUUGUUUUAUGGACUAAUGUAUUGUGCCUAAGUACUGGAAACAGGAAAAAUCGAGGUGGAGAAGAGAUGGCUAAGUUCAGCCAAGGUCAGCGCAGUCUGGGUGCACCGGACUGUCCGGUGGUGCACCGGACAGUGUCCGGUGCGCCAGGCUGACUCUGGCGAACUUGCUACUCUCGGGAGUUCGACGGCGGUGUACGGCUAUAAUUCACCGGACUGUCCGGUGGUGCACCGGACUGUCCGGUGAGCCGUUCACAGGCGAACUCGUCGCUCUCGGGAGAUGAUUAACGGCGUACGGCUAAAAUUCACCGGACUGUCCGGUGGUUCACCGAACUGUCCAAUGAGCUAACGGUCGACCGGGCCAACGGUCGGCCGCGCGAUCUGCGCGGGACACGUGGCCGAGCCAACGGCUAGAAGGAGGCACCGGACUGUCCGGUUUGCACCGGACUGUGUCCGGUGCGCCAACGGCUCUCAAAUCCCAACGGUCGGCUUCGCCAAAUAAGGAAGGAUAUCCGCACCGGACAGUGUCCGGUGGUGCACCGGACUGUCCGGUGCGCCAGACGACAGAAGACAAGAUCAACCUUCCUAGAAUGCUCUGAACGGCUCCUAGCUGCCUUGGGGCUAUAAAAGGGACCCCUAGGCGCAUGGAGGAGAACACCAAGCAUUCCUUGAGCACUCUUGAUCACUCACACUCCAUUCUUGCGCACUUGUUCGACAUUCUAGUGAUUUAAGCUCCGUUCUAGUGUGCUAGUCUUUUGAGCUUAAGUCUGGGUCUUGUGUGUGUGUAUUUCCUGUGAUCUUAGUGUCUUGUGUGAGUUGCUAAUCCCUCCCUUACUCCGUGCUUGUUUGUGAACUUCAAGUGUAAGGGCGAGAGGCUCCAAGUUGUGGAGAUUCCUCGCGAACGGGAUUAAGAAAAGCAAAGCAAAACAUCGUGGUAUUCAAGUGGGUCUUUGGACCGCUUGAGAGGGGUUGAUUGCAACCCUCGUCCGUUGGGACGCCACAACGUGGAGUAGGCAAGCGUUGGUCUUGGCCGAACCACGGGAUAACCACUGUGCCAUCUCUGUGAUUGAUAUCUUUAUGGUUAUUGUGUUUUGUUGAGACUCCUCUCUAGCCACUUGGCGAUUAUUGUGCUAACACUUAACCAAGUUUUUGUGGCUUAAGUUUCAAGUUUUACAGGAUCACCUAUUCACCCCCCUCUAGGUGCUCUCAAUUGGUAUCGGAGCCGUUCUCUUCACAAAGGGACUAAUCGCCUGAAGAGAUAGAUCCUAAGGGGAAGGGAAUCGUGAUCAACGAUAAGGAGAAGGAGUCCUUCAUCAACGAGCCGAAGAAUGACAAGCCUACCGACUCGGGCUCGGGCCACAAACGCAAAGAUGGGAAGAAGAAGAAGACGAGACGCAUCAAGGAGAUCGUCUACUACGACGACAGCGAUGAGUCCACUUCUUCCCAAAAGGAUGACUACGACUACGAGAAACAAAAGACGGUUAAUUUGAAUUUUUCUUUCGAUUACUCUCGUAUUCCUCAGAGUUCAAAUUCACAUUUGCUCUCCAUUCCUCUCGGCAAGCCUCCACACUUUGAUGGGGAGGACUACGGAUUUUGGAGCCACAAAAUGUGUAGUCACCUGUUCUCUCUCCAUCCAAGCAUAUGGGAGAUUGUUGAGAAUGGAAUGAAAUUUGAUAGCUUGGAUAGUCCUAUAUUUAUUAAUGAACAGAUUCAUAGAAAUGCACAAGCUACUACUGUGUUGUUAGCCUCCUUGUGCAGGGACGAGUACCAUAAGGUGAGCGGCUUGGACAAUGCCAAGCAAAUCUGGGACACCCUCAAGAUCUCUCAUGAGGGGAACGAUGUCACCUUGCUCACCAAGAUGGAGUUGGUAGAGGAAGAGCUUGGAAGAUUCGUGAUGAUAAGGGGCGAGGAGCCAACCCAAACAUACAACCGGCUCAAGACCCUUAUCAACAAAAUAAGGAGCUACGGAAGCACGCGAUGGACGGACCACGACGUCGUCCGCCUAAUGCUAAGGUCCUUUACUGUACUUGAUCCACAUCUGGUGAACAAUAUUCGUGAAAAUCCUAGGUACACCAAGAUGUCGCCCGAAGAAGUCCUUGGGAAAUUCGUAAGCGGGCGAAUGAUGAUCAAGAAGGCGAGAUACGUCGACGAUGCACUGAAUGGUCCAAUCAAUGAGCCUCAACCCGUUGCUCUCAAGGCAACAAGGAGCAAGGAGGCGCUACCUAGCAAGGUGGCGCAAGUUGAGGCAGUCGGGCUCAAUGAUGAAGAGAUGGCCCUCAUCAUCAAGCGCUUCAAGACGGCGCUAAAAGGUCGCAAGGGACAGCCAAGCAAGACCAAGACAAAGGGGAAGCGCUCAUGCUUCAAAUGUGGUAAGAUUGGUCAUUUUAUUGCUAACUAUCCCGAUAAUGAAAGUGACCAGGAAAAAGGGAACAAAAGGGAGAAGAAGAAGAAUUACAAGAAGGCCAAGGGUGAGGCACACCUCGGAAAGGAGUGGGAUUCGGAUUGCUCCUCCUCCGACUCCGACAAUGAAGGACUCGCCGCCACUGCCUUCAACAAGUCAUCCCUCUUCCCCAACGAGCGUCACACAUGCCUCAUGGCGAAGGAGAAGAAGGUAUGUACUCGAGACAGUACUACUUAUGAUUCUUCUAGUGAUGAUGAGUCUAGCGAUGAGGAAAUAGAUUACUCUAGUUUGUUCAAGGGAUUGGAUAGAAAUAAAAUUGAUAAAAUCAAUGAAUUGAUUGAUGCCUUGAAUGAAAAGGAUAGACUUUUAGAAAAGCAAGAGGAUUUGUUGUAUGAAGAACAUGAUAAAUUUGUAGAGGCACAAAAAUCUCAUGCUUUAGAAGUUAAAAGAAAUGAAAUGCUUUCUUAUGAACUAUCUACUUGUCAUGAAACCAUUUCUACUUUAAAAGGUGUUAAUGAUGAUUUAAAUGCUAAACUAGAAGUAGCUAGUAAAUCUAACUCUUGUGUAGAACAUGUUGUGAUUUGCACUAGGUGUAAAGAUCUAAAUAUUGAUACUUGUAGUGAACACCUAGAGUGCAUUUCUAAACUAAAUGAUGAAGUAGCUAGUCUUAAUGCUCAACUUAAGAAUAGCAAGAGUGAAUUUGACAAACUAAAAUUUGCAAGGGAUGCCUACACAAUUGGUAGACACCCCUCAAUUAAGGAUGGUCUUGGCUUCAAGAGGGAAGUCAAGAACUUAACAAGCCAUAAAGCACCCAUCUCCGCCAAGGAGAAAGGGAAGGCCCCUAUGGCUAGUAAUGUGCAAAAGAACCAUGCUUUCAUGUAUAAUGAUAGGAGACAUUCUAGGAAUGUCUUUAAAAGUUAUGAUGCUUUUGAUAUGACUGCUUCUAGUUCCUGUGUUGUGCAUGAUAGAAAUGUUGCUAGGAGAAAUGUUGUUCAUCAUAUGCCUAGGAGAAAUGUUGUUAAUAUUCCUAGGAAAAUUAAUGAACCUUCUACAAUAUAUCAUGCUUGCAAUGCUUCAUUUACCAUUUGUAGAAAGGGUAAGAAGGUAAUUGCUAGGAAAUUAGGGGCAAGAUGCAAGGGAGAUAAAACUUGCAUUUGGGUCCCUAAGACAAUUGUGACUAACCUUGUAGGACCCAACAAGAGUUGGGUACCUAAGACCCAAGCCUAAAUUUGCCUUGCAGGUUUAUGCAUCCGGGGGUUCAAGCUGGAUUAUCGACAGCGGAUGCACAAACCAUAUGACGGGGGAGAAGAAGAUGUUCACCUCAUACGUCAAAAAUAAGGAUUCCCAAGAUUCAAUAAUAUUCGGUGAUGGGAACCAAGGCAAGGUAAAAGGGUUAGGUAAAAUUGCUAUUUCAUCCGAGCACUCUAUAUCUAAUGUGUUUUUAGUUGAGUCUCUUGGAUAUAAUUUGUUGUCUGUUAGCCAAUUAUGCAAAAUGGGAUAUAAUUGUCUAUUCACAAAUGUAGAUGUGUCUGUCUUUAGAAGAUGUGAUGGUUCACUAGCUUUUAAGGGUGUACUAGACGGCAAACUUUAUUUGGUUGAUUUUGCAAAAGAAGAGGCCGGUCUAGAUGCAUGUUUAAUUGCUAAGACUUGCAUGGGCUGGCUGUGGCAUCGCCGCUUAGCACAUGUGGGGAUGAAGAACCUCCACAAGCUUCUAAAGGGAGAACACGUGAUAGGUCUAACCAAUGUGCAUUUCGAAAAAGAUAGACCUUGUGCAGCUUGUCAAGCAGGGAAACAGGUGGGAGGUUCUCAUCACACCAAAAAUGUGAUGACCACAUCAAGACCUUUGGAGAUGAUUCAUAUGGACCUCUUCGGACCCGUCGCCUAUCUAAGCAUAGGAGGAAGUAAGUAUGGUCUUGUUAUAGUCGAUGAUUUUUCCCGCUUCACUUGGGUAUUCUUUUUGCAGGAUAAAUCUGAAACCCAAGGGACCCUCAAGCGCUUCCUCAGGAGAGCUCAAAAUGAGUUUGAGCUCAAGGUGAAGAAGAUAAGGAGCGACAACGGGUCCGAGUUCAAGAACCUUCAAGUGGAGGAGUUCCUUGAGGAGGAAGGAAUCAAGCACGAGUUCUCCGCUCCCUACACACCACAGCAAAAUGGUGUGGUAGAGAGGAAGAACAGGAUGCUCAUCGAUAUGGCGAGGACUAUGCUUGGAGAGUUCAAGACCCCCGAGCGAUUUUGGUCGGAAGCCGUGAACACGGCUUGCCACGCCAUCAACAGGGUCUACCUUCACCGCCUCCUCAAGAAGACUUCGUAUGAGCUUCUAACCGGUAACAAACCCAAUGUGUCUUACUUUCGUGUAUUUGGGAGCAAGUGUUAUAUUCUUGUGAAGAAAGGUAGAACCUCUAAAUUUGCUCCCAAAGCUGUAGAAGGGUUUUUAUUAGGUUAUGACCCAAAUACAAAGGCGUAUAGAGUCUUCAACAAAUCAUCGGGUUUGGUUGAAGUCUCUAGCGACGUUGUAUUUGAUGAGACUAAUGGCUCUCCAAGAGAGCAAGUUGUUGAUCUUGAUGAUGUAGAUGAAGAAGACGUUCCAACGGCCGCAAUGCGCACCAUGGCGAUUGGCGAUGUGCGACCACAGGAACAAUUGGAGCAAGAUCAACCAUCUUCCUCAACAAUGGUGCAUCCCCCAACCCAAGAUGACGAACAGGUACCUCAAGUGGAGGCGCAUGAUCAAGGGGGAGCACAGGAUGUUCAAAGUGAAGAGGAAAAAGCACCUCAGGCACCUCCAACCCAAGUUCGAGCAAUGAUUCAAAGGAAUCAUCCCGUCAACCAAAUUUUGGGUGAUAUUAGCAAGGGAGUAACUACUCGUUCAAGAUUAGUUAAUUUUUGUGAGCAUUACUCCUUUGUCUCUUCUAUUGAGCCUUUCAGGGUAGAAGAGGCCUUGCUAGAUCCGGACUGGGUGUUGGCCAUGCAGGAGGAACUCAACAACUCCAAGCAUAAUGAAGUUUGGACACUAGUGCCUCGUCCCAAGCAAAAUGUUGUGGGAACCAAGUGCGUGUUCCGCAACAAACAGGACGAGCAUGGGGUGGUGACAAGGAACAAGGCUCGACUUGUGGCAAAAGGAUAUGCCCAAGUCGCAGGUUUGGACUUUGAGGAGACUUUCGCUCCUGUGGCUAGGCUAGAAUCAAUUCAUAUUUUGUUAGCAUAUGCCGCUCACCAUUCUUUCAGGUUGUACCAAAUGGAUGUGAAGAGCGCUUUCCUCAACGGGCCGAUCAAGGAGGAGGUGUACGUGGAGCAACCCCCUGGCUUCGAGGAUGAACGGUACCCCGACCACGUGUGUAAGCUCUCUAAGGCGCUCUAUGGACUUAAGCAAGCCCCAAGAGCAUGGUAUGAAUGCCUUAGAGACUUUUUAACUGCUAAUGCUUUCAAGGUUGGGAAAGCUGAUCCAACUCUUUUCACUAAGACUUGCGAUGGUGAUCUUUUUGUGUGCCAAAUUUAUGUCGAUGACAUAAUAUUUGGUUCUACUAACCAAAAGUCUUGUGAAGAGUUUAGCAGGGUGAUGACGCAGAAAUUCGAGAUGUCGAUGAUGGGCGAGUUGAACUACUUCCUUGGGUUCCAAGUGAAGCAACUCAAGGACGGCACCUUCAUCUCCCAAAUGAAGUACAUGCAAGACUUGCUAAAGCGGUUUGGGAUGAAGGACGCCAAGCCCGCAAAGACGCCGAUGGGAACUAACGGACACACCGACCUCAACAAAGGAGGUAAGUCCGUUGAUCAAAAAGCAUACCGGUCCAUGAUAAGCUCUUUGCUUUAUUUAUGUGCUAGUAGACCGGAUAUUAUGCUUAGUGUAUGCAUGUGUGCUAGAUUUCAAUCCGAUCCUAAGGAGUGUCACUUAGUGGCUGUGAAGCGAAUUCUUAGAUAUUUAGUCGCUACGCCUUGUUUCGGGAUCUGGUAUCCAAAGGGGUCUACCUUUGACUUAAUUGGAUAUUCAGACUCCGACUAUGCUGGAUGUAAGGUCGAUAGGAAGAGUACAUCGGGGACGUGCCAAUUCUUAGGAAGGUCCCUGGUGUCGUGGAACUCUACGAAACAAACUUCCGUUGCCCUAUCCACCGCUGAGGCCGAGUAUGUUGCCGCAGGACAGUGUUGCGCGUAACUACUUUGGAUGAGGCAAACCCUCCGGGACUUUGGCUACAACCUGAGCAAAGUCCCACUCCUAUGUGAUAAUGAGAGUGCUAUCCGAAUAGCGGAAAAUCCUGUUGAGCAUAGCCGCACAAAGCACAUUGACAUCCGGCAUCACUUUUUGAGAGACCACCAGCAAAAGGGAGAUAUCGAAGUGUUUUAUGUUAGCACCGAAAACCAGCUAGCCGAUAUCUUCACUAAGCCUUUAGAUGAGAAGACCUUUUGCAGGCUGCGUAGUGAGCUAAAUGUCUUAGAUUCGUGGAACUUGGAUUGAUUCAUAGCAUACAUGUGUUUAUGCCUUUGAUCAUGUUCCUUAUGCAUUUUGUUGCUUAUGUAUGGUGCUCAAGUUGUACAAGCACUCCCCGAACCUCGCAAGUCCUUUGCACGUGAUGCACAUAUUUAGGGGGAGAUGUGCUACAACUUGACCCUUUGAGACUAACCGUGUGCUUGAGUUUGCUUGAAUUAGUCUCAAAGGAGGUUUGAAAGGGAAAAGGUGGACUUGGACCAUGAAAGACUUCCACUGCACUCCGAUGAGAGGGUAACUUAUUCCAAGUUCAUCUCAUGUACUCUUAUUGCCUUUGUAUUCUUAUUUAAAGAUUUUGGUGAGGCAAUGGGGUUUAAGGGCCAAGAUUGAUCCUGUUUUGGUGCUUGAUGCCAAAGGGGGAGAAAAUAAAGGCCAAAUCAAUAAAUGGAUCAGCUACCACUUGAGAGUUUUUGAAAAUAGUAGAAUAGAGCUUUUGGUUUGUUUGGUUUGUCAAAACUCUUUUAUUGUCUCUCGUGUCAAAAGUUGGCUUCUUGUGGGGAGAAGUGUUGAUUAUGGGAAAAAGGGGGAGUUGUUGAAAUCUUGAAUCAAUUUCUCUUGGAAUGACUCUAUUUAUGUCUUAACAAGUGUGGUUGACUUAGAGAUAGAAAUUUGAGUUUGAUUUGAAAAAACAAACCAAGUGGUGGCAAAGUGUGAUCCAUAUAUGCCAAAUAUGAAUCAAAACAAUUUUGAGUUCUCAUUUGCAUUGAUAUUGCACUUGUUCUAGUUGCUUUAUGUUGUGUUGGCAUAAAUCACCAAAAAGGGGGAGAUUGAAAGGGAAAUGUGCCCUUGGGCCAUUUCUAAGUAUUUUGGUGAUUGAGUGCCAACACAAGUGUUUUUGUGUUAAUCUAUGCAAAGUGGUGGACAAAGUGCAAAUCAUGUCAAAAGGUAUGUUUCUAGACUUAGUACAUUAUUUUAUGGACUAAUGUAUUGUGCCUGUAGAAAACGGGUGACGCCUAAGAGGGGGGGGGGUGAAUUAGGACUUCUAAAACUUUCGCUAAACUAGGCCACAAUUAAAUCCCUAGAGCAAAACCUAUGCAAAUAAUCAAAACUAGAAUGUGCAAACUAGGUUUUGUCUAAGUGUUGCUAUCUUUACCGCAAAGGCUAAGUUUCAAUCUACACUAAAUAAGUAUAACUACAAGAUUGAAACUUAAAUGCUUAAUAUAAAUGCGGAAUGUAAAGAUCUAAGUAGAGAAGCAAACUCUCGUGGAUGACGCCGGUAUUUUUACCGAGGUAUCCGGAACCACGCAAGGUCCCGACUAAUCCUCGUUGGUGCCCCUACGCAAAGGGAAGCCCACGCGUGGGCCAAGCACCACGGUCGAGUAACUCCGUAGAGAGCCACGGGCCUUCUCCACGCGCAAGUGGUGCUCCGCUUCCGGCUCCUCUCGGACGCUCCCCGCCGUCUCCACUAUCGAGCUUCCGGCCGAAACGCCGCGGGCCUCGUUCCCUCCGAUACACGGUGGCGGCCGUGACACAAACGCGGUUGUCACGGUCUCGCAAGACUCACGCCCCACUCGGUACAAUUACAACGACUCACGCAAGAGCCGAGGGGUUGUGUGGUUUUACAAAACUCACUCAACUAACUAGGGUUCACCUAGAGCAAGCGCUAAAGCGGUCUAACUAACCUAAGCACUUCGCAAAGCACCUACGCUAAUCACCGAGUGAUUCUAUUAAGCACUUGGGUGUUUGAGCUCUUGGAAAUAUGCACUAUGUGUCUUGGUAUGUUGCUUGGGCUCUCACACUUGAGAAUGGCCGGUUGGGGUGGUAUUUAUAGCCUCCACACCCCAAACUAGCCGUUGGACAGAAAGCAGCAGCUUUCUGUCGUCGGGUGCACCGGACAGUCCGGUGCACCACCGGACACUGCACAGUAGAUGUCCGGUGCACGCCACGUCAGCCGACCGUUGGCGCUUGUAGCAGUCGACCGUUGGAUCCGACCGUUGCCGUCUGCCCGUUGGCACACCGGACAGUCCGGUGCACACCGGACAGUCCGGUGCUACAGCCAGAGAGCGCCUGUCUGCGGCCUCUCUGCGCAGACUGUCCGGUGCCUCACCGGACAGUCCGGUGCACACCGGACAGUCCGGUGCACACCGGACACCAAUGUCCGGUGCGCCAUCAGGCGCUGGCUGACAGCCCUUAUCUUGGAUUUCUUCGCUGAUUUCUUCGGGCUUCUUUGUUCUUGAGUAUUGGACUCCUAUGCAUCUUUUUAUGUCUUCUUUUGAGGUGUUGCAUCCUCAUUGCCUUGGUCCAAUUCUCUUCGCAUCCUGUGAACUACAAACACAAACACUAGAAAACUUAAUAGUUCACGGAUUGUGUUGUUCAUCAAACACCAAAACUCAAUUAGCCAAAAGGCCUGGGGUCCAUUUUCCUUACAGUGCCUAAGUACUGGAAACAGGAAAAAUCGAGGUGGAGAAGAGAUGGCUAAGUUCAGCCAAGGUCAGCGCAGUCUGGGUGCACCGGACUGUCCGGUGGUGCACCGGACAGUGUCCGGUGCGCCAGGCUGACUCUGGCGAACUUGCUACUCUCGGGAGUUCGACGGCGGUGUAUGGCUAUAAUUCACCGGACUGUCCGGAGGUGCACCGGACUGUCCGGUGAGCCGUUCACAGGCGAACUCGUCGCUCUCGGGAGAUGAUUAACGGCGUACGACUAAAAUUCACCGGACUGUCCGGUGAGCCAACGGUCGGCCGCGCGAUCUGCGUGGGACACGUGGCCGAGCCAACGGCUAGAAGGAGGCACCGGACUGUCCGGUGUGCACCGGACAGUGUCCGGUGCGCCAACGGCUCUCAAAUCCCAACGGUCGGCUUCGCCAAAUAAGGAAGGAUAUCCGCACCAGACAGUGUCCGGUGGUGCACCGGACUGUCCGGUGCGUCAGGCGACAGAAGGCAAGAUCAGCCUUCCUAGAAUGCUCUGAACGGCUCCUAGCUGCCUUGGGGCUAUAAAAGGGACCCCUAGGCGCAUGGAGGAGAACACCAAGCAUUCCUUGAGCACUCUUGAUCACUCACACUCCAUUCUUGCGCACUUGUUCGACAUUCUAGUGAUUUAAGCUCUGUUCUAGUGUGCUAGUCUUUUGAGCUUAAGUCUGGGUCUUGUGUGUGUAUUUGUUGUGAUCUUAGUGUCUUGUGUGAGUUGCUAAUCCCUCCCUUACUCAGUGCUUCUUUGUGAACUUCAAGUGUAAGGGCGAGAGGCUCCAAGUUGUGGAGAUUCCUUGCGAACGGGAUUAAGAAAAGCAAAGCAAAACACCGUGGUAUUCAAGUGGGUCUUUGGAUCGCUUGAGAGGGGUUGAUUGCAACCCUCGUCCGUUGGGACGCCACAACGUGGAGUAGGCAAGCGUUGGUCUUGGCCGAACCACGGGAUAACCACUGUGCCAUCUCUGUGAUUGAUAUCUUUGUGGUUAUUGUGUUUUGUUGAGACUCCUCUCUAGCCACUUGGCGAUUAUUGUGCUAACACUUAACCAAGUUUUUGUGGCUUAAGUUUCAAGUUUUACAGGAUCACCUAUUCACCCCCCCUCUAGGUGCUCUCACAUGUUACAUAAAAAUUUAGGUGUUUGUUAAUGCAGGUCAAUGAACUUCGUGAAUUAAAGCAAACAUGUGUGUUAGACCAUUGUUUGCUAUGUUUUAAGCUUAGUACACACCAUCGACACAUCAUCUCAAGAAACAAAAUGCAGCGAGCAACGGAGGGGAUGCAAAUUGCAGAGGAAAUGGACUCACGUAGCGGCCAGGUGCAUCUCAUACAUGCGCCAAGAAGACAACAUAUAUAAUAACAGAGUGUAUAGAGAUAAAUGUCAAUAACAUCAGAGUAUUUAUUACAUAGCGGAAGACUUAUUACAAAAUAAAAUAAUAAAAAUAAAACAAACUAAGGAUCGUCGGUGCCAAUGUCAACUGAGAAACGCCACCUAGAUUAGAUCAUACUCCUCGCCUUGUGGCUCCUCCUGAACCACCUGUUCUUCUCCUGUGGGGGGUGUGAGACAGCAAGGGUGAGCUCACACAUGAUCAUAGCUCAACAAGUUGUGGGGAACCAGUGGACAUAAACUCACAAAGGUGUGAGUUCAUGUGAUGUGUAAGGCUAAUCAAUGAUAGGGGUUAAAGCUGAGCAUUGCUUUUAAGUAGUUGGUCAAAAUUUUAUUAGCAGUUACUAAGUGUAAGUAAAUACCAAACCAUAAGUAAAGUAAUAGAACAAAUUAAUAAUAAACCCAUGCAAAGCAAAUGACAAAAUUGAAUUUAAGUUCCAUAAUUUAAACAUCAGAGAGUCUUGAGCUGCUCAUGACCGUGAGCUCGGCUAGUAUACCAGUUUUACACUCUGCAGAGGUUGUACCCUUUACCCACAAGUCAUGUUACCCAUCUGCCAAGGGAUCGCGACUUCCCAUACACCUCUAACUAGGAAGCGCGGCAGGGCAACACUACGAGGCUUUUACAAAGUUCCACUAGAUUCAGAAAACCCGCUACAGUUUAUAGGAAGUCCCAAUGCAGGGUUCUUGUCUGACCGCCAUCGCAGCAAAAUCAACCAAGGACCUCCCUACACUGACCACUCCCCUACUGCCCUUGCCCCUUUCGGGUAAGGUAGUCUUCCACUAGCUUUCCUAAUUAGUCAGCCAAGGGCGUCCCAUUAAACCCUUGUGGUGGCACGUGUUACUCAAGUUAAGCUCUAUGUUCCAAUUAACAUUAAUGAUCUCAACAUGAACAUAAAUAGAAUAACAAAAAGAAUUGGAACAUAGAGGUAAUAAAUGAUUAUCCCAAAACCAUAUAAAGCAGUAGCAAACUACCCAAGUGAUUCAGGGGUAAACAAGGUAAUGAGAUAAACAAUCUAGGGUGACCUAUUGGGUCCCAUCAAAAUUAACCUAUGCAUGGAUAAGUGAUAUUAAAGAACAUUAUUAGGUAAAAAGUGGUCAAGGGCACAACUUGCCUUCAAUGAGCUCCUGCUCAGCUACUUCAACCUGCUGCUCACCAGGAUCCUCAGUCACGUGCUCUUCUACUCGCCACAAUACAAACAAGCACAGUGCAUACAUAGAAAUUAACAUUACACCAAACAUAUAAACAAAAUACACAGUAAUAAUCUACUCAUUAAAAUAAAAUCCUAGGAACAGGAAUUAUAAUUUUUCGAUUAUAGAUUUUAAGUUAUGAAUUUUCAAAGGUUUUAUGUGUUUAAAAUGGAUUAAGUGAGAGAUUAAAUUUCUUAUUAUUUUCAUGACAAAACAGAGACUCUAAGUGAUAGAUAAUAAAAUUACAAAAUUUCAGGAACUGGAAUGGAGUGAUUUGGAGUUAGUAUGAAUUUUCUAUGAAUUAUUGAAGUUCUAGCAUAUAUUUUUGUAUUAAAAACCUAUUUUUCAAUUCAAUUAUUCCAUUUUAAACAGCUCUGGACUGGGCCUCAAUUACCAGAAAGGUCAGGGGGCUCGGCGAUAAAAUUCCUAAGACACAGAGCACAGCGCCAAAGGAUGGCGGGUUGAUUCUCCGGAAUCCCAGGGGCUCUUUAAUAAAACUGACCCGCGAAGGGGUACGGUGCACUCUAGGCCGUCCGAUUACAAACCGACGACCAGGAUUACAUCCGCACGGGAUCGAACCGGUAUCACGCCGAGACCGACCGAUCUGGAGUCUGUGGCUCAGAUUCAAAGUAGCCACGACCUACUCACACCCGACCGAUCCUAACGCAACGGUCCAGAUCCAUUCGCCCGAAAGGGUACGCGAUCCUCUAAUCACCACCGUGCGAUUCCCAUCGAACGCCACGAGGUCAUCGCCCCCUUCCUCCACCCGACGCAAGCAGCGCCGCCACGGCCACGGUGGAUUCCUCGCCGGAGUUCACCAGAUCGGCGCCAGCACCCGAAUUAACCCAAAUUGAUAGCUUCUACGCGCACCGAGCAUGACAACGGACUCAACUGAAACGAACGCAUACCGGAGUAUGGCGAUAGAGGCUCGGUCCACGGAAUGGGCGGCACAGCGGCGGUCGGAGAGGGACGGCGAGCGAUUCGAUCAUGCCACGGACACCACGGCCACAGCGACCGGACCAGAUGUACUACUGCUACGCUGCCAGUCCACCAGCGCCCGAUCUCGUUGACGCAAGAGCGCUACCGCCGAUGAUUGCCUGCGGCGGCUCUGCUCAACAAUGGUGGCGGCCUCGAUUCCUUCCGCGGCGGCGAGAAAUCCGUGCGCAUGCAGUAGGGAAAGCGAGAGGAAAAAAAAGACGAGGGGAUUGAGUCGACGGCCGAGGCUUAUACUACUCCCACGCGGUCAACGCGAUCCGAUUUCGGCGGUGCGCUCCGCCGAGCUCGGUUGAGCUGUUGCGCCCGAUUGCACGGGGAAGACGGAGUCGGAUCCAGCGGACCCACCUGGCAGCGUGCCAACGCGAACAGAGAUAAUGCGCGCGCAUAGGAGUUUAGUGGCUGGCACGCGGGCCCUACCUGUCGGCGCCAUCACCAGGAGCUGGGCUUGCGCUGGGUUAAUGAGUUAGUGGGCCAAAUUCCGUUUCCUAGGCCCAACCGAGUUAAAACUCCUUUCCUUUUAUAUCUCUUCUUCCCUUUUGAAUUUCAAAUUCAACUUUGAAUUUCAGUUAUAGGUUUGCACAUGUAUAAAAUGUGUCAAAUUAAAUUUUGGGGAUGAAGGAAAUAUUUUUAUGUAUAUAUUUAUUUCCUAUGUUUUAUGUGGUAUUUCUUUUCUUUCUCCACUUCUAAAUCCUAGAUUUUAUUUUAUAUUCUAAAUUCCACUUUGGGACUUUAAUGCAUUUCUUGUCUCAUUAUUUCCAUGAGUGAAUGCACAAUCAUAUAAACACCAGCAUGAUGCAUGAUUCUAGUGGCUUUUAUGUUAUUAAUUAUUUGUUUUUACCUAGGGUGUACACAUGUGAUGAUGCACAAAGGUUAAACUGACAUAAGGAGAAAUUGUUUCUCUAUUCAUAUUAUUACAAAGUGGGUGUUACAAAUCCUACCCCCCUUAAAAAUAAUCUCGUCCUCGAGAUUAAGAAGAACUAGAGAAAAGGUGGGGAAAAUCUAUGCGAAGCUCUUCUUCUCUUUCCCAAGUUGCUUCAUCUUCACCGUGGUGACUCCAUUGCACUUUACACAUCUUUAUCACCUUAUUUCUUGUAACUCGAGUCAAAGUGUCAAGAAUCUUGAUCGGGUACUCCGUGUAAGUCAAAUCACCUUGAACACUGAGCUCUUCCAUUGGUAACUGUUCCUCAAGGACACGGAGACACUUCUUCAGUUGGGAUACGUGGAACACAUUAUGCACAUCUGAUAGAGUAGCAGGUAACUCGAGUUGGUAUGUCAUCUCCCCAACUCGCCUAAAGAUCAAUAAUGGUCCAAUAUAGCGAGGGGACAAUUUGCCCUUAACUUUGAAUCUCCUCAUUCCACGAAGUGGUGACACCUUGAGAUACACAUAAUCUCCUUCUUCAAAUUCCAGUGGUCUUCUUCUAUUAUCAGCAUAGCUCUUUUGCCUGGUUUGAGCCACCCUCAAAUUCUCUCGAAUUAUACGGACUUGUUCUUCUGCUUCUUGAAUCAGUUCAGGCCCAAAGAACUGUCUCUCUCCAGUCUGAUCCAAAUAUAGAGGAGUCCUGCACUUCCUCCCAUAUAAAGCUUCAAAAGGUGACAUCUUCAAACUGGCCUGGUAACUAUUAUUAUAUGAGAACUCCGCCUACGGUAGACUUUUAUCCCAACUUCCUCCAUGUUGAAGGGCACAAGCUCUCAACAUAUCCUCCAAAACUUGAUUUGUCCUUUCAGUCUGUCCAUCAGUCUGAGGGUGAUAAGCCGUACUGAAAUUCAACUUCGUACUCAUGUUCUCAUGAAAGCUUCUCCAAAAUCGUGAGGUAAACUGCGAACCUCGAUCAGACACGAUCUUCUUUGGUACUCCGUGCAAACACACAAUCCGAGCCAUAUAUAAUUCUGCUAGCUGAGAACCUUUAUAAGUAGUCUUCACAGGAAUAAAGUGAGCCACUUUAGUCAACCUAUCCACAAUCACCCAUAUAGCAUCAUAUCCUUUCUGGGUGCGCGGCAAUCCGGUAAUGAAAUCCAUACCAAUCUCUUCCCACUUCCACUCGGGUAUCUUCAGUGGAUGCAAUAGUCCAGCUGGCCUCUGGUGUUCAGCCUUAACUCUUUGACAUACAUCGCACAUAGCCACAUGUGCAGCUACAUCUCUCUUCAAUCCAUACCACCAAUACUUCCGCUUCAAAUCCUGAUACAUCUUGGUACUACCAGGAUGAAUAGAAUAAUUCGAGUCAUGGGUCUCCUUUAAAAUAGUAUCUCGAAGGCUUUCAAUAUCAGGAACACACAUUCUGUCCUUAAACCAUAUGGUGCCUUGCUCAUCUUCCGUAAAUUCCGGAACUCGACCUUCAGUAAUCAGAUCCUUGAUCUCUUUUAUUUUAGCAUCACCAAUUUGUCCUUUGCGGAUCUCUUGCUCCAAAGUAGGUUCCACAUCAAUAGUAACUCCUUCAGUAUGAGCAACUAUCCCCAGGUUAAGUUUCCUGAAAUCCUCAACAAUCUCAUCGGGUAGCUGGGCAACAAUAGCUGAAUGUACAUGCUCCUUGCGACUCAAGGCAUCUACAACCAAAUUUGCCUUGCCCGGGUGAUAGUGAAUCUCCAAGUGGUAAUCCUUAAUAAGCUCCAACCAACGGCGUUGCCUAAGGUUGAGAUCCUUCUGAGUGAAUAUAUACUUCAAACUCUUAUGAUCCGUAUAUACUUGGCACUUAGUUCCCAUGAUGUAGUGUCUCCAAAUCUUAAGUGCAUGCACGACUGCUGCCAAUUCCAAGUCAUGAGUGGGGUAGUUCAAUUCAUGUCUCCGUAACUGACGAGACGCAUAGGCAAUCACAUGUCCUUCUUGCAUAAGCACACAUUCUAAGCCUUGGCCACAUGCAUCACAAUAGAUAUCAAAUCCUUUCUGUAAGUCCGGCAUAACCAAUACUGGUGGCGACAUCAACCUCUUCUUCAAUUGAUCAAAGCUGUCUUGACACUUCUCAUCCCACUUAAAUUCUCUUCCUUUCUCUAAAAGUGAAGUCAUAGGUUUAGCCAUCUUAGAAAAUCCUUCAAUAAAUCUCCGAUAGUAUCCUGCUAAUCCCAAGAAACUCCGAAUCUCAGUAACUGUAGUGGGUACUCUCCACUCCAUUAUCUCCUUAACUUUAGCAGGAUCUACUGAAAUUCCUCCAUUAGAAAUAAUAUGACCAAGAAAUGGCACCUCGCCAAUCCAAAACUCGCACUUGCUGAACUUGGCAUAUAGCUGGUUAUCUCGUAGCUUCUGUAGCACCAAUCUCAGAUGUUCCUCGUGAUCACUAUCACUCUGAGAAUAAAUAAGAAUAUCGUCGAUGAAUACCACGACGAAUCUGUCCAAAUAUUCCAUAAACACCUUAUUCAUCAAAUUCAUAAAGUAAGCUGGUACAUUGGUUAAUCCAAACGACAUCACGGUGAACUCAUAUAAUCCAUAUCGAGUCGAGAAAGCCGUCUUGGGAAUAUCCGAUGGUCUAAUCCUCAUCUGAUGGUAACCGGAUCGGAGAUCAAUCUUCGAGAAUACUCUAGCACCUCUCAUCUGAUCAAAUAAAUCCUCAAUACGGGGUAACGGAUACUUGUUCUUCACAGUAACAUCGUUGAGAGAUCUAUAAUCCACACACAUUCUUUGUGAUCCAUCCUUCUUCUGUACAAACAGAACCGGUGCUCCCCAAGGUGAGGAACUCGGACGAAUGUACCCAGCCUCUUGUAACUCAGUUAACUGCUUCUUAAGUUCCUUCAACUCCUCUACGGACAUCCUAUAUGGCCGUUUAGAAAUAGGGGCGGUUCCAGGUAAGAGAUCAAUAACAAACUCAACUUCUCUAUCAGGUGGCAUCCCUGGUAACUCCUAUGGAAAGACAUCUGGAAAAUCUCUAAUCACCCGGAUGUUGUCACCAACAAACUCCUCAGGUAUAAAGAACAUUGCACGCAUGGAUGAGGAGGUUACUGCAAUAUUAACUUGAAAUCUUUCUCCUUUAGUGGUAGUGAGUUCUACGGUACCUCUACCACAUGCUAUAACGGCCUUUGACUUUCUUAGCCAUGACAUACCAAGGAUCAUAUCUAUACUGCUUGACUCUAAUAUUAUAGCAGUAGCUCCAAAUUCUCUACCCAUAAUGGUUAAUGUCAAUCUACGUGUCAUUUGAUUUGCCUCAACAGGCCCUUUAGGUGUAAUUACUAUCAUGGGUUUUCUCAUAUUUAGCAGUGGUAUUUCAUUUGUGUUGGCAUAUCUAGCAGACAUGAAUGAAUGUGUAGCACCAGAAUCAAAUAAUAUGGUUGCAGGAAUUGCAUUAACAUAAAACAUACCAAGUACGAGGUCCCCACCAUCCGGAGUAGCAUCAACGCUGACUUGAUUAACCUUGGCAAUAGAAUAUCCCUUGCCAGAUCCUGGAGUUUGCUGCCUGUUCUGAACUGGAGUAGUAGCAAUCCUCUGUGGACAGACAUUUGCAUAAUGGCCAGUUUUCCCACACUUGAAACAAGUAGUGCCUGGACUCUGUCCUGAAAACUUCGUCGGGGUGCUAGUAGGGGUAGCCUGUCGAGGAGGUGGAGUCCUCAGUGGUGAUUGCUGAACUGGGCGCUGGCCUCCGCCAGUGCGAACUGGUGUACCCUGAGGUGAACUAUAGCGAGGACGAACACUGCUGCUUCCUUGUCCUUGAGAUAUAGCCUUUCUCUUCAAAUCUCCCAGCUGAACACGCUUGUGUUCAAUAGCCAGGGCCUUAUCAAGCAGCCUCUGAAAUGAUGGAAAUGUGUGUGCCACUAGAGCAUACUGCAGGGGUCCAUUAAGUCCUUCAAUAAAAUGCUCCUGUUUCCUCUCAUCUUCAGCAACUUCAUCAGGGGCAUAUCUGGAUAACUGAAUAAACUUGUCGCGGUACUCGCUGACUGACAUAAUUCCUUGCUUCAGCGACAGAAAUUCCUUCUUCUUAAUCUUCAUCAAUCCAGCUGGUAUAUGAUAAUUCCGGAACUGUGUACUGAACUCUGCCCAAGUGAUAGUAUCAGCAGCAUCAUGGGCAGCAGUAUAUGAAUCCCACCAGUCAGCAGCAGGACCUGUCAGACGUCCAGAAGCAUAUAAAACCUUCUCCCGGUCAGUGCAUUGUGCAAUAUUCAACAUCUUCUCAACAGACUUCAGCCAAUCAUCCGCGUCCAGUGGAUCAGGUGAGCUAGCGAAGGUAGGUGGCUUAUGACUCAUGAACUCCCUAUGCUUAUCUCGGGGUGGAACUGGUGGUGGUGGUGGAGGCAGUGGUACUUGUUGCUGUUGCUGCUGUUGCUAUUGUUGUUGCAUUUGUUGUUGCAGCUGCUGUUGUUGCGCCCUCCUUUCCUGGCGUAUCUCCUCUCGUUCCUGGCGCAACUCCUGUCGUAUCUCUUCUCUUUCUUGACGCAUUUCCUGGCGUUCUUGCUGCAUCUGUGCACGCAUAUCUGCCAUGGUGUCCGCCAUUUGCUCCAUCAUAUUCAUCUGAGCAGCAACCAGGGGUCAACUCCGCUUGGUGGAGGAUUAGGAGGAUUCAUCUCUGCAGGUUGUGGCUGGGGUUGUCUAUAUAUCCACCGAGUGUGUCGAUUAGGAGGCAAAUCAAUUCCACCACCCCGCCUGGUAUUGACCAUCUGAGUUAGAUACAUAUGGUAAGAAAAUAGUAGACAAGGUAGGUAAUUACAAAUCAGGUUACUUUGGGGAUUUAUUAGCUAAGCAGAUUAAUAUUUCACCUACUAAAGCUAAUUCAAUACCUCAUGUUGGUACAUGCUAAGAUGCCCAUCUAUAAUAAUUCAAUCAAUCAAAGAAGCAAAUCAGGCAUUUAGCAUCAGCACAAUCAAACAACAUUUUUAAAGAAAAUAGUUUUAAAUUUUGUCUUGGGUUCCCUAUCUCUAAAAAAAAUCAUAGUGGUAGGAUUCCAAGGUGUGAAAUCCAUCUUGUCUUAGAGUAGAAAAGAUAGGAUUAAUCAGAGGAGAGUAGCAGAAGGUGAGACAAGAUCAAGAUGAGAUGAGUAUAGAAUGAAUCAGAGUAAGGUAAGUAAUGAAGGGUUUGUCCAUUUCUAUCUAGGUCUCGUCCUACAGUCAACAUUUCCUCUGAUACCACUUCUGUCACACCCGGCUUUAAGGAACAAAGCCAGGUGCAUCUCAUACAUGCGCCAAGAAGACAACAUAUAUAAUAACAGAGUGUAUAGAUAAAUGUCAAUAACAUCAGAGUAUUUAUUACAUAGCGGAAGACUUAUUACAAAAUAAAAUAAUAAAAAUAAAACGAACUAAGGAUCGUCGGCGCCAAUGUCAACUGAGAAACGCCACCUAGAUCAGAUCAUACUCCUCGCCUUGUGGCUCCUCCUGAACCACAUGUUCUUCUCCUGUGGGGGGGUGUGAGACAGCAAGGGUGAGCUCACACAUGAUCAUAGCUCAACAAGUUGUGGGGAACCAGUGGACAUAAACUCACAAAGGUGUGAGUUCAUGUGAUGUGUAAGGCUAAUCAAUGAUAGGAGUUAAAGCUGAGCAUUGCUUUUAAGUAGUUGGUCAAAAUUUUAUUAGCAGUUACUAAGUGUAAGUAAAUACCAAACCAUAAGUAAAGUAAUAGAACAAAUUAAUAAUAAACUCAUGCAAAGCAAAUGACAAAAUUGAAUUUAAGUUCCAUAAUUUAAACAUCAGAGAGUCCUGAGCUGCUCAUGACCGUGAGCUCGGCUAGUAUACCAGUUUUACACUCUGCAGAGGUUGUAGCCUUUACCCACAAGUCAUGUUACCCAUCUGCCAAGGGAUCGCGACUUCCCAUACACCUCUACCUAGGAAGCGCGACAGGGUAACACUACGAGGCUUUUACAAAGUUCCACUAGCUUCAGAAAACCCGCUACAGUUUAUAGGAAGUCCCAAUGCAGGGUUCUUGUCUGACCGCCAUCGCAGCAAAAUCAAUCAAGGACCUCCCUACACUGACCACUCCCCUACUGCCCUUGCCCCUUUCGGGUAAGGUAGUCUUCCACUAGCUUUCCUAAUUAGUCAGCCAAGGGCGUCCCAUUAAACCCUUGUGGUGGCACGUGUUACUCAAGUUAAGCUCUAUGUUCCAAUUAACAUUAAUGAUCUCAACAUGAACAUAAAUAGAAUAACAAAAAGAAUUGGAACAUAGAGGUAAUAAAUGAUUAUCCCAAAACCAUAUAAAGCAGUAGCAAACUACCCAAGUGAUUCAGGGGUAAACAAGGUAAUGAGAUAAACAAUCUAGGGUGACCUAUUGGGUCCCAUCAAAAUUAACCUAUGCAUGGAUAAGUGAUAUUAAAGAACAUUAUUAGGUAAAAAGUGGUCAAGGGCACAACUUGCCUUCAAUGAGCUCCUGCUCAGCUACUUCAACCUGCUGCUCACCAGGAUCCUCAGUCGCGUGCUCUUCUACUCGCCACAAUACAAACAAGCACAGUGCAUACAUAGAAAUUAACAUUACACCAAACAUAUAAACAAAAUACACAGUAAUAAUCUACUCAUUAAAAUAAAAUCCUAGGAACAUGAAUUAUAAUUUUUCGAGUUAUAGAUUUUAAGUUAUGAAUUUUCAAAGGUUUUAUGUGUUUAAAAUGGAUUAAGUGAGAGAUUAAAUUUCUUAUUAUUUUCAUGACAAAACAGAGACUCUAAGUGAUAGAUAAUAAAAUUACAAAAUUUCAGGAACUGGAAUGGAGUGAUUUGGAGUUAGUAUGAAUUUUCUAUGAAUUAUUGAAGUUCUAGCAUAUAUUUUUGUAUUAAAAACCUAUUUACUCACACCCGACCGAUCCUAACGCAAUGGUCCAGAUCCAUUCGCCCGAAAGGGUACGCGAUCCUCUAAUCACCACCGUGUGAUUCCCAUCGAACGCCACGAGGUCAUCGCCCCCUUCCUCCACCCGACGCAAGCAGCGCCACCACGGCCACGGUGGAUUCCUCGCCGGAGUUCACCAGAUCGGCACCAGCACCCGAAUUAACCCAAAUUGAUAGCUUCUACGCGCACCGAGCAUGACAACGGACUCAACUGAAACGAACGCAUACCGGAGUAUGGCGACAGAGGCUCGGUCCACGGAAUGGGCGGCACAGCGGCGGUCGGAGAGGGACGGCGAGCGAUUCGAUCACGCCACGGACACCACGGCCACAGCGACCGGACCAGAUGUACUCCUGCUACGCUGCCAGUCCACCAGCGCCCGAUCUCGUUGACGCAAGAGCGCUACCGCCGAUGAUUGCCUGCGACGGCUCUGCUCAACAAUGGUGGCGGCCUCGAUUCCUUCCGCGGCGGCGAGAAAUCCGUGCGCAUGCAGUAGGGAAAGCGAGAGGAAAAAAAACGAGGGGAUUGAGUCGACGGCCGAGGCUUAUACUACUCCCACGCGGUCAACGCGAUCCGAUUUUGGCGGUGCGCUCCGCCGAGCUCGGUUGAGUUGUUGCGCCCGAUUGCACGGGGAAGACGGAGUCGGAUCCAGCGGACCCACCUGGCAGCGAGCCAACGCGAACAGAGAUAAUGCGCGCGCAUAGGAGUUUAGUGGCUGGCACGCGGGCCCUACCUAUCGGCGCCAUCACCAGGAGCUGGGCUUGCGCUGGGUUAAUGAGUUAGUGGGCCAAAUUCCGUUUCCUAGGCCCAACCGAGUUAAAACUCCUUUCCUUUUAUAUCUCUUCUUCCCUUUUGAAUUUCAAAUUCAACUUUGAAUUUCAGUUAUAGGUUUGCACAUGUAUAAAAUGUGUCAAAUUAAAUUUUGGGGAUGAAGGAAAUAUUUUUAUGUAUAUAUUUAUUUCCUAUGUUUUAUGUGGUAUUUCUUUUCUUUCUCCACUUCUAAAUCCUAGAUUUUAUUUUAUAUUCUAAAUUCCACUUUGGGACUUUAAUGCAUUUCUUGUCUCAUUAUUUCCAUGAGUGAAUGCACAAUCAUAUAAACACCAGCAUGAUGCAUGAUUCUAGUGGCUUUUAUGUUAUUAAUUAUUUGUUUUUACCUAGGGUGUACACAUGUGAUGAUGCACAAAGGUUAAACUGACAUAAGGAGAAAUUGUUUCUCUAUUCAUAUUAUUACAAAGUGGGUGUUACAAAGGAUAUCUAUAUGUAUGUUCACUUAUUGUAAUAAUAUUACUUCUAAUUAAUUAUUCAUUAUAAUACAUUUUAACAAAAGAUACAGUUUCUCUACUAUUCGAGUCUAUUCGGACCGAACUAAAAUUUCACAAAUCCGAAUGGACAGAACUGAAUUACUCAAAUAGAGCCCUAGGCCCAAGAAUACCCGCAGCACAAGCUACUGGGCGCUCUACUUGCAACGGCUUGCUUCGAUCCACAAUGCCGCCCAUUCAUUGGCAUCGCAUCAAUGGACGGACCCGUCUGACAGCACAAGCAUCAGACACCGAGUAUGGAACACACCCGCGCAGUAGAGAGAAUCAAACCAUUCUCAGGCUUCGUUUAAAUCAAUACAUAUGUAUUGGAUCAUUACUAGAGUAUCCAAACUAGGCAGAGCUCACACCAUCGCUUUACCACUCCACACCGGCACAUGUCCGUUGGCAAUGCGUGCAAAGAAAUGCACCAACAUCACAAAUGACACAGUGUACCAAGUACUUGGCCACUCUACAUCAACGGUUAAAACCAUUGCGAUACAACAAAAAAAAUAUAUAUAUUCAGACUGCGUAGACACAUCUGAACAUAUUCUGACCUCUACAAAUGGAAGGAGAAUUCAGCAACGAGUUCCUAUCCAAGGUACAAACCUCCAAACCUUACUAGUGAGAAAACAUCACACAUGUUCAGUCUUGUUACCCUGAUUCGCACAAUGAUCUAAAACAAAACAACCGCAAAAGCAGCAGGGGUUGUCUUGUUCCACGCUCCAUGUCCACCGAUCAUGUGCUGCGGACUGCCAAACACUCAGCUUUUCAGCCAGCUUCUAUAAAAUUCGUUUGGAUAAAAAACAUUCAAAAUCAACAUAAACAUAUAAUCAGUUGAGUCGUCGCAAUAGUAGUAAUCCGUCACUUUAUAGAUCCUGAGCCCCAUGGACAACUUUAUCUUUCUCCGCACGUAAUUCUAAUGAUACUCAGAUUCUCUACACAGCUAGAUUCUCGGAAAAGCUGGUCAGAAAAAAGCUGAACCAAACAGACCCCAUGCUCUCUCAGCGGACAAGGCCUCCGCUCCGUGCCUUCUCCCUCCCUACAGAUUUCCAGCACCCAGAAACUAACUACCCUUCAGUGUAGCACAACUGCAAACAAACACCGGGGGGGCCUCGCUCGCGUGUUCCGCCAUUUGAUGAUUGCCGCGUCCGAUUCCAAAUUCCCGACUCCACUCGCGCCAUGUCUGGACACUGUUCCAGCGCGCCUACGGGCGGUCACCGUCCAGAGCCGCUGUCACCUUUUUGGUUGCACAAUCUGCCAAGCACAUACAUUGCUCCCUUCUGUAGUUUGUCGCGCCACCAGGACCUGGGCUACACACGCGGCGGCUGGCCGUUCAGGGCACAGGCGGCCGCCGCCGCCGUUGAGGAACUCUUGUCAGCAGCGGCCCCCCACACAUCGAAACCCGUGUUCGCUAGGACGCCCUCGUGGGCGAUCCUUGCGUCCUGGAAUGGCCCCGCGCAUUUUGCCUUCGCGAACUUAGCGCAGGCCUCCCUCGCCGCCUCCAGGCAGGCGGCCAUCUCGCGCUCCUCGCAUCUCGACCUCUCCUCGUAGUCCGUCGGAGGAGCAGCAGCUACAACUACAAGUAAGCGUUUCCACCAGGGUGGCUUGCACUUGCGUGAUGCGCUGACUGAGCACCCUGACCUUGCACCGGCCUGCAAAAGACAUGUGUACCGGCAUCAUGUUAUUGCAUUUUUCUUACCCCCCCCCCCCCUCCUUGAACGAAAAAAAAACACAUCUUUGCUAUAAAAAACACAUCUUUGGAGUAAUAGGGACAUUGUCAACCCAAAUCAUCACAAUAAAGCAAAGCAAACAUAGUCUGAUGUAAUAGGACAUUUUGUCAACCCCAACCAUUCAACAACUCCAGUAGCCAGGAUCUGGUUGUCUACUAUCAUACAGAAGGGAUCACUAAAACCCUAUACAAUAUGUUCUAAGUGUGACCUGUGCUUCUUCCCCACGUGUUUAACCACACUCUGUUCUUCAGCCUAGACACUACUAAAAAGUAUUGGAUGUAGCUAUUGGUAUAACAAGUGGGUUUUUUGACAUGUGUACUGUGGAGCAGUGUCAACCACGACACUAAAGGUAAGUAGUCAUGAGCUGGUUUGCUCUCUUCAAUGUAUGCAGCUGCUAUACUUAUUGGCUGGCAGAGCUUAAGCCAGCCAACUCGGCCAGCUGCAAUGGCAAAUCAAAUCCCUUCAGCACAUUAGGCAGGACAGAACAAGAUUUAUUUAAAAAAAAGAGGGGAAGGGGCUCUGUCUCAGCGAUGGCUGAUAAAAUCGAUGAUCGAUACUAUUUGAGAUAGAAACAUCAAGUACAAAUAGGUUUUCCCUAGAAGAAGAGAACAUAAGUUGCACAUGCUUGAGAAGCUACAUGAAGAACAAAAGAAAAAACAUAACUCGUCUGAUUAAAAGCACGUAUUAUCUUUUUGCGAGCAGAACCAUCUACAAUGUACUCUAAUUAAUGUUGUUGCUGUUUUCCCAUAAAAGCAGGAGAGCGCUAGCGUCCAGUUAAUCAGGCAACAACUAAUCAACGUGAGACGAAGUCAACUGUGGCUUCGCUCAAUGUGUAAAAGCAUGAUACUUGAAACAGCUAGGAUGAAGCAAAAAAAAACUAGAUUGGAAGAAAGCAAAUAGAAAUGGGGCAUGAAAGGACAAGAACACGUACACCUGAAUAAGCUAAAGCGCUCGACUUAUCUGCGUUUACCGACUACUACAUAACCGGCAUGCUUGAGAAGCUACAUGAAAAACAAGAGAAAAAACAUAACUCAUCUGAUUAAAAGCACGUAUUAUCUUUUUGCGAGCAGAACCAUCUACAAUGUACUCUAGUUAAUGUUGUUGCUGUUUUCCCAUAAAAGCAGGAGAGCGCUAGCGUCCAGUUAAUCAGGCAACAACUAAUCAACGUGAGACGAAGUCAACUGUGGCUUCGUUCAACGUGUAAAAGCAUGAUACUUGAAACAGCUAGGAUGAAGCAAACAAAAAAACAUUGGAAGAAAGCAAAUAAAAAUGGGGCAUGGAAGGACAAGAACGAGUACACUUGAAUAAGCUAAAGGACUCGGCUUAUCUACGUUUACCGACUACUACAUAACCGCCAUUCCACACAGAAGGCAUCGCGACUAUAUAGCACGGUCCACCCUGACCACUGGAAUUCAGAUGCCAGGAGGUGAUUUGUACUCUUUGCCCCCAACUGGGGUGAAACUGGAAACAGCAUUUUCAAAAAGGAAACAAAUAUAAAUGCCACAUUGAAAGUCCAGUGGUUAUGUGGGCAUUGUCAACCCUAACCAUUCGGGUUUCCACAAAGAACACAUCGUCACAAAGUAAAAAAAAACAUAAGUGAAACAAACAUAGUCCGGCGAUUAUGGGGGCAUUGUCAACCCUAACCACUGAGCUCCAGUAGCCAGGAGCUGGUUUGCCCUCCUUGAUAUUUGCAGCUGCUAAACUUACUGCCUUGCAUGACUACCGCGAGGCACCUCGGCCAGCUGCAACAACAACAACAACAACAUGAUCACAAUUGACAUGUGGUGUCCAGCAUUCGUACGUGCUGACGCGCUAAGACACCGGAAAGAUCUAAGAUAAACGCUGGAUCUAUCCCAAUCCUACUCGCGUGGCUGCAUUCUCAGGCCAGGCCACUCAUGACCUCGCAUUGCUCCCACGCUUUCCCGAAAAUUUCAUCACUUUGCCAACACAGGAACGACCUGAGACGUGAGAAGACGGGGGAUUACCUCGCACUGGGAGACGAGGCUGGCCUCGGCGGCCUCCCAGGCGGCUCGCCAGCUCGCGGCGUCGCGGAAGGCGAGGACGGGGCCCUCGCCGCUAGAUGCUGGGGAGGGGACUGGCGCCCGGAGGAGAGGGAGCGGCGGGUCGAAGCGCACCACGGUGGCCUCCGCGGAAUAGUCCUCCGCCGAGUCGUCGGCGUUGCCGGCGAAGGCCAUUGAGAAUCGCCGACGGGCGGCGGGAGGUGUCAGGUGUGGGGGAUGGUGACUAGGGUUUGCCUUUUGAGUCCGCUGGAUUGGGCCUGGGAACGAGGAUUCAUUACCGGGCCGGGCCCUUCAUAUUUGGUCUCUGUCCUUGAAACCCUCUGGAUUCAUUCCGCCGCAGCCGGCAGCGGCGCGCCGUGUGCUGACGCGGCCGCAUUUUCGGGUUGGGGUCUUUGCAGGACGGAGUAUGACCGUCGCGGCCGGCGAGCUCGAAGACGAAGACGGCGUGCGCGGGCGGAGCCGUGGCCCGUGUCGUCAGAGCAGGAGCGGGAGCGGGUGGCGGAGCGUGGGCGCCGCUCGCCCUGGGUGUUCAGCAGCCGAGACGUCGCUGUUGCUGCCGCGCCCAAGCCGCCCGCGGACCCGAGCAGCGGGCGCCGGGCCGAGGACGAGGUGCAGCUGGCCGCCGGUGCGCGGCGCGGGAACGCGACCGCGGCGCGCUUGAAGCUCAGGCUGCGCAGGCUUUGCGCGUAGGGCGGUUCUCGUCGGAGCGGCGGCGGCGGCGACGGCUACACGGCAGCUCUCUCCCUAACCCUAGCUUUGUAUACCAUGAUGAAUUGAGAAUUUUGCAAACAUGACACGGCUACGGCGGGCUUCAAACUUUUGGCACCGCCGUCGUGGCAAUUGAAAGUGUGGCAUUGAAAUCUCUCUCGAAUUGUAAAUUUGGCAUCGAGCGCGCUUAAUGGUGUUUAGCCCUUGUGCAGUGCUCGUGCUGCCCUCGCGCCGUUAGAAACUUGCCGCCGUCUUCCUCUUCUACCGUCGCCCGUGAAGCUCCCGUAUGCCAUUCUCUCUGUGUCCUCUCCUCCUCAUUCUCGCCCUAGUCGUCGUCUUGCUCGCUCGAACUCUGCUCGCCCUAGCCGUCGUCUUCCUCGAGCUGCUCUCUUUGUCUCCGCGCACUGGGCCCUGUCCUUCUCCAGAUCCUCUCGUAUUCCAUUCUCCCUGUCUCCUCUCCUCCUUAUUCUCGCCCUGGCCGUCGUCUUCCUCGAGCUGCUCUGUUCGUCUCCGCGCACUGGGUGCAUUCGUGCCCUGUCCUUAUCCGGAUCUCGCCCUUCCCUGCCUCGCCGGUUCCUACGCUCGUGGUCCAUUGCCGACCUCCGACGCUGGUGAGCUUUCCUUCUUCUGUAACCCUAGGGUUUGCAGAUUAAGAAGCCGGCAUGGAUUCUGCCGCCGAGCUUUGUGCCCAGAAGUUGUCCUUGGCGGCUGUUGUAGCCCGUGACACACUGAAUGCUUCUGUUGCCGCGAGUAUUGUUGCUGGUGAUUAUUGCGCCACAUUUUCGUUAGGUAACAAUGUGGUUUCUACUCUUGAUGUUCUUGAAUUCGCUGUGGCGGCGGAAAAUAGUGCUUUGCGUUCUUACAAACAGGCGAGUGCAGCCGUCGAUUGUGCUAAGGAGACAGUGGCCAAAUAUUCUGAGGUUUGUAUUCUUAAACUUAUACUGUGCCCUGUGAUUGAAUUGUGAAGUGAGAAAUGUGAAGUGAGGAAAUGCUUAGCCCUGUGAUGAAUUCUUUGAAAAUACUCAGCUGAAUACUACACUUGUUGUUUUUAUGCGAUGAAAUUUGUGAGGGCUAUGGCUGUUUCAGCCUGUUUGAUGUUGUUUCAUUGAAUAAUUUGACCUGAGGCUUGUGCUAAUUUGAGAUUAUCAGGUUGCUUAGCCCUGUGAUGUUUUCUUUGAAAAUAGUGAACUGUAUACUACACUUGUUCUUUUUAUGUUCAAAAAAUACUGAGGGCUAUGGCUGUUUCAGCCUGUUUGAUGUUGUUUCAUUGAAAAAAUUGACCUGAGGCUUGUGUUAAUGGAAGAUGAUCAACUUGAUUAACCCUGUGAGGGUUUUUUUUUGAAAUUAGUUAACUGUAUACUACACACUUGUUCUUUUUAUUCUCAAAAAUGACUGAGGGCUAUGGCUGUUUUAGCCUGUUUGAUGUUGUGUCAUGUUUGCAAAAUUCUCCAGUUCAAUUAACAUUGGUUGUUGCCCUAUGAUGUUUCCAUAGCAGUAACUGAGGGCAUAUGAUCUUUCAAUAAAUAUUGUGGCAGUAUUAUUGAUAUUGGUUGUUUUCAGCCUCUUUGCUGGUUUCCAAAGAUGACCCUGAACCCUCAGUUAACUUUGGUAGUAUUACUGGUAUGGAUGUUUUCAGCCUGUUUUUCCAGUUGAGUUCAAAUUAGUAGUUGCCCUAUGAUGUUUCUUGAUACUUUAGAACUGCCUAGUACAUAUGAUGAUUUUAAAAAAAACUGAGGGCUGUCCAUAUGUGGUUCAUAUUAGUAGUUGCCAUGUGUCAGCCAGUUUGGUUCAGUUCAUGGUAUGUGGUUCAUUGUUCAGUUGUUAGUUCAUAUUCGACUACUUGCGCAUAUGGCUCUCCAUAUUCUAAUGUUAAUUUUGUUUUCAGGUGAACCGAAAACUAGCGCAAGCACUCAGAUAUGCCAUGUCUCAAAUGAGUGAUACGGCUAAGAAACUUCAAGAUACUGCCUCUUUGUGCUACACAAAUGAAGAAGUUGUAGACGGUUUCAAGCUGACUCAAGUAGCUCGUUCAAUGGACGAGUUAGCUGAAAUGCUUGAAGUAACUGCAAUUGACUGCCAGGUCUCGAUGAUGGAUCCAACUACUAUGUUAGAAGCUGGCUAUGCUAGUGAAGAUACUGCGGUGUGGGAGGACGUAUUCCGUGACCGAGAAAUAAUGAAUCAACCAUUAGAAGCGGAGACACUUGCUGAGCACUGUGCUAAGUGGGGGCUUAAUUACAAUGAGAUCUGGGAUAGAUCAGUGUAACUUUGGCUUGUGUAGUUCUUUUGUAAUGAGUUCACUUAGAUGAACUAGAUCAGUGUAACAAUGGCUAUGGUAUUGUAAUGCGUGAGUUCCAAAUUGUAAGACAUCUUGAACUACUUGUGGCUACUUAUCUUCUAUGAAAUGCUAUGAAGUACCUGUUAUGACUAUAUGUUGGUACUUGUGUUAUUUAUUUGUGUUCUAUUGUGUGAUCUACUUUGAAGUAAGAGUGGUCAUGUUAAAAUGUCACAGGAAAUCAAGCUGCACAGGGGGUUAACAGAAAAGCAAGCAUUUUUCUGUGACAUUGGUGCUUGCUUUUCUGUUGCUUGCCCAGCUGUAGCAUCCAUUCGUGCUUGCUGCGCAGCUGCAUGCCCAGCUGUAGCAUCCAUUGGUGCUUGCUGCUUGCCCAGAAAAUGCUAGCUGCUACCUCCAUUGGUGCUUGCUGCUUGCCCAGCUACUUGCCCAAAGCAAGCAUUUUCUCAUCGCAAUGCAGCAAAAAAGCAAGAAAAAAUGUACCAUAACAACAGUAAUGUGUCCAAAUAGAAAAAGAGGACAUGGUAAAUUCAAGGGGCACAAAAAUGACACAGAAAUACCAUAGUUUCAUACAGAGGACAAAGUACCAUACAAAUGUCACCUAUGACCAUACAAAGUACCAUACAAAUGUCACUUAGGUAUGUUACAGAAAUACCAUAGUCUCAUACUCAAAAAUUCUUCUUCCUAGGUGUGAUCUUUUUAACUAGGACACGAACUACACGUUCUUCGGGUGGCGACGAAGGUCUUUCAACAAGAUCUUCAUUAGCUGGUAUAAUUGCAAGGUGUGAUCUUUCAACAAGGUCUUCAUUAGCUUCAUUCUCUUGGACACCUGCCUGUGAUGACUCAGGUACAUCUUUGGGGAACCAGCCUUUUGUUGAAUUUUUCCUAGGCUUUCGCUUCCUGUUUUCAAAGAUAUUAGUUAAUAGCAUAAAAUAGACAAUUCCAUCACAUAAAUUAGUUAAUAUCAUAAAAUAGACAGAUUAAAUGUAACCUUUUCUUUGUGCCAUUUAAUGGACAUUUGUAGCUUGCUUUCCUGUGCCCUAGUUCACCACAGUUUGGACACUUGAUCUUGCCCCGAAUGCUUUUCUUACCAUUGUCAGUGUUAACUUUCUUUUUUCCACUACCUCCCUCAAGGCAUCCUUUCAUCCUAUUUUUCCUCUGUCGACCCACAGCUCGUUUUCCAAUUGGAGCACCAACUUCUUUUGCGAAAGGGACUUCUGGCCAAAAUGAUUUGUCACCAAUAGGUGGAACCACCCUUGAGUAUGCUGUGGUGAAAUGAGAUACAGAGUAGUACUCAUCAACAAAUUCCUUCAUUCUGACAUCCCUAAAUUCUUGAGCUGUUAUCAAGCACAAAGCAUGGUUACAUGGUUUGCCCGUGUGCUGCCACUCUUUGCAAGAACAUUCCCGCAAAUGAGCAUUGACAAUGUGCUUUGAAUGCACAUCAUUGUUAUCCCUUACCUCAGCAAUGUAGUUGUCAGCUUUACGAACUGAUAAAUGACUUAAACCUCUUGUUCUGUCGUGUAGGAUAUGCAGAACCGACGGUAGAAUCCUUCCUUGCAACUUCUGUGCAAUCCUCCUCCGCCUGUGAAACAUCUCCAUAAUUUCCUCCCUUAUCCUUCCAGCCAAAUCACAAACAGGCAGAUCCUUCCAAUCCUUAAUCCAAUUGUUGAAAACCUCAGCAAUGUUGUUAGUCAUGUAGUCGCACUUGAUGUCCGUAUUGAAGCCACUUCUGUACCAAAGAUAGUCAUGAUGCUCAUUUAGCCAACUACUGACCCUAGGGAUUUCUUGGAUGCUACUAAAAUAGUGGUCGAAGACUUCUCUCCUAUAAGCCCUAGCUGCUGGAUACAUGUACCCAGACCCACCAAACAGCUUUAUGUAGUUUUGUAUGAGAUGCCUAAAACACUCCCUUUUCUCAGCAUGCGGAAAGACAUUGUUCAUAGCAUUUUUAAGCCCUUUGCAGGCAUCUGAACACAAUGCUAACAAAGGCAGAUCCCCCACAACCUUGUGCAACUGAUGAAAGAACCAUGUCCAGUUUUCAGUAUUUUCUGCCUCAAAAAAUCCAUAUGCUACUGGAUACAUCCAAUUGUGCCCAUCAACACCUAUUGCACAACAUAGGUGACCAUUCCACCUUCCAUUAAGAGCUGUGGAGUCAACACUUAGGUAUGGUUGGCACCCACCCUUGAAACCAGAAAUGCAUGGACCGAGCGCACAAAAAAAUCUACUGAAAAAAGGACGCCCCUGAUCCAUUUUGACAUCAAGCUCAACGACACUAUCCGGUGACUUUUGCAUAACUGCUUCUCUCCAACGCCAUAGUAGCUGAAAGCUCUCUUCCCAACUUCCAAAUAAUUCCUUCAAAGCUUUCUCUUUCCCAUGCCAAACUGUGUCAUAUGCAAUUGUACAACCAAAAGUGUCCUGCAAUGUAGUUUGAAGCUCCUUAGCACCCAUAUGAGGCUUCUUCAUUAGCAAAGGAAGCGCACGUGCAGCAACCCAAGCUCCGGUAGUGUCACACCCGGGUUUCGGGGCACCAAGACCCGGGCGCGAACAUAAUCACCAGGUGUGCUGGGACCAAGUCUCACACAUAUGAUGAAUCAUGGCACAGGAUCGAAUGUCACAUCUUUACUAUAUCAUAGGAGUUCUAUACAAAAUAAAUAAAUAAUUACAUUAUAAGGAGACAACGGUCUAGCAACCCAAAGUUGACUGGGAGACGACGGCCUAGACCUCUCACGAACACAUCGCAGCAUCCUCCAUGUGCCUCAUCCUGUGGUACCUGUUCUUGACCUAUGGGGGGGGUGAGACAGCAAGAGUGAGCUCACAUACGUUCAUCGCUCAACAAGUUGUGGGGAAUAAUGUGCAUGAACUCGCCAAAGGUGGGAGCUCACGUGAAGUGUAAGGCUUACCAAAGAGGAUGGUUAGAGCUGAGCAUUGCUUUUAAAGUUGGUCAAAAUUUUAUUAGCAAUUACUAAGUAUAAGUAAAUACCAACUCAAUUAAGCAGUAGAACAAAGGUAACAACAUCACCUGCGAUGCAAUGCAUAUGACAAAUUGAAUUUAGUUCCAUAAAUUAAUCAUGUGAGGGUCCGAGCUGCUCAUGACCGUGAGCACGGCUAGUAUACCAGUUUUACACUCUGCAGAGGUUGCACAUCUUUACCCACAAGUCAUGUUACCCAUCUGCCAAGGGAUCACGACUUCCCAUACACCUCUACCGAGGAGGCGAGGCAAGGUAACACUACGAGGCCUUUACAAAGUUCCACUAGCUUCAGAAAACCCGCUACAGUUUAUAGGAAGCUCCAAUGCAGGGUUCUUACCUGACCGCCAUCGCAGCAAAAUCAACCAAGGACCUCCCUACACUGACCACUCCCCUACUGCUCUUGCCCCUUUCGGGUAAGGUAGUCUUCCACUAGCUUUCCUAAUUAAUCAGCCAAGGGUAGGGAUGGAUUCGGAUAUUUAUUCGGAUGUCAAUUUUUUGGUCUUCUUUCUUCGAUUGUGAACAAAUAACAUAUAGAAUUUGCUAUGUAAAUUUAUAUUCUUGUUUUUAGCAUUGAGGUUAUUAAUCUUCACAAAAAAUAAACAUUAAAUUCGUUCUAGAUAUUUUUAAAUAAUUGAUAUAAAAUUCGGAUGUCUAUCCGAAUACGGAUUCGGAUGUUUUUUCACCUUUUCUGUUGUAGGGAGAAAAUAAUGUACAUAAAAAAGUAUACAGAAAUUUAUUUAAAUACUUCAUAAUAUUCUUCAUAACAUUGCCAAAAAUUAGCUUUAAAUUAUAUGUAUAUCUAUGCUAAAAUAUUAGAUUUGUGAUACAAUUCGGAUGUUUUAGGAACAUCCCUAGCCAAGGGCGUCCCAUUAAACCCUUGUGGUAGCACUGUUUUCCCGGGUGGUCGCUGAAAGGGAAUUAGGCUUACACCUAGUUCCUAAAUUAUUUUGGUGGUUGAAUUGCCCAACACAAAUUGAUAAACUAACUAGUUUGCUCUAGAUUAUACGUUCUACAGGUGCCAAAGGUUCAUCUACAACUAUACUAAUUCGACUGUCCGGAAUACCGUAGAUUAUUCCGGACAGGAGAAGCUUUUUGGAAAAACAGGCCAAGCGCGGACCGUCCGGGCCUUUGCGGCGGACCGUCCGCGACACGAGGAUGCCCCUCGGACAGAACCAAUGCAAAAAUACAAGUAUCCACUACAGACUGUCCGGAGGAAAAGCAAAGACCGUCCGAGCCCUUGCGCGGACCGUCCGGCCUCAGGCGCGGACCGUCCGGUAGGUAAGAAACUGAAUAACCCGAAGGUAACGGGUUCGGAGAAAUGAAUUAUAGGGGCCUCGCGGACCGUCCGGGGUGCACGACCGGACCGUCCGCGACUGGCUCUGUCUGACAUCUGACGACGCAUUAAAUGCAAUAUAGCCGUUACUGCUGACCAUUGCAUUUUCAGCCGUUGAUCUAUAGGGGCGGACCGUCCGGACCUGGCACGCGGACCGUCCGCGCUCAGCAGAAUGGAGCAACGGCUAGGAGGUGGUUGGUGGCUAUAAAUACAACCCCAACCACCUCCAUUCACUUCAUCCAAGCAUUCCAACCUUCAACAUUCAAUACAAGAGCUAGCAAUCCAUUCCAAGACACAUUCAAAGCCUCCAUCUCUCCAAGUUUCACUAUUGAGGAAAGAGAUCAUUAGUGAUUAGUAGCUUGAGAGAGAAAGUGAUCCGUGUGUUAUUUGUCGCUCUUGUCGCUUGGCCUCUUUAAAUCGUGCUUUCUUGAUUCUUUCAUCGCAAUCAAACUCACUUGUAAUUGAGGCAAGAGACACCAAACUUGUGGUGGUCCUUGUGGGAACUUUGUGUUCCAAGUAAUUGAGAAGAGAAAGCUCACUCGGUCCGAGGGAUCGUUUGAGAGAGGGAAGGGUUGAAAGAGACCCGGCCUUUGUGGCCUCCUCAACGGGGAGUAGGUUUGCAAGAACCGAACCUCGGUAAAACAAAUAUCCGUGUCUCACUUGCUUAUUCGCUUGAGAUUUGUUUUCCAUCCUCUCUCGCGGACUCGUUUCUUUAUUACUAACGCUAACCCCGGCUUGUAGUUGUGUUUAUAUUUGUAAAUUUCAGUUUCGCCCUAUUCACCCCCCUCUAGGCGACUAUCAAUUGGUAUCAGAGCCCGGUUCUUCAUUAGAGCCUAACCGCUCGAAGUGAUGUCGGGAGAUCACGCCAAGAAGGAGAUGGAGACCGGCGAAAAGCCCACUACAAGCCACGGGAGCACUUCAUCGGAAGAGUCCCGCACCAAGAGGAAGGAGAAGAAGAAGGACUCCUCCCAACGGAAGGAGAAAAAGUCUUCCUCUUCUCACCACAAAGAGAAGAAGGAGAAAUCUUCUUCUCACAAGCCGCAUCGGAAAGGCGACAAGCACAAGAGGAUGAGGAAAGUGGUCUACUACGAGACCGACACUUCAUCAACAUCGACCUCCGACUCCGAUGCGCCCUCCGUCACUUCUAAGCGCCAAGAGCGCAAGAAGUAUAGUAAGAUCCCCCUACACUACCCUCGCAUUUCCAAACAUACACCUUUACUUUCCGUCCCAUUAGGCAAACCACCAACUUUUGAUGGUGAAGAUUACGCUAGGUGGAGCGAUUUAAUGCGAUUUCAUCUAAUCUCGCUCCACAAAAGUAUAUGGGAUGUUGUUGAGUUUGGUGCACAGGUACCGUCGGUAGGGGAUGAGAACUAUGAUGAGGAUGAGGUGGCCCAAAUCGAGCACUUCAACUCUCAAGCAACGACAAUACUCCUCGCCUCUCUAAGUAGAGAGGAGUAUAACAAAGUACAAGGGUUGAAGAGCGCUAAGGAGAUUUGGGAUGUGCUCAAAACCGCGCACGAAGGAGAUGAGCUCACCAAGAUCACCAAGCGGGAAACGAUCGAGGGGGAGCUCGGUCGGUUCCGGCUUCGCAAAGGGGAGGAGCCACAACAUAUGUACAACCGGCUCAAGACUUUGGUGAACCAAGUGCGCAACCUCGGGAGCAAGAAGUGGGAUGACCACGAAGUGGUAAAUGUUAUUUUAAGAUCUCUCAUUUUUCUUAAUCCCACUCAAGUUCAAUUGAUUCGUGGUAAUCCUAGAUAUACUAAAAUGACCCCCGAGGAAGUUAUCGGGCAUUUUGUAAGUUUUGAGUGCAUGAUAGAAGGCUCGAGGAAAAUCAACGAGCUUGGCGACCCAUCCGAAGCCCAACCCGUUGCAUUCAAGGCAACGGAGGAGAAGAAGGAGGAGUCUACACCAAGUAGACAACCAAUAGACGCCUCCAAGCUCGACAAUGAGGAAAUGGCGCUCGUCAUCAAGAGCUUCCGCCAAAUCCUCAAGCAAAGGAGGGGGAAGGACUACAAGUCCCGCUCCAAGAAGGUUUGCUACAAGUGUGGUAAGCCCGGUCAUUUUAUUGCUAAAUGUCCUAUAUCUAGUGACAGUGACCGAGGCGACGACAAGAAGGGGAGAAGAAAGGAGAAGAAAAGGUACUACAAGAAGAAGGGCGGCGAUGCCCAUGUUUGUCGGGAAUGGGAUUCCGACGAAAGCUCAAGCGACUCCUCCGACGACGAGGACGCCGCCAACAUCGCCGUCACCAAGGGACUCCUCUUCCCCAACGUCGGCCACAAGUGCCUCAUGGCAAAGGACGGCAAAAAGAAGAAGGUUAAAUCCAACUCCUCCACUAAAUAUGAAUCUUCUAGUGAUGAUAAUGCUAGUGAUGAGGAGGAUAAUUUGCGUUCCCUUUUUGCCAACCUUAACAUAGCUCAAAAAGAAAAAUUAAAUGAAUUAGUUAGUGCUAUUCAUGAAAAGGAUGACCUUUUGGAUGCCCAAGAGGAUUGUCUUAUUAAAGAAAACAAGAAACAUGUUAAGGUUAAAAAUGCUUAUGCUCUAGAAGUAGAAAAAUGUCAAAAACUAUCUAGUGAGCUAAGCACUUGUCGUGAGAUGAUUGACAACCUUAGAAAUGAAAAUGCUAUUUUAAAUGCUAAGGUUGAUUCACAUGUUUGUAAUGUUUCAAUUACCAAUCUUAGAGAUGAUAAUGUUGACUUGCUUGCUAAGAUUGAUGAAUUGAAUGUAUCUCUUGCUAGCCUUAAAUUAGAGAAUGAAGAUUUAAUUGCUAAGGCUAAAGAUUUUGAUGUUUGCAAAGUUACAAUUUCCAAUCUUAAAGAUAAAAAUGAUAUUCUUCAUGCUAAGAUUGUGGAACUUGAUUCUUGCAAACCCUCUACAUCUACCAUUGAGCAUGUCACUAUUUGUGCUAGAUGUAGAGAUAUUGAUGUUAAUGCUAUUCAUGAUCACAUGAUCUUAAUUAAGCAACAAAAUGAUCAUAUAGCUAAACUUGAUGCUAAAAUUGCCGAGCACAACUUAGAAAAUGAGAAAUUUAAAUUUGCUCGUAGCAUGCUUUAUAAUGGGAGACGCCCUGGCAUUAAGGAUGGCAUUGGCUUCCAAAGGGGAGACAAUGUCAAAAUUAGUGCCCCUCCUAAAAGAUUGUCAAAUUUUGUUAAGGGCAAGGCUCCCAUGCCUCAGGAUAACGAGGGUUACAUUUUAUACCCUGCCGGUUAUCCCGAGGAUAAAAUUAGGAAAAUUCAUUCUAGGAAGUCUCACUCUGGCCCUAAUCAUGCUUUUAUGUAUAAGGGUGAGACAUCUAGCUCUAGGCAACCAACCCGUGCCAAGUUGCCUAGAAAGAAAACUCCUAAUGCAUCAAAUGAUCAUGCCAUUUCAUUUAAAACUUUUGAUGCUUCUUAUGUGCUUACUAACAAAUCCGGCAAGGUAGUUGCCAAAUAUGUUGGGGGCAAGCACAAGGGCUCCAAGACUUGUGUUUGGGUACCCAAAGUUCUUGUGUCUAAUGCCAAAGGACCCAAAACCAUUUGGGUACCUAAAAUCAAGAACUAAACUUGUUUUGUAGGUUUAUGCAUCCGGGGGCUCAAGUUGGAUACUCGACAGCGGGUGCACAAACCACAUGACAGGGGAGAAGAAGAUGUUCUCCUCAUAUGAGAAAAACCAAGAUCCCCAAAGAGCGAUCACAUUCGGGGAUGGAAAUCAAGGUUUGGUCAAAGGUUUGGGUAAAAUUACUAUAUCUCCUGACCAUUCUAUUUCAAAUGUUUUUCUUGUUGAUUCUUUAGAUUACAACUUGCUUUCUGUUUCUCAAUUAUGUCAAAUGGGCUACAACUGUCUAUUUACUGAUAUAGGUGUCACUGUCUUUAGAAGAAGUGAUGAUUCAAUAGCAUUUAAGGGAGUGUUAGAGGGUCAGCUAUACUUGGUAGAUUUUGAUAGAGCUGAACUCGACACUUGCUUAAUUGCUAAGACUAACAUGGGUUGGCUCUGGCACCGCCGACUAGCCCAUGUUGGAAUGAAGAAUCUUCAUAAGCUUCUAAAGGGAGAGCACAUUUUAGGACUAACCAAUGUUCAUUUUGAGAAAGACAGGAUUUGUAGCGCAUGCCAAGCAGGAAAGCAAGUUGGCUCUCAUCAUCCGCAUAAGAACAUAAUGACGACCAACAGGCCGCUAGAGCUCCUGCACAUGGAUCUAUUCGGCCCGAUCGCUUACAUAAGCAUCGGCGGGAGUAAGUACUGUCUUGUUAUUGUGGAUGAUUAUUCUCGCUUCACUUGGGUAUUCUUUUUACAGGAAAAAUCUCAAACCCAAGAGACCUUAAAGGGAUUCCUGAGACGGGCUCAAAAUGAGUUCGGCUUAAGGAUCAAGAAAAUAAGAAGCGACAACGGGACGGAGUUCAAGAACUCUCAAAUUGAAGGCUUUCUUGAGGAGGAGGGCAUCAAGCAUGAGUUCUCUUCUCCCUACACACCUCAACAAAAUGGUGUAGUGGAGAGGAAGAAUAGAACUCUUUUGGACAUGGCGAGAACCAUGCUUGAUGAAUACAAGACUUCGGAUCGGUUUUGGGCGGAGGCGGUCAACACCGCUUGCUACGCCAUCAACCGGUUAUAUCUUCAUCGAAUCCUCAAGAAGACAUCAUAUGAACUCCUAACCGGUAAAAAGCCCAACAUUUCAUACUUUAGAGUCUUUGGUAGCAAAUGCUUUAUACUUGUUAAAAGAGGUAGAAAAUCUAAAUUUGCUCCUAAGACUGUAGAAGGCUUUUUACUUGGUUAUGACUCAAACACAAGGGCAUAUAGGGUCUUUAACAAGUCCACUGGACUAGUUGAAGUCUCAUGUGACGUUGUGUUUGAUGAGACUAAUGGCUCUCAAAUAGAGCAAGUUGAUCUUGAUGAGAUAGGUGAAGAAGAGACUCCAUGCAUCGCGCUAAGGAACAUGUCCAUUGGGGAUGUGUGUCCUAAGGAAUCCGAAGAGCCUCCAAUUGCACAAGAUCAACCAUCCUCCUCCAUGCAAGCAUCUCCACCAACUCAAAAUGAGGAUGGAGCUCAAGUUGAUGAAGAAGAAGAUCAAUCAAAUGAGCCACCUCAAGAUGAUGGCAAUGAUCAAGGGGGAGAUGCAAAUGAUCAAGAAAAGGAGGAUGAGGAAGAACCAAGGCCGCCACACCCAAGAGUCCACCAAGCAAUCCAACGAGACCACCCCGUUGACACCAUCCUCGGCGACAUUCAUAAGGGGGUAACUACUCGAUCUCGUGUUGCUCAUUUCUGUGAACAUUACUCGUUUGUUUCCUCUAUUGAGCCACACAGGGUAGAGGAAGCACUUCAAGAUUCGGAUUGGGUGGUGGCGAUGCAAGAGGAACUCAACAACUUCACGAGGAAUGAGGUAUGGCAUUUAGUUCCACGUCCUAAUCAAAAUGUUGUAGGAACCAAAUGGGUCUUCCGCAACAAGCAAGACGAGCAUGGUGUGGUGACAAGGAACAAAGCUCGACUUGUGGCCAAGGGAUACUCCCAAGUCGAAGGUUUGGAUUUCGGUGAAACCUAUGCACCCGUAGCUAGGCUUGAGUCAAUUCGCAUAUUAUUGGCCUAUGCUACUUACCAUGGCUUUAAGCUUUAUCAAAUGGACGUGAAAAGUGCCUUCCUCAAUGGACCAAUCAAGGAAGAGGUCUAUGUUGAGCAACCUCCCGGCUUUGAAGACAGUGAGUAUCCUAACCAUGUCUAUAAGCUCUCUAAGGCGCUUUAUGGGCUCAAGCAAGCCCCAAGAGCAUGGUAUGAAUGCCUUAGAGAUUUCCUUAUUGCUAAUGGCUUCAAAGUCGGAAAGGCCGAUCCUACUUUGUUCACUAAAACUCUUAACAAUGAUUUGUUUGUAUGCCAAAUUUAUGUUGAUGAUAUCAUAUUUGGGUCUACUAACGAAUCAACUUGUGAAGAAUUUAGUAGGAUCAUGACACAAAAAUUCGAGAUGUCUAUGAUGGGGGAGUUGAAGUAUUUCUUAGGAUUCCAAGUAGAGCAACUCCAAGAGGGCACCUUCAUCAGCCAAACAAAGUACACUCAAGACAUUCUAACCAAGUUUGGGAUGAAGGAUGCCAAACCCAUCAAGACACCCAUGGGAACUAAUGGGCAUCUCGACCUCGACACGGGAGGUAAGUCCGUAGAUCAAAAGGUAUACCGGUCGAUGAUAGGUUCUUUACUUUACUUAUGUGCAUCUCGACCGGAUAUUAUGCUUUCUGUAUGCAUGUGUGCAAGAUUCCAAGCCGACCCUAAGGAAGCUCACCUUACGGCCAUAAAACGAAUCUUGAGAUAUUUGGCUUAUACUCCUAAGUUUGGGCUUUGGUAUCCUAGGGGAUCCACAUUCGAUUUAAUUGGUUAUUCGGAUGCCGAUUGGGCGGGGUGCAAAAUCAAUAGGAAGAGCACAUCGGGGACUUGCCAGUUCUUGGGAAGAUCCUUGGUGUCUUGGGCUUCAAAGAAGCAAAAUUCGGUCGCUCUUUCCACCGCCGAAGCCGAGUACAUUGCCGCAGGCCAUUGUUGCGCGCAAUUACUUUGGAUGAGGCAAACCCUGCGGGACUACGGUUACAAAUUAACCAAAGUCCCUUUGCUAUGUGAUAAUGAGAGUGCAAUCAAAAUGGCCGACAAUCCCGUCGAGCAUAGCCGCACUAAACACAUAGCCAUUCGGUACCAUUUUCUUAGGGAUCACCAACAAAAGGGAGAUAUCGAGAUUUCUUACAUUAACACUAAAGAUCAAUUAGCCGAUAUCUUUACCAAGCCUCUUGAUGAACAAACUUUUACCAAACUUAGGCAUGAGCUCAAUAUUCUUGAUUCCCGCAAUUUCUUUUGCUAGAUUGCACACAUAGCACAUUCAUAUACCUUUGAUCGUAUCUCUUGUAUAUGCUAUGACUAAUGUGUUUUCAAGUCUAUUUCAAACCAAGUCAUAGGUAUAUUGAAAGGAAUUUGGAGUCUUCGGCGAAGACAAAGGCUUCCACUCCGUAACUCAUCCUUCGCCGUCGCUCCAUGCCACUCUCCAUCUUUGGGGGAGAAAGCAAAAGGACUUCGUCUUUGGUAUAAUCCUAACUCAUUUAUUUAUGACCAAAGGGGAAGAAAGUACUUCGAGGGCUCUAGUGAUUCCGUUUUUGGCGAUUCAUGCCAAAGGGGGAGAGAGUAAGAGCCCAAAGCAAAAGGACCGCACCACCACCAAUUUCAAAAACCACCAAUUUCAAAACUUAGUGUUGAAUAUUUUUGGUAUCCUAUUGUGUUCAAAAAGGGGAGAAAGUAGUAUUUCAAAAAUGAUAUAUCAAAACCCUCUUGAACACUAAGAGGAGGAUCUUAUUUAGGGGGAGUUUUGUUUAGUCAAAGGAAAAGCAUUUAAAACAGGGGGAGAAAAUUUCAAAUCUUGAAAAUGCUUCUCAAAAUCUUAUUCAUUUGCCUUUGACUAUUUGCAAAAGAACUUUGAAAUGGAUUUACAAAAGAAUUUGCAAAAACAAAACAUGUGGUGCAAGAGUGGUCCAAAAUGGUAAAUUAGAAAGAAACAAUUCAUGCAUAUCUUGUAAGUAUUUAUAUUGGCUCAACUCCAAGCAACCUUUGCACUUACAUUAUGCAAACUAGUUCAAUUAUGCACUUCUAUAUUUGCUUUGGUUUGUGUUGGCAUCAAUCACCAAAAAGGGGGAGAUUGAAAGGGAAUUAGGCUUACACCUAGUUCCUAAAUUAUUUUGGUGGUUGAAUUGCCCAACACAAAUUGAUAAACUAACUAGUUUGCUCUAGAUUAUACGUUCUACAGGUGCCAAAGGUUCAUCUACAACUAUACUAAUUCGACUGUCCGGAAUACCGUAGAUUAUUCCGGACAGGAGAAGCUUUUUGGAAAAACAGGCCAAGCGCGGACCGUCCGGGCCUUUGCGGCGGACCGUCCGCGACACGAGGAUGCCCCUCGGACAGAACCAAUGCAAAAAUACAAGUAUCUACUACAGACUGUCCGGAGGAAAAGCAAAGACCGUCCGAGCCCUUGCGCGGACCGUCCGGCCUCAGGCGCGGACCGUCCGGUAGGUAAGAAACUGAAUAACCCGAAGGUAACGGGUUCAGAGAAAUGAAUUAUAGGGGCCUCGCGGACCGUCCGGGGUGCACGACCGGACCGUCCGCGACUGGCUCUGUCUGACAUCUGACGACGCAUUAAAUGCAAUAUAGCCGUUGAUAUAGCCGUUACUGCUGACCAUUGCAUUUUCAGCCGUUGAUCUAUAGGGGCGGACCGUCCGGACCUGGCACGCGGACCGUCCGCGCUCAGCAGAAUGGAGCAACGGCUAGGAGGUGGUUGGUGGCUAUAAAUACAACCCCAACCACCUCCAUUCACUUCAUCCAAGCAUUCCAACCUUCAACAUUCAAUACAAGAGCUAGCAAUCCAUUCCAAGACACAUUCAAAGCCUCCAUCUCUCCAAGUUUCACUAUUGAGGAAAGAGAUCAUUAGUGAUUAGUAGCUUGAGAGAGAAAGUGAUCCGUGUGUUAUUUGUCGCUCUUGUCGCUUGGCCUCUUUAAAUCGUGCUUUCUUGAUUCUUUCAUCGCAAUCAAACUCACUUGUAAUUGAGGCAAGAGACACCAAACUUGUGGUGGUCCUUGUGGGAACUUUGUGUUCCAAGUAAUUGAGAAGAGAAAGCUCACUCGGUCCGAGGGAUCGUUUGAGAGAGGGAAGGGUUGAAAGAGACCCGGCCUUUGUGGCCUCCUCAACGGGGAGUAGGUUUGCAAGAACCGAACCUCGGUAAAACAAAUAUCCGUGUCUCACUUGCUUAUUCGCUUGAGAUUUGUUUUCCAUCCUCUCUCGCGGACUCGUUUCUUUAUUACUAACGCUAACCCCGGCUUGUAGUUGUGUUUAUAUUUGUAAAUUUCAGUUUCGCCCUAUUCACCCCCCCUCUAGGCGACUAUCAGUCGCUCCAUGUUCCAAUUAACAUAAUGAUCUUAUCAUGAACAGUAAAUAAUAAUGGAUAACAAAAGUAUAAUCAUGAAUAAUGUAUCUUCAUACCCAAAACCACAUAAAGCACUAGCAGGUACUACCCAAAAAGUUCAGUGGUAAACAAGGUAUAAAGAUAGACAAACUAGGGUAACCUAUUGGGUCCCAUCAAAAUUAACCUAUGCAGAUCAUUAUGAUUAAUCAGAACAUGGCUAGGUAAAAAGAAGUGAUCAAGGGCACAACUUGCCUGGGACUUGAGAUUCCAGGUACCAACUUGCUCUUCCGAUGACACGUGUCCUCACGCUAGUCAUAGUAAUACAGACAAACAUAGUACAUGCAAAAUUAACAUCACACCAAACAUAGGAAUAACUACGUAUUAAUAAUCUACACGCUGCUACGAGAUCGUGGAAACAAGAAUCAUUAAAUUCGGAGUUACGGUUACCAAGUUAUGGAUUUCUGAAGUUAUUUAGCACAUAGAACAGAUUAAUUCAAAUGAACAAUUUUAAUUCAAGUUUCAUGGCUAAACAGUGUUACUAGUUGAUAUACAAUAUUAAAACAAAAUUAUAGAAACUGGAACGAGUCAAUUCGGAGUUAGAAUGAAUUAAAUACGGAUUAAACAAGUUUAUGGAUUUAUUUUUAUACUAAAAACCUAUUUUCUAAUCCAUUUAUUCAAUUUAUCACAUCACUGGACUGGGCCUCAAUUUCCAGAGAAGGCAGGGGGCUAUGCGCAAGAUAUCCCAGACACAGAGAACAGGGUCCCUGGACGGCGGGUUGUUUUCUGAUAAGCGUAGGGGCUCUUUUGUGAAAUGAGCGGCUGAAGGGGUAUCCGAUGAUGUGGGCCACCCGAUCGGCCACCAACGCUCCAGAUUAAAUCGCUGAAAGGGAAAUGUGCCCUUGGGCCAUUUCUAAGUAUUUUGGUGAUUUAGUGUCCAACACAAGUGCUUAAAUGUAAAAUGGUGGACAAAGUACAAACCAAGGAUAAAGGUAUGUUUCUCAGACUUAAUACAUUGUUUUAUGGACUAAUGUAUUGUGUCUAAGUGCUGGAAACAGGAAAAAUCGAAUUGGAAAUGAGAUGGCUUUGUUCAGCCAAAGUCUGAUGUCUGGGAGCACCGGAAUGUCCGGUGGUGCACCGGACAGUGUCCGGUGCGCCAGGCUGGCUCGAGUGAACUGGCCGCUCUCGGGAAUCCACCGGUGACGUACAGCUAUAAUUCACCGGACUGUCCGGUGUGCACCGGACUGUCCGGUGUGCACCGGACUGUCCGGUGAGCCAACGGUCGGCCGCGCGAUCUGCGCGGGACACGUGGCCGAGCCAACGGCUAGAAGGGGGCACCGGACUGUCCGGUGUGCACCGGACAUGUCCGGUGCGCCAACGGCUCUCUGGCAGCCAACGGUCGGCUGCGCCAUUUAUGGAAAGAAAUCGGGCACUGGACAUGUCCGGUGUGCACCGGACUGUCCGGUGCGCCAGUCGACAGAAGGCAAGAUCAGCCUUCCUAGAUUGCUCUCAACGGCUCCUAGCUGCCUUGGGGCUAUAAAAGGGACCCCUAGGCGCAUGGAGGAGGACACCAAGCAUCCUUUGAGCACAUUUGAUCACUCACACAUCAUUCUUGCGCACUUGUUCGACAUUCUAGUGAUUUGAGCUCCGUUCUAGUGUGCUAGUCUUUUUGAGCUCAAGUCUGGGUCUUGUGUGUGCGUAUUUGCUGUGAUCUUUGUGUCUUGUGUGAGUUGCUCAUCCCUCCCUUACUCCGUGAUUCUUUGUGAACAUCAAAAGUGUAAGGGCGAGAGGCUCCAAGUUGUGGAGAUUCCUCGCGAACGGGAUAAGAAAAGAAAAGCAAAACACCGUGGUAUUCAAGUUGAUCAUUGGAUCACUUGAGAGGAGUUGAGUGCAACUCUCGUCCGUUGGGACGCCACAACGUGGAGUAGGAAAGUUUUGUACUUGGCCGAACCACGGGAUAAACCACUGCGUCAUCUCUGUGUUGAACUCUUUGUGGUUAUCGUAUUGUGCAAGAUCUUCUCUCUAGCCACUUGGUGAUUAUUGUGCUAACACUUAACCAAGUUUUGUGGCUUAAGUUUUAAGUUUUACAGGAUCACCUAUUCACCCCCCCCUCUAGGUGCUCUCAAUUGGUAUCAGAGCCGUUCUCUUCAAGAAAGGGACUAACCGCCCGAAGAGAUGGAUCCUAAGGGGAAGGGAAUUGUGAUCAACGACAAGGAGAAGGAGUCCUUCAUCAACGAGCCGAAGGAGGACAAGCCUACCGACUCGGGCUCGGGCCACAGACGCAAAGAUGGGAAGAAGAAGACAAGACGCAUCAAGGAGAUUGUCUACUACGACGACAGUGAUGAGUCCACUUCUUCCCAAAAGGACAACGACGACAACGACUGCGAGAGAAGGAAACCGGUUAAUUCAAACUUUUCUUUUGACUACUCUCGUAUUCCGCAAAGUACAAAUGCUCAUUUAUUAUCAAUUCCACUUGGUAAACCUCCUCACUUUGAUGGAGAGGACUACGGAUUUUGGAGUCACAAAAUGCGUAGUCAUUUGUUCUCUCUCCAUCCAAGCAUAUGGGAGAUAGUUGAGAACGGAAUGCAUUUUGAUAGUAGUGAUAGUCCCAUGUUUAUCAAUGAGCAAAUUCAUAAAAAUGCACAAGCUACUACUGUUCUUCUAGCUUCUUUGUGCAGGGAUGAAUACCACAAAGUGAGCGGCUUGGAUAACACCAAGCAAAUUUGGGACACCCUCAAGAUCUCUCAUGAGGGGAAUGAUGUCACAAUGCUCACCAAGAUGGAGUUGGUGGAAGGCGAACUCGGGAGAUUCGCGAUGAUAAGGGGAGAAGAGCCAACUCAAACGUACAACCGGCUAAAGACCCUUGUCAACAAGAUAAGAAGCUAUGGAAGCACGCGAUGGACGGACCACGACGUCGUCCGCCUAAUGCGAAGGUCUUUUACUGUCCUUGAUCCUCAUCUUGUAAACAAUAUUCGUGAGAAUCCUAGGUACACCAAGAUGACGCCCGAGGAGAUACUUGGAAAGUUCGUGAGCGGGCGAAUGAUGAUCAAGGAAGCAAGAUACGUGGACGACGCAUUGAAUGGUCCAAUCAAUGAGCCUCAACCUCUUGCUCUCAAGGCAACAAGAAGCAAUGAGACGCUACCUAGCAAGGUGGCACAAAUUGAGGCGGCCGGACUUAAUGAUGAAGAGAUGGCUCUCAUCAUCAAGAGAUUCAAGACGGCGCUAAAAGGUCGCAAGGGGCUGCCAAGCAAGACCAAGACAAAGGGGAAGCGCUCAUGCUUCAAAUGUGGUAAGCUUGGUCAUUUUAUUGCUAACUGUCCCGACAAUGAUAGUGAUCAGGAUCAAGGGAACAAGAGGGAAAAGAAGAAGAACUAUAAGAAGGCAAAGGGCGAGGCGCAUCUAGGCAAGGAGUGGGAUUCAAAUUGCUCCUCUUCCGACUCCGACAAUGAAGGACUCACCGCCACCGCCUUCAACAAGUCAUCCCUCUUCCCCAACGAGCGUCACACAUGCCUUAUGGCAAGGGAGAAGAAGGUAUGUACUCGAAACACUACUUAUGCUUCUUCAAGUGAGGACGAAUCUAGUGAUGAGGAUGAAAUAGAUUAUUCAUGUUUAUUUAAGGGCCUAGAUAGAACCAAGGUAGAUAAAAUUAAUGAAUUAAUUGAUGCCUUGAAUGAUAAGAAUAGGCUUCUAGAAAAACAAGAAGAUUUGUUGUAUGAAGAACAUGACAAAUUUAUAGAAGCACAAAAAUCUCAUGCUUUAGAAGUUAAAAGAAAUGAAAUGCUUUCUUGUGAAUUAUCUUCUUGCCAUGAGACAAUUUCUAGCCUAAGGAGCAUUAAUGAUGAUUUGAAUGCUAAGUUAGAAAUAGCUAGUAAAUCAACAACUUGUGUAGAAAAUGUUGUUAUUUGCGAUAGAUGUAAAGAUUUUGAUAUUGAUGCUUGUAGUGAACACAUAGCUUCUAUUGCAAAGUUAAACGAUGAAUUGGCUAGUCUUAAUGCCCAACUUAAGACUUGCAAAAGUGAAUUUGACAAAUUAAAAUUUGCAAGGGAUGCCUACACAAUUGGUAGACACCCCUCAAUUAAGGAUGGUCUUGGCUUCAAGAGGGAAGUCAAGAACUUAACAAGCCAUAAGGCUUCCAUCUCCACAAAGGAGAAAGGGAAGGCCCCUAUGGCAAGUAAUGCUAAAAAGAACCAUGCCUUCAUGUACCAUGAUAGAAAAUUUUCUAGAAAUGUUCAUGAUGAUAGGAGUUGUAAUGCUUUUGACUCCCAUGCCAUGUUUGCUUCUAGUUCUUCCUAUAUGCAUGAUAGAAAUAUGUUUAGAAGAAAUGUUUGUCAUCAUAUGCCUAGGAGAAAUGUUGUCAAUAUUCCUAGGAAAGUGAAUGAAUCUUCUACAAUUUAUCAUGCUUUAAAUGCUUCCUUUGCUAUUUGUAGAAAGGAUAGGAAGAUAGUUGCUAGGAAAUUAGGGGCAAAAUGCAAGGGUGAUAAAACUUGCAUUUGGGUCCCUAAGGAAAUUGUGACUAACCUUGUAGGACCCAACAAGAGUUGGGUACCUAAGACCCAAGCCUAAAUUUGCCUUGCAGGUUUAUGCAUCCGGGGGUUCAAGCUGGAUUAUCGACAGCGGAUGCACAAACCAUAUGACGGGGGAGAAGAAGAUGUUCACCUCCUACGUCAAGAAUAAGGAUUCCCAAGAUUCAAUCAUAUUUGGUGAUGGAAACCAAGGCAAGGUGAAAGGCUUAGGCAAGAUUGCAAUUUCAAAUGAGCACUCUAUCUCUAAUGUAUUUUUAGUUGAGUCUCUGGGAUAUAAUUUACUAUCUGUUAGUCAAUUGUGCAAUAUGGGAUAUAACUGUCUAUUCACUAAUAUAGAUGUGUCUGUCUUUAGAAGAUGUGAUGGUUCACUAGCUUUUAAGGGUGUACUAGACGACAAACUUUAUUUAGUUGAUUUUGCAAAAGAGGAGGCCGGUCUAGAUGCAUGCUUAAUCGCUAAGACUAGCAUGGGCUGGCUGUGGCAUCGCCGCUUAGCACAUGUGGGGAUGAAGAACCUUCACAAGCUUCUAAAGGGAGAACACGUGAUAGGUUUGACUAACGUGCAAUUCGAAAAAGAUAGACCUUGUGCAGCUUGUCAAGCAGGUAAACAAGUGGGAGGAGCACAUCACAGCAAGAAUGUGAUGACCACCUCAAGACCUCUAAAGCUGCUGCAUAUGGACCUCUUCGGACCCGUCGCUUAUCUAAGCAUAGGGGGAAGUAAGUAUGGUUUAGUCAUUAUGGAUGAUUUUUCCCGCUUCACUUGGGUAUUCUUUUUACAGGAUAAGUCUGAGACCCAAGGAACCCUCAAGCGCUUCCUAAGGAGAGCUCAAAACGAGUUUGAGCUCAAGGUGAAGAAGAUAAGGAGCGACAAUGGGUCCGAGUUCAAGAACCUUCAAGUGGAGGAGUUCCUUGAGGAGGAGGGGAUCAAGCACGAGUUCUCCGCUCCCUACACACCUCAGCAAAAUGGUGUGGUAGAGAGGAAGAACAGGACACUCAUAGAUAUGGCGAGGACUAUGCUUGGAGAAUUCAAGACCCCCGAGCAUUUUUGGUCGGAAGCUGUGAACACGGCUUGCCACGCCAUCAACAGGGUCUACCUUCACCGCCUCCUCAAGAAGACGUCGUAUGAGCUUCUAACCGGUAACAAACCCAAUGUAUCUUACUUUCGUGUAUUUGGGAGCAAAUGCUACAUUCUAGUGAAGAAGGGUAGAAAUUCUAAGUUUGCUCCCAAAGCUGUAGAAGGGUUUUUAUUAGGUUAUGAUUCAAAUACAAAGGCGUAUAGGGUCUUCAACAAAUCAUCGGGUUUAGUUGAAGUCUCUAGCGACGUUGUAUUUGAUGAGACUAAUGGCUCUCCAAGAGAGCAAGUUGUUGAUCUUGAUGAUGUAGAUGAAGAAGACGUUCCAACGGCCGCGAUACGCACCAUGGCGAUUGGAGAUGUACGACCUCAGGAACAUUUGGAGCAAGAUCAACCUUCUUCCUCAACUAUGGUGCAUUCCCCAGCCAAAGAUGAAGAACAGGUACCUCAAGUGGAGGCACAUGAUCAAGGGGGAGCACAGGAUGUUCAAGUUGAAAAGGAAGAAGCACCUCAGGCACCUCCAACCCAAGUUCGAGCGACGAUUCAAAGGGAUCAUCCCGUCGACCAGAUAUUGGGUGAUAUUAGCAAGGGAGUAACUACUCGUUCAAGAUUAGUUAAUUUUGUGAGCAUUACUCCUUUGUCUCUUCUAUUGAGCCUUUCAGGGUAGAAGAGGCAUUGCUAGAUCCGGACUGGGUGUUGGCCAUGCAGGAGGAACUCAACAACUUCAAGCGCAAUGAAGUUUGGACACUGGUGCCUCGUCCCAAGCAAAAUGUUGUGGGAACCAAGUGGGUGUUCCGCAACAAACAAGACGAGCACGGAGUGGUGACAAGGAACAAGGCUCGACUUGUGGCAAAAGGUUAUGCCCAAGUCGCAGGUUUGGACUUUGAGGAGACCUUUGCUCCUGUGGCUAGGCUAGAGUCCAUUCGUAUUUUGCUAGCAUAUGUCGCUCACCAUUCUUUCAGGUUGUUCCAAAUGGAUGUGAAGAGCGCUUUCCUCAACGGGCCAAUCAAGGAGGAGGUGUACGUAGAGCAACCCCCUGGCUUCGAGGAUGAACGGUACCCCGACCACGUGUGUAAGCUCUCUAAGGCGCUCUAUGGACUUAAGCAAGCCCCAAGAGCAUGGUAUGAAUGCCUUAGAGACUUUUUAAUUGAUAAUGCUUUCAAGGUUGGGAAAGCCGAUCCAACUCUUUUCACUAAGACUUGCGAUGGUGAUCUUUUUGUAUGCCAAAUUUAUGUCGAUGACAUAAUAUUUGGUUCUACUAACCAAAAGUCUUGUGAAGAGUUUAGCAGGGUGAUGACGCAGAAAUUCGAGAUGUCGAUGAUGGGCGAGUUGAACUACUUCCUUGGGUUCCAAGUGAAGCAACUCAAGGACGGCACCUUCAUCUCCCAAACGAAGUAUACGCAAGAUUUGCUAAAGCGGUUUGGGAUGAAGGACGCCAAGCCCGCAAAGACGCCGAUGGGAACUGACGGACACACCGACCUCAACAAAGGAGGUAAGUCCGUUGAUCAAAAAGCAUACCGGUCCAUGAUAGGUUCUUUGCUUUAUUUAUGUGCUAGUAGACCGGAUAUUAUGCUUAGUGUAUGCAUGUGUGCUAGAUUUCAAUCCGAUCCUAAGGAGUGUCACUUAGUGGCUGUGAAGCGGAUUCUUAGAUAUUUAGUCGCUACGCCUUGCUUCGGGAUCUGGUAUCCAAAGGGGUCUAACUUUGACUUGAUUGGGUACUCAGAUUCCGACUAUGCUGCAUGUAAGGUCGAUAGGAAGAGUACAUCGGGGACGUGCCAAUUCUUAGGAAGGUCCCUGGUGUCAUGGAACUCUAAGAAACAAACUUCCGUUGCCCUAUCCACCGCUGAGGCCGAGUAUGUUGCCGCAGGACAGUGUUGCGCGCAACUACUUUGGAUGAGGCAAACCCUCAGGGACUUUGGCUACAAUCUGAGCAAAGUCCCACUCCUAUGUGAUAAUGAGAGUGCUAUCCGCAUGGCGGAAAAUCCUGUUGAGCACAACCGCACAAAGCACAUAGACAUCCGACAUCACUUUUUGAGAGACCACCAGCAAAAGGGAGAUAUCGAAGUGUUUCAUGUUAGCACCGAGAACCAGCUAGCCGAUAUCUUUACCAAGCCUCUAGAUGAGAAGACCUUUUGCAGGUUGCGUAGUGAGCUAAAUGUCUUAGAUUCGCGGAACUUGGAUUAAUUUAUAGCAUACACGUGUUUAUGCCUUUGAUCAUGUUCCUUAUGCAUUUUGUUGCUUAGUUAUGGUGCUCAAGUUGUACAAACACUCCCUAGACCUCACAAGUCCGUUGCAAAGUGAUGCACAUUUUUUUAGGGGGAGCUGUGUUACAACUUGACCCUUUGAGACUAACCAUGUGCUUGAGUUUGCUUAUUUUAGUCUCAAAGGAGGUUUGAAAGGGAAAAGGUGGACUUGGACCAUGAAAGACUUCCACUGCACUCCGAUGAGAGGGUAACUAAUUCCAAGUUCAUCUCAUGUACUCUUAUUGCCUUUGUAUUCUUAUUGAAGAUUUUGGUGAGGCAAUGGGGUUCUAGGGCCAAGAUUGAUCCCGUUUUGGUGCUUGAUGCCAAAGGGGGAGAAAAUAAAGGCCAGAGCGAUAAAUGGAUCAGCUACCACUUGAGAGAUUUUGAAAAUAGUAGAAUAGAGCUUUUGGUUUGUCAAAACUCUUUUAUUGUCUCUCUUGUCAAAAGUUGGCUUCUUGUAGGGAGAAGUAUUGAUUAUGGGAAAAGGGGGAGUUUUUGAAAUCUUGAAUCAAUUUCUCUUGGAAUGACUCUCUUUAUGUCUUAACAUGUGUGUUUGACUUAGAGAUAGAAAUUUGAAUUUGAUUUGCAAAAACAAACCAAGUGGUGGCAAAGGAUGAUCCAUAUAUGUAAAAAUUGAAUCAAAACAAUUUUGAGUUCUUAGUUGAAUUGAUUUUGUACUUGUUCUACUUGCUUUAUGUUGUGUUGGCAUAAAUCACCAAAAAGGGGGAGAUUGAAAGGGAAAUGUGCCCUUGGGCCAUUUCUAAGUAUUUUGGUGAUUUAGUGUCCAACACAAGUGCUUAAAUGUAAAAUGGUGGACAAAGUACAAACCAAGGAUAAAGGUAUGUUUCUCAGACUUAGUACAUUGUUUUAUGGACUAAUGUAUUGUGUCUAAGUGCUGGAAACAGGAAAAAUCGAAUUGGAAAUGAGAUGGCUUUGUUCAGCCAAAGUCUGCGGAGUCUGGGAGCACCGGACUGUCCGGUGGUGCACCGGACAGUGUCCGGUGUGCCAGGCUGGCUCGAGUGAACUGGCCGCUCUCGGGAAUCCACCGGCGACGUACGACUAUAAUUCACCGGACUGUCCGGUGUGCACCGGACUGUCCGGUGAGCCAACGGUCGGCCGGGCCAACGGUCGACCGCGCGAUCUGCGCGGGACACGUGGCCGAGCCAACGGCUAGAAGGGGGCACCGGACUGUCCGGUGUGCACCGGACAUGUCCGGUGCGCCAACGGCUCUCUGGCAGCCAACGGUCGGCUGCGCCAUUUAUGGAAAGAAAUCGGGCACCGGACAUGUCCGGUGUGCACCGGACUGUCCGGUGCGCCAGUCGACAUAAGGCAAGAUCAGCCUUCCUAGAUUGCUCUCAACGGCUCCUAGCUGCCUUGGGGCUAUAAAAGGGACCCCUAGGCGCAUGGAGGAGGACACCAAGCAUCCUUUGAGCACAUUUGAUCACUCACACAUCAUUCUUGCGCACUUGUUCGACAUUCUAGUGAUUUGAGCUCCGUUCUAGUGUGCUAGUCUUUUUGAGCUCAAGUCUGGGUCUUGUGUGUGCGUAUUUGUUGUGAUCUUUGUGUCUUGUGUGAGUUGCUCAUCCCUCCCUUACUCCGUGAUUCUUUGUGAACAUCAAAAGUGUAAGGGCGAGAGGCUCCAAGUUGUGGAGAUUCCUCGCGAACGGGAUAAGAAAAGAAAAGCAAAACACCGUGGUAUUCAAGUUGAUCAUUGGAUCACUCGAGAGGAGUUGAGUGCAACUCUCGUCCGUUGGGACGCCACAACGUGGAGUAGGCAAGUUUUGUACUUGGCCAAACCACGGGAUAAACCACUGCGUCAUCUCUGUGUUGAACUCUUUGUGGUUAUCGUAUUGUGCAAGAUCUUCUCUCUAGCCACUUGGUGAUUAUUGUGCUAACACUUAACCAAGUUUUGUGGCUUAAGUUUUAAGUUUUACAGGAUCACCUAUUCACCCCCCCCUCUAGGUGCUCUCAAUCGCAGUACUAAUGAAGCGGUACGCAAUGCCCUCCAGUGGAUUGCGAUCCUAUGGCGCAGAUUUAAUUUCACCCAGAGCCACCCGAUCCAUCCGAUCGGAUAUUAACGGCUCAGAUUUAUUCUCCCGAACCGGUAUCGCGAUCUAAUCGGGGCCGUUCCCUGGGAGAUCAAUGGCCCACAACCCAUCGUCUCCAAACCGCACCCUUACACGGCGGCGUCGCCCCACCCGCGGCGCGCCCUCGCCGGGGGGGGGGGUGACCAAUCCGCGCGCACACGCCCCAAUCUCACAAACCGAGAGCACAUACACGUUGCCGAGUGAAAAGCGAACCCAGGAGAGGGAUUCUUACCGUGGGUAGCGGCACAGAGAGCUCCGGCCACGGCGUCGUGCGGGUCCGCCGUGGAGUUGGUGCGACGGCGAGAAAUUCCUUGCUCGCAGUCCCCGAAUCGCGUCCGAUGAGGGCACCAGAAACUCUGAGAUGCCCCAACGAAGUCCCCGACCUCUGUCCGAGGCUAGAGCGUUGACUCGGGCGCGUAAUCAUGGCGGCGGCGGAACUCCCUCACACACGGCGCGCACGACAGUAGGCGAUGGCGGUGUCUAGUAUGAACUGCGAGAGAAAAGGGGAGAAACGGGUUGCGGCUAGGGCCCUUUUAUACGGCGAGAUGGUGCGCAGGUCCCGGUAACGGAGUCCGAGGUCACCGGCGAGCACCGCCGCGGAUUUCGCGAGCUCAGUUGCCGCGGCCGCACGGUGGUUGGUGACAGGCGGGCUCCACAUGUAAGCCACGCGAAAAAAAGGGAGAGCGAGGCGCCCAGGCUGACGCGUGGGUCCGGCUUGUCAGCGCGGUCCGGGCUGCGCGGUGAACUAACGUUGGUCGAGCGGGUAGGCUUAAGUGGGCCGACGCGAGGGGAGUAAGGUUGGAUGGGCCGAAUUCAGGCUGGCGGCCCAGAUGAGCUUUUCUCCUUUUUCUCUUUAUUCUUUUCUUUUCUCUAUUCCUUAUUUCCAAAUUCCAUUUUAAAUUCAGAUUUAAAUUCAAAUCUUGUGCCAGAUUAUCUUCAAAUUAUAUUUGUGAAAUAAAAAGUACCAAUUUUUUGAAAUAUAAUUAUAUAUAUGUUAUUUAUAUUUUCAUAUCCUUUAUUCCUUUUCUCCAUAUUUCUAGAAUCCCCUUUAACUCUUAAUUUCCCACUUUGGGACUUCAAUAAUUUUCUUGUCACAUUAUCUUUAUAUUGUCACAAAAUGCACACAAAAAUAAAAUCUCAGCAUGAUGCAAUGAUUUAGUGGCAUUUACUUUAGAAUUAACUUUUUUAAAAAAAAUUAUGGUGUCCACAUGUAAUGGCACAAAAAGUUCAAACUCCCACAUAGAUAAAGUGAACUUGUUUCUCCCUUUGGUAUUAGCUCUUGCAUAUUACAAAUUGGGUAUUACAAAUCCUACCCCCCUUAAAAAUAAUCUCGUCCCCGAGAUUUGUAAGAAAAGGGAUGUAGAAGGAUUGAUUUGUAGUUUGUUUUUUAUAAUUGCUUCAAAAACUGAGAGUCUUGUUCUUUUUUUAGUCAUUAGUGGGUGAUUAGGAGUGCAUAGGUAUCCAGCUACUUAUUAUGUAGGAUAUAAGAGAUGGAUAGGUUAGGGCAAGAAUAGCCUAGGGUGAGAAAGUUUAUAGUGGGAAAGAAUUCUUGGUGUUGAGUGGUAAAGUAUCCGAAGAUUGAGUUUGACUUCUCUCCUUCCUUGACGAGGUUGAUAUUGUCCUUUUCUGGUCUUUGUCUCAUUGAGUCGGGGUCAGUGUAUAUCAUCGAAGUUGGGGGAAUAUGGUUAAGAUAAAUAUAGGUGAGAUAGACUACAUGAUGUAGGUUAAAAGUUGGUUUGAUACUAGGUGGGGAUGAUUAUACAAUUCUUCAUGACUCUAUUGGUUGGGUUAACUCUUAUGCUCACGAUUGAGUUGGUCUAAGGCACUAGUUUAGUUUUAAGUGCAUGAGGGGUAUGGUUUUAUCUUUUGUACCAGCAUUAAGUAACUUACUCUAGAUUAGAUCACCAUAGAUUAGGUUGGAUAUGACUAGAUUAGACUAGUUAAGAUCUAAAUAAAUUUUGGAUUAGCUCCUGGUUGUUAUUCUAGAGUGAGAUAAAUAUACUAAUUAGGGCAAGACGAAUUCAUAAGGAUAAGGUAGAAUCUUUUGAGGUCAGUUAGAUCUGUUAAGAUGAGAUAAAAUCUUUUCAAGAUAAGAUGGAUCUAUGAGUGUAGGAUAGAAUCUUUUAAGAUAGGAUGAAUCUAUCAAGCUAGAUACAUUUUUUUAAUGAGGGAUAAUCUAAUUUGUCUAGUUACUUUUAUAAGCAUUUUUUCCUAUAUGUAUAUGCAGAUGUAAUUGUGGACAUUACUCCACAACUAAUCACACUCAAUCAAGAUCCAAAUCAGACAAGUAUCAUAAGAACAAACUUUCAAGUUCAUAGAGAUUAAAAAAAUAUUUUUGUUUUUGUUCCCAAGAUUAGGUCUCCUAUUCCUAAAAGUCACUUUAGGCACAGGAUUUCAAAGUGUGAAAUCCGAGUUUGCCUUUAGAAGUGAAAAGGUAAGAAUAAUCAGAGUAAAGCGGAAAUAGAUGAGAAUAGAUUAAGAGAAGUUUAGAAAGAAUCAGAGUAGCUGAAGCGUCCCCAAUCCUCUGGGACUCAAAUGUGAUACAAUUACUAGUCCCAGGAGGCUAGUAAACACAUUUAUACAUCAGAUGAUACCAAAUCUUCUCAAACGAGACAAACCUACAAAGGUGGCGAACAACUUUAAGAGUUGGUCCACAACUCGGGACAUAUCAUCAGAGUGGGGCUGAAGCAGCCCGAUAUACGCAGUGAAGCAAUUCAGCGGUCCAACAACCACAGGCAAGGUUGGGAACAGUCGUAACUCUUACCCGAUCUCCUUUUUCUGAAAAACAACAAAUAAGCAAGGGUGAGUACAAACGUACUCAGCAGCCCACCUUCACCCGCGGAAUGGGGAAAUCAGAUAUAAUGCAUGGAAUAUGUGGAGCUCAGGAUAUUUUGCAGAAACAUCAAUAUUUUAUGCAGCGUUGUUUUGAAAAACAUUUUGUAUUUUUGCAAAGCGCAUCCUCUCCAAAAGAAGCAGGAAGUUUUUCAGUAUUAUAAUAAAAUCCCAUGGACUAAACCAUCCAGGUAUCUCAGCAGUUUCCCACUGGUUUUCAUUUUCAAAAACAGCUACUGGACUUCCCGUCCACCAUAGCUCACGGCUCAACCGCCGAACCUUUUUUAAAAACCACUUUUCAAAAGCAUCUCUUUUUUUUGGAAAACAAAACAUUAAUUGCCAUACCAUACCAGACUCGUCCAUUCCAGUGGACAUAGACUAUUCGAAUAGGUUUUCAAACUCUUUGCAGAGGUGUACACUUUACCCACUAGUCCGGCUCUGCGAUCUCAUGAUCAAUGAGAUCCAAAUCCGAAUCUCUUUCUUUCCCCGCAUGUCCUAACCUUAACGGUUAUCCGGAAGGAGUCAGGCCACCACCAUGUCCAAACCGGACAAAACUUUCCCCCUCCUUAUCCUCCCGGUGCUCCCCAGCCUUCAUAACCCUGGGGUUGGACCGUACGAGUUCAGAUUGAGUGACUGCCCACACAGUCUCGAGUGGUUGUACUAUUAAAGAGUACAGGUAGUGAAGAUGACAAACUGGUCCUUAUAUGAGGGGACAAUCCUUGUGCUCACGCCUAAACCAGCUGAGCCAACACCUUAGGCCCUCCCCUAAACCAGGGAGUCCCUGAUUGUCCCACUCACAAGGUGAUAAGGGUGAAAACCCUUCAUCACACACAUUUUGAAAAGCAUUUUUUUAAAACUCACACCUGUUCUCAAAUCAUUUAGAACAUAUAUAUCAGGGAUUGAUUGCGGCAAGCGGCUGGGUGGCCAUAAUAACUUGUCUCAAAACCAUAUCAUGCAUAAAAUAACAGGCUGAGGGUUGUGGUUGAAAAAUCAUAGGUAAUUUAUGCAUCAAAGGGAUCCAGUGAGCUUGUCGUGCUUAUUCGGCGAAGGGGGAAGGGGAGCUCGCAGAACUGGCUUCUGGCUCCACCGCCUAGCGUAGACUUGCAGAUCUGGCCUCCACGAGAUGGCACGAACGCUCCGAUAACUAUGCAACAUGAACAAGCAAACAUACAAACCAACAAGUAUAGCAACAAAUAUUUAGUAUAGUGGUCAGAAAAGCGAUAUAUGGAUGGGUAGAGUCUUGAGUAGAAUCUGUGUCAUGUGGUGUUGUGAUAUUACUGGUGGUGGAGCGGAGGUGCUUACCAGGAGGGUGGACUGGAGGCGAAGCAACACUAUGCGUGUAGCCGGCAGAGCGGAGUAACUGAGUGGGUGGGGUGUUUGCCUUGGUUGAGGGUGUUGAGUGUGUGGAGUGGGAGAGGGUAGCUGGGGGUAUUUAUAGCUGGGUGUAUGUGGUGUAGCAUAGUGAAGUUCACUGUUGGUGAGAAUAGUGACGAAUGAAUCGUCUGACUUAGUAUGAACAAGAGAGUUAUAUGCAGAAUAUGGGACAAGAGUAUUUUGGGAGUUUUCUGGAAUAUGGACCAGGCUUAAGGGAUGACAUGGUUGGAUAGGGAAUAGUUUGAUAAGAAUUUAGAAACAAGAAUUAUUGGAAUCGGAGUUUGGAAGCCUGGUUCAAAGGAAUCUCAAAGUUAAGCGUGCUCAACUUGGAGAAACCUAGGAUGGGUGACCAGAUGGGAAGUUCCCACUGGAAGGAAAACCACAGUCACCGGAGUUCGUAUGAUUGGAACAUGGGUCUGGCUGGUCUUAGGUGGACUGGACAGCAUGAUGGAUGAAUAGUUGAAAUUUGGGAUGACUAGAUGACCGAUGAAUAGUAACGAUGAUUAGUGGCGAUGGAAAAGUAAUUAUAGAUAUCAUCGAUGAAUAGCAACGAUGAUGAAUAGUAAUGAUAAAUAGUAACGAUGAUGAAUAGUGUAUGUGAAUAGUAACGAUGAAUAGUAAUGGUGAAUAGUAAUGGUGAAUAGUGAUAGUGAAUAGUUCGUAUGAACGAACGAUGAACGAUGAAUAGGAACUAUGAACGAACGGACGAACGAUCGAAUGAUCGGACGAACGAACGAUCGGAAUUUCGGCAGCAUAACGGUAGGAAAAGAUUAUUUGGACGAACGAACGGAUGAACGAUCGAACGAUCGGACGAACGGACGAACGAACCAUGAACGAUCGGAAGAACGAUCGAACGAUCGGACGAACGAACGAACAAACUAAGAACAGGGGACGAACGAUCGAAGAACGAUCGAACGAUCCUUGUGCUAGUGUGUGCUUGUGUGGAACAUGGAGUGGGUGUGUGUGGGGGGGGGGGGAAGAGAGUUGCCAUGAAAUGUCUUGGGGUGGGAUGAGAGGAGGCCCUUGCCCCUCUAUUUAUAGCCAUGGUGGGGGGAUUAGGGGGAGGGAUGAGAGGAUUAGUGGGAGGAUGAGAGGAUUAGUGGGAGAUUAGCAUGUAUUUGUCUUGUAUAAGUGAGAUUAGCUUGUAGAGCUCACCGUAUGACACUGGAGGCAUACAUAUACGUAUGAGCAUGAGGAAAGUUAUGAAGAAAAUAUUUAUAGGGACUUGAAAAAUGAUUCUGAAGGUAUUUCUCAAGAGGAAAAUACUUGUAGAUAUAUCGGUGGAAUAUUUGGACAAUAUUUCUGGAUAGGACUUGAAGGGGGUUACUCGGGAAAUAUCUGGGCUGUAUUUCUAGAAAGAAUUUAAGGGGGAUCACUGGGGAAAUAUUUGGGCAGUAUUUCUGAAAAGAAAUUGAGGGCGAUCACUUGGGAAAUAUUUGUAGGAUAUUUUGAAGAGGAUUUUGGAGAGAAUAUAGACCACUAUAUUUUAUUUGCUGAUAUCAACUCGCAAACAAACAUUUUGAAAUGAAAUUUGAAAUUCAUUUUGAAUUUAGAGCGAGUUUGAGAAAAUUUCAGGAUUUGAAUUUUUGGGAUGCUACAGUAGCAAAGGUAAGUAGACAAUGGUUGUCCAAUUCUAUCUAGGUUUCGUCCUACAGUCAACAUUCCUCUGAUACCACUUCUGUCGCACCCGGGUUUCGGGGCACCAAGACCCGGGCGCGAACAUAAUCACCAGGUGUGCUGGGACCAAGUCUCACACAUAUGAUGAAUCAUGGCACAGGAUCGAAUGUCACAUCUUUACUAUAUCAUAGGAGUUCUAUACAAAAUAAAUAAAUAAUUACAUUAUAAGGAGACAACGGUCCAGCAACCCAAAGUUGACUGGGAGACGACGGCCUAGACCUCUCACGAACACAUCGCAGCAUCCUUCAUGCGCCUCAUCCUGUGGUACCUGUUCUUGACCUGUGGGGGGGUGUGAGACAGCAAGAGUGAGCUCACAUACGUUCAUCGCUCAACAAGUUGUGGGGAAUAAUGUGCAUGAACUCGCCAAAGGUGGGAGCUCACGUGAAGUGUAAGGCUUACCAAAGAGGAUGGUUAGAGCUGAGCAUUGCUUUUGAAGUUGGUCAAAAUUUUAUUAGCAAUUACUAAGUAUAAGUAAAUACCAACUCAAUUAAGCAGUAGAACAAAGGUAACAACAUCACCUGCGAUGCAAUGCAUAUGACAAAUUGAAUUUAGUUCCAUAAAUUAAUCAUGUGAGGGUCCGAGCUGCUCAUGACCGUGAGCACGGCUAGUAUACCAGUUUUACACUCUGCAGAGGUUGCGCAUCUUUACCCACAAGUCAUGUUACCCAUCUGCCAAGGGAUCGCGACUUCCCAUACACCUCUACCGAGGAGGCGAGGCAGGGUAACACUACGAGGCCUUUACAAAGUUCCACUAGCUUCAGAAAACCCGCUACAGUUUAUAGGAAGCUCCAAUGCAGGGUUCUUGCCUGACCGCCAUCGCAGCAAAAUCAACCAAGGACCUCCCUACACUGACCACUCCCCUACUGCUCUUGCCCCUUUCGGGUAAGGUAGUCUUCCACUAGCUUUCCUAAUUAAUCAGCCAAGGGCGUCCCAUUAAACCCUUGUGGUAGCACUGUUUUCCCGGGUGGUCGCUCCAUGUUCCAAUUAACAUAAUGAUCUUAUCAUGAACAGUAAAUAACAAUGGAUAACAAAAGUAUAAUCAUGAAUAAUGUAUCUUCAUACCCAAAACCACAUAAAGCACUAGCAGGUACUACCCAAAAAGUUCAGUGGUAAACAAGGUAUAAAGAUAGACAAACUAGGGUAACCUAUUGGGUCCCAUCAAAAUUAACCUAUGCAGAUCAUUAUGAUUAAUCAGAACAUGGCUGGGUAAAAAGAAGUGAUCAAGGGCACAACUUGCCUGGGACUUGAGAUUCCAGGUACCAACUUGCUCUUCCGAUGACACGUGUCCUCACGCUAGUCGUAGUAAUACAGACAAACAUAGUACAUGCAAAAUUAACAUCACACCAAACAUAGGAAUAACUACGUAUUAAUAAUCUACACGCUGCUACGAGAUCGUGGAAACAGGAAUCAUUAAAUUCGGAGUUACGGUUACCAAGUUAUGGAUUUCUGAAGUUAUUUAGCACAUAGAACAGAUUAAUUCAAAUGAACAAUUUUAAUUCAAGUUUUAUGGCUAAACAGUGUUACUAGUUGAUAUACAAUAUUAAAACAAAAUUAUAGAAACUGGAACGGGUCAAUUCGGAGUUAGAAUGAAUUAAAUACGGAUUAAACAAGUUUAUGGAUUUAUUUUUAUACUAAAAACCUAUUUUCUAAUCCAUUUAUUCAAUUUAUCACAUCACUGGACUGGGCCUCAAUUUCCAUAGAAGGCAGGGGGCUAUGCGCAAGAUUUCCCAGACACAGAGAACAGGGUCCUUGGACGACGGGUUGUUUUCUGAUAAGCGUAGGGGCUCUUUUGUGAAAUGAGCGGCUGAAGGGGUAUCCGAUGAUGUGGGCCACCCGAUCGGCCACCAACGCUCCAGAUUAAAUCGCAGUACUAAUGAAGCGGUACACAAUGCCCUCCAGUGGAUUGCGAUCCUACGGCGCAGAUUUAAUUUCACCCAGAGCCACCCGAUCCAUCCGAUCGGAUAUUAACGACUCAGAUUUAUUCUCCCGAACCGGUAUCGCGAUCUAAUCGGGGCCGUUCCCUGGGAGAUCAAUGGCCCACAACCCAUCGUCUCCAAACCGCACCCUUACGUGGCGGUGCCGCCCCGCCCGCGGCGCGCCCUCGCCGGGGGGGGGGGGUGACCAAUCCGCGCGCACACGCCCCGAUCUCACAAACCGAGAGCACAUACGCGUUGCCGAGUGAAAAGCGAACCCAGGAGAGGGAUUCUUACCGUGGGUAGCGGCACAGAGAGCUCCGGCCACGGCGUCGUGCGAGUCCGCCGUGGAGUUGGUGCGACGUCGAGAAAUUCCUUGCUCGCAGUCCCCGAAUCGCGUCCGAUGAGGGCACCAGAAACUCCGAGAUGCCCCAACGAAGUCCCCGACCUCUGUCCGAGGCUAGAGCGUUGACUCGGGCGCGUAAUCACGGCGGCGGCGGAACUCCCUCACACACGGCGCGCACGACAGUAGGCGAUGGCGGUGUCUAGUAUGAACUGCGAGAGAAAAGGGGAGAAACGGGUUGCGGCUAGGGCCCUUUUAUACGGCGAGAUGGUGCGCAGGUCCCGGUAACGGAGUCCGAGGUCACAGGCGAGCACCGCCGCGGAUUUCGCGAGCUCAGUUGUCGCGGCCGCACGGUGGCUGGUGACAGGCGGGCUCCACAUGUAAGCCACGCGGAAAAAAAAGGGAGAGCGAGGCGCCCAGGCUGACGCGUGGGUCCGGCUUGUCAGCGCGGUCCGGGCUGCGCGGUGAACUAGCGUUGGUCGAGCGGGUAGGCUUAAGUGGGCCGACGCGAGGGGAGUAAGGUUGGAUGGGCCGAAUUCAGGCUGGCGGCCCAGAUGAGCUUUUCUCCUUUUUCUCUUUAUUCUUUUCUUUUCUCUAUUCCUUAUUUCCAAAUUCCAUUUUAAAUUCAGAUUUAAAUUCAAAUCUUGUGCCAGAUUAUCUUCAAAUUAUAUUUGUGAAAUAAAAAGUACCAAUUUUUUGAAAUAUAAUUAUAUAUAUGUUAUUUAUAUUUUCAUAUCCUUUAUUCCUUUUCUCCAUAUUUCUAGAAUCCCCUUUAACUCUUAAUUUCCCACUUUGGGACUUCAAUAAUUUUCUUGUCACAUUAUCUUUAUAUUGUCACAAAAUGCACACAAAAAUAAAAUCUCAGCAUGAUGCAAUGAUUUAGUGGCAUUUACUUUAGAAUUAACUUUUUUUUAAAAAAAAAUGGUGUCCACAUGUAAUGGCACAAAAAGUUCAAACUCCCACAUAGAUAAAGUGAACUUGUUUCUCCCUUUGGUAUUAGCUCUUGCAUAUUACAAAUUGGGUAUUACAGGUAGGUGUAGUCGUCUUACGUCUACCACUUGAUGUACAAGUAUGUUUGUCAUUCAAGACAAUUACCUGAAAAAUUGGUUAAAGUGUCAAAUACCUAUAUUCUUUGAAUUGUACAUGUUAAGUGAAAAAGCUAUAAUCUCAGCUUACUUGAAUUGUAGGAGAACCUUUCGUCUCCGAUCUAGCAUGAAUGCUCCGAGGGCAAUCAGGCCCUUUACAAUACCCUCUAAAUCUAGUCUUAUUCGUUGCCUCAAUUCCAAGCUCAAAUUCUUUAUUUAUGGUGUAUUGCCUAAUUGUGAGUCUGAAGUGCUGCAUUGUUGCAUACAAGCUGCCAGGCUCCAUUACUGGAUUGUUCAUAUCAUAUAUGGUCCUAGUCUCAUCGAGCACUGCAUCAGAGCACGAAAUGCCUUCUCCCAAUUCAUCUUCACAUGGAAUGCUAUUUCUAAAACGGGAAGCACUUGAAUCAUCUUCCCUUCUAUCAUCUUGAGUAUCCAGUCCAAGCUGAUAAUAUAGACCUUGUUCACUAGUAACAUCAUUUCUUCCUUCUUCGUUGUUGGUUUCUUCUACCAUUAUUGAAUCCCAAUCAAUGUCAUGAAUUCCAUGGCCACUCGCCUAUUCACCACAAACAGUUGUUAUGUAAUAUGUAACUACUAAAUUGCAUACAAUAAAUUCAAACUACUAACCACUGUAGGCUGUGUCCCAAUACAAGUCAAUGUCCACUCGUCUUCUUCAACAGUGUAUGCAGUGGUUUCGUCCAUGGGGGAACUGCCUCAUCGUUGGGAGUAUUAUCCAUAGUACAUUGCACAUACAAUGGUGCUCACUGGCUGGUACGCUGUAGGACUGUUUACUACGCUAAAUGGUGGCUACAGUAUUCAUAGGACAGUAUACUACGCUAAAUGGAAUGGAACGAAGCAAAGGAAAUUCUUACCAGAGCCGACGGCGUUGAGGAACUGCAACCGCGCACUGGAAUGGGCCUCAGCGCAAUGGACCACGGGCGCAGGAACCGGCGACACAGGGGAGGGCGAGAUCCGGAGAAGGACAGGGCCCAGUGCGCGGAGACAAAGAGAGCAGCUCGAGGAAGACGACGGCUAGGGCGAGCAGAGUUCGGGCGAGCAAGACGACGGCCAGGGCGAGAAUAAGGAGGAGAGGACACAGAGAGAAUGGCAUACAGGAGCUUCACGGGCGACGGUAGAAGAGGAAGACGGCGGCAAGUUUCUAACGGCGCGAGGGCAGCACGGGCACUGCACAAGGGAUAAACACCAUUAAGCGCGCGCGAUGCCAAAUUUACAAUUCGAGAGAGAUUUCAAUGCCACGCUUUCAAUUGCCACGACGGCGGUGCCAAAAGUUUGAAGCCCGCACUCACAUAUUAUUUCACCUCUUUACAAGGAGACCCUUACACUAAUUCACAAUUACACCAACAGGGGCCCUUACACUAAUUCACAAUUACACUAAUAUUUGCAGUUGUGUUAGGUUGCCGAUCGAAGAAGGCAGGCUUCCUGAUAGGUUGUUGUUCGAGAACUGCAAGAGUUUCAGGGCUGAUAGCUUGUCUGGCACCCUGUUGAAAACAAUUACUUUCCAAUUAUACCUCAGGUGUAAUUUACUUAGAAUACCAGCACUAAUUUACUUCCACGCUGUGGCCAUUAUUUUAUUCUGGACAUGUUUUUAAACUUUAAAGAUAAAUUACAGCGGCAAUGUCUGUUACAAUAUUUUUUCUUUUGUAACAUAUCUAAGUAACUAUGUAUACUAAGAUAGCUCUCGUCAAACUUAUGCUCUACGUCAAACAUCUUUAUGCAGCAGCCAUAGUACCAUUAAAUUAGAUAAUUGGGACCAAGUGAACUGAAAUAUUCUCUUGGAAAAAAACAUACAAGUUUCAUAAUCUUGCUAGUGUGAUGUGCGGGCAAUAAAAAAAGGAACAAUUGGAUCUAUACCAUUAAAAGAUCCAAACUUUAGAUAUAUACCAUAGACCCCACAUGUCAUUGACUCAUGUGGACCCACAUGUAAGUGAGAUAGUAAUGGUAUGGAUCCAAAGUGGUGAUCUUUUAAUGGUAUGGAUCCAAAUUUCCCAUAAAAAAAUCGACAGAUCCAGCGCCGGAAGCUCUCACAUGAGUGACGUCUAGGGAAGGGAUAAAUCGAUGCAAGCUUUUGCGGAGUGGCUGCUUCGAACUAGCAACCCAAUGACUCAGUGAGACAGCUUUUACCACUGCACUAGGUCUUAUUGGCGUGCCGGCAAUAAUUUUGAAUAUUCAUUGAUCAAUUUACUUUGUUGGUUUUAUUUGUUCAUUGUAUCUAUUCGUGCAUUCAAGUUUUAAAAGAACCACCUGUAUAACACGAGCAGUCAGGAUGUGUGUAUGAAUUUUACAAAUUUUUUGCUGCAGGAAAAAUUGUAGGCCACAUUAUCAAAAUUUGAACUGGUCAUUUUAGAUUUAAGAUUAGAAUAAACUAGUUGACCUGACAGAAGAACCUUCUGAAACAACUCAAUCAUCUAUAAUAAAUUUGCUAAAUGACUAUGUUUUUGAGUUUUGGACCCAAAUGUUGCAGCUUGUUCAGCAACUUUUAGGGGGGGGGGGUCAAAUUCAUGGCAUGUUACCAAGUACUUGAAAAAGCAAUAGUCUGACUGUUCUAAGGAAUGCUUGUUCUUCACACAAAAGAUGAAUUUCAAAUGGCAUAGUAGCCUGUUUGAAUGCUUGAGUUAGCAACUAGAACUUCAUUGUUUUCUGUAGCUAAAGCUCUCGUUCUUUUUACAUGCUUUUAGACUGUAAUCACUUUCAUUGAAUAGUCUAAACAGUAAGCACAUGCAGGAACAGUCAACAUUCUUAUUCUCAAGAUGUAGUAUGCAACAGUAUCAAGCUAUUUUGAUUAGGCUAUUCUGAAUUUACUGGCGGAUGAAGUGGGCCCUUAUCUUCCGCAGCUCGGUGGCUGCGUUUCUCAUGGAUAUCCUUUCUGCUGGUGCCUGCUUAGUACACAACAGUGCCAGCCCAGUAACAGAUACCAUGACACUGUUGUUUUGUCCCCGUGGACCGUUGCUGGUUCCGCUGUGCACAUCAUGUGCAUAGUUUUCUUCUGCUGCUACAAUAGCAGGAUCUACAAUGUCCACCAGAUGAUCUGGGAAUGCAGCCUGGACGUAGCCCUGCAAGCUCAGGCCAUCUGCAAACAUGUCAUUGGUAGGAGCCUUUCCAGUAAACAACUCCAGGAGUAGAAUUCCAAAACUGUAAACAUCUCCGCAUGGGGAAACUUGGUGACCUUCCCCAUAUUCUGCAUCAUAGAGGAAUAUUUUUUAAAAAGCCAUUGCUUGCCAAUUUACAAAUCAGUCAGGUGCUCAAGCACAAGCAGGAAGAGAAUACAAGUAUGGACUAAAGUUACCUGGAGCAACAUAUCCGAUUGUUCCCCUUAUCCCGGUGCCAGUGGAGCUUCUGGAGUUCAUGUUCGAGGGGUCGCCUGUCGAGUCUCUAAGAAUCUUUGCAAUUCCAAAGUCCCCAACAAGAGCACCAAAGUCUUCAUUGAGAAGGAUGUUGCUUGGCUUCAAGUCGCAGUGAACUAUCGGUGGCUGGCAACUAUUAUGCAGGUAGUCCAUCGCGUCACAAGUGUCAAUAGCAAUGUUCAAUCUCUGCAUUAAUGUCAGACCAACUGGAUCUGUAGACUGUCCACCUUGAUCUGGAUGUAUCCACUUGUCAAGGCUCCCAUUAGUCAUGUACUCUAGCACAAUGGCUUUGAAGUUGUUUUGGUUGGAGUCAUAACCAGAGCAACAAGUGAUGACACUAACCAAGUUACGAUGCCGGACCUUACGAAGUGCCUCACACUCUGACAUGAAACUUCUCAAAGAGCCUGACUGUUGGAGAUCAAAAACCUUCACAGCAACGAUAGUUGUUGCGUUAUUGAUCACCAAGCUCCCCUUGUACACCGAUCCAUACCUCCCUGUACCAAUCCGGUUGCUUAGAGAAAAUCCAUCUGUUCCACGUACUAAAUCUGCAUAGGAAACUCUUGGAUACACGUCGUCCAUCAAUUGGAGAGCACCCUCUACUGUCACCGGUGCAGCUUCUGAUUGUGCUUUUGAUUUCUUUUGCAAGGUUCGAACAAGAACUGCUAAGGUCAUGAAUAACAGCAGUGCACCUGCAACUGGAAUCACUACUUUAAGAAUGAUAUGGUGAUUUCUCCGACUGUGCCACAAAGGUUUGUUUGCGCAAGCAGGCAAAUGCAACUCCUGGACACCUCCGCAGAGUUCAUCAUUACCAGCAAAAGAGAAGCCCGUCACAUUAGUAAACACACCCUGUACUGGGAUUUGGCCACUGAGUUGGUUGAAAGACAGGUCUAGAUGGUUCAAUGAGGUCAUAUUUCCAAAGGUAUGAGGGAUUGGUCCUGAAAGGUUGUUGUGGGCAAGAUACAGUUCUUCUAAACCACUUAUGCGGGACAGUUCUUGAGGAAUUUUUCCUGAGAGCAUGUUGUCUGUUAAAUUUAGCAGUACCAAGCCACGCAUUGAACUGAAGGAUGUGGGAAUGGCACCACUGAAGGAGUUACCGUCCAAUCGAAGCUCCAUCAUGCUUAAGCAGUUGCCUAGUGAAUCAGGCAAGGGGCCAGAUAAAUUGUUCCCGGAGAUGUACAGAUGUACAAGGUUUGUAAGACUUCCAACUUCUGGUGGGAGAGAACCAACGAAGUAAUUGUAGGACAAAUAAAGAUCAUCUGUCAAGGACGACAGGUUGAAAAUCUCUUUAGGCAAAGGGCCAGUAAACUUGUUAUUAGACAAGCCAACACCAUUUAGCUGUUGCAAGUUGCCAAGGCUGGAUGGAAGGGGCCCUACAAAGGCGUUCUUAUAUGCGAGCAAUAUUUGCAGUUGUGUUAGGUUGCCGAUCGAAGAAGGCAGGCUUCCUGAUAGGUUGUUGUUCGAGAACUGCAAGAGUUUCAGGGUUGAUAGCCUUCCGAUGCUAGUAGGAAGAGACCCAGAGAACUGGUUGUAGUCUAGCUUCAGUGCUUGUAGGCCAGCUAGAUUGCCAAUGUCGAGUGGUAUCUUACCAGAAAUCUCAUUCGCUGAGAGGUACAGCAACUGGAGCUGGGACGAAAGAUUGGCGACGGAACUCGGGAGCUCACCGCCAAGCAAGUUGUACUGGAGGCUGAGGAGACGCAGGCCGCGGGUGCAGUUCGUGAAGGAUGUGAUGAACUCCCAGUCCUGGGCGCUGCUUGCCUCAAGCAUGUUGUCGUCGAAAGCUAAGGUAUCUGGACAAAGCCUUCCUACCCCUGGCGGUAUGGUGCCGGUGAGGCUGUUCACGCUGAGAUCUAUCACAUGGAGCAUGGUUGCAUUGCCAAGUGAAGGCGGAACUCCUCCAGCGAAGAGGUUCCUGCUCAGGAGGAGAUAUCUGAUCAUGGGUAGGCCAGCCCCCAUGUCAGACGGCAGCGUACCGUGCAUCGUGUUGUCGGACACCGCGAGCGUGAUCAGCGAAGACACGUUGAGGAGAGGUCCGCGGGGAUGGCGCCUGAGAUACGGUUUCCUGCCACUGUGAACGACUCGAGUCCAUGGAUUCUACCGAAGCCCUCGGGGAUGGUGCCCUCGAGCCAGGUGGUUGGUCUCAAGGUUGAUUUCCCUCAGGGAAGAAGUGAGAUUGGCGAGCGACCGGGGGAUCAGCCCCGUGAGAUUGUUCGGCCCCAGCAGCACGCCUUGGAGCUUUGGCAGGCCUCCAAGCCAACCAGGGACUCCUCCCGUCAGCUGGUUCCCACCAAGCCUGAUGCUCACAAGGCUGCUGCAGUUCCUCAGGCCAGCCGGGAUCUCGCUCUGCAGCGAGUUGUUUGACAUGUCAAGGUAUCGCAGCCGGUGCAGGCGGCCAACUGCCGCGGGGAUUUCGCCUUCCAGCUUGUUUUGGCUGAGGUCGAUGCUCGUCAGGAACGUCAAGUUGCCCACCGACGCAGGUAUGGUGCCGGCAAGGCCGGCAGAGCUGAGAUGGAGUGCUGAGACCCUGCCUCCGUGCCUGUGGCUGCAUGUCACACCUGGCCACAGGCACAGGCUAGCGCUACUGUUCCAGGACGACAGCCUGCUUGAUCGCUGGCCUAGGACGGCCUUCAGCUCCAGCAAGGCUUCCCGGUCCGUCUCACUUCUCAACGGUGCUGCUGACGCCGAAGUUGGUGCUGGUAGGAUCCCAUGAAGCAGCAGCAACGGAAGCAGCAGCACAAGUCUGGUGGGGAGCGACAUGGGUGCAGUGCAGCGCCUUCGUUUGCUGCCACUGAGAAAGAUCCAAGAUCCGAACCAAGUAUUUCUGAAAGCAUAUCAACAAGUUAGUUGCUAGUAUUACUACUUUGUAUAUUGAUCUAAUAAUCUUCGUCAGCCGAAUGUUCUGAGUUUUUUUUUCGAGGCACAAAAACUUGAUUUUGAGAUGUAUUCUUUGCCGAGUUCCACGUACCGCUUGGUUUCAGAUGGAUUGCCGCCUCCGUCUUCCCUUCUAACCUUGCCUUCUGUGUGACUCUUGCUUUGCUUCUGCAUCGUCGUUCUACAAGCUAUAGGAGCAUUUUUUUUUCAUACGACAAGUGUGGUGUGCUCACAGUGACUAGAGGAACUUGCGUGUGCAUGUACUUAUAUUCUUCCUGAUAGUUUUUUUUUUCUCAUUUGAAAAGUAGUAAUAUGAUGCAUGUCAGAAUACUAGACUAGCACAGUGAACUCUCCUAUGCUGGACAGUUUGAUUCUUUGACUGUGAAAAUAUACGUGUGGAAUUCAUCUAUACGAGACAACCGAACUUGACUUUGAAGUCAAGAUUAUCUUCCAAGCAAUACGAGUAUACGACAAAGCAUUUUCUUUCCUGCAUAGAAGUCCAGUAGUUUUUUUUUGUUUCUGAACUCCCGAAGGUCAUUGUUAGGCUGUCACUUACCAACUGAGGUAUAGUUUAGAUACUCUAGAAUCGAUCUCAUUCCACAUGUAUUGAGGUGAAUAAGGUGUAACGUAAAUUUACACCUCAAUCCAUCUCAUAUUCUCAUCACAUGUGGAUAAGGGUCAAUACUAAGUAUCCAAAUAAAAUCUAAGGGGGCUUUUUUAAAAAGCAGAGUAUAUCUCUAACAUCUCUAACAGGGUGUCUCGAAAUAAUGCUCCUAAAACUAAAAUACUACUUCCUCCAUGUUUUUAUUUGAUGUUUUACACUUCAUUUUUGCACUAUUUGGCGUCAUUUUUGCACUAACUGGCGUCAAAUAAAGAAAGGGAUAGAGGUAAUAUAUUUUGUUUUGUUUUGUGCGAACUAUAUUUUGUGCUUGUUCUGGUGUGUCACAUGAAACAUUUUCGGCGUGCAUGCUCUGCUCUGCUCCGCUCUGAUAUAUUAGAUGAACAAGGACAACGUCCAUUGUCUCUUGUUGUAUAUGCACGGCCAUGCACGUGUGACUACUGUGCAGCUAUGUUUAACAAGUACUUGACCGGCAACGUGCUGGCAUUUUUCAACUUUUAGCAAGUACCGGAUGAUUUUAAAAAUAGGAAUAACUGCAUGUAUGCUACUGCACAAAUAUAUGACGCUUGACUUUUUUAUCUUAAUUUUGACCAUUAUCUUAAAAAAAAUUAAAAUUUCGGAAUGAUUAUACCUACAUUUAAAUAUUUUGUAUUCUAAACCAAAUUGUAGUGAAGAUCAAUAAAAAUCCUUUUUUUAAUAAGGCGAACGGUCAUAGACCGGUCAUAGAUGAGACUAAAAAAAGUAAAAAAAAACAUAUAUUUGUGAACGGAGCGAGUACCAUUUUCCUCGGUACUUUAUUUACCAUCGUAAUAUCCUAAUUUUUUCGGAUGUAAUUUCUUACCCAUUCCAUCGCCAGCGACAUAAAAGUGAUUGGAACAUACAAUUUUUUUUAAAAAAAAAUCCAUAGAUAACUUUGAAGGGAUUCAUCUAUUCCUUAGAUACAUUGGAAGAGUGCUUGUGUCAUGAUUGGUUUUUGCUUGAAAGCAUUGAAAACUUGUAACCAAUUGGUCCUUGUUUAGUUGUUCCCAAGUGGUGAUGGAUCCUAGCUGAAGGGUCGAAUACUAGGUUUAGGUUAUUCCUUUUGUAGCCAUAGUGAAAGAUUUAGCCAACACCGUUGCGUUUCUGCUGGAAGAUGCAACAGCUGCUUGGCAGCCCACGAGGAACUGUUUCGGAUCAUAAUGCACAACAUACGAAGGAAGCUAUUCCUUUCACGUUUUUUUGGCUUUAUCCACCUCUGGCCCGUUCGUGUGUUUUGAAGCUUCUUCAGAGAGCGAUGAUCUUCUGCAUUGAUUGAAAUUUGUAACCUGGAGAACCAUUUGAAUUUUAUUUCAUCAAUUUAGACCUUCGACCAUAGAUCUACCAUAGAUCUUCUCCUCAAUAGGUCCCUAACAAAAUUGUUACGAGGGGCUCCAACGAGUACAUGAAACAUGAAACGUAAACUUUUUGAUACCUUGAUAAAAAUAUAAUAGUCAUUGAUAUAAGUUUGCAUUUAUGUCUCAAUAAACCUUAUGUACCUUAUUUAUCGCUUAACUAACUUAUAUGUACUUAGGGCCUGUUUGGCACAGCUCCAGCUCCUGAUCCUAGGCGAGGAUCUGGAGGAGCCGUGCCAAACAAGUGUUUUGUGAACUGAUUCUCACGUGGAGCAGGAAGGAUUGAGAGUCGUUUUUGUAUAGAAACGUGGGAGCUAAAAAAAAACUGCUCCACCCUCCCUCAAAACAGCUCCUCAACCAACCAAAUAUGAACCUCCCCUCAAAGUUUGCCCAAAAUUACCUGCAAUUUGUAUUAUUGCUUGUAAUUGAUUUGUUGAACGCACGUUUGGUGUAUGCAAGACGAAAUAGAAAAUUCUUCUAAAGAUGUCAACCAGACAAGAAUCAUUUUACUUGCCAAACGGUUAAAAACAUGAUUCUGAUUCUCCAGGAAUCAGAAGGAUCAGCUCCUUAGAAGGAUUAGGAUCUAGAGCUAAAGAAUCAGGAACUGGAGCUGUACCAAACGGGUCCUUAGUUUCUUAGGUGUCUUGCUGGGCCAGUGAUAGAAUUAGAGAGUUUGUAUAACUUUUUUGCGAUAGAAAUAGUAACACAUAUAUAGCUACACGUCGGAGAAAUUACAUUCUUACAUCGAUUUCAACCAAAUAAAAACUAAAGAUUUUAGUUAAAUUAAAUUUUUAAAUAGCAUAAUACAUUCUACUCUAUAAAGGUUGCCUCCUUUCUACGACUGUGACGUGUCUGGUAUUUUUUUUUGCAUCCACACCCGAUGCAAGCUGGAAACCGGAGAGAGUAAGGGGGUGUUUAGGAACAAAGUUUUUCUGCAUUAUUAAAGCAAUACUGUAGUAUUAAGCAAUAUUGUUGUAUUAUAUACUUUGAGAUAUUUGGAAACUCAUCUGAAAUCUAUGUAUACUAAAUUGUAGUAUUGUUAAUACAACACUUGUUUUGCAGUUUUGGAAACUUCGGUCUCAACCAAAGUUUUUCUCUGUAAAGAGAGUGUCGGCUCGGUCCUGCUUAAUUUGGUCGAUUGGUCUCAAUCAAAGUUUUUCCCAAACACUUUGAUGUAUCGGAUACUGUUGUAUUCGAAAACUGAAGCAUUGUAAACUGUAGUAAUGUCAUGACUAAAAUAUACUUUAGUAUUUGAAAAACUGCAGUUUGGAAAAACUAUGUUUCCAAACAGGCCUAAGGGUAUGUAGAGCCCCCAUUUAAUAUAGGGUCUCUUGAGAAGUCUUUAGAGGACUAAAUAAAAAGGUACAAGAGACAUUCUCUUCACAUGCCGCUAAGUUCAUCUCUACACGAUUUUCUAUAGUGGCGGACGCAGGAUGAGAAUUCAUGGGGGCCAAGAAAAUCACGUGACAAAAUCAAGCACGACCGAAAAACUAAUGUUGCAUAGAAUCCAAGUUUUAUAUCAAUACACGAUAUAGGUUAAAAGAAUAAAACUAUAUAAACAAAAGAAGUAAACAUGUCACUAAGUUCUUGCUGGCCGAAAUGAUGCCGUACGUAUCUGUCAAAUGUCAAUCCUUGAAAGACUGGGGCACCGAGAAGAGGGUAGUGUCAGGCGUCGUGAUGAUGAGAAGUAGGGUGAGGGUGUCGCGAGGGUUUGGGGUCUCGCUAAGUUCUUGCUGGCCGAAAUGAUGCCGUACGUAUCUGUCGAAUGUCUAUCCUUGAACGACUGGGGCACCGAGAAGAGGGCAGUGUCGGGCGUCAUGAUGAUGAGAAGUAGGGUGAGGGUGUCGCGAGGGUUUGGGGUCUCGCUAAGUUCUUGCUGGCCGAAAUGAUGCCGUACGUAUCUGUCGAAUGUCUAUCCUUGAAUGACUGGGGCACCGAGAAGAGGGCAGUGUCGGGCGUCAUGAUGAUGAGAAGUAGGGUGAGGGUGUCGCGAGGGUUUGGGGUCCCGCUAAGUUCUUGCUGGUCGAAAUGAUGUCGUACGUAUCUGUCGAAUGUCUAUCCUUGAACGACUGGGGCACGGAGAAGAGGGCCGUGUCAGGCGUCGUGAUGAUGAGAAGUAGGGUGAGGGUGUCGCGAGGGUUUGGGGUCGGACGACGUCGCGUGUCGGAAAGGAGGUAGUGGUGGGCGAUAUCAGGACGGACUGGCUCGAAUGUCGUCAAAUAAAAUGGGGCCAAAUAGAUAGAUACGGAGACUAAACAAAGGAGGAGAACGAAGUCAGGAGGAUUAUACUGAUCUGGACAAGAAGAUUAGAACAUGUAUGAUGUAGUCUACCUAAAACUUUUUUUCUAUAUUUAACAUUAAAUAAAUAUUAUGUGUAGGAGAUUUUACAAAAAAAAUGGAGGGAGUUCAUGGCCAUCUUUGCUCCUCCUCUAUGGAUCUGCCUCUAACUUUUUAUACUUAUUGUUUUUAACUAUAUUUAUUAUCUAAAGGUUUAUAGUUGUAUAAUCUCUUAGUUAUCUAUUGUAUAUAAAAAAACUAAUCUAAAUUCUCACACGAUUGUACAUGCCCACAUAUAGAGACAAUAAAUAGACCAAACAAUUAAUGGGUCCGUAACCUUUCUACCCUGCAUCAUCGCAGAAUCACAUGCGAUGCAGCUUUUCAUUCGCUGCAAGUCGCAUGCCAGGACAGUGCUUGCCUACUCUCUACUCCAUCCAUCACUCAAAAACAAUCAGCAAAGUGUUGCAACUGCUACCGUGACAACAACGGUUCAACAAAGACAUGUUUGUCCCUCUUUUUUUUGGCAUUUAUUUAACGCUGCCCCCGUAGUUAUCAUAUCUACUAAUAUCUACAUGCUGCAUAAGAUGAAAUUCGGUGGUCUUCGUACAAAUGACAGUCAUUUUUCCCCCUCAGUGGAGGACAAAGUCGUAAUUUCUUUCGUCGUCUCUCUCUUGUGCUUUCCUCGCUAUAGUCACUGCCAACUGUUUGAGUACCUCUGCUGCACAAGUAGCUUCGGCUCCCGGCAGUACCGCAACUCCUCUUCCACCAAACUCCAGAGGCAUCCAACAGCAGGCGAGGAAAGCAAGACACGCCCACCCACCCGCUCCGGCAGCCAGCGGCUAUGCAGCAGCAGAUGCCCAUGCCGCCGGCGCCCGCUGCCGCCGCGGCGGCGGCGCCCCCGGCGGCCGGCAUCACUACCGAGCAGAUCCAGAAGGUACGAGCCGCCCCGCCCCGCCCCGCCCCGCGCCUACCUGCUAGGAUUUGGACGCCGUGCUUGGUUAGGUCCGCCGGCCGCCUUAGCUCGUUUCGCCAAGAAACGGACGGGUACUUCUCCUCGGGUGGCUGGCUCCUGCGCGCGCCGUGCCUCCUCCUUGCUUUGUCGGGCUCGUGCGCCGCCGACUCGUCCGUUUUGCCCUUCCUCCUAUGGCUGCGUCGGUUUUAGGGGUUGGUUCCAAUCAAAGAUUGGGUCUUUUCGGCUGGCUGUUUGGUUAGGGCGAGAUUGGGCGUCCUUGUGCCUUUUUCCAUUAUCGCAGAUUGCUGGAUUGAGUGCUUAGGUCAGUCGGUGGGUGGCAGUACUGUAAUAGCAGAUUCUUGAAUCGAGAGUUUUAUUUCAAUCAGCGAGUAACAGUAGUUUGGUGGCGUGCUCUGGCUGUUUGGAGUGCUAUGCUCGCCUCACCAAACUUGACUUAGAACAGAACUCGAGGAGGUCGAGCUGGAGGAGGCGGUCAACAGUGCAAACCCUCGAUGCUGUACGGUUGUGGUUAGUGACUAAUCAUUGAAGGACUUUGGCACCACUGAGGGGGUGUUUCAAUGCACUAGAGAGCUCAUAGGUAGUUGGCUAAAAAAAUGCUAGUGAAAUUAGCUAGGUAACUAUUAGCUAAUUUGCUAUAAAAGUAGCUAAUAGCUGGAUUAUAAGUUAGACUGUUUGAGACGUCUUUAGCUAAUUUUAGCGGUGUUAGCCCGAGUGCUUUCAAACACCCCCUACAACGUGUUUUUUUUUUAAAUGCCAAAAAUGGGCAAGGCACCCUAUUAUGUCAUUGAGGUACCAUUCUUGUUGUUGUUUCAGUAUAAAUGCAAAAUGUGGGUAAUAUGCCUUUGAAAUUUUGGCAUAGGCCAAGUGACCAGUAGGAUCAUGACAUGCGUUCAAAUCAGUUUUGAACUUUGGUCAAAGGCCAUGUGAGCAAUGACACUAAUUUGCUAUUUGAAUAUUCAGUUUUGAAUUUUUGGUAAAGGCUAAAUAUGGCACUAUAGCUAGCCGGCACUGUGCCACACGGGUUCUCAACCUGUGCUUAUAUUGCAGUUUGUGGUGGGGCAGCUAACCAGCCCUUGUUCCUCUGGUAUGCAGUAAUGCAGUUUGGCACAAUAAUUAGCCAGUCCUGUGCCAUGUGGCACAGGUUCUAAGCCUGUGCUUUAUAUUACCCUGUGGUGGGGCAGCUAACUGGGCCCUUAGUUCUCUGCCUUGCAGUUUGACACUUUGGCUUACUGGUCUGAAGUCACUUUUACGGCCCCGUUUGGAUCCUUGGAAUUGAAUUCCAUUCUAAUAAUAGUAAUUUAGGCAUGUAUCAAUUAAGCUAAUACAGUUUUAUAAGAAAUAUAUUUGUAUAUUAUUAUUAGCAAGAUGUGUGAGAUAUUUAUGUGCUACAUUUUUACAUAAAGGAGUGAGCCGAAGAACGUCUUAUAAGUUGCAGAUUAGAAACAUUGUCUGCUGAUAUAUAAAAUCAUUUCUCAUUCUCCGUCCCAUGAAUUUGAGAUAGGCUUCUAUCUGAAAUUUGGAAAGUGGUGGAAUGUCAAAUUCCAAACCAAAUAGGUUACUUUAUUUAGUAAAUUCCAAUUCCUCCAAAAUGAAUGGAUCCAUAUGCUGCUUGUGUGCAUUCAAGCAUGAUAUGGCGACUUCUAGUGUAACUUCCUGUGUCUUUGUGACAAUUCGUUCUGACCUGCAUGGCUGCAACUUCUUUUUAAUGGAUUCUUCAAGAUGAGCACCAAACUGCAUGAGCAGAGAGUGCAAACAAUGGAGUGCUAGGUCAGAUUAAAUGUUAUGGAGGUGCUAUGAUCCACACUAGAAAUCAUCAUGCCACGUUAGAAUCCACUCAAGCAGCAUGCAAUGUGGUCAAUGGCGGUAAAUCUAGGAAGAGACACAGGUGCUAGAAUACAAAAGCAAAAGUUGUAGGGCGGUUUGAUGAACCCCAUAUUUACAGAUGGGUUUUAGGAAUUUCCCCUUAGCACGAUCGUCAUCCAACAAUGCUCUUCUGUCAACCAUGCUUAAUAAUUCUUAGACAAAAUUCUCUUUGCCAUGGAGUGUAGCCUGCUGGUAUAAUACUAUCGGCUUUGUCAGUCUUCCAUUCACAGAUAAUGUGGUUUGUUAGGCUACACUAUCUUGAUCUGGUUACUAGCUGUGACAUGCUAGCAGUCAUGUACUGUCCUCCACAAUGUGUUGGUGUCUAAAACUGAAACUCGCAACCAAAAUUCUGGAGUUAAUGCACAAUUAAGCUUGGCUUUCAAGCAACGGAGCAUAACUGCAGGAAAGAUGGAAAUAUCAGGCCUCUAUACUUUUGAAUAAAACCACUUGCACCAUUCUUUCGCAGAGAAGGUAAACGGAUUGCUUCAUGACUAUGCAUAAGCCAAAAACCAGUCUGUGUCAUCAUUCACUUAAUGAAGUGUACUGACAUGAACUGAAUUUGCCUUUUGCAGUAUUUGGACGAAAAUAAGCAACUUAUUUUGGCCAUCCUGGAAAAUCAGAACUUAGGGAAGUUGGCUGAAUGUGCUCAGUAAGUAUCUUUCGGAACUAUUUUGUGAGACACCUCAUUUUUCCGUACUAGUUUAUAUCUAUCAAUUGAUAAGGGUGUCUGAAUUAGUUUAACCGUAAUGCUGUCUAAAAUUCUGAUCCUUUGACGUGUUAAGUCAUUUUGCCGUCAUUUUACAUACAAGUUUCAGCUGUUAGUUGAGAAGGAUGCAUGGGCAUUUACAAUUCAUAAUAUUGAUGCAUUAAAACUUAAAUGAUAUGUUUGUAAUUAGUACCUUCAAUCUUUUUGAUGACUUAACCGUCUCAUGUGUACUUGCUAUCUUCUUCACAAUGUAUUUCCAAUAGCGUUCAUUUCGUGAACUUGUAGGUAUCAAGCUCAACUUCAAAAGAACCUCUUGUACCUGGCUGCGAUUGCUGAUGCCCAACCCCAGCCUCCGCAAAACCCUGCAGGUCGCCCUCAGGUUAGCCGUUAGCUCUGUUCAAAUCAGAAGAAAUCCUCCACUUGCUGCCCUUUGCUCGAGUCACUUAAACCUCCAUUGCUUUGAGUACAGAUGAUGCAGCCUGGUAUAGUGCCUGGUGCGGGGCAUUACAUGUCACAAGUACCAAUGUUCCCUCCAAGAACCCCAUUAACCCCACAGCAGAUGCAGGAGCAGCAGCAACAACAACAGUUUCAGCAGCAGCAGCAGCAAGUGCAGGCUCUUACAUUUCCUGGACAGAUGGUCAUGAGACCAGGCACCAUCAACGGUAUGCAGCAGCAGCAGCCUAUGCAGGCUGACCCUGCCCGGGCAGCAGCGGAGCUGCAGCAGGCAGCACCUAUCCCAGCUGACGGGCGAGGAAGCAAGCAGGACACCGCGGGUGGGGCGAGCUCAGAGCCUUCUGCCAAUGAGAGCCACAAGAGCGCCACCGGAGCAGAUACCGAGGCAGGUGGCGACGUGGCCGAGAAAUCCUAAGUCGAGCAGCCUGGGCAGGGCGAAAAAUAAUGCCUUGUAUACUAGCAACGAAAGAAAAAAAGAGUCUUUGAAUGACAGCUACUAGCCCCUACCAGUUUACUGUGUGGUUUAGAUGAUGUAGAACAAAGUUUAGAUUGGUGAUGAUGUAAACCGUCCAAUAUUGAUACUGCGUUCUUACAUUGCUGUAGUCAAUUAUAUGAAUAAUUUCAUAUAAGCAUGUUGCCCUAGUGGAUUUUACCUAUGUUUUAUGAGCUGAUGUAACCAAAAACACUGAGCAGCUUUUAAUUCAGUAUGGCAAUUCUGCAGAGUUUUCACCAAUCUGAUAAGCUGCUCCACACAAUUAACCCUAAGAAUUAACCCAAGCGGAAGCAUUUCAAUACAUUCACUCAUACAGAUAGACAAACAUUUAUCAAUACAUAGAUGACAUGUUUCCUUAACAAGAAAAUGUCGAUGAGCAACUAAAAACAAAACGAGAUGAAACACAGGACAACUUUUCAUUUCCAGUACACUAUUAAAAUCGGGCCCCUAGCAUCGAUGCCUUUACUUCUUGCCUUCGAUAGGGAGUAUUUCCAAUCCAGCCAUCCAUUCAAGUAAUGCAAGCCAUUUCUGAGAUAAAUAGCCAUUGGUUUCUCUCCUUGUCUCCUUUGGAUAAAAGCCCUACUGCCGUCGCCGCUUUCUCGUAACUUCCUUUGGGAACUUGAGAGGGGCUGGGAGCGUCAUGAAAGUAGACUUAAAAGCACCUUCUGUCACAGAUUUGCAUCCCAACUGGUCAUAGUAUGGUUUAAGAUUUUGGCGGGUCAUUUUAAGGUCCUCACAUAUGUCGCUGGGGUUGGAUCUGAAGUCAUCGGCAAAAAGUGUUAGGACCAAUAUGUAGUUGGUCAGAAGCUCUUUUUUCUCUGUUGGCAUGACACUGGACCCCGGUUCUGUAAACAUGAACAGCAGCCUGCGAUAUACAGCCUGCGGGGUUGCUGGUCCAUGGCUUAUCUGGUUUUCAUUUCUGCCUUUCCAUUUGCGAUUGGACAUGGAGCCAUUCCGCGCCAAUAGAGAUAGGAGAUGUUGGAUGUAGGAAAGUAUCCAAGCAAACCUCUUUUUAUCUUCACCCUAAUGCAAGAGAAAAGUUGUUUCUUUUAGAAAACAUAUGGAAAACAUCCAUGAACACGAUGUAUUAACAAAAUAAAAAAUGGCAUAAGAGCAAGAAUUGUCUGCCAUCAUUUUGGCAGCCAAACUGUCACUUCCAAAAGAGGCGCACACAGAGCAGUGCCAUUCAACUUGUCAACAUUGCAGUAGCAAUGGUGUCUGCUACACUGUUAUCAGCAUGUUAUACAAGUAAAAACGGUCAUGCUAAGGAUCAAUUAUAAACUGUCACAAGUUCAAUAAGAAGAAAAACAAAGGCACUCCAAAUUACCACAAAACUGUCUGCCAUUUAAUGGUGUCUUACGAGUUACCAUUACCACUAAAUUAUGUAGAACCUAAAACUAUAUGACUUCCUAUAGAAGAAAUCUUAAGGAUGCAGAAAAUUGCAACAAAUUACCUGAAGCUCCUUUAACUUGUGCACACGUUUUGAGACAAAACUCCCAUAGCCUUUUGAGGAGAUUUCUCCUGAUUCAAAAUGACGGACAAUUUCCAAAAGAUGCUCCCGCAUACUCUUUGGAAUAAUCUCGUCCAAAAGAUAUGCAUUUUCUGAUGUAUCUGCGGUAGGAUCAUAAGGUGGAAUGUUCCGAACAAGUACAGGUUCCUGCCUAUCAUUGGCGUUGACAUUGGUCUCUGAUAUUCCAAGAUCAAUGUCCUCAUAAGCGGAAGGAUCAUUCCUUUGUUCCUUUAACGAUCUCCACUUAUUGUCCUGCAAAGAAUAUUAGCUUCAACCAAACUUUCUUUUUAACCUUUUGAAAUUGCAAGGAAUGCUGCAAGCGCCUCUGCAGUUCAUGAAAAUAAAUUUAACCAGUAUACAAUGGAAAUUAUCACAAUCAUCUCAAGAUAAAUCUGUGAAUCAGCUUUUAGUUCAAGACAAUGAUAUAUCUACACAAUACUCCCCUGAAUCAUACAGAUUCAAAUAAAAAUCUAAAGGAAGACCUACUAUCUCCAUGACAGUUAAUAAAAAACUCGGUCGGGCAGGGAAAGACCGCCCUCAAACCCCCAUCACUAACGGGCCGAUCAACUGCCCAUUCUGCAACGGCCCAGCCAGAGGGUGGCGUGCAGGAUAUCGACCCCGAGAGCGGGUGGGGCACAGCAAGGGGAUUUUUUUAACCAAGCCCAAAAUUCGUCCCCAAGGGGAAUCAAACCCGAGAUCUAGAGGUGCUACUCGGAAGCUUUAACCAUUACACUAGAGGCCCUUUCGCUCCAUGACAGUUAAUAAUGAGCACUGCUUAACAAAUCUAAUCUAUAACUGUGUCAUGACUCAUGAACAUUACCUUAGAUACACUAUUUCCUAAAAAACAUAAACAAACAGGGGAAAUAAUAGUGGCACUUUCAUUCCUUUUGUUCCAUAUAGUCUUGCAACUGUUAGUUUUAAGCUGACACCACAGUUGCAAUUCUGAUAUAUAUAAUUAAUCAACUGAACGCUAGUAAACCUAGACGCAGACAUACCUUGUCCCUGUCCGUCUUGGCUCCAUACAUCAUUGUCAGAUCCUGAACCUUCAAUUCAUCAUUUCCUGCAGCUGAAGCCGCUUCUGAUGCCACCUCAGAGUGCUGCGAAUGCGCUGGAUGCUGCACUUCAAGAUGUGGCUCUAGCCUCAGAAUCUGUUAGAGUACAAACAUUAAGAAUGAUUUUGAGUGCCGAUAUCCUUAAUGCCUCAUGCCAUUUGCACAAAAAUGUUUCUAAGCCCUUUUAAAAUGUAUGCCACUCUUAUGACUGAAAUGAAAAGGCGUAACAAUAGCUUACAUUCCAAGUGAACAAAAAUAAUUCAAAACAGGAGAUUGAAACUUUGGUGUGGCUGCUAAACCCUAACUACGCAGGUAAUGCCACAACACCAGUAGCGCCCAUCAGGUAAUGCCACAACACCAGCAGCGCCCAUCGACUGCAACUUUGAGGUUGCACAACUAGACAGCAGAGAAUGCUUACAGUAGUUAAAAACCGAGAUUGCUUCUUUAAAAAGAUAAAAAUUCACAUGUAUGUGUGAUAACAACCGUUUCGCUUCAGCUAAAAUCACAACUCAAGUACAACCAUGACAAAGUAAAAUUUCUGACGCACUCAGACGAGAUCCUCACCUUUUUGCCAGCGAUGGGCACGAUCCUGAGAGUGCCGGAGGCCUUGUCAAGGACGCCAAGCGCGUAGUCGCAGACCUGCGGCACGGCGGCCUCACCGGCAUAGCUCCGGCCAACGAAGUCGUGUCCGCCGCCGGGGCUCCGGACCACGAGGUCCACCCAGGUGGGAUGCUUCUCGUGCCGGAAGAGCUGGGUGCCGGGGGCAGACUCCGCCCCGGCAGCGGUAGUGAGUGGGUCGUACCCGGAGGGGAAGUAGCCGACCACGGGGGCGGCCGCGACGUAGGAGGAACCGCCCAUAAGGGAUGCGUCGACGGUGACAUUGGUGGGGGCGUCACUGGCGGCCUUGUGCUUCUUGGAGUGUUUCUUCUUCUUCUUGGUGGAGGCAGAGGCAGGGGCGGGCGUGGCUAGGGUUUCGAGGUCCGCCAUUGGUGACGGCUCAAGGGUUUUGGAAAGUGAACAAACGGGGCUGUCCAUCUUAAGAGAAGAGAACUGCAAGUUUUUGCACGCAGGCCCUCCUUAACUUUUGCACUUACAAUCACCAGAAUUUUUUCCUAUAUUAAUAGGACUAUUCGUGUUUGGAUCUACCCUAAUUAAACUUUAGCCAACUAAUCUGAUCACUGAAGUUUAACAACCUAAAGUUUAGCUGGUGGAUUCAAACAUGACAUUAACAAUUUACAUAAAAAAUAAGGAAUGCAUCAACAGCCAAACUCUAUUCCUUAUUUUUCUAUACAAUUUGGACAAUUUUCUUCCAUUAUUGUUGUUUUGUUCUCCCUCAGUCAUAGAACUUACUAUUAUUCUGAUUCUCCGUCAGUUAUAAAAUUUAUCGUUUAGGACAUGUUGAUUUCAAAUCUUAAAAUUGCAAUAUUAAUUAGUUUAGAAUUAUUUAGUUUAAAACAUGUUAAAGCCCACGCAUAAAAAUGUAUUAGUGGUAAAAAAACACGCAUCAAGGACCUUGCACAAAUAAAUAGCAACAUGAGUAAGCAACUCAAUAAAGAUAAUGUGACAUACUAGAACAAUGACAAGUUUUUUGAUUAGCAGAAAAUAAUGAUACUUAUACUUUUCGUACAUAUAAGCACAUUAGCUGCAGCUAAAAGUCGCAGGCAUACCAAAGAUGACAUGUCCACAGUAUACACAGCUCCGAUUUUCAGUUACCGAAUGCACCUAGGGUCAAUGCAACAUGUUGUGUCUGCGUAUGAACAGCUCGCUUUCGAUUGCAUUAUUAUUGAUUUGUUCUUGUACAAAAUACAUCGGUACCACAAUUACAUCAAGGAUGAAACGAAAAAGGGGGGGCUGCAACAUACUAUCAGAUCCCUCCAUCCAGUAAAUUUUGUACCUUCAGUUACAGGACACACGGAGGUAUGAUUUCCAGUCCUACGACGACAACAACAACAACAACAGGAGACACAAGAAAUAGCUACUACAUCUAUUAUGAUCCUAUAUAUACAAAAUUCCAUCUUGCAGGAACUUAUAUCAGGAGCAGGAGCAUCCACAUGUAGCCAACCAAGUAAUGGCCUGCAGAAAUAGGUGGCCGAUGCACCAAACAUCUUAGACACAGAAGGCCAUGAAGUUAAAAACAAAGGAGCACAAAAGUAGGUCAAAUGAAAUACCCCUUCACCGUGGUUACCUUCUCAUGAUCACUACGGCACAUCAUAAAAUUAGUGCAGUGCUGUUGUGCAGACUCGACUUGUACCUCACAAAUCAACAUCAGGCAAUGGCAUCUUCCAGUAAUUCCAAGCAUUGUAGUCCUCCUGAAUUCGACCAAGAACUUGCCAUCAGGACCAAAAAAUAAAGGCAAUUGCAAUAAAACGUGUAAAGCACACUUGAACUGCUGACAAAUACUAUACGGGAAUGCUGGCCUGCUCAGAUGACGACAAUAUUGGAGGGAACAUCCCGUGGACAAGAGCAUGCAAGGAUGUGUACGACUUUGUAUCGACCCGUCGGUUCACUGCGACUUCACCCUGCAUCGAAGGGAAAUUUUAGCACGAAUUCUCUAGAUGCCAUCUCCAGCGUGACUGUGGUCUCACCGGCUGAACUCCAGCACAAUUGUGCAGAUACAGACGUUCAGAGGAGGGAAACUAGUGGUUUCUGUCUUAAAUCCUUACCUUGGGGUUUAUUAUGAAGAUCUUGCCCAUAGGAAUACCAACCUUGAGGUAGCUAAGCUCGUCUGUGUCUCUAUUUCCAAAUCCAGCAUAAAACGGAUUUGAGUCGUGUGGAAAUAAAUCUUUGAUGGCCUGCAAAGGACAGAGAAACCAUCAAUAGAACAUCAAAGAAGCAAAGAACCCUUCUUUAUUAGGCUGCUAGGGAGUACUCACCUCUAGACACGAAAUCUUGAAUUCAUGCGGAGCUCUUCUGAUGACUACAAACCAAUGUCAUGAAACAUUAGCAUCACUCAAACAUGUAGCUAACAUAAAGUCGUUACCAGAGAUACUCCCUCUGUUUCUUCUUAUAAGGCGUAUUAGGAUUUAUGGAAGUCUUUCAAUACAUAAUUUGACCAUUAAUUUCUUGUACUAGCAACUACUACAAAGCAACAUCUUAAUAAAAGACAAGCAAAUGUACAAAUAUGUCAAUGCAUCUUAUGUACGCUAAAUGUACAUAUGCUUUGACAAAUUGAUGGCCAAAGUUUAGACUUUUUUUUUGGUUUUUUAAACUCUAACAUGCCUUAUAUUUUGAAAAGGAGGGAAUGCUUUUUAUGUCAACAUAAUCGUAUUAUGUGCACUUAUCAUAGACCUGCUAAAAAGAAAUGGGCCUCUUAUCCAACAAUGGUUGAGGGGGUCCAAAACCAAAAAGAGUGGUGCUGUUAUGCUUACCAAACAGAGUUUAUUAGAAGGCUAGCAACACCCAGUUUACUCAUGUGAACCCAAGUCAAUAUUAGAGGUAAUGAAUGCAACAUUUUUCAGUGGAGAUAAGUUAUUUUGUGUCUUCUACUCUUUUUGCUGACUGACAAUUAACUGAAUAGAAAAUAGCAAAAACAUAUCAGGAUGUGCUCACCUUCUCUGUAAAGUGACGGGAAGAGACCAUCUGGAGAUAUAACAACAGGGCCAUCAGGAAGUGCUUUGCCGUCCUGAAAUCGAAAUUUACAUGAGGGGAUAAGAUAGAUGGGCACCGGGCUCUAUUUAUUAGUUUUGCUGUAGCUGGGUCUUUGUGAAUGUGUGUCAUGACCAGGCAUGUGUAAUUAUUACGUGAUUGGGCAUAACACAAUUCAUGGCUGCUUGUAUACUAGGCCAUAAACAGUUUCUGAAGGUAGAAAAUUAACUAGGACUAAGAACUGGAUUUAGAAGUACCUGCUUUAGGUUGAAAAGAAACUGUCUUGUGAUGUGGGCUUGUGAAAUAGCGCGUGCACUCAGAAAUAGAAGCUGGUAUCCAUUUUCCUGUGGAUGCAAGCAACAAGAUAACAAGAACAAACCCAAGUCAGCAAACAUUCACUGAUGGCAUUCUUGAGACUUGAAUGAUGUUCCAAAGUCAAGAAAGCAAGAGUCAAUCAACUGCUAUGGCAUGACUAGAUGUGCAAGUGAAUUAAAAACUGAUUUUUAUUUUGUUACAAGCAUAAGUAUCAUGAAUACCUUUCUAUUGCACAACUAGAUCUGAUAGUGAAAUUGCAAAUUGCUUUAUUUUGUUACUAAGCAUGAAUACCUUUAUUGCAGAAAAUAAAUGAGCAACUCCGUUUUGGGACCAAUCAACUCCAACUAGUGGCAUGAACUGCCCAAGAACAUCAGACCUACAAUUAUAUGACAAAACAUAAACAUUUGUAAGAUUUUAAUAUACAACAUUAGUUGGUGGUAUGAAUCACAUUGCCCUUGCCCAUAUUGUUUAAUGAUAAAACUUAGUUGUAUUUAAUUCAUUAUCUUCCUCUUUUUUUCCUCCUAUUACAAAUAAAUAUUUUUUCAACAAAGAGAAAUUAAGAAUCAUGGGUUAACAGAACAGUAUAACUGUGUAUCAUUUUUUUCUCAAAUACGCAUGGCAGCUGCUUAUCAUUGCAUUAUGAAGAAGAAAUUUGUUAAAACUUAUAAUUACAUACACACCACAACCAAAGAAUAUGUGUAUCAUCUGAAAAGUGGAAUAACCAACACUCCCGACGAUCAAGUGCCCAAACUAUAACAAUUAAACAUUAAAACAUAGGCUUGAUUGCUCCAGUUUUGCAACUUACUUGGUGAUAGUUCCAUCCACAUCAGAUAUUACAAUGCGUGUAUUCCAUCUCCAUAAAUAUAUGUGGCAAUCAACCUGUUAAAGAAAAGAUGGGAGGAUGAAAAAUGCAACUUAGUGAAAUUUGAAAAUAUUAAGUCAAACUAACCUGCUGUUUCCCAACAAUUGCAGUUGAGAACGUAAAUGUUACCACGUUCCUGCCCUCUCUGAGAUCAAGAGAUGCAAGCUCGUCAGAUGUUGGAGUGAGUGAUCGCACCUUCCUCUCAAUCCUCUUUACCCUGGAUUUAUUCCUUUCUCUAUCUAGUUCUUUAAAAUGUGUCAAUUCUUUAGGAGUGGAUACAGAAGUCUCAACAAUACUUUCACAAACUGGCUGGAUAGCAGUAAUAGUCCUUGUUCGUCUGAAACUAAAUGGCCAGAUGCUCCAGCUGCCACCUGGAGCUGCACUUUGCUCAACUCGCUCCACAUUUAUCAUUCCUUUGGGUUCAAAAACUUGUUCCUCACUGAAAGAAAUCAUACCGAGUACUAUAGGUGCAGCAGCAUCCCAGGGAAAGUAGCGGCCAGCAAUCCUAACAACUAGUUUGUUGUUUCGCAUCAGUGAUUGCUUCAUGUUACGGAACUCCUCUAAGGUUACCUUCUCAGAAUCAAAUGCACUGCAAGCAGCAUCCUCCCCCAUGCCUUCAGAUAACAGGUGUCUGCAUAGUGAUAAUUCUGCAAAAAUGGGACAGGUAGAGAUUAUCAUUAUUGUCAAGUUACAUUUCAGUUAAGAUGGUUUGGACAUGUCCAACAAAGACCUCCAGAGGUACCAGUGCGAUAGCGAUGGGAAGAGAGGUGAGGUAAGGCUAAAGUUGACAUGGUAAGAGGAGGUAAAAGGAGACUUGAAAGGAUGAAAUGUACCAAAAAAAUUAACCUUGAAUAUGAAUGCAUGAAAAACAAGUAUCCAUGUAUCUGAACCUUGACUUGUGGUUUCUAUUGUAUUUUAACUCUAGCCGAUCCCAACUUGCUUAGGACUAAAAGGCUUUGUUGUUGUUGUCAAGUUACACUUCAAUAGUAAUGUAACACAUUAUUCAGACAUUGCAGGAAAUCACAAAAACUGGAACAAAGCUAGCAAAACAAUCCACCAAAUUUGUCUUUAUCAAAGUUUCACUAUUCACUUAACACAACUAAAUUAUAGUGAACAAUUUUUUAACAGUAUCAAGCUCGCAAGAUAAAGUUCAUUAUAACCUACUAGUGUUAAAACAACUAUAGAUGUUAGUCCCAGGCAAAAAGAAAAUAACUCACCUGCAAAAGGAAUGAACGCAUCAACUUUCAGAUCAUCAGCAUGGUUGCCAUCAAGUGCUACAGUGUUGGUAACCUCAGGAGGGCUGUUAUUUUCUUCUGAAAAAUCACCAAUAGCUUCUGAUUUCUGCUCAAGAAAAGCAUAAUUCAUGCUCUUGACUAGAUCAAUUCCAUUAUUUUCAGCAGUUGAUUGCAGUGAGCGGCUUAGCUGAAAACUAUAAGACCUUUCAAGAUCAUGUAUAUGAGAACGGAGAUUUGGUAGAGAUUUAGCCUCUCUGUUACUAUUUCCUGACUGGAAGUCAAUUGCAGGAAUAGAAACAGGGCUACUCACAGGCUUUAAUGACGCAGAACAGUUCUCCAAGUCAUUUACAAGACCUACAUCACCUUCUUCCUGUUUCUCUGUGUCACAAUCAGAUUCAUCAUGUUCUACUUCACCUGUUGUUUUGUUAGCCACCAUGUCAUCCGUGGCCUUUCUAUCUGCAAAAUUUUCAGCAUCACUAAAUUGAAACUGAAUUUCUUCUGUAUAUUCAGAUAAUGAUAUAACUGGUUCUGCUUCUUCAUCAAGCUCAGCUGUAGCCUCAGGCACAAAACCAGCUUCAUCUCCAAUCACAGAACUAGAUUUGUUUGUGUCAUCUUCUAGUUUUGUGUUUUGCACUUCAACACUGAUCAAACUGGAAAAUCCAGCAGAAGUUGGUGAGCCUUCUACUUCUAUUUUAUUAGAAAAAACAGCUGGAUGAGCAAUGCAUUUUGUCAGUCCAUCUCCCGCUGAGGUCUGAAUAACAGAAACAACAAGUUCCCCGCUGCAUGCUCCAUUUUCCACAACUGAGUUUUUUGUUACAUCUUCAGGACCAAUGCCAGGCUCAUAACUUGUUGUAUCUUCAACAUUAGGAGAAACAUGCUGACAAGCUAAAUCAGGAGCUGAGUCUGCAUGUGAAAGGGAAACACUGUCUGUAGAUACAUCCAAACCUGGACCACUCUCUUCCAAGAUUUGGGAGGCAGGAUUUUUUAAGAUAAAGGCUUUACUUUCUUGAACAGCUAUAUUAACCAAGUCUUUUUUGUUGCUGGGAACACCAUAGCAUACUAAUGAACUUUCCUCAGAAAUUAGCUUUUCUGUACUCCCAUCAGAGAUACUAGAGUGCUCCUCAUGUUGUACACCGUCAGCCUGUGAGAUAUCAGAAGCAUCAUGAACUGUGUCAUCCAAAAUACAGGACACAGCAUAUGAGCUAUCCACAGUCUCAGAACUGCUGAGAAUGACUACUUUCUCUGGAACUGCAUCUAGUGAGCCCUCCACAGCCUCAGAACUGCUGAGGAUAACUAUUUUCUCUUGAACUGCAUCCUGUGCAGAAGGGAUCAAUGAAACCUCAUGUCUUUCAGAUGAAAUAUCUGUGGUGCCAUAAUUUUGGUAAUUUGUAUCUGUAAAAUUCUGGUUAGCUCGAUCUGGUUCUGGAUCCACAGUAACAAUCUCAGAAUCCACCUCGCUCUUACCACUUGUAAUGUCUGUCUCAACAACAUGGAUUUCAAAAAUGUCAUUGGAAAUAACCUCCUCUGCAUGUGUCUCCCUUUCAGUUACAUCUUCAACAUCAUGCAGCAACUCAUCUUGAGUAUCGACAGACUGCUGCAUAAGUUUAUCUGUUCCCAGAUCAUUUGACGAAGAUUCUGACCCUUGUUGAUGUGUGAUUGAAGUGAUAUUAUCAGUGAAGUCGCUGCUCUCACGCGCGUGUAUCUCAACCACCUCUUUCUUCACAAUAGUGGCUUGUAAACACGGAUCGGUUUCAUCUGCUGAACUGUUUCUUCCUCCACGAGGGCUGCAUGAAUUGCAGUGAGCAUUGUCACAGUUAGAGUCCAUCUCUUUCCCAUGAUCCAAACUAUGUUCCGAAAAUACAGGUUUUGAGGUUUCCAUCUGAUCAUUGUUGCUCUUGGAAGGCUCAUCAUUUGAACCAUUAGGUUUUGAACUACGUGGGAGAUUUGUUGACCACUUGGUAUCUAGGAGUUCUGCAGCGACCUCUGCACGCUCCAAUGAACUCACCCUAUCCACAGCAUGGGCAUUGUUCUUAAUCGAUUUCCGGCCAAACAUCCUUUCAAGUAUGGUUAUCCGCCUCGAGGUUGUCCUCGCAAGAAUCUUGCCCUCACCGACGUCGGCUUCCAUCGUCGAGCUAUCACACGAAGUGCUCUUCGACUUCCUCAGCUGAGCUUCCUGGAUCGGCACCUCUCGCUCAUCUCCCGACGAGGCGGGGGAGACAAUGAACUCCCCUUCCUCACCAUUCGGGUCCGCGUUCCUGAGGAAGUAAGCCUCGCCGUUGCUGUCCAGGUACAUGUGGAACCCUGCGUCGACGCCAUUGACGGAGAUGUCGACAACCUUCUCCCUCGACUUGAGAACCCCCUGGAACUUGCCGAACCGCACGUACCACGGCGAGCUCUUGAAGCUGCCGUCCUGCUGCUGCACAACGACUAUGUCGACCGCGCCGCCGAACGGGUGGAACGGGCCGGAGACGGUGUACACGCUGCGGGAGAUGAGGCUGCCCACCUUCCCCACGGCAUACAUCUUGCACGCCACCAACGAGGCACGGCAAGGGCAUUAGCAGCGGCGUCCACCACGGCUACGAAAUCAAAGCUUUUCACCACCACCACGACCCAGCGCCUCCUCCUCCAUCCACAAGCUACAGGAACCACCAGAAUUCUGAAUUCGCAACAUUAAUUGCAACCUUUAAGUGCUUCCAAUCAGAGGCGGAUAAUUUUAUUUUGUUUGCGAAAUGUUAGAAGUUGGUCGGCGUAAAAUAGCCAAAUAGCUUGAGGUUAAGAGUUUGGAAACUCGGUUUCGCACAGCAGACAGGGAAGAGAUGAGAAGGGUGUGGGCAAUACCUGGUGGCCGCUCUUCGCCGGCGAAGAGAUCGGCGGAGGCCUCGGCACCUGGCGUAGGGCGGUGGCGAGGGUAGCCGAAUUCGGACCCGAUCUAGGAAGAAGGAGGCACGAUCUGGACUGAGGCAAAUCGGCUGUGCGAGCCAGGCGGCAGGAGCUCACCGACGAGAGGAACGCGAGGAGGGAGACGCCGGGGGCAUAUUCCGGGACCGAAGGAUGCCGAGGAAGGGAUUAUUCCACCGGCUCACUUAUUUUACUUCCCUCGAAUAGCCAUUUUUAUCCUUUUUGGAAAAAGAAAAGAAAAUAAAAAGGAGGAAAAGAACAUUAGAGGUCACACGAAACUUUAUCUUGGUAUACAUAUGGAGUUGCAGAUAAACAUGCUUAUUGUGCGAUGUGUACUAAUUUUCUUCCUGUGUAUAACCAAGACCAGGUAAAUGGUAAUCUCAAAUGCUAUCUAGUUUCAUUUGUUUCUAACAAGAUUUGAUGUUAAGGGUGAUUUAAAAAGUGAUAUAUACAUUAUAAAGGUAUAUUUCUAUUUUGUAUACAUUAGCAUCACUUAAUAGCGAUAAUACUCCUGCAGUUUUUGGAUUUAUGCAUGUGCAUGACCUUGAAACCAAAUGAUUUGAGCACAUAUGUAGGAAUAGGUGUCACUACCAAGUCAUUUAAAGUGUUUAUCUAAAUCUUAUCAAGUGGUUUAAUGUUAGAUAAGUAACAUAGGAUCCAAACUAAAGCUAGCCAUUUACACUAGUGUGAAAUGCUAGCCUAGAAUGCACUUAGCUUCUAUAUUUUUAUAGAGAUGUAAUCAAUUAGCAAAGAAAAGGAAAGAUUGAAAUGAUCUUGUUUGGUUUUGGUAAUUAAGUGACAACCUAUGUAGACUAAAACGCCGUGGAGGUGGACAUAGGUUUGACUUGUUAAUUGCUGAACUAAUUUAAGUGUCAAUGGAGGAGCUUAUUUGACUAUUAGUUGCAUAGUUUUAUGUGACUACUAACUAAACAUGUGUAGGCCAGCUCUACCUAGCUCGAUAGCUUAGCAGCUUAACUAGGAUAUUUGAAAGGUGCAUGCAGAUAUAAGCAAAUGGAUAUAGUCUUGGCUAGACCGAUUAGUUUUAUUGUUGUUGUGAGUCAGUGUGUUUAAGUUCUAGAAAUUGUUCAUUUAGGUCAUGUGGUUAUAUAUAGGGCUACUAUAAUAUGAAUUGGAGAAUGUAAAAAAACAGGAGUAUUUAGAUCCUUGGAUUACUGUUGGUUAGAGUGCCAAAUAUAUGUAGUCUCCAAAAAGCAUUGUUUCAUGAAACUCCUCAAAAGGUUAUUUUUUUGAAGCUAAAGGUUAGUUCCAUGAUUUUUUAAGCUUAUCAAAAGGUGCUUAAAAAACAUUGUUUUCAUACCCCUCAUAACGUUUCACGAAAAUUAUGCAUCAUAUCAUUGGUUACACGACUUACCGAUUUACAUUACUCUCCUACACUCAUUACAAUCCACUAAUCGUUAAAGAGUAAUCAAGUAAACUCACACAAAUUAAUAAUAUUAUAGAAGCCGGAGACAACGUGCAGGCCAAAUACUCCCCAAACCCACUUAACAACAUGUUGAAUUUGUUUUACGACGAAGCUGAAAAUCCAAGGUGCAGAUUUUGAAUUGAAGCUCUCUCAAACCAGACCUGUAUAUAUAAUGAAUGGCAUAGUAUCCCUACAAACUUGUUCAUCGCACAUUAACUGACAAUAAUAAUAAUUCAAUGCUAUAUACUCUCGUUGUCCUAAAUUAAAUUUCGUUUUAACAUCUUAAAAGAUUUAUUAUCAUCCCUUUGAAUAUAGAUAUAAAAAAAAUCGAAGGCUAGAGCGACUAAUCGGAAUUGUCUUGACCCUUCUCCUACGUGCCGUACCUGCCUACUAGCAGCAACUAAUGCUCUGACAGAAACGUCAUUCUUGGCGAAGUUCAUCGUGCAGGCACCCCGCACCCAUGCCAUGCCACAACCUUCAACAAGAUAGAAGUUGGCGUGCAACUUCAGUGAAGAAUCCCAGCAGAGCAGACAAAAGAAACAAGCGUGGGAUUUUGGAACGGCGCAGCAUAGCCCAGCACAGCACAGCCCCUCUCUUUGCGUAAAAGAAAAACAGCAAAUAGAUCAUGUUAGUAGCUGGGAGCCGGGAGUGGAUGGCAACCGCUGGUCAAGGAUAUUUUUUAUUCAUGGCAAUCAGUAAAAUGCUCUGAAAACGAAACUGAUGAGCGCCGUCAGAAUCGGGAGUGCUCCUCGUGCAAUCACCGCUCACGACAGCCGCACCACCGUCCCUUCAAUUUUUCCUUCAGAAAAGAAAGAAAGAAAGAAAACACACACGGUUCAUACAGAUAGAGGAAUAGACCAUUACGAUCACCAUAUUUAUAUUGAUUUGUAUAGAGAAUACGUACUACUCCCUCCGUUCUCAAUAUUUGUUGCUCACCUUAAUUUUUAAACUAAAACGCACGCACAAUAUCACAAUCUCGAGCGCCGUACACAUCUCAUCGGACGGAAGCUACCACGGCGAGGCGGCGCGGCAGCAGCACGGACGCGCCUCCCCAUCCCAUCCGACGACGCGGAAGGCGGCGCGAGGUCCCAGCCUUCUUCUACGUCCUUCGGAACACAGACACCGUACAGCGCCUGCCCCAGCACCCCACAACGCAGGCCCGAGCUCUCCACGCCCGGCAUGCUCAACAGCUCCGGCUGCGGCGGACCUUGGCUGCUGCUCUCGUGACACUCCAUGGAGCUCGGUAUGGAAGGAAACUGGCCGGCUGGAUCGGCCGGUGCUUGAAUCAGCCUGCUACGACCGACAGAGCUCGCGGCAUCUCUGUGUGGGUUGGACUUGGAGGUGGAUGCAGGCGCGGGCGCGUCGGUGUGCUCGCUUGUGCCCACGGCGUGUCCGUUGAGUUGUCGUCUGCUCGCGUAGAGCGUCGAGGCUUUCUUUAGGAGCUCCGUCACAGCAGCUCUGUAUUCCUCAGGAUGAUGCUUGUAGUGGCCUGCAUAACGAGAGAGAAGAGAUAAGCAGAAAGCUUAGCGUACAAGUGCGUUAAAAAGAAGAUUGUUUUUAAUCUAGAGAAAAAUUGUGGAUGGGAACGGAUAUCUCAAACUGAUUCAGAUCAUGCUAACAAAUGCUCAGCAAUAAGGGAAAAAAUUUCUAGAACACCAGCAUAAAAGAAAUUAUCUGGUAGGUUACCGACUCAAAUCCUUCUGUUAGAUUAUAUGGCGACUUUCAAUUAAUUAUAUUGAAUUCGAUCAACUUUAGGAUAUUAAAGGGAGUAAGUACCCAUACACUAAUACAAUCGUGGUGAAUGUUCCAAUUUUACUUUUCCAGUUGAGAGCUUUUUGUAACUCUUAAGGCACAAUACUGUUUGAGAAGUCCAGCAUUAUGGGAACAAACUCCAUUAUGCCAUCAUUAUGCAUUCUUCUCCCCUCUCAUUUUCAGGCUGUUGUCAGUUAUUUUAGUGAACUGAGAUAAGUAACCAAUAACCAAGUCUAAUACUUGCAUUUAUUGCCUAGCUAGAGCCUAGAGGUAUGUUGCCUGAGAGAGCUAAUGGGAGAUGUUAAUAUGUUAUUUUUAAAAAAAAAAAUUGCCAAAAACUUCAGCAACAAAGUCGCAAUGAUUAGAAUGGCUAGUACCCUAAUGGAGUAAAGAUCAAAACAGUUCCUGGUCAAAACCACUGCUAGGUAGAUAGACAGAAGACGGAGAACAUACCGACAUGCGGAGAACUAUGCCAUUUAAUUAGGCUCACAUCACCACCAAGCUCUAGCAGAUGCUGGCCAAAAUUUUGAACAACUGAAUAUGUAGCAAGUUGAUCAUCCUCUGAGCAGAGUAUUAGUAUUGGACCAAAAUGCUGCAUGUACAAUGGACUAAGGUUACAGGUGUUCACAAGCACAUUCAUCAACAUUCGGGCUUUUAGUCAAUAGAGAGGCAUACCACCGAUGAGUAUAGUGUUUCCCAAUAAUCUUUACGUUGUUCUUCAAAUUUGUUUAUGAAAAGAACAUCAAGACCUGAGGCAAUGCCCUUAGUCAUCCAUGACAAGACACGAGGAGGUUCAGACAUCUUCAGGACACUUGGAUCGAGGAGGAAGCGAGUGCCCAAGUCACUGACAAAAUCCACAGGGCUUGAAUCAUACAUUUGUCCGCAUAGACAAUCUCGUACGAGCUGGUACUCAUCCUGUAGGAAGCCAAAAGAAAAAGGAAAAAGGCUCUUCAAAAUGAGUGAAUUCAAUCUCAGAUACACAAUUAAAUGAAUGUGAAGAUUCAACUAAAAUUUCUGUGAGCAAUGAGUUCAUAGGAAGAGGAAAGGCAGGAAAAGAGUCAUAUACCAUGCUUAGUUGCCCUUCACAUCUUCUCUCGAUCAGCUGUCGGUCAACAAAUAAACCUUUAAAAACUGAGAUCCACAGACUCUUAAGCUUCAACGAGAGAAAUUAUUUUGGUUACUGGUUAGAGCUUCCCAUCUAUUCACCUGAAGAACCUUGUAUGUGCACCCUUUUGGCCCUCCCGAAAACGACGCAAACACAACAGGUACAGGUGUAAUCUUCAGCACCUGGAUUCCAAAGAGCAGUAUGGCAAACAUGUGAUGAUUUCAACAGACAAUUCCAUGUGUCUACACAUUCGUCCAAGUUGGAAAUCGAACCAAGCAGGUUGAAAUCGCAAUGCAUUGAGGUAAGCAUACCUUGACAAGCUCCCCAAUCACCCUGUCGGCGAGCAUGGCAGCCUUCUCAGGGAAAAACCUGCUCAAGUACGUGUAGCGUGCACGCAAUUAAGGGCUAGUUUGGAAACUACAUUUUCACAUGGGAAAAUGAACUAUUUUCCCUUGAUAAAAUAGGAAUCUCUCGGUAAAAUGUGGUUCCCAAACUAGCCCUAAACAACAAAAGAUCAAUUCAGUUGUACGAGUUAUAGAGUCAUGGACUCAUGGUACCAAAAGAUUAGAAGUUCAUGCAAUUCAUGCCUAACAGGAUACAUGUGCCAUCUCACUUUUCCCAGAACUACCCAACCUAGCUGUAUGGAAAAAAUCGCAUAUUUAUAAGUGGAUCAAUUGGAUUCCGAACGAGGUGGAUCCAAUGCAAUUCAUGCCUAACCAUCAGUUGCGUAUUUCCCUAAUCGCGUGUUUCCGCGGUUUUCGUCGCUGGCAAAGAAUGGAAGAAGGAGACAGACGGCCGUACAGGGUGAGGAAGUCGGAGUGGCAGACGAGGCACGCCCACCCGUGCGCCGCGUACAGCUCCACGUACGCCCGCACGUGCCGCUCCUGGCUGGACAGCCACGCGAACAUCACCACCACGCCGCCGGUGCCGGCUCCGUUCCCUCCGGGCGCCCAGCUUGGGCGCCGGCCGCCGCCCCAGUAGUGCCGCCCCCACAUCCCGUGCCCGCCUCGGCCUCGAAGCCCUUCCGGAAGGCUGCAGGAGCUUCCGGGCCGCCUUGAAUUGGGAGGGAAGGGGGAGAAGAUGGCCGGGUGUGUUGGUGCGCCGGCGCGGGGCCGCGGGCGCGUGGUGUGUGCGUGCUGGGGUAUCUUUUCUGGGGACGUGUAGCGAGCAGGCGAGGUGAGAGGGCCGUAGGCGCUAGUGCUAAACUGCUAAUAAUGCUAAUCGACGAGUCAGCGCUAAUGCUCGGAAUAUGGGCCGGGCUUUUUGGCCAGCACGAGAACGAUCCGAAAAUAAGAGACCAAAGCACGGUCCGACAUGAAAAAAUAUGGGUCGAGCUAGCACGACACGAAGACGGGUUUGGACCGGGCCUCAAAUUCCAGCUCGUCGAGCCCCAGCACGACCCACACAGAUGGUCGGGCUUGGGCAGACACGGCCCAAUGAAGCCCAUGUUAUUUAAUUUAUUAAGUUAUAGACUUUAUAUUGUUGUGAUAUUUGGACUUUAUGUGGUCAAAUAAUGCUAACAUUGUUUAAUAUCUUUAAUUUAGUAAGCAAUGGACUUUACAUGUUUAUAACAUUUUAAUUUAUGUGAUCAAAUAUAUGAACCGGGUUUGGGCCGGCACGACAUAAUUUAGGGCCGAGUUAGACCAUUGUUUUUAUACUUCGGGCUGGCACGACAUGACCCAAAAAUAUUUUGGGUUUCUUAACCUGAACCCGUUUGGCACGAAACACGGUGGGCUCGGUCCGACCCGGCUCAAUUCCCAGCACUAGUCAGCACCAUGUUAUGUGCUAUGGACUUACUUGGUAGGACCCUAGCUCUGGUGAGCACAAUUAGAGAUGACCAUAUAGACUUUGAAGGAAUAAUGGAAACUAAGAAAUAGAUUUUUUUAGGCUUAUUUUGGUUCCUUAUGGGCAAUGUUUAUUUUGUUUGGGAAUAUUUAAAAGAUAAAGGCUCUGCUAGGGGUAUGCUAGUAGAGCCUAACUCUCAUGUUUUUUUCUUUUUAUGGGCACACGUGAGAUGUGAAUUUUUAGAGUUCUAUAUGAGUGUCAUACUUAUAUUAAUAAGAUGUCUGAAUUCUCUUUUAGGUUGAUUACUGUGUAUGGGUCAGUAUGAUAGUGGUAUACAAGAUUUUCUAGAUGAGUUUAAAAAAUGAGGGCUUCAGAGACCCAUUUUAAUAGAUGUGAAUUUUAACGUGGUAAGAUAUGUUAAGAUAAGAGUAAUGGUAUAAUAAACUAUUGGUGGGUAGACAUGUUCAAUGGUUGGGUUGAUAAGUGGGCACUCAUUGAGUUGAAUCCAGAUAAUUAUGAUAGGUUUAUCAUGGCAGGAUUGACAUGCAUGCUUAUUUCAACUGCUUGAGAAGUUGUUUUCCCUCUGGCUAGAGUGAAGGCACUAGAAUGACCAUUAUCCCUUAGUGGUAGAAUCUAGUGAUAACCUAUUCCUCACGAGGAGCAUCAGACAUGUUCGAUGUUCUUUUUUAGCGCAACCCACUUUUGUAAUUUGGGCAUAAUUCUUAGCUUUGAACUCUGAUUUGAUGAUAUUACGCUUUCUGAAAACCUAAAUGUCGGGGAUAAGAUCCCCGGUCUUUAUGGUCCACUGGUCAACGAGGGCGCCAGGAUGAGGCCUUUGACAACUAGGGCCCAUCGGUAAGCUGGGGGAGAAAGGAAACGUCUGCCCUAGGAGCAUCUACCCCCAAAUGAGCCCCAUGCCACCGAGGGCGGGGUCGGGUGUGGCAGAACUAGACAGAGGGCGGGUGAACCGAAGGAAGACCACCGAGUGGAUCCCUCACCUAGCUCGAGACCGACCCGUCAUAAGUGAACGAUCGCAUUAACUAUGCUUGUCGUCGAGCCACGAUGUAGGCGCUGAUCCACCUCCCACUCAUGGCCUACGAGUCGCUCGAACUGCAGCGCACUCAUAACCUACGAACCCCUCGUACUGCGGCACAUUUAUGGCCCACACGCUCCCUGUCUUUUCGACGUACUCAUGACUUAUCGGGACUAGGCCUGAGUGCGCAGAUCGCUUGUCGGGCACAACGAGACAAUUCGCGCCGAGCCCUAGGCUACGGAGGUCAGGGGUCGGCACAGCUCAAAUGAUGGCGCUUGGGCCCCACGCUGCUCGCGACGUCCGCUAUAAAGAAUACGAGACAACCAGGCGACCCCGGGGCCCACAGGCGCGCAUGUUUUCAUCCCGUGGUAGAACGCUCAAUUUUACAAUCACUCGGUGAGUACUUGAGGAAGCCACCGUUGGGUGGCCCCCUCCCUGACCUAUAAAAAGAGAAAGUCGGUCCCUAGAUGGGAAAGGAGGCCCGAAUGGACACUGUUGGUCACUUGUUCUCAAAAUGCUAUAAAUCAAGAACAAGGCAACACAAGUGUAGAUGGUUAAAGACCUUCGUCCUUCGAAACAUUAUCUCCCUUAGGAUAUAAUGAUCUUCGGACGAAGGAUAUGUGUAACACCCGGCUUUAAGGGACAAAGCCGGGUGCAUCUCAUACAUGCGCCAAAGAAGACAACAUAUAUAAUAACAGAGUGUAUAGAGAUAAAUGUCACAAUAAUCAGAGUACUUAUUACAUAGCGGAAGUCUUACAAAAUAAAAGAAAACAAUAAGUAUAAAAUGAACUAAGGAUCGUCGGCGCCAAUAUCGACUGAGAAACGCCACCUAGAUCAGAUCAUACUCCUUGCCUUGUGGCUCCUCCUGAACCACCUGUUCUUCUCCUGUGGGGGGGUGUGAGACAGCAAGAGUGAGCUCACAUACGUUCAUCGCUCAACAAGUUGUGGGGAAUAAUGUGGCAUGAACUCACCAAAGGUGGGAGUUCAUGUAGUGUAAGGCUGAUCAAUGAAAUAAAGGCUGAGGCUGAGCAUUGCUUUUAUAAGUUGGUCAAAAUUUUAUUAGCAAUUACUAGGUGUAAGUAAAUACCAAACCUUAAUAAUAAUAAAGAACAGUAAUAGUAAAAUAAUCCCAAAUGCGAUGCAAAUGUCAAAUUAAAUUUAAGUUUCAUAUUUAAUCAUGUGAGGGUCCGAGCCGCUCUUGACCGUGAGCACGGCUAGUAUACUAGUUUUACACUCUGCAGAGGUUGCGCAUCUUUACCCACAAGUCGUGUAUCCCAUGUCGCCUGGGUUUGCAAGGCCCUUAGACACUACCGAGGUGAAUGGCUAGGGAUCCACUACGAGGCCUUUACAAAGUUCCACUAGCUUCCGAAAACCCGCUACAGUUUAUAGGAAGAUCCAGUACAGGGUUCCUGGCUGACAGCCAUCGCAGCAAAAUCAACCAGGGACCUCCCCGCACUGACCUCUCCCCUACUGCCCUUGCCCCUUUCGGGUAAGGUAGUCUUCCACUAGCUUUCCUAAUUAGUCAGCCAAGGGCGUCCCAUUAUACCCUUGUGGUAGCACUGUUUUCCCGGGUGGUCGCUCCAUGUUCCCAUUAAUUUAAUGAUCUUAACAUGAACAAUAAUAAUAACAAGUUAAUAACAGCAUAAUCAUGAAUAGUGUAUCUCCAUACCCAAUCCACAUAAAGCAAUAGCAAGUACUACCCAAAAAUAUUUCAGGGGUGAACAAGGUAUAGAGGUAAUCAAAACUGGGGUAACAUAAAGGCUCCCAUCAAAAUUAUCCUAUGCAGAUCAUUAAAAUUAAUAAGAACAUGGCUGGGAAAGUAAGUGAUCAAGGGCACAACUUGCCUUCAAUGAGCUCCUGCUCAGCUACUUCUACUUGUUGAACCUCAGUUUCCACAGUGGCUUGCUCGUCUACUCGCAUCAACACAAUACAUACAUAGUAUAGCCAAAAUCAACAUCACACCAAGCAUGUAAAUAAAAUAUGCAGUAAAAAUCUAUACAUUAAAAUGAGACCAUAGGAACUGGAAUCAUUAAAUUUGGAAUUAUAGAUUUCAAGUUAUGAAUUUCCUAAGAUUUAAUGUGCCUGAAAUAGGGUUAAAUGAUAAAUAAAUUUUCUAACAGAGUUCAUGUCAAAACAGAGACACUAAAUGGUAGAGAAUAUUAUUACAAAAUUUUAGAAAUUGGAAUGGUUCAAUUUGGACUAAAAAUGGAUUUUCUAUGAUUUAUACAAGUUCUAGAUUUGUUUUUGUAUUAAAAAUCUAUUUUUCAAUUACCUUUCUCUGAUUUUAUAAUACUCAGGACUACGCGUCAUUUACUAAGAAACACAGGGGCUAAUUUGAAUAAUUCACCGGACUCAGUGAAUAGCGCCCCCAGGACGGCGGGUUUAUAUCCUAAAACUACAGGGUUUCUUUAGUAAAGUUGACCCGCGAAGGGGUAUCGCGCGUCCAUAACCGUCAGAUCUAACUCAACGCACCAGAUUAGAUCUUACGCGCAGUGAACCGGUACGCCAUCUAAACCGUUAGAUCCAGAUCUAACGGCCACGAGUUCAAAACUACGCGAUCCCAUUACGAACGUCCAUCCACAAUCGGACGGCACAGACAACGCUCAACCAGCGAUAUAAUCGGGACCGUUGAUCCAUUGAUCAACCGUCCACAUCCCAUCGUCCUCCUCCGACCAAAUCCCCCCCAAAUGCCCGACGGCGGCGAGGAUCACCACCGGCGGUCCAAAUCUCCGGUUCGGGGGCACCAAACAUAAAUUAACUUUUGCUACACGUUGCGGGUAUGAAAGCGGGUUUGGGCGAGGGUUUCUUACCGGGAAUUGCUGGCACAAGCGAGUUGUCCACGGUGAGCUGCGGGCGGAGGUGGAAGCGCAGCGACGGCGAGCAAUCGCCGAUGAAGCAGUCAAUCAAUUGUUGCGCUUGGUGCUCGGUGAGUAUCGGCGGUGUCCCCCGAAGGCCCUAGACCCCUACCCGGAGCUCGGGUGGCGUGUAUGGCUCAAGUUAGCGACGGUGGAACACAGGGCUCCGCGGCGGAUGGUGGCGGCGAGUGGUGUUCGGCGUAUGCAACGACACAGGAAGGUUUAGGGGAAAGGGAAGGGAGAGCGCAACCGUUAUAUGGUCCGUGGAGGUGCCCGGCUAGCAACGGCGUCAACGGAAAAAGGGGAGAGGGGCUCGCCGGUGAACUCGCGUUUUCUGUUGAGGGGGAAGAGCGAGCGCUGCCAGGGCGGUCCCACGCAUCAGUGAGAUGCAGAGGAAGCGUGCGGUGAUAGCGACUGACGUGUGGGGUCGAGCUGUCGGCACUUCCCCCCCGAUUGAUGGGCCGCGCGGGAUAUUCCCCCGGUGGGCCGAAUUCGGGUACCAGGCCCGAUUAGCUGGGUUUUGGUUUAUUCUUUUCUUUUUUUUUCUUUUCUCCAUUUUCAAAUCCAAUUGAAUUCAAGUUUGAAUUCAAACUUGAUGGCUCAUCAUUUACACUGUAUUUGUAUAGUUAACAGUAAUAAGUUUAAGGAUAUCUAUGUUUUUAUAUUUUUAUAUCAUUUCUCUUUUUCUUGUUUUCCAAACCCUAGAGUUUAAUUUAGGGAUUUAAUUUCCCAUUGGUGUAUUAACAUAAUUAUUAUUUUUGUUUACCAUAUUUUUACAUCAUCACAAAAUGCACACAAAGUAAGAUCCAACAUGAUGCACAGGUUAUUUAGGUGUUCUUGGUUCUAAUUACCCACUUUUAACUAGUGUUGAUCACAUGCAAUGAAUAGUAGAGGCCACAAACUAAUGAGUUUAUCUCUAUCCACUUUUAUUACACUUUUGAGUAUUACAAAUCCUACCCCCCUUAAAAAUAAUCUCGUCCUCGAGAUUUAAGAAGAUCUAGGGAAAAGAUGGGGGAAGUCUAUACGAAGCUCUUCUUCUCUUUCCCAAGUUGCUUCAUCUUCACCGUGGUGGCUCCAUUGCACUUUGCACAUCUUUAUAACCUUAUUCCUCGUAACUCGAGUCAAUGUAUCCAAAAUCUUGAUGGGGUACUCAGCAUACGUCAGGUCAUCUUGAACAUUAAGGUCUUCCGUUGGUAAUUGCUCCUCAGGUACCCUAAGACAUUUCUUCAGCUGAGAUACAUGAAAUACAUCAUGAACAUCCGCAAGAUGAUCCGGUAACUCCAAUUGAUAUGCAACUUCUCCCACUCGCUUUAAGAUUAAGAAGGGUCCAAUAAAGCGAGGGGACAAUUUUCCUUUGACUUUAAACCUUCUCAUGCCCCGGAGCGGUGACACCUUCAAAUAGACAUAAUCACCCUCCUUAAACUCAAGUAAUCUCCUCCGGGUGUCAGCAUAACUUUUCUGCCUGGAUUGUGCAGUUCUCAAAUUCUCCCUUAUUUGCUGAACUUGUUCCUCUGCUUCUUGUAUAAUCUCAGGUCCAAACAACUGCCUUUCACCAGUUUGAUUCCAAUACAAGGGAGUCCUGCACUUUCUGCCAUACAAAGCCUCAAACGGUGACAUCUUCAAACUGACCUGAUAGCUAUUAUUAUAUGAGAACUCAGCAUAUGGUAGACUCUUAUCCCAACUACCACCAUGCUUAAGAGCACAUGCUCUUAACAUAUCUUCCAGUACUUGGUUAGUCCUCUCAGUCUGCCCAUCAGUCUGUGGAUGGUAAGCCGAACUAAAAUUCAAUCUCGUAUCCAAUGACUCGUGCAACUUCUUCCAAUAUCGAGAGGUAAACUGUGGUCCCCGGUCUGACACAAUCUUCUUUGGCACACCAUGUAGACAUACAAUCCGUGACAUGUACAACUCUGCCAACUUGGCCCCAGAAUAUGUGGUCUUCACUGGAAUAAAGUGGGCUACUUUAGUUAGCCUGUCCACGAUCACCCAUAUAGAAUCAUAACCAGCAGACGUGCGGGGUAAUCCAACAAUGAAGUCCAUGCCAAUCUCUUCCCAUUUCCACUCAGGUAUCUUCAGUGGGUGCAAUAAUCCGGCUGGCCUCUGGUGUUCAGCUUUAACUCUUUGGCAUACAUCGCACAUAGCCACAUGUGCAGCCACAUCUCUCUUUAGUCCAUACCACCAAUACUUUUGCUUUAAAUCCUGAUACAUCUUAGUGCUCCCAGGGUGGAUAGAAUAAACUGAAUCAUGUGCCUCCUUCAAUAUGGUUUCCCGAAGACUAUCGAUAUCGGGAACACAGAUCCGAUUCUUGAACCAUAUCGUGCCUUGCUCAUCCUCGGUGAACUCCGGGCCUCUACCCUCUGUUAUCAGAUCCUUGAUCUCCUGGAUUUUGGCAUCACCAACCUGACCUUUACGAAUUUCUUGCUCCAAGGUAGGUUCCAAUUCAAUAGUAACUCCUUCCGUAUGUGUAACAAUUCCCAGGUUGAGCCUCUCAAAAUCCUUUGCUAAUUCAUCAGGUAGCUGGACAACGAAAGCGGAGUGAACAUGCUCCUUCCGACUCAAGGCAUCUGCAACCAAAUUUGCCUUGCCUGGGUGAUAGUGAAUCUCCAAAUCAUAAUCCUUAAUGAGCUCCAACCAACGGCGUUGCCUAAGAUUGAGAUCCUUCUGAGUGAAUAUGUACUUCAAACUCUUAUGGUCCGUGUAUACUUGGCACUUAGUUCCCAUAAUGUAGUGUCUCCAAAUCUUAAGUGCAUGCACAACGGCAGCCAACUCUAAGUCAUGGGUGGGGUAGUUCAAUUCAUGCUUCCGCAACUGACGAGAUGCAUAGGCAAUCACAUGACCAUCUUGCAUAAGCACACAUCCAAGUCCUUGGCCACAUGCAUCACAGUAAAUAUCAAAUCCCUUCUGCAGAUCUGGCAUAAUCAAUACUGGAGGUGACAUCAAUCUCUCCUUCAAUUGAUCAAAACUCUCUUGGCAUUUCUCAUCCCACUUGAAUUCUUUCCCUUUCUCCAAAAGCGAUGUCAUGGGCUUAGCAAUCUUAGAAAAUCCUUCAAUAAAUCUCCGAUAAUAUCCUGCGAGUCCCAAGAAACUCCGAAUCUCAGUAACUGUAGUGGGCACUCUCCACUCCAUUAUCUCCUUCACUUUAGCAGGAUCCACUGCUAUUCCUCCAUUAGAAAUAAUAUGACCAAGGAAUGGCACCUUGUCAAUCCAAAACUCGCACUUGCUGAACUUAGCAUAGAGUUGAUUAUCUCGUAACUUCUGUAGCACCAAUCUCAGGUGUUCCUCAUGAUCACUUUCAUUCCUAGAAUAGAUAAGAAUAUCGUCGAUGAAUACCACGACGAAACUGUCCAAAUACUCCAUAAACACCUUAUUCAUCAAAUUCAUGAAGUAAGCUGGUGCAUUGGUUAGUCCAAAUGACAUAACAGUAAACUCAUAUAAUCCAUAUCGAGUCGAGAAAGCCGUCUUGGGAAUAUCCGAUGGUCUAAUCCUCAUCUGAUGGUAACCCGAUCGGAGAUCAAUCUUCGAAAAUACUCUUGCACCUCUCAUCUGAUCAAAUAAAUCCUCAAUACGGGGCAAUGGAUACUUGUUCUUCACUGUAACAUCAUUAAGAGAUCUAUAAUCCACACACAUCCGUUGCGAUCCAUCCUUCUUCUGUACAAACAAGACCGGUGCUCCCCAAGGUGAGGAACUCGGACGAAUGUACCCGACCUCUUGUAACUCAGUUAACUGCUUCUUAAGUUCCUUCAACUCCUCUACGGACAUCCUAUAUGGCCGUUUAGAAAUAGGGGCGGUUCCAGGUAAGAGGUCAAUAACAAACUCAACUUCUCUCUCAGGUGGCAUCCCUGGUAACUCCUCUGGAAAGACAUCCGGAAAAUCUCUAACCACCCGGAUAUUGUCACCAACAAACUCCUCAGGCAUAAAGAACAUUGCACGCAUAGAUGAGGAGGUUACUGCAACAUUAACUUGAAACCUUUCUCCUUUAGUAGUAGUGAGUUCUACGGUACCUCUACCACAUGCUAUAACGGCCUUUGCCUUUCUUAGCCACGACAUACCAAGGAUCAGAUCUAUACUGCUUGACUCUAAUAUUAUAGCAGUAGCUCCAAAAUCUCUACCCAUAAUGGUUAAUGUCAAUCUACGUGUCAUUUGAUUCGCCUCAACAGGCCCUUUAGGUGUAAUUACUAUCAGGGGUUUCCUCAUAUUUAGCAGUGGUAUUUCAUUUGUGUUGGCAUAUCGAGCAGACAUGAAUGAAUGUGUAGCACCAGAAUCAAAUAAUAUGGUUGCAGGAAUUGCAUUAACAUAAAACAUACCAAUUACGAGGUCCCCACCAUCAGGAGUAUCAUCAACGCUGACUUGAUUCACCCUGGCUAUAGAAUAUCCCUUGCUAGGAGUCUGUUGCUUGUUCUGAGCUGGAGUAGUAGCAAUCCUCUGUGGGCAGACAUUUGCAUAAUGACCAAUCUUCCCACACUUGAAACAUUGAGUGCCCGGACUCUGUCCUGCAAACUUUGUCGGGGUGCCCGUGGGAGUAGCCUGUCGAGGAGGUGGAGUCCUCAGUGGUGAUUGCUGAACUGGGCGUGGUCCUCCGGGUCGAGUCGGUGUACCCUGUGGUGAACUGUAGCGAGGACGAACACUGCUGCUACCCUGUCCCUGUGAGAUAGCCUUCCUCUUCAAAUCACCCAGUUGAACACGCUUGUGUUCAAUAGCAAGAGCCUUAUCAAGUAGCCUCUGAAAUGAUGGAAAGGUGUGUGCAACCAGUGCAUACUGCAAGGGUCCAUUAAGCCCUUCAAUGAAGUGCUCCUGUUUCCUCUCAUCCUCAGCAACUUCCUCCGGAGCAUAUCUCGACAACUGAAUGAAUUUGUCUCUGUACUCGCUGACCGACAUGUUGCCUUGCUUCAAUGACAGAAACUCCUUCUUCUUGAUCUUUAUCAUACCAGCUGGAAUAUGGUAGUUCCUGAAUUGUGUGCUGAACUCUGCCCAAGUAAUAUUAUCAGCAGCAUCAUGUGCAGCAGUAUAAGAAAUCCCACCAGUCAGCAGCAGGACCCGUCAGACGUCCAGAAGCAUAUAAAACCUUCUCCCGGUCAGUGCAUUGUGCAAUAUUCAGCAUCUUCUCAAUUGACUUCAGCCAAUCAUCCGCGUCCAGUGGAUCAGGUGAGCUAGCGAAUGUAGGUGGCUUAUGACUCAUAAACUCCCGGUGCUUAUCACGAGGUGGAACCGGUGGUGGUGGUGGAGGCAGUGGCACUUGUUGCUGUUGUUGCUGCUGUUGCAUUUGUUGCUGCAGUUGCUGUUGUUGCGCCCUCCUUUCUUGGCGUAUCUCAUCUCUCUCCUGGCGCAACUCUUGGCGUUCUUGCUGCAUCUGGGCACGCAUAUCAGCCAUAGUGUCCGCCAUUUGCUGCAUCACCGCCAUCUGAGCAGCAACCAGUGGGUCAACUCCGCCUGGUGGAGGAUUAGGAGGAUUCAUCUCUGCAGGCUGCGGCUGAGGUUGUCUAUAAAUUCUUCGAGUGUGUCGGUUAGGAGGCUAAUCAAUUCCACCACCCCUCCUGGUAUUGACCAUCUGAGUUAGAUACAUAUGGUAAGAAAGAGCAGUAGACAAGGCAGUAAUUACAAUCGUGUUACUUUGGGGGAUUUAUUAGCUAAGCAGAUUAAUAUUUCACCUACUAUAGCUAAUUCAUUAUCUUAUGGUGGUACAUGCUAAGAUGCCCAUCUAUACUAUUUCAAUCAAUCAAAGAAGCAAAUCAGGCAUUGAUCAUCAGAACAAUCAAACAACAUUUUUUUUAAAUAUAGAAAAUAGUUUUGAUCUUGUCUUAGGUUCCCUAACUCUUAAGAAUGUCAUAGGGGUAGGGAUUCCAAGGUGUGAAAUCCGUCUUGUCUUGGAGUAGAAAAGGUAAGAAUGAUCAGAGUGGAACAGUAGAAGGUGAGAUAGGAUCAAGAUAAGAUAAGAAAGAACCAGAGUAAGGUAAGUAUAGAAUGAAUCAGAAUAAGAUAAGUAAGUAAGGGUUUGUCCAUUCUAUCUAGGUUUCGUCCUACAGUCAACAUUUCCUCUGAUACCACUUCUGUAACACCCGGCUUUAAGGGACAAAGCCGGGUGCAUCUCAUACAUGCGCCAAAGAAGACAACAUAUAUAAUAACAGAGUGUAUAGAGAUAAAUGUCACAAUAAUCAGAGUACUUAUUACAUAGCGGAAGUCUUACAAAAUAAAAGAAAACAAUAAGUAUAAAAUGAACUAAGGAUCGUCGGCGCCAAUAUCGACUGAGAAACGCCACCUAGAUCAGAUCAUACUCCUUGCCUUGUGGCUCCUCCUGAACCACCUGUUCUUCUCCUGUGGGGGGGUGUGAGACAGCAAGAGUGAGCUCACAUACGUUCAUCGCUCAACAAGUUGUGGGGAAUAAUGUGGCAUGAACUCACCAAAGGUGGGAGUUCAUGUAGUGUAAGGCUGAUCAAUGAAAUAAAGGCUGAGGUUGAGCAUUGCUUUUAUAAGUUGGUCAAAAUUUUAUUAGCAAUUACUAGGUGUAAGUAAAUACCAAACCUUAAUAAUAAUAAAGAACAGUAAUAGUAAAAUAAUCCCAAAUGCGAUGCAAAUGUCAAAUUAAAUUUAAGUUUCAUAUUUAAUCAUGUGAGGGUCCGAGCCGCUCUUGACCGUGAGCACGGCUAGUAUACUAGUUUUACACUCUGCAGAGGUUGCGCAUCUUUACCCACAAGUCGUGUAUCCCAUGUCGCCUGGGUUUGCAAGGCCCUUAGACACUACCGAGGUGAAUGGCUAGGGAUCCACUACGAGGCCUUUACAAAGUUCCACUAGCUUCCGAAAACCCGCUACAGUUUAUAGGAAGAUCCAGUACAGGGUUCCUGGCUGACAGCCAUCGCAGCAAAAUCAACCAGGGACCUCCCCGCACUGACCUCUCCCCUACUGCCCUUGCCCCUUUCGGGUAAGGUAGUCUUCCACUAGCUUUCCUAAUUAGUCAGCCAAGGGCGUCCCAUUAUACCCUUGUGGUAGCACUGUUUUCCCGGGUGGUCGCUCCAUGUUCCCAUUAAUUUAAUGAUCUUAACAUGAACAAUAAUAAUAACAAGUUAAUAACAGCAUAAUCAUGAAUAGUGUAUCUCCAUACCCAAUCCACAUAAAGCAAUAGCAAGUACUACCCAAAAAUAUUUCAGGGGUGAACAAGGUAUAGAGGUAAUCAAAACUGGGGUAACAUAAAGGCUCCCAUCAAAAUUAUCCUAUGCAGAUCAUUAAAAUUAAUAAGAACAUGGCUGGGAAAGUAAGUGAUCAAGGGCACAACUUGCCUUCAAUGAGCUCCUGCUCAGCUACUUCUACUUGUUGAACCUCAGUUUCCACAGUGGCUUGCUCGUCUACUCGCAUCAACACAAUACAUACAUAGUAUAGCCAAAAUCAACAUCACACCAAGCAUGUAAAUAAAAUAUGCAGUAAAAAUCUAUACAUUAAAAUGAGACCAUAGGAACUGGAAUCAUUAAAUUUGGAAUUAUAGAUUUCAAGUUAUGAAUUUCCUAAGAUUUAAUGUGCCUGAAAUAGGGUUAAAUGAUAAAUAAAUUUUCUAACAGAGUUCAUGUCAAAACAGAGACACUAAAUGGUAGAGAAUAUUAUUACAAAAUUUUAGAAAUUGGAAUGGUUCAAUUUGGACUAAAAAUGGAUUUUCUAUGAUUUAUACAAGUUCUAGAUUUGUUUUUGUAUUAAAAAUCUAUUUUUCAAUUACCUUUCUCUGAUUUUAUAAUACUCAGGACUACACGUCAUUUACUAAGAAACACAGGGGCUAAUUUGAAUAAUUCACCAGACUCAGUGAAUAGCGCCCCCAGGACGGCGGGUUUAUAUCCUAAAACUACAGGGUUUCUUUAGUAAAGUUGACCCGCGAAGGGGUAUCGCGCGUCCAUAACCGUCAGAUCUAACUCAACGCACCAGAUUAGAUCUUACGCGCAGUGAACCGGUACGCCAUCUAAACCGUUAGAUCCAGAUCUAACGGCCACGAGUUCAAAACUACGCGAUCCCAUUACGAACGUCCAUCCACAAUCGGACGGCACAGACAACGCUCAACCAGCGAUAUAAUCGGGACCGUUGAUCCAUUGAUCAACCGUCCACAUCCCAUCGUCCUCCUCCGACCAAAUCCCCCCCAAAUGCCCGACGGCGGCGAGGAUCACCACCGGCGGUCCAAAUCUCCGGUUCGGGGGCACCAAACAUAAAUUAACUUUUGCUACACGUUGCGGGUAUGAAAGCGGGUUUGGGCGAGGGUUUCUUACCGGGAAUUGCUGGCACAAGCGAGUUGUCCACGGUGAGCUGCGGGCGGAGGUGGAAGCGCAGCGACGGCGAGCAAUCGCCGAUGAAGCAGUCAAUCAAUUGUUGCGCUUGGUGCUCGGUGAGUAUCGGCGGUGUCCCCCGAAGGCCCUAGACCCCUACCCGGAGCUCGGGUGGCGUGUAUGGCUCAAGUUAGCGACGGUGGAACACAGGGCUCCGCGGCGGAUGGUGGCGGCGAGUGGUGUUCGGCGUAUGCAACGACACAGGAAGGUUUAGGGGAAAGGGAAGGGAGAGCGCAACCGUUAUAUGGUCCGUGGAGGUGCCCGGCUAGCAACGGCGUCAACGGAAAAAGGGGAGAGGGGCUCGCCGGUGAACUCGCGUUUUCUGUUGAGGGGGAAGAGCGAGCGCUGCCAGGGCGGUCCCACGCAUCAGUGAGAUGCAGAGGAAGCGUGCGGUGAUAGCGACUGACGUGUGGGGUCGAGCUGUCGGCACUUCCCCCCCCGAUUGAUGGGCCGCGCGGGAUAUUCCCCCGGUGGGCCGAAUUCGGGUACCAGGCCCGAUUAGCUGGGUUUUGGUUUAUUCUUUUCUUUUUUUUUUCUUUUCUCCAUUUUCAAAUCCAAUUGAAUUCAAGUUUGAAUUCAAACUUGAUGGCUCAUCAUUUACACUGUAUUUGUAUAGUUAACAGUAAUAAGUUUAAGGAUAUCUAUGUUUUUAUAUUUUUAUAUCAUUUCUCUUUUUCUUGUUUUCCAAACCCUAGAGUUUAAUUUAGGGAUUUAAUUUCCCAUUGGUGUAUUAACAUAAUUAUUAUUUUUGUUUACCAUAUUUUUACAUCAUCACAAAAUGCACACAAAGUAAGAUCCAACAUGAUGCACAGGUUAUUUAGGUGUUCUUGGUUCUAAUUACCCACUUUUAACUAGUGUUGAUCACAUGCAAUGAAUAGUAGAGGCCACAAACUAAUGAGUUUAUCUCUAUCCACUUUUAUUACACUUUUGAGUAUUACAAUAUGAAGGACGUACCUUCUUCAUUUCGAUAAGGAAGGAUAUAAACUAAAACAUAUGAAACAUGAAGGGAAUAUAAAUAAUUAUUUUGGAUCAUUAGAUUAUUCAUAUUCUUAUUAUAUAAACAUAAACAAACAUUAACGAUGUUUAAGUUACAUUUGUACCUUCGGCUUGACAGAAGGUGAACAAGCGGGAGUGACACGUGAGUGAUUACCGGUCAACGUGAACAGUACGUGGUACUGUUCAUCUAUUUAUAGGCACGGGACGCAGCUCGGACAAAAUUACAUUCAUGCCCUUGAUAACUAAUUAUAUUCAUAAUACAAACUAUCAGAGACUAUGUGGUCUUUUCCUCUUUAAGUCGGUGCCAUCCUUUGUCUUAGGCAUGCCAUCAUGCCGAAACUCUUUCAAUUAUAGCUUCGACAUAUAUCUUCAUGUCGUAUCUGUUUGCAUAUCGUCCUGCCGAAUGUGUUUUUGCUUAGAGGACCUUCAGUGGAGAAGAAGACCCCAACAGACACCUAGACGCGAAGACGACGGAUCGACGAAGGAAGAAGGACGCACCGACGAGGACCCAGAGUCCCGCUAAACCAAGACUUAGUUAAGACUCUACCCUGUAGCCCUUAGCGCCACCUCCUCCAUAACAAGAGACUUGUGAGCCUCUCCUCUAUCUCGCUCGCCCUCUUGUAACCCUAGCAUUGAUCAUCAAUGGUGGCGGUAGCGCAAGCCGCCGAAAACAUGGAUGUAGGGACAUUAUGUUCAAACCCGUACAAAUCUUGCGCCCACCGCGCACACCGUCCGGAGCCCAGAACGCGCACACAAAUUUACUUAUCGGAGCGAGGUUCGAAACACCAACACUAAUGAAAACUAUAUAAAUUAGAGCUUAAGUCGUGUCAAUUUGAGCAAAUCCAAUACCAUAAGGCACGUUUUCAAAAAAAAAUAAAAAUAAAAUUACCAGACUGUUUUUUGUGUGUAGAAAUAUGCAUUUAAAAGCUCUGAAAUAUGACUAACUUUUAGAAAAAAAUCAUAAAAAAUGUUGAGAGAGGAUGAGAUGGACUCACGGGCUCACCGCUCAACGACCACCGUAUCUGUCGACAAGGCCUUACUUGGCAGCCCAUGGGCUUAGGUCCUGUUUGCGUCGAAAGCGCCAUCUUUGCAUUACUACCGAGUCGAAGCCCCAGAUGGUCCCUCCUAUGAGGCCCAAACAACCCAUCGAUGGUCUCGGACUUUGAGAAAACAAAGGAGAUUUAUGAUACGAUCUUUUUCAGAUGAGACACCCUGGCAGAUUUUCGCCCCUUUUUAAAAAUCAGUUCACUCAGUUUGAACCUUUUUUCUUCUUUCUUUCGGAGCCUUUAAGGAAAAAACCACGUGAGAUUUACUAGUCCACAUAGGAAGCAGCACACCGAAAGAAAACGCACAAACACUCAAACAGAACAGGUCGUUUUUAAUCUGAGAAACGAUAGCAUGUGUCAUAUGCAUAUCUAUAAUGGGCCCACCCGCCGAGCAACAUGUCUAGUUACGCCCUGUUUGGAUUAUUGUAAUUGAAUUCCAUUCUAGUAAUAAUAAUUUAAACAUAUAUCAAUUAUGUUAAUUCGGAUUUAUUUAAAAUAUAUUUGUACACUAUUAUUAAUAAGAUGUCGAAAAAUAUUUAUGUGCUAUAUUUUUACAAUAGAGGAGUGAAACGGAGAGUCAUGUAAGUUACAAAGUAGAAACAAAUUCUACUAAUGCAUAAAAUUAUUUCCAAUCCUACACCCUAUGAAUUUGAGAUAAACUUAUAUCUGAACUUUGGAAAAUGGUGGAAUGUUAAAUUCCAAACUAAAUAAGUUACUUUAUUGAGUGAAUUUCAAUUCCUGUAAAAUGAAGAGAUCCAAACGCCCCGUUGGAGGUAACUGAGGCCUAGACUUCUUACCGUCUAAUUCAAGAGUGUCUCGAAUGCUCCGAGGUAGUAGAGGGCGCCACGACCCUAGUCAUUAUAAAUAUGACAUGGUGCUCUAGAUUUCAUUCCUCCAUAGUUUCCGGAGAUCAAGUUGCUGAGAGAGUUAGGCCACUGCGUUGGUUUAGAGCCAGGGUAGCCGGUCCCAGAUCAUUCGCUCCCUAGAGCAGUGUGGUUCCAGUGAUUGGGUUAUAUGGCAGCCUUCUUCUAUACUAAGAUCCUUGAAUGUGUCAUGAUAGCAUACAAAGAUAUAUAGACAGACAUUCCCCCGAGUACUAACAGCUAUUUUAUCAAAAGAUUCACCAAAAUGGCUUUAGCUUCAUCGAUAAACCUGUUUACAGAGCUAAAGCUAAAAAAAAUCUACUUUGCUGAUAAAGCAGAGUUGCGCUAGCUAGACAGUAGAAUGAGUGGAUAUUCCCUGCAUCAGGUCUCUGGUUAGAACUCAUGCGUUUCUCUCCACGACAAGGGACUUUGUACCCGUACUGCUACCAUGCCCUCCCAGAAUAUACCACGACCUGAUGCUCGCUCGCCUCUCUCCCGCCUGCCCUAGCUACCAAACAAACAAACAAGCAAGCAAGCAAGCAAGCAGGCAGCUGAUGAGCUAGCUAGCCUCAGAUCCGAUCCAAAGCACCACCACCAACAACCAGCGCGCGCGCUAGACCAAUCACUGGCCUCAAACCUGCACGUACAGGGUCGUCCUAGCUAGUGGUUAAACGUUAAAAAAAGAAGAAGAAGAGGACAGCUUUAAGCUAGCUCUUGUUCAUGCAUCCAACUCGAAUAAUGGGAUACUGCUAUUGACCAAGGGGGGAUCAGAAGGGACCCCCGGUAGUGCACCGAAUGAUUAAGCACCCAGAAAAGUGCGAUGGGAGGACAUGCACCAAGAUUCCAUCUCCUUUGUAUUUUCUUGCCUUUGGAGAGAGAGAGAGGGAGAUAAAUAGAGAGAGAGAGAGAGGGGUUGUUGUUUUUUUUCCUUCUUCUUUGGUUGCUGAUGCAAUUAUGCCCCCAACAACUAGCUGAUGUGUGCCUUUUGACUUGUUUACAUGACUGGGAGUCAUACCAAACACAUGGAUCAGCUAAGGUACUAUAUACAUACCCCAUCAAUUGCUACUGCAGUGUAAAUUAGAAGCAACAUAGGUUAAUUAGCACAACAAAGUUUUACUCUGAUCCAUUAUUAACAUCUGAUACCAAUAUAUGCCAUGAACGAAGUGUAAAGAGGGGAGGGGAGGGGAGGGGGGGGGGGGGUGAAAGGAACAAAGAAGUACUGGUGCAUGGAAACGGACAGGAGUUGAGUACUGAAGACAUGGCGAGCGUACUUUUUAGGCUAUAUAUAUAAAUGAACUUUUGAGCCUUUUUUCAUGAGAGGAAGAAAGGAAAAACUAGAAACUAGCUAGCUAGCAUCACCCACACACGAAAGCCUAUCACUACUGCGAAAUAUAUAACGAGCAAUUUUGGAAACCAAGAUGAAAUUAUUACCGGCUGCUUGUCUGUCUUCAUGUGUGGAGUUGAGGCCAACAAAUACAUGCAUGGAUCGAAGGUAGAGUUAACUUUUUUUUUUGUGUGAAAAGUAAAGGCCAGCUAGGAUAAUAAAUUUUAAAAAGGGCUAGUAUUUGCGUCGGCCGGCCGGGAUAAAAUGACAGGCCUUAUGCAUACAAUUGCGCAUCAUGCAUGUCGUCGUCGUGCGUGCGGAGGAUGAGGCGAAGUAAUUAAGCGCAUGCAAUGCAAUGCAACGGCGGCCGGCUAGCUUGAAGCCAAGCCAAAUUCACAUGUCAGUGGGAUCCCAUUCCUGAAUCGAUUGGGAGUACUGAAGGUCGCUACUGUGUUUCAGUUUGGAUUUUUUCCAGUCAACUCUGGGAAAACAGCAGUAGUGUCAAUUUCCACACUGCUAUAUACCUCGCUCACUAGCUGCAGGCUGCUAGCCGGCCGGAGAAGAACAUUGUUAAUUAAUAGCCCUAGCUCAAGCUCAAGCUCAUGACGCUGCUGUGAGCAAUUGGUUAAGCAGCUUGUCAUGAGGGAGAUAGAUUACAUGUGACGACGACCAGCAGCUCCUCACAAUUAACAACAAAAUUUGCACACACGUACGUACCUUGCUCCAAAAAACAAGCAAACAGACGAUCGAGGAGAACGAAAGAUCACGCGUGGCAGAACUGGUCGAUAAGCACAGCUCUAGCAGCAUGGGGAGCUCAUCAGAAAGCGUCCUCCAAUGGAUCAUCCUAUACACAGUUACUACACACACAUGCAUACUAUGGAGUACUAAACUAUGCAUGUGGUUUAAUUUGUCACGGACAGAUCACAGAGUACGUGCAUGCACCAUCAGCUGCAUAUACGCUAAUAAUAAAUCUAAUUAAGGGGUAGUGAUGGAUGAGUGACAGUCUACAAAAAAAUAACGUACGACAUCAGGGGAGGAUAAUAAUCAGCACUACUGAUGAGUGAUGACUCCAGUUUGAAGUUUGCCAGCUGAGGGUGGUCGGAGGAGAGCAUUGCUAGCUGCUUGACCUUGAGGUUAACGAACGGACUGUGACGGGUUUACCACCUCCGACCCCCCGUCAGCGGCAGCGGCACCCACUCGAAGCGCCCCUCCAGCGGGCGGUCGAGGGCGACGUCGUAAUUGUACCUGCAGAGCGAGGGUGUGCGGAGCUUAGCUUGGAGUCAUCAGCUAGCCACCACGCCAACCCAACUGCGCGCGUGGGGCGGUGGAAUAAUCGAAUUCACGUGGUGCUUACGCCUCUGCGAAUCGCCGGCGCUCGGCCAGCUCCGCGUCCGCGAAGAAGGCCUCUAUCUCGGUUUCCGUCGGCGGCGGUGGCGGCGACGGCGACGGCGACGGCGUCUGGCUGGCGACGCCGCCGACGACGCGGCAGCCGCACUCGUCGUUCUCGUGUUUAUUCGCCUUAUUCACUUUCGCCACGCCCGCGCCGUCGUCGCAGUCGCCGGCCAUCGUCGCAGACGCCUCCUCCUCGUGCUGCUGGCCGAGCCCGUCGUCGGCGCAGAGCUGCUGCUGGCGGGCACCGACACCGAGCACCCGGCCACGGGGGCUCCGCGCGUCGGCCUCGCCCUCGCCCCUGUGGCGCCGGGGGCUGCCGCCGUACGCGCUCUCCUUGGCGCCGCACCACCGCCGGAGGCCUGCCCCGCGGUGGCGCCGCGGCCUGCUUCUCGUCCUCGGGCUGCACGCCGCCGACGCCUCCGACGGCGGCACGCGGCGCCCGCUGCACAGCGUGAGGCACGACGCCGCCGCGGCGGCGGCGGCGCGCGGCUUGCUGCUGCCGCGGAUCCUCACGCACUUGCCCAUCGAUCACGCGCGGCCGGUUGCGCUGCUGGUGUGCCUCUGCCGCUCUGCGUGUGGUGCGGUGCCGUGGCAGCCGCGGACACUGGCUAGCUGCCGGCGGCUUAAUUUGUACUGGCGGAUGGCGCUUCCGCUACAGUGUGCCUCACAUAUCAAGGCUCGCCACGUCACGGUAGUGACGGCCCUAGACCUUUUUAUUUCAUAUACGUACAAUUCAUUUAUAUGUAAUUUUAUAGUCCAUUCGGUAAAUAGAUAUAAAAUAAGCUGCCAAAUAGUCCGAACAUGUUAUAAAUGGAUAUAAAGAUUACAAUAAUAUUACUUGGUCUACGCAACGGCAUGAAAGUCUCAAUUAUAUAUGUUUUCUUCAUCCAUUUCAAAACAAAAUCCCUCUCUCAAUGUAUGUAACAAGACAAUCACCCCCAACGACUAUCACCAUCUUAUUUCUCAAUUUAAUUUUCACUAAACUCAUUACUGGAAAUGCAUUUUCAACACUUGUUCUUGCCACUGGCGAAAGUAGCACCAAUUUGAGAAGCAAGUAAACCAUAUAAAAAACUUAUAUUUCUUUGUUUCAACAAGCUUAACUGAGAGGCACACAAAAUUUGUUGACUUUGAAUCUAUCAUCUUCUCUUAUGCCAUAAGUAUAAUUGUCAAGUUUUAACAAGUUAGUGCUUGAACUAGAUCAACAAUAUGACUGACGUAGGCUUGGAGCAGGCGAGGCAGUUAGGGCAAGGUUGACUCGGUGUUGGCAAAGAAGGCCUGACAUGGCAUUGCCGGGGUACGACCUACCGAGGGAAGGCAAGGCAAGAUGGGGUGGGCUACUCAACAUGGUGUUGGUAGGGUACAACUGACCAGGGGAGGUCGAGCAGGCCUAACACAACAUUGGUGGAGCGUGGUCGGUCGGUGGUGGGGCGCAAUCGAUCGGGGGAGGGCAAGGUGAGGCUGGCGUGGGUUGGGCAUGACUUUUCGAUGAGGUUGGUGCUAGUGAGGUGCGACCAGAGUUGAAGGAGACGGAGGCGUCGAUAGAAGAGGAAGCGACAGAAUCAAAGAAAGAAAAAGAGUGAACCAGUUUUUGUGUAACUAAUGACAUUAGCGGGUAAUUUUGAGAAUUCUACCAAAUUGGAGCCGGUGAAACACCUCUUGAGGAGCUCCACCAAAAUAGUGAAUCUAGCCCCUAUAGGGGUUUAGGGUUUAGCCCCUAUUUGUGUAGACACUCGGCAAAGGCUCCGACACCGUUACCUGGCGUCGUGACGACGACUUUUCUUUGUCGAGUGUCUCGUGGCAUACGGCAAAGCCUUUGCUGAGUGGCCGACAAAAAGUACUCGGCAAAGAAGCAGCUACCGAUAUACAGUUCGUUGAGACUUCUUUUCGCAAGUAUUUUCUAGGCUGAAGCACUCGGCAAAGUAGCUAUGUCUGGUAAUGCUAGAUUUAAUAAUUUGGUGAAUCUACAUUUGUGAAUGUGAACUAUUUGGCUAACUUUUCAUAAAGUGGAGCUGUUUUUGUGAAUCUGGAGCUGCUGGGGAGCCCCUAAACAUUCUAAUACUGGUAUUGUAUUAUGUAUAAUGGGAGGGGCCCAUGAGUGUUGGUGGAGUAUCCUCCGCGCCCCAUUAAUUUAGUGAAUCAGAAUUACGGUGAGCUGAAAGUGUUUGGUUAGAUGAAUUAAAUCCAAAUACGUUUUUAAUGAAUCGUAAGCUCUACUAAACUCGCUAUCCCACUCCCUAUAUAUUUUAAACUCUACUAUACAAACAGUAUAAUUUAUAGUGCAAAAUAAUACUUUACUUUGUAUGAUCAUUUACACAAUGUAUAGACGUAUAAUAGCAGAGGCUCCUGGUUUUGUCUGGCUCCAUCCUGCGGGUCUAUAUAUAAGUAUAUUUGAUCCCAACUCCAGAGUCCAGAAUCACAAUGCAUGGGGCCGUUUGGUCGGGUCGUCACUCAUCACCACUCACUGGCUAUAUAUAUGACAUCGUCCUAGUAUCGUACAACUACUGUAAACAUGGUGUCCCUGCCCGCGGUAACCGGAUACCGAGGCACGCGAAAGCACACGCGAGGUCACGAGCACUGUCGUCAUGUUCUUCACGGUUCACCAAGCAGAUCCAUCUCUGAUGCAUGCCUGCCAUCGAAUGAUCGACGAUACAGUGCUGCUUGCUAGCUAGCUGCAGCAGCGACGCUAUAGUAGCUAUCUAGCCAUGGCCCCUACUAGCCCCCUUGUCUACGCCAGUGAUCACGCUCUUGCAUCAAAGUGUGGAGCUCUUACUUGGUAGUAGUAGUAGCAGGUUAAGGUGCACUGAUGACUGUGACUGGCAUGCAUGAAAUGAAGCAAAGCGGCGGCCGGCAAGUGAAAGUGAACUAAUAAGUAAUAACCAAAGCAGCAGCAUGCGCUGAUCAGGCAUUCAGCUACUACCAGCAAAGUUGGCCGGCCGUUGUAUUAACCUGAGGCGACGAUCGAGGUAGAUAGCUAGCUAGCUAGCCUUAUGCAUGCAUAUGGCCGCCAUUAUUAUCAUAAGCCUCUGCCGCAUUGGAGAGAGCCAAAUGAAGAAGGGCUUUGUCACAGCUGGGAAGAAUCUAAUGAUCACCGGCAAAUUAAAGCCAGCUGAGAGAGAGCCCAAAGUGCAUUUUGCUAUAGCUGCCUUGCUCAACAACGCUUAGACACCCAAGGCUGUCUCCUGCAACUUACCUCACCCAUUUUCCAUCAUAUCUCCUAUUUCAAAUUUCAUUCAUUUCAAAUUCCAUUCUAUAUAUUGUGUAGUUUACAGUACAAAACAAUGAACGAUCUUCUGUAAACAGCCUAAUAAGCACGUUCGGAUGACGAAUUCAGCCUUAUUUUCGGCCAGUUUUUUUUGGCGGCCAGAAACCGCCGAAAAUAAGCCACUUGCCGCCGAAAAUGACUGUACCUGUUGUAGUGCACCAGAACCAAUAGCAACUUAAUUAUUAAGGCCUGUAGACUGGCACAGUAUAUAUCGAGUCAGAGUUAUUAAGGCCCUGUAGACUGGCCUGUAGAAACUGGUUUUGGAGUUUACCAUAAGACAAGAUGAUGCUAAGCAGAAAAGGGACACGAGCCCUAAGCGCCACAAAGAAUCUAGUAGUAGGUUGAUAGAUUCUGACGAGUGAGUGAUCGAGUAGGCUGCACUGCAGUACCAGAGGUCGUUCAGGCUUUUGGAACUCGGUCCCAGCUCCAGCUACUACAGGCACAGUCUUCUCCGGCCCUCUCCCUCCAUUUAUUAGGUCGGCUAUCUUACCGCUACUACAGUGGAGUGGAUUGUUGUUUUAUCCAAGAUCGGUCUGGAAAGCAAUAAUAUAAUGCAUGCUGCCCUAGUUUAGUUUUACUGAGAGCCCGAGAGACCCCAGCGAGAAGGAUCUUUACCGAGGCCCGAGAAAUUAAAGAAAGCACCCGCCAGUUCGUUCUCGUCCUCGUCGUCGUCCUCCGCCGAGCGUAUCUGAUCAUCUCCCCGGCCCUCGCCCUUGCUCUUCUCUUCAGAUCAAAGCUGCCGCGCCUAUUUAUUUUUAUCCUUCUUAUCAGUAGCAGUAGUAAUGAGAAUGCACAGAAAGAGAGGAGUAAAAACCUGCGGCAGUUACGAACUGGCAGUGCAUGCAUGAGAGCUUUAAUUAGCUGCACUGAAAAGCAUGCAGAUGAAGAUGAGAGCUGCUGGGGAAGAAUAGUCAGAAGUCUGGUAUCUGAUUCUUGGGGGAUGCAAAUUGCUAGAGAUGUUCCUAAAACAUCCGACUUGUAUCACAAAUCUAAUAUUUUAGUAUAGAUAUAUAUAGAAUUUAAAGUUAAUUUUUUUGCAAUGUUAUUAAGAAUAUUAUGAAGUAUUUAAAUAAAUUUUUAUAUAAUUUUUUAUGUAUAUUAUUUUCUCCUUACAACAAAAAAGGUGAAAAAACAUCUGAAUCCGUAUUCGAAUAGACAUCCGAAGUUUAUAUCAAUUAUUUAAAAAUAUAUAGAAUGAAUUUAAUGUUUAUUUUUUUGAAGAUUAAUAGCCUCAAUGCUAAAAACAAGAAUAUAAAUUUACAUAGCAAAUUCUAUAUGUUAUUUAUUCAUAAUCGAAGAAAGAAGACAAAAAAUUUGACAUCCGGAUCAAUCCCUACAAAUUGCAAUCAAUCAGGAUUCAGGACCACAAAAAAAGCCUGAACACAAAAGAGCAAAAGUACAUUUUGCCUCCUAGUAGACACUAGCAGAUCGAGGUGAUAUAUAUGCUCCUUAGCAAAGUUUUUAAGUUGUUGAGUCGGCUUGAGUCGCCAAAGCACCGAUGAGUCGACUCAACUAACAUACCGGUCGACUCAAACGACUAAUCGAUAAUAAGUUGUUCGUCUAGUCGUCUAAGUCGUCUAGACCCUAAUAAAACAAUAUAAGACGGUUUGCUCCGUUUUUUUGUAUGUAAAAAUAUACUGUCCAAGUACAGUUUAAAACGCAUAAGAAAGUGACUUACUUACUUGAAAUGAUGCUCAUAAGCCCUUCGCCCCCAAUGGCUAUGGUUUCCACGUAUGACUUACUUGUCCAAUAGAUCUGUAGUAUGCCAAUGUUUCCAUCCCAAGUGCCUUGGGACGAUGUAGGCCAUUGGAUAGCAACUAGGGUAGGGCUACAAGUGGAACCAAAGGAGUUGAGACAUACACAACAUGAAAAGGAGGAAAAUCCGAUUGCCAGACUUAUGUCGGACGGCUGCCUCGACCACAUCGGAUAUAACCUAAUGUCUGAGGGUUUUAAGGGCCGCCAGACUUAAGGAUACAUCCGACGGUUGACGCACUAGGCGUCGGACAUAAGCUUUAUGUCUGACGGCUAUCUGCAUAUAGUCGUUGGCGAUAAGGUCGUAAUGUCCGAUGGCCUCCAUACGGGCCGUCGAACCUCAACUUAUGGAAUCCACUAGGCGUCGUCGUUACGACCGUCAACGGCUUUAAAAACCGAAGGCCCUACAUAUAGCUUAUAUCCGAUGGUAACCGUCAAAAAUAGCCGACCUUUUACAAUCGAUAGACACUUACCAUCGGACAUAAGGCUUAGCCCGUCCCAAAUAUUUAUGUCUCGCUUACAUCCGAGGGCUUAGGCCAUCGGAAAUUUCUAAGUUUACUAUUGUUAUAUUUGGUAUACUAUACAAGAACGGUUGCCAUGUAACCGAGGCUUAUAUAAACAUGCAAGCGAGCCUAGCUAUUAAGCCUUCAGAUCAUAAUCUAACAAUCAUAUGUUAUAUUUAACACUUAAACUCGUAUCACCAGCUUACACAGCUCUAUAAUAGAAAAUCCUUCAAACUAUGGUUGCAUUUACGGUUGGUGUUCAUGAUCUAAACUCUCGCUUGUACGGACAAGUGUAAAACAGUGGGCCAGCUUCCGCUAAAAAGAAGGGCCGCUCGCUAGUCACUACUGACACUCAAGACUGAACUCUUAACGAUUCAAAAGCUCCCAAGAUGCAACCCGCCGAUGGAUUGGAGGCAGGCUUUUCCGGACGGCAUUAUUGCACACGAUGUGGUAACGCAUGUCCUCUCUCCUUCCUGCAUGCUGAAACAGCUAGAGAACUCUGAGGUCUGAGCUGAUGGAUGCGACGGUGAGGGAGCCCAUCGAACAUCAUCAUGCCGCGCGCUGAAGAACGACUUCACUUUCCUGCGGCGUGGCAUGUGCAGUGGGGGUCGGCCGGAACGCCUGCUAGCUAGGGAUCAGAUGGACAGACAGGUCAUGGAGCACUUGUGCAUGCACUGACUGGGAAUGGAGAUGGUUUGCUUGCCCGCAAUAAUCUGCGAAAGGCCCAAAGUCACAUGCCAUCCAUCGAGCUCCAGCUCCAGCGCUGGAUCAGAACAAGAUCCUGUGACCUCGACCGACCUGAACAGUGCAGUAUGCUGGGGCAGGGGGGCAUUAGAAACUUGAAACUGAAAGACGGGCCCGGCCGUUCUCUGAAUCUCCGGCCCAAAAGGCCUAUAACCCGCAAUAUAUAAAAGCACAUAAUAGCAUGGUAACACUAUCAAUUUCAAGACUAGAUCAUCUCAUCCGUGUAUCCUACAGAAGAUAUCCAAUGAGCAGUCGAGGCUAUAACCUACAAUGGCUUUAAGAUCUUCUUUCCUUCCAAAAGGUUGAAUCUAGCAGCUUACCUACCACCAUCCGUUCUAUUGCCCCACAUCAUCCAACCGUGCAUGCCCUCUCUCCCGAUAUCCGGCUCGCCCCUACCCACGCAUGGCGUAACCACCCUAGCUAGCCACCCAUUCCGCGUCCGCUGCUCCUUUAACAGAAAAUAUUUAUCUUUACUAUUAUAUAAUAUAGGAGUUUGGUCGGUUUCUUCGUGUGUCACUGCGCUCCCGCGCGAGCAUCCCAGGCCUCCCCGCGCGUGUUUGCGUCUACAUCAAAAUUCAAGACAUGCAACAAAAAUAUUAAGUAAGAGUAGGGAUCGAACCAACGCCCUCUACCACAACAACACUUGUAUAAUUGUAUUAAAAUAAGAGAGACUGGUAUCAUUAAUAUAUGAAUUAAUAACUAGAAAAUUUAAAAUAUAAUCACACAUGAUAUAUAGAAACCGCCGUAGCCAUGUACCAGCAAUAUGGAUAAAUUCUCGGACUCAUCUACAACUUUUCAUAUGGAUGUGGGGUUUAAGUGGUAAAAAUAACAAAAAUUAUGCACAAUUGUUGCCUCUAAACCCACGUUCACAUCCACAUUGCCACGAGAACACAUGUUUUUAUGCUUUAUACUCUAUAUUCAAGUAUACUAUAGAGAUUUUGUAGACAAACAACGAAAUAAUAAAAUAGGGCCAAGUCAUGUUGUGUUCGGGUCGACCAAAACCUUGUCGGGCCACAGGCCACUCAUCAGGCCUAGUUUAUCUGGACAUGUAUACUCGUACGCCAGUGUUGCGCCCGCGUAGUCAGAUAACAUUAAUUCCAUUCGAGUAAGGUCUACCUUAAGUGUACUAUACAGCCUACAACAGUGUAAAGCGGUGUUUUGUACGACCACAUACGUGAUCCACUGGAGAUAGCCUAAACCAUCCUAGCCGUGUCCUAAUUUUUUAUGACACUCGACAAUCCACAUAAAUCAAUCACUACUACUACUUUCUUUGCCCAGUGUGGCAGGUGUGAAAAAAAAGGCAAUCAGUAAACCGAGUGUCCAACGCUUUGGCAACUGUUCAACGCUAAGCAAAAUGUUCUUUGCCGAGUAUCAGAAUGUUCUAAGUAUGUGACACUCGACAAUCCACAUAUUUGCCGAGUGUCGUGUUUUGCCGAGUACGACACUAAACAAACAAUGUUUUUGCCGUGUGCCCGACAUUUUACACUCCGCAAAUGUUUUAACACUCGACAAAAAUGUUUUUUUGAUGUGGUAACACAUGAUUUUGCCUGCUAGCUAGGGAUCAGAUGGACAGACAGGUCAUGGAGCACUUGUGCAUGCACUGGGAAUGGAGACGGUUUGCUUGCCCGCAAUAAUCUGCGAAAGGCCCAAAGUCACAUGCCAUCCAUCGAGCUCCAGCUCCAGCUGGAUCAGAACCAGAUCCUGCUGUGACCUCGACCGACCUGAACAGUGCAGUAUGCUGGGGCAGGGGGGCAUUAGAAACUUGAAACUGAAAGACGGGCCCGGCCGUUCUCUGAAUCUCCGGCCCAAACGCACUUGCAGGGACUUUCCAUAGAAUCCCCCACCCACCCACACACACACAAAAAACCCAGAGCUAGUGAUAGGAGACUGUUUAAUUUGGGCAUUAUAUAUAUUGAUAUGUUAAAACGUUUGAACUUUAUUUCAGGGCACUAUGUUCCUCAGCUAUCCCAGCUUGUGUACAGGAGGAACAUCGGUGUAGAGUGUAGACAAGCCUAUCAUUAACUUCAAAGGUUUCAUGGUAGAGAUAGCUAGCAUAUGCAUGAUCAUCAAAAACUGAUGAAAUUCACACGAACAUUAGUUCCCAUUUCAUCAUUCAGAACCUGACGAGUCAAAUGGUUUGGAAAUGGAAAAGAAUCCACCAUGAACGUAUAUAUUGGUAUACUGAUCCAUUAUUCCAAUCGUUCCAGGUCGGCAACGGCCUGACCGACGACCGCACCGACAUGACGGGCAUGUUCGAGUACUUGUGGCACCACGGCCUCACCUCCGACGAGACCCUGGUGAGCGCUGGAGGCGUGCCCGGGGACCUCCCUGAUCCACCCCUCGCCGGCGUGCAAGGAGGUGUGGGACGUGGCCACCAGGGAGCAAGGCAAACAUCGACGGCUACAGCAUCUACACGCCGCGCGCCGUGCGAGAAGGGAACCCCGUACGCGUACGAGCGCAUCUUCGAAAAAGGAGCCGCCGCGUAAGCCGUUCAACCGUUCUUCUUGGUCUCCGGCCAUCAUCAGUCGUUCUGAUAGCUCUACUCUCUCUCUCUUUCUCACCAUGAUUGGAACACACGUAGCACGUUCUCUCGUACGUUCAGCCACUGACGAAGGCUGCCCCGUACGAUACAUGCACCGCCUUCUACUCCACCAGCUACAUGAACCUACCCGACGUGCAGAAGGCCAUGCAUGCCAACGCCAGCGGCUUCAAAGAAUACCCAUGGCACUAUGCAGGUAUGGCUUCAUUUAAUUUCCUUUCGUCCAUAACAUGGCUCGCCUUCUUUGUCGAGUUCUUCAGACACUUGACAAAGACCUUUUUACACUUGCUCCACAAAGGCUUUACCGAGUGUUGCACUCGGUAAAGAGCCCUUUAAGAAAAAGUACCAGCAAAAACCUCUUUGUCGAGUGUGAUGAACCGACACUUAGCAAAAUAAAAAAAAUCACCGUGGUGACAGCUUUGCGGAGAGCCUUGGUCUUGACAAUCGACAAACCAUGUGCCUUUGCUGAGUGCUUUGGUCCUGACACUCGUCAAAACUUGUGCCUUUACCGAGUGCUAUAUUUGCCGGCAAAGCAAGUUUCUAGGUGGUCAAGUCUGGUCACUUUAUCGAGUGUCAUGAACAUUGCACUCGGCGAAGUCAUAUUUUAUACACAUAUAUUUAUUCAUAUAAUCCUGGCCGGCUAACUAAACCCAUAUAUAUUAUUGUUUAUCCAUGUACAUAUACUCCCUCCGUUUCUUUUUAUUUGUCGCUGGAUAGUGUAAUUUUGCACUACCCAGCGACAAAUAAAAAGAAACGGAGGGAGUAUACUGUAGCAUGCCCAUAUACGAUAACUGGACGACGUACGAUCCCAUCGUUUCCAUGCUGCUCAUCUACAAGCUAGGAGCUCAUUGGAGCUGGCCUCAAGAUCUGGGUUUUCAGGUAUAUAUAUAGACACCGUAUCUUAUGAGCAAGGAGCCCUGCUGCUCCCAUGAGCAAAAUCAAUCCAGACCACACCCUCCACAUCCAACGGUGCUGCGUCAGGGGGUUUUUUAUAAAAUGUACAGAGUUGCAAAGAACAUUUUACAAAACCCCCUGACACAGCACCGUUGGAUGUGGAGGGUGUGGUCUGGAUUGAUUUUGCUCAUGGGAGCACCAACGCUCCUUGACACGAAACUCUCUGAACAAAGCCAUAUAUAUAUUAUGGCUUUGUUCAGAGAGUUUCGUGUCAAUUUAUGUACAAGAAACUAACUAAAACACAUGUUUUUUCUUCUUCUUUUCGUCUGCAUGCAAUUGCACAGUGGUGACACGGACACUGCGGUGCCGCUGAGCGCGACCAGGCGCUAGCAGCUCUCUCGCCGCCCUGCCCUGGGCCUUCCCGUAAAGACCAGUUGGUACCCCUGGUACAUCGUCGUGGCGACCGAGGUUGGCGGCUGGAGCAUGGAGUACGACGAAGGGCUGAGCCUGCUUGGUCACCGUCCGCGGCGCCGGGCACGAGGUCCCGCUGCACCACCGCCCGGAGCAGGCGCUCUUCGUGUUCCAGCAAUUCCUGCUGGGCGAACCCAUGCCGGCCGAGGUGAUCGAUCAGGGUUGAUUUGGUGACAAGGGAAUCACGGGAGGAUUGGAGAUGAUUGAGGGGGAAAUGAACUAAUUUCCCCCUCAAUUCCCUACAAUCCUUUCGGAAUCCCGGGUCACCAAAUCAGCUCUCAGUGUUUUUUUUUCAGCGUACUGUGUUAGCUCCACACUGAUCUGAAACAUAGGUAACGAACCAGCUGCUCAUGGAAUUUGUGAACUGAUGAAAGCUGGUGUUGGUUUUUCAGGCAAAGAAUGGCAGCAGCCUCAUCCUCCUUCCUGCUUCCUCCCAGUGAGAAGAGACCGCCUGCUGAUACGAUGGAUCUGAUCAACCAGAUAAGGUUCAUUCCACGAUCGACCGCUGAAUAAAAGCUACUAUGAAUUGAACUAGUGGUUGGCGCACGCUCUGCGCGCGUAAUUUUUUAUUGUAGGAUACUUUUAUAUGAGGAAGGGAUAUAACCAAACUUGAAUUAUAACAAUAUACAAUUAGUAGUCUUCGUGAUAAAGAAAGUUUGAAAACAACAAAAUGGAUCAUUGAAAAAUAUGUGGAAAAAAAUAUUAGUUGAACGUGUCUACAGCCAAAUAAGCCUUUACCAGCAUAAUACCUGUUUUUCAAAAAAAAAUUGUUUUUGUGCCACGAGGUUCGGCGGCUGUUGCUACGAAGGUUCUAGGAGCAUUACAGACACGAUACAUGCACAAGACAGUAGUGAACAUUGUAAAAAAGACAACAGUUAUAUGUUACAAUGAGUUGCUCACAAUUUGAGUUUAAUGAAGCACUUCAAUUCUGAUUGGUGACAUUGAUGUUCAUCUGUGAUAUGCUUAUUAUACUAGAGAGUGGUGGCCCAAACACUAACAUAGGCUGAUGGGCACAUUGACUUUCAGUUAAAUGUGGCUACAUGUUAACAACAUAGGAAGGGUUUUAAAGAGAAGUUCCAGGAUAAGAACUGUGCUGAAACAUUGAACUUUAGAUUGAACAUUCGUGAUUAAAGUGCUCAAAGCAUUGACUUUUCAAGUCCUGUAUCAUUCGCCUCAAUCUCCAUCCACAAUAGAAUUACACAUACUGAUCUCAGAUGGAGCGCUUAUGGUAAAAUCAUAUAUCUGAAUAUACUGUUGCAAGGUCAUCAUAAAAAAGGAAGUCUGCAUUAUAGGAGACAGGUCGGUAUGCAUGUGUGGCAAGUUCUAAAACAUAACUCCAGCUAGCAUGCAUGCUGAUUUAUCAAUACUGGCAUGUGCAUCUGCUAACCUCUGGGCACGGCGUCUCGGCGGGCGACGAGGGGGUAGCGAAGUCAGGCGUACACGACGCUGGAGGAGCCCAAGCGAAGUCUCCAGCGCAUCCGCCGCCGCUGCUUCAGCACGACCUCCUUGCCGAACCCCACCACACGCUCCAUGGUGACCUUGUUCCGCUCACAGAGAGGGGCGUAAAACACUGAAGGAACUGAUAGCUAUUGGUCAUAGCCUGGUUUCUCCUCCUUGGGGUUGUGGGCACGUGAAGUCUGUGGCCAAGAAUGAAACUAAAAAGAACAGGAGGCUUCCCAGGUGUCCAGGACAAGAUGGGAUGGGGAGCGAUGCGGGGAGCCAGGGAGGGAGCGAGUCACAACGAAAGAGCGAUGGGGAGCAGCGGGAGAGAGGGCGGGCGGACGACACCAGGUUCGACCGGAGAUUCGUAUGGUCCAAGAGCGCGGAGACGACGAUGGGAAUGAAGACUCGCCGUUUUUCAUGGAGGUCGUCGCCCUGUGGAAGCUAUCACCCAAGAGAGUUCUGGAGACAUCGUGUCGUGUGUACUGUGUGGAGUGGAGGCAAUGAAACGACUCGAAGUCGACGAUGUGUUCGCGUGUCCAUUGAUUGCAGAGCGAUGUUUCGAAAAGCAGCAGGGUCACGUGGUUGCAGCGCACAAUAGCAUCAGACCGAAAGAGGUGGUUGCCAUCGGCCACUGAUUCUAGGUGGUUGCCAUCGGCCACUGAUUCUGGAUCGAAUGGCGAAGAUAAAAUAAAGUGACGUGGACGUUGGAGAGAAGCCGUUUUGAACCGGCUUUAAAGUAUAGAAAUGAAUAUAACAGCUUACGGCUGUGGUAGAAAUGUACCUGGAAUAAAAGCAGGAGUGCCUUGUUUCUUCUGAAAAGCAAGCUUUGAAUGAAUACAAGCUGCAGCAUAGAUGUACGUGGAAUAAAAGCAAGCCAAUUGUUGUAUGAACCGUUGUUGGCCGGCCCUCUGACGAUUAGGCUCGUCCGAGUUUAUUAAGCUAGCUUGUUAAGUCAAUGAGCUGGCUUGGUUCAGCUUAUUAAACUAACGAGCUAUAGAGUUAGCUCGGCUCAUUUACAAGCUCGAGCUGGCUCGUUUAGCUCGUGAGUCAAAAUAGAAAAAAAAAACAAAUAUAUAUUCUAGUUAAUUUCAAACUAACUUAACAAUAGAAAAUAGUAAUUAUACUCAUAGUUUCAUAAACCACAACAAGGUAGCAUCAGAUUAACACAAACUUAUCAAUUUAUAAUUCACACACACGUUCAUCAGUUUAACCCAUAAAUUAUAUUCGUAUAGACCAAUUUAACACAUAGAUACAGUCUAUCAAUCAUUAGUUUAACUCAUUAAAUUAUAUUUGUGGCCUUUUCCAUUCCUCUCCGGACCCGAAACCACAGCCCACUAUAUGGCACAGAGCCUUGCUUUGCAGCCCCAUGGGCGGGCUUAAUAGGACGGUUCGUUUCAAAAUCCAGAGUACAACCCCCUUAUCUGUCUGUUCGUGUUCGGUUGAUGAAUAGGUGCAGUGCCAGUGCCCCGGUGAAAUAUGUAAACCAAGACAGUGAAACUCUCCUUGGCACAUCAUCUUUCUUCCACUGCCCGUUUUGCGCGCCAAAUUUCGGAGCUGCGUGCAUCGGAUUCUCUAUCGUCGCUGAUGAUCUGGGCACCACCGUACCCCAGGCCCUGCCAACACAUCAUCAGUCGCCCCUGAUCGCCUUCCGGGGGUGCUGCAGAAUUCAACUCCUUCGUCCUCCUCCUCCUAUGCUGCUGCUGCUGCUGCUGCUGCUGGUGGUGGUGGCAACUGUGGAAACGCAGAAAUGGUGUCGUCGUCUUCGGACUGCAGGAUCAUGCCACUAGCUCUUGCGGCCCCCUUUUUGCAUUCAUGCGAAUCUGAAGCAAAAGCUUGCGCGUACAGGCACAACAGGGAAAGAGGCACAAGUAUUAGGUGCUCGGUUGUUGGUGUUUUCUAAUCCUAUUAUGUAAUCUCAUCAGCUUCGUUCGUCCUCCCUGUAGUUCGGAUACUCUAGUAUUGAAGUGGUUUAGAAGGAUUGAAAAGUGUAUAAAUCUCUAAUAAAUUAAAAACUCCCACAAUACAUCUCAAUCCACUCUAAUCCCUUUUCAUUACUAGAGUAUCCAAACUAGGCCGUAGGUUACUAUAAACUCUAGCUGCCUUACUAUAAUGAAAAUCAGGUGGGAAUCCUCACCACAGUCUUAAAAAAAAUCCAUAGUGCCGAUGACAGUCUAAAAAGUAAAUGAUGGAUUUUAAAAACUAUUUGCAAGAAAAAAUAUUUAGACAAAAAAAAAAACAACCCGUGCUAUUUUUGUGGGCCAAGGCCAGCUCAUGGUACUCCUACAGUUCAGUGUAUCUUGCCGCUAACUCUCAAGUCUGAACCCACAGCGUCACUGCAUGUGUGCAGCAUGUGUUUCUCGAUAUGUGUCAUGCUUCCCUGGUAAAAAGGCUUGCACGCUGGUACCUGCUUUUUUUUUGUCGGAACACAGGCGGGACAGGUCCAUUGAUGUCUAACAAUCGCGGUCCCAUAUCUACAUAUAUCUAUUUAUUAUACCAUCCUAUAAUACACCAGUUUAAAUUUUACAAAACUCACUCAACCAAAUCAAUCUCACCCUCAUAGUCUUCAAUAAAUUCACAAAAUAUACGUAGACUUAACAUACCAUCAAAAUCAACGGUUCAUAAGCUAGAUAACCACAUCUCCCGUACCGACUUAAAUCCAAUCGACAAUAUUAUUUGAAUUAUUCAUCUUCCCCCACUCUUCCCCUCCCCUUCGACCCCCACUACCCCCAUCCUCUCCCUCCCCAUGUCCCUGCCGCCGUCGCCAACCCCUCCCUCGCGUCGCCACCGCGUAGAAAUUAUAGUGUUAGCGCCUUAGCGGGCUAUAUGCUAGUAUAUAUAACACAUGUUCUAAGAUUCCUCACUCUCUCAAGUCUCAAGUGUCAAGAAAAGCAUUGGUGUGGUGGACAUGGGCCAGGAAGUCACACAAAACCUAGUGAAGUUUUUUUUAAGAUAAAGGGAACAAUAUUCAGAGAUCCCUAUAUAUAUUUCUUUCGAGAGUGGCCAUAUCUUAGUUUUUUUUGCUGUUGUUCAGUUUAGCCUUGCGACAAAUUCAUCAUUGCACGCGCGCUUUAGCUAGCAAGGCUCAUUGGUUUGUUCACGUGGUAGGCGAGGUUGAGGCCUCGGUUGCCGCCAGCACUGAUGCUCGAGACCCCCCCCCCUCAACGAUGGUGAUGGUAGUGCCAUUUACUCUACAAGACCACAAGCACCCUAUCACAAUCCUAGAUUGACGCUCCUCUCCAAUCUCAAGCCGCAGUUUCCUGAUUCUGCCGAUUCACUCUCCCUUCCAAUGUUCUCCACUAAAGACCUGUUCAGUUACAUGGGACCCAAGAAGAUUGAAUAGAUUAAAUCUCUUACUAUCUAAUUUUAACUAAAAAGAGAUUUAAUACCCUCUAAUCCUCUCUUAACCGAACAAACCUUAACCGGGACUUCCCUCAAUCCCUCUCACUUCUAGUCUUCUUCACUGGUCAUCACUUCCCUCUCUAUAUUCUUUCCCACAAGUUACCACCCUCGUCUCUCAUUGGGGACCAAGAGUUUGGGAUCGAGUGUGUUCGCAACUUCAAUCCCCUUGAAAGGAUCAAGAUGUCCAAGAGGAAAGGUGGCGGGGGUUCUCAAUUUUCUUACAUACAUUAAAUCCUAAGCUCAAGCCUAUACUUCACCUCAAGUGCCUAAUGAUGUGAUAAAUAUUUUUGCACUCUAAUGUCCAAUCUUAUACUAGCAUUGCAAUUCUAAUGAUGUCAAAGCUUGAAUUGAAUUUCUACACAUAAAUGUAUAAACUAAAUAAAUGAUUAAAAGAUUCCUUGAUAUUUCGCUGAGGUCUUGGAGAGUCAGUACUUCCCACUAAUACUUAUAGGAGCACCCAUGCAAGGGUGUCGCUCUCUGUUGUUAGUGCAAGGACCAACCGCUCUCUACGAGCUAGAUUUUCGUCGCUCUAGUAUGGUGAACCACUAACAACUAUGUUCAUCUAAGCCCAAGGAGUCGAAAAGGUUACACGUUGCUGAGUUUGUUUUGCCUGCUAAGGCCAAAUCUUUUGCUCGCUCUCACCCGCACUUGACACAAAAAGGGAAAGUUAAGUUCACAUUUAAUAUUGCUAAAUGUAAUAAAAUAUUUGAUGAGCUACUUAAGCUUGGUAAUAUUAAAUUGUCACAUACAAUUCCUCUAGUUGAAGAAUUAAAAGGGUGUGUGUAUUGUAAAUGACAUGACUCCUUUAUCCAUAACACUAACGAUUCUGUUGUUUUCCGUUGGCAAAUACAACCGGAUAUAAAUGAAGGUCGGUUGAGAUUUCAAGAGGUGAAGAUUGACAGGCCACCUGUCCCUGUCACCACAUUAGAGCCAACGAGAAAAAAGUCUUAGUUCGGCCAUGUGCGACUGAUAAAAGGAAAGAUAAAAAUAUCGUCAUUGGGGAUCUUCGCACGCAAAAUAUGUCACGCAGAGUGGUUAAUUGAAAGGGUCCGAACAAAAGAAAGACCGGAGGCGCUGGGGGCAAGCACGAUCAGACACCCGAUCACGGUCUCUUGUCCUGCGUACGUCGGACGGUCCGGACACUAAGGCCGAAAAAGUCCGGGACAGGCGCGGACAGUCCGGCUAUAAAGGCCGGACGAUCCGCAGACGACCAGAAGUAGCAGUGACCUCAGACCAUUAGACCACAAUGUCAUAAAACAAGUACUAGGAAGCAAAACACUUUCGAGACGUCUGGCCGACUCAGCAGAGUCGGCCCUACUUUUGAUCUUGCUAAAUAUAUGAAGAAGAAGGUCGUUCCACACAAUCAGUAAAUAAAACAAACGAAGUAAAAAAUGCGAUCUGUGCGAAAGCAAAAGCCGACUAAACCAGCCCAAAAAGUGGUGCAAUCAAGAUUACUUGGUCAUCCUCCUCUAGGGAUGUCAUGGUGCUUUUCAGUCUAUUCAUCGCUGAUGUGUUGUCAAACUCAAGUUUGGGGCGGUACGACGAUGAAUCUGUAUUAAUGGCCCAAUCUAUUUACUUAUUCGGGUUGGAGGACACCACAAGUUUUUGCCUAUUGACAUGUUGAUCAGGUAGACAAGGCCGAAGAGGAUGCAAUCCAAAACGGUCUAUAUGCAUCAAAGUUUUAUCAAAUAUUUAUAUUAUCUGAUCACAAGAGCUGAUGACUUGCAUCGAGCUGAGUCCUUACUUAGGGAACAAAACAAUCAUGGGAUCUAUUGUUUCCAAAGUGUGAUGGGGCUUUUGGUUCCCCAAGCUCCACCAAAAGGCAGGAGGCAUGCUUGAACGCCAACAGUAGCGGACGGCCCUGCCCUAGGCCCCGAACGGUCCGCGCCCCCGUGAUCAGAUUAACUCGGACGAUUAUCCUUAUCUCGUGCAUGGUUAUCCAUCUAAUCACGUGAGAUUUGUUAGCUAUCACCUAGGAACGUGUCCAGACCUUCCCUCUCUAUAUAUGAAGGGUACGACCGAUUGAGAACCCCCGAACACAUUCCAAUCGAACCAAUUACUUUCUUUAUCAUUCCUGCCCUAGGAGUAGAUGUAGCAUAGCUUAGUUAUAUAUUUCCGUAUAUCCACCUCCACCCCUAUUCGACUCUACGUCGUUUAGAUCCAUCAUGGCUGGCCUACUAACCCCAAGACGACCCUAGGAUCUUACAUCUCCAAGGGGCAAGAUCUGGUUAUCAAUCUAAGAGAUCACUUUCUCGAGUUGGUCUAUUAAUUUCUAGGCGAUUCUAUGUCGUCUAAGGACACCCUGGGUGACCUGCCGACCCGGAGCACCCUAAGAUAUCUCCCCUAGGGGGCGAGAUCUAGGUUCCCGCGAGGAAGAAGAUGACCCUGCGCCAUCACGGACCGUCUGGCCCAAAGCGCGGACUGUCCGGUGCGACGCAGGGAACGCGCCGCUCUUGCAUCCAGGUCGUGGACCGUCCACGCCACCGCAGAAAGCACCACCAGGCGGUAGAACACCAGUGAUUGGCGCCUAGAUCAGUGCCAAUAGUAACAUCAUUACACUGGUGUGUUCAUUGUCAAGAGGCCGUCACCGGCGCCGACAAGGGUUUUGCUUUCGUGCCUUCGUUUUUUAGGAAGCAACCAUUGACAUAUGCAUGUGGCGCCACUGCUCGAUGAGACCAACUUGCCAUUCAGAUAAAACAAACUGUUUGUUCUAUAAUCUCUACCACGUUAUCCUGAUCACUUUUGUCACGAUUCUUAAUGUAUAUUUACUUUAUUGUAUUUUAAAUUUAUUGUAUCGUUAGCACCGACACGUUACCUUACUAUUUGUACCCUAAUAAUUAUCAGUUCUUGAAUUCUACGCGAUGCUAAUAUCAAUCAUUGUUGUCCUUUGUUUAAGAUCUGUCGCUAUGUAUAUAUAGCAGUCCUGCAGAUGUGUGUAAUUGCGUUGUAAAAGUUGACAGAUAAAUUUGCAGUCCAUCAUUGUUUUAGGUUUGUCGUUAUCUAAUAAUCUACCACUGUAGAAAAUGAGAUGACAUGCAUGCCAAUCAGUCUGUCCUUUCUUUUAGAUUUAUCGUCGUUGUCUACCAGUACUAUCUCACUGCUAGUUGUCACAACAAGCUUACCACACAAUUAAAUAUUCGCGCGGGUCACCAGUAUAGAUUACACCAAACAUUUGCAAAAGAAAAGAAAAAAAACCGUCUUGAUCUCAAACCGGCCGGGCGAUCGAGAUGGCGAUGAUGUGGACGCUCGACCACAAAUGACGAAGACGCAGGUUGCCUCCUCAGAACGUGUUUCAUACAACUCAUCACAUCCGUUCUUUAAUUUGCAUGUGUUUCAAAUCCUUUUGGCGGAGGGAAUUCGGCACUAAUUUGACUGUAUGCGCCACGUACGUAAUCAAUCAGAUGGUACAUGCGGCGCAGGAUUAAAAAAAAUAUAGUAUCAUAUCAUGCAUGGAUUGUUGUCGUCGUCCUCGACCACAACAUUGCAAUCCAGAAAUGGCGGUGCUUGCAUCACGCCGGAUUAUAUAUUAUUUAGACUAAUCGGCCGCUCAUCUGAAGGAAAUUGUUCUUUUGAUCAUAGCUUAACUUAGAACCACCAGGUAGAACCAGGUUUUAUUGUAAAAUGUCCACGUGUGACUCGUGCAGGCAUUAUCUAGGACUCCCGACGACAAUCCCAACAAAAUAUUAGUAUCCAAAACAAGAGAAUUGUAUGUAACGUCUUAACUUAUACCUCCCUCCGUUCUCGAAUAUUUAUCGUCUCCUAGUUCAUUUUUUUACUAAAACGCGACAAAUAAAAAAGAACGGAGGGAGUAUAUAUAUCGGUAUGUGCUGACGCCGACACUAGUAGAAAAGAGCUCAAAGCCUGCGGCACCCAUAAAUUAUCACUGGCGGUUUCAGUUAUCACGCGCCAGUAAAAAAAACAAGGUGGACCCGACUUAGGAACCGCCAGUGGAAACCCAUUUUCACUGGCGGUUAUCUUAACACAACCGCCAGUGGAAAUAGGGUAUUUCCACUGGCGGUUGGUGUAACAGAACCGCCAGUGGAAACCUAUUUCCACUGGCGGUUGGUGUAACAGAACCGCCAGUGUAAAGACCCUAUUUACACUGGCGGUUGUGUUAAGAUAACCGCCAGUGGAAAUAGGUUUCCACUGGCGGUUUUUCAAACCAACCGCCAGUGAACUGUCUGUUAUAAAAUACCCAUCUUCCCCGCGACAGUGAACUGUAUGCUCGCAGCCAGCUUCCAUUGGAGGCGAUUUUGGAGGUCCAGAUUUCACAAAAAUAUAAGGGGGGAGGUUUUGGUCUUCAUUUCUUGCAAGAAGGUGGAUAAGAAAGGUUGGUUUAUGUUUCUUUGUCAAUUUUUGUUCAUUCUUGCUCAAUUUUAGCCACAUUUUGGAUCUAGGGUUUCACAUGUGAGAGAGAAGAGUAUAGAUAGGUAAUUUUCUCUAUUUUCUCAAAUGAGGUUGCAUAAGAUGGUUAGUUUUUGUCUAUUCCCUCUCUUUUUCAUGUUUAGUUGCUUAAUGAAUGGUGAAUGUGUUGUAUGGAAGAUUAGUUUAAUUAUGUUUCAAUUGUUAGUUAUUGUUUAUUUUUGCUCAAUUUUAACUACAUUUUGAAACUAGGCUUUCACCAUAUGUUAAAGAUAGGUUUGGGUAUUAAUUUUUUUUUGUUUAUUAGUUGCUAGGAAAGUUUGGCUUAUGUUUCUUUUGCCAAAUUUUGUUUAUUUUUCCUCCAUUUUAGCCACAUUUUGGAUAUAGGGUUUCACCAUGUGUUAGAGAUAAAGUAGUUUAACUACUUUUAUUGGAAGAGAUAAAGUAGUCUAACUACAUUUGUAUAUAUACCGAUCAAUAUGUACUGUAUAUAUACAUGCAUGGUAAUCUGACUUUUUAGCAGAUGUCGCACUCCAACGCGUCCUUCACAUUUUAGCCACAUUUUUGGAUAUAGGGUUUCACCAUGUGUUUUAUGUUACUUUUUUACAGGUGGUGAUGGAGAGGACAUCCUGGAUGUAUAACUUAUCAAGGCUAGAUCCAUCAUACAUAUCCGAGGUCCAUAGGUUUAUUGAUGUCGCUACGAACCAUGCUUGGAGAACAAAGACAAAACACAUAUAUUGUCCAUGCAUGGACUGCAAAAAUGCUGCUGUAUUUAAUGACACAGAACAAAUCAUAUCUCAUCUGGUAUGCCGAGGAUUUAUGAAGGAUUACACAAUUUGGACAAAGCAUGGAGAGGGUAGCUCUUCGCCUUAUACGACUGGAAACCCUGAGAACAUCGACGACAGAUUUCAGUUCGUUCACGAGACACACCAACCUCUUCCACAGAGCGAACAUGUAGUGCAAAAUGUUACUGAUCAUGGUUACGCUGGAGGAAAUGAACAUGAUAGACCUCAUGUUCUGCCAAGUGUUAUGGAUGAGGAAGAUGCAGAGUUGCUAGAGGCAAUGUUGCGUCGUCAUACAGAUCAAUCGAUGUUCUUAAUGAAAGGUAUGGAGUCCCUAAAGAAGGCAGCAGAAGAGCCUUUGUACGACGAGUCUAAGGGUUGUACCAAAGAGUUCACGACGCUCCGGUCUGUGCUAAAGCUGUUGAUGUUAAAAGCUAAAUAUGGUGUGUCUGAUGCUGGCUUCGAUGCGUUCUUGAGUAUUAUCGCAGACAUGCUUCCAAAGGAGAACAAUGUGCCUGCUAACACGUACUAUGCAAAGAAACUAAUCAGUCCGCUCACUAUGGGUGUGGAGAAGAUCCACGCGUGUAGAAAUCACUGUAUCCUUUAUCGAGGUGAUGAUUAUAAAGACUUGGAGAGCUGCCCAAAGUGCGGUGCAAGUAGGUACAAGACGAAUAAAGACUAUCGAGAGGACGAAGAGUGUGUUGCAUCCGUGUCUAAAGGGAAGAAGCGAAAGAAAGCCCAAAAAAAGACUUCAAAAUCCACGAGCAAAGAAAAAGAAGAAGUAGACUAUUAUGCGCUCAAAAAGAUUCCUGCUUUGGUGAUGUGGUACCUCCCCGUCGUCGAUCGAUUGAGGUGUUUGUUCGCUAAUCCUGAGGAUGCCAGACUUAUGAGCUGGCAUGCUUCUGAUGAGCACAAAAACGAUGGGAAGCUUCGACAUCCAGCCGAUGGGAAGCAGUGGCAAGAUUUCAAUGACAACCACCGAGACUUUGCCGAUGAACCGAGAAAUGUUAGGUUCGCACUGAGUACUGAUGGAAUGAACCCAUUUGCUGAGAGGAGCAGCAAGCAUAGCACAUGGCCGGUGAUCCUCACCAUAUACAACCUUCCUCCAUGGUUGAUGCAGAAACGGAAGUACAUUUUGCUAACCAUCCUUAUUUCUGGACCUACACAACCUGGAGUUGACAUGGAUGUAUUUUUGGAGCCCUUAAUGCAGGAUAUGAAAAUAUUGUGGGAAACGGGUGUUCAAAUGUUGGAUGAGUAUCGUAAAGGUUCAUUCACGCUGAGAGCAAUUCUUUUUGUUACGAUCAACGAUUACCCUGCUCUCUUCACAUUAUCAGGCCAGUUUAAGGGAAAGGUUGGUUGCACAGUAUGCAUUGAUGGAACUGCUUACGUAUCCCUUGCUGCAUCUAGGAAGAUAGUUUACAUGAGGCACAGACGCUUUUUAUUGGAAGGACACAGGUACCGCAUGCGAAAGAUGGAUAAGUACUUCGACAAUAAUGGUGAACUACAUUCUACUGCUCCAUCGGGUAACAAUAGAGGUCAUAGAGUUUUUGAAAUAGUCAGGAAUAUCAAGUUUGUUUUCGGGAAGAAGACAAAAGACGGAAAAACAAGGAAGGAUGUCAAACCAGCUUCGGGGGCUAUAUUCAAGAAGAAGUCUAUUUUCUUCGAGUACUUGCCUUACUGGAAAGAGUUAGAUGUGCGGCAUGCGAUCGAUGGUAUGCACGUUCAGAAGAACGUGUUUGAAAGCAUAAUGGGCACCUUGCUAGACAUAAAGGGCAAAACAAAAGAAGGGCUCAAUUCACGCAUGGACUUGGUAGAUUUAGGCAUAAAAAAGGAACUACAUCCCGUUCUUCAAGAAAAUGGGAAGUACCAUCUCCCAGCAGCAAGCUACAAUCUCAAUGUAGAUGAGAAACAUGCGAUGUGUGUUUGGCUCAAGAAUUUGAAAGUCCCAUCCGGAUUCUGCUCUAGCAUACGGAGUAUUGUGUCAAUGAAAGACCUGACAAUCACCAACUACAACUCACAUGAUUGCCAUGUCAUGCUGACUACAUUCCUACCUAUUGCCAUGAGGGCUAUAAAUCCUUUGUUUUUAAAGAUGGCAAUCACACGGUUGUGCUACUUUUUCAACAGGAUUUCACAAAAGGUAAUUGGCCGUGAUGAGUUGGCAUCUCUUCAGGAAUUCGCAGUGGAGACAAUAUCACAGUUUGAGAUGUGUUUCCCUCCAUCGUUCUUUGAUAUUAUGGUGCACCUUGUGGUGCACUUGGUGCCACAAAUAGAGGCAUUGGGUCCUAUGUACUUGCAUGAAAUGUGGACGUAUGAACGUUUCAUGUCAAUACUGAAUGGCUAUGUAUCAACCCGUGCUCGUCCCGAGGCAUCCAUGAUAGAGGGGUACUGUACCGAAGAGGCAUGACUGGUACAUGCGGGCAUCAUCGGUUGGCAUCGACACCAUCAGUGUGCAUAUACCAGACCAUGCUUUUAUUGGUUCGAACCAAAAGGCCGUUGUUACAUUCGAGGACAUGUGGUUAAUGAUGAACCUUCAGAGACUCGACGUGCAACUUGUAACGAUGUUUGCAUUGUAAGUGUCGCUCAUACUUCCACAUAAGUGUGUUAUUAUUAGUGAGCUGUAUAAAAUUUCAAUAUCUGACAUGCACGUGUGACUUGCAGAAUGCAACAUGAUCAGUAGGAGAUUCUUUACGGUACCAAGCCCAAUGCUAAUGCCAGUAAAAGGGUUGGGUAUCUCAACCCAAUACUUAUAUCCGAGGAAAGCCACACUUUUAGAAUCGGGAAAGACAACGAUGAAAUAAGGGGAAAGACGGACGAAGAAGUUGAGAAGCGUAUAAAGGAAAUGAAGAAGGAUUUUGAAGCUCGAUACGCCACAUACAUAGGACAUGCAAUGCUUCAAUUUCAAGACAGGGAAGCCAUAAUGGCCCCGUACAACUUUAAGUAAGUGUGAUUUUGCAUAAAUAAAAUUAAUAAUUUCAAUACACAUGCAUCACAAAUUUGAUUCGUACAGGGACCACUGGAUAUGCUUCCUCAUUUAUCCUAAGGAUGGAAAGGUGCUGGUGCUCGACUCCUUGAACUUCGACCCUUCGACAUAUGCAACAUUCCUCAGCAUCUUAGAGCUGUAAGCCUUUUCUAUGCAUGCAUACUUUUAUCGAUUAAAAUUUGAGAAUAACAUGGUGAUUCUAUUUGAGAUCACAGUGCUUAUAGAUUCUAUAAGAUGAGAGGUGGAAAGUACGAGCUGUCGAAAAAACUCGUGCCACUAGACAUCCAUCAUCACUGGCCGGUAAGUAUGUGAUUUUAUGAAUACAUAUCAUACACAAUGUUGCAACUAAAUAACCAAUCUCCCGUUAUGUAGUGCCACAAGCAACCACAAGGAUCGGUCCUAUGUGGAUUCUAUGCGUGCGAGUUCAUGAGAGUGAACGGACGAUACAUCACGAACCCUGACAAGGUAUUAUUAGUAAUAGUUAAGUAUGUAUUUAUGUCAUUAAAGAUGCAAAUGUGUUAUUAUUGAGUAUAAAUAGAUGAUGUUUAUAAAAUUCCUUUACAGCAAUUUCAACGAGGAAACCCGGAGAACUUGACCGAAGCUGCAUUGUAUGGCAUAGUCGAGGACCUCUGCACAUUCAUAUUGAAAGAGGUCAUUCCCGCAGAAGGAAAAUAUCACGAUGCUUCCGGGACAUUAGCUUUGCCAGAGUUCAGAAUACUAACAGAAAUUAGUAGAUUAUCUCUUAGCCGAGAUAGUUAUUAGAGCUUAGGUGAAAACUUAUGAUGUAUAGAAUGCAUGAAGCAUAUAUGGUUGUAAACAGAAUACUUUGAUGUAUAUAAAUGUAUGAUAGAAUUUAAUUUCAUGUUGCUUUCAAUAUCAAUAUAGAUAUAUAUAUAUAUAUGUUUGUGUGUGUGUAAAUAAAUAUAUAUAUAAUUCAGUAUUGUUUGAAAUUUUGAAAAAAGGCGGGAAAACUUCCACUGGCGGUUUUAUAAAGAAAACCGCCAGUGAAAAGUGCAUUUCCACUGGCGGUUUGCUUUAUAAAACCGCCAGUGUAAAUGCAUUUCCACUGGCGGUUUUCUUUAUUCAGCCGCCAGUGGAAAUGCACUUUUCACUGGCGGUUCGUUAAGAAAACCGCCAGUGAAAAUGAACUUUUCACUGGCGGUUCCAAAAUAACCGCCAGUGGAAAUGCUGAUUUCCACUGACCCCUAGCACUGGCGGUACUGAAAAACGCCAGUGUAAAUAUGUUUAGAACCGCCACUAUAGAGCUUCUGUGUACUAGUGCGACCUGUGCACCAAUCACUGGAGAUGAACCACCUAGCGGUGUGUUCUCUGCGGGAACGCGGACGGUCCGUGUCACGGGUCCGGACGGUCCGCGACCUCGGCGUAGGAGCUGCUCCUUCCUUGCGCGUUGCCGGACGAUCCGCGACUGCGCAGAGAUCUUCUUCUCCAUGAAGAACUUGGAUCUCGCCUUUUUCUGGUUUUACAUGACUGGAUCAGAAGUUUUAGAUGAUUUUUGCUUCGAUGUACCUAUUUCUAGUUUCGAUGCUUGAAGGCGCGCGUACGUUGUGGCCUCUGCUCACUACCGGACUGUCCGCGUGGGCUCCAGACUGUCCGAGCUGAGACGCCAGACCAUCCGCGAUGCGCGAGACAGGGAGCUUUGAUCGGCUGCCUGAUCACCAUUGCCCCCCGGCAUGGGAAAUGAAAUUAUGCCACUUGCAAUAAGCACGUCUCUUUAAUUCAUCUAGAAGAGAAAUGAUAUGAGUUACCUUAAUAUUGCCACUUUUUGCUAGCUCGUCAAAUAUUUUGUUACACAUAGAAGCAUUAAAAGUAAAUUUAUCUUCUUCUUGCCGAUUCUUUUGAACCGGUUGCAAAGAAGAACAUGACGAAGGUUUGACCAUUGUUGGCCAAACAAGCUCGACGGUAUACACAUUUGCGGAUUCAUCAUCGAAACUAUUGCGCCCCACUAGAUGCAUCUAAUGGUUAGCCGAUUUUGAUGCCUCUCUACUUCGCUUUUCACAAACCAAAGCCCGCUGGUGCAAGUGCACCAACAAAAGAACUGAGUGCCAUCUAAUCUCUCUUAUAAGUAAGAUCGCAACCCAUUAAAAGCCAGUCCUGCUACCUAUUUUUCGUGACAUGAAUCUAAAAGCAUCGGUUUCUAGUGUCCUGGAACCUCCGAAUAUAGUUAUUAACCGAUUCUUUGGGCCAUGUCUGGCUGAAGCUAAAUCAGCUAAUUCUAACUCAUGUUCUCCUAAGAAAAAGUGUUAAUGAAAUUUCUACUCUAAUUCUUCCCAAGAGUUAAUAAAAUUAAGUGGCAGGGUUGCGUGCCAUGUGAAUAUGGUACCAGUCAGGAAUAACGAGAAAAAAUGGAUACAAAAGGCUUCCCUAUCAGCCAAUUUUCCUAGUUGUGCUAAGAACUAGCUUAUGUGUCCGUGCAUGCUUUUCCCUCCUUCACUAGAAAAUUUAGAGAAAUCAGGUAUCCUGGUUCCCUGUGGAUAUGGAACAUCGUCAAAUCGGUGACUAUAAGGUUUCCGAUAUGACUGCCCCAUGCCUGACACACUAACACCGAGUAUGUCCCUGAACAACCUGGCUACCUCAUCCCUAAUCUUUUCACCAUAUCUGGUGACCAUCCAUUAAGUUUGAGGGUGCAAAUCUCAGGCUAUAUGACAUUAUUUUGUCAACUUUCCUCCCAGGGAUGUUCAAGAUGCAUGUUAGGUGUCCUAUUAAUGCCACCAUCUCCUGCCUUAUAUCUCUCACGCUCUUUGGUGGCUGAAGAAUAUUCGUCUCUAUGUUUAUGAGGUGGCACGACAUGGUUAUAAUAUGCUGAUGGUGGGUAGCGUAGUGCUGCCGCGAUGGUUGCGGAAAUUGUGCAUAUUGCACAGCCCUUGGUUAUGCGUACGUGUACCUGGACGGUUCGGCCGUAUAUGGUGCUGCCUGGGUGGUCUGCGCACAGGCUUGUAUAAGGUCGGACAGUCCGGCGAUAUAUGCCAGACGAUCCGUGACGUAGCUAAACGAUCCAUCGCAAGUUGUCAUACUGUCCGCGACCAGGCCGAACGAUCCGGGGGUAUACCUAGACGUUCUGGCCGUAUACGGCGCUACCUGAGUGGUCUGCGCACGGGCCUGUGUAGGGUCGGACUAUCCGGCGAAAUACAUCGGAUGGUCCACGAUGUAACCGGACUGUCCAAGAUGACCCACAGACUGUCUAGAUGUAUCUAAAGUCGGUCGCGUGACGGGCGGCGACGGCUAUGAUGGUGACACGAACACAUGCAUCGACAUACCAUACGAUGCCUAGGUCAAAGACGACCCAUUUGCAUCCGAUGUGUUAGGAGCGGGUGGCUCCGUAUUAGAAUCAUGCGAUGGAAAACUAGAAAGAGUAGAUUUUUCAUAUGAACGUGCCCAUCCUUUAAUAGAUUCAUCUAUUUAUUGUUUUAACUGACCUCGUUGUUCUACGAAAGCCUUAAAAGAUAGAUUCGAAAUACUUACAAUGGGAGCCUGAGGUGAAGGUAGGAGAGAUUCCAUAUCGAUCUCUCCUCGACGAAUGAUGUUCUGGUAGCGGUCCACCGUGAAGUAUGAUUGGUACUUUUCCUUCGCCUUUUCGCGUCGUUCGGCGAGCUGUUGGCGCACCUCCUCAUCCUCCUUGUCGCACCGUUCGGCGAGCUGUCGCAACACCUCCUCAUCCUCCUUGUCGCGCCGUUCAGCGAGCUGACGCAUCACCUCCUCCUUAUCGUGCCUCCAUGGGCGGCUUGAUGAUGUUAGUGGUGGAGACAUUGGUGUGAUAUUUGGAAUCGGCCAUCUAGGGGGCGAUUUUGGAUAGAUCUAAACAUUGUUGUCCCCAUUGGAGUCAUCAAAAAGUAUGUUGAUGCCAUUCUAGGUGCCAAUCACUGGUGAUGGACCACCUGAUGGUGCUCUCCGCGGGAGCGUGGACGGUCCGCGGCACAGAACCAGACAGUCUGUGACCUCGGCGCAGGAGCUGCUCCUUCCCUGCGCGCUGCUGGACGGUCCGCGAUUGUCGCAGAGAUCUUAUUCUCCACGAAGUAAUAGAUCGAGAAAGAAUAAUAAUAUAGCUAGGCGAAGACUAUUGUCGGGGACCAUAAUUAGGGGUACCCUCAAGGCUCCUAAUUCUCAGCUGGUAACCCCCAUCAGCAUAAAGCUGCAAAGGCCUGAUGGGUGCGAUUAAGUCAGGGAUCGGUCCAUUCGAGGGACACGAUCACGCCUCGCCCGAGCCUAGCCUCGGACAAGGGCAGCCGACCCCGGAGGAUCUCGCCUCGCCCGAGGCCCCCCUCCAGCGGCUAACGUAUUUCCGGCUCGCCCGAGGCCCUGUCUUCGCCAAGAAGCAACCCUGACCAAAUCGCCGCGCCGACCGACCAAAUCGCAGGAGCAUUUAAUGCAAAGGCGGCCUGACGCCUUUAUCCUGACGCGCGCCCUUCAGCCGACAGAGCCGAAGUGACCGUCGUCACUUCGCCGCUCCACUGACCGGCCUGACAGAAAGACAGCGCCGCCUGCGCCGCUCCGACUGCGGUGCCACUUGACAGAGUGAGGCUGACAGACAGUCAGGCCCGGCCGCAGGCACCAUAGGAAGCUCCGCUUCGCCCGACCCAGGGCUCGGACUCGGGCUAAGCCCCGGAAGACGGCGAACUCCGUUCCGCCCGACCCAGGGCUCGGACUCGGGCUAAGUCCCGGAAGACGGCAAACUCCGCUCCGCCCGACCCAGGGCUCGGAUUUGGGCUCAGCCCCAGAAGACGACGAACUCCGCUUCGCCCGACCCUAGGGCUCGGACUCCGCCCUGCCCUCAGCCGACGGUCUCCGCCUCGCCCGACCCAGGGGCUCAGACUCGACCUCGGCCACGGAAGACAGACUCGACCUCGGCUUCGGAGGAGCUUCCACAUCGCCCAACCUAGGGCGCAGACCAGCCACGUCAACAGGAGGCGCCAUCAUCACCCUACCCCAAGCUGACUCGGGCCACGGGGAACAAGACCGGCGUCCCAUCUGGCUCGCUCCGCCAGAUAGGCAAUGAUGGCGCCCCGCAUACUUUGUGACGACAGCGGCUCUCAGCCCCCUUAUGGAAGCAAGAGGACGUCAGCAAGGACUCAACAGCUCCGACAGCUGUCCCUCCGCCAGGCUCCAGCGCUCCUCCGACGGCCACAACAUCACACCAGCUGGGUGCCAAAAUCUCUCCGGCUGCCACAACGACAUGUACUUAGGGCGCUAGCUCUCCUCCGCUAGACACGUAGCACUCUGCUACACCCCCAUUGUACACCUGGAUCCUCUCCUUACGCCUAUAAAAGGAAGGACCAGGGCCCUCUUAGAGAGGGUUGGCCGCGCGGGACGGGGACGAGACAGGCGCUCGCGUGAGGCCGCUCGCUCCCUCCCCCGUGUGGACGCUUGUAACCCCCUACUGCAAGCGCACCCGACCUGGGCGCGGGACGAACACGAAGGCCGCGGGAUUUCCACCUCUCUCACGCCCAUCUCCGGCCACCUCACUUCCCCCCUUCGCGCUCGGCCUCGCGCCGACCCAUCUGGGCUGGGGCACGCGGCGACAUUUCACUCGUCGGUUUAGGGACCCCCGGUCUCGAAACGCCGACAACUAUAUUACUCCUACUCCUAAAGAAUGGAAAGAACAGUGCAAAUAAGGUAAACUUGAUAAGUAGAUUUGAUUGAAUCGAUUGUGGGGUUCAAUCGCCCGCAUCCCUUCAUCAUAUAAAGGGGAUGUCUGGACCCGUUAUAAGUUGGUUGACGAGUUAAUCCCACAGGUUUUGCUAACAUAUUCCAAUAGAAAUCUAGAAGCCUAACUGAUUCUACGCACGUGCGGACCGUCCACGUCGGUACCGCGGACUGUCCGGUCUACAGGGCCAGACCGGCCCCCGGUGUUCAUUUUCAGCGCUCAACAGUAUGUAUACCACAGUAUACACAAACAAAUAAAAAACCUGGACAAAGAGAAUAAGAUACAAAAAAAUAACCAAUAUUUUGGACACUGCUAGUUAAUAAGUGUGCUAAAACAAGUAAAAUUCCUCAAAUGUAAAUAAAAGUCGAAGCUAUAACGCUACGACUACGAAGUUGGGGAUGCAUGGAUCGAAACAAACAAUGGUGGAAACAUUGUUGUUGCCGGGAGACCAGACGCGCAGCGCAACACAAGGAGGCCGUCGUCGUCCCUGUCCUUCCGACGGAUCCCACGUGAGUGUACAUGCAUGCAUGUGUGCAGCACAUCUGCACAUGCUAUGAGCGGGGUGUCAGGCUGCUGGUAAGGCGUGCGUCGUCUCUCCCGGUCCCGGUCCCAGCCCCGGCCAGCUUUCGCAAUCGCAAGGACGUACGCAUGCAGCAGCUAGCCACGGGACACUUCUCUCUUUAGCUAGCUAGCUUGGUGCACUGUAUGUGACCACAUGCAAUGCAAGAUGGCUGGCUUGACAGAGCGACACUGACAAGUGUACAACUAUUCCAUCAUAUAUGCACGCUUCUUGCGUGCAGCAGUCGUCGAUCCAUGGGCUGCACAGUGUCCCAACCACCGCACUAGCUAGCUAGCUGCCUAUGUGGUCCUCGGAUCCGUGCAAGGAGACGUACGUACGUUUGGCCAGCUAGCUCGUGCUUGUGUGUCUCCUGCCUCUGGAACCAUCGUAAACCUAGCUAGUAUGCAAGUAGCACGUGCGAUGUACUAUGUAUCUGUAUGGGCUGCACAGUGUGCUUGUGUGUCUCCUGCCUAUAUGUGGUUAUUGUUUUAUAUUCUGUUUGCACCCGGCCCGGUUUCAACGAUACAACAACCAAAUGCAAAUUAUAUAUAUAUAUAUAUAUAUAUAUAUAUAUAUAUAUAUAUAUAUAGGGUGAUGGUAAUGGGAGCCCUGGGCUUCCAUUAGUAUGGGAAGCCCCAGUCAGGUAUAUCUACGCGCGCUCGAUCUGGUUCUGGUUCUGAUUCUGGCUCGAGCGGAUUGUAGCGUAAAACGUAACCUAAAACAGCGUAAAUGAGUACGAAAUUUAGCGUAAAUCUUAUAUCUGUUUUGUAACAACAAACGGGGCCUAAAAUUACGGCGUAAAAAUCGCAUGCAGCCGAUCGUGCGCGGGUUCUGGCUCGGGCGGAUUCCAGCGUAAAACGUGAGCUAAAACAGCGUAAAUGGGUACGAAAUUUAGCGUAAUUCCUAUAUCUGUUUUGUAACAGCAAACGGAGCCUAAAAUUACGGCGUGAAAAUCGUGUGCACCCGAUCGUGCGCGGGUUCUGGAUCGGGUAGAUUUUAGCGUAAAACGUGAACCAAAACAUCGUAAAUGAGUACAAAUUUUAUCGUAAAUCAUCGAUCUGUUUCGUAACGACAAAUGGGUCUCGAAUUACGGCAUGAAAAUCGCCACAGGCGCUGUCUCGGGCGGAUUUCGGCAUAAAACGUGAACCAAAACAGCAUAAAUGAGUAUGAAUUUUAGCGUAAAUCAUCGAUUGAUUUCGUAACGGCAAAUGGGGACAAAUUACGGCGUAAAAAUCGUGCGCGGGUUCUGGCUCGAGCGGAUUUAAGUGUAAAUCGUGAACCAAAAUAGCGUAAAUGACGGGUUCUGGCUCGAGCGGAUUUAAGUGUAAAUCGUGAACCAAAACAGCGUAAAUGAGUAUAAAUUUUAGCGUAAAUGAAUAGAAAUAUCAGAAACAGACAAAUAGAUGGAAGCGGAUCCAUGAACUGAAAUAUAGGUCAUAAAAUCCUAUUGACAUUGGCAUAAAUAUGUAUACAAAAUAGCAUAAAAUUUUUGUAUCUCUCAGCGCAUGAGGUUGUCAUAAAACGCAUCAACAAAUUUUGUAAAUUGGUGUAAGAUACAAGUGAUCUGAGGUAAUUGUAGCGUAAAAUGCAAGCUAACCAUCUACAGGAGAACUGUUUCAGAUUUUGCAAUAAGAUAUAAGAGAUAAUUAUUCCUGUACUCAACUAUGAUAAUGUCGUGUUUACAUUUUAGCUGUUGGUACAUACAAACAAAACUUUGUUUCACCAUAACACCACUGUUAGCAAAAAAAUCUGAGUUCAAAAAGGCUCUUCCAGCUUUCCUAAUGUGGAGAAAACCACCGAGGUCCAUAUCUGCAAAUGUAACAUGAACUGUUAAUAUGAUCUUUCCUUGUUAAUAUGUCUUUUCAAGUUUGUUAUGACUACCAUAACCUAAAGUCUAAACUGAAUGCAAACUUGAGUUAGAAGAUCAGAUUACCAAAAUAAAAAUAUCUUGAGUUAGAAGAUCAGAUUAUCCCAUGUGAGUAAGCAUAAAAAUGAUAUCAAUGUUCAUAAAUAUAUCCCAUGCCAGUUAUCCCAUGCAAACCAAACAUACAAAAUAAUAGAAGGUCAAGUUCUAUGCUAAGAUUCACCAAAAUAAUUGGAGCACAGAAAGGAUGAAUUAAAACAAGAUAACCAGGGUGUAAAAAAAAUUCUACUAUCAUGGUGUACCUUGUCCAUCAUUCUGAAAACAUAGAAAAAAUGAUUCAAUGGACGAUUUAUUUGAUAUCAAUGCAAAAAAAAUUCAAUCUCAGUAGGGAUAAUGAUUUAUUAGCUCCAUACAAUAAUAAAGGCAUAUAUAACAGACAGGGAGGAUAAAAGACUAAUCCAUCAAUGCAUCAGAACAUGCAGUUAGCAUCUCCAUUACUUUUCCUCGCAUACCUAAAAAUAUGCAGGAUUAGUUGAACAUCUAGGCACAAUUGAAUACUAGGAAAUAUAUUCUAAACUCUCCCUAGAAUUCCCAAAAAUUCUUUUAUGCCUCCACAUAUAUAUUGUAUAGGUGCCAACCUGAUCGUGUAGAUAAAGGUGAUAUAAACAUUUUCAUGACCAAUUGUUUUAGGCAAUUUAUAAUCAUUGUUUCAUUUAGUUUAAUCCAGUUCGGUAUAUGGCACACAUGGAUAAAAAACAAAAUCAUCAGAGAAUAACUCUAAUCAUGACGUUGGAGUAGCUAAGUGCUCAACGCUUGGUCGAUAGUGGAAGCAGGCAACAGAAAGUGUCUAAAUGUAAUUCAAACUCACGCAAUGAUAUGUAAAGCAUCAUGAGACAACUGCCAAUUGGUAGCAAAAUGUGCCGAAAGGCUCCAACAAAUGAGGUAAGCAGAAAUGGCAUUCCUUUGAAAUGAUUACUCUUGCUGCGCAAUAGGAUAAAGUAUUAGAUAAUAUAGCAAUGGCCAAAAAGUAAUAGCUCAACCUGAAGAAACACUUCGAGCACCCUGGUCCAGCACGGCGAAAUAGGAUGGCAUUCCUUUAGCACGGAGAAGACAGUCCACCCGCCAGUGCCCACCCGCUGUCUCCAGCGAGGAUGAGAACUCUGAGAUGGUGCUCACCACAUAAACAUUCUUGUAUUUCUUCACACAUGGCGCCUCCACCACCUCAUACAUGAGAAGACAGUCAUGCAGCAACCCUAUCCAGCGAACCCCCAAUAAUCCAAAACGAGGUGAAUGACAAGACGAGAUGGCAGCAUCGCGAGGAGUGGAGAAUCGAAACGAGGGUGGACGGGAUGAAGCAGACGCACCCACCGUCGCUGGCACCGGAUCUAGCGCGGGCCUUCAGCACGGCGCCGUAGUCGCCGCCACCGGAUCUAGCGUGGGCCUUCAGCACAGUGUCGUAGUCGCCGCCACCGCUGUCCUCUUCCUCCACGGCGGCACCGUCCUGCCCUUGCGACGCUUGUCCACCCCCAGCAGCAUCACGCGAAGCCGAUUGGGCGAGAACCCAUUGCCCCUGUUACAGCAAAGCAAGCGAGGCACACGGGGCGUGUCGUCCACGACCGUCGCUAAAUCAUGUGUAGGGCCAUCUCGCCCAGAUCUGGCUGACACAGAACACCUCUGCCUCCAAGCGCCGCCGGAGCAAAGAAGGAACCGAUGCCCUAGAAGCGGUUCGCGAGCGCCCAGGUGAGCUCGCCGUCAUAUCGUCGGCUUUGAGGGACGUGCUGCCAUAGUGGAGGCGGGAGGAGGGGUCGGUGGAGGCAGAUGAACUCAUCGGAGUAGGAGCCUGCGGCGGCGCGGAACAUCGUCGUGCGGGCGCAGAUCGCCCAGAUGCGUUUGCGCAGUGCGAGAAAGACGGAGGUGGAUGGCGAAAAAACGGCGGCGGCUGUGUGCGAUCGUAGGGUUUGGUUAAUGGGCUUUUAAAUGGGCCACAACGGUUCGGUGGGAAAGUCUCAGAUGUAUAUGGUUGGACCGAGAGACACCGACCAGGGCUUUCUCUAGUUGUUGGGAGCCCAGGGCUCUUAAUACAUAAACUAUAUAUAUAUAUAUAUAUAUAUAUAUAUAUAUAUAUAUAUAUAUAUAUAUAUAUAUAUAUAUAUAUAUAUAUAUAUAUAUAUAUAUAGUUUAUAUACUAAGAGCCCUGGGCUUCCAAUAAUAGAGAAAGCCUAGGCUAGUCAAUAUGAUUAUUUGGGUUGAACCAGACCUGGUCAACAGUAUCCGGUCACGACGCCGUUACACCGUUGCCCAUGUCAGUCCCAGCCACGAUCCCUUGUUUCCCGGUUUCUAAAACCGUCUUCGCGCAAUCAGCCUAGGGAAACCCGCGUCGAUAGGAAGGAAACCCCACUGACCGCGCCGUCCUUCCUUGCGUCUGAGGCGACUCGCCAGCGAUUUCCGCCGCUCCAAUCCAGCGCCGCUCGAAUCCAGCUGAGCUCCUUCAAUCUCCGAGCAUUGGAGCCCGAUUCAAGAGCGUCCAAUGCUUUCCCAGAAGUUCCAGGUAAUCCAACUUGAAAUACAUCGUGUUUUCCGUCGAUUCUUGAAGCAUUUUUCGUUGAUUGAAGUGGAUUUGAUUGUAACCCUUAUUCUUCGUCUAAAUGUGUGAUUUGUAUCCGAUUAUACAUCUCUCUAAUCUGCUUAUUGCGUCGCUCAUUGCAUCUAUCUUUUGUUCAGGAGCCCCGAUCUUAGGGCAUCUGCAUUUCUUCUAGAUCCAGUGUAUCUCUCGACAUUCAUAGACCUAGACGAAGGCAGUGGAUCAGGUAUUUAUUCAUGAGUUUGCAUAGAGUACAUUUAUACAACAUUAGUAACACAUAUAUGCUUAUUGUAUUUGAUAUAUAUGCAUAUCGUCAAGACUGUUUAUGCACAUUUGUACAAAUGUUUUGAAUAUUGGUCGAGAUAAUAUGCAUAAUUGUAUUGUUCUAUUUACUUCAAUCAUUAGUUUACACACAUGUUGUAUUAUAUAUAAAAUAUACUUAUUGGAUUUGAUAUUUAUGCAUAUCGGCAAUAUUGUCUAUGCUCAUUUGUACAGAUGUUUAUGUAAGGUAAUAAGCAUAAUUGUAUUGUUCUAUUUAACUGAAUCAGUAGUAUACACUACUGUUUAUUAUAUAUAAAUACAUACAGAAACUGUUAUUUAUGCAAAAGUUAUUUAAAUAUUCAUUUUUGAAUAUGAGCUAAAUGUGUAUAUUACUAUGAACCAGUUAUUAAAACAUGUUGUAUAGUUAGUUGAUGCAAAAAGACACUUAUUUUAUCAUGCUCCAGUUCCAAUUAUAUGAAAUAUUAAAUUAAUCUUUAUGUUUGUAUAUAUAACCAUUGUUCAUUAAAUGCUGUCACAUAAAUGUAAAAGGUAGUUUAAGUUAUGUAAUUCCAUUUAGCAUUAUGUAGUAAGCAUUGUAGAUAGUUAUAGUAAAAAUUAGAGUUUUUUUGGCAUAUAUUCAUGCAUAAAUCACUGUAUUUAAAAACAACUUUUUUUCAACAGAUUUAUUCAGUGUUUAAUCAUGAGAUCUGUUGAUCGCCCUCCAAGUAAUCCAAAAAGAUUAACCAUUGAAUCCAGUCAGGAGGUUUUUUCCAUUGACAUUUCCAGACGUACAAGAUCUAGCAGUUCAGCUCACCAAGAUGAUAAUCCACAUAAUCAGAAGCAGAAUGAGCCACAACCAACACCAAUCCAUCGUUUUCGCAGAAAGGUUUUAGCUUGUCGUGUAAAAAGAAAACCUCCUUCUGCUCCAUCCACACUGUUCGACGACGAUUUCAUGGAUGCUCCAUCGUUGAAGCGCCAAUUCAGAUCAACCUCACCUUCCCCUAUAGAAAAAACAGUGCAAAGAAGAUAAAGGUCCCUUCUCCACAAGUUCCGAGUGUGAAAAGCAGUCCAAAGUUUGAUAUAGAUGCCAAGUCUAAUAUCAUUACAAAAAAGUUCUCCUAAACAGAAGACUCCUAGAAAAUCCCAGGUACUAUGUAUAUAUUUCUGUUUAUUUUAUGUGUUAAUUUUGGUGCCCAAUCAAUUUUGUAUUUCCCCCCAAGUUACAUUUAUGUAUAUUAUUAUCUCAAAGUAUGCUGUUUAUUUUUUUUAGUGUUGUAGAAUAGUUAUUCACAAGGCUCUAAUAAAUAUCAAUUGUAUGUAUAUAUAGUAUCCUUAGUUAUAACAAUAUAUAUGCCUUGUGUAUUAAUGCAUAUUCAUUUAUGCUUUCAGAAAUUGAAUAUCCGCUGCAUUCCUUAUGAUGUUAUUGUCUCAACUUGGAUAAUGAGCGAUCGGCAGCGCGAUGCAGUCGCUAGGUUGGGAUUUUCCAGUAUAUUUGAUUUGCGAACUGAUGCCUUAGAGAGCAGAUCUCUCAUUAGGUGGUUGAUGGAUAAAUUGGAUCCACAUGACAUGACCAUACGCCCAGGGGCUGGCAAGGAACUGAAGAUAACAAAAGAGACAGUUCGUCUUAUUUUGGGUUUGCCAUGUGUUGGAGGGGGCAGGGAGUUUACUGAUUGGUAUGGUGAAGUGGAUGCUGCUGCAAAACUUAGACGUGAUCUCAAAGUUGGUAAAGAAGAAUUUGAUGUUGUCAAGCUUCAGGACAAGAUAGUGCUUGGCACUGAUGACGAGUUAUCAAUCAGAUGCUUUUUUCUGAUUCUAUUCAAUCGACUUCUUUUUCCAUCUGCUUCAUGGGGUAUUACAAACAAUGAGGUACUAAUGACUUCAAACAUGGCCCGAAUGGCUGAUAUUGACUGGUGUCAACUAGUUUACACGGAUUUGUGUGAUGCUGCCACACGUUGGCACAAAAGGAACAAAACAAACAUUACAGCAACAAUAUAUGGAUGUUCACUCAUAGUUCUAGUAAGUAAUUAUUUUGUUCACUGUGCAUAUAUAUGAUAUGCAAAUAUUUGUUUUGUACUAAGUUUAUAUUUUUUCAUUCAUUUUUUUCAGAUUUACUAUCUUGAUCACUUACAUCACCCUGCAUCUCCUGAUAACAAAUAUGGUACUCCCCGCAUUAAGUUUUUUGAUAAUGAGACCAUAAGAGAUUUGGCAAGGGGUGACAGACGUCCACCCCAUAAAACUGGUGAACCAUUUGGCUAUGCAGAGGUUAGACAUAUCCAUUUUUUGUCCUGUUUUGCAGAAGUUUCAAUUUUAAUUACUGCUAACAGUUGUAACUAGGCUUUAUACAGUUUCUUAGCCGUUCAGAAACGUGUUACGUCAUUGCACCAGAACGGCCCGUUUCUGCCGUUUUCAACAUAUAUGUGCCACGUAUCAAGCAUUUGAUUGGCAACAAGUUGAAAUGUUUGCCCUCUCAGCAUCGACCAAUGUUUGAAUCAAUGUUUGACGCUCAUGACAAAGAGGUGGAUAAGUACUGUGAUUCUCUUCAGCUGAGCCAUCAGAUGAUUGUUUUGAAGCAGAUUGAACUAUCUGAAACAUUUGGUGAAAUGAUCGAUGAAGUCCUGAGAGCUGCAACAGCGCGAUUCACAACAAGAAGGUUUUGUUAUUUAUGUUUAUUUUUUUAUAUUAAUCAAGCUCACGAAUUAUUGCGGGGAAAAUUAUAUUUAGUUAUAUGAUCUCAGAUACUUUAGUUUAUACAGCAUUGUAUAUAUAACUUAUGCAUUAAUUUAUACUCAUACAGUCACCAACACAUUACAUUUGAUUUUAUUUUGAUAGAUCUCAUUUAUUUAUGCAUCCUGAUAGUAUAUUGAUGUAGUUUGCGAUGAUGUGUAUGUUUAACCUUUUUUUAACGAUACAUUUAUAUUUCUGGUUCAUUUCAGUAACAACUACUUUAUUAUUAUAUUUUCCAAAUGUAGGUAUCCCCCCACUACGUCAAUGUCUCCAACAAAUGCUCCAGUAUCCUCUCCACCUGUUCCAACCCAUGAUAAUAAGCAACAUGAUCAGUAAGUACAUGUUCCUUCUGAUGAUAUCAAAGUAUCAGAACAGGUAAGUUUUUUCAUUCAAACUUUAUAUAUAAAUCAUGUAUUAAAUAUAACAUACAAGUUAUUGUUUACUCAAAUUUUCUAUGUUUCCAUUACAGAUUGUCAGUAGAAAAGUUUGUGAAAAAAAUUCAGUUAUGGAUGCCCCUAUUUUUGACAAGACUCCAAAAUCCCAUGUUUGUUUUCCUUUAUUCACAGUUAUUAUAUUUUUCAAUUACAAUUUAUGCCAGUAACAAUAAUAUAUAUGCAUGUUUUUAUUUACUUUAUUCACUAGGCUCCCACAACCGACAAGCUUGCUGCUCCUGAAUUAACUCCAAACAUAAAUACUGUCAGUAUUUAUACCUUCAUCAUAUCAUGUUAAUAUUAGUUAGAACCUAUGUUUGAUUACGUUUAUAUUUAUAAUUUUAUUGUUUUUUAGGAAGGACAAAAAACUGUUAAACAUGAUACUCCCGUAUCUGGUGCACCCAGUUUGACAAAACCCCAUUGACAGAAGUAAGUCAUGUAAUUUCAUCUUAUUAUAUUAUAUAUAUAUAUACACACACUAAAAUACAUAACAAUUUAUGCCAUUCAUUACUAACAAUUAUAUAUAUAUUAGGCAACUACUGAACUUGUUGCAAAGGAUAGUCCCUCUAAAUCUAAGGUUGCUGAUCUUCCCCACGUAUCGCGCGAAGAAUGUGCUCGCAAACUAUAUAAAUUCAUUUUAUCAGGACAACUAGAUCCGAGCAUGUAUGUAUUCGUUAUCCAAACUUCAAUUAAGUAUAAUUAGAUGAUUUCUAAUUAAAGUUUCAUUUUUUCCUAGGUCCAUCAUUGAUUUUGGAGGAUUUGGAGGUUCUGUCCUCGAUGUUGUCCAAUCGUUUGGUCCUAAUAAAUGCCUUGAGAAUAUUUUCAUGCAGGGUUUUAUCGACUGUAUUCGUGAUGAUGAUGUAUUAUACAAUCCAGAUACAUUAAUCAACACUCUAAUUUUGAAUGUCAAUGUUGGGGUAUUUUUUUAUCUACAACUUUGUAUCAUAUUUUAACCCUUACUGUAUAAAUAUAUAAUACUAAUCACUAUAUUUUUUGUCCAGACCGUUUUGAAUAUCGAGGAGUUUGAACAGCACAGUUCAAAUCCCCAGCCCUUCUCAACAUCAGUUCUUAAAGAACAACUAGUACCGAUGCUUCCUCCAGAUGAAGUUCUGAACCAAAUAAAAUUGGUGAGCCCCAAUCAGUUUUAUUUGUAAGAAUAUUUUAAUGUUCUGCUGGUUAUAAUUUAUAUUUUACGUUAUCUUUAAUUUUCCAUACACCUCUUAUUGUUCAUUCAUAAACUUAUACAUAUACGUUGACAGAUACUGGUUCCUAUGCUACGCCGUAGCCACUGGACCCUUUAUGCAAUCAACUUUGAACUUCGUCGAAUAGACAUUCUAGAUUCAAAUCCUUAUGGGACAUUGCUUGGAGGCACUACCUGGAAACAAAUCCACAAUGAUCAAUUGCUGAUAAAUGGAACAAAGGUACCUUGGUCCAGAUUAAUAAUGAGAAGACUUAGCAUUGCGUUACAUGAAGCUCGACCAGAUUCAAGUAUACCAAAGUUUGGCAACUACAAGAUUGGCCUUCUUCCCAAUUGUCCAACCAUGUCUCCAGGGUCAAAUGAUUGUGGUUUUUUUGUCGCAAACUUCCUCCGAUGCUACGAUUUUGAUGAUGGCGACUUAUCAGAAUUUGUUGUACCUGUAUGUUUACUAAAUUAGUGUUUUGAUCAUGCAUAUAUUACUCCUUCAUAUGUAUUCUUAGCAUUAAUUCAUCUAUUAUGAUUAUUUCAGGAUGAACCAUUGGACCAACGCGCCUUUGUUCUGCAUUACCUGACCUUUCAUUGCAACAACAGGGUUUGCCCCCUCCCUGUAGAACUGCUGCCUUUCAAGUAUGUUCCAAGGAAACGACGUUGUUCGAAAGCCAAGACUUAGAUAUCACAGCUAAACUUGAUUCCCUAUGGGAUCCCCAAAAUGUUUAUGUUACUUAAGUCACUUAUGUUAGGUGUUGCUCAUGUGUAUGAUACUCCCCAUGACACUUAUGUCUGAUGUGUCCAGUGUCUAUGCUACUUCGUAUCAGUUUCUGUUUCAAGUGUGUAAAACAUAAGUGUUCCCAGACUGUAUACGUAUGGUAUCUGUUAUGAACUUAUAUGGUUUUCAUUUCCAGAUUGUGAGAUGGUUAAUCGUUUUUGCCCAAUGUUUGGCGUAUUUCUAUUAUCAUAUUAUAUUUAAUAUUCAAGUUUUAUGCAACCUAUAUACUGUCGUAUUUUAUAUACAAUAGGUCAAUUUUUUACACAUUUACCAUGCUAAUUAUGCUAACUGUGACCAAUGCUUAUGCUACAACCUUUCCUCGUGUAUAUGUAGUGUGAACCCCGAAGUAUGCACUCUCAUUUGCUUAGUUAUGUUAAGUGUAUUGAGUAUUUAUACCAUUUAUGUCAAGAUCGGCCGGUUGCUGAACUUUUCAAUGCCAAGUGUUGGUAUAUAUUCAGUUUUCAUAAUUUGUGUAAUGGUCUAGUUUACGCAACAUAUAAUAGUAUUAUAUCAACGCAUUAUAUAAACCAUCCAUGCAAAAUAUUAAUUUCCAAAAACUAAAACAUAGGUCAUUGUGCUAUUACAACUUUAUACUACAUCGACCACUCUUUAGUCACACUUCAAAUUAUUCACCCAAUUCCAUAUGCUCAGCGGCUUAUUCAAUUUCUACUUCUUCAUCAAUAUGAUGUUUUUUAGCAGUCGAUGUUUCAUUCCACUGUGGAGCAGUUGUUUUAUUGUUUAGUCUUGAUCCGGCUGGUCGUCCUCUCUUUCAAUUAGCCAGUUUUGCUAGUCUUGCCCUGUUCUCUUCCACAGACAGACACGUUCUGCUGUUAUGUCCAUCUGCUAUCCCACACAAUUGGCAUCUCAUAUUCUUCUUUUUUUCUCCUUUCGCACCUAGUUUCAUAAUCCUAUCUUUUGUAUUUUUUAUUGUCCGUCCUUUUGGCCUUGCACGAUCCGGCAUACUCAGAUUUAUAACAUCCACAUUAAAAUUCAACCUCUGUAUAAUAAAAGAAGUUCUUAAUUAGCAUACGCAUAUUUACAUAAAGUAUCUUUAUACUGAUCAGUAAAAUCCUUUUUCAAUGGUCACCUUCUUAGCUUCUGAAGAUGCACCAAUAUGUUCCAUUUGUUCAUGUGCUACGUGACACGGAGAACUUGUAUCACCAACCUCAGGUGGAAAUCUCAGGUUGUCCACCUACAUAGCACAACCCACAUACAUCAACAUUUCCAUGCAGCAUAAACAUAUAUUUUCAUUAUAUACAAAUGAACAAAUUUUUUUAAUAUGUACCUGGUUACCAGAUGUUAUUACUGUUAACGCAUGUUCACAUCCAGUUAUGGUGUUAUGCUCAUCCUACAACAUAAAAUUUGCUUAGUACAUUGAUUUUAUAUAUUCAUUAUAUACAAUACUUCAUGCAAUAUUAUAUAUUUAUCUUUUACAUACCAUUUUUUGGCAUGUAAUUGUAUUGUCAUCUUCCAUCCCAUCGCCAGCAUUAUUAUUAUUUAAUUCUCCUUCCUGGUUCAAAUAAUAUGUUACCAUGCAUACUAUAUGUUACAAAUAAUAUAACAUUUAAACAACUGGAAUAUUAUUACCUUGUUUUUUCCUCAUCAUCACUAACAUCAUAUGACUCAUUACAUCCAAUAUCUGGCUCUAAUCGGCAUAGAACGCCAUCGAGCUCAUCCAACACAUCCAUUGCCUUAUCGUACCCUACUUUUGACAUACACGCCUGGCGAACCACUUUCAUUGUUUUCGUUAGCAACAUUUUCUGUCUGUAUGAUUUAGUAACUCCAUCCUUUCCCCUGAAGCUCUUAUCAAUUCUUUCAAACGGUACAUCUUUUCUUGAUGAGACAGUGUACCUUUGCAAUAUAUACUUUGUAGGUAUCUUUUCUACUUGAAGAUGCAUGAAGGCUCUUAAAAGAUGAACACACAAUAGACCUUAAAACAAAUUAAAACCAACCCUUAUUUUUAAUGAUAUAUUAAUUUGUACUUCAAUAAACAAAUUAUUUAGCAUGCAAAUUUACUAUUUUACUCAACACAAUAUGUACAAACCUGUAUGUUCCCACUGUUUGCACUCGCAUGUAUACUCCCCAGCUUCUAUGUCCGCUGUUAUCUUGAAUUGAUGUUGUCCCCACACAAUUUUAUUAGACCGUUUUGUAUGUUGUACGAUCCAAUCUUUAUCACAACCGUCUGUGUCCUUUAAUAUUUUGUAUGCAGUGGCGUAUUUCAUUGAUUCCUCAAAUCUAUUCAUAACAGCUCUGGUGUAUGCUCUAGACACUCUUACUUCGAACCUAUACAAUGUAUCUGUUGUCCUUGGUCCCUAUAAGACGUUAUUAUCAUAAUUAAACAUAGUAUUUACAUAAACAUGUAUGUCGUACAGUAAUAAUAAUAAGCACGACAUACCUUGCUCAUCAAUGCCUCCUUUGAUUCUUUCAUUUUCCUGUUGUGCAACAUUUUCAUCAUUUGUUUAGCGAACUCAUGCAGAGGGGUGUUCGCAUCUACAUAUGAUUGCUUCACUAAUUUGUUCAUGCUCUCACUUCGUUGUGUAGAUACCAUUACCCCACAGAAGUCAUUUUUAAAAAAUGCUGGUAUCCAUUCUUUCCUUAUUUCAUAUAGUUUGCGUAGAGUCAUACCUUCAUGAAGAUUGAACUCCUCUAGCAUCAUUUCCCAGGCACAUUCAAACUCAUGAGGAGUUAAUGGAUGAUGUAUAAUAGAUUGGAAUGUUGUUUUAAAAUCCUUAUCAACAAACCUUGCAUAUAUCUCAUUUAAGAAUGACAUAAAUCUGUUCUGGACAUGCCAUAAACACAGUCUGUGAACUGUUUUUGGAAAUACAGUUCUUAGAGCAAUUGGCAUUGUAGGAUCUUGAUCUGCAAUUGCUCACAAACUAUUAAUUUACUUUCACAAUAAAUUAAUUCACUUUUUUGCAUAACAAAUUGACAUACAUCAUACCUGUUAGCAUAACUCUCGGACCCUCGCAUCCCAUACAUGUUUUGAAUGAAUUGAAAGCCCAUUCAAAAGUCUGCACUGUUUCAUCUCCCAACAAAACAAAUCCAAACACUGUACACUGCAGAUGGCUGUUAGCUCCAACAAACAUGCCCAGUGGUUUAUCAUAUAUAUUUGUCUUGUGUGUUGUAUCAAAUGUCACAGCAUCCCCAUAAUCUGCAUAUUCCCCCUGCAUACUUGCGUGUGACCAAAAAAUACUCACUAUUUUUCCAUCAUUGUCUAGCUGAAAAUCACAAAAAAUUGCGGAUUCUGUUUCUUGCAUUCUGUAAAGAAAGCCAAAAGUUUGGCUACAUCAUUUGCGCAGUUUUCUCGUCUCCUUGCUGCCCUCCUACAUUUGUUUGCACAAAAAAUGGUUAUACAAACAUUUGCUAUAGUAAUAUUUAUGGCACUAAAUGUAUACACAUGAAACAAAAAAUAUUGCUUACAUAUUUUUCAGAUCUUGAGCAGUUACCGGUACAUUCUCUGGCGCAUCAUGCAUUUCUGAUAUAAAAUCAACUAUGCAAUGCUGCGGCACUCGGCUAUCAUGCAUUGCAUCAAUAAAAUUUAUGAAUUCAGCAUCCCUACUUUUGUUGCAACAUAAAUGUUGUUUCUCUGCUUCGUCAGUUAUGAACUCAUGGUUAUGCUCCAAGUUUACCAUCUCAAUUUUUGCAGCUACAACCAAUUUUUGUUCAUCAUCAUAUAUUUUUUUUAAUUUUAUUCCAGCCUUACAUUGCGUACGCCCCGAAGUCCUAUUCCUCAUCCUAGGUGUAUCAUUUGAUUUUGGUGCACUUUUACCUUCACGUGAACAAUUUAUCCACUUACUGAAUGUCUUCUCUCUGUAUUUCUUCAGUGGAAAUCCAACUUCAUAUGCAUACCUUUUAUAGAAUUUAUAUGCAUCAUCAACAUCCUUGAAAGUCAUCCCUACCAUUGGCACUAUAGUUGGAUCAAUGUUUUUUUCCUACAAAUUAAUUGACAUUGUUGUUUGUACGAUGGAAUAUGAUCAUAACAAUCUAAUCAAUCAAGAAUCAAACACAACAAUUGGACUUACAUGUGAAUGCAGUAUUUGAGGCGUAUCCAUCUCCCUGGAGCUAAUAUUGGACAUAGGAGGUCGGACCCUUUGUUCUCCUUCUUCCCCUAUGCUCAUCUCGUCGAUUACAGGACCCGGUAGAGCAGGAGGUGGUGUGACCAGUGAGUUACCAUCAACUCCUCCCUCUGUCUCUGGAUCAAGAUGAACGCCACCUUCUACCAUCGCCGGCGACUCUCCAGAGCCGGCCAUCUCCACCUCCAAAUGGUUAUGCAGGCUUUGUGGUGUUUUUUCCGAUGAAAGGAAAUCACAGAUACUAUACAAGUAACCGCAUCCACGUUUCCAGAGUUUUUCCAUUAUUUUCCGAAACCGUCCCGAUACUCUAGCGAUGUACAUAUAAAACUAAUUUCCCUAACACAAUACUUACGAACAAUGACUCAACAUUUUAUGCCACAACGUAUAUACUAUUUAUGCACUUUUUGUACAUUACCGAUUUUAUGACAUAUCCUUCAACAUCUUAUUCUACAUUCUAUUUACCCGCCACCAUGCAAGAUCCAUAAAUUUCGCGCCCACGUAACAGAGUAAUCACGUUUGCAUGUGGAAAUUAUUCCCUAUAAUUCCGCACCACUUCCAAAUGUUUACCGCCUUGCCAUUGAACCAACCGCGUAACGGCGUCGUCUGCCCUGCAUGCCGUCUGUCCGCGUAACACAGGCACGCUUGUCUCAGCGGACCAGACCACGUAACCGACCUGGGCUUUCUUUAAUAUCCGAAGCCCAGGGCUCCCGUUAUACCUGCCCUAUAUAUAUAUGUAAGGUAGGAUCAAUUUUACAUACAAAAUGAUAUUAGUAUCAUCACAUAAUAAUACUCUAAAUAAGACACAUAUAAGUGUACUAUAACAAUCUACAGUUAUAGCGGAACCAAAUUAACCUUAAGGAGCAUAACUAAUAGACCCAAAGCUCUAGCCAUCUAAUUGAUGCCUAAGUCAGACUCUACAAGUGGAGCCAGAAAUUUUUUUAGGAGUUACUGAACUAAACCGCUAUAGUAUAUGAGCACCUACUAUAUUAUAAUGUGUACAUUUUAAAUUUUAGGGGGGGGGGACUUGAGUCAUCGGGCUCAAUGGAACUCUGGGAGCGGUAGAGGAGGCUUUAAUUGAGCCCUGCUCGUCCUACCGAUCCCUUCGUCCCCGCUCAAGGUGUUGCAUAACUUAUUACUUUAUUAGUGCACUUCGGAUCCUCCUCAUCGUGCUAUAUAUAAUAUAUGUAAAGCACACAACCAAGGUCUAAAAUAUAAUGUGAAAGCUUGGGGACGAUGGAGAUACAAACUCAAGUUGACGAUUCUAGUAUCUUUACUGAGGUAUCGAGAUGUGCCUCCCUAGUCUAAUUGUAUGGCAAGAAUCUUAUGACUAAACUAUUGUUCUACAAGAGUCUAAAACCCUUGAAAUUUCCUGAAAUACUAAUAGCUUAUAUUUUACGAGAUGUACGACCCAAGUAAAUUUACUAUAUUCGUCAAUAAAGGUUACAUAAUAUUUUUUUGGACUUACACUUUCUGCUGACUCUUAGAUUGCUAUAUUUAUUAAACGACCUACUAACAUUGCAAACUUCCUUUACUAUUGAAAUUGGAAGUGGAUAUAGCCCUCGUAUGCAUCUCCCUAUAAGCAUAAUUGUCUUAGUUUUCUUAUCUUUAAUGAGAAAGAAAGUAGGAUUACUUCAAUAAAGAUUGAGUUAUCUGAUAUGAGUCAAUGGACAGUGACAAUUUUUUUCUUGUAUUUGGUAAUGUAUAUACAUCUUUUAGUAUAAAACAAUCAUAAUGAGUAGUAAAUAAAGUAUGAUCAAAUUAACUUUUUAGUACCUGAUCCACUUGCGACGUGAAUUUGAUCUCCACUACACUAAAAACAUAAACUUCCUACGGUUUUUUAACUUCCUAUAGCUCCUUAAUAGUUGUUUCUCAUAGCGAGCUUUCUAGCUCUCUAGUUAUGUGAUCGAUGGCACUGAAUCUAUGUACUAGCUUGGAUCAGUAUGAUAAGAGCCUAUAUCAAACACAACAAGUUUUUGAUCUAGGAUAAACUUUUAUCAAACAUGUGCCAGUACUCAAUAGCUAUGUGAUUUUACUUGAAACAAACUUGACAGACGAAUUGCUGCUCUAAUAUGCUAGAGCUCUAGUUAGAGCUGCCAGCCCCCCUAUUCUUACACUAUAUAUAUAAGAUUGAAUUAGGGUCGGGCUCUAUUUCUAUUAAUUUUUGAAUCAAAAUAUAUAUAUAUAUAGUUUAUAUAUUAAGAGCCCUUAGCUUCCAAUAACUAGAGGAAUCCCAGGUCGGACGGUGCAAUCCGGUCGAGCCAGAUCACGUCCGGACGUCUAUAAAACAGGACCCGGAGUGCUAGGGUUCAGUUUUUUACGCUCCACCCCGAUUCAUUAGCGACGCCGCGUGCGACGACGGCGGUUGCCCCAGAGUGUGCGGUGGCCGUAGCUCCAUGACCUCGACGCACGGUGGCGGAGGCUCCUCGAUCCGAAGUAGUGGCGGCGGUUCUCAGGUCGGUGGCGGCGGCUCCCCGAUCCAGAGGGCGAGCGACAACGGGGCCCUUGUGCGGGCAAGCGGCGGUGUCCCCGAGGCCCCGAGGAGGCGGCACUUCCAAGGCCGGCGAGCAAGCGGCGCCCGUCGACGUGCGAGUAGCGAUGGCGACGCAUGAGGCGCGAGGUUCGAGCGAGCGGCGUCACGGAAGGCGCGAGAUGCGUGCAGCGAUGAUCGCGCGUGACAUACUCCAAUCUGGCGCAGUUUGGGCGGCCCGAGUGACGACCUACAUUUGUGCUUGUGUUAUCGACGACGUCCUCCGGCCACUACCUCCUUCGAUUCGUGUUUUCUUUUCGAUUAUUAUGUUUUAUGCUUGAACACGGAGUUCGUAUAUCAGUUUACUGCAUGCAUAUUUUUUGCAUGCACAUUGGAAAGGUAAUUCCUUAAUUUAUGUUGUUCAUAAUUUGCGCGCAUGCAAUGGAAACUCCCACGAUUUUGCCAUAAUUUUUGGAUCUGUAUAAAAAUAGAAACCGCAUGCAUGCGACUGCCAUGUUUUUCGGAUCUAUCAUAAAAAUAGGAUCGUAAUAACAAGAUACUAGAGCUAUCAACCUCUUGCAUUGACUUAAUAUUUACGCUUAUAAUUGAGGGAUUUUAUGCUCAAAACUUAAGGUUUUUCCGCUCCACCCGGAGAUGCGUCCACCAGUGAACAACAUUCCAGAUUUUUUACGCAGUGAAACGAAUUGCAUAAAUAACUACACCGUGUAGUAUAAUUUGUAUCAGUAUAUAUCGUGAACUAGUUCUAAUGCGUUUAGUUGCAUGGCUGUUGGAGGGAUCUUAUAUUUAUGAAGGAAAUAAAACAUUAAAUACAAUUUUUUGUUUCUAUGCAUGUAAUUCAUUUCCUUUCAUUGCAUAUUCUUUCCAUCAUAAAUUCAUGCGCAUGCAGACGGUAACAGAUUUUUAUGCAGUAUACCGAAUUGCAUAAUUAUCUACACAGUGUAGCAUAUAUAGUAUCAGUAUAUAUAUAUCAUAAAAUGAUCAUUACGAGUCUAGCUACAUGGCCGUUGCAGCGAUCCUAAAUUUAUGGAGGAAAUAAAGCAUUUAAAAAUAGAAAUCGCCAUAUAUAUCUUUAAUAAAUUUACGUGCAUGCAAGGGAACGUGUUUGACCAAUGCAUACAUUUUGCCAUAUUUUUUGGAUCUGUAUAAAAAUAGAAACCGCAUGCAUGCGGCUGCCAGGUUUUUUGGAUCUGCCAUAAAAAUAAGAUCGUAAUAACAACCUACUAGAGCUAUCAACCUCUAACAUUGGCUCGAUAUUUACGCUUAUAAUUGAGAGAUUUUAUGCUCGAAACUUAAGGUUAUUACGCUCCAACCCGGAGAUGCGUCCACCAGUGAACAACAUGCCAGAUUUUUUACGCAGUGUAACGAAUUGCAUAAAUAUCUACACCGUGUAGUAUAAUUUGUAUUGGUAUAUAUCAUAAACUAGUUCUAAUGUGGUUAGCUGCAUGGCUGUUGGAGGGAUCCUAUAUUUAUGAAGGAAAUAAAACAUUAAAUAUGAUUUUUUGUUUUUAUGCGUGCAAUUUAUUUCCUUUCAUUGCACAUUAUUUCCAUCAUAAAUUCAUGCGCAUACAGCUGGUAACAGAUUUUUACGCAGUAUACCGAAUUACAUAAUUAUCUACACAUGAUAGCAUAUUUAGUAGCAGUAUAUAUCAUAAAAUGGUCCUUACGAGUCUAGCUGCAUGACUGUUGCAGCGAUCCUAAAUUUAUGGAGGAAAUAAAGCAUUUAAAAAUAGAAACCGCCACACAUAUCUUUCCUAAAUUUACGCGCAUGCAAGGGAACGUGUUUGACUCAUGCAUGCAUUUCUUUUCUGCGCGCACAGACAUGGGGCGGAUGGCGCAACCGACAACCUUGUUCAGUCGACGCGCUGGGUUGAAACAGGUUGCAGGGGUGACGGCCUGGGCUUCCUUUAACUAUUGGAAGCCUAGGGCUCCCAUUAUACCUGCUAUAUAUAUAUAUAUAUAUAUAUAUAUGACAAUGGACUCUAAAUUUGUACACUAUAAAAUUUAAGGAUAAGAUUGAAUUAGGGUCGGGCUCUAUUUCUAUUAAUUUUUGAACCAAAAUUAUUUAGAGCCCUAAGAAAUUGUGAAGAAACAUUUGGAUCGCUAUCCAUUAACACCCCUACCUAUAUAUGUUAGCAUGUCAAUUCAAGGUCCAAUAAAAGAGAAAUAAAAGAGAAACUCGCAUAUAAUAGUAAAAUAUAUAUGUUAAUGUCAUGGAUUGUAGAAAUCAACUUCACUCAAGAAGACAACUGGGGCUACUAUACUCCAUGAUCAAGCAUCACUAUAUAUAUAUAUAUAUAUAUACACACACACGCUAUUCAUCAUCCUAGGUGAAGCUUCACCCAACUAUUGAUACUGAAUGAUCUUCAGUCAUUACUGUGAAAUGACCGAGCAAUCUUUAGCCAUUACCGGUUGGAAAAUGCAUCAACGAUCCUCAAACUUGGCACGAUUUAUCACUUGCGUAUCCUAACUCAAAAAACCAGGAAAACGAGUCUUGAACUUGGUCGACCCAUGCAAAAUCGGGUUUGCUCAAACUAGAUGUUGAUGUGGCAUGCCACGUUGGAGCGCACUAAAGAAAGUUCGAUUACUCAAGUGACAUAAAAUGCCAAGUUCGGGGACCUAAAGUGACACAACAUGUCAAGUUUAGGGACUGCACAUACCAGGUGGCGCACGACGCGCAUAGGGGGAGGUUCUAGCAUGGCACGCGACGUCGCAUCCGGUUGAGCAAAUCCAGUUUUAGAUGAUUUUGAAUGGGUCGACCAAGUUUAGGAUUCGUUUUCCUAGUUUUCUGAGUUCAGAAACCCAAGUGACACAUCGUGCCAAGUUCGAGGCCCAUUGAUGCACUUUGCUUACAUAUAUACUCGUUUAAAGCAUGAGUUUCGUGUAUUGUGUGUCAUACACGAAGCACAUAUAUCUAAUUUUCUCUCCCAAGUUUCGUCUAACAACUAGAUAAGAUAAGCCUUACCUCUUGCAUGAGCAACCAACCAUACAACCACCACGAGUGCUUUCUCCUCCCCCUUGUUGAUGAUGUCGUAUAUUAACCUCAACAACCUACCAUCUCUUUCCUCGUCUGCUUCUUCCUCACCCAAAUUCUUCUGUACCACCAUAGAUGACAUCGAGUAGGCCAUCCUGCUGGUCUCCGACUCGCUAACCGCAGCGCCCCACCGCGACACCGUCUUUACCUUCCCCCGUCGACAAGCGCUUCGGAGAGACAAUAAGGCAAGAACAACCGAGUGAGAGGAGGAGACGCUCCGGAUCUCGAGUUUAGUUUUAUGUUAGUUGUUGACAAAGAAAUUGUGAUAUAUUAUGGUCGAUAAUAAUAUAUAUAUAUUGCUGGGUAUCGAAUGUUUAUGUGUCGUCGUAACAUGCGGAUAUGUACUAGUAUAUAUAUUAUUUGUCAUCUCAAGUGAGGGACCUAACCAUCCAUCACCCGUAGCCAAUGACGCAGUCGGAUCAACGAGACACAGGUGGUUGACUCGGUCGGAUGCGUUCGAUCAUGUCUUAGCGAUAGAUUACUGGUUUAUCAGCCUUCGAUAAAUGUGUUGUUUUGAGUAUUAUUCUGAGUGCAGGCUUUUGUAGGCUUGUAACAAGUGGGCAGUGACAAGAUUAUUAAUGGUUGUUAACAAGUUAGUUUCAUGGUGGGAGAGUGCGUUAGCAGUGUCCUAGAUAUAAGCAAUAUCAACUUCUACUAGUUGUACAGUAUUUUAUUUUUAUAGAUUACAGUGCAACAGUCGACCAUGCAUCUAGCUUUACUAGCGGUGAUCAUCGUCGUCCACGACACAAGCAAUCAUAUUCUGUGACACUCUUUCCUCGUCCUUAUCAACCCAAUUCCAUCAUUCCAUGGUCAGACCUCUAGCUAGUGGGGACUGCUUCGAGCCAAGAAACAUGGGAAAAGCAUGAGAGGAAAGGGCCAGAGAAAGUCCAAUCGCUGCUGCGGGCGUGUAACUCGAAUGAGAGAGAGCUAUUAAUAAGUCAUGUAGAAAACGUGCACCUUCAAGCUGAGCUAAAACCUUUCAUUUAUUUUCACCAUUCAUCCUGUUGCGACCAUCUUUGGAUUAUAAAUAGCUUGCCAGAGCCAGCGGAUCCAGCAGAGCACGAGACACCCAAGAAACACACAGAAGCGAGGAGCACUACUUGUUGGUUGGAUUCUCUUCAGUCUAGCAGCUAGUCCAGUUAAGUUUCAGACACACAUGGGGAGCAUUGGCAGAGGCACGGCCAACUGCGCCACCGUGCCGCAGCCGCCGCCGUCGACAGGGAAGCUCAUCACGAUCCUGAGCAUCGAUGGCGGCGGCAUCCGCGGCCUUAUCCCGGCGACCAUCAUUGCGUACCUCGAGGCCAAGCUCCAGGAGCUGGACGGCCCGGACGCUCGGAUCGCCGACUACUUCGACGUGAUUGCCGGGACGAGCACCGGCGCCCUGCUCGCGUCGAUGCUGGCGGCGCCGGACGAGAACAACCGGCCGCUGUUCGCCGCCAAGGACCUCACCACGUUCUACCUCGAGAACGGCCCAAAGAUCUUCCCACAGAAAAAGUAUGCUCAUCCAUCUCUGUUCUUCUUCCAUCUAUCGAUCCUACCUAAUGGUGCUGCACUCACUGCAUAUGCAGGGCUGGGUUGCUGACGCCGCUGAGGAACCUGCUGGGCCUGGUGCGGGGCCCCAAGUACGACGGCGUGUUCCUGCACGACAAGAUCAAGAGCCUGACGCACGACGUCAGGGUGGCGGACACGGUGACCAACGUCAUCGUGCCGGCGUUCGACGUCAAGUCCCUGCAGCCCAUCAUCUUCUCGACGUACGAGGCCAAGACCGACACCCUCAAGAACGCGCACCUCUCCGACAUCUGCAUCAGCACGUCGGCGGCGCCCACCUACUUCCCGGCGCACUUCUUCAAGACCGAGGCCACCGACGGCCGGCCCCCCCGCGAGUACCACCUCGUGGACGGCGGCGUCGCGGCCAACAACCCCACCAUGGUCGCCAUGUCCAUGCUCACCAAGGAGGUGCACCGCCGCAACCCCAACUUCAACGCCGGCAGCCCCACCGAGUACACCAACUACCUCAUCAUCUCCGUCGGCACCGGGUCGGCCAAGCAGGCGGAGAAGUACACCGCGGAGCAGUGCGCGAAGUGGGGCCUCAUCCAGUGGCUCUACAACGGCGGCUUCACGCCGAUCAUCGACAUCUUCUCGCAUGCCAGUUCCGACAUGGUUGACAUCCAUGCGUCGAUCCUCUUUCAGGCCCUGCACUGCGAGAAGAAGUACCUUCGCAUCCAGGUACGAGUACGAUAUAUAUACUGAUGCAUAUAGAUAUAUAUCUUGUUCUUGCUAAUAUAUACUAAGGGAAAACUGAGAAAAAAAUGACUAAAAGUAAAAAUGAUGACACCAACAAAAAGGACACCAGCUUAAAAAAAACCCAUGUACUAUGUAUAGGAUGAUACUUUGACUGGGAACGCAUCGUCCGUGGACAUCGCCACCAAGGAGAACAUGGAGUCUCUGAUAUCGAUCGGCCAGGAGCUGCUCAACAAGCCAGUGGCGAGAGUGAACAUCGACACAGGGCUGUACGAGUCCUGCGAGGGUGAGGGCACAAAUGCACAGUCGCUAGCUGACUUCGCCAAGCAGCUCUCUGACGAGCGCAAGCUACGCAAGAGCAAUCUCAACUCCAACUAAUAAAUACCUCUCGGUCACAGCAUGUGCUCUUUCUGCAGAUUCACCGUUUCUUAUUUUUAAUUUCAAUUUCAAUUCAGUGUAUGUGUGUGUGUGACUGUGUGUGUACCAAUAAACAUUUAAGUUCACUCAUUUGCUUGUCUAUGAUCAAAAGAACCAUUUCCUUCUGAUGCGCACGGUUGAUUUGCCUAUAAUAAUCUGUGUGAUGCAAGCACCCUAACUUUCUGGAUUGUAAUCUUGCGAUCGACGACGACAAUGACAUUGAUGAUAUGAUACCUUUUUGAUAGACGUAUUCAGAAGAUAGUCUUCAAUGAGGAACAAAACGGAGGAAAGCCGACUCCUCCACGAGUUCGACUGCUUCGACUGCUUGCUUUGUACUAUUUCUCAGAAAUACACUAUACAAAAUCUGUAUAAAAUGCUUAUUAUCGUAUAUGGAGAGCAUGACAAGCAAGAACCUAAGGGUUGAAUAGGUGAAAUCUGAAAUUUAUCACUUAAUAACAAAAGCUUGAUCCUCAAUUAGGUGUUAGAACAAGAAGUAAUUUAAUCAGAGUAUAAAGGGAAGCUCUACCUUGCAAUAAAGUGUUUCUCUUGCAAAUGUGCUGAAUGAACUUUGAAGCAACACUUAAGGAUUUGAAUGAGGAUCAAAGCAAGAGAACUUAGAGAGGAAGAAGAAAAAUAAAAUCGCAAACAAACAAACAAACACAAAUGACACGAUGAUUUAUUUACCGAAGUUCAGUUUUCCAAUAUAACUUAUGUUUCCAUUGAGGUGUCACAAGGGAUCAUGUCUCUUGCAACUCUCCUAAGUGACCCCCAAAGAUCAAAUUUGAGUCCUCUUGCUUUUCUUGACUGAGAGACCAAAGUCUCCGCAAGGUACCUUCCACGUCGAAGCCUAUUGCUAGCUUUAUAAUGAAUCAGAGUCAGAGCUCCAAGCUCAAAGAUCACAAAAAUGCAGCACAGACUCUUCUAUAUUGCACUCUUCACAAGGCAUUAUUACAAUUCACACUCGGAUGGCCAUCACUUGCUCAAUUCUCUUCUUUGUGGCAGUUGGGAGGCUUUGAUCACUUGGGAGUGUUGCUCUAGUGUAUUAGAUUUAUUGCUUAGCUCUAAUGUAUUGAAUGAGCUGGAUGGGGUGUAUUUAUAGCCAUCAACCACCCAAAUAGCCAUUGGGACAAGUUCCCAAACUGCAUAGUUUAUGGAUGCACCGGACCUGCUACAGUGACUGAACCUCUACCGUGCCUAUAGAUUCAGUGACCAUUCUGAUCCCUUUAUCAACUUGUUAGGUACACUAGACCGGUCUGGUGCACCAUUGGACCUGCCAUGUCGAUGCUACGUCAUUCGAUCGCUGAGGAAACUCAUCCGGCUAUUGGGUAUACGGGUGGACCGGUGCUCACUAAACCGAAGUUCGAUGCUCCAACUCCAUGAAGUCUAGAAACAUCAUCUCUGUGUAAUGGAUCUAGUGCACCAUAGGAUUGGUCCGAUGCACCACCAAACUGGUUCGGUGCACUAACCCAUCCAAGGCAAGAAUAAUCCUUCUUUAUGUAACGCAGAGCAGCACAAUUAAGUUCUUUUGGGGCUUUUCUUCUUUGUCUUGGUUUGGCUGACUUCUUGAGCAUUUCUAUGACUUAGACAAAGCAACAUAGUUUAAGGAGUAAUAUUACAACAAAGGAAUAUUAUGGUGAAAAAAUGUUUUAUGGACUAAUAUUGGAAAAGCAACAUAUUUUGGUGAAAAUAUGGUUUCUUCCCAUUGGGAAAGCCUUGGUUCACGGUCACGGAUCCGACUUUCCAGUCAAUGAUCUGUGUGGCCCUAGAUGUAAAUGUGAACCACUUGAGGUGGCUACAAAGUACAAAGGCUGCGCGUGGUGGCUGUGCUGGGCGUGGAGCGGCGCGGGAGCGAGUUUUUGGGGGCUCCAGCUUCAGGCCUCGUUUGGCAAGUGUAGGAUCUAAUACACAUGUGACCUAAAUCACCCGUGUAUAAGAUGGAUCCCGUCUAGCCACCCAAUCCCCCUCCAACCGAUCCCCACACACGUGUAUUGAUUUCCAUAUAAGUACAAGUGUAACAUAUUGACUGUUUGCCAUCACUAUAAAAACAUUAUAAUAUGCUUUGCUAGCGUUAUAUACUAAAUAAGUAUUGUAAUUUUCAUAUUUGAAAUUUAAAAUAAAACAAAAAUACUAAUAUUCAUAUUGAAAUUUAAAAUAGCACUGAAAAAUUAGCACAAAUACUAAAGACCAUGACACAUCGAAUGUGCAAAUUAACAUAGCAUUCAAAAGUGCUUAGAAAAAACAUUCAUCGUUCUAGUCCUGAUUUAAUAACAAGAAGUAUUACAUUCAGAGGUGCUUAUGUCAAAUUAAAUAAACAUCCAUCUUUGUAGUCUUGAUUUAAUGACAAGAAGGAUCACAUUCAUAGGUGCUUAUAAAAAAUGAAGAUUUCACAAGUGCUAUGACAUGUUCCAACUGAAAGUUCGCCUACUAGAUUGCUUUCAAACAAUUGCUAGUAAUAAUUUCAAGGUCUUCCAAAUUCUUCGUUGCAUUUUCUUUGAGCCCUCAAGUUUCAAACAACACUGCAAAACAAAGACACAUUGUGAGCUAGGAAAAAUUACUUACUGCAGGAGAUAAGGAUCACAAAAGGGAUUAGACAAGAUAAUAUCAAAGUAUGAACUAUUUUCUAAUAAUAGUAUGAACUAUUUCCCAACUUCUUGGCAUGUAUUUGUUGCUACUAGUGAAACAUCCAUAGAAGACUAGUUAAACACUAUAUUUUGCUGCUAUCAGAGUAUUUGAUGCAAACAUCCCAACUUUCAAUAUCCAAACAAUAUUUAGUAAACAGUAUAAGAGGGAUAACAAGAAGAUCAGUACCAUAUCAUGUUCUAGCAAUCUUCUUCCUCAACCAUUUUAUGCGUGUAGCAUCUUUGGUAGUCAUGAAAAUGGCCCUAUUUUGGGCGUCCUUAAACACAUCAUAAGCAUCAACCUUCUCAUCAUCAGAAAGCUCUUCCAUUCCAUCCACAAUAGCAAUGCAUGUUGUAGUAGGGAAAUCAUCCUCAUUUGCAUUAGUUGUCACCCUUUUCUCCACCUCAUCUUGUUUUCUUUCAUCUCUAGAAACCUUUCCAUCAUUUCAACCACCUUCCCAUCUUGUCCACGCUUGUCAAUUCUUGUCCUUGAACUACCAGCACCAACAUUUUUUGCCCUUUUGCUCAUUGAUGUAGGGGCUAUUAGAUCUAAUACUCUAAGGUCAUCAUCUUCAUUAGAAAUGGCUUGUGUGAUUGUAGCUUGAGAAGGAUGUGCGAAAGCAGCUUGAGAAGGUUAUGCGAAAGCGGCUUGAGAAGGCUGUGUGAAAGCAGCUUGAGAAGGUUGUGUGAAAGCGGGUUGAGAAGGUUGUGUGAAAGCGGGUUGAAAAGGCUGUGUGAGCGUAAAAGCAGCUUGAGAAGGAUGUGUAGCAGCACCUUGACAAGGUUGUGUGACUGGAGGUCGAGAAGGCUCAAUAGAAGUAAAAUUCAUGGUUCCCUCAGCAAUAUUCCCUAAACCAAGAAGCGUUGUAAGUCUUUAAGACUUCAAUACUAGGAUAAAAAUAAGAGGCUCAAUACUAAGAUAAAGAAAAACAUAGAUAACAUACCAUCAUGUAGCUCUCCUAAAGCCUCAAAUAGUGGGAAAGAUUUAGUCCGAAACUUCUUAAGUCUCUCGUUACUCUAAACAAAGCAAGAAAGUGGUUCACUUGAGUUAGUCAAUUAUAACAAAAAUAAUCAAAAUAAAAAUCCAGAUUUCAACAGAAUUUAACACCUGGAUAAAAAUUAUAACAGAAACAAUUAACUUACAGUGGUGAGGUUAUUCCAAAUGGGUUCUUUUGCCUCUAUUCUACACAACCGCUCAUCCCAUGAUACCCCACUUUGUUGUCUUGCCUCUUUAAGAGCCUUGUAGUCUCUCUUUAACUCUUUCUCUUUAUCUUGGAUUUGACAUUUUGUAAAUGUGACAUAAGGGAAUUUCUCAUGGAAUAACUUGACAAUUCUAUUCCAUGCUUCCGAUGACCACCCAUUUUGGCCCUUAUAACAGUCAUUGUUGUGGUCUUGAAGAAUUUGAACUAAACCCUUUUCUAGUCCACUAUUCCAGUUUGCUCUAAGACGACCAACUAUGACAAGAAAAUAAAGCAAAUGAGUAGGUGAUAGUAUAAAAUAAGCAAGAAUAGGUAACAAAGUACCUUUUGGUGAUGUUCUCUUCUUGCGCUUGUUAGUAGUAGAUCUAGGGGAUACUCUUUGCAUAGCUGCAGCUUGGAUCAGGUUCAUCCUAGGAGAUCCUCUUCUAAACAUUCUUGCUGCAUAUAUAAACAUCCAAACAAUUGAGACUUACAUAUAUAGAAAUAUAUGAGUUUAAACAUCCAAACAAGUGAGACUUACAUAUAUCAUGAACGAUGUUGACUAUAAUCAUUCCACAUAUUCAAUGCAAUCAUAUCUCUAACAGAGUUCCCAUUAUCCACUUGGCUAUUAAGCGACACGACAUCAUUGCUAUAGUAAUUGUCUCCUCCAGGAAGAUCAACAAAAGUUUCUGGCGAUAUGUUACUUGUUUGGCUAUUCAACCAAUCUUCAUCCCCAUUAUGCAUCCGUAUAAUAUUAUGGAACAACACUGCUGCAGCUGGUAUUUUCACUUGGUUCCUAAUUGAGUGGUGUGUUCCAACUUUUAGAAUGGGGAAACGCUUCUUCAAAACUCCUAUUGCUCUCUCUAUGUGGUUCCACAAUAAAACAUGCUAGUGAUUAAAUAAUUCCUUAUAGUUUCUUGGUCGUUGGUGACCAUGGCCAAAUUCUUUCAAAUGGUAUCGAACACCACGGUACGGUGCAAUGAAUGAUGGUGUGUUAGAAUAUCCCCCAUCGACAAGAUAAUACUUUCCCUCAGGAACAUGGAAUCCUCCAAGUAGCGCAGACCUUAGAACCCUAGCAUCUGUAGCGGAUCCCUCCCAACCAGAUGAUAUAAAAGUAAAGUUCAAGUCAAAAUCACAAACCAACAUUACAUUUUGACUUAGUGUGCCUUUUCUAUUCCUAUAGGGAGCUUGCUUUUCUGCUGAAAUGGUAAUUGGAACAUGUGUUCCAUCAAUAGCUCCAAUGCAAUUAUGGAAGUAAGGAAAGAACCAUUCAUCCAUGCUAAUCUUCCAAUGAACUGAAAUUCCAGUGGCAGGCUUCACAAAUCUAUACAUGAGAGAUGGGAUUAUAUGGAAAACUGAUUGGAUGUGUCGAUGGAUAGUUUCACCACUAUGUUUAAAUUCAUGUUGUAAAUCCUCAUAACUAGCAUUAUGGGACAACAUGAAAAGGAACAUUCCCAAUUUUUCUUCCAAAGUAACACCCCUUGUAUCACGUAGGAUGUGUUCUUCUCUAAGAAAUGAUGCUAUAUCUUUGAAUAUACUAGGCUCCAUACGGAAUGCGACAAGACAAUUCUUCUCAUGUCCUUCGAGAAUCUCAUUAAGUCUCUCCUUGCGAGAUAGAAUAGAAGCAUGCCUUGCUCUUUUCUCUCUCCCUCUAUUACUAAUUAAAUAAAGAGCAGGGAAAAGAAAGAGCAUUAACUCCUCGUCCUCCUCUUCUCUUCUAUUCCUAAUUAGUUGAUCCAUUUUUCUUAUCCUUGGUACAAUGCAAUCUGAUAUCAUAGCAUACAAAACAAAAAAAUGGGCUAAUAAAUUUCAGAAUAUAACAAAUCAAAGGUUAAGAGUCAUUGUAUAUGCAAAACUUAAUUAUUAUUGCUAACAUGUAUGAGGAAAUAACUAUUUCAUAAACAGAGAAAAAAAGGAAAACACAGGAUUAGAAAAUAAUUGCAGUCGGAAAAACAAACGCAUGAGGAAAUAACUUUUUCAGCCAUUCUACCAUUGACUACGCUUCUGGCCAAUAUUUGGCUAUAGGAUUAGUAGCUGCUAGCUGGAGCUGCUUUUCUAGUGCCGCUCACCCUGCCAGAUGCGUGAAAUCAAGAUCCGUGCUGCUCACCCAAUAAGGCAGCAGCGACUGCUUUUGGCCUAUCCGUGCCACUCAACCAACAAGGCAGCAGCGGCUGCUUUUGGCCUCCUUUUUCUCGCACCUCGCGGCUCCUCCCCCCUCUCCGUGUCGUCUAUUCUCUUCUCUUGUUCGUUCAUCCCGCACAGGUGCCGGCGCCCAGCCAGUGCCGACGCUCAAGAACAGGAAGAAAUGCAGUACAUGAUGAAGUAAAACUCACACGCUGGACGAACGAGAUCGGCGGCGGCGUGGAGAGUCGUGGAUGCCUCUCGACGAGAUCGGCGGCGGCGUGGAGAGCCGUGGAUGCACUCGUCUUGAUCUAGGGUUAGUGACGCCGCCACGCGAGAACGACAGGCUGUCUUCCACGCCUCGGUGGGGAUUUUUCUAUCCCCGGCGUAUUGGCGUGUAUAGGACCCUAAUACACUUGAACACCUGAUUUGCCAAAGAUAAAUAUGGGCCACACAGGGAACAUGCUCCCGUCGUGGACCUGAUUACACGUGGGACAUGUAUUGGGCCUCAAUACUCGCUUUUACACCCGUUGCCAAACAAGGCCUCAUGGGCUAAACCGACUCCUGCUCCCUCCAAUGAGCUGUUUUAGCUGACGUGUUUGGGAGCGCUCUGUCUAGUAGCCAGAGUGGGAGCCGUCCCAAAUGGUCUCUUAUGACCAUUUAAGAUGCACAUAGAACACAUAGGGUGUGUUUGGUUCUCUUAGAAGUUGAGCCUGGCUCGUAUGAUCUUAGCCAGUAUUGAUACAACCAGAAUGAGUUCAUGUAAGCGCUUUUGUUUGGUUGCUCAUACAGACACGUGCAGACCAGACACAGACUUUGUUUGGCUGUUUAUAUCAGAACAUGUACUAGAGAAAAAUUUAUGAAUAAAUCUCCACAUAUUAUACAAUAUGUGUGGUAUAGUUUUGUUCGCAAGAAUAUGAGGAACUUGAAUAUAAAAUCGGUGUAGUGGUUAAAUCUAAACACACAUAAACUCUACAUCGGUUUGUGUGCCGCUGCAUUGGCAGCGCCUACACGCGGGCAUACGUCCGCUAGCCGCGUAUGCCCUCAGCCUGAUUGCAGCCCUUGAAUUACAUCUGUUGAACCAGUACAUAAAGUGCAGUCAACCAAACACGACUUGCUUUAAAAUUCCACGGGUGCAUAUGCACGCUGGCGUAAAACAAACAAACAGGUCAAUACUGUGUGAUUGGUUACCAGGCCAACGGUGCAUAGGCCAAGCACGUGUGUUGACCGUGCUUGUGCCUCUGAUUAUUUACUUGUAUAGCAUGCGCCUAAUCUGUACGUGCGGGUACAACAAAGGUAUUUUCUUAGUAGUCUAGCAUGCGUGGAAACGAGAGGCUGGAGCCUUUCUAUCGGCUCAGGCUAGCACAAGCCGGGCAGAAGCGAGGCCGGCAACCAAUCACGAUGAUAUUGAAUCGUUGUCAUCCAUCUUAGAUUUAAGGGAGGGGGCUCUUUGGAGAAAACAGAGAAGGAUGAUGGAGGGAUGUUCUUGGAAAAUAUACAUGACAGUAACAAGAGGUGCAGAAUGACGUUAGAUCUAAAAUGGAUGCUUGUGAUUUAAUAUGUGCACCAAAAGCCUAUAUAUAUAUACCUGAUGGGUUCCCUAUUUCUAUAGGGGCAUCCGGGGAAAAAAGUUAAAGAGGGAGGAGGAAUCUUUGGACGAAAAUAUAAAGAUGUGCAUAUGUCUCCUUUCCUUCUAAAUAAAAGAAACUUUAAAAUUUACUGAAUUACUAGUACGUACUGACUAAUAAAGCACCAUUGCAGCGUCAGCUAGGGUAUCAGAUGAAAGCACUUUCGGCGUUCCUUUAUUCUCAGAGUCACAUGGUGGCUACCACCAUUGAGCUUUCCCUCUUCCAACCAGCUGCAUGCACAUCGUGCAACUUUGCAAACUGUUUCUGGUCUGGUGCUCAGGGUCUCAGCAGCUCAGCAGCCCCACACCUCAUCUCAUCGGCAGCCGUCCAUCCGUACUUGUGACCCUACGCCAUCAACACCUAGUAUAUAUAACUUGUUGCCGGGCGCCUCAUCCACCACCACCGACGACGAGCACCCUGAGCCUCCGCCGUCGAGUUCGAGACGAGACGUACCACUAUGGAGAGUGAGCACCACCUGUUCGAGAUCGCGGCCGCCCGGCUCGAGCGUAGCUCUGCCUUCUUGGACGAGGACUACUGUUCAUGGUCUCCCUGCAUACAGGGCUACCACUGGCGAUGCGUCUGCUCCGCUGACCCCGCUGCUGGUACGGCGUCCUUCACCGUCUCUCUUCCCUACAGCAGCACCCGCGAGCCCCUCAACGCCUCGUUCAAGCUCAGCCUGCUGGACCGAGGAGGCCUGCCGGUGCCGUCCAGGACCCGAGCCACCUUGUUCCAGAACUGCCUGAUCCAGCAGAUGUGGCAGUGGGAGUGUCCGGGCUUCCUCACCAGGGACGACCUAGAGCGGCACGAGUACUACCUCGACAGCGACGGCGGCCGCUGCUUCCGCGUCCGCUGCGACAUCGCCAUCAAGCCCUUCGCCGCGGCCACGGCCGGCGACGGCGACGCCUUCGUCGCGGCGCCCCCGUCCGACGACCUCCACCGGCACCUCGGCGACCUGCUGGCGCGCAAGGACGGCGCGGACGUCACGUUCCAGCUGGUCGACGCGGGCGGCGAGACGUUCUCCGCGCACCGGUGCGUGCUCGCGGCGCGGUCGCCCGUGUUCAGAGCGCAGCUGUUCGGCGAGAUGAUGGAGAGCAGCAAGGGCACCGGCGUCGUCAUACCGGUUGAGGACAUGGAAGCCCAGGUGUUCAGCGCCCUGCUGGCCUUCAUCUACACCGACUCGUUGCCGCCGGAGACUGGCAGCGGCGACGACGACGACGACGACGACGAUGAAGCCAUGGUGCAGUAUCAGCUUCUGCUUGCCGCCGCGGACAGGUACGGCGUCGACAGGAUGAAGCUGGUUUGCCAGGAGAAGCUGUGCAAGCACAUACGCGCGGACUCGGUGGCCACGAUGCUGGUUUUAGCUGACCGACACCAUUGCCCUGCGCUCAAGGAGGCGUGCUUCCGUUUCCUCUCUUCUAGCGGCAACCUUGGCUCCUUCACUCAGACGACGGAUGGCUUCGAGGUGCUCAACGCCAGCUGCCCUGCUGUUCUCAAGGAGCUACUGGCCAAGCUUGCCACCGUUUUGAUCUUCUGAGUAGCCAUGGCCAACGGUUUCCAGUUUCAUACAAUGCAGGUUGCUCUGCUCGUUUCUCAAAAGCGAUGCACGUACGUAGUAAUCUUCUUUGAUGAAUUAGUACGUGCAGGUUUUGAACGCAUUUUUCCGGUGGUCGUCUGCGAAAACGAAAAAUCGCUAGAAAUUCGUUGAAUUUGGUAAAUCUCGAGCGCUUUGUUACUUCAAAUUUGAAAACCCUGAUUUUCGUUGCUCUCGAAUAGUCCUGCAAGUUUGGGCCGUGCUUACUGGGCCAGCACGAGCUCGGCACGAAAUGGAAGGCACGCAGCCCGGCCCAGCACGAAUUAGGAAAAACCGGGCUAACACGGCACGUUAGACGGGCUGGGCCGUGCUCCGGCUUGUGGCCCAACGGCCCAAGUAGCCCGGCACGCCUUCGUGGGCCGUGCUCGGGCCAGCCCGACACGAUUUUUAUUAGCGCGAUAUUUAUUGGCGGCGGCUCUCAGUUAGGGUUAGGGUUGAGCGACUGCUCGGUUCCUGUGGCGGUGCCGCGGCGGCUCUCGGUCCCUUUACUUCUCCUCCUCCCUUGGUUCCUCCGCUAGUCCGCUCGUUCUCUUCCGACUUCCGCCGUUCCGCGAGACCGCGACCGCGAGUCCGCGACUAGGAACACCGCCCAGCCAACCGCCGCUCCUUCCCUCCUCCUCGGUUCCUCUGCGCCUUCGUCACGCUCCUCGUCAACCGCCACCUCGUCUACAUCGCUGGCAGCCUCGGCAACCGCGCGGACCCGGCCACGGCCACGAGCAGCGCCAAACCCGUCGAGGACGUCGAGCGCAUCCUCCGUGAGAUACGCCCUAUCUCAGCUUAGGUGCCUGACUGUGCUCGGUGCCCACGCCACGAUGCGCAGAGCGCACCGCGCAGGCGCGCACGCCAGGCAGGUGCCCGACGGCCAUCUCCGGAUCUCCCUGGCGCCCAACGACCAUCUCCCCAAGCGCCAUCUUCCCAAGCGUCAGGCCUUCAGCCCAGUGGCCAUCUCCUGAUCUCCCCACGGGCCACGACGACCGAGAUGCAGAGGCCGAUGCGUGCUUAUCGGGACUGCCCAAGCUCCACUUGAAUUGUGUGUCGUGCCUGGGCCAGCACGGCCCGACGGAAGCCCGUCGUGUUUUAGGGCCAUGCUGGGCCUUAUUUCUACUCACCAGGCCCGGUAAGGCACGACCCGAUUCUAUUCCGUGCUUGCUAGGCCCGACUAACUGAGGCCUGAAGCACGGCGGGCUCGUGCCGGGCCGGCACGGCACGACCCAAGUUGCAGCACUACUCUCGGACGGUUUUCGUUAAAUCCUGGCCGGUUUUCGAUGCUUUUUCCCUGGGAAAUACUUUUUCACGUUUGGCAGUGUGACUGUGACAGCCGACGUGCAAGUUACGUGCAAGUUGAGGCAUGCAGACCAUCAUCAGCUGUGUCGGCUGUGCUAGUAGUAGUAGCUAGUUCAAUUCAUCAUGUAGUAGUAUAUAUGUCCACAUGGGCCGACCCGUCGGCCGGCCCACAACCCGACCCGCUAGAAACCCGGCACGGCCCGACCUAGUAGAUGGCGUGCCCAUGCUGGGCCAGCACGAUGUACGGGCCGUGUUUGGGCUGCAUGUAUGGGCCAUGGUGUAAGCACGACCCGGCCCAGCUAACAUGCACGGCUCGACACCAGCCUGCUAUGGCGCGCAUGUACACCUGCCCGGUUGCCCCCAUCGCCUGGCCAUCCCCAGUCGGCCAGUCCGCACACACAUGCGCCCGUUCGAGAAACCCUAGUUUGCCUCCCUCGCCGCCUCUCGCAGACGGACUCGCUCGUGUCGUCGUCUCCUGCUCCGAUCGGUGCUCAAUGACUCGGCGUCCAGGUUCGACCGUUGGAGCUCCUCUCGUCCUCCCAAUUGGUGCUCUGGUUCUAGGUCUGGUGCUCCAUCGCUGGCUCGUUGCUCGCUUGCUCCGCUGCUAGGUUUGAGAUCUGCUCUAGGUAUCGACUUCUAGUGUUGUGUGCCUGUGUCUGUGUUAUCCUCUCUGUUCUUGCCUUCUACUACCUUCUAGCUACUCCACCUGUCCUCCAUUACCUCCUAACUUCUCUGUUUGGAAACCCUAAUCGUCGAUCUUUCAAGAUCUCCGCUCUAUUUUCCCCUUCUCGGCGAAUCUGGUGCUCCGGCUGCGCAGCGCAGGUGAUAGGACCUCUACCACCUACCAUUGUCCCCUCCUGUCCUCCAUUACCUCCUAACUUCUCUGUUUUUGGUAUUUAAAUACAUAUGAGAAUGACAGACAACUAAGAAAUACAGUAUUUCCUAUGAAAUCAAAGUUUCUAAAAUACUGGAGGGAUAUCCCUACUCUCUAUGCAUUUCUUUCAUUCUUGAUCCUUGAGCUACGAUGAGGGAGUUCCAUAAAGUUCUUCUAUGGUUAAAUUAUCUAACUAAUACCGAUUACUCCAGAUUUCAUUCAGUUAUUUGUAACAAGUUAACUAGGAUGUUUCAGAUCUAUGAACUCAAGUUUGGUGAGGUUUGCUUGAAUAUCAAUCCCCAACCAUCAGGUGGCUCUGGUAAUGCCACAAAGGCUUGUGAUGAUAUAUAUGGUGAUGAUGACUCUUAUAGUAUCAACCUCUACAAAUGUUAUGUCUGAGCUUUCUUCAUACCUUGACAGUGAUCCUGAAGCUAAGUUUGGACCUGACUUCAAUAUACUCAAAUGGUGGCAACAACAUAAGAUUACUUAUCCUAUUCUUUCAAUACUUGCUAGAGAUGUUUUGACUGUUCCUGCCUCCACUAUAUCUUCAAAGUCUACAUUUAGUUUAGCUGGCAUGGUGCUCGAGGAGCGGCGACGAUGCCUAACAACAGACAUGGUGGAUGUUCUCUCUUGCAUCAAGGAUCGGGAACUAGGAGAUCGGCAUAAGCAGCACGCAGUGGACAAGGAAACCAAAGAACUUGAAGCUACAUUUGAUGCUACGUACCUGGAUGAAGACCUAAGCAAGUAGUGAUGAGUUCUGUUUAUUUGUUUUGUAUACCUCUUGUAAUGUCUAUGAACCUGACCUGGACAUGAACUGUUGGACAUUUGGACUAAAACCUAAAAGGAGCUGGCUGUACUCUUUUCCUUCCUAGGGUUUUCGCGAGGUGUGAGUUUUUACCUAGGAAGGUUUUUAACGAGGCAGCAUAUUGCACUAAGGCUCCAUUAUUAUUCACUAGUGUUGUGCUCUUAUCUGAAUGUUGUGAAUUCUGUAGAUUCUAGAUUUAUGUACUUUAAUUUUGUUAGUAUACUAGAAUUAUGUUAUUUGAAUGUGUGUACUGUCAUCUAAAUUUGUGUAUUGUUGUUACUAUAUUGAAAUUUGUGUACUUUACCGGGCUGAUGGGCUACCCGACACGGUUUGUAAAUUGUGCCCCCGGCCCGGCCCGAUUAAGUGGUAGGCGUGCUGGGCCUAGGCCUAAUCCACAACAAACAGUGCAGCACGGCCUGGCAUGGAACUGUUGGCGUGCCGGGCUCGGCCCAGUUAUAUCCGUGCCGGGCCAAGUCGUGCUAGAGCCAGGUUGGCCCGGCACGUCCUAAUGGACAUGUAUAUGUAGUAGACAUUUUAUUGCAGGAAUUUACUACCACGAGCCUAGCCACAACUUGUGUGCAUCCGCUUUGAGGAUAACUUCCCAUCGGUAACUGCCUUCCAGCGACCGGAUCUCACCGAUGAGGAGUCGAGAAAAUGAGCACCUUUUUCACAUCAAAAGAUAAUUAUUUUGGGCAACAAUUUUUUUAGUUUAUGGUACCCUCUAGUUUUUAAUAAGUUUUAUUUUUCUGAUUUUCUGAUUUUUUUGAAAUUUAAAAAUUUCCAACAAAAUUUACGGGAAAAAACGUCAGGAUAAAAAACCGCCUUAAUCCGGGAACGAGAAAAACAGGCGGUAACCGCCGGAUUUCGAGCGAAAUAUUUAACUCUGUAUAUCUCAAUAUGGGUUCAGUUAUCUGAGACAAGCAUUUUUCAGAUGUGGUUCGGUUAUUCCAGUCAACUAUUUUUUAAAUAUUUUUAGAGGCGGACAGGUCGUCUUCCUUCAAUUCAAAGUCUGCGCUAAUUGUUCUUUACAGAGACGGACAACAUGAUCGCCUCCAUUAAUCUUAUUAAUGUGGUGGUUGCUGUAGAAAUACAUCUAUCUUGAUCGCCUCCAAAAUAACGACGGUAUGUUGUAAAUCUCUACUACUUAUUAAGGCGGUAAGGAGUAGUCUGUCAUUCCGUGUUCUGCCAUUCCCAUUCCGCCCUCUCCGCGCCCAUUCCAAUUCCCGGCUGCCAUUCCAUGUUCUAUCAUUCUCAUUCCGCUCUCCUCGCACUGUCUUUCUCAUCCCCCUUCCACAAAGCUCAUUCCCAUUCCCAUGUGCAUCCCACGCAUAGAUAAAAUUAAAUUAAAAAACACAAAUGGUAGCUAUCACUACAACACAUGUGUGUUUAUGUCAAUAUUUGUUAUAGUAAAAAUAUCUACUAUAUCUCUCCCAAAUCCCACCUGCUACCCUUGCACAAUGUGUAGUAGUAGAUAAUUAUCAACGAGAUUAUUACUGAAUUAUAUUUUUGGACGGAUGCAGUAAUAUUUAAAGAAGAGACAUGCAUGCAAUUUCUUUGAUUUUUAUAAUAUUUUCAGCUUAAAUUCCUUUUUUAUAUGUGUGACAUUUAUUCUCCGUAAUAUUUUUUCCAUGAAUCUGACUUGUAAGUCAUUUUCAUAAACCAACGCCAAAGAUGAAUCCAUGUUUCUUACUUGGAAACCCCGAACAAACACCACUGGCAGGAGGCGCUCGCGUUGGCGUUGCUCAUCGACGACGAGAAGAAGCUUGGUGACUGCCAGUUCGACCUCUGGAAGCAGUCCUACGUGUCCGCAUGCGCCGAUGUGUUCGACAAGCUCCGGCGCAGCCGCCGCUUGGACGUGGUCCAGAGUGGCUGCACCGCGCUGUCCAUCUUCAAACAGGGGACCUCAUGGUCGUCCCCAACGCUGUCGACUCUCGGGUUGUUCUAGGCACCACACCCGACGACGGCGCUGUCACGUCGUUCAGCUCAUCAUCCAUCUGAAGCUCAACCUGUCACGUAAGUCGCUACUGGUCGGCCAUGAAUUCUUGUGCGCUGGGACGACGACCGUUGCUGACGUUGUGUGAGUGUCCUCGAACAAGAUGUAUGUAGAGGAGUAGCACAUCCGAUGGUGCAAUGACUAGGUGUACUACCUCGCUGAUGAGCCUGAGGUGCACUGCAGCCCAGCCAAGAGUCAUCGGUACUCGCCAUGUCGUGCGCGUUCGACGACUACUAUAUCAAGGUAUGUGGCUUCAUCUUGGCGCCAGAGGUGACGCAGAAGAGGACCGACAGAAAUGACCACUUGCCAUCGUCAGGGUAGAUUUUGUGCCGGCCUGCCUUUAAUUCUCUUCGCAGACACAUACACUUGCCUUUUUUGUUUAAGCAAGCGUGUAUGGUGGUGCGUACCUGAUGACUGACAAUGUACGAGGGAACUUGUACCGGCAGGUGUGGCACGUGCUCUUCAAUGAUGAGACCAUGCAAGUCGUGGCAUAUAUCGAAGUCUGCAUGAUACUAAUGGUUGCAAUGUAGUAGUGAAACAGCUAAAUUAAAAUAACAAAAUUUAUGUAUGACCAGGAUUACAAAUGGAUCAUGAAACAUUUUUUGAACAAUAUAAGACACAUUUUGUAUAUAAGUUAUCAUGUUAUUAUAUGUUCCCGUUGCAACGCACGAGUACUCAUCUAGUUUUAAAAAAUGGACUGAGCGGUGAGACCUAUUCGAUAAUAGGGUUUCCAUAUUUCACAACAGAAAUCCAGGUAAUUUCCGUCGGCCAAGAACCAACGAAAAGGAGCCUUAACCGACAGGAAUAACUAAUUCCUCUUGGCCGACGGGAAUCCCUGGACGGGGUUUAGUUAAUUUCCGUCGGCUUACUUGGUCCAUCGGCUUGAAAGUAGGAGUCAGCUAAUUCUCGUUAGUCGUCUUCUGACCCAUGGGAAUUAGUUGGCCUUAUUCCCGUCGACAAGAGAAAGGCCGACGAGAAUUAACUAGCUAAUUCAUGUUGGCUAUGUCUGGCCCAUGGGAAUUAUCUUGCUUAUCCCCCUCGGCUAUGGUCUAGCCCGCCCAUGGUAAUUAACUUUCUUAUCCUUAUCGGCUCUGGUCAGGUCGACGGGAAUUAACCUUUCCUAGUGCAAACCAGCAACCAAUUAGACUCAAUUUCUCUAUAAAUUUAUACACAAUAGUACUCAUAUGAUAUAUAUCAUCACGUAAAGUCACAUACAUCAAUAUUGGUCACAUAUUACCAACACAUUCAUUCACAUAGCUCACAAAACUUCACAUUACAACCACAAUCAAUUAACACAUCAUAAACUUCACAUCACCAACACAACUCACAUAACCAUUUCAAAUAGCAACAACGAGAUAAGUUAAAGUGUUUAGUUCAUGAAAACACAUAGGGUUCAAAGUUUAAAAAUCAAAGACCACCACCAUUUGGUUUAAGUUACUGUGGGAAACCAUCCACAAGUUAAGAAACAAAGACGACCAAAAGUACCAUACUCAGGGAUAACCACCACUUGGAUGGUUUUUUAUAAAAUCAUCAGGAAUUCGUUUGGCCGACGGGAGUCAUCCUGAUUCCUGUUGUGUUUGGUUAUCAACAUAAUUAUUUGGACUCACAAUAUUUGCUAAUGUCUCUUAUUAUAGUCCAAUGGGUGCAACAUGGACAUGGGUGAUAUCAAAGUAGUAAUCGAGAUGAUCAUCACCUCAACAAAGACAUUAGAAGACUCAUUGAGGGAAGGGCAGCGUACUGAAUAGUCCCACCAUCACAUUCACAAGAGGCCUCGAUAACGACAAAGUCCGACAAUUAUGCAGUGAGGUUCUAGAGAGGAAAUGGGGCAUUAGACGUUAUGGGCGUACAACGACGAGAAACAACUAGUGUCGACACAAUACCGACACAAUAGCUUGUGCUAUGAAUAUUUUCAUUAGAAUAUGUAUAAUUUUUUAAUAUUUGUAUUAUAAAAUGGUGAUGAUGCCUAAUGUAUGUGUUGCUUAAAAUAUCUAGUCUAGGAACCAUAAGAAAUAAAACUAUUUCCCCAAAAUUAUUAUCAACAAUAUGUACCAUGGGUAUACUUACGAAUCUUCGUGAAGAUUAAGACCUGUAUGGACGAGCUCAUGGGCUCGAUUGAGAGCCCAAGGACUGAACAAGAGGAGGUCUGCCGCUAGGAUGAUUCCAGAAGCACAAAUUUAGAAGAGAUUUUGUCGGAAUGGAAGAUAAAUCGAGAUCCUAACAUAAUAUGGCAACAUCACAACAAAUAAGGAUAAAUAGACCUAUAAAGAUAUAGUUCGACAAUAUAGUAUUUGAUGCACUCAUGUUGGAGCAUAUUUUUGAUUGAAAGGAUUUAUCAAAUUCCCAAUUUUAUUGAUUUCUAUCUAUUAGUGUGAAACCCUAUUUAUUUAUUAAUAGGAUUUUCAUAAAGCAAUCUUUUCUGCAAAAUAAGUACUUUAUUGAGUUAAUAAUAUUCUUGGAUUUAUUCAGAUUUUUGGAAUAUAUAUGGAUUUGUAAAUGAAAAAAUGGAAAAUAAAAAAAGGAAAACAUGAAUCGCCCUGCUCAGCCCAAUAACUCGUGUACUGGCACACACUUCCUGUAUCCUGCUCUAGCUGACAGGUGGGGCCCACCUAUCAGGCCUUUCAUCGCCCUACAUCGUCGUCGGUGUCCCGUCUACUGCGCCAUUUUCUAUACAUUAAACGCGGACGCAAAAGCCGCUUCUCGAUAGUCCACGUCGGCAAAAAAAGCUUAGAGCGUUGGAUGUGGUUUAAACGGCGCACACAACAUCUUCGCUUGACCUUUCCCGAAGCAUCUAUAGCAGCUCGCCGGCUCCACUCGCCUGCUCGCUCACAGCACGCCGCCACCAGCACUAUCCACCACAAACAUCGGAGAGGAGAGCGGAAUCCCAACCCUCCCCAUCUCCAUAUGUGGCCAUGGCCUCCGUCGACGCCGACACCUGCCCCUCAACCCUGGGAUGCCCUGCUGUUGCACCUCUGUGAGCGCAUCAUCUCCCUCCUCCCCAUCACCGAACUAUUUCCCGUCAUCUCCGUGUAUCCUCUCCCUUGACCCCAUCACCGAACUACUUCCCAUCGCCUCUGUGUCUUGCACGCUGUGGGGGAGAGAGUUGCUGCUGGUGGCGGCGGUGCGGCCGCACGCCCAGUGGAUCACGGUGGAUUCGUGGGUGUUGGUGCGUGUCUGAACAACCUCAAGAAGGGGCAGGGCGACACAGCGAAGUGCGCGGCGACGGGGCAGGUCACUGGGAACAAUAGUGUGGGUCGCGGGUGUCAAGAGGAGUGCUAAGAUGGAGGUGGCCAUCGCAGCCGGCGCGGCCAUGGGCAUGGGGAACCACGUCCUCUACAUGCUCGCGCCCGUGCCGCUCUGAGAUUACCCCUUCUUCCAGGUGCAGUUAGCCAUGUCCGGGUGCAUCCGUGCGACUCCUCCCUUCCCAUCUCCUUUCGCUUCGUGUUUUAUCUACACAUCUUGUCCCUAUGCAACUAUUGGCCGCAAGUAUGGUGAUGCAGUUUUGUUAGCGACCUGCAAAUGCAUUUGAACUCAUGAUUGUAUUGCUUUAGUAGCCUUCGGAUAUACUAUGUCAUGUCCUCUAUAUUUUUAAAAUUGUAUCGUUUUCCUGGAAGUUUGUCUGAUCUUCUCCUUCGUUAUGUUUCCCUGUUGUGUGCUGCACUUGCUGCUACCGUGAAGAGUGGUGUCCAGGAGACUGAAAAGCACUGCUGAGGAGACUAAAAUUAUCUUAUUGUCUUGAAGACCGAAGCUACCUGUUACGUACUUAUCUAUCUAGCUUAUGUUUCUAGCUUAUCCUGUCACAGAAACUGAAGUUUUAUGUACGGUGAUAAGAAUGUCACUGCCUGAUCUUUUCCUUCACCAUGGAGUUGAAGGAGAAUAGACGUGCUUUUGCAAUGGUGUACAGGGUGACAUUGGCAAUCCACAGUCAGUCUCACACCACCAGGCUCAAAUGGCUAGAACCAAUCCUAGGUGGCCUACACAUUUUAAGAGCUGAAUCUUUUUGUUCUUAAUUUAAAGGGGGUUAGAUCUCCUGUAUUUUUAAAAAAGAAAAAAAAGACAAUUUCAGAUUAUCACUAACUUUUUUAGGAACUAAAUGUGCUCUACUUGAUGGACAUCUUAAGGACUGCAGCGAUGCUUCAGAGAAUUGUAGAUUCAUAUAAAAUAGGUGAGGUACUACUGCUUUCUUUUUUACCUUUUCAAAUGUCUGUCACUUACGUCAGUGUUUUUUAACCAUAAGGAAUUGAAAACUAAUGAUUUCCCUUUGCUCUCUGCCACACGAACAUUUUAUUACUCUACUUACCAUCCAAUAUACUCUAGAAAAGGAGCUCGAUUCAAGAUAGGUAUGUGUUUUAAACUUGCUUAUAAAAUUAUGUUUCGUUCAUUAUAUAGUUAUUUACAAAUUGUAUUCAUUUUUCUUUUCGUUUAGAAAGCUUAGAUAUAUCUUAAAUGAAUUGUUUACCUUUGUUUUCCUCGCGAGGUGGAUUACACAUUGUAAGAACUAAGAACUAAAUUCUAUAUAUUAAACGCGGACGCAAAAGCCGCUUCUCGAUAGUCCACGUCGGCAAAAAAAGCUUAGAGCGUUGGAUGUGGUUUAAACGGCGCACACAACAUCUUCGCUUGACCUUUCCCGAAGCAUCUAUAGCAGCUCGCCGGCUCCACUCGCCUGCUCGCUCACAGCACGCCGCCACCAGCACUAUCCACCACAAACAUCGGAGAGGAGAGCGGAAUCCCAACCCUCCCCAUCUCCAUAUGUGGCCAUGGCCUCCGUCGACGCCGACACCUGCCCCUCAACCCUGGGAUGCCCUGCUGUUGCACCUCUGUGAGCGCAUCAUCUCCCUCCUCCCCAUCACCGAACUAUUUCCCGUCAUCUCCGUGUAUCCUCUCCCUUGACCCCAUCACCGAACUACUUCCCAUCGCCUCUGUGUCUUGCACGCUCCACCGCCUCCUUCGUUCCCCAGCCUUCAACGCUCUCCUCUCCCCACAUCAUCUCGAUGUUUUAUUCCUCCUUUCCCCACGGCUUGCCAUCCACGGAUCCACUGUCUCUCUGCAUCCUCACUAUGGCCACGCUUGCCGCACUGUCACCCCUUUCUACCCCGUCGUAUUCUCUUAGGAUGAGGCUGGUAGAAGCGAGCACGCGAGGGAGUUGUAGCAAAACAAGCCGGUGGACCAAAUAUUCAAUGCCGAAGCUGAGGCAAAGGAGAGACGAAAGAGAAGGGCCACGACUGAGGAGCGAGCGCGUCACGAUUGAUCUGGGUGAGCACCGGCUGGCUCCGUGCUUUCAUUUAUUUUUUGCUGUUUCUUAGGUGUUCCAGUUAUGGGGCUGCUGGUUGCAGAAGGUUUGAUCCUGCAAUUUUGGUUUAGGGAUUUUGUGAAAUUCUUUUUUCAUUCGUCGCGUGUGGCUGCAAUCUGCUUGUCUGUCUCAUGUCGAAAAAAUUUAAAUGCAAGCAUCAUGGUUCAGUUUGGAUAUUGCACAUAAUAAGGUACUCUGUGCUAUGUCAAGAAUAUAUAGACAUGCAUUGAAAACAUCACAUUUCUCCUUUUAUUUUUGCAAAAAAAACUGUUUCAGCUCGAAGGUCAUUAAUUUAUUGUUUGCACUAUGAAAGUCAAUUCAGAUGUUUAGCAACAUUAUGGUUAUAUUUACCAUCUAAUUUACCAAAAUCGGGUUCCUGCAUCAAACCUUAUUCCACUUUGAACUCGAUAUGCUGGUUGUGAACUGAGCACCAAACAUGUUGCAUAGUUACUGUGAGAAUGGCCAUAUUUAGUUCCUCUUUAGUAUUAUUAUAUACAUCUGUAAAGAUGCAUGUGUUCUGAUGUCUGUGUCAUAGUUGGAAUAGCAUGUUCAUGAGUAUGCAGUAGCAAUGCAACAGAGCUAGCAGUGGGCUUCGUGAAGAGAAUACAUAGUUUCAUGGUAACAAAUUUUUUUCAGCUUCCAAAGUCAGUCUAAUUCAGAUUCAGAUUGCAAUCAGUCACCUAAAGAUGAAUGCACCAGCUUGAGAUUUUACCUAAUCAGGUAAGCUGAAGAGAAGUUGAUCCUCUUAAUGAUGUUUCUAUAUCUUCUUAAUUUAGAAACCAAAAUAUAAAUUUGUGUCUAAUUACAACCAAAAUAUAAAUUUGUGUCUAAUUACACUUCAUACAUACGUAUUGCAUGGAGAAACUUCAAACCAAAGACGCAAUUUUUUUAAAGAGAAAUUAAAGCACCAUCAAUUACAUUUAUUUCGUACGACGAUUCAUUUAGAUAUGGUAUCAACACUCUGCAUCAUAUUUUUAAAGCGUCACCUAUGCGUCUAGUCAGUGGACCAACUCCUAUAAAUCCUAGACGCCUUGCCCGCUUUGCUCGCCUAGGCGUCUAAGCGGCGGUCCAAUGACUUGCCUCGCCUUAGACUUUAAAAACACUACUCUGUAUAUAUUGACAUUUUGUAAAUAGGUACAAUCUGCAUGUAUUGUCGUUUUUUAAGUAGGUACGAUCGAUGUAUACAUAGUUAGUCUUAGUACUACUUACUCAAGCUAUAAAUGAUCAUUGCAACCUGUGAAUUUCAGAAGACGAACAAUUUCGAACCGUUAGCAAGAUUGUGUAUAUGUAAUCAUACCAUCCGUUUGUUUGUGUGGCAAAAUAACAAUCAAUAUUAUGUUAUACCGAUACUAUAAAUAUAUAUAAUCCUUUUAAAAUGUACAUAUUUUAGUAGGACCAUAAAAGAAUAAUGCACAUAGGGCGUGAAUUUAUGAAAGGACAAUAUCUUUCACACACAUGACUUUCGUUUUAAUUUAGCUAUAUAAUUGUAUCCACUCAGAGACCUCGAUGUAUAGGAUUUGAACCACGCGCGUAAUGCGCGUGUCAACUACUAGUUCUUAUAUAAUAGAGCAGGGAGCAAAGCUCGCUUCUGGUGGUGUCCACGUCAUUCUUUUUAUUCCAACUGCCAGAUCUCAAUCCGACGACUAAAUAACGAUUGACGUCUAGUUGGAGCCGUAGUGGACGCUCGAAAAUAUCUCUCGCAAAUGCGCUCUCGAACCUUCGCUACCUCCAACCCGGCGACCAAAUCUGGUGACCCCGCGGGGGAUGGCGUCGUCCCCCUCCCUCCCUCAUGUGCCACCCAUCCGCAGCGUGAUAGCACACGAUGCUGGUUCGCACUCUCACGCCGAGCGCUGCUGACGGGGCAGCGCUGCUGGUGCCGCUGUGGGGGAGAGAGUUGCUGCUGGUGGCGGCGGUGCGGCCGCACGCCCAGUGGAUCACGGUGGAUUCGUGGGUGUUGGUGCGUGUCUGAACAACCUCAAGAAGGGGCAGGGCGACACAGCGAAGUGCGCGGCGACGGGGCAGGUCACUGGGAACAAUAGUGUGGGUCGCGGGUGUCAAGAGGAGUGCUAAGAUGGAGGUGGCCAUCGCAGCCGGCGCGGCCAUGGGCAUGGGGAACCACGUCCUCUACAUGCUCGCGCCCGUGCCGCUCUGAGAUUACCCCUUCUUCCAGGUGCAGUUAGCCAUGUCCGGGUGCAUCCGUGCGACUCCUCCCUUCCCAUCUCCUUUCGCUUCGUGUUUUAUCUACACAUCUUGUCCCUAUGCAACUAUUGGCCGCAAGUAUGGUGAUGCAGUUUUGUUAGCGACCUGCAAAUGCAUUUGAACUCAUGAUUGUAUUGCUUUAGUAGCCUUCGGAUAUACUAUGUCAUGUCCUCUAUAUUUUUAAAAUUGUAUCGUUUUCCUGGAAGUUUGUCUGAUCUUCUCCUUCGUUAUGUUUCCCUGUUGUGUGCUGCACUUGCUGCUACCGUGAAGAGUGGUGUCCAGGAGACUGAAAAGCACUGCUGAGGAGACUAAAAUUAUCUUAUUGUCUUGAAGACCGAAGCUACCUGUUACGUACUUAUCUAUCUAGCUUAUGUUUCUAGCUUAUCCUGUCACAGAAACUGAAGUUUUAUGUACGGUGAUAAGAAUGUCACUGCCUGAUCUUUUCCUUCACCAUGGAGUUGAAGGAGAAUAGAUGUGCUUUUGCAAUGGUGUACAGGGUGACAUUGGCAAUCCACAGUCAGUCUCACACCACCAGGCUCAAAUGGCUAGAACCAAUCCUAGGUGGCCUACACAUUUUAAGAGCUGAAUCUUUUUGUUCUUAAUUUAAAGGGGGUUAGAUCUCCUGUAUUUUUAAAAAAGAAAAAAAAGACAAUUUCAGAUUAUCACUAACUUUUUUAGGAACUAAAUGUGCUCUACUUGAUGGACAUCUUAAGGACUGCAGCGAUGCUUCAGAGAAUUGUAGAUUCAUAUAAAAUAGGUGAGGUACUACUGCUUUCUUUUUUACCUUUUCAAAUGUCUGUCACUUACGUCAGUGUUUUUUAACCAUAAGGAAUUGAAAACUAAUGAUUUCCCUUUGCUCUCUGCCACACGAACAUUUUAUUACUCUACUUACCAUCCAAUAUACUCUAGAAAAGGAGCUCGAUUCAAGAUAGGUAUGUGUUUUAAACUUGCUUAUAAAAUUAUGUUUCGUUCAUUAUAUAGUUAUUUACAAAUUGUAUUCAUUUUUCUUUUCGUUUAGAAAGCUUAGAUAUAUCUUAAAUGAAUUGUUUACCUUUGUUUUCCUCGCGAGGUGGAUUACACAUUGUAAGAACUAAGAACUAAAUUCUAUAUAUUAAACGCGGACGCAAAAGCCGCUUCUCGAUAGUCCACGUCGGCAAAAAAAGCUUAGAGCGUUGGAUGUGGUUUAAACGGCGCACACAACAUCUUCGCUUGACCUUUCCCGAAGCAUCUAUAGCAGCUCGCCGGCUCCACUCGCCUGCUCGCUCACAGCACGCCGCCACCAGCACUAUCCACCACAAACAUCGGAGAGGAGAGCGGAAUCCCAACCCUCCCCAUCUCCAUAUGUGGCCAUGGCCUCCGUCGACGCCGACACCUGCCCCUCAACCCUGGGAUGCCCUGCUGUUGCACCUCUGUGAGCGCAUCAUCUCCCUCCUCCCCAUCACCGAACUAUUUCCCGUCAUCUCCGUGUAUCCUCUCCCUUGACCCCAUCACCGAACUACUUCCCAUCGCCUCUGUGUCUUGCACGCUCCACCGCCUCCUUCGUUCCCCAGCCUUCAACGCUCUCCUCUCCCCACAUCAUCUCGAUGUUUUAUUCCUCCUUUCCCCACGGCUUGCCAUCCACGGAUCCACUGUCUCUCUGCAUCCUCACUAUGGCCACGCUUGCCGCACUGUCACCCCUUUCUACCCCGUCGUAUUCUCUUAGGAUGAGGCUGGUAGAAGCGAGCACGCGAGGGAGUUGUAGCAAAACAAGCCGGUGGACCAAAUAUUCAAUGCCGAAGCUGAGGCAAAGGAGAGACGAAAGAGAAGGGCCACGACUGAGGAGCGAGCGCGUCACGAUUGAUCUGGGUGAGCACCGGCUGGCUCCGUGCUUUCAUUUAUUUUUUGCUGUUUCUUAGGUGUUCCAGUUAUGGGGCUGCUGGUUGCAGAAGGUUUGAUCCUGCAAUUUUGGUUUAGGGAUUUUGUGAAAUUCUUUUUUCAUUCGUCGCGUGUGGCUGCAAUCUGCUUGUCUGUCUCAUGUCGAAAAAAUUUAAAUGCAAGCAUCAUGGUUCAGUUUGGAUAUUGCACAUAAUAAGGUACUCUGUGCUAUGUCAAGAAUAUAUAGACAUGCAUUGAAAACAUCACAUUUCUCCUUUUAUUUUUGCAAAAAAAACUGUUUCAGCUCGAAGGUCAUUAAUUUAUUGUUUGCACUAUGAAAGUCAAUUCAGAUGUUUAGCAACAUUAUGGUUAUAUUUACCAUCUAAUUUACCAAAAUCGGGUUCCUGCAUCAAACCUUAUUCCACUUUGAACUCGAUAUGCUGGUUGUGAACUGAGCACCAAACAUGUUGCAUAGUUACUGUGAGAAUGGCCAUAUUUAGUUCCUCUUUAGUAUUAUUAUAUACAUCUGUAAAGAUGCAUGUGUUCUGAUGUCUGUGUCAUAGUUGGAAUAGCAUGUUCAUGAGUAUGCAGUAGCAAUGCAACAGAGCUAGCAGUGGGCUUCGUGAAGAGAAUACAUAGUUUCAUGGUAACAAAUUUUUUUCAGCUUCCAAAGUCAGUCUAAUUCAGAUUCAGAUUGCAAUCAGUCACCUAAAGAUGAAUGCACCAGCUUGAGAUUUUACCUAAUCAGGUAAGCUGAAGAGAAGUUGAUCCUCUUAAUGAUGUUUCUAUAUCUUCUUAAUUUAGAAACCAAAAUAUAAAUUUGUGUCUAAUUACAACCAAAAUAUAAAUUUGUGUCUAAUUACACUUCAUACAUACGUAUUGCAUGGAGAAACUUCAAACCAAAGACGCAAUUUUUUUAAAGAGAAAUUAAAGCACCAUCAAUUACAUUUAUUUCGUACGACGAUUCAUUUAGAUAUGGUAUCAACACUCUGCAUCAUAUUUUUAAAGCGUCACCUAUGCGUCUAGUCAGUGGACCAACUCCUAUAAAUCCUAGACGCCUUGCCCGCUUUGCUCGCCUAGGCGUCUAAGCGGCGGUCCAAUGACUUGCCUCGCCUUAGACUUUAAAAACACUACUCUGUAUAUAUUGACAUUUUGUAAAUAGGUACAAUCUGCAUGUAUUGUCGUUUUUUAAGUAGGUACGAUCGAUGUAUACAUAGUUAGUCUUAGUACUACUUACUCAAGCUAUAAAUGAUCAUUGCAACCUGUGAAUUUCAGAAGACGAACAAUUUCGAACCGUUAGCAAGAUUGUGUAUAUGUAAUCAUACCAUCCGUUUGUUUGUGUGGCAAAAUAACAAUCAAUAUUAUGUUAUACCGAUACUAUAAAUAUAUAUAAUCCUUUUAAAAUGUACAUAUUUUAGUAGGACCAUAAAAGAAUAAUGCACAUAGGGCGUGAAUUUAUGAAAGGACAAUAUCUUUCACACACAUGACUUUCGUUUUAAUUUAGCUAUAUAAUUGUAUCCACUCAGAGACCUCGAUGUAUAGGAUUUGAACCACGCGCGUAAUGCGCGUGUCAACUACUAGUUCUUAUAUAAUAGAGCAGGGAGCAAAGCUCGCUUCUGGUGGUGUCCACGUCAUUCUUUUUAUUCCAACUGCCAGAUCUCAAUCCGACGACUAAAUAACGAUUGACGUCUAGUUGGAGCCGUAGUGGACGCUCGAAAAUAUCUCUCGCAAAUGCGCUCUCGAACCUUCGCUACCUCCAACCCGGCGACCAAAUCUGGUGACCCCGCGGGGGAUGGCGUCGUCCCCCUCCCUCCCUCAUGUGCCACCCAUCCGCAGCGUGAUAGCACACGAUGCUGGUUCGCACUCUCACGCCGAGCGCUGCUGACGGGGCAGCGCUGCUGGUGCCGCUGUGGGGGAGAGAGUUGCUGCUGGUGGCGGCGGUGCGGCCGCACGCCCAGUGGAUCACGGUGGAUUCGUGGGUGUUGGUGCGUGUCUGAACAACCUCAAGAAGGGGCAGGGCGACACAGCGAAGUGCGCGGCGACGGGGCAGGUCACUGGGAACAAUAGUGUGGGUCGCGGGUGUCAAGAGGAGUGCUAAGAUGGAGGUGGCCAUCGCAGCCGGCGCGGCCAUGGGCAUGGGGAACCACGUCCUCUACAUGCUCGCGCCCGUGCCGCUCUGAGAUUACCCCUUCUUCCAGGUGCAGUUAGCCAUGUCCGGGUGCAUCCGUGCGACUCCUCCCUUCCCAUCUCCUUUCGCUUCGUGUUUUAUCUACACAUCUUGUCCCUAUGCAACUAUUGGCCGCAAGUAUGGUGAUGCAGUUUUGUUAGCGACCUGCAAAUGCAUUUGAACUCAUGAUUGUAUUGCUUUAGUAGCCUUCGGAUAUACUAUGUCAUGUCCUCUAUAUUUUUAAAAUUGUAUCGUUUUCCUGGAAGUUUGUCUGAUCUUCUCCUUCGUUAUGUUUCCCUGUUGUGUGCUGCACUUGCUGCUACCGUGAAGAGUGGUGUCCAGGAGACUGAAAAGCACUGCUGAGGAGACUAAAAUUAUCUUAUUGUCUUGAAGACCGAAGCUACCUGUUACGUACUUAUCUAUCUAGCUUAUGUUUCUAGCUUAUCCUGUCACAGAAACUGAAGUUUUAUGUACGGUGAUAAGAAUGUCACUGCCUGAUCUUUUCCUUCACCAUGGAGUUGAAGGAGAAUAGAUGUGCUUUUGCAAUGGUGUACAGGGUGACAUUGGCAAUCCACAGUCAGUCUCACACCACCAGGCUCAAAUGGCUAGAACCAAUCCUAGGUGGCCUACACAUUUUAAGAGCUGAAUCUUUUUGUUCUUAAUUUAAAGGGGGUUAGAUCUCCUGUAUUUUUAAAAAAGAAAAAAAAGACAAUUUCAGAUUAUCACUAACUUUUUUAGGAACUAAAUGUGCUCUACUUGAUGGACAUCUUAAGGACUGCAGCGAUGCUUCAGAGAAUUGUAGAUUCAUAUAAAAUAGGUGAGGUACUACUGCUUUCUUUUUUACCUUUUCAAAUGUCUGUCACUUACGUCAGUGUUUUUUAACCAUAAGGAAUUGAAAACUAAUGAUUUCCCUUUGCUCUCUGCCACACGAACAUUUUAUUACUCUACUUACCAUCCAAUAUACUCUAGAAAAGGAGCUCGAUUCAAGAUAGGUAUGUGUUUUAAACUUGCUUAUAAAAUUAUGUUUCGUUCAUUAUAUAGUUAUUUACAAAUUGUAUUCAUUUUUCUUUUCGUUUAGAAAGCUUAGAUAUAUCUUAAAUGAAUUGUUUACCUUUGUUUUCCUCGCGAGGUGGAUUACACAUUGUAAGAACUAAGAACUAAAUUCUAUAUAUUAAACGCGGACGCAAAAGCCGCUUCUCGAUAGUCCACGUCGGCAAAAAAAGCUUAGAGCGUUGGAUGUGGUUUAAACGGCGCACACAACAUCUUCGCUUGACCUUUCCCGAAGCAUCUAUAGCAGCUCGCCGGCUCCACUCGCCUGCUCGCUCACAGCACGCCGCCACCAGCACUAUCCACCACAAACAUCGGAGAGGAGAGCGGAAUCCCAACCCUCCCCAUCUCCAUAUGUGGCCAUGGCCUCCGUCGACGCCGACACCUGCCCCUCAACCCUGGGAUGCCCUGCUGUUGCACCUCUGUGAGCGCAUCAUCUCCCUCCUCCCCAUCACCGAACUAUUUCCCGUCAUCUCCGUGUAUCCUCUCCCUUGACCCCAUCACCGAACUACUUCCCAUCGCCUCUGUGUCUUGCACGCUCCACCGCCUCCUUCGUUCCCCAGCCUUCAACGCUCUCCUCUCCCCACAUCAUCUCGAUGUUUUAUUCCUCCUUUCCCCACGGCUUGCCAUCCACGGAUCCACUGUCUCUCUGCAUCCUCACUAUGGCCACGCUUGCCGCACUGUCACCCCUUUCUACCCCGUCGUAUUCUCUUAGGAUGAGGCUGGUAGAAGCGAGCACGCGAGGGAGUUGUAGCAAAACAAGCCGGUGGACCAAAUAUUCAAUGCCGAAGCUGAGGCAAAGGAGAGACGAAAGAGAAGGGCCACGACUGAGGAGCGAGCGCGUCACGAUUGAUCUGGGUGAGCACCGGCUGGCUCCGUGCUUUCAUUUAUUUUUUGCUGUUUCUUAGGUGUUCCAGUUAUGGGGCUGCUGGUUGCAGAAGGUUUGAUCCUGCAAUUUUGGUUUAGGGAUUUUGUGAAAUUCUUUUUUCAUUCGUCGCGUGUGGCUGCAAUCUGCUUGUCUGUCUCAUGUCGAAAAAAUUUAAAUGCAAGCAUCAUGGUUCAGUUUGGAUAUUGCACAUAAUAAGGUACUCUGUGCUAUGUCAAGAAUAUAUAGACAUGCAUUGAAAACAUCACAUUUCUCCUUUUAUUUUUGCAAAAAAAACUGUUUCAGCUCGAAGGUCAUUAAUUUAUUGUUUGCACUAUGAAAGUCAAUUCAGAUGUUUAGCAACAUUAUGGUUAUAUUUACCAUCUAAUUUACCAAAAUCGGGUUCCUGCAUCAAACCUUAUUCCACUUUGAACUCGAUAUGCUGGUUGUGAACUGAGCACCAAACAUGUUGCAUAGUUACUGUGAGAAUGGCCAUAUUUAGUUCCUCUUUAGUAUUAUUAUAUACAUCUGUAAAGAUGCAUGUGUUCUGAUGUCUGUGUCAUAGUUGGAAUAGCAUGUUCAUGAGUAUGCAGUAGCAAUGCAACAGAGCUAGCAGUGGGCUUCGUGAAGAGAAUACAUAGUUUCAUGGUAACAAAUUUUUUUCAGCUUCCAAAGUCAGUCUAAUUCAGAUUCAGAUUGCAAUCAGUCACCUAAAGAUGAAUGCACCAGCUUGAGAUUUUACCUAAUCAGGUAAGCUGAAGAGAAGUUGAUCCUCUUAAUGAUGUUUCUAUAUCUUCUUAAUUUAGAAACCAAAAUAUAAAUUUGUGUCUAAUUACAACCAAAAUAUAAAUUUGUGUCUAAUUACACUUCAUACAUACGUAUUGCAUGGAGAAACUUCAAACCAAAGACGCAAUUUUUUUAAAGAGAAAUUAAAGCACCAUCAAUUACAUUUAUUUCGUACGACGAUUCAUUUAGAUAUGGUAUCAACACUCUGCAUCAUAUUUUUAAAGCGUCACCUAUGCGUCUAGUCAGUGGACCAACUCCUAUAAAUCCUAGACGCCUUGCCCGCUUUGCUCGCCUAGGCGUCUAAGCGGCGGUCCAAUGACUUGCCUCGCCUUAGACUUUAAAAACACUACUCUGUAUAUAUUGACAUUUUGUAAAUAGGUACAAUCUGCAUGUAUUGUCGUUUUUUAAGUAGGUACGAUCGAUGUAUACAUAGUUAGUCUUAGUACUACUUACUCAAGCUAUAAAUGAUCAUUGCAACCUGUGAAUUUCAGAAGACGAACAAUUUCGAACCGUUAGCAAGAUUGUGUAUAUGUAAUCAUACCAUCCGUUUGUUUGUGUGGCAAAAUAACAAUCAAUAUUAUGUUAUACCGAUACUAUAAAUAUAUAUAAUCCUUUUAAAAUGUACAUAUUUUAGUAGGACCAUAAAAGAAUAAUGCACAUAGGGCGUGAAUUUAUGAAAGGACAAUAUCUUUCACACACAUGACUUUCGUUUUAAUUUAGCUAUAUAAUUGUAUCCACUCAGAGACCUCGAUGUAUAGGAUUUGAACCACGCGCGUAAUGCGCGUGUCAACUACUAGUUCUUAUAUAAUAGAGCAGGGAGCAAAGCUCGCUUCUGGUGGUGUCCACGUCAUUCUUUUUAUUCCAACUGCCAGAUCUCAAUCCGACGACUAAAUAACGAUUGACGUCUAGUUGGAGCCGUAGUGGACGCUCGAAAAUAUCUCUCGCAAAUGCGCUCUCGAACCUUCGCUACCUCCAACCCGGCGACCAAAUCUGGUGACCCCGCGGGGGAUGGCGUCGUCCCCCUCCCUCCCUCAUGUGCCACCCAUCCGCAGCGUGAUAGCACACGAUGCUGGUUCGCACUCUCACGCCGAGCGCUGCUGACGGGGCAGCGCUGCUGGUGCCGCUGUGGGGGAGAGAGUUGCUGCUGGUGGCGGCGGUGCGGCCGCACGCCCAGUGGAUCACGGUGGAUUCGUGGGUGUUGGUGCGUGUCUGAACAACCUCAAGAAGGGGCAGGGCGACACAGCGAAGUGCGCGGCGACGGGGCAGGUCACUGGGAACAAUAGUGUGGGUCGCGGGUGUCAAGAGGAGUGCUAAGAUGGAGGUGGCCAUCGCAGCCGGCGCGGCCAUGGGCAUGGGGAACCACGUCCUCUACAUGCUCGCGCCCGUGCCGCUCUGAGAUUACCCCUUCUUCCAGGUGCAGUUAGCCAUGUCCGGGUGCAUCCGUGCGACUCCUCCCUUCCCAUCUCCUUUCGCUUCGUGUUUUAUCUACACAUCUUGUCCCUAUGCAACUAUUGGCCGCAAGUAUGGUGAUGCAGUUUUGUUAGCGACCUGCAAAUGCAUUUGAACUCAUGAUUGUAUUGCUUUAGUAGCCUUCGGAUAUACUAUGUCAUGUCCUCUAUAUUUUUAAAAUUGUAUCGUUUUCCUGGAAGUUUGUCUGAUCUUCUCCUUCGUUAUGUUUCCCUGUUGUGUGCUGCACUUGCUGCUACCGUGAAGAGUGGUGUCCAGGAGACUGAAAAGCACUGCUGAGGAGACUAAAAUUAUCUUAUUGUCUUGAAGACCGAAGCUACCUGUUACGUACUUAUCUAUCUAGCUUAUGUUUCUAGCUUAUCCUGUCACAGAAACUGAAGUUUUAUGUACGGUGAUAAGAAUGUCACUGCCUGAUCUUUUCCUUCACCAUGGAGUUGAAGGAGAAUAGACGUGCUUUUGCAAUGGUGUACAGGGUGACAUUGGCAAUCCACAGUCAGUCUCACACCACCAGGCUCAAAUGGCUAGAACCAAUCCUAGGUGGCCUACACAUUUUAAGAGCUGAAUCUUUUUGUUCUUAAUUUAAAGGGGGUUAGAUCUCCUGUAUUUUUAAAAAAGAAAAAAAAGACAAUUUCAGAUUAUCACUAACUUUUUUAGGAACUAAAUGUGCUCUACUUGAUGGACAUCUUAAGGACUGCAGCGAUGCUUCAGAGAAUUGUAGAUUCAUAUAAAAUAGGUGAGGUACUACUGCUUUCUUUUUUACCUUUUCAAAUGUCUGUCACUUACGUCAGUGUUUUUUAACCAUAAGGAAUUGAAAACUAAUGAUUUCCCUUUGCUCUCUGCCACACGAACAUUUUAUUACUCUACUUACCAUCCAAUAUACUCUAGAAAAGGAGCUCGAUUCAAGAUAGGUAUGUGUUUUAAACUUGCUUAUAAAAUUAUGUUUCGUUCAUUAUAUAGUUAUUUACAAAUUGUAUUCAUUUUUCUUUUCGUUUAGAAAGCUUAGAUAUAUCUUAAAUGAAUUGUUUACCUUUGUUUUCCUCGCGAGGUGGAUUACACAUUGUAAGAACUAAGAACUAAAUCUGUUUUUCUUCUUAUUUUAAAGAGGACAGGUCUCCUUCAUUCUUGGAAACAAGAGACGAUCUCAGAUUAUCACUAACCUUUUUAUGAGCUAUAAAUGUGCUCUGCUUAACGAACAUCUUAAGGACCGCAUAUUCAGAGAACUAUGGAUUCAUAUAAAACGGGUGAGGUCCUACGACUUCCAUUUUUACCUUAUCAAAUACCUCCUGUGUCAAGCCCUUUGCUUGACCUGUGUUUGCUUAGUAUUACUAACAAAUCAUGAAGCCCUUUGUUAAGUCUGUGCUUGCUUAGUGAUACUAAGAAGUCAUAAAGCCCCAACGAGUUUCUCUAGCUGAAUAUGAAGCAGUCACUAUUUGUCCUUGAUUAAUCGAAACUAAUUUGCAUGGUUCCUUUUGUGCACAACAACGUGAAACAUAAAUCUUGAAGAUUAUGUCACCGUAAGAAGUAGGUGUUCCUUACAUUUAGAGAGAACUAGAAAAAACGGUUUACAUGCAUCUGGAGCCUUCUGAACACGAAACAAUUUACACGCGCGUUGGCGCGCGCCAGUUACUAGUUGGAUUUGUGGCCGUGUCCGCUAGCCUCCCCAUGCACUGCAAACCACCCACACUCGCACUCGCUUAGUGGAAAACCCACUCCCACUGUCGUUUCGUCAACUCAAGCGUCACCACCUUCUCCUCUCCCCGUCGCACUUCGGCGAGGAAUUAAAACCGCACCAACACUCCUAUAUCUUCCCCUUGGCCCCUAUAAGAACCUUUGACCCCUACUCUCUCCUUUGCACCUCCUUGCCCUCUCCUGAGUAGGGAUGACAAUCGGGCGGGUAGUACAUGAAUAUAUAGUUCGCGAAUCCAUACACACGAGACAAAACUCAACCCAUACACGUACCCAUAAACGUUCGUGGGUAUGGAUCUGUAUCCAUACCCGUAUCCGCCGAGUAUCCGCUAUCUAGUGGAUAUCCCUUACCCGCCCGCCCACUACACUUUUAGCAUUAAACACCAAACAACAAUUUUAUUACAUUUCAAAAUAAUUAUCAUUCCAAUAGCAUUAAAUGAUAAUUUCAUCACCAAACAACAUGUUAUGGAUAAAAAUUGAAAAUAAGAAUUUAUGAUAAUAUAUAAAUCUAGAUGGCCCACAUGUUAGAUAUCCACUGGGUAAUGGGUAUGGAUUCUGGAUAUUCAUACCCGCGAAAAACAUAUCCGUGGAUACCUUAUUAUAUCCAUAACCAUACCCGCGAAUAUCGAAUUCCACCAUACCCAUAUCCAAUGGAUAAUUAUCCAUGAUUAUUUACCCAUACCUGUACCCACUGCCAUCCCUACUCCUAAGCCCUACUCUGCUCUACCCCCAUACACUAUUGUGCUGCCACCGCUGUUCGUCGUGGACAAAGCUCUUCGGAGAUUCUCCGACCCCGCCGAGGCCACAAUAGAGUUUCCCAAAGUGCUCUCUUACUUCCCUGCACCUCCUUUGCCCCAAUCUCGUGUCGUUGUGGUCGUUCGUUCAUCAUUAGAGUUCACUAGUUUAGCUUCCGCAAGGUUGACGAUGAACAUCUUUCGGUCUGGCCCUUGAGUUUUUCUCAUUUUAUGCGCAAUUUAUUUUAUGAAAUAGCCCAGCAUCAGAGUUCGCUAGCGCCGUUGUCGUAAGGUUGACAAUGAACCCGCAGUCUUCUUGCAUCAUAGCCCUAGUAUUUUUGAAUAACUAAGCUAUCAGCCCUGUUUUCUUAGUUCCUAACCCCAGUAAUCUAUAUUUUAUUGCAAAUGGGUUGUUGUAUAGGUAUUUUCAGUAUCAAAUGUGUAUUUUAAGUCCAAACGAAACAACUUUUGUUUUGUUAGCUUCACAAUAAUGUCAUGAACAUUUAAAAUAGUUUCUGUAUCUCUAAAAAUUAAAAUUAUUAAUAGUUAUUAUAAUUGUUUAAAUAUUGGUUUUCAUAAAAAAACUAAAAGAAAAUGUAUACCAUGUUUUUCUUAAUUAAAAUAAAUAUAUUAACUGUUUAAUUAUCUUUUCUCAUGAAAUAUGAUUUAGGCUUAUAAUUCAUGUUUUUCAUAAAAAAGAUAUAUUAGCUUAAUUAUAUGUUUUAUAAAAUUUAUCCUAUAGCCAUAUUAUACCAUAUAGUUUUUUUUUCUAAAAAAAUGUUAAAAUGGUGAAGUUGGUGUUUCUAAUCUUGAAACUAAAAUUGUGGUUAGAUUUAUGUAAUGAUUUUCAAACCAACAAUUUUCCAAAAUGUGUACCCUUUGUUAAACUUUGUUUUUUCAAAAAAUAGAUAAUAUAGUUGUUAUGAUUUCUUUUUAGCCUUGUUAUCAAUGAUUGUUGUAUGUUUAAUGAUUGGUGAUUGUUUAUUAUUAUUUGUGUAUUGUUUAUAAGUUGAUCCAUUAGAUGAGGAUCAAUAUUAGUUUGAGGAAGAUACUCAAGAUUUUUGUGAGCAAGGCAAUUGGAUUUUCUCCCACUGCAUAUUCCUUCGAACCUAAUCUCACAAGAUGAUAACUAAGUUUAUAUUCAUGUUAUGCAUAAUCUUGAUGGAUUUUCUAUUAGAAGUACCUAGACUUUACCAACCAUUCCUUAUUAACCUGGGUUAUGUUUUAAUCAAGUAGUGAUGCUAGUUGAUAUAACUUCAGUUCUAUGCUAGUUCUCAUUUAAAUUGGUAAUGUUCCUAAGAUUAUGUUCUAUUGUUAAUAAUAACAAGAUGAUACAUGUUAAUUGGAAUAUGGAGAACCACCUAUGAAAACAAUGCAACCAUGAGUGUUAUUAUGGCUCUAACUUCGAAAUAGCGAUAACACUGCACUACAAGAACCAGUACGUCUAUAUCAACUGGCGAUGUCUCUAUUAGGUUUGAGUCUUAUGAGGGGCUUAAAACUAUGUUACACUACCGGAAACGGGCGCUUUGCUGAGUGCCCGAAGCACUCGGCAAAGCCGUAAAAACACUCGGCAAAGGCUUUGCCGAGUGUCGCACUUGGCAAAGAAGGCUCGGCAAACAGUGCAUCGGCAAAGCCUUCUUUGCCGAGUACUUUUUCUCGGGCACUCGACAAAGAGGUUUGCCGAGUGCCAGGGAGCACUCGGCAAAGAAAAGUGGCCGUUACAGCGACAGGGUGACGAAGACGGCUUCUUUGCCGAGUGUCAAGGAUGACACUCGGCAAAGGAGUUAACUUUGCCGAGUGUCUGCCCAGUAGCACUCGGCAAAGAUUCAACCUUUGCCGAGUGCCCCCUAGGACACUCGGCAAAGAGCCCGCCAGGGGAGGGUCCCCAUGUAAGGUUCUUUGCCGAAUGCUCUGUGCGACACUCGGCAAAGCGUGCCUCUUUGCCGAGUGCCAGCGACAUAACACUCGGCAAAGUCCCUAAACCGAUGCCCAGGUCUUUGCUCUUUGCCGAGUGUUAUGACCCUGACACUCGGCAAAGCACCUCUUUGCUGAGUGUUACACUCGGCAAAGUGACCAGUAUAUACCUUUUUAUUUGUUUUUUUGUAUUCCAUCCACACAAACAAAAUAUAUCACAUAUAUAUCACAUAUAUACAUCACAGAUAUCAUCACAAACAUAAAUAGCCAACACAAAUAUAAAACCGUCACCACAAACAUAAAUAUCCAUCACAAACAUAAGUGUUCAACACAAGUAUCAAACACAAACAUAAGUCUCAAACGUCUCAAGCUCUCACAUAAGUAUCAAACACAAACAUAAGUAUUAUACAUAAGUUCUGAAGUCUAAACAAUGAAAACACAACACUCAUGGAGGUGGGCGGUUUGAUCGGGGCUGCGUUGGGCUGAACCCUUCCGGAGCGUUGUUGGAUGCCGCCCCAGAUUGGCCCUGCAUAGAGAAGAGAUUGCAUGUGUUAUACCAGAUGCAUUACAAACAUCUAACUACAAUUUUGAUACUCACAGGAGUGUGGAAGAGAGCAUGGUCAACUGGAGGGAACAAUGGAGGUGGCGGAGCGAUGCCCUGUGCGGCGCCAAGGCUCUGCAUGUACUGGAACAUCUCCGCCAUCCUCUGAUGAUCUGCCCGGCGCUCCGCCUCCCGCUCCACCAUCAUCCUCGCCUCCAUCUCGUGACGUUCCCUCCUCUCUUCUUCUAGUUGGGUCUGUAAUAUUACAAUCCAACGUUAUAGUAACUCAAAGAGAAGGUAUAUAACUCAAGGAAGGACGAGUUACAGAAGCACUAACCUCGAGUUGAUGUAUGCGAUGCUGUGAGCUAUCGUGCCGAGGUCGUAUGGCUGGACUCGAGCCCGUGCUCCUUGCUCUCACCUGAGACAGAGUGGGAGUGGAGGACGAGUCGAUUGCCCCGUUGGCAAUCCAGUACCGCCCAUGUCUCUUGCCUCCUCCGACCCUCAUGAGCACAUCGGGGUCGAUCGGCUCGGUGCUCGGAUCAUAGUCUGGGCCAUGGACCUCCUGCGCCAUGGCGGUGUAGUCAUAGAGGCGACUGUAGACGACGGGGUUGGUGUAGGCCUUGGGCUCGUCAUCCGGGUUGUAGGUGACAUCGGACGUCACCUUACCCUUAUGGGCCAUAGCAUAGGCCGAGAAGGUGGAGCAAGGCCGGCCACCAUGUGACGCUGACUGCAAAGAAAACCAACGAGAUAAUUAGAAAUAAUAUCUAAUUCAGUGCUAUAUAUCUAAAUAAAAAAGAGGGCGUACCCAUGCUUCAGCAUAUUGGCCCAGGCUCCGGCUGCCUUGGUGGUGGGAGGGGCCUUGCAUCAUCAAACACUGUUCCCGGCUAGCGGUGUGCGCCUCGUCCCACUCAGCCGAACACCACCUAUCCACCAUCUGCUCCCAGCACAGAGGAUGUGCGGCGCACCAAUAUGGAAUCAUCUACAAAGUAAACACGUAAAGUGCAUAUCAGAAGAUAAAAUAAAAUUCAUGCAUGGAGUACUGGUACCAAACAUGCAUGACUUUACCUGCAGGUACUGCUCCCUGGUCAACGACAUGGUUCGGGCUUGUGGUUUGGUCACCCUCUCCCCAAGGACGGAGCCAUGGUAGGUGAUGAUGGCCUGGAUUCGGGCCUCAUAGUGCAUGUCCACGACGAGCUUCUUACAGCUCGUGGUGGCCACCACAUCCGCCCUAGCCUCGUAUCCAGCAUCGCAUCUGAAGAAAUCCUGCAUACAAAAACGAUGUAUCCAUAUAUUAUUUCAAGAAUUUGCAACGAAUGCGACAUAUUUUGCAUUAUACUAAGACUUACCCACAGCUCUUGCUUCACCCGCUCCGCCUUGUUAUUGAAUUCCCGGCCAUCCCGGUCUACUGCAUCGGGGGCGACGGCGUAGUGGUCGAAGGUGAAGGCUGGGCCCGUCACUCCGGCGUACUCCACAAGUCCAGGGAAGUGUUCCCUGCACAGCAGGCCGAUGAUGCCAUUGGGGGGGCGACGAUGACCCCCCGCAUAAUCCAAAACCGUCCAAGACCUGCCCAAGUGAUAAAUAAAAAGCAUUAGUUUAUAUUAUGAUUUCGAACACAUAAUAUGAACAAGAAUGAAGAACAUAAAGUUACAUACCUCUCCCCUUCCGGCCGAAUCAGCGGCCGCCUGUCCCGAAGUAUGGGACGCUGAGGGAGACUCGCGGGGCCUUGCAGGUAGAUGCUCCUCGAACUUAAGCCGCCUGAACCUGAGACGUCCUGCUGCUGGUCGUCGUCGUCCUGAUGCGCCGCUUGCUGCUGGACAAGGUCGUCCUGAGGCGCCGCCUGCUCUGCCUCGUCCGCCGUCCUACUCCUCCUUCCCCUCCUCCUCCUCAGCCAAUUACCGCCGACCAUAUUUGUCCAAAAAUCUGCAAUUAAGAGUAAACAAAUAAGCACAUAUAAAAAGAUGUAUUUAAAAACAGGUGCAAAAUAAAAAAGUCAUAUAGCAUUACAUCGAUUAAAAAUAAUCUUCAUAUGUGUCGGGGUUAGCCGGAUCAUAACUCUCAUCAUCACUAUCAACCAUUUCAAUCUCAACAUGCAUUAUGAAGUACUGGUACCAAACAUGCAUUCUGAAGUUUGUCUUCGUAGCUCGGUCAUACGUCCAUACCCCUUCCUCCCAGGCACGUACCAAUUCAUCGAUCGAAGGCUCCAUGUACACGCCCAUUUUAUUCCCCGGGUGUCCGAGAAUUAUCAACGACACGAAUAUAUUCUGCCUUUGAAAGCACACACCAGGGGAGAUUGAUUGGGAUAACAAACACGAGCCAACAUGUGUAUGGGGCAGCGCUCAUUCCAUAGGGAUUGAACCCAUCUGUGGCCAACGCAACACGUACAUUACGAGCUUCUUCGGCUUUCUCACGGUGAAUGGCAUCAAAGUGUUUCCAUGCUUCACCACCGGAUGCGUGCACCAUCUUGUCAGGAUUGUAUCAUUUUCCAUUUUUGUGCCAUGUCAUCUGUUUCGCGGAUUCCUCUGUCAUGUACAGACGCUGGAUCCUCGGUAUGAACGGAAGGUGUCGUAGGAUUGUCAAGGGGAUGUCGAGCUGCCUCUUCUGUCCAUCACCAGAGUCUACCUCCAUGAACCUAGACGAUGUACACUUGGGACUGUACUUUGCCUCCGCGUAUUCUUUCCUAAAUAGCACGUAGCCCUUCAGACAAGCAUGAAUCUGCUCAUACGUCAUCUUGAGUGCACGAAGGAGUUUCUGUGCCUCGUACAUGCUCUUUGGCAGAAUGUGAUCAUCCGGAAGCAUGCUCCCAAUAACCGUCAACAAGCCAUCGAAUGCGUCUCUACUCAUGCUGUACUGCGACUUGAACGCCAUUACACGUAGGGGUGGGCACUUUUUUACCAUAAACCGAAAACCGAACCGAACCGUACCGAACCGAACCGAAAUUUCGGUUUUUUGGUAGUUCGGUUCGGUUUCGGUUUUUAUAUCUCAGAAGUUCGGUUUUCGGUAUCGUAAUCGGUUUUCACCGUAUACCGAACCGAAUACCAAACUUUAUCAAUUCUAAAACUUGACUUUUUGAUUAUGUGAACUAAAUGUGUGAUGCAAUUAAAUUGUUAUUCACUUAUUUAUAUGUGAUGUAUGAUGUAUCUCUAAAUAUUUGUACCUAUAUAAUUUUUACUUUUUAAAAUUAUGUGUAAUCUAUCAUAUAAACUUGUUGUAUGUGUUGUUUUGAGUAUAAGUUUGGUAUUCGGUUUUUACCGAAAACCCGAAGUAAAAAACCGAAACCGAAGUUCUCGGUUUUCAUUUUCUAGAAAACCGAUUGGUUUCUAAUGUCUAGAAAACCGAAGUUUUUUAAAACCGAAAAACCGAACCGAAAUUUCAAAAAAAAACCAAAUGCCCAGCCCUAAUUACACGCCCAAUGGCAUCCAGUUGAGAAACCUUUGUCUGGCCGUGAAGGGGCUUCUGUGCCGCGUCGAACAUGUCGUAGAACGCCUUUGCAGUCGGCUCUGGCUCGUCAUCCAUACAUCCUCCCGUGUACUGUGCCUCCUGAUAGUCGUUCAACAUAUCCGCUACCCCCGCAUCCGCGUCAUAAUCCUCAACACGUUGUCUCAGCACCUCCUCUCUCGUACGAUGCGCUUCACCAUGAAAUAUCCACCGAGUAUAGCCCGGCGUAAAUCCAUUCUUCCAAAUAUGUUCUACCAUGGACUUCUUUGGUUUUCUUUUCCGGUUGGGACAUUUGCUGCACGGGCAUGGGACUAGACUCGCUCCUUUAGCAGCUUCGCCAUAUGCCCGUUCCACGAAAUCAUCGGUCUUUCUAAUCCAUUCAGUGGUAACAUCGUUCCUUCCUCUAUGGCCCGUGUACAUCCACUCACGGUUCUCCAUCCUAUAACAUAUAUAACCGACUAUAGUUUAAUAUAACAUGUAAGACAUCUGAAAAAAAUAACUCAAUCCUAUCAACAAAAAAAUUCGGCAGCACCUCCCCUGUACGGAGAUGUUUACAAAACCUGCAAAUAAAACUAGCAGCACGAUGGCUGACAUCCACAAAUAUAUCUAAUUGACACACAUAGUAUAAACUCCCUAAAUUCAAUAAAUAUGUAGUAUAAAUUUAAUAAACACACAUACUAAAUUCAAUAAACACACAAAAUUCAUUAUAAACACAUAAUAUAAACACGUAAAUUUAUUAAAUUCCAUAAACCUUUACGGCUUGGCGCGUGGGGCAGGCGGUGGCGUUGGCGGGUGGCCGGUGGCGGCUUGCCGGGCGCGUGGGGGGCGGGCGGCGGUCGGCCGACGGCGUCAUGCUGGGCCGGUGGGCGUGGCCGGGCGCGUGGGCGCGUGGGGCGGCCGGGCGGCUUCACAGGCGGCGCCGGUGGCGGUCGCGGGCGGCAGCAGCGUGCCGGGCCGGUGGGCGUGGCCGGGCGCGUGGGCGCGUGGGGAGGCCGAGCGGCUUGACGGGCGGCGCCGGCGGCGAGCCGGGAGCGUGGGGCGGGCGGCGGUCGAGGGCGGCGGUGGGAGCGGCGGCGUGCCGGGCGGGUGGAAGAGAAGGAAGUGAAAGGAGAGAAAGAGAGAAGAGAGCAUGUCGGGCGGUUUAGUUACCUUCUUUGCCGAGUGCCCGCGAUCCGGCACUCGGCAAAGAUUUUUUAAAAUUUAAAAAUAAACUUUGCCGAGUGCCGGAUCUCGGGCACUCGGCAAAGACAUCUUUGCCGAGUGCUAGCUGUACAUGCACUCGGCAAAGAUCUAUUCUACAGUCUUUGCCGAGUGCCCACGGGUAGGCACUCGGCAUAACCGCCUUUGCCGAGUGCUAGCUAGACAGCACUCGGCAAAGUAUACUUUAUUUUUUUAUUUUUGGCAACCAAACUUUUUGUGGUGUUUUCCUACACUAUGUAGACCUACAAGUACCAUUUUGGUACAAUUAUAAAAGUGUUUUUAUAACUAUUUGAUUUAGUUCGUUUAUUUGCAUUUCUUCGGAAAAUUCAGAUUUGAAUUGCAGGUCACUCGAAACUUGAAAAACCGUGCAUGCAAAAAUGAUAUUCAUGUUACUUAGCAUAAGUUAUGACCGAUUCCAGGAGCGGACCGGAAACUUCGAGUAACAUGCUCACUAAACAUGGCCGUGAACUUGCCAUCCACAUGUUUAAAAAUUGUAUAAAACACAAACAAAGUCAGAAAAUCAUGAAACUUUUCAACAUGUCAUGAUAUCAUAUAUAGAGGGCGUGAUAAAAAUUUUAGAAUGUUUGGAGAAAGUUGUGAGACACUAUGUGUAGAAACCUAAGAGAACUACACAUGAAAUCAUAGAGUUCCAAUGUGGAUCUCUUAGGUUUCUACACAUAGCGCGUCACAGUUUUCUCGAAUCUUUUUCAAUUUUUUAUCACAGCCUGUACAUAUGAUAUCAUGACACGUGUCCAAGUUUCAUGAUUUUCUGACUUUGUUUGUAUUUAUACAAUUUUUAAACAUGUGGAUGGCAAGUUCACAUCCAUGUUUAGUGAGCAUGUUGCUCGAAGUUUCCGGUCCGCUCCUGGAAUCGAUCGUAACUUAUGUUAAGUAACAUGAAUAUCAUUUUUGCAUGCACGAUUUUUCAAGUUUCGAGUGACCUGCAGUUCAAAUCUGAAUUUUCCGAAGAAAUGCAAAUAAUCGAACUAAAUCUACUAACGAUUGAAAACUCUGUUAUAAUUGUCCACAAAUGAUACAUGUAGGUCUACAUAGUGUAGGAACAUACCACAAAAAGUUUGGGAGACAAAAUCUAAAAAAUAAAAAUAUGCUUUGCCGAGUGUCUUGAGAAGACACUCGGUAAAGAGUCCUUUGCCGAGUGCCAAAUAUUUGACACUCGACAAAUAAGCCACUUUGACGAGUGCCAAUCGUCGGCUCUCGGCAAAGAUUGACGGCCGUCAACUUUAGGACGACCGCUGACGACCCUUUGCCGAGCGCCGCCUUUGCCGAGUGUUUGACACUCGGCAAACAUGUCUUUGCCGAGUGGUGUCCUGUGCCGAGUGUCCUGCACUCGUUAAAGAGGCUCGUUACCAAGAGCCGAACUUUGCCGAGUGCGGCUCUCGGCAAAGCUUGCUUUGCCGAGUGCCUGACAAAAGGCACUCGACAAAGAUGCCGACACUCGGCAAAGCCUCGGAUUCCGGUAGUGUUACUAUUUAUUUUGUUCAUAUUCAUUACAUUCAAAUUACAUGUGCACCUUUCUAUUGACAUAAAAAGUAGUAUCAACUUUCUAGAUUAAAAUGCAACUAAAAGUACCUAAAUUUCUAACGGUGGGGAUUGAGUGACUCUUUAAACCGAUUAUUACACAAGUUAACCAAAGUAGAAUUAACAUUGGUGAAUAGCGCCAUGAAUUGUUUUUCUAGUGAAAAAUAGCACAAGCAUGCUACACAUAUGUGGCUAUCGUUAGACAUGUGUAAAGGUAAUGCAUCACACCAUUGUCACCCAUGUAUUUGGAAAACACCAAGAGGAAAAACCACUUAUUUAUUGUAUUUUAUGGAGAUUAUCUUGCUUACAUAUAAAUUAUAACCCAACAAACUGGUCACUAAAUAUCAAAACCAACGUGAUACCAGGUCAUCUCUAGCUUAUCUUACUAAUAUUCUUUUGGCAAAAUCCAAAAUUAAUCUUGCACAAGCACAAGGACUGACAUGUGUAUAAAUAUCUCUUAGAUUAGUACGUAAUCCAUCGCACAUAUUAUUGAGACCAAUUAUCAACAUAGAAACUAGAAUAGAGUAGCAACAAUGACAACCAAGAUAUUUUCCCUCCUUAAGCUCCUUGCUCUUUCUGCAAGCGCUACUACCACGCCAUUUUCCUGCAAUGCUCACAAGCUCCUAUAGCUUCCCUUCUUCCCCCGUACCUUUCAUCAGUGAUGGCUUCAGUAUGUGAAAACCCAAUUCUUCAUCUCUAUAGGAUCCAACAGGCAAUUGCAGCAGGCAUCUUAACUUUAUCACCCUUGUUCCUCCAAUAACCGUCAGCCCUAUUACAACAGUUAUCUUUGGUGCAUUUGUUGGCACAAAGCAUCAGGGCACAAAAACUGCAUCAACUUGCGCUGGAAAACCUUACUGCCAACUCUCAGUAACAAAAGUUUAUUCCAUUCAACCAACUGGCUACAUUGAACUCUGUUGCUUAUUUGCAACAAUAACAACUACCAUUCAGCCAACUAGUUGUUGUGAGCCUGUUGCCUUCUUACAUAGCAGCAGUUGUUGCCGUUCUACCCGCACGAUGUGGCUAACACAACCACCCUCUUACAACUGCAACAAUUGCCGCCAUUCAACCAACUUGCGUUGACAAACCCAACAGCGUUCUACCUACAACCCAUCAUUGAUGGUGCCCUCUGUUAGAUUGCUUAUGAGUUAUAGUUCAAUAAUGAAGUUUUUUGGUUGAUGUUUGUGGCUUCCCAGAAAUAAUAAAGUACAUUUCUAGAUUCUCAUGUGCUACUUGUCUCCAAAUGUGGUUGAUAAUUAUUUUGCUCUAAGAUCGAGAGUAAUGAUGUAUAAAUCAUCGUUGUCGUGUGAUACUCGGUCAAUUGAGCAUUAGCACACACAAACAUGACGAGAAUGGUAUAAUCUCCAAAAAUAUGUACUUUGUAGGUGGGACCCUAUAGCCAUGCAAAAUAUGCUAUGUUAGGCAUGCCGAUGGAAACAUGUGAUGCAUAUGUUUCGUGAACCUGUUGAUAUUAUAUGUGAUUUAUAUUACGAUAUUUUACUAAAAUACUAAUAUUUAUUACUAGUAAGUUAUAACAUUCUAUCAAUCUUAAAAACCUAACCAUAAAUAUUCCAUCGUAACUAGGUUUACCAAACUAUACAAAUACACAAUAAAUACAAAAUUAACAAUACAAUAACCAAUAUUUAUGAGCUUAAUAAAUUUAAUUUUAGGGUUGGUCGAUGAUAAUCAUAUUGACUUCCCCUGACUCCUUGAUUGUAAAUAUGCCUAGACCAUGCCUCUUUCUACUAUACGGCAAACAGGGACCACUCUAGGAGACUAGGACGUUGCUUGAGACGAAGACGCCAUCAUUGAUGUAGACUAUCGACCAUCUGACUGCAGUCGAUAAAAAUUAACUAUUUCUGUGAGGCGUUUGACCAAAAAUGACAAAACUUUACUAGGUUCUGUUGGUUGAGUGAGGGCCGACAAAAGUUGAUAAAUUUUCGUGGGAUUAUUUCAAGCCGACAUAAAUUAUUUUGGCUAAUGGAAGUUUCUUUUUUCCUUAGUUGUGUGGUGCUAUACAUAUGCAUGUCUGAUUCACGUGAUAAACUAGGCUAGAAAAACAAUUAUUUGACAUGGAUUGUUGUGGAGGACCAUACCAACUGUGACUGCCAUCUCAAUCCAGCUGACAUCUAAGUGACCUUUGAAUAAAUUAUUAAGCUGACAAAACUUUGACACCAAGAAGAAAGUUUAAGUAUGUAAAUAUUUAUGUUCAUCAAGCUGCUAUUCCCUAUCAUUGGCAUGAACAUUGUCAUCAUUUAGUUCCUAAGAAUAUAAUAAAAACAAGAAGAGCCACCUCACGAGAAUCCUUUAACAUAGACUAAAUAGUAGUUUUUGUGGAACACAACAGAACUGUACACCAUUUUCAGCGGCCAAGGUUAUUUUCGGCGGCCAGGACUUAGCCGCCGAAAAUAAACCUAUUUUCGGCGGCUUCUGACACAGCCGCUGAAUAUACAUUUAUUUUUGGCGGCUACUAACACAACCGCCGAAAUAAGGUUUUUAAAACCGUCGGGCUCCUUCUCUAUUCUCUCUGUUUCUUCUCUUCUUCUCCUCGCUCGGUCGCCGCCGUACGCCGCCACGCCGCCCGCCCGUCGCCGCCGUGCCCGCCACAGCUACAUCCACGCCCCCGCCGAGGCGCCGCGCCACCCCGUGCAGCCAUGCCCCCGGCGGCUCCGUCUCGUCGUCUGCCGUCACCCUCGGCUCCCAUCGACCAAGAAAACUUGAAUACUCCUUAGCCAAAAAAUGGAUGAAUUUCACCUUCCUUAUCUUAAGCUCCUUGAUUUUUCUACUAAGUGUCGCUAUUCUAACCAUUAUCCCUUGGGUAAACCAUAUUUGAUUAUCCAGCCAAAGGACCCAGAAGAUAAAAACAAUUUUUAAUUGCUAUUUCGAGACAAAUGAAUUAGCGUGAUUCGAAAAGGAUUACGACCUUCCCCCUUGACCUUUGUCAUACUUCUUUAGUCUAAUCGAUAGAAUCAAGAAUAGAAAUCACUGAAGAAGUUGAUAAGCGAAGCUUCGACGAUAAUAGGAACAUGGUGACAAUAGGACGAACGAUGAUGCCUUUGUCUAAGAAUGUUAUCUAGAAGAAAUCUCAAUCAAUUGUCGGUACAACGAAAAGAUAGAAACAUGCACCCUUGAGUAUGAAACAUUUAUAUGUAAGAGGAAGGAGGAAUGUAAUUGCUCAUGCCUAAUCAUAUUAUUGAGAGUUUUAAGGCGAGACUUAUGGCAAAGGGUUAUACACAAAAAUAGGGGAAAGGUCAUUUCAAUACUUAAUCAAUUUUUGCCCUUCUAAUGACCAUACAUGUGUUACUUUUUUUGGCUGCCUCACAUGGUCUUAUCGUUCACCAGAUGAAUGUUACGUCUGUUUUCCUAAAUGGAGAGCUUAAUGAACAGAUCUACAAUGACUAGCCUGGUGGAUUUACACCAAUUGGUAAAGAGGAAAAGGUGUUUAAAUUAAAACAAAUUUAUGGUUUAAAACAAGAACCAAAGCACAUGAGAAAUUUGAUAAAGUUUUGACUUUGGCUAAAUUUGUUGCAAAUGAAGCUGAUAAAUGUGUCCAUUACCGGUUUGACAGGGGUGAAGGUAUAACAUUUUUUAUGUGGAUGAUAUAUUAAUCUUUUGUAAUGGUGUUAAUAUGAUCGAGGAAGUAAAGUAAUUUUUGUCUAGUAACUUUGAAAUAAACAAUCUGGGAGAGAUUAAUGUUGUUCUUAACAUAAAGAUGUUCAGAGGAGGAGGAAAUAUGGGGUUAUUCUUGUGCAAUCCUAUUAGGUUGAAAGGUCGAUGAGUUGCUUUGGAUAUAGUGACUACACGUCUGGUCCAACUACUUAUGACCCAAGUGUGCUAUUAAGGAAAAUCAUAUAAUCGCAUAUGAUCAAUUGAGAUAUUGUCAAAGCAUGGUCUUCUCAUGGAUUUGGCUAGUUCAACGAGGCCUGAUAUCUCGUUUGCUAUGAGCAAACUCAGUUGCUUUGUCUCCAAUCUUAGGGAUGAUCAUGACAUGCCCUAGAGAGGGUAUUGCGCUAUCUAAAAGGGACUAUGAGUAAUGUCAUUUACUAUACCACACACCUAAGGGUACCAGAGUGUUAUAGUGAUGCAAACAAAAUAUGUGAUGGUGAUUAGAUUUAAGCCACAAGUAGAUAUGUGUGCUUACUUGAAGGUGUGGUUGUUUCAUCGAAGUCUUGUAAGCAGACCAUCUUAACAAGGUCAACAAUAAAAGUAGAACUCACAACAUUAGAUAUUGCCAAAGUUGAUGCCGAGUGGCUUCGUGAACUCCUUAUGGAUUUACUAGUAGUUGAAAAUCGAAUACUGGUUAUCUAUAUGAGCUAUAAUGAUUAAACAUUGGUAAUCAAAGUGAACAAUUCUUAGGUUAACAUGAAUACUACAAAGCAUGUCAAAAAACGGUUGAAACUGUUAAAACACCAAGAAAUUCUAGAUUAAUUGUGUUGGACUAUGUCCAUACUUCUAAGAAUUUGGUAUGCGAGUUUAUAGAAGAUUUGUCACAUAAUGUGAUAGAUGGUGCAUCGAGGAAGAUGGGCUUGAGACCCACUUAAUGCCAUUCCAUAGUAGUAGCAUUUUCUAUGUGAUUGGAGAUCUCAUAGAGUAGAAUGGUGAAACAAGCUAGAGAAUGACUGAUGGAGAGACUCCUUAAAUAAAAUCUAGGUAAUUUCAUAUGCACAUUUCUCCUUUGAUGUACGAUAGGCUAACUAAAAUAUUAAUAUGAUUUGAGUGACUUAUCUAAGUAGGGAUGUUAUCUUACAGAACAUCCUAGAAGGAACACACCUAUAUGAGUUUCACUGCUAGUCACGAUCUAUGAUAUGUGGGCAAUAUUUAUAUACUCAUGAAAGGCCUCGAAGUUUGACUUAUAUGAUUCAAGCCAAGGGGAUUCUUGUAAUAGUCUAGUACGAGAUAAGAACUUUGGAGAAACUCACUUCAUGCAAAAUUGUCAAUUCAAGGUAUAGUCCAUUGUUCAGAUAUGAAUAUGUAAUCCCUGUUCUAGAUGGAUGGUCAACUUAACAGCCUCCACCAAAACCCUUAUAUAUCAAAGAGUAGUGGAUUUGAAUUUGUCUAAUUUGAAUUUGUCUAAUAUGUAGUUUAUGGGCUUGGCUCAUUUAAAGUAUUUAAUAAUUCUGAAAGACAAGAUUAAACUAACUAUGUAUGAUCCUUUAGCAUCGUGCAGAUGGUCAAUGGGACAGUUACAUGGUUUAUAUAGAUGGACCUAUCUAUAUUCCUUCAGUAGUUGAGAAAAAGGUAAAGGUGUGUCACACUCACACAUGCGCUGCCUCCACCGAGACAAGGCAUGGCGUUGCAAGGUGAGGCAUGGCAUGGUGCAACACGAUCGCAGUCAUGGUCGUGGCGCGGUGUAGCAUUGUUGUGGAUAGAUCGAUAAACUAUUGUUGUAGUUAGAGUACAUGAGUUUUUGAAUGCAACACUAGAAUUUUCUCAAUUUAACUUAAUUAAGAAAUUAUAUCUUGAUGACAUAGAGUUACCUGACCAUUGAUCUCACAUGCCCUUUUAGCUCUCUCGUUCUCUAGUCUCGCCUGACUAUUUAGGUCUCCUGACUCGCCAAUAGAAAGACCAUCCUAUCAUUUGCUCUCGAAUACUUCUGUGUCAUAACUUGAAAGUCGCCUAGAGCGGGAGGUGAAUAGGCGAAACCUAAAAUUUAUAAACUUAAACACACACAAAGGUCGGGGGUUAGAGUUAGAAUUAAAUUCUAGUCCAGAAGAAUAUCUCUGUUGCUAGGAGUUGCUCAAGGAUUGCAGAUGAUGUAUGUGAGCCAACUCAAAUUCACACUAGCAAGGAAAUGUUAGAGAGAGGAAAACAAAUCAAACAAGAAUCAAGGCGAGUGAACACGAUGAUUUGUUUUACCGAGGUUCGGUUCCAAAGAACCUAGUCCCCGUUGAUGAGGUCACAAAGACCGGGUCUAUUUCAACCAUUUCCCUCUCUCAAACGGUCACUUAGACCGAGUGAGCGUUUUCCUUAAUCUCUCGGGUCACUUAGACCCCGUAAGGACCACCACACACUUAGUUGUCUCUUGCUUCAAUUACAAGUCACUUGAGAAAUAGACGGGAAAAGAAAAAGGCCAAACCAAGCAACAAGAGCAACAAAGAACACAAGAUAUCCUCUCACAAGCCCUAAUGCACUAGAGUUGAUUUUGGGGCUUUGAGUGGAUUGAUUGCUUUGAUUGUGUCUUGGAGUGUUGGACUUUGCUCUUGCAAUGAAUGAGAGUUCAGAAAUGCUUGGAUGGUUAUGAAUGAGGUGGUUGGGGGUAUUUAUAGCCCCCAACCACUUCCAUAGCCGUUGGUGAAGGCUGCUAGCGAUGGGCGCACCGGACAGUCCGGUGCAUCACCGGAGAGCCACUGUGUACUGUCCGGUGCGCGCCACAUCAGCGCAACCGUUAGGGUUCGGAGCUGGUCAACCGUUGGAGUCUUUGUCGUCUUGUUGCACCGGACAGUCCGGUGCCCUCUGACUUCUGACAUCCACUGUUCAUCGCGACAGAGUCGACCGCUGGCGCAUAGAGCCGUUGCUCCGCUGGUACACCGGACAGUCCGAUGAAUUAUAGCGAAGCGCGCCCUAGAAUUCCUGAGAGUGGCUGGUUCAUCUGCUGUACGACCUGGUGCACCGGACCCUGUCCGGUGCGCCAUUUUUUAGCACACUCAAGUCCUUUUGCUCCAAUUAAAUUGUGUCCCUAACUUAAUUUCUUUCUUGGUUUGUGUUGAACCUUAUGCACCUAUAAUACAUGAAUUCUUGACAAACUAGUCAGUCCAUGUGUUUGUGUUGGUCGUCAACCACCAAAAUUAAUUAUAGGAAAUGGUUAACCCUAUUUCCCUUUAAAUCUCCCCCUUUUUGGUGGUUGAUGCCAACACAAACCAAAGCAAAUAAUAAAUGUAGAAAUAUAACUAGUUUGGAAUUGAGAUGAAUGUGCAUAGGUUACUUGGAAUUAAACCAAUAAAAUAUUUUCAACAUAUGAAUAAGAGUGAAUGGAUUGGCUUUCUUUUAUUUAAUAUUUUGGACCACAUUUGCACCACAUGUUUUAUUUUUGCAAAUCUUUUGGAAAUCUAUUCAAAAACUUCUGCAAAUAGUCAAAGGUAUAGGAAUAUGAUUGCAAGAAGCAUUUUUUAGGAUUUUGAAAUUCCUCCCCCUGUUUCAAAUGCUUUUCCUUUGACUACAUAAAAGCUCCCCCUAAAUGAAAUUCUCCCCUUAGCUUUCAAGAGGGUUUUGAAGUAGAUACCAAUUGAAAAAAUUUCUCUCACAUAUGAGUUGAAAGUUAGAUACCAAUUGAAAAUAUAUUAAUUGAAAUUCUUCCAUACUUAAUGUGAAGUUUUGAAGAUACCAAUUGAGAAAUUUUCUUCACAUACCAAUUGAAAAUUCAUUUUGAUCAAAUACCAAUUGAAAUAUACACCAGUUGAAGUUUACCAAUUAAAGAAAAUUUCAUUUUGAAUUUUUUUGAAAUGGUGGUGCGGUCCUUUUGCUUUGGGCUUAAUAUUUUCUCCCCCUUUGGCAUUAAGCGCAAAAAAUGGAGAAUUCGAGAGCCCUUUUUCUCCCUUUAUGGGGUCUAAUACUUUCUCACAAAUGGUAAAAUGAAUAUGAGUGAAUGAUUAUACCAAUUGAGAGUGUGGAGGAACAACGACAAAGGGUAUACCGUCAGAGUUGGAGUGGAAGCCUUGUCUUUGCGGAAAACUCCAUUUCUUUUUCAAUCUACGACUUAGUAUAGAAAUACACUUGAAAACACAUUAGUCAUAGUCUUGGCACAAGAAGAGUAAGAAAUAUGUAUUUGCACCAAAUGAAAGAGAUAUGAUCAAAUGUAUAUAAAUUAGCUAUGUGUGCAAAGUUUCAAUCAAAGUUCCGUGAAUCAAGUAUAUUUAGCUCAUUCCUAAGUUUGCUAAAUGUUUUCUCAUCUAGUGGCUUGGUAAAGAUAUCGGCUAAUUGGUUGUGGGUGCUCACAUAAGCAAUUUCGAUAUCCCAUUUUGUUGGUGAUCUCUCAAAAAGUGAUACCGGAUGUCUAUGUGCUUAGUGCGGCUAUGUUCAACGGGAUUAUCCGCCAUGCGGAUUGCACUCUCAUUAUCACAUAGGAGAGGGACUUUGCUCAAUUUGUAUCCAUAGUCCCUAAGGGUUUGCGUCAUCCAAAGUAAUUGCGCACAACAAUGACUUGUGACAAUGUACUCGGCUUUGGCGGUGGAAAGAGCUACAGAGUUUUGUUUCUUUGAAGCCCAUGACACCAGGGAUCUUCCUAAAAACUGACAAGUCCCUGAUGUGCUUUUCCUAUCAAUUUUACAUCCGGCAUAAUCGGCGUCGGAAUACCCAAUUAAAUCAAAGGUAGAUCCCUUGGGGUACCAAAGCCCAAACUUAGGAGUGUAAACUAAAUAUCGCAUGAUUCUUUUCACGGCCCUAAUGUGAACUUCCUUAGGAUUUGCCUGGAACCUUGCACACAUGCAUAGAGAGAGCAAAAUAUCCGGUCGAGAUGCACAUAAAUAGAGUAAAGAUCCUAUGAUCGACCGAUAUACCUUUUGAUCUACGGAUUUACCUCCCGUGUCGAGGUCGAGAUGCCCAUUGGUUCCCAUGGGUGUCUUGACGGGUUUGCCAUUCUUCAUCCCAAACUUCUUAAGUAUAUCUUGUAUGUAUUUUGUUUGGCUGAUGAAGGUGCCCUCUUGGAGUUACUUGAUUUGAAAUCCAAGGAAGUACUUCGACUCCCCCAUCAUAGACAUCUUGAAUUUCUGUAUCAUGAUCCUACUAAACUCUUCACAAGUUGACUUGUUAGUAGACCCAAAUAUAAUAUCGUCAACAUAAAUUUGACAUAUAAACAAGUAUUUUGCAACAGUUUUAGUAAAGAGAGUAGGAUCGGCUUUACCGACUUUGAAUCCACUAGUGAUAAGAAAAUCUCUCAGACAUUCAUACCAUGCUCUUGGGGCUUGCUUGAGCCCAUAAAGCGCCUUUGAGAGUUUGUAAACAUGGUUAGGGUACUCACUAUCUUCAAAGCCGGGAGGUUGCUCAACAUAGACCUCUUCCUUGAUGGGUCCAUUGAGGAAGGCACUUUUCACGUCCAUUUGAUAAAGCUUGAAGCCAUGGUAAGUAGCAUAGGCAAGUAAUAUACGAUUUGUCUCAAGCCUAGCUACAGGUGCAUAAGUUUCAUCAAAGUCCAAACCUUCGACUUGUGAAUAACCUUUGGCCUCAAGUCGGGCUUUGUUCCUUGUCACCACACCAUGCUCAUCUUGCUUGUUGCGGAAUACCCAUUUGGUACCUACAACAUUUUGAUUAGGACGUGGAACUAAAUGCCAUACCUCAUUCCUCGUGAAGUUGUUGAGCUCCUCUUGCAUUGCCACCACCCAAUCCGGAUCUCUUAGUGCAUCCUCUAUCCUGUAUGGCUCAAUAGAGGACACAAAAGAGUAAUGUUCACAAAAAUGUGCAACUCGAGAUCUAGUGGUUACCCCCUUGUGAAUGUCACCAAGAAUGGAGUUGACGGGGUGAUCUCGUUGAAUUGCUUGGUGGACUCUUGGGUGUGGCGGUCUUUGAUCUCUUAUUUCUUGAUCAUCUUCCUUGUCUUGGUUAUCAUCAUCUCCCCCUUGAUCCAUGUCCUCCUCUUGAGGUGGCUCAUCCUCUUGAUCUUCAUCUUCAUUAUCUUGAGCCUGAUCCUCGUCUUGAGUUGGUGGAGAUGCUUGCAUGGAAGAUGACAAUUGAUCUUGUGCUUGUGAAGGCUCUUCGAAUUCCUUGGGACACAUAUCUCCAAUGGACAUGUUCCUUAGUGCGACGCACGGAGCUUCUUCAUCAUCUAGUUCAUCAAGAUCAACUUGCUUCACUUGGGAGCCAUUAGUCUCAUCAAACACAAUGUCACAAGAUACUUCAACUAAUCCAGUGGAUUUGUUGAAGACUCUAUAUGCCCUUGUGUUUGAGUCAUACCCUAGUAAAAAGCCUUCUACAACCUUAGGAGCAAAUUUAGAACUUCUACCUCUUUUAAUAAGAAUAAAGCAUUUACUCCCAAAGACUCUAAAAUAUGAAACAUUGAGAUUUUUACCAGUGAGGAGUUCAUAUGAUGUUUUCUUGGGGAUUCAGUGAAGGUAGAGCUGGUUGAUGGAGUAGCAAGCGGUGUUGAUUGCUUCUGCCCAAAACCGUUCCGGAGUCUUGUAUUCAUCAAGCAUGGUUCUUGCCAUGUCCAAUAGAGUUCUAUUCUUCCUCUCCACUACACCAUUUUGUUGAGGUGUGUAGGGAGAAGAGAACUCAUGCUUGAUGCCGUCCUCCUCAAGAAAUCCUUCAAUUUGAGAGUUCUUGAACUCCGUCCCAUUAUCGCUUCUUAUCUUUUUGAUCCUUAAUCCAAACUCAUUUUGAGCACGUCUCAAGAAUCUCUUUAAGGUCUCUUGGGUUUGAUAUUUUUCCUGCAAAAAGAAUACCCAAGUGAAGCGAGAAUAAUCAUCCACAAUAACAAGACAUUACUUACUUCCGCCGAUGCUUAUAUAAGCAAUCAGACCGAAUAGAUCCAUGUAGAGUAGCUCAAGUGGCAUGUCCGCUGUCAUGAUGUUUUUGUGUGGAUGAUGGACUCCAACUUGCUUCCUUGCUUGACAUGCGCUACAAAUCAUGUCUUUCUCAAAAUGAACAUUUGUUAGUCCUAAAAUGUGCUCUCCCUUUAGAAGCUUAUGAAGAUUCUUCAUUCCAACAUGGGCAAGUCGGCGAUGCCAGAGCCAGCCCAUAUUAGUCUUAGCAAUUAAGCAAAUGUCUAGUUCAGCUUGGUUAUCAUUAAAAUCAACUAAGUAUAGCUGACCAUCUAAUACUCCCUUAAAUGCUACUGAAUCAUCACUUCUUCUAAAGACAGUAACACCUACAUCAGUAAAUAAAUAAUUGUAGCCCAUUUUGCAUAAUUGGGAAAUAGAAAGCAAAUUGUAAUGUAAAGAAUCUACAAGAAAAACAUUGGAAAUAGAAUGGUAAGAAAAUAUAGCUAUUUUUCCCAACCUUUGACCAAACCUUGAUUUCCAUUCCCGAAUGUAAUAGCUCUUUGGGGAUCUUCAUUUUUCUCAUAGGAGGAGAACAUCAUUUUCUCCCCUGUCAUGUGGUUUGUGCACCCGCUAUCGAUUAUCCAACUUGAUCCACUGGAUGCAUAAACCUGCAAAACAAUUUAGGCCUUGUUCUUACGUACCCAAACAGUCUUGAGUCAUUUGACGUUAGAAACAAGCACCUUGGGCACCCAAACACAAGUCUUGGGACUCUUGUGUUUGCCCCCAACAUAUUUGGCAACUAUCUUGCCUGAUUUGUUAGUUAAAACAUAUGAAGCAUCAAAAGUCUUAAAUGAAACAUUAUGUGCAUUUGAUGCAGUAGGAAUUUUUUUUCUAGGCAUUUUGACAUGAGUGGUAUGCCUAGAGCUAGACGCCUCAUUUUUGUACAUAAAUGCAUGGUGAGAAACAGAAUGAGGUUUCCUAGCAUGAAUCUUCAUAAUCUUAUGUUCAAGAUAGUUUGCAGGAUAUACAAUGUAACCCUCACUAUCCUAAACCAUGGGAGCCUUACCCUUAACAAAAUUAGACAAUCUUUUAGGGGUAUUAAGCUUGGUGUUGUUUUGAUUUCCUUGUUGGAAACCAAUACCAUCCUUAAUGUCAGGGCGUCUCCCAUUAUAGAGCAUGCUUCUAGCAAAUUUAAAAUUUUCAUUCUCUAACUCAUGCUCGGCAAUUUUAGUAGUUAAUUUAGCUAUAUGAUCAUUUUGUUGUUUAAUCAUGGCAAGGUGAUCAUCCAUAGCUUCAAUAUUAACAUCUCUACAUCUAGUGCAAAUAGUAACAUGAUCAACAGUAGAUGUAGAUGGUUUGCAGGUAUUUAAUUAUUCUAUCUUAGCACUUAAUCUAAUAUUCUCAUCUCUAAGACAGGAAAAAGGAUCAUUGCAAACAUUCAAUUUUUCAAUCUUAGAAACUAAACUAGCAUUUUCAGUUCUAAGACUUGAAAUUGAAUCAUGAUAAAUGCUAAUAUCCUUAGAUAAGUUUUCACAUUUUCUAUUUCCUGAGCAUAAGCAUUUUUUAAUUUAACAAUUUUAUUGUUCUAUUUAACGAGGAAGUCCUCUUGGCUUUCCAAGAGGUCAUCCUUCUCGUUAAUGGUUUCAAUUAGUUCAUUUAUUUUUUUCUUUUGUUCCAUGUUAAGGUUGGCAAAAAGAGCAAGUAAAUCAUCUUCAUUAUCGCUAGAGCUACCCUCAUCACUAGAUGUUGUAUAUUUGGGGUGGCUCACUAUACGACGGUUGAUCUUUAGCGACUCUUAUUAGGGACUGACGGUUGGUCGCUAAAAGUUAUGGACCGACGGUUGGUCGCUAAAUGCGUUUAUAGCGACGGUCUGUGGGUCGCUAAAAGUCUAGAAAUUUAACGACAUAUGGUUGGUCGCUAUAGAGGUAAGUGUGUGACUGAUGGUGGGUCGCUAUAGGGGUACGUGAUUUUUGUGUUUCUUAUUUACUCACCAAAGCCCAUCUAAAGGCCUACUAAACAAACGAAACCCUAUUUCACGCACCAAACCACAAGCGCAGCCGCCGUCACUUCUGCCCCAUCACGGCCCCAUCCUGCCGCUCGUCGACGACGCCACCCCGCCCCUCGGCCGCGGUCGCCGUCAGGCAGCCAGCCACCGCGACAUUGGCCAUGAUUUUUUGUGCCUGUUCUUGCUUAACUUUAUAACUGAUAAAGUUUCCAAUCACAAGAUUUACUUAAUUUAUACUAUUAUUAUCUUCUGUUGCAGUAUUUCCUUAUUAUUAAAGCAGCAAGGUUUGCCGCUUCCUCGUGUGUCCACGUCGGCAAAUUUUUUUGCCGUCCGAUCGUUCAUCAAUGGUGACAAUCUCACCCCUGCACAGUGUGUGUGGAUGGUUCUAGUUUCUUCUCUCACCAGCUCAUGCGUCUCCAAAGUAAAAAGGAUAAGAGAGACUCUGGGUUGCCGAGGUCCGCUUUCGUAACUACAGGAGGUAGGCAAAGGAGACGGCGACGACGAAGAACAUGUACUUCCUCCAUUACGUCCUCUAUUCCUAUCAUUGCCUUUCGUUUCUUUUCUUUUCUACAAUCGGCGUUACCUGCUGCAGUCGACGGCUCGGUCCCCUUGGUAUCUAAUGCCUUUGCGCGGCACCUGAGUUCUACACUUGCGACGAACUUGAGCAUUGCAUUCGUCGUUGUUCUUGUGUCCAUUCUUGUCUCUGACUCGGGCCGCCGCGAGUUCCUCCAUUCCCACUGCCAUGGAAUACGCCAGUGCGCUGAAUGACGCCUGCGUCUUCACGGAUCUCCUCCUCCUUUUGGCUAACAUGGCUCCUCAAAGAUGACCGCGUACGUUUGUCGAGCGGCGCUGGCAAGGGCCACGUGAACUGCGUUGGUCGACGCUUCCACACGCGCCGCUAAGCCUGCCCUGCCGCCCCCUAUGCGAUGCUGCUCCUCCCCUUUCUUCUCCGCCUAGGCUGGCGCUUGGAGGAGGAUGCCACCAAGGUUACCAACUACUUAAUGUACGCGUGCAAGAUGCUCGAUGAUACACCCCAACGGAAAGCAGUGUCGUGGACGAUGGUAGUCGUGGGGAACAUUGUAGACUCCACGCCGGUUGAGGAGGAAAAACUCCAUUGGCUCUUUUGUCACCUUAAGGGAUUUGCCUAACGUUUCCUUUUUUUUCUUUUAAAUAUGAUUUCCCCCAUACGUAUGCAGAUGCAGUUGCCAUAUUUUAAUGCUCAAUGCUGCCUACUUUAAUUUUAUGCUUAAUUUUUUUUAAUGCUCAAUGCUGCCUACUUUCCUUCACUGAUUUGGCUGCUCUUUUAUUUAGCUUAUAGCAACGGAAAAAAGUUAGCACAUUCCAAAAACUUCAAAGACUGCUGUGUACGACAUCCUAUAUUACCGGUAUGAGUACUUUUGAGAGCUUAAAUGUUGUUAGUCUUCUGUUUGCUAUUACGUGCUUUUGCUUUCCUGAAAAACUUCACACAGUUUCAGCUACGAAUUGACCAAUGACGAAAACAAGAUAUAUGAAGUGGCACAAUACUCAGUUUUACUUCUAAAAAUUGAAGAGAUUUAAAGAAGGAUUAUUCCAACAAUAAAUAUCUAUACUUUUGUUAGCAUACAUUUUCUUUUCUCAUGGCAUAUAUUUUCUUAAGGGCUAGUUUGAAAAUUUUAAAUCCUCUCCGGGAUUCCCGGAUAUUGAGAAGAAAAUGAGCUAAUUUCCCACUCAAUCCCUGAGAAUACCGGAGGAGAUUUUUAAGUUUCCAAAUUAGCCCUAAGUGUAGUAACUGAUUUUCACUUAAUUUUGCAGACUGCUUCUGUUUGAAUUGAACGGCAUCUUCAGAAUCUCGGCGACGCUAAUUUCUAACUCAUAUGGGAGAGGUCUAUUUCUAGAAUUUUUGUUUUUCUUUAAUAGAUUUGCCACCUACAUUGGCAUUUUUUCCCACUGCAAUCGAUUAUAAACUACAGUUUUGCAACCUUUCAGUGACAUGAACAUCUAACCAUAUUCAAGUUUGCCCUCAUCUCAAUAUCCAGAUAUCUCCACCUCAUCGACUCAAUAGUUAACCAUAUUCAAGUUUGCCCCUUUGAAACCAUCUGCUUGGAUUUUAUCGAUUCCAUUACCUAAAAAUAUGGUACAAUUUCAGUACGCCAGUACAUAUUAUGCAAAUGAAACACAAUUAAAAUCAGCAUUGUGAACUUUAUUGUUUGCCCAUUUUUUUGAUAAAUUACCCAUUUUAUGAUUCUACUGGGCCCUUUUCGCCUUUGCCCUACAAUUAUUCCUCCUCUUCGCUCUUUUGUUUCAUUGUUUGUUCUGCUUUGCACUUCUAUUCAUUGCAUUCUUCGUCGGUGAUUGUGCUCGUCCAGUUCGUCGGCCAUGUGUUCUAUCAUUUUCGUCAGAAAUCCUUUCUUAAGCCCUCCACUUUUCUCCUUUUUUGUUACCUUCGCACUUCGUUUUUAUUGUUCAUGUUCUCUGUCGUCGAGAUCUACUGUCUCAGGUUUAUUCUGGCUUUCAUAGUAAAUAAAUUGCUCUUCUUCCCCUCAUUUCUUGCUGGACGCAUAUUAUGCUUUUCCACUUUGCGACAACACUGUUUCCCUUAUUUGUGUUCGAGUAAAGUUCAGACUUUAUCCUCAGAGGUAAUUGUUACUUGCCUUAGCUUGCACUCUAUACACAUAAAGCGCUACUGUGCUGUUGCAUCAACUGUUUCGUUCCAUAGUUUUUGUUUUAUCCCACUUGGUUUAUGUCUUAUGUGCGCAUCAAACACUUCAAGCUAACAAUUACGCUUUCUAGUUUUGUAGACAUUAAAACAAAUGUUUCACUCCAAUGUAGGCCAAACAUAUUUAAGCGGUAUCGCAACAUGUGCAUGGUACUUUAAUGCAGACAUUUCUAAGGCACAUAUGUAGUAUAACAUGUACGGGAAAAUAGAUAAACAAAACACUAUCCAUUCUUGUAAUUACAUUUCCCCUUAAACCUGUUCUCCUUACAUGUCAUGUUGACAAUCAUCUACAUUAUCUAGCUGUCUGGUAGUAGCAUUUUUGUAAAACUAACAUACAAAUCUAGCAUUAACUUUUGCCCCAAAUUUCUAAAAUCUAUUAUGAACUACAAACAAGUUCCAAGUAUUCCUUUUCACAUGAAUAUGAGCACACUUUUUAAGCCAUCCAAUAACAUUUAAUCAACAUGUAUCGUCUACAUUAUCUAGCUGUCUGGUAGAAGCAUUUUUGUAAAAUUAACAUACCAAUCUAGCAUUAACUUUUUUCCCCAAAUUUCUGAAACAUAUUAUGAACUACAAAUAAGUUCCAAGUAUUCCUUUGCACAUGAAUAUGAGCACCCUUUUUUAAGCCAUCCAAUAACAUUUAAGCAACAUGUAUGCUUAAAUUCCACAAUACUGACCAAUUACACAAAUGUUUGCUACUAUUUCAAUUUUUGUUGUCACAUCAUUUAAAGGUUACAAAAUAUUGAACUUUAGUUGCUACGACCUACAAUACUUGAAGAAGAGAUCCAGGUUUCCCAGACACCUACUUUCGAGGACAAAACCAUCAAUGAAUUGGUUGAAAUUGAUCCAGAUAUAUUCCAUGUAAUCACUUUAACUUCCUAUUUUGUUGAACUCAUUCAUUACAUCAACUACAACUCCAUCUUAUUUAUAGUAAACUUUUUUCGCGAAAUGCAGCCACAAGGUUAUAGAUGUACUAAUCGCUAUAUCACGCCUCACACAGGAAGGUAGAUGGUGGUUCCCAUCUUGCACUAAAUGCAACAAGUCUUCAAUUCAGACCUCUACUAAAUAUCGCUGCAUACGUGUGAUUGGACAGAAACUAAAUUUAGGUAACCUUUCACACAAACAAUUACUUUGUCGUUAUUCGUCUGAGAUAAAACACUUCCUCUUACUUAUCAAAUCACUGCCACACAACAUUAACAGUUCAUAAUUCAAAGAUACAAACUCGGCUUCAUUGCUACUGAUGGAACAUUCGAAGCAGAAUUCUUUUGUUUUGACAAUAUAGCUAAACAAAUAGUAGAAAAACCUUGUGAAACCCUUGUUAGUAUCCUUCUCUAGAUUUAGUUGCCAUUGUCUCUCUCAGAUUCACCUUUGCAGAUACCAUUAAUAUGUUCGCGUUCUCCGUCACAAAUCGAGUCUUUUUUGUUCUCUCCGUGUUAACAAAUCAUGGAAGGAAAAGGUCAGCACCAUGUACCAUACAAAACUAUCAACAACAAGAAUUAGUGACACAAGAUGACAUAUUAGCCUCACAACCACAUAAAACUCUCCAACAACAUCGUUUGCAAAGCUAUCCACUUUUGGUGACCAUAAAAAUGUGGUGAGAAUUUUUUAGUGCAAACUACAACUAUUUCACAUGAACUUAUAUAUGUGCAUAGACUAAUGAAAUCUAUUUGACAGGCAUGUCACAGCCUUGCAUAUUCUAAUGCACUACAUGAUAUAGAGGUAAGUUUUUCUACCAUCACGUUUAGGCUCCAUAUGUACCCAAAAAUGACAUAAUUGUCUACCUCAAUUAUUUUGUGAUGGGAGAGAGUAUAUCUAUUCAUAAUUUGAAGACAGUGAUUUUUUUCCAUACAUAUCUAUGCAGGCAUAAAAUUACACACAAAAGAAAAAGAAUACUAUCUAUGCAAGAUGGACUCGAAAAUCCUUUCAACAUGUGGAUCAAUCUAAUUAUUUUAGAUUUUUUCUAAAUUUGCCUUUCAAUGGCUGAAGUCCCAUUUUGAUGCAAAUGAAAAAGCGAACAUCCUGUAGACUGCUGUUGCUGUGCAUCUCAACUGUUUUGGUCUUCCAAUCUUUUUGGAAGUAUUAUUAUUUUUACUUUCACUUACUCUUAUAAUUGCAUCAUGUUACACGAUGUUGACGUCAAUAUGGAUAUACACCCAAACAAUCUAAAUUCAAGGUCUUGUCAAAGCAAACUAAGGUUCUUUUUUUAAUACAAAGUCGUAUGGAUUCUGUUAGAUCUUGUAUUUUUUCCUACUAAUGUCAAUAUCAACCCGCAAGCGUCUCUUAAGUCACUCUUUUUAGGAUCAUUAUUUCACAUACUUUAAACCACAUAUGAAAUUUUGUUAGGCACACUAUUUGACAAUUCUUAUCCACUUACAGAAUGUUGACUAGCUUUCAGAACACCUUAACAAAAAAGAUCUUUUCUAAAUUUGCCUUUCAAUGGCCAAAAUCCCAUUUUUAUGCAAAUGAGAAAUGAACAGCCUACAAACUAUUUUUGUUGUGCAUCUCCACUGUUUUGGGCUUCCAAUCUUUUCUUGAGUAUUUUUUUACUUUCAAUUACCCCCUCUUAUAGUUUCAUCAUUAAAAAGUAUUGUUUUUUACUUUCAAUUACUCCCUCUUAUAAUUUCAUCGUGUUACACAAUGUUGAUGUCGAUAUAGAUAUACACCCAGACCAUCUAAAUGCGAGUUCUUAUCAAAGCAAACUUAGGUUCCUUUUUUUGAUACAAAGUCGUCUGGUUUCUCUUAAACCUAUCUAGUAUUUUGUUUCCUACUAAUGUCAAUACCGACCUGCAAGCCUCUCCUACCUCACUCUUUUCGGGAUCACUAUUUCACAUACUUUAAACCACAUAUGAAAUUAUGUUAUACAUUAGGCACACUAUUUGACGAUUCUUAUCCACUUACUUACAGGAUGUUGACUAGCUUUCAGACCACCUUGACAAAAAAAUCUGGCAUCCCCACCUAAGAAGUAUGUUUAAAAAAAAGAGGAGAGCAAAUGCAACCCGAGCAACAAGUUGCUUCCUUUUUUACACUAUGUACCAUAGUCCUUUCUAAGUUCUAACAUUGCAGAACACAUACAUGAUCAAAACUAGCAGGCUUCAAAAACAUCAAAAAGAUUUUACAGGCCCUGAAAGCGAUGUCCGGUAGAUCAACGUCAUUCUCAUCAAGGCGCGACAUAAUUUUACACCUCUUCUCUACACACAACUUCUAAUCAAUAUAAUUUGUGCAUUGUUCUUCACUCUCCUUUAUAACCUUUGCGCAAAAAUAGAAUAGCUCACAAACUCUUCAACGACAACUGAUCUGUCCUUUUUUCUGUACAGAUAAUUGCUUUGCGUAUCUACAACGACCAUCACUACUUUUGAAGCGCAAACGCUUUUAUGUACAUAUAACCAAACCGAUGAAACUUCUCUAGCUUAGUAUUUGUUUAUGCGAUCCUCAGCUCUGCUUUCUGUACCUAUGACGAUCAUCGUCACUUUUGCAAAGCAAAUGCUUUUGUGUACAUAUUACCAAGUUGAUGAAACCUUGCCAGUUUAGCGUCUGUUUAUUAUGAUCUUUAGCUCUUGGAACACACUGCUGAAAUACAAUGUAAUAUGUAUAGUCCUCUCAGUCUACUCUAGACUUGCUGUAACCGCUAUAAUUAUUAUCUUAGUACAACAAUUUAUGUAAGCACUGGGACCAGUUUAAAUUUGCUCUUAAACUGAUGACAGCAUGUGCUAUAUAACAAGUUCUGAGUGUACAUUAUCCCAAUGAAAUUGUGUCAUUAUCCUAACAAAAUUGAUCAUAAAAAUAGUUCAUAUUGCUGCAGGUACGCGCGCAUGGGCGCGCACGAUACACUAGUUGAUUAUACUUAAAAAUGUACAUCCCAAAUGUCGCUUAGUCCAAACCGUGUAUAUUUCACCCAAACCAACUCGAGUUUGUAUGUGUAUUUGCCUACUCGAGUUUGUAUGUGUAUUUGCCUUCGUAUUUUCGAGAAUGAAAUAAAAUUAAGUGGGAAAAUCCCAUUUUUCUUUAUCCUCCACCGCCGUAUUUUCUUUUUGCUCCCCGAAGCUGCAACCAUCGUUUCCUCCUCUCCUGAAGCACGACAGCCAGUCCAGCCACCAUUUGGGUGCUCAUCUCCCUCUGCUCGGCACCUAGCCCCAGCUCGCCCGAGCUCCCUGCGCCGACCUCAUCUUCCCCAUGGCGCGUCACCUUCUAGUCCUCUCCUUCCCACGGCACAGCAGCGCCCCUGCAGCUCCCCUUCUCCAGAUCCAUGGCACCCAACACCUUGAGCGCCCCUGCCGCUGCUCCUCCACCGGGAUCUCCUCCUCCACUAGGCGUCCAGGCUUGUCCCACCGUGGCUGCCCCUCCUCCAUCUCCUCCCUCCCCACCAGGUUACCCAGAUUCCAUGGCCGCCGCCGCCCCAGCCAUCUCCCUGGUGGCCGACCUCGCCCCUGCCCCAGCCACAGCUCCCCCUUCGGCCCUGCUGCUGCAAGCACUCAGCCUCUCCCAUGGCACACGGUACUCGUCCAGCCCCUUUCUACUGGUGGCUGAGCCAUCUCUCUGGUGCUCGAUGAAAUGACCAUGAGGAGUUUUGUGUUGUGUGCAGCCCCAUCUGCAACACCGUCGACCCCCGACGAGGUCCUUUCUCGCCUUGUCGUUUUAGUACUCGGCGUCGAUUAAGUAGAUGCUAACCGUGUGUAUAUUCGUGUGUUCUUGUGAGGAGAAAUCCCAUGAUUUGGGGGAAGACGAAGUCCAAGCACAACCCCCGCCAAUCGCUCGAUGAAAAAUCUAAACCAAAACCCUCAGCGUUUUCAAGGGUUCCGGAGGGAUUUUAUGUUGGUAAGGUAAUUUGUGUCCUAAUUAGUUCACUCAGUUAUUGAGUUGAAGAGAUUGUUAGUUGUAUGUGUCGAUGAUGCUAUUUUGAUUAGCAGGUGUUGUGCGGUGUGAUCUCCAAUUCCCUAUUGCUGUUUUCUUACUCCAUCAUGACCUUAGGGAAGGAUGUUUUCCUCUAAAUUACUCGUAAUAAUUAUGCUUGGUGUAUGUGUUGUUUUAGCUACUUGAUGAAAUGUUUUAGUUGUGUGCGAUAAUAUGGUUGCCGUUCGAGUGGAAAGUAGAUGUGUUGUAUGACCUGAGUUGGAGUUGAGGCAAGUAUGUGUGUCUCGUAUUACGAAACUAAUUAGAGAUAUGCAUGAUGUUUGUAGAUGGAUUAUGUGUAGAGUGUUUUAGUACAAGUAUUUUUUUUAGGUAUAGUUGAACCAGUUAUUGUAUAUGAAUUGUGCGAUAUCAAGGUAGUUCUAAUGUUCUUUUAACAUCUUGCUAAUAAGGUGUUAGAGUAUUCUAAAUGCCAAACAUAGGAUAAUUUUACAAGCCAAAUAGAAGUUAAAUUGAAGGUAUUGCUGUUUAGGGCUGUAGGUAUAGUUUUAGUUAUGCAGCUAGUCCAAUAAAGUAGAUCAUGUUUUCUGUAGAAGCGUUAUAUAUAAAACUUGUAGAUAAUCUUUUUAUCUUACUUGUGUAAAAAUUUCAUGACCAUAGGUGUAGUAGUUUAGGAGUUAUGAUUUUUCCAAGUCCAGUCUCAGAAUCUGUCCAAAUUCUGUACAGGUUUCGAAAAUUGGAUUGCUUGGCUAAGCUAAACUGAGAAUCAGCCCUUAGUAAUUAUAGAAGAAUUUUAGUACUUUUCUUAAGCUUUCCAACAAAUUUUGGAGCACCCUUUUUGGUGGUCUAGAUAUCAAGUUACAGCUGUUUGAACUAUAGAGUCUGAAUUUGUCCAAAUUUGGACAGCGAAGUCUGUUUGUAGUAACUGACUUUGAUAUGUAUUGAAUUAACCUGAGAUGUUUAUAAAUGAAUUGUAGACAAUUCUAUUAACUUUCUAAAAAGUCUAGGAUCACCUGAUUUGGAUUUCGGAAACUCCAGUUCUGGACUUUUGAAGUAAGUAGUCGAAUUCUGUCCAAAUCUGGACAUAAUUUAUGUUUAGCGCUGUUUGACCUUUGUAAAGGUCGAAUUUUGUUGUGAUGGUAAUACAAAAGUUAUAGAGGACUUUAUAAGCUUUCCAAAAAGUUCUAGUUUACUAUUAUUGGAUACAUAUUUUAUGAAUUGUGAGCUAAACAGAUAGUUGCUGACUUGCUGUUCUGCUGUCCAAACACAUGUCUACUGUCUGAAAAUAGCUCAUUUUGUAGUUACAUUUGCAUUAGGCUUUGAUGAUUGCUGUACAAGGAUGAUAUGGCCUCCCGCCCAAAGCUGUCUGGUAUUCAGAAGCAGGUUUUGGCGCUGUAUAGGGGAUUCCUUCGGACAGCACGCCUUAAGGCCCCUGAAGAACGCCGCAGGAUCGAGUCUGUUAUCUUGGCAGAGUUCCGUGACAACGCAAGGAGUGUUGACCUUAGGAACUUUGUACACAUAGAGUACUUGUUGAGGAGAGGGAAGAAGCAUCUUGAGCAGCUCAAGAAUCCUGAUAUUACUGGACUCGCUACCCUUGUAGUAAAGAAAUGAGGUACGUAGUUUUCAAAAACACUUAUUUGACUGUGCAUGGUCUUCGAAACAAGUUUUAGUUUUUAAGUUUGACCAAAUCUUGUCAUAAACAUCAAGUUUUUUUUUUAAACAACGGAAGUCGAUUAGUAUUUAAAAUCAGCAAGUAUCAUCCAUUAGUAUUUUAGGUCUUUAGAUUUAAAAAUUGUGGACUUGUCAAAACUCUAUGUUAUUUGAUAAGGCUCUACUUGUUAAAUUAAGUGGUGUGGUGCUUGAUUUAGUCGAUGUGCUAUGCCCGAUAAUCUAGAUUAGUAACUCUAAAAUCUAGUUAAAGUAUUUCUAUUCGUCACUUUAAGUUAUAGGUAUCCAUGGUUGUUGUGUCUAAGUAUCCGAUUUCUGAGCUCUGCCCCUGCUGUUUAGGAUAGCAUAUGGAGUUCUUUAUGUUCCACAAGCACAAUUGAUCUUAUGGAAUGGAAAUAGUAGAACAUUACCUGGUGAGAGCACACAAAUACCUUAUACAAAGCAGGUAUUGAGUCAAAUUGUUGUGUACCCAUUUGUGGUCUGGAUACACUGGUUUGGUGAAAAUGAAAUAUGCCCAAAGCAACAAAACCCAGUUCACAUGAACUGCUAUCCUGUAUUUACGAAUCUUGACUAGUCUAGUAAUAUAUGUAUGUGGAAAUAUGAAGGUUUCUUUAUUUCUCUUCUUAAACAGCAAGAGAAGAAGGAAGACUAGUCAGACAAAAUAGAAGACGAGAAGAACUGAUGUAGCCAUGUUCAUGCUUCCAUGUAAUAGUUCAUUAUUCCAUACAUAUUUCUGUCUAUCCAGAAUCUACUAUUGAAAUACAUAUCUAGCAUAGCUUGCUCAGCUCCUAUAUGUUGUUUCAACGUUGAUUUAAAAGAAGAGCUGGUAGUUGUGGGCUUUUGAACAAUAGCUGGAGUGAUAUGAAAUAUUAGUGAUGUAGUUGUGGGCUUUUAAACUGCUUCAAGCUGGAGUGAUGUCGCUGUGGUGCUUUUGUGACUGAUCAUCUCUAGAGCUUUUGUGAAUGAUCUAGCUAGCUAUCUGUAAAUGAUCUAGUUGUGAAUGAUAUUAUAAUUGUGAUGCUUUUGUGAAUAUAUAAUUGUGGUGCUUUUGUGUUUAUGUGAUGGAUCUAUGACUGUGGUAUACUGAUUAACUGUGUAUGUCUUUAUGAUUUGUGUAUAAAAAUCUGUGAUUUGUGGUGCUUAAUUAAAUGUAUAUUUUUAUUAAUAACAACUGUAAAAGGGCGACUUUUUGUUGGUUGCUAAAUGUAUAGUAUGACGACUUACAGUUGGUUGCUAAAUCUAUACUACAGCAACCCACGGUUGGUCGCUAAAUAUACAAUAUUAGCAAUAGACGUCGGUCGCUAAAAAGAUGUCGGUCGCUAAAGCCUUUAGCGACGGCACUUACAGCGACCAUCCUUAUGGGUCGCUAAAAGUUUUUAGCGACCAACCGUAGGUCGCUGAAGGCCGUUUUAGCAACCAACCGUAGGUCGCUGUAAGUGAACCGUCGUGUAGUGGCUCUAGAGUGUACCUUUUUCUUCUUGCCGUCCUUAGCCAUGAGACACUUGUGGCCGAUGUUGGGGAAGAGGAGGCCCUUGUUGACGGCAAUGUUGGCGGCGUCCUCGUUGGAGGAGGAGUCGGUGGAGCUCUCGUCGGAGUCCUAUUCCCGACAUAUGUGUGCAUCGCUGCCCUUCUUCUUGUAGUAUCUCUUCUUCUCCUUCUUCUUCCCCUUCUUGUCUUCGUCCCUGUCACUUUCACUAGAAAUUGGACAUUUAGCUAUGAAAUGAUCGGACUUACCACAACGGUAACACACCCUCUUGCAGCGGGACUUGUAGUCUUUCCCCCCUCCUUUGUUUGAGGAUUUGACGGAAGCUCUUGAUGAUGAGUACCAUCUCCUCAUUGUCGAGCUUGGAGGCGCCGAUUGAAAGUCUACUUGGUGUAGACUCCUCCUUCUUUUCUUCUGUCGCUUUGAAUGCGACGGGUUGCACCUCGGGUGUAGAGGUGGCACCUUGCUCCAAGUUGACAAUGUGUUUGGAGUCUUUGAUCAUUAGUUCAAAACUCACAAACUUGCCAAUAACCUCCUCGGGAGACAUUAGUUUAUAUCUAGGAUCCCCACGUAUUAAUUGAACUUGAGUAGGAUUGUGAAAUACGAGGGAUAUAAGAAUAACCUUGACCAUCUCAUGGUCAUCACAUUUGGUGCUCCCGAGGUUGCACACUUGGUUCACCAUGGUCUUGAGCCGAUUGUACAUCGCUUGCGGCUCUUCUCCUUUGUUGAGGACGAAUCGACCGAGUUCUCCUUCGAUCAUCUCGCGCUUGGUGAUCUUGGUCACCUCGCCCCCUUCAUGCGCGGUUUUGAGGAUGUCCCAAAUUUCUUUGGCACUCUUUAACCCUUGCACCUUAUUAUACUCCUCUCGACACAAGGAGGCGAUGAGUAUAGACGUGGCUUGGGAGUUAAAGUGCCUAAUUUGGGCGGCCUCGUCCGAGUCGUAGUACUUGUCCCCCACCUUUGGUACAUGCGCUCCAAACUCAACAAUAUCCCAAAUGCUUUCAUGGAGUGAGGUUAGAUGGUGCCUCACUUUAUUACUCCACAUACAAUAAUCUUCACCAUCAAAAUAUGAUGGUUUGCCUAGGGGUACAUAAAGUAAUGGAGCACGCUUUGAAAUACGAGGAUAACAUAGGGGCAUCUUUCUAUACUUCUUGCGCUCAUGGUGCUUAGAAGUAAUGGACAAUUCGGAGCUUGAUGUGGAGGGUGACGAAGAGUCGGUCUCGUAGUAGACCACCUUCUUCAUCAUCUUCUUCUUGUCACCUCUCCGAUGCGACUUGAUGGAGGAAGAGGAUUCCUCCUUGUGUUUGUUGCCGGACUCCCUUGAGAGAGUCCUCCCCAAGCUUGCGGCCUUUUUCGCUGGUCAUGAUCUCCCUCUUGGCGUGAUCUUCAGACAUCACUUCGAGUUGGUUAGACUCUUAAUGAAGCACUGGCUCCGAUACCAAUUGAAAAGUCGCCUAGAGGGGGGUUGAAUAGGCGAAACCUGAAAUUUAUAAACUUAAACACACACUAAGGUCGGGGGUUAGCGUUAGAAUUAAAUUCAAGUCCAAAAGAAUAUCUCUCUUGCUAGGAGUUGCUCAAGGAUUGCGGAUGACGUAUGGGAGCCAACUCAAAUUCACACUAGCAAGGAAAUGUUAGAGAGACGAAAACAAAUCAAACAAGAAUCAAGGCGAGUGAACACGAUGAUUUGUUUUACCGAGGUUCGGUUCCAAAGAACCUAGUCCCCAUUGAGGAGGUCACAAAGACCGGGUCUAUUUCAACCCUUUCCCUCUCUCAAACGGUCACUUAGACCGAGUGAGCCUUUUCCUUAAUCUCUCAGGUCACUUAAACCCCGCAAGGACCACCACACACUUUGGUGUCUCUUGCUUCGAUUACAAGUCACUUAAGAAAUAGACGGGAAAAGAAAAAUGCCAAACCAAGCAACAAGAGCAACAAAGAACACAUGAUAUCCUCUCACAAGCCCUAAUGCACUAGAAUUGAUUUUGGGGCUUUGAGUGGAUUGAUUGCUUUGAUUGUGUCUUGGAGUGUUGGGCUUUGCUCUUGCAAUGAAUGAGAGUUCAGAAAUGCUUGGAUGGUUAUGAAUGAGGUGGUUGGGGGGGGUAUUUAUAGCCCCCAACCACUUCCAUAGCUGUUGGUGAAGGCUGCUGGCGAUGGGCGCACCGGACAGUCCGGUGCGCCACCGGACAACCAUUGUGCAUUAUCCGGUGCGUGCCACGUCAGUGCAACCGUUAGGGUUCGAAGCUGGUCGACCGUUGGAGUCUUUGUUGUCUUGCUGCACCGGACAGUCCAGUGCCACAUCGGACAGUCUGGUGCUCUCUGACUUCUGCGCUCUGACUUCUGACAUCCACUGUUCAUCGCGACAGAGUCGACCGUUGGCGCAGAGAGUCAUUGCUCCGCUGGUACACCGGACAGUCCGGUGAAUUAUAGCGGAGCGCGCCCUGGAAUUCCUGAGAGUGGCUGGUUCAUCUGCUGUAUGGCCUGGUGCACCGGACACUGUCCGGUGCGCCAUUUUUCAGCACACUCAAGUCCUUUUGCUCCAAUAAAUUGUGUCCCUAACUUAAUUUCUUUCUUGGUUUGUGUUGAACCUUAUGCACCUGUAAUACAUGAAUUCUUGACAAACUAGUUAGUCCAUGUGUUUGUGUUGUUCGUCAACCACCAAAAUUAAUUAUAGGAAAUGGUUAACCCUAUUUCCCUUUCACAACUCAACUGUCAGAUGAGUACUCCAUUACAGCACUUACGUACACGAGUUCUAUGAGAGCAGACCUCCAAAAUGAAUAUCUGCUAAGUGUUUAUCUACUUAGAUGAAGGACGACAAUCACUUUCUUGGGAAAUAUUAGCGACACAACUCCUUACAUCCUCCGCUUCUUCCUAGUGUUUUUUGUUGUGAUUGAGUCGACACAGCAACAACACUGCACUAUUACAACCAGUACGACUAUAUCAACUAGCAAUGUCUUCCUUAUAUGUUACUAUUUAUUUUGCUAAUAUUCAUUAUGUUUAAAUCACAUGUGCACCUUUCUAUUGACAUCAAAAAAUUAGUGGGGAUCGAGUGAUUCUUUAAACCGAUUAUUACACAAGUUAACCACACUAAAAUUAACAUUGGUGAAUCGUGCCAUGAUUUUUUUCUAGUGCAAAAUAGCCAAACCAAGCAAAACAUAUGUGGCUAUCGUUACACAUGUGUAAAGGUAUUGCAUCACACCAUUGUCACCCAUGUAUUUGGACAAUACCGAGAGGAAAAACCACUUAUUUAUUGUAUUUUAUCAAGUUUAUCUUGCUUACGUAUAAAUUAUAACCCAACAAAGUAAUCACUAAAUGUCAAAACCAACUAGAUACCAUGUCAUCUCUACCUUAUCUUACUAAUAUUCUUUUUGCAAAAUCGAAAAUUAAUCUUGCACAAGCACAAGGACUGAGAUGUGUAUAAAUAUCUCUUAGAUUAGUAGAUAAUAUAUCGCACAUAUUAUUGAGACCAACUAGCAACAUAGAAAGCACAAUAUUGUACCAAUAAUGGCAGCCAAAAUAUUUUGCCUCAUUAUGCUCCUUGGUCUUUCUGCAAGUGCUGCUACGGCGAGCAUUUUCCCGCAAUGCUCACAAGCUCCUAUAGCUUCCCUUCUUCCCCCAUACCUCUCACCAGCGAUGUCUUCAGUAUGUGAAAAUCCAAUUCUUCUACCCUACAGGAUCCAACAGGCAAUCGCAGCAGGCAUCUUACCUUUAUCACCCUUGUUCCUCCAACAAUCAUCAGCCCUAUUACAGCAGUUACCUUUGGUGCAUUUAUUGGCACAAAACAUCAGGGCACAACAACUACAACAACUCGUGCUAGCAAACCUUGCUGCCUACUCUCAGCAACAGCAGUUACCUUUGGUGCAUUUGUUGGCACAAAACAUCAGGGCACAACAACUACAACAACUCGUGCUAGCAAACCUUGCUGCCUACUCUCAGCAACAACAGUUUCUGCCAUUCAACCAACUAGCUGCAUUGAACUCUGCUGCUUAUUUGCAGCAACAACAACUACUACCAUUCAGCCAGCUAGCUGCUGCCUACCCCCGGCAAUUUCUUCCAUUCAACCAACUGGCAGCAUUGAACUCUCAUGCUUAUGUACAACAACAACAACUACUACCAUUCAGCCAGCUAGCUGCUGUGAGCCCUGCUGCCUUCUUGACACAGCAACAUUUGUUGCCGUUCUACCUGCACACUGCGCCUAACGUUGGCACCCUCUUACAACUGCAACAAUUGCUGCCAUUCGACCAACUUGCUUUGACAAACCCAGCAGUGUUCUACCAACAACCCAUCAUUGGUGGUGCCCUCUUUUAGAUUGCUUAUGAGUUAUAGUUCAAUAAUAAAGUUUUUUUUGCUGAUAUUUGUGGCUUCCCAGAAAUAAGAAAGUACAUUUCUAGAUUCUUAUGUGCUUCUAGUCUCCAAAUGUGGUUGAUAGUUAUUUUGCUCUAAGAUCGGCAGUAAUGAGGUAUAAAUACUUGUUGUCGUGUGCUACUCGGUUAAUUGAGCAUUAACACACAUAAACAUUACAAGGAUGGUAUAAUCUCCUAAAAUGUGUACAUUGUUAGGUGUAACCCUAUAGCCAUGCAGAAUGUGCUAUGUUAGGCAUGCCGAUGGAAACGUGUGACACAUACGUUUUGUUAACCUAUUGAUAUUAUAUGUGCCUUUUAUAUUACCAUAUUUUAUUAAAAUACUAAUAUUUAUUACUAGUAAGAUAUAACAUUCUAUCUAGCUUAAAAACUAACCAUAAAUAUUCCAUCAUAACUAGAUUUACCAAACUAAUAUACUAAAUAUACAUAAUAAAUACAAAAUUAACAAUACAAUAUCAAUAUUUAUGAGCUUAAUAAAUUUAAACAUUAUGGUUGGCCGACGAUAAUCAUACUGACUUUCCGUAAUUGCUUGAUUGUAAAUAUACUUAGACUAAUGCCUCUUUGUUCUACAUGGCAAAUAGGGACCACUCUAGGAGACUAGGAUGUUGCUUGAGACGAAGAUGUUAUCAUUGGUGUAGACUAAUUUCUAUCAGCCGCUGACUUCACUAUUGUAACCAUUAUCUCUUGGGUAAAUCAUAUACGAUUAUCUAGCCAAAGGCCCAGAUGAUAAAAACAAUUUUUAAUUGCUAUUUCAGGACAAAUGAAUUAGCAUGGUUCGAAGGAUUGCGACCUUCCCCCCAUGACUUUUAUCGUAUUGUGUUAGUCUAAUCGACAAAACCAAGAUUAGAUAUCAUCGAAGAAGUUGAUAAGCGAAUCUGUGACCACUAUCAGAAUCAGCUGCUUUGCCGAGUGUCUAAAACACUCGACAAAGCCUGAAAAACACUCGGCAAAGGAUUUGCCGAGUGUAACACUCAGCAAAGAAAGCUCGGCGAAGUAUACAUCGGCAACGACUUCUUUGCCGAGUACUUUUUAUCGGGCACUUGGCAAAGAAGCGUCAUUGUCACGACGAUAGGUAAUGCCGACGGAGUCUGUGACGAGUGUCACAGAGUGACGCUCAGCAAAGGCUCACUCUUUGCUGAGUGACCACUGUACAGACACUCGGCAAAGAAGCCCCCGUGGGUCCCUUUAUCAGGGCCUUUGCCGAGCGUAUUAGGUGGCACUCGGCAAAGGCUCCAUCUUUGGUGACUGCCCGCCAGACUAGCAAUCGACAAAGGGAUCAACAGCGGAUCCCUUUGUCAGUUCUUUUGUCGAGUGCUCUAGGAGGCACUCAAUAAAGCUUGUGUUGGGGGCCUUCUUCUUCCGAAGGUCCUCAAAAACGUGACUAACCAUAGGUUUUCAGUAUGACAUAGACUAUUAUAGGAAGCUUUGGCUUUGGGAUGAAGGCGUGUGAUAUGAGGAUACAGCCCAAAGGCAACAUGGAUGGACGUCGAAGCUAUGGCUAAAGGAGUUUCGGCUUGGCAUGUUAGCGAAGAUGAAGGACGAAACCGACCUAAGGGAGAAAAGACUAGUUAGUCCUUGAUAGUUUGCAUUAUGAUUAAGAGCAGAUAUCAGGGGCAUGCAUGUAAUCUUAUCCGGGCUGCGUCCCGUGCCUAUGAAUAGAUGAAUAGUAACACCGUACUGUUCACGCUGGAUUAUAAUCGCUCCUACGUCACUCUCGCGUCUUCACCUUUUGGUAAGCUGAAGGUAUCAAUGUAAUACAAAUAUUGAUGAUGUUUAUUCAUGUUUAUGAAAUGAGAAUAUAAAUAGCUUGCUGAUUCGUAAUCAUUAUUUAUAUUCUUUUGUAUUUCAUGUACCCUUAUUUAGAUGUGUUCACUGAGAUGAUGAAGGUAUGCCCUUCAUGACCUUCGUUCGGAAACCAUUAUAUCCAAAAGGAGAUAAUGCUUCGAAGGACGAAGGUCUCUAAUUAUUGACAAUCAUGUUGUCUUGUUCUUGAUGUAUAGCAUUUGGGAACAAGGACCAACAUUGGCGCCCACCUCCCGUGAACUCAAUCGACCACCUUCGGCAAGCAUCGACUUUCGUAAUGCCGCCGAAGAAGACAAUAGUGCCAGGGGCUGCCCUGCAGCCACUGGACACUAAUCAGGAAACGCUGCGAGAAGCUAGGAUCUAGAAGAGGAAGGCUACUAGCCCAACACCUCAGGAGGAGGAGCUAGAUCAGGAGAUCAGAGAUUUGGAGGCUAUCACCAGCAGGUACAAAGAAAAAGGGAAAAGAUGCUUCAGCUCGUCGAACUUCAGAGAAAGAUCGACAAAGCUGCUGAAGAAAUGCGUCACCUUACCCAGGAUGACCAAGACCGAAGGCCCCAACAUAGGGAGCUUCAUCAAGAAAGCCCAAUUAAUGACGAUGAGUGGUAUGGUGACUUUCAUCGUGGCAAUUUUGCUUUUGAUGAUGCUUCUCCCUUGGCAGCAGAAUUGCAGGCUACCCCGUGGCCGCCAUCAUACAAGCCACCUCAGCUCCCCAUGUAUGACGAGCACUCAGACCCGAAGCAACCAUAUCCUCAUAUGGGGGCAAUACUGCGGUCAUGGCAAAGUCCUUCGUCAUGGCAGUUAGAAGCGUGGCUCAAACAUGGUGCUCUUCUCUUCGGCCAGGGACAAUUACGUCGUGGCAAAAGCUAAAAUACAUACUGGUCACUAGCUUCUAGGGUUUCCAAUCGAAACCAGUUACUGUCCAAACUCUGUUCCAGUGCACACAGGACCAAGAAGAAUACCUCCAAGCGUAUGUCCGAAGGUUCCUGCGAUUGAGAGUUCAGGCGCCUACAGUGCCCAAUGAGAUUGUCAUUGAGGCCAUGAUCAAGGGGUUCAGACCAGGACCAACGGCGCAAUACUUUGCAAGGAAGCCACCACAAACCCUAGAGAAGCCGACGAUGAUUUUCGGCAAAGAAGGCAAGAAGCCUACAGAUACUCUGAGAUGGCCAGGGGCUUCGGAGGAAGAUUUCACCCUAGGCAUGUCAGGUCAAUCCAUAAUACCAGCUCAAGUGACGACAAGGGAAACCAUACCCAAAGGCAGCAACACAGCUCUCAGUCGUCAGGAGCACAACAAAGCUCUUUGAGGCCACCGGCUCCAAGAGGUAGAGGGGGGAGAAGCUUCGGAGGAAGAUAUGGAGAUCAGCCCAGUAAACAGUUUUGUUUGUUCUGCGGUGAAGAUAAGGGGCAUACCACAAGAACGUGCCAAGUUAUGAUUCAGAAGCAGAAAGAAAUUGCUGAAGCUGAAGCACGUUCGAAUCAGCCGAAGCAGGUUCUGCAUACUGCUUCGUGCUACUCUCCCUACGUCCCGGAGUAUGUAGACAAUCAACAGCCUACGACCUUGGUCGCUUCGGCAAGCCAUUCUCAAGCUUCCUGGGCCCAGUUGCCACCACCACCACCGCUAGCACAUGCUCUGGUCCGCAAUCAAUAGCCAGAAGGGCACCACCAUGCUUAGUAAUAGCGCGACCUUCGGGAGGAGUCCGAAGCUCGCACAGUCAACAACAUUGUGCCUAAGUCGAAGCACAUCUAUUAAAGGUGCCACGGUGAUUCAAUUAAAGAAUAUCUUACCCUAAUGUAUCUUAGUUUUUCCGCCAUUUUAUUUUCUUGCAUGAAAAACAAUUCACGAAGGAUUAAUUUCCAAUUUGAUGUAAUAAUACCGUGGUCGCACCAUCGAGUGUGGAGCGCAUCGCCUUAACAAUACUUCCGAAGCUACAAAGACGUUCCUAAGGGAGCGCGGAGUAAGUUCUGAAGCUACAAAGUUGUUCAUAAGGGAGCGCAGAGUAAGUUCCGAAGCUCAAAAGUCGUUCUUAAGUGAAUGCAGAGCCAAGAUGCCACCAAAAUAAAAGGUGAAGAAGCUCAAAAGUCAUUCCUAAGGGGAUGCAGAGCUUAAAUGCCACCGAAAUAGAAGGUGAAGAAGUUCCAAAGUCGUUCCUAAGGGGAUGCAGAGCUUAGCUCCAAAGAUGUUCCUAAGGGGAUGCAGAGCUGAAAUAUAACCUAAGUAAAAAGUGAAGAGACUCAAAAGUCGUUCCUAAGGGGAUGCAGAGUCUGGAUGCAUUUUCGAGUGGGUGUGUUUCUUCGGCAUAAACAUCAUGCUGUAUCAUAUCAUCACAUCAUUUCUCAUAGCAUUACAUCAUACAUCACAUCACAUCAGCAACAGAACUGUGGAGAAGCAAAGAUGCUUCUUUCAAAAUAUUUGAUGAAUGGAACAAUGGGCUGAAGCAGAAAGUGUACCUUCAACAGCUAUAAUUUUACAUACCAAGAAAAAUCUUCGUCGACAAACAAUAUUAUAUAACAGCUACGACAUAAGAAGGGGUGAUUUUUUAUUUGUGAAGCAUGAAAAGAAGGGAAGGUGUUUUUUCACCAAAGGCUAAAAAACAGGUAAGUACAUACAUUUCAUGCAUCACAAAGAAAUAUAUUACAUUAAUAUACAAACAAAUGUUCGAUGUUCGACUCAUACACGAAUAUUACAUUUCUUAGUACACAAGAAUUUAGUCUUCUUUCAAUAUUUUCUCGGUAGCUUCAUGUAGGAGUUUGUUGACAGCUUCAUCAACGGCUUCUUCGGCAAUCCUUAUCGUUUCUAAUGCCCCCCUCAUGGCCGGAUCGGCCUCGGGAUCAUAUGGCUCAGGCGGUGGUGAAAAAUCAGCUGUAAUAAAGAACAAGUUGUUAAUAUCAAAGCCAGAAACAAAUACUGAAGCUAAAAUUCAGUAAUAAUACCUAUACGCCUUGCGCGCUCAGCAACCUCUUGGCUCGCUUAGCUUAUUCUCGAGCAUCAUGGGAUUCUUUUUCAUUUGUCUUUAUAGCUUCAUCGGCUAUCUCACGGCCACCUUUCAUCCAAACAUUGGAAUAAAACUUCUCGCCCAUCAAAGUAGCUUCGGCCGAAGGCUCCUUCAUGUCGUCUAUGGAGAAGACGGCUUCCGCCUGGGCUGCAGUUUUAACAUGUUCACAGCCAGUUUUCUCCAAAACUGCUGCAACCCCUCGGGCACCGGCGAAGGCACAAAAAUCCUCGCGUUCGCUAAGUAUUUCCUCAAAAGCUUCAACUUCUUCGCAAAUCCAUUGAACGACUCCUUUUGGAUCGCCUCGAAUAAAUUUUUGCUCCGAUGAGUAUGCACCCACCUUUGCAAAACUGUCUUUCAGUUUCUUUGCAUAGUCCAUGGAUACUUCGUAGCAUUUCUCUCUGGAACCCCGAAGUUCUUCAACAUUCUUCUCAAGCCUGGAGCUUGUCCAUUCACUUAUAUCUUACUUUGCCUUAGCAAGUUCAAUAUUUUCGCUCAUUUCGGCAAGUUUUUUGUGAAGGUCUUCGACUUCGGCUUGGUGAGCUUCGGAUUGUGCAUUAAGUUUUGCUUCGUUGCUCUUCAGUUUAUCCACCAAGGAAAGCAGUAUUUUAUCUUUUUCAAGCGCCUCGUUCCUUAAUGUAAUAACUUAUGACCGAAGGUUCCCAAGGGCUAUUUGGCAGCUUUCAUCUUCUGCAUUCUUUUGUGCCCUUAAAGCCUUGCUUAGGAUUAAUGCCUACAAAAAAUGAAGGAUCAGCACACAACAAUAAGAAAAGAUACAAAAAGUAAUCUGCUUAUAAGCUAAAAUGUCCUCACCAUCAGACUGUUAUAAGCAAGGAUGUCUGCAAGGUCAUCUUUCGACAUUGCAGACAACCCAAGCUCUAGCUUCGGGAAACCUAUAUUUUUUGCCAUCUCCCGACAAACAAAUAUUUUCUUGUUGUCUGGAAGGCAAUACAAAAAAUCAUCUUCGUCAGUGCCAUUAAACAUGAGGGAUCCUGGGGGAUACUUCAGAUCCUUAGCAAAUUGCCUAGCUUCGGCAACCUGCUCCUCUGAUAGUUUUUCCCUACCGCGUGACACACUAUAAAUUCCGAUCCCUCAGUAGAAGCUUCAACGGCAAGGAAUUCAGAUUCUUUGCUGGUUCUCUCUUUUCCUAACGGUAACGGAGCUUUUUCAGCAUCCAAAGGUCCUUUUUCAGCAUCCUUUUCAAUAAGCUCUGCAGGCCCUAUUUCUGCGGGAACUGAGGGCCCAGCUUCAGCUUCAACCCAAGUUAUGAUAGCUUCGGCAGUUUCCUUUGUACUUUUCUUACCCAUGCUAGGUACUUCUGUAGAGGCAGGAGUUAGUACUUUUGUCGAUUCCAUGACAGCAUCCAGUACACUAGCCAUUCUCCUCCUUUUUGGAGUUAUCAAAGUAGUUUUUUGAAUCUUCGGCAAUUCUGCCUCUGGCCGUGAAAAAGUUUUUGGCUGCUCCGCUGCUAUCUUCAGAAUUGGCUCUUCGGCUGAUCCCAAUAUGGCUUCGGCAGUAGCGAGAUGAUUUUGCUCAGCUGCAGAAGAAGACCCUUCAACAGGCUUUGACACUUUGGCCGUCUCAGAGUGCCUGGGCCGGUGUGUCAAGACUUUGCCAUUUUUCCCUUCGGCGUGGCAGAGAUUGCCGAAGCAGUAGCCUUCCUUUUCUUUCCCUGCUUUCGCGAGGGAUAACAAUAGUCUGGGUACACAAAACCAAUUACAUCAAAAACCCUAUUUAAUCUCUUCUUGCCUCGUCCUCCGAAGGCCAAUGUCAUGGCAUCGUCUUCGGCCCUUGUGUAGGCCCCAAGCAAUUCGUCACUAGUAGCCUCAAUGCAAUCCAACCAGUCAUCGUUCGGCUCAUCGAACUGAUCUCUGUAUCUGAAGGUGUAUUUCAGAUAAACUAAACUAACUUGACUGGACCCGGCCGCAGCUUCCUUCGACAUCUCCCAGCCACUUCCAAGAGGCCACACUCUGUAAGCAAUAUGCUCCUAGACUAAGUCCCUAGUGCCAAUAUAAGUACAUAAAGUGUUAAAGUCCGUAUGGCAUGCUUGAAUAUCAUGUCCAUGGACAGUGGUUGGCCUCCUAAUGCCGAAGCGAGACCAGAUAGGGCAUUGAAUGAUCCCCUUUAUAUCUUCUCUUUCAACUAAGUUGUUCUUCACAUAAAACCACUCUUGCAUCCAGGCUCCUGGCCACCUCUUCCAAAAUGUUGGGACGGGAUAGCUCACACCAGAGCGAGGCAUGAAGCCGUAACAACGAAAAUUAUUAUGAUAUUGUUCUAUGCCAGUAGCCUUUGUCUCAUAGGACAGGUCAUGCAUGUUGCAGAAGCAUUUUGCAUUCGGCUCUAAACCCUGGCCCAAAUGAAAACUCCCAUUCUGAUGAUAUCUUCGGGGGUAAUUUGAUGAAGGUAAAUUUCAAAAGUCUUCAAAACUUCAACUAAAAAUUUGUUCAGGGAGAAUCGAAGCCCUGCUUUCAUAGAACUCCUGUAGACAACAACUUCGUCUGCUUCGGGCAUAGGGGCACUGCUAUCUCCUCUGGCCCUCAUGAUAGAAAUAUCGCGGAAGUAUCUUCCUUUCAUUGCAUCAAUCUGACUCUGUUUGAUGGUUGAUUUAGCAAAGAUGGUAUGACUCGGUCGCCAGGGCUGAUCUUCGACAUCUUCGUUUCCACUUUCUAAGUCAAAACUUUCACUAUCGCUGGAAUCUUCAGACAACCCAACCAACAUCUCAUUGGUGAUCUUCUUCAUAUUUGUCUUCUCCAUAGCUUCAUAAAACCCGGCCAAUGCAGGGUCAGCAAUCUUCUUCUCUUUAGCCAUUUAGACAACGAUUGCACGAUUGUCGAAGCUUAAAACUCAAUCAAAACUCGACAGAGCAAGAGAAUUCAGAAUGUCUAAAAUAGCGCAAGCAACUGAAAUAGCACAGCAAAUGCUGCCAAUGCGAGUUUCUAUUUAUAUGCCUCACGAUUUGGUGGGCCAUACAUGUCAGUGGCUUUCGCUAUUCUAGCGAAGGGAAGGUGUUUUUUCGGAUCUUCGGUUAAAGGCCUUCGUUCACGUCACAGUCUAAAUUUGUUACAAAGAAACAAAUUAAUACUACGAGGGGCUACUGUUGGGGGCCUUCCUUUUCCGAAGGUCCUCAAAAACGUGGCUAACCAUAUGUUUUCAGUAUGACAUAGACUAUUAUAGGAAGCUUCGGCUUUGGGAUGAAGGCGUGUGAUAUGAGGAUACAACCCGAAUGCAACAUGGAUGGACGUCGAAGCUAUGGCUAAAGGAGCUUCAGCUUGGCAUGUUAGCGAAGAUGAAGGACGAAACCGACCUAAGGGAGAAAAGACUACUUAGUCCUUGAUAGUUUGCAUUAUGAUUAAGAGUAGAUGUCAGGGGCAUGAAUGUAAUCUUAUCCGGGCUAUGUCCCGUGCCUAUAAAUAGAUGAGAAGUAACACCGUACUGUUCACGCUGGAUUGUAAUCGCUCCUACAUCACUCUCGCAUCUUCACCUUUUGGCAAGCCGAAGGUAUCAAUGUAAUACAAAUAUUGAUUAUGUUUAUUCAUGCUUAUGAAAUGAGAAUAUAAAUAGCUUGCUGAUUCAUAACCAUUAUUUAUAUUCUUUUGUAUUUCAUGUACCCUUAUUUAUAUGUGUUCACUGAGAUGAUGAAGGUAUGCCCUUCAUGACCUUCGUCCGGAAACCAUUAUAUCCAAAAGGAGAUAAUGCUUCGAAGGACGAAGGUCUCUAAUUAUUGACAAUCGUGUUGUCUUGUUCUUGAUGUAUAGCAUUUGGGAAUAAGGACCAAUAGCUUGCUUCUUUGCCGAGUGCCAAGGCCACAGCACUCGGCAAAGAGUCUUUACCGGUGCGCAGGUGUGCCUUCUUUGCCGAGUGCUAUGACAUUGACACUCGGCAAAGUAUCUCUUUGUCGAGUGUAACACUCGACAAAGUGACCAGAUUAUCCCUUUUUAUUUGUUUUUGCUAUUCCAUCCAAACAAAUAAAAGAUAUAUCGCAUAAUCAUCACAUAUACAUCAUAGAUAUCACAUAAUCAUCGCAUACAUAAUAGAGACUGCAUAUUUCACAAAAAACACAAAUCUCACAAGUUUUUCUCAAACAUGUCCAUGUUCAUACCAAGAUUCACUAACAUAAGUAUCACACAACUCUAAAACAUAAGUUUUUCACAAACAUAAGUUUAGGACAAGUUUAUCACACAAGCUAAGAGAAGAUCAUGAGCGAGGUGGGCGGCUGGACUGGUGCGGCGACGGGCUGGGCGAUCCACGAGGGUUGUUGGAUGCCGCCCUAGAUUGUCCCUGCACAGAGAAGAGAUUGCCUGUGUUAUACUAGAUAAAUAUACAUCAUGCAGGACUAGAAUUUUGAUACUCAUAGGAGUAUGGAACUGAGCAGGGUCAACUGGAGGGAACAACGGAGGUGGUGGAGCAAAACCCUGUGCGGUGCCAAGGCUCUGCAUGUACUGGAACAUCUCUGCCAUCCUCUGUUGAUUUUCCAUGUGGGCCUCCCGCUCCGCCAUCAUCCUCGCCUCCAUAUCCUACCGUUCCCUCCUCUCUUCUUCUAGCUAGGCAUAUAAUAUUUCAACCCAGUGUUAUAAUAACUCAAAGAGAAGGUAUAUAACUCAAGGAAAGACGAGUUACAGAAGCACUAACCUGGAGUUGUUGUAUCUCAUGAUGUGAGUUGUCCUGUCGAGGUCGUAUGGCUGGGCUUGAGCUCGUGGUCCUUGCUCGCACCUGAGACAGAGUGGGAGUGGACAACGAGUCGAUUGUCCCGUCGGCAAUCCAGUACCUCCCAUGCCUCUUGCCUCCUCUGACCCUCAUGAGAACAUCUCCGUCGAUUUCCUUGGUCCUCGGAUCGUAAUCUGGCCCAUGGACCUCAUGUGACAUGGCAGUGUACUCACUUAGGCGGUUGUAGACGGCGGAGUUGCUAUAUGCCUCGGGCCCGUCAUCCGGGUUGUAGGUGACAUCGGACGUCGCCUUUCCCUUGUGGGCCAUAGCAUAAACCGAGAAGAUGGAGCAUGGCUGGCCACCAUGUAACACCAAAUGCAAUAAAAUCAAUGAGAUAGUUAGAAAUAAUAUCUAAACCAGUGCUAUAUACCUAAAUAAAAAGAGGGCGUACCCAUGCUUCUACAUAUUUCCAGAGGUUGCGACUGCCUUGGUGGUGGGAGGGACCUUACAUCAUCAAAUGUCGUUCCAUGCUAGCGUUGUGCGCCUCGUCCCACUUAGGCGAGCACCACCUAUCCACCAUCUGCUCCUAGCACUGAGGAUGCGCGGCGCACCAAUAAGGAAUCAUCUACAAACUAAAACAAGUACAUUGCAUAUCAGAAGAUAAAAUUAAGCAAUUUUUUUCACGAAUAUUAAAGUGAUGUAUUUACCUGCAAGUAUUGGUCCCUAGUCAACGACAUGGUUCGGGCCUCUUGUUUGGUCACCUUCUCUCUAAGGACGGAGCCAUGGUAGAUGAUGAUGACCUAGAUUCGUGCAUCGUAGUGCAUGUCCACGACGAGCUUCUUACAGCUUGUGGUGGCCACCACAUUUGCCCUGGCCUCGUAUCCAGCCUCGCAUCUGAAGAAAUCCUACAUACAAAGGCGAUAUAUCCAUACAUUAUUUCAAGUAUGUGCAACAAAUGCGACAUAUUUUACAAUAUAGUAAGACUUACUCAUAGCUUUUGCUUCACCCGCUCUGCCAUGUUGUUAAAUUCCCUAUCGUCCUAGUCUACUGCAUCAGGGGUGACGACGUAGUGGUCGAAGGUGUAGGCAGUAGGUUGGGCCCACCACUCCAGCGUACUCAACCAGUCCAGGGAAGUGUUCCCUACACAUAAGGCCAAGGAUGCCAUUGGGUUGUGGUCGUGACUCCCUGCAUUCUCCACAACCUUUCAAGACCUGUCCAAGUGAUAAAUAAAAAGUAUUAGUUUAUAUUAUGAAUUUGAACACAUAAUAUGAACAAACAGUGAGAACAUAAAAUUACAUGUCUCUCCCCAUCCUUCUGAAUCAGCGACCGCCUAUCUCGAAGUAUGGGACGCUGAGGGAGACUCGUGGGACCUCGCUGGUAGACGUUCCUCGAAUCUGAAGCACCAGAACCUGAGGCGUCUUGCUGAGCGUCGUCGUCGUCCUACUGUGUCGCAUCGAUAACGACCUGCUGCUGGACGUCGUCAUCCUGUUGUGCCUUCUUCGCCUUCCUACGGGUGCUCCUCCUCCCCCUCCUUGUCCUCAUCCCACCGCCCACCAUAUUUGUCCAACAACCUGUAAUUAAGGGUAAGCAAAUAAGCACAUAUAAAAAAGUUUAUUUACAAAUAGGCGUGAAAUAAAAAAAAUAGCAUUACAUCGUUUAAAAAAAUCUUCAUAUGUGUCGGGGUUAGCCAGAUCAUAAGUGUCAUCAUCACAAUCAACCAUUUCAUAGUCAACACCAUCUGAAGGCGCAAGUUCUUCAUUAAUGUCAUUGCCUUCAAGUAAUUCUAAGUCAUUCUCAUUUUGCACCUCAUCAACAACCAUUUCAAUAUCUACUUCCAUUCCGAUAGCUUCGGUUAAGUCUAUCUCAAAUCACCCUUCUAGCCCAUAUUCUUGGAAGAACUCUCCAUCAUAUGUAUCCGGGUCUAAGUUAUAAUCUUCAUCAUUUGGAACAGGUAAUUUACCGUGCAGUGAUACCUUAUACACAACAUCCCAACCCAUCCAUGCCUCAUAUAGGAGAUGAAGAAUCAAAUGCUGCAUUGGAUUGAAGAAGUCGAGUGGAAAUAUCUUCUCAAGCUUACACAAAAACACGGGUGUCAAUCUUUCCAAGUCUGCAAUCACGGACCAAGAUAACUCUUUCACACAAAGCUGGCAGAAUAAAUAGCUGAACUUUGUAAGCGCUAGCCAUACAUGCUCAGGGACAUAGCCUCGAACCAUCGUCGGAAGAAUCUGUUCAAUCCAUAAGUGGAAGUCAUGACUCUUCAUCCCUAAGACUCACAGAGUAGAUAAGUUCACCCCCCUACUUAGGUUAGCUGCAUACCCAUCAGGAAACAUCAACAUCUUGAUCCACUAAAGUACUUCCUUCCUCUGGGCCCUACUUAGGACGAAAUCGGCCUUAGACCUUCUCCAUGUCUUUCCACCACUAGGCGGCUUCAUUUCUUGGUUUGGUCUAUCACAUAACGCUGUCAGAUCCACUCUUGUCUUUACAUUAUCCUUUGACUUAUCAGGAAUGUCCAUAAUUGUUGCCCAAAGUGCCUCGGCGACAUUCUUUUCAGUGUACAUCAAGUCAAUGUUGUGUGGAAGGAGUGGGUCAUCAUAAUAGGGGAGCCGAGUCAAGCCCGACUUAUGUGUCCACAUAUGCUGCUCACCAUAUCCCACAAAUACACCUUCUGGAUUGGCCACGAGCCCAUCUAUUUGUUGACGAAUUUCGGCACCAGUCAUCAUUGCAGGUGGUUGGUCUGUCACUACAACACCUUUCGUAAAGUUAUUGAUGUCUAGGCGGAAUGGAUGGUUAGGAGGGAGAAAUUGUUGAUGUUUAUCGAACAACGAAUAUUUGCCACCCUUUUUCAACCAAAUGAACUUAAGAGCUUCCUUACAAACUAGGCAUGGGAACUUACUGUGAACACAAUAGACACAGAAUAGCCCAUACGCCGGUAAGUCAUGCAUGGCGUACUAGUACCAAACAUGCAUUUUGAAGUUUUUCUUCGUAGCUCGGUUAUACGUCCAUACCCCUUCCUCCCAAGCAUGUACGAUUCAUCAAUCAAAGGCUCCAUGUACACGCCCAUUUUAUUCCCCGGGUGUCCGAGAAUUAUCAACGACACAAAUAUGUUCUGCCUUUAAAAGCAUACACCGGGGGGAGAUUGAUUGGGAUAACAAACACGGGCCAACAUGUGUAUGGGGCAGCGCUCAUUCCAUAGGGAUUGAACCCAUCUGUGGCCAGCGCAACACGUACAUUAUGAGCCUCUUCAGCUUUCUCGCGGUAAAUGGCAUCAAAGUGUUUCCAUGCUUCACCAUCGGAUGUGUGCACCAUCUUAUCAUGAUUGUAUCGUUUGCCAUUUUUGUGCCAUGUCAUCUGUUUCGCGGAUUCCUCAGUCAUGUAUAGACGCUGGAUCCUCGGUGUGAACGGAAGGUGGUGUAGGAUUGUCACGGGGAUGUCGAGCUGCCUAUCAUGUCCAUCACCAAAGUCUACCUCCAUGAACCUAGACGAUUUACACUUCGGACAGUACUUUGCUUCCGUGUAUUCUUUCCUAAAUAGCACGCAGUCCUUCGGACAAGCAUGUAUCUGCUCAUAUGUCAUCUUGAGUGCACGGAGGAGUUUCUGUGUGUUGGGGACCUUCGGCAUCCGAAGGUCCUCAAAAACGGGAUUUAACAGUAUUUCUGGAAGUAUAAUGUGUGAGCAGGUACCUUCAGACUCAAGUCGGUAUCACGGCAGGAGAAGACCCGGAUAAUACGAAGGUCUUGAUACAACGCCGAAGAUGUUAGCAGGAAAGCUUCGGCAUGGUUGCAGAAAAUGAAACCGACUUAAAGAUGAAAAGGCUAUUCAGACCUCGAUAGAUUACUAUAGAAUUAUUAUCAAAUGUAAAGGGCAUGAAUGUAAUUUUGUAUGGGCUGUGUCCCGUGCCUAUAAAUAGGUGAACAGAACCCCCGUACUGUUCACGCUGACUUGGCAUUCGCUUUUUGCGUCACGCUUGUACUGUCAUCUCCUUCCGAUUGAAGGUACACUUGUAAUUCAACGAUAUUUCUGUUUAUGUCUGAUAAUAAUAUAUAAUUGUUCAUAUUGUCUUUUAUGUUCUUUACAUUUCAUUCUUCGUCAUUGCUUAAUGAAUUUAUGAAGGUACGUCCUUCAUAACCUUCGUCCGUAAACCAUUAUAUCCUAAGGGAAAUAAUGUUUCGGAGGGCGAAGGACUUUAACGAUUAACAUUUUCUAUGUUGCCUUGUUCUUAACUCAUAGCACUUGAGAACAAGUCCCCAACAUUGGCGCCCACCUCCGGUGAACUCACUUCCACUCUUUGAAGUUUUUUGAACACCUUCGGCGAUCAUAAAUCUUCGUUAUGGCGCCGAAGAAAGCUUCAGCGACUGGGGCUGCAGCUCUGCAACCACUGGACCACAAUCAGGAGACAGUUUCCCUGCGGGAGGCCCGAAGCCAGAAAAGGAAGGCUGUCAGUCCGACACCACCAGAGGACGAGAUAGAUCAAGAAAUCAGAGAUAUGGAGAUGCUUCAUCAACAAGUACAGAGGAAGAAAGAAAAGAUGGCCAGGCUAGCUGAACUGCAGAGGCAGAUAGACGAAGCCUCUGAAGAAGUUCGUCAUCUUGCUCAGGAUGAGCAACACCGAAGGCCUCAGCACCAAGACCUUCAUCAGGAGGGUUUUCCCAACGAAGAUGACUGGUAUGACAAUUUCCAUCAUGGGAAUUUUGUUUUUGAUGAUGCUUCUCCUCUGUCCGCUGAGCUGCAGGCUACACCUUGGCCUCCGUCCUACAAGCCGCCUCAGCUUCCCGUAUUCGAUGGUCACUCAGACCCGAAGCAGUUUUUGAUGAGCUACGAAGCAACAGUAUCUUCGUAUGGUGGCAAUGCUUCAGUCAUGGCCAAAUCUUUCGUUAUGGCUGUCAGAAGUGUUGCUCAAACCUGGUAUUCCUCCCUUCGACCAGGAACGAUCACUUCAUGGCAGAAGCUGAAGGACUUGUUGUUAACUAGCUUUCAAGGAUUUCAGACGAAGCCGGUCACUGCUCAGGCUCUGUUCCAGUGCACCCAGGAUCACGAAGAAUACCUUCAGGCGUAUGUCCGAAGGUUCUUGCGUUUGAGGGCACAGGCACCAACGGUGCCCAAUGAAAUUGUCAUCGAGGCCAUGAUCAAGGGGCUUCGGCCAGGACCGUCAGCUCAGUACUUCGCCAGGAAGCCUCCUCAAACUUUGGAGAAGCUGCUCCAGAAGAUGGACGAGUACAUUCGGGCCGAUAAUGAUUUUCGCCAAAGAAGGGAGGAGGCUUUCAGGUUUUCUGAAAUGACCAGGGGCUUCGGAGGGAGGUUCUACCCGAGGCACGUGAGAUCAAUUCAUAACUCUACACAAAAAUGAUGAUAGAGGAAGCCAACAGCAAAGGCCACAAUGCUCCUCACAGGCUUCGGGGCAACAGCAAAGCUCCUUCCGACCACCAGCUCCAAGAGGCAGAGGCGCCAGGGGCUUUGGAGGAAGAUUUGGAGAUCAACCGAGAAGAAUCUUUUGCUUAUUCUGCGGUGAGAACAAAGGCCAUACUACCAGGAUGUGCCAUGUUACUAUUCAGAAGCAAAAGGAAAUAGCUGAAGCCGCAGCACAACAAGCUCAGCCGAAGCAGGUCAUGCAUACAACUUCGUAUCAUUCGCCCUACAUCCCAGAAUAUGUGGGCAACCAUCCUGCAGUUUCUGUUGCUUCGGCAAGUCAGCCUCAAGCUUCCUGGCAACAGCCUCCGCCUCCACCUCCGUUGCAACAAGGCCAGCAACCAGAAGGGAGCCAGUAUGCUCCACACCAGAGGGACUUCAGAGAGCAGUCCGAAGCUCGUACAGUCAAUAGCACUGUGCCAGAGUCAAAGCACAUCUAUUGACGAAUAUCCUACCUUAAUAGCAAUCUUUUUCAUUCAGUUUUAUUUUCUGUAAUAAAGGACAUUGUUUAGGUUUCAUGUAAUUAGUUUCGUUGAUUCCUACAAGAAAAAUAUGUUUUCCUCACAGGCUUAAAUUGAUUGAAGUUCAAAGACUUGUGAUAAAAAAAAGGACCUUCGAACUAUCGAAAAUUCUUCGAAGCAACAAAAAGUCGUUCUAAGGAACGCAGAGUAAGUUUGCCGAAGUCACAAAAAGUCGUUCCAAAGGGAGCGCAGUGUAAGUUUUCUGCUCCAAAGUCGUUCCAAAGGGAAUGCAGAGCAUACAGCGAAAAGUCAACGCUGAUACCGCCUAAGUAAAAGGCGAAGCGCGAAAAGUCAACGCGAAUACCGCUGAAAGUAAAAGGCGAAGAAGCUCCUAAGGGAGGCUUACAGCGAAAAAUAAACGCUGAUUCCGCUGAAGUAAAAGGCGAAGAAGCUCCUAAGGGAGGCUUAUAAAAGAUGUGUUUUAUUGCAGGGAUGCGUAUGUAUCUUCGGAAUAAACGUCAUCUCACAUAACAUAACAUCAUCGCAUCAUUUCGCAUAGCAUAAGCAUCAUACAUCAUUUUGCACAUGGCACAAGAGGUGGACACAUUAUUAAUCUACAGAAGAACGCUUUGAAAAAAGGGAGAAAUCAAAGUCACAAAAAGAUACAUCAUUGAUCUUCGGAAGUGUAUCUUCGGAAGUGUAGCUUCGGAAAAUAUCUUCACGAAGCCUGGAUAUUAAUCAUCAGAACAUUGGAUAUUGUUGUGACAAAGAAAAAUUCUUCUUCACGAAGCAUGAAAAGAAGGGAAGGUGUUUUUUCGUCAAAGACUCAAAAGUGGUACGUGUAAAGUUUCAUGCAUCGUAAAGAAUUGACUAACAAAAAUAGGUAUAUUACAUUUGGGGUUACAAAAUGUUACAGUAUAUUACAUUUCAGAAAGUUUUCACAAAAAUACUUAAUCUUCUCUCAAAACGACUUCUGCAGCCUCGUUCAGGAGCCGAUUGACGACUUCGUCCAUAAUAUCUUCAGCCAUCUUUUUAAUUUCGUCGUCUCCUUUCGGCUGAGGGCCCGAAGACGCUUUAGCACGAUCUGAAGUAAGACAGCAUGCGGCUACAUUGCUAUUACAAAUCGCAAACAAAUCUUAAAGCCUAAGAUUACAACACGAUAAAAACUAUUAGUUAAUACCUAAUUGACCUUCGGCCUCUGCGCUCUUUUCAGCAGCCUCAGCCACUUCUCUAGCAUCGUGAAUGCCCUUUUCACUUCUUCGAAUAAUUUCUCCGGCCAUUUCUCAGCCACCAUUAUCCCAGAUAUCGGUAAAACAUUUUCCACCAAUUAUACUAGCUUCGGCCGAAGGAUCUCUUGCAUCUUCAAAGGGCAAAGCAGCUUCGGAUUGUGCUAAAAUUUUUACAUGUUCGCAGCCCUUCUUCUCUAAGAUGGUGGCAAUCCCUCUGGCACCAGAGAAGGCACAUAUAUCUCCUCGGCUAUUUAAAAUUUCUUCGAAGGCUUCAGCUUCGUGGUCGAUCCAUUCGAUGACACCUUCGGGAUUGCUUCUCGAAAAGUUUUCCUCACUUGAGAAUGCGCCGACCUUGGCGAAGCUAGCCUUUAGCUUCUUAACACAAUCUAUAGAUUUAUUAUAGCAUCUCUUUUUGGACGAACGAAGCUCUUCAACAGUCACUUCUAGGUGAUCUGCCCAUUGAUCGCUGAGUUCACGCUUUGUUUCUUCAAGUAUGCGUUCUUCCUUGGCUCUGGCCAGUUGUUUCCGAAGAUCUUCAAUUUCGCGCUUCUGAGCUUCAGCUUGACCUUUAAAAGCAGCUUCGUCUUCCUUUAUUUUAUUUAUCAAUGAGUAUAAUAUUUUAUCUUUUUCGAGACCUUCGUUCCUCAGUUCAAUUACUUCGGAACGAAGGUUGCUCAGGGCUAUAGUACACCCUUCGUCUUCAGCAUCUUUCUGUGCCCUGAGGGCAUUGCUAAGUAUCAGGCCCUGCAAAGAGAAAUAUGUGUGCGUCAAUAGGUUUAAACAAACGAAAAAUACAAGGAUUUCAUUUCUCGCACCUUUAAGCUAUUGUAAGCCAGGCUGUCGGCCAGAUCGUUCUUCGACAGCACCGAGAGCCCGUCUUCUAAAGUUGGGAAUCCGAAGCUCUUGCUCAUCUCCCGACAGACAGAAAUUUCCUUGCUAUCGGGGAGACAAUACAAGAAGUCUUCUUCUCCACUGCCAUUGAAUAUUAACGCCCCCUUUGGAUAUUUCAGUUUUUGGGCGUAGUGCUGGGCCUCUUGCUCUUCUUUUUCUGAUAGUUUUUUCCCCGAAGCAUGGCGAACAAUAUAAUCACGAACUUUGGGGGAUGCUUCGGGGGCAAUGGCACCGGUUUCUUCAACAAAAGUUGGCUUUGUUAUUUUUUCUGCCUCACUUUCCAAGGAUUUUAUCUUUGCAGGCUCUGAGGGCCCAGCUUCGGCUUUAGUCUCUUGCCCUGAAGCUUUAGAUCCAGAAAUUUCAGUUGUUUCAGGAAUGACAGCAGCCCUCUUCGGAGGUGUGCUUGAAGAUUUGAUCGUUUCCAGUACAUCUAGCACAUUAGCCAUUCUCUUUCUUUUCGGAGUCACUGCUGGCACUUUCACUAUCUCAAUGUUUGCUGCAGGACUCAAAACUUCUGAUGUUUUGGAUCCCUCAGUUGAUUCUUUUACCUUUUCCAUUUUUUCUGUGGACGGCGCUUCGGCUUUCUCUUUCGUUUCUGAUAACAAAAUUUUUGAUUGUUCCAAUUCUAUCUUUGUUGGCACUUCGGCCGUUUCUGCGACUUCUGGCAGCAAGGUUGGCUCGGUUGGUUUUUCAGCUUCGGUGGCCGAAGAAGUUUCUCCGGUAAACUCAGGCACCGAAGCUGGUUCAAUAUAGCGCGGCCGAUGCGUAAGGACCUUUAUCUUCUUUCUUUUCGGUUCUGGCUCGCUAGGAGCAGUUGCAGCUUCUUCUUUUGCAGAGGUUGUGUUUUUUCUCUUCUGCCUUCGAAUGGGAUAGCAAUAGUCAGGGUAGACAAACCCGAUUGCAUCAAAUACCCGAUUCAGCCUCUUCUUUUUUCGGCCUCCGAAGGCUGCUGACAUUGCAGUAUCUUCGGCCUUCGAAUAGGUCCCAAGCAGCUCAUCACUUAAAUUUUCAAUGCUUUUUAACCAGUCAUCAUCUGGUUCAACGAAUUUAUCUCCAAACUUAAAAGUGUACUUCAACCUGAUAAGUCCACCUUCGUCGGCCUCUUUUAUGGUUUCUUGUGGCAUUUCCCAUUUCUCCGCAAGUGGCCAUACCCUGAAGGCGAUAUGCUCUUGUACUAAGUCCCUCGUUCCAAUAAAAGAACAGAUAACACCGAAGGCCCUCUGGCAUUCUUCGGCAGCCUCACUCAUUUCAACCUUCGGCCUCCGAAGGCCGAAGCUUUGCCAAAUAGGGCGCAUAAUUAUACCUUUGAUAUCUUCUCGCGCUGUCAGAUCAUUCUUCACAUAAAACCAUUCUGUCAUCCAGUCGCCGGGCCAUCUCUUCCGAAAGGUCGGCACGGGACAGCUUGACCCGGACCGAGAAACGAAAUUGUAGCAGCCAAAAUUAUUGUGAUACUGUUCCUUACCCCAAGGUUUUGUUUCGUAUGAUAAUUCGUGUAUAUUGCAGAAACUUUUUGCAUCAGGCUUCAGACCUUGGCUUCUCACGGCCCACACGAAGAUAUUUAGCCUUAUAAUUGCCUCAGGGGUAAGUUGAUGGAGAUAGACUUCGAAUAUUUUCAGUACCUCCACAACGAAGCUGCUCAAGGGAAAUCGCAGUCCAGCUUUCAAAAAGCUUCGGUACACUACGACUUCAUUCUCUUCAGGGUGUGGGCAAGUUUUUUCCCCUUCGUCGGCCCUCACAAUGGACAAAUCCCGGAAAUACCUUCCUCUCAUGUUGACAAGAUGAUUCUCUUUGAUAGUUGAUUUACCAUAAACUGAAUGGCUUGGUCGCCAGGGACGAUCUUCGGAGUCCUCACCACCACUGUCCACAUCAUAGCUGUCACUGUCACCAGUAUCUUCAGACAAACCUUCCAGAAUCUCCUUGGUAAUUUUUUCUGUAUUGGUCUUUGACAUCGCUAUAAGAAACCCCAAGUUUUUCUCUUCGUCAAGGCUCAGCUUCAUCUCAGCAACAGUCUUCUUAUCUUCAGACAUCUUCGGAGACGCUAAAAAACUAUUUUCAAAGCCGAAGCUUCAAAACUAAAAGCUUAGCAAAUCGCAGUGCACAAGAGCUAAAAAUUGAGUGAGCGGGAGUAGUUGGCCAGAAAGCGUGUCAAAUGAGUUUGCGGUAUGGCCGUAUUUAUACGCCAAGAGCGUUGAAAAUUCAAAGACCCCGCUUGUCAGUGAAUGUUGCUAUUCUAGCAAAGGGAAGGUGUUUUUUCGGACCUUCGGCGUAAAGCCUUCGUCCAUGUCGCAAUCUAAAUUCGUUAUUUUAAAACAAAUUAAUAUUGCGAGGGGCUACUGUUGGGGACCUUCGGCAUCCGAAGGUCCUCAAAAACGGGAUUUAACAGUAUUUCUGGAAGUAUAAUGUGUGAGCAGGUACCUUCGGACUCAAGUCGGUAUCACGGCAGGAGAAGACCCGGAUAAUACGAAGGUCUUGAUACAACGCCGAAGAUGUUAGCAGGAAAGCUUCGGCAUGGUUGCAGAAAAUAAAACCGACUUAAAGAUGAAAAGGCUAUUCAGACCUCGAUAGAUUAUAUAGAAUUAUUAUCAAAUGUAAAGGGCAUGAAUGUAAUUUUGUAUGGGCUGUGUCCCGUGCCUAUAAAUAGGUGAACAGAACCCCCGUACUGUUCACGCUGACUUGGCAUUCGCUUUUUGCGUCACGCUUGUACUGUCAUCUCCUUCCGAUUGAAGGUACACUUGUAAUUCAACGAUAUUUCUAUUUAUGUCUGAUAAUAAUAUAUAAUUGUUCAUAUUGUCUUUUAUAUUCUUUACAUUUCAUUCUUCGUCAUUGCUUAAUGAAUUUAUGAAGGUACGUCCUUCAUAACCUUCGUCCGUAAACCAUUAUAUCCUAAGGGAAAUAAUGUUUCGGAGGGCGAAGGACUUUAACGAUUAACAUUUUCUAUGUUGCCUUGUUCUUAACUCAUAGCACUUGAGAACAAGUCCCCAACACUGUGCCUCAUACAUGCUCUUUGGUAGAACGUGAUCCUCCGGAAGCAGGCUACCAAUAACUGUCAACAAGCAAUCGAAUGCGUCUUGACUCAUGUUAUACUGCGACUUGAACGCUAUUACAUGCCCAAUGGCAUCCAGUUGAGAAACCUUUGUCUGGCUGUGAAGGGGCUUCUGUGCCACGUCAAACAUGUCGUAGAACGCCUUUGCAAUCGGCUCUAGCUCGUCCUCCAUACAUCCUCCGACGAACUAUGCCUCAUGAUAGUCGUUCAACAUAUCUGCUACCCCCGCAUCAGCAUCAUAAUCCUCGACGUGUUGUCUCUGAAAGGGAAAUAAGCUUACACCUUUUCCUAAAUGAUUUUGGUGGUUGAAUUGCCCAACACAAAUAAUUGGACUAACUAGUUUGCUCUAGGUUAUAAGUUCUAUAGGUGCCAAAGGUUCAACACAUACCAAUAAAAAGUCCAAGAAAGGGUUCAAAUAAAAAGAGCAAAAGACAACCGAAGGCUGCCCUGGUCUGGCGCACUGGACUGUCCGAUGUGCCACCGGACAGUGUCCGGUGCACCAGAGAGAUUCACUCCAAACUUGCCACCUUCGGGAAUUUGGGAAGCCACUCCGCUAUAAUUCACCGGACUGUCCGGUGUGCCAAGCGGAGCAACGGUCGCCAACGCAAUGGUCGAGUUCAACGGUCGGCUGACAACGCUACAGUGCGCGGACUACGCGCGUAGAAGUCAGAGAAGGCGCAGAUGGCGCACCGGACAGUGAAGAGGACCUGUCUGGUGCACCAUCGGACUGUCCGGUGGCCCACAUGUCAGAAACUCCAACGGUCGAACCCUAACGGUUGGGUGACGUGGCUGGCGCACCGGACAGUGUCCGGUGGCGCACCGGACUGUCCGGUGCGCCCAUCGACAGCAGAGUUCCCCAACGACCACUUUGGUGGUUGGGGCUAUAAAUACCCCCCAACCACCACACUUCGAUGCAUCCAAGUUUUCAGCCAUCAAACCUCAUACAAGAGCUCUAGACUUCAUUCCAAGACACAAACAAAGAGAUCAAAUCCUCUCCCAAGUCUGGAAUCACUCCAAACAAAUUAGUGACUAGAGAGAGAGAGACUUUUGUGUUCUUUUAAGCUCUUGUGCUUGGAUCGCUUUUCUUCUUCCUCCUUUCUUGUUCUCAACUCAAUUGUAAUCAAAGCAAGAGACACCAAGUUGUGGUGGUCCUUGUAGUGGACUAAGUGUCCCGUUUGAUUGAAGAGAAAAGCUCACUCGGUCUAGGUGACCGUUUGAGAGAGGGAAAGGGUUGAAAGAGACCCGAUCUUUGUGACCACCUCAACGGGGAGUAGGUUUGCAAGAACCGAACCUCGGUAAAACAAAUCACCGUGUUCAUCUGUUUUAUUUCUUUGUUGAUUUGUUUUCCCUUUCUUUCGGACUUGAUUAUAUUUCUAACGCUAACCCUUGCUUGUAGUUGUGCUUAAACUUUAUAAAUUUCAGAUUUGCCUAUUCACCCCCCUCUAGGCGACUUUCAAUUGGUAUCAGAGCCCGGUACUUCAUUAGAGCCUAACCACUCGAUGUCAUGUCGGGAGCUCACGCCAAGAAGGAGAUGGUGACCGGCGAGAAGCCCGCCACAAGCCACGGGAAGGCUCCAUCGGGAGAGUCCGGCAACAAAAGGGAGGAAUCACCUCCCCACGUCAAGUCGCACCGGAGUGGUGACCAGAAGAAGAAAAUGAAGAAAGUGUUCUACUGUGAGACCGAUUCUUCGUCGCCAUCCACCUCCACGUCCGACGCGCCGUCCGUCACUUCUAAGCGCCAUGAGCGCAAGAAGUUUAGUAAGAUCUCCUUACGCUAUCCUCGUAUUUCCAAAUGCACUCCUUUACUUUCCGUCCCACUAGGCAAACCACCGGUUUUUGACGGUGAACAUUAUUGUAUGUGGAGUGAUAAAAUGAGGCACCAUCUAACCUCACUCCACGCUAGUAUUUGGGACAUUGUUGAGUUUGGUGCGCAGGAACCAUCCGUGGGGGAUGAAGGCUAUGAUUCGGAUGAGGUAGCCCAAAUCCAGCACUUCAACUCCCAAGCCACCACUAUACUCCUCGCCUCUCUAAGUCGAGAGGAGUAUAAUAAGGUGCAAGGGUUGAAGAGCGCCAAAGAGAUUUGGGACGUACUAAAGACCACACACGAAGGAGACGAGGUGACCAAGAUCACCAAGAGCGAAACGAUCGAGGGGGAGCUCGGUCGCUUCAUGCUUCAUCAAGGGGAGGAGCCACAAGCAAUGUACAACCGGCUCUAGACCUUGGUGAACCAAGUGCGCAACCUCAGGAGCACCAAAUGGGAUGACCAUGAAAUGGUCAAGGUUAUUCUAAGAUCACUUAUAUUUCUUAAUCCUACACAAGUUCAAUUAAUUCGUGGUGAUCCUAGAUACAAGAUAAUGUCUCCCGAGGAGGUUAUAGGAAAAUUUGUGAGCUUUGAAUUGAUGAUCAAAGGCUCCAAGAAAAUCAUCGAGCAAGGCGCCUCCUCCACACCCGAAAUGCAACUCGUCGCAUUCAAGGCAACAGAGGAGAAGAAAGAAGAGUCUACUUCAAGUAGACUUCCCAUCGACGCCUCCAAGCUCGACAACGAGGAAAUGGCGCUCAUCAUCAGGAGCUUUCGCCAAAUCCUCAAGCAAAGGAGGGGGAAGGACUACAAGCCCCGCUCCAAGAAAGUUUGCUACAAGUGUGGUAAGCCCGGACAUUUCAUUGCUAAAUGUCCAUUAUCAAGUGAUAGUGACAGGGGCGAUGACAAGAAGGGGAGAAGGAAGGAGAAGAAGAAAUAUUACAAGAAGAAGGGCGGCGAUGCCCAUGUAUGCCACGAGUGGGACUCCGAUGAGAGCUCCACCGACUCCUCCUCCGACGAGAACGCCGCAAACAUCGCCAUCAACAAGGGUCUUCUCCUUCCCAACGUCGAUCACAAGUGCCUCAUGGCAAAGGACGACAAAAAGAAGAAGGUAAAAUCUAGAGCUUCCACUAAAUAUGCAACAUCUAGUGAUGAGGCUAGCUCUAGUGAUGAUGAGGAUGAUUUGAUCACCCUUUUUGCCAACUUAAACAUUCAACAAAAAGACAAAUUGAAUGAAUCGAUUAGUGUUAUUCAUGAGAAGGAUGAACUCUUGGAUAGCCAAGAGGACUUCCUUAUUAAAGAAAAUAAGAAGCAUGUUAAAGUUAAAAAUGCUUAUGCUCAGGAGAUAGAAAAAUGUGAAAAAUUAACUAGUGAUCUAAGCACUUGCCAUGACACUAUUUUCAACCUUAGAUUUGAAAAUGACAAAUUGAUUGCUAAGGUUGAGAAAUUAAAUGUUAGUGAUGAUUCUCUUGUCAACCUUAGAAAUGAUAAUGCUAAUUUGAUUGCUAAGGUUGACAAAUUGAAUGCAUCUCUCUCUAGCCUUAAAAUUGAGAAUGAAAAAUUAAUUGCUAAGGCUAAAGAUUUAAAUGUUUGCAAUGUUUCUAUUUCCAAUCUUAGAGAUGAGAACACUAUUUUACAUGCUAAGAUUGUUGAAUUAAAUACUUGCAAACCCUCAACAUCUACCGUUGAACAUGUUACUAUUUGCACUAGAUGUAGAGAUGUUAAUAUUGAUGCUAUUCAUGAUCACAUUGCUAUGAUUAAACAACAAAAUGAUCAUAUAGCAAAAUUAGAUGCUAAAAUUGCCGAGCAUGAAUUAGAGAAUGAAAAAUUUAAAUUUGCUCGUAAUAUGCUUUAUGGUGGGAGACGCCCUGGCAUUAAGGAUGGCAUUGGCUUCCAACAGGGAGGCGAUGUCAAACUCAAUGCCCCUAAGAAAUUGUCCAACUUUGUUAAGGGCAAGGCUCCCAUGGUUUAGGAUAACGAGGGUUACAUUUUAUACCCUGACGGUUAUCCCGAACAUAAAAUUAGGAGAAUUCACUCUAGGAAGUCUCACUCUGGCUCUCAUCAUGCUUUUAUGAAUAAGAGUGAGGCAUCUAGUUCUAGGAAAUCCACCCAUGCUAAAUUGCCUAAGAAGAAAACUCCUAUAGCAUCAAACGAACCUAAUUUUUCAUUUAAGACUUUUGAUGCUUCUUAUGUGCUCACUAACAAAUCAGGCAAAAUAGUUGCCAAAUAUGUUGGGGCUAAACACAAGGGAUCAAAGACUUGUGUUUGGGUACCCAAGGUGCUUGUUUCUAAUGUGAAAGGACCCAAGACCAUUUGGGUACCUAAGAACAAGGCCUAAACUUGUUUUGUAGGUUUAUGCAUGCGGGGGCUCAAGUUUGAUCAUCGAUAGCGGGUGCACAAACCACAUGACUGGGGAGAAAAUAAUGUUCUCCUCCUAUGAGAAAAAUCAUGAUCCCCAAAGAGCUAUCACAUUCGGGGAUGGAAAUCAAGGUUUGGUCAAAGGACUUGGUAAAAUUGCUAUAUCCCCUGACCAUUCUAUUUCCAAUGUUUUUCUUGUAGAUUCUUUAGAUUACAACUUGCUUUCUGUUUCUCAAUUAUGCAAAAUGGGUUACAACUGUCUUUUUACGGAUAUAGGUGUUACUGUCUUUAGAAGAAGUGAUGAUUCUGUAGCAUUUAAGGGAGUGUUAGAGGGUUAGCUAUACUUAGUUGAUUUUAAUAGAGCUGAACUCGACACUUGCUUAAUUGCUAAGACUAACAUGGGUUGGCUCUGGCAUCGCCGACUUGCCCACGUUUAAAUGAAGAAUCUCCACAAACUUCUAAAGGGAGAACACAUUUUGGGACUAACAAAUGUUCAUUUUGAGAAAGACAGGGUUUGUAGCGCAUGUCAAGCAGGGGAAGCAAGUUGGUGUUCAUCAUCCACACAAGAACAUAAUGACGACCGACAGACCGCUUGAGCUACUCCACAUGGACCUAUUCGGCCCGAUAGCUUAUAUAAGCAUCAACGGGAGUAAGUAUUGUCUUGUAAUUGUGGAUGAUUAUUCUCGCUUCACUUGGGUGUUAUUUUUGCAGGAAAAAUCUCAAACCCAAGAGACCUUAAAGGGAUUCUUGAGAUGGGCUCAAAAUGAGUUCGGCUUAAGGAUCAAAAAGAUAAGAAGCGACAACGGGACGGAGUUCAAGAACUCUCAAAUAGAAGGCUUCCUUGAGGAUGAGGGCAUCAAGCAUGAGUUCUCUUCUCCCUACACACCACAACAAAAUGGUGUAGUGGAGAGGAAGAAUAGAACUCUACUUGACAUGGCGAGGACCAUGCUUGAUGAGUACAAGACUUCGGACCGGUUUUGGGCGGAAGCAGUCAACACCGCUUGCUACGCCAUCAACCGUCUCUACCUUUGCCGAAUACUCAAGAAGACAUCGUAUGAACUACUCACCGGUAAAAAGCCCAAUGUUUCAUAUUUUAGAGUCUUUGGUAGCAAAUGCUUUAUUCUUGUUAAAAGAGGUAGAAAAUCUAAAUUUGCUCCUAAGGCUGUAGAAGGCUUUUUACUUGGUUAUGAUUCAAACACAAGGGCAUAUAGAGUCUUUAACAAGUCCUCUGGACUAGUUGAGGUUACUUGUGACAUUGUGUUUGAUGAGACUAACGGCUCUCAAGUAGAGCAAGUUGAUCUUGAUGAGCUAGAUGAUGAAGAGGCUCCAUGCGUCGCGCUAAGGAACAUGUCCAUUGGGGAUGUGUGUCCUAAGGAAUCCGAAGAGCCUCCACAAGCACAAGAUCAACCAUCUUCCUCCAUGCAAGCAUCUCCACCAACUCAAGAUGAGGAUCAAGCUCAAGAGGAUGAAAAUGAAGAUCAAGAAGAUGAGCCACCUCAAGAGGAGGGCAAUGAUCAAGGGGGAGAUGCCAAUGAUCAAGACAAGGAAGAUGACGACAGUCCAAGACCACCACACCCAAGAGUCCACCAAGCAAUACAAAGAGAUCACCCCGUGAACUCCAUCCUCGGCGAUAUUCAUAAGGGGGUAACCACUCGAUCUCGUGUUGCUCAUUUUUGUGAACAUUACACCUUUGUAUCUUCUAUUGAGCCAUAUAGGGUGGAAGACACAUUAAGGGAUUCAGAUUGGGUGUUGGCGAUGCAAGAGGAACUCAACAACUUCACGAGGAAUGAGGUAUGACAUUUAGUUCCACGCCCUAAUCAAAAUGUUGUAGGAACCAAGUGGGUCUUCCGCAACAAGCAAGAUGAGCAUGGUGUGGUGACAAGGAACAAAGCCCGACUUGUGGCCAAGGGAUAAUCACAAGUCGAAGGUUUGGAUUUCGGUGAAACCUAUGCACCCGUAGCUAGGCUUGAGUCAAUUUGUAUAUUACUUGCCUAUGCUACUUACCAUGGCUUCAAGCUUUAUCAAAUGGACGUGAAAAGUGCCUUCCUCAAUGGACCAAUCAAGGAAGAAGUCUAUGUUGAGCAACCUCCCGACUUUGAAGAUAGUGAGUACCCUAACCAUGUGUAUAAACUCUCUAAGGCGCUUUAUGGGCUCAAGCAAGCCCCAAGAUCAUGGUAUGAAUGCCUAAGAGAUUUUCUUAUCGCUAAUGGCUUCAAAGUCGGAAAAGCCGAUCCUACUCUCUUUACUAAAACAAUUGCAAAUGAUUUGUUUGUAUGCCAAAUUUAUGUUGAUGAUAUUAUAUUUGGGUCUACUAACAAAUCUACAUUUGAAGAGUUUAGUAGAUAAUGGUACAAAAAUUCGAGAUGUCUAUGAUGGGGGAGUUGAAGUAUUUCUUAGGAUUUCAAGUGAAGCAACUCCAAGAGGGCAUCUUCAUCAGUCAAACGAAGUACAUUCAAGACAUACUCACCAAGUUUGGGAUGAAGGAUGCCAAGCCUAUCAAGACACCCAUGGGAACCAAUGGGCAUCUUGACCUCGACACGAGAGGUAAAUCCAUAGAUCAAAAGGUAUACCGGUCGAUGAUAGGAUCUUUACUCUAUUUAUGUGCAUCUCGACCGGAUAUUAUGCUUUUCAUAUGCAUGUGUGCAAGAUUCCAAGCCGAUCCUAAGGAAGUUCACCUUAGGGUCGUGAAAUGAAUCUUGAGAUAUUUAGUUCAUACUCCUAAGUUUGGCCUUUGGUACCCCAGGGGAUCCACAUUUGAUUUAAUAGGAUAUUUAGAUGCUGAUUGGGCAGGGUGUAAAAUUGAUAGAAAGAGCACAUCAGGGACUUGUUAGUUCUUGGGAAGAUCCCUGGUGUCAUAGGCUUCAAAGAAGCAAAAUUUUGUAUCUCUUUCUACCACCGAAGCCGAGUACAUUACCGCAGGCCAUUGUUGCGCGCAAUUGCUUUGGAUGAGGCAAACCCUUAGGGACUAUGGUUACAAAUUAACCAAAGUUCCGCUCCUAUGUGAUAAUGAGAGUGCAAUCCACAUGGUGGAUAAUCCCGUUGAGCACAACCGCACUAAGCACAUAGCCAUUCGGUAUCACUUUUUGAGGGAUCACCAACAAAAGGGGGAUAUCGAGAUUGUUUAUAUUAACACCAAAGAACAAUUAGCCGAUAUCUUUACCAAUGUUGGGGACUUGUUCUCAAAUGCUAUGAGUUAAGAACAAGGCAACACAAGAAAUGUUAAACGUUAAUGCCCUUCGUCCUUCGAGACAUUAUUUCCCUUAGGAUAUAAUGAUCUUCAGACGAAGGUCAUGAAGGACAUACCUUCAUCAUUGCAAUAUACGAUAAUAAAAGGAGAAUCAUAUAGAAUGUAAGAGACAACAUGAAUAAGUAUGUAAUAUUAUCAGCACAUUUCUAUUUUAUUAUCAUGGACAAAUAGAAAUGAUAUCAAAUUACAAAUGUACCUUCAGCUUGAUGGAAGGUAAAAGUACAAGUGUGACGCACGAUCAAAUACAAGUCAGCGUGAACAGUACGGGAGCACUGUUCAUCUAUUUAUAGGCACGGGACACAGCCCAUGUAAAAUUACACCCAUGCCUUUUACAUUUGCUAAUGACUCUAUAGUGAUCCAUCGAGGUCUAAAUGACCUUUUCCCUUUUAAGUCGGUUCCCUUUUCCGCUGUUAUGCCAAAGCUCCCUUGCGCGUAGCUUCGGCGCUACGUCAACCUUCGUAUUCUUUGUGCUUCUCACACUGUGGUUCUGAUCCGAGUCCGAAGGUACCUGUUCAUGUAUCAUACUCCAGAAAUAAUGUUAAAUCAUGUUUUUGAAGACCUUCGGAAGACGAAGGCCCCCAACAGUAGCCCCUCGCAAUAUUAAUUUGUUAGAAUAACGAAUUCAAAUUGCGAUAUGGACGAAGGCCUUAAGCCAAAAUUCUGAAAAAACACCUUCCCUUUGCUAGAAUAGCAACAGUCGAUGACAGACGGGGCCCUCCAAUUUGGAACGCACUGGGCGUAUAAAUAGGAACUCACCCCGAGCACAUUUGGUACGCUAUCUGCCGCCUGCUUUGCUUGCUCAAUUUUUUAGCUCUUGCCUACCAACGCUUGCUUGGUUUUUUAGACUUUCUAAGCUUCGGCUUUAAGGACACAUUUUCGCCAUUUCCGAAGAGAAGAUGUCUCAAGACAAAAAAGUUGUUGCUGAGACGAAGCUGAGCGAAGAGGAGAAGCUCCAUGAGGAGAAGACUGCUGGAUUUGUUGAAUCAAUAGCAAAGAAAAAUACAGAAAAGAUUACUAAGGAGAUUCUAGAAGGCUUAUCUGAAGAUACUGAUGACAGCGACAGUUAUGAUGCGGAAAGCGGAGGCGAAGACUCCGAAGAUCGGCCCUGGCGACCAAGCAUGCAGUCUUCGGGAAAUCAACCAUCAAACAGAGUCAUCUUGAUAAUAUGAGAGGAAGGUAUUUUCGAUAUUAUUUUUUUGUUCUUAUAUUAACCCAUUCAUUCUUUUCAUAUAGGGUUUAAUACUUAGCAACGCCUUAAGGGCGCAAAAGAAUGUCGAAGACGAGAGUUGCACUAUUGCUCUCAACAACCUUCAAACAGAGGUUAUCAAGCUGAGGAACGAAGCUUUGGAAAAAGAAAAAAUUCUACUUACAUUGGUGGACAAAGUAAAGGGGGAUGAAGCUAACUUCAAGGCUCAAUCUGAAAUCCAAAGGAAUGAGAUUGAAAACCUUCAAAAACAACUGGCCGAAGCCAAAUUGAAAUGCGCUAUUGCCGAAGCUGACCGAGUUGCCAGUGAGUACUAGAAAAAUUAUCUUGAAAAACAGUUGCAGAGCUUCGCUCAUCAAAAGAAAGAUGUUUUGAAAAAUCUGUGGAAUGCGUGAAAAAGAUAAAAACUAGCUUUGCCAACGUUGGCGCAUAUUCAAGCGAAGAUAACUUCAUACGGGGCGACCCCGAAGGCGUAAUCGAGUGGAUCAGCGGUGAGGCCGAAGCCUUUGAAGAGAUUUUGAGUGACCGCGGGGACGUCUGUGCCUUCUCUGGUGCGAGAGGAAUUGCAGCUAUUUUGGAGAAAGCAGGGUGCGAACAUGUUAAAACUUUGGCCCAGGCCGAAGCUGCCUUCUCCACCGAUGAUAUAAAGGACCCCUCGGCCGAAGCAAACUCAAUAGGUGGAAAAAAUUUCACUGAUAUCUGGGAAAACGGUGGCCGAGGGAUGGCCCAUGAAAUUAUAAAGAAAAACGAAAAAGAUAUUCACGACACUCGAGAGUCAAUAAAAGAAGCUGAAAAGGCUGCGGAGCUUGAGAGACGAAUAUGUAUUACUUAAUGGUUUUUAACUUUGUUGUUUAUUUUUGUGACUUUGAACUGAUUUAUGUUUUCUACCUUAGCUGAACUAUCUCCUCCCCCAGCGCCCUUAGAGUCAUUGGCCGACCCAGAGGCAAAGGAAUCAACAGAACUUAUUAACAUGGCCGAAACUAUUGUAGACGAAGUCGUUACCCAACUGCUGACCGAAUUUGCACAUAAAGUUUUGAAGGAAGAAGAGUAGCUAUUGUAAAAACAUUGCUAGAAUAUUAAUGUAACAUUUGCCGGACUAUGCUUGUAAUAUUUGGUGCUCCUAGGUUUUGAAUGUAAUAUAUGAAUGGUUUUGUAAUUCAUUUCUUUGCGAUGCAUGAAACUUUUAUGUACAUACCGUUUUUGAGCCUUCGGCGAAAAAACACCUUCCCUUCUUUUCAUGUUCGUAAAGAAGAGCUUUUAUGCUUCGUAAAAAAUCCUCCAAUCGUCGCAAAAACAUUAAUGCUUCGUCAACAACAGAUUUUUCCUCCACAUCAGAGCUGAUGAAGCUGUAUUUCUUCAAAACUUAUUUUGUGCCUUAGCACAAUUUCACUUUUUUCGAAGCAUUCUUCGAAGGUCAACAUUGUAUCCCCUUCUUGUGCCAUUGAUGCAAUAUGAUGUAUGAUGUUAUGUUAUGUGAAAUGAUGUGAUGAUGUUAUGUUAUGCAAAAUGAUGUUUAUGCCGAAGACACACACUCACACCCCCAUAGUGGAAUACACAAUCUCUUUGCCGCUUAUUUUUCGGCUUCACCGCUUAUUUUUCGGUGUAUCAGCGCUGACUUUUCACUGUAAGUUCUGCAUUCCCUUAGGAACGUCUUUUGAACUUCUUCACCUUCUAUUUCGGCGGUAUUCGCGUUGACUUUUCGCGCUUCGCCUUAUAUUUCGGCGGUAUUUGGCUCUGCAUUCCCUUUGGAAUGACUUUUGAGCAGAAAACUUACACUGCGCUCCCUUAGGAACGACUUUUUGUAGCUUCGGCAAACUUACGCUGCGUUCCUUAGAACGACUUUUUUGUGGCUUCGGUGAUACUUGUAAUGUGAUUUUUAGCCCCGCGUUCCCUUAGGAACGACUUUUGUGCUUCAGUGACUUUUUGAACUUCGUGAGUCUGUGGAGAAGAUAUAUUUCACUAUGGCAAGAACGAAGUUAUUACAAGAAAUCAAGAGAGCUAGGUUUUCAAUAAUUGUUCCUUAUUAAAAAGGAAGUGAUAAUGAAUGUAAAAACUGCUUCAGGGGUAGGAUAUCUCUCAAUAGAUAUGCUUCGAUUCUAGCACAGUACUGUUGGCUGUGCGAGCUUCGGACUCCUCCCUGAAAUCUCGUUGCUGAUGGGUCUGUUGGCUCCCUUCUGGCUGCUGGCCUCGUGAAUAUGCAGGUUGUAGUGGUGGCAGAGGUGGAGGCUGUGGCCAAGAUGCAUGUGGCUGGCUAGCCGAAGCAACAGAAGCUGCAGGAUGGUUACCCACAUACUCUGGUAUGUAGGGUGAGUGAUACGAAGCAGUGUGCAUGACCUGCUUCGGCUGGUUCUGCUGAGCUGCGGCUUCUGCUAAUUCCUUUUGUUUCUGAAUGGUGACAUGGCACAUCCUUGUAGUAUGGCCCUUGUCCUCACCACAGAAUAAGCAAUUUUCCUAGGUUGAUCCCCAAACCUUCCUCCGAAGCCCCUGGCACCUCUGCCUCUUGGAGUUGGCGGCCGAAAAUAGGUUUGUUGCUGCCCCGAAACUUGCGAGGAAUAUUGUGGCUUCUGUUGCUGACUUCCUCUGUCGUCAUUCUGGGUGGAGUGGAUUGAUCUGACAUGCCUUGGGUGGAUUCUUCCUCCGAAGCCCCUGGUCAUCUCAGAGAACCUGUAGGCUUCCUCCCUUCUUUGGCGAAAGUCAUUGUCAGCCCGGAUGUAUUCAUCCAUCUUUUGAAGCAGCUUCUCCAAAGUCUGUGGAGGCUUUCUAGCAAAAUACUGGGCAGUAGGUCCUGGAUGAAGCCCCUUGAUCAUGGCCUCAAUGACAAUUUCAUUGGGCACAGUAGGCACUUGUGCUCUCAGACGCAAGAACCUUCAGACGUAUGCCUGGAGAUACUCCUCAUGAUCUUGCGUGCAUUGAAACAGAGCCUGAGCUGUGACUGGCUUCGUCUGAAAGCCCUGGAAACUUGUCACCAGCAUGUCCUUGAGCUUCUGCCAUGAAGUGAUGGUCCCUGGCCGAAGAGAAGAAUACCACGUUUGAGCCACAUUCUUAACUGCCAUGACGAAGGACUUGGCCAUGACAGCUGCAUUGCCUCCGUAUGAAGAUAUAGUUGCUUCAUAACUCAUCAAAAACUGCUUCGGGUCUGAAUGCCCAUCAUACAUUGGAAGCUGAGGUGGCUUGUAUGAUGGGGGCCACGGGAUAGCCUGCAGUUCUGCUGCCAAGGGAGAAGCAUCAUCAAAAGUAAAGGUAUCAUGAUUAAAAUCAUCAUACCAUCCAUCGUCGUUGAACAAGCCCUCUUGAUGAAGCUCCCUGUGUUGGGGCCUUCGAUCUUGCUCGUCUUGAGCAAGGUGGCGUACUUCUUCAGUGGCUUCGUCAAUCUGCCUUUGAAGGUCAGCUUGUCGGGCCAUCUUCUCCUUCUUCUUUUGCACUUGCUGAUGAAGCAUCUCCAUGUUUCUGAUUUCUUGGUCCAACUCGUCCACCUGGGGUGUUGGACUAGUGGCCUUCCUCUUCUGGCUUCGGGCCUCUCGAAGAGAAAGGGUCUCCUGAUUUGGGUCCAGUGGCUGCAGAGCGGCAGCCCCUAGCGCUGAAACUUUCUUCGGUGGCAUGACGAAGGUCAAUGCUUGCCGAAGGUGGUCGAAAAGAGUUCACCCCACGGUGGGCGCCAAUGUUGGGGACUUGUUCUCAAAUGCUAUGAGUUAGGAACAAGGCAACAUAAGAAAUGUUAAACGUUAAUGCCCUUCGUCCUUCGAGACAUUAUUUCCCUUAGGAUAUAAUGAUCUUCAGACGAAGGUCAUGAAGGACAUACCUUCAUCAUUGCAAUAUACGAUAAUAAAAGGAGAAUCAUAUAGAAUGUAAGAGACAACAUGAAUAAGUAUGUAAUAUUAUCAGCACAUUUCUAUUUUAUUAUCAUGGACAAAUAGAAAUGAUAUCAAAUUACAAAUGUACCUUCAGCUUGAUGGAAGGUAAAAGUACAAGUGUGACACACGAUCAAAUACAAGUCAGCGUGAACAGUACGGGAGCACUGUUCAUCUAUUUAUAGGCACGGGACACAGCCCAUGUAAAAUUACACCCAUGCCCUUUACAUUUGCUAAUGACUCUAUAGUGAUCCAUCGAGGUCUAAAUGGCCUUUUCCCUUUUAAGUCAGUUCCCUUUUCCGCUGUUAUGCCGAAGCUCCCUUGUGCGUAGCUUCAGCGCUACGUCAACCUUCGUAUUCUUUGUGCUUCUCACACUGUGGUUCUGAUCCGAGUCCGAAGGUACCUGUUCAUGUAUCAUACUCCAGAAACAUUGUUAAAUCAUGUUUUUGAGGACCUUCGGAAGACGAAGGCCCCCGACAACCAAGCCACUAGAUGAGAAAACUUUUACCAAUCUUAGGCAUGAGCUAAACAUUCUAGAUUCUAGGAAUUUUGAUUGAUAUUUUGCACACAUAGCUUAUUUCAAUACCUUUGAUCAUAUCUCUUUCAUGUGCUAUGACUAAUGUGGUUUUCAAGUAUAUUUCAUGCUAAGUCAUAGAUUGAAAGGAAAAUGGAGUCUUCGGCGAAGAAAAGGCUUCCACUCCAUCGAAUUAUUCAUCCUUCGCCGACACUCCACAUCGCUCUCCAAUUUGGUAUAAUCUUCACUCCUACAUUAUUUACCAAAGGGGGAGAAAGUUUGAAAAAGGGCUUAUAUUUUCACUCACAAGUAUCCGUUUUUGGCGAUUCAUGCCAAAGGGGGAGAAAGUAUUAGCCCAAAGCAAAAGGACCGCACCACCACCAAUUUCAAAAAUGAAGUCUUUUAAAUUUGUACUAAAAGAAGGUUUUUCAAUUGGUAUCUUAUUUUUGAUAGAAUUUUCAAAUUGGUAUAACCCAUUUCAAAAUUAAUAUCUAAAACUCUCUUGAACAAUAAGAGGAGAAUUUCAUUAAGGGGGAGUUUUGUUUAGUCAAAGGAAAAGCAUUUGAAACAGGGGGAGAAAAUUUCAAAUCUUAAAAAUGCUUCUCAAAAUCUUACUCAUUUACCUUUGACUACUUGCAAAAAGACUUUGAAAAGAAUUUCCAAAAGAGUUUGCAAAAACAAAACAAGUGCUGCAAGCGUGGUCCAAAAUGUUAAAAUAGAAGAAAGCAUCCAUGCAUAUCUUAUAAAAUGUAUAUUGGUUUAAUUCCAAGUAACCUUUGCACUUUCAUUAUGCAAACUAGUUCAAUUCUGCAAUUAUAUAUUUGCUUUGGUUUGUGUUGGCAUCAAUCAUCAAAAAGGGGGAGAUUGAAAGGGAAAUAGGCUUACACCUUUUCCUAAAUGGUUUUGGUGGUUGAAUUGCCCAACGCAAAUAAUUGGACUAACUAGUUUGCUCUAGAUUAUAAGUUCUACAUGUGCCAGAGGUUCAACACAAACCAAUAAAAAGUCCAAGAAAGGGUUCAAAUAAAAAGAGCAAAAGACAACCGAAUGCUGCCCUGGUCUGGCGCACCGGACAGUGUCCGGUGCACCAGGGAGAUUCACUCCAAACUUGCCACCUUUGGGAAUUUGGGAAGCCACUCCGCUAUAAUUCACCGGACUGUCCGGUGUAGCACCGGACUGUCCAGUGUGCCAAGCGGAGCAACGGUCGUUAGCGCAACGGUCGAGUUGAACGGUCGGCUCACAACGCUACAGUGCGCGUACUGCGCGCGCAGAAGUUAGAGCAGGUGCAGAUGGCGCAUCGGACAGUGAACAGGACCUGUCCGGUGCACCACCGGACUAUCCGGUGGCCCACAUGUCAGAAGCUCCAACGGUCGAACCCUAACGGUUGGGUGACGUGGCUGGCGCACCGGACAGUGGCCGGUGGCGCACCGGACUGUCCGGUGCGCCCAUCGACAGUAGAGUUCCCCAACGGCCACUUUGGUGGUUGGGGCUAUAAAUACCCCCCAACCACCACACUUCAAUGCAUCCAAGUUUUCAGCCAUCAAACCUCAUACAAGAGCUCUAUACUUCAUUCCAAGACACAAACAAAGAGAUCAAAUCCUCUCCCAAGUCCGGAAUCACUUCAAACAAAUUAGUGACUAGAGAGAGAGACUUUUGUGUUCUUUUGAGCUCUUGCGCUUGGAUCGCUUUUCUUCUUCCUCCUUUCUUGUUCUCAACUCAAUUGUAAUCAAAGCAAGAGACACCAAGUUGUGGUGGUCCUUGUAGUGGACUAAGUGUCCUGUUUGAUUGAAGAGAAAAGCUCACUCAGUCUAGGUGACCGUUUGAGAGAGGGAAAGGGUUGAAAGAGACCCGGUCUUUGUGACCACCUCAACGGGGAGUAGGUUUGCAAGAACCGAACCUCGGUAAAACAAAUCAUCGUGUUCAUUCGUUUUAUUUCUUUGUUGAUUUGUUUUCCCUCUCUUUCGGACUCGAUUAUAUUUUUAACGCUAACCCCGACUUGUUGUUGUGCUUAAACUUUAUAAAUUUCAGAUUUGCCUAUUCACCCCCCCUUUAGGUGACUUUUAGUCUCAACACCUCCUCUCUCGUACGAUGCGCUUUACCAUGGAAGAUCCACCGAGUAUAGUCUGGCGUAAAUCUGAUCUUCCAAAUAUGUUCUACCAUGGCCUUCUUUGAUUUUCUUUUCCGGUUGGCACAUUUGCUGCACGGGCAUGGGACUAGACUCGCUCCUUUAGCAGCUUUGCCAUAUGCCCGUUCCACAAAAGCAUCGGUCUUUCUAAUCCAUUCAGGGGUGACAUCAUUCCUACUUACACGGCAUGUGUACAUCCACUCACGGUCUUCCAUCCUCUAACAUAUGUAACCGAGUAUAGUUUAAUAUAAACAUGUAAUGCAUGUACGCUAUGUUCCUACCUUAUAAUAGGUGAGUAUAGUUCUUAAUCUCACUCGCGGUUGCGUAGACGAAGUUAGUUUCCAUGCUCUACUUCGAUCCAAGACAGAGUUCCGGCAGCACCUCCCCGUUGUUCUCCGGAUACACGCCCUAGCAGGUAGAAUGUACUGUCCGGAGAUCAACAUGGAGGUGAAACCGAAACUCUGUCUCGGACCGGAGUAGAGCAUGGAAACUAAUACCAGGGCGACGGUGGAGUAGGGAUAGCGGGGCUGUGGCGGGUCGGUGCAGUGGCGACGUGUCGCAGUGCAGGUUCUAGUGUGGCGGCAAGGAAUACCUCUGCAAAAAAAAAUUAACACAAGUUUAUCAACAAAAAAAUCGGCAGGACUUCCCCUGCACGAGGAGGUUGCAAAAAACCAGCAAAUAAAACUAACAGCACGAUGGCUGACAUCCACACAUAUACUAGCAAAAAAUAGACUUGCGUGUGUUAUUUACAAUUGUGUUAGUUACACACAAUCUAUUGAUGCCAUAUUUGUUGUGUACUAGCGAUUGGCAAGAAGAAUCAACUUUUAGGCACUAAAACAUCUAGUGGGUUCAAAUUAAAGAACUUCUUCUAUUAAUUACAGAACCACCCCAUCGGCCGACCAGGAUCCAAAUUAAAGAACUUCUUCUUCUAUUAAUUAUAGUAUAUUAUAAUUACCAAGUCUCUUCUUAUAUUUACAUGUUCAUUUGCUUGCUUCUUGCAUAACAUAACGGCGAUCGAUGAUGACCAUCGUUAGUUUUAGUCCUACGUGUAUUUGAUUCAAUCCCUCCAUGUUCAUAGUAUAAAUUCAACCAAACCUAAAUAAGUUUCAGUCAGCUUGAUCUUAAAAUUGCAUCAUACACACACAUACAUAGUCUUACUAGAAGUAAGCAAUUUCUUUUAAACUAAUUUCCAGCCAACAUUGAUGAAUGAACUAGAAUGUGGCUAUAACCGAGACCUGUGUGGGUGGUGCUGGAGAUGGGGACGUUGGGCCGAGGCUCACCGGCGUCGAGGCCUGUCCGAAGAUGGCCGACCGCCAGGCCGGGGACGGGGCUCGUUGGAGAUGGCCGGGUCGAGCGACGGUGGGGACGUCGGAGGCAGGGAGGAUGGCCGGCACGGUGUCCGGAGCCGGAGGGGAUGACCGGAGAGGAGGAUGGUCGGCGCUUGCUCCGAUGGCGUUGGCGGCGAGUGGCGUUGGCGGAGGGGACGACUGGUUAGGGCUAUGUACACAGACUUUGCCGAGUGCCAUAUCACGGGCACUCGGCAAAGAUUUUUUUUAAAUUUAAAAAUAAACUUUGCCGAGUGUCACAGAUCACUGACAGGCACUUGGCAAAGAUUGUUUUAAUUUUUUUAAAAAAACUUUACAGAGUGUCCCACGGCAGGCACUCGACAAAGAAUGCUUUACUGACUGCCUUAUUUUGACACUCGACAAAGAAUUCUUUGCCAAGUGCCCGAUAAAAAGCACUUGGCAAAGCACCGAGCACUCGGCAAAGAGCCGGAUUCCGGUGUGGUUGUUUCAUGGAAGUUGUAAGUAGACCAUCUUAACAAGGUCAACAAUAGAAGUACAACUCACAACAUUAGAUACUGCCAAAGUUAAUGUUGAGAGGCUUCGUGAACUCCUUAUGGAUUUACUAGUAGUUGAAAAACCAAUACUGGUUAUCUAUAUGAGCUAUAAUAAUUAAACAUUGGUAAUCAAAGUGAACAAUUCUUAGGUUAACAUGAAGACUACAAAGCAUGUCAAGAACGGUUGAAACUGUUAAAACACUAAGAAACUCUAGAUUAAUUGUGUUGGACUAUGUCCAUACUUCUAAGAAUUUGGUAUGCCAGUUUAUAGAAGAUUUGUCACAUAAUGUGAUAGAUGGUGCAUCGAGAAAGAUGGACUUGAGACCCACUUAAUGCCAUUCCAUAGUAGUAGCAUUUUCUAUGUGAUUGGAGAUCUCAUGAAGUAAAAUGGUGAAAUAAGCUAGAGAAUGACUGAUGGAGAGACUCCUUAAAUAAAAUCUAGGUAAUUUCAUAUGAACAUUUCUCCUUCGAUGUACGAUAGGCUAACUAAAAUCUUAAUAUGAUUUGAGUGACAUAUCUAAGCAGGGAUGUUAUCUUAUAGAACAUCCUAUAAGGAACACACCUAUAUGACUUUGACUACUAAUCACAGUCUAUGAUAUGUGGGAAAUAUUUUUUUACUCAUGAAAGGCCUCGAAGUUUGACUUAUAUGCUUCAAACCAAUGGAUAACUGAUUGAAUCUGUUUCAGACAGCAGCAUAGUUAACUUCAAAAUUCUAUAUCUCCCAAACUUCUCAACCAAAAAUUAUUAAAUUAUGCUGACAGUAAGAACUUUUAUCCCUCUACAAAAGUCUCCAUAGUUGGAAGAGCCAAUUCGGCCAUUUACUAGAUGAAACCUACCAGUUAACAGACCCGCUCAUUUUUGUCAGGCAAACAAGAACCCUUAUAUAUCAAAGAGUAGUGGAUUUGAAUUUGUCUAAUAUGAAGUUUAUGGGCUUGGAUCAUUUAAAGUAUUUUAUAAUUCUGAAAGACAAGAUUAAACUAACUAUGUAUGAUCCUUUAGCACCGUACAGAUGGUCGAUGGGACAGUUACAUGGUUUAUAUAGAUGGACCUAUCUAUAUUCCUUCAGUGGUUGAGAACAAGGUAAAGGUGUGUCACACUCACGCGUGCGCCGCCUCCGCCGAGACGAGGCAUGGCGUUGCAGGGUGAGGCAUGGCAUGGUGCAGCACGAUCGCAGUCAUGGUCGUGGCACAGUGUAGCACUGUUGUGGAUAGAUAGAUAAACUAUUGUUGUAGUUAGAGUGCAUGAGUUUUUGAAUGCAACACUAGAAUUUUCACAAUUUAACUUAAUUAAGAAGUUAUAUCUUGAUGACACAGAGUUACCUGACCAUUGAUCUCACAUGCCCUUUUAGCUCUCUCGUACUCUAGACUUACCCUGACUAUUUAGGUCUCCUGACUCGCCAAUAUAAACACCAUCCUAUCAUUUGCUGUCGAAUACUUCUGUGUCACAACUCAACUGUCAGAUGAGUACUCCAUUACAGCACUGAGCAGGCCUCCGAAAUGAAUAUCUACUCAGAUGAAGGACGACAAUCGUGUUCUAGGGAAAUAUCAGCGACACAACUCCUUACUUCCUCCGCUUCUUCCUAGUGUUUUUUGUUGUGAUUGAGUCGACAUAGCAACAACACUGCACUAUUACAACCAGUACGACUAUAUCAACUAGCAAUGUCUUCCUUAUAUGUUACUAUUUAUUUUGCUCAUAUUCAUUAUGUUUAAAUCACAUAGGCGCCUUUAUGUUGGCAUCAAAAAAUCAGUAUCAACUUUAUAGAUUAAAAUGAAACUAAAAGUACCUAAAUUUCUAUCGGUGGGGAUCGAGUGAUUCUUUAAACCGAUUAUUACACAAGUUAACCACACUAAAAUUAACAAUGGUGAAUCGUGCCAUGAUUUUUUUCUAGUGGAAAAUAGCCAAACCAAGCAACACAUAUGUGGCUAUCGUUACACAUGUGUAAAGGUAUUGCAUCACACCAUUGUCACCCAUGUAUGUGGACAAUACCGAGAGGAAAAACCACUUAUUUAUUGUAUUUUAUCAAGUUUGUCUUGCUUACGUAUAAAUUAUAACCCAACAAAGUAAUCACUAAAUGUCAAAACCAACUAGAUACCAUGUCAUCUCUACCUUAUCUUACUAAUAUUCUUUUUGCAAAAUCCAAAAUUAAUCUUGCACAAGCACAAGGACUGAGAUGUGUAUAAAUAUCUCUUAAAUUAGUAGCUAAUAUAUCGCACAUAUUAUUGAGACCAACUAGCAACAUAGAAAGCACAAUAGUGUACCAACAAUGGCAGCCAAAAUAUUUUGCCUCCUUAUGCUCCUUGGUCUUUCUGCAAGUGCUGCUACGGCGACCAUUUUCCCGCAAUGCUCGCAAGCUCCUAUAGCUUCCCUUCUUCCCCCGUACCUCUCACCAGCGGUGUCUUCGGUAUGUGAAAACCCAAUUCUUCAACCCUACAGGAUCCAACAGGCAAUCGCAGCUGGCAUCUUACCUUUAUCACCCUUGUUCCUCCAACAAUCAUCAGCCCUAUUACAACAGUUACCUUUGGUGCAUUUAUUGGCACAAAACAUCAGGGCACAACAACUACAACAACUUGUGCUAGCAAACCUUGCUGCCUACUCUCAGCAACAGCAGUUUCUUCCAUUCAACCAACUAGGUUCAUUGAACUCUGCUUCUUAUUUGCAACAACAACAACUACCAUUCAGCCAGCUACCUGCUGCCUACCCCCAGCAAUUUCUUCCAUUCAACCAACUAGCAGCAUUGAACUCUCCUGCUUAUUUACAGCAGCAACAACUACUACCAUUCAGCCAGCUAGCUGGUGUGAGCCCUGCUACCUUCUUGACACAACCACAGUUGUUGCCGUUCUACCAGCACGUUGCGCCUAACGCUGGCACCCUCUUACAACUGCAACAAUUGCUGCCAUUCAACCAACUUGCUUUGACAAACCCAGCAGUGUUCUACCAACAACCCAUCAUUGGUGGUGCCCUCUUUUAGAUUUCUUAUGAGUUAUAGUUCAAUAAUAAAGUUUUUUAUCUGAUGUUUGUGGCUUCCCAGAAAUAAGAAAGUACAUUUCUAGAUUCUUAUGUGCUUCUAGUCUUCAAAUGUGGUUGAUAGUUAUUGUUGGGGACUUGUUCUCAAAUGCUAAGAGUUAAGAACAAGGCAACAUAAAAAUGUUAAAUGCUAAAGUCCUUCGUCCUUCGAAGCAUUAUUUCCCUUAGGAUAUAAUGAAUUUCGGACGAAGGCUAUGAAGGACAUACCUUCAUAAGCACAACGAAUGAUGAAGAAGAAUUCAUAUAAAUUAUGAGAUAUAACAUAAACAUUUAAACAUUAUUAUUAACUCAUUUCUAUUGACUUGUCAGGGAAAAAUAGAAAUGAUAAUAAAUUACAAAUAUACCUUCGGCUUGAGAGAAGGUAAAGGUACAAGCGUGAGGCAAAAGCAAAUGCCAAGUCAGCGUGAACAGUACGGGAACACUGUUCAUCUAUUUAUAGGCACGGGACGCAGCCCAUGCAAAAUUACAUCCAGGCCCUUUGCUUUUGACAAUAACUCUAUAGUAAUCUAUCUGGGUCUAGAUAGUCUUUUCCUCUUUAAGUCGGUUUCCUCUUUUCUGCCAUCAUACCGAAGCUCCCUUGCGCACAGCUUCGGCUCUGCUCCAUCCUUCGUAUUGUUUCCGUGCUUCUUCAUACCGUGGGCUCUUGUUCGAAGAUCCCUAUCCACACAUUAUACUCCAGAGGCAUUGUUAAAUCAUGUUUUUGAGGACCUUCGGAAGUCGAAGGCCCCCAACAGUAGCCCCUCGCAAUAUUAAUUUAUUAGAAUGAUAAAUUUAGAUCGCGACAUGGACGAAGGCCUUAAGCCGAAGGUCCGAAAAAACACCUUCCCUUUGCUAGAAUAGCAACAAUCAAUGACAAGCGGGGCCCUUUCCCUUGCAACACACUAGGCGUAUAAAUAAGAGCAUACCGCGAGCGGAUUUGGCACGCUUUUUGCCAUCUGCUCUUGCUCACCCAACUUUUAGCCCUUGCACACCAACACCUGCUUGGCCUUUUUUUAAAAAAAUUUAAGCUUCGGUUUCGAGAGCACUUUCUCAGCAUUUUCGAAGAUGUCUGAAGAUAAGAAAGUUGUCGCUGAGUCGAAGCUGAGACUUUCUGAGGAGAUGAAUCUCGGCUUUCUUGAAUCAAUAGCGAAGACAAAUACAGAGAAGAUUACUAGGGAGAUUUUAGAAGGUUUAUCUGAAGACACUGGUGACAGUGACAGUUAUGAUGUGGAAAGUGGUGGUGAAGAUUCCGAAGAUCGACCCUGGUGACCAAGCCAUGCAGUUUUUGGAAAAUCAAGCAUUAAACUAAGCCAUCUUGUUAAUAUGAGGGGCAGAUAUUUUCGGGAUUUAUCUAUUGUGAGGGCUGAUGAAGGAGAAAAAACUUGUCCUACUCCUGAGGAAAAUGAAGUCGUGAUAUUCCGAAGCUUCUUCAAGGCUGGGCUUCGGUUUCCUUUAAGCGGUUUCGUGGUUGAAGUUUUGAAGAUUUUUGAAAUCUACCUCCAUCAAAUUACUCCUGAAGCAAUCAUAAGGAUGGGAAUCUUCGUAUGGGCUGUGAAGAGCCAAGGUUUGGAGCCGAAUGCAAAAAGUUUCUGCAAUAUGCAUGAGCUAUUAUACGAGACGAAACCUUGGGGUAAAGAGAAAUAUCAUAACAAUUUUGGCUGCUACAGCUUCGGCGCCCGCUCUGGGUCAAGCUGUCCCGUGCCAACUUUUUGGAAGAGAUGGCCCGGGGACUCGAUGAAGGAAUGGUGUUAUGUAAAAAACGACUUGAAAACGCGAGAAGGUAUUAAAGAUAUCAUCAUGCGCCCCAUCUGGCAGCGUUUCGGCCUUCGGAAACCGAAGGUGGAUAUUGACGAAGCAACCGAAGAAUGCCAGAGGGCCUUCGGCGUAGUUUGCUCUUUCAUCGGGACAAGGGAUUUGAUCCAGGAACAUAUUUCCUUCAGAGUAUGGCCACUUGUAGAAAAGUGGGAAAUGCCGAAGGAAACCAUCAGCAAACCUGAUGAAGUGGACUAGUUAGGUUAAAAUAUACCUUCAGAUAUGGAGAUAAGUUUGUGGAGCCAGAUGAUGACUGGCUGAAAUGUAUUGAGGCCACAAGCGAUGAACUGCUUGGGCCAUAUUCGAAGACAGAAGAUACUGCACUGUCCGCGGCCUUCGGAGGUCGGAAGAAGAGACUCAACCGAGUGUUUGAUGCCAUUGGGUUCGUCUAUCCUGACUACCGUUACCCAACACAGGGUCAGAAAGGGAAAGAUACGACUUCUGUGAAGAAAGUUGCUUCAGCCGCUCCUAGUGAGCCGGCGCCGAAGAGGAAAAAGAUGAAGGUUCUUACGCACCGGCCACGCUAUAUUGAACCGGCCACAGUGCCUGAGUUUGUCGGUGAGACCUCUUCGGCCACCGAAGCCAAGGAGCCGACUCUCCUGCCGAAUAUUGAAGAGCCGGCCAAAAUGCCGGCAAUGGAAAAAAUAGAAGAACCGAGGGCUGAAGAGACAAAGACAUCGGAAAAGAAUGGUUAACGUGCUAAUGCCGAAUAUUGAAGUCCUUCAGCAAGAAUCGAGGUGCUAAUGCCAAUGCCGAUGGCACAAAAAGACCUUACGACAACCCCCAAGAGGAAAAGAAUGGUUAACGUGCUAGAUGUACUGGAAACGAUAAAAUCUUCAAGCUCUACUCCGAAGAUAGCUACUGAAGUUCCAAAGACACAAACUGAGGCCAAAGCUGCCAAAAGUCAAGCGGAAACUGAAACUGGGCUUUCAGAGCCUACCAAGAGGGAAUUCUUGGAAAUUGAAAAAGAAACGGAAAAAGAAUCUGCAGAAGAAACUUUUUCUGAGAAAAUCGUCACACAUAUUCCCGAAGCAUCUUCUGAAGCUUCUGACUAUGUAUUACGUCAUGCUUCGGGUAAAAAUCUGAGCGAAAAAGAAAAAAGAGAAGCUCAAUUCUAUGCGCAAAAAUUGAAAUAUCCAAAAGGGGCGCUGAUAUUCAACGGCAGCGGAGAAGAAGACUUCUUGUAUUGUCUCCCUCAUAGCAAGGAGAUUUCUGUCUGUCGGGAGAUGAGCAAAAGCUUCGGAUUCCCAACAUUAGAAGACGGGCUCUUGGUGUUGUCAAAGGACGAGCUAGCCGACAGCUUAGCGUAUAAUAGUUUAAAGGUGAAGAAAAUGAGAUCUUUGUAUUAUUUCUUGAAACCAAAAUUUUUCAUUUGCUUAAACUUAUUAACGCAUUUUUUUACAGGGUCUUAUACUUAGCAAUGCCCUCAGGGCACAAAAGAAUGACGAAGACGAAGGGUGCGCCAUAGCCCUGAGCAACCUUCGUUCCGAAGUAAUUGAUCUAAGGAACGAAGGUCUCGAAAAAGAUAAAAUAUUACAUUCGUUGGUGAAUAAAAUAAAAGAAGAUGAAGCUACUUUCAAAGCUCAAGCUGAGGCUCAGAAGCACGAAAUUGAGAAUCUUCGGAAACAACUAGCCAGAGCUACAGAAGAAUACACAAUUGAAGAAACAAAACGAGAAAUUAGUGAACAAUGGGCAAAUCAUUUAGAAAAAAACGUUGAAGAGCUUCGUGCGUCCAAGAAAAGGUGUUAUGAAAAAUCUAUAGAAUGUGUUAAGAAAAUAAGAACCAGCUUCACCAACGUUGGCGCGUUUUCAAGUGAAGAAAAUUUCAUGAGGGGUGACCCCGAAAGCCCAAUUGGAUGGAUCAGCCACGAAGCUGAAGCUUUUGAAUAGCCGUGGAGACAUAUGUGCCUUCUCGGGUGCCAGGGGGAUUGCCGCUGUUUUGGAGAAGAAAGGUUGCGAUCACGUGAAAUCCCUGGCACAGACCGAAGCCGUUUUAUCCUCUGAAGACAUAAAAGACCCUUCGGCCGAGGCGAGUUUGGUUGGUGGGAAAUUUUUCACCGACAUCUGGGAAAACGGUGGCCGGGAGAUGGCUCAAGAAAUUAUACGGAGAAGCGAGAAUGGUAUACAUGACGCUAGAAAAGUAGCAGAGGCCGCUGAGAAAAGUGUGGAUCUCGAAGGGCGAAUAGGUAUUAACUAGUAAUUUUUGGCUUUUUGUUGUAACCUUUUGAUUUUGAACUUGUUUACACUUUGUAACAUGGUCGCACCUUCUCCUCCCUCAGAGCCUGCCGAGCCAUCGACAGACCCCCACGUAAAGGGGGAUGACGAGAUUAGAAGAAUGGCUGAAGCUAUCAUGGACAAAGUUGUUGAUCAAUUACUAAACGAAGCUGCAGAAAUAGUUCUAAGGGAAGAUUAGAUGUUAUUGUAAAAACAUUUGGAAUGUAAUAUUUGUUGAACAAUAUGUGUAAUAUUUUGUAACUUUGAAUGUAAUAUAUAAUCUAUUUGUGGUUCAAUUCUUUACGAUGCAUGAAACUUUACAUACAUACCGUUUUUGAGCCUUCGGCGAAAAAACACCUUCCCUUCUUUUCAUGCUUCGUAAAUAAUAUCCGUAUAUCAUAAAAACAUCCAAUUUUCGUAAAAUCAGUAACCAAUAGAUCUUUUUAUUUCAUAAAAACAUCCAAUCUUCGUAAAAUCAGUAACCAAUCUUCGUAAAGGCAUGCUUCUUCAAUAAUUAUUUUUGUGCCUUGGCACUGUUUCUUCGAAACAAUCUCCGAAUAUCAACAUUGAAACCCCCUUCUUGCGUCAUUGAUGCAAUAUGAUGUAUGAUGUUAUGCUAUGCAAAUGAUGUGAUGAUGUGAUGUUAUGCAAAAUGAUAUUUGCCGAAGAUCAACGUUUAUUUUUCACUGCAAGCCUCCCUUAGGAGCUUCUUCGCCUUUUACUUCAGCGGAAUCAGCAUUUAUUUUUCGCUGUAAGCCUCCCUUAGGAGCUUCUUCGCCUUUUACUUUCAGCGGAAUCAGCGUUUAUUUUUUGCUGUAAGCCUCCCUUAGGAGCUUCUUCGCCUUUUACUUUCAGCGGAAUCAGCGUUUAUUUUUCGCUGUAAGCUCUGCAUUCCCUUCGGAACGACUUUUGAGCAGAAAACUUACGCUGCGCUCCCUUAGGAACGACUUUUUGUUAUUUCGGAGAUUCUCCUUGUAACCAUAAAUUCUUAUGCUUCGGCAACUCUGUUAUUUUGUGGAGAAGGUAUAUUUUUACUGUGGCGAAAACGAAGCUAUUACAAGAAAUUGAAAACGACAAAAAGCACUUAGGCUUUCAAUAAUUGUUCCUUAUUAAAAAGAAAAUGAUACUGAAUGUAAAAACUACUGCCGAGGUAGGAUAUUUGUUAGUAAAUAUGCUUCGAUUCUGGCACAGUACUAUUGACUGUGCGAGCUUCGGACUCUUCUCUAAAGUCCCGUUGAAGGUGGAUAUGCUGACUCCCUUCUGGCUGCUGGCUUUGUUGCAUUGGUGGUGGAGGUGGAGGCUGCUGCCAAGAUGCCUGAGGUUGGCUUGCCGAAGCAACAGAAGCUGCAGGGUGGUUGCCUACAUACUCUGGAAUGUAAGGCGAAUGGUAUGAAGCAGUGUGCAUAACUUGCUUCGGCUGGCUCUGUUGGGCUGCAGCUUCUGCUAUCUCCUUUUGUUUCUGGAUGGUAACAUGGCACAUCCUGGUGGUAUGGCCCUUGUCCUCUCCACAGAAUAGGCAAUAGAUCUUCCUGGGCUGAUCCCCAAAUCUUCCUCCGAAGCCCCUGGCACCUCUACCCCUUGGAGCUGGAGGCCGAGGAUAGCUCUGCUGCUGCCCCGAAGCCUGGGAGGAAUAUUGCGGCCUCUGCUGCUGGCUUCCCCUGUCAUCAUUCUGAGUGUUAUGAAUCGAUCUGACAUGUCUAGGGUGAACUCUCCCUCCGAAGCCACUGGCUAUUUUGGAGAACCUGUAAGCUUCCUCCCUUCUCUAUCGGAAGUCGUUGUCAGCGCGGAUGUAUUCGUCCAUCUUCUGAAGCAGUUUCUCCAGAGUCUGAGGGGGCUUCCUGGCAAAGUACUGGGCUGAAGGUCCUGGCCGAAGCCCCUUAAUCAUGGCCUCAAUGACAAUUUCAUUGGGCACUGUUGGUGCUUGUGCCCUCAGGCGUAAGAACCUUCGGACAUACGCCUGAAGAUAUUCUCCGUGGUCUUGGGUGCACUGGAAUAAGUCUUGAGCGGUGACCGGCUUCGUUUGAAACCCUUAGAAACUGGUGAUCAGCAUAUCCUUCAGCUUCUGCCAUGAUGUGAUUGUUCCUGGCCGAAGGGAGGAGUACCAGGUUUGUGCAACAUUCUUGACGGCCAUGACGAAAGACUUCGCCAUGACUGCAAUAUUGCCACCAUAGGAAGAUAUCGUUGCUUCGUAGCUCAUCAGAAACUGCUUCAGAUCUGAGUGUCCGUUGUACAUGGGGAGUUGAGGUGGCUUGUAAGACGGAGGCCAAGGUGUAGCCUGCAGUUCUGGUGAUAGAGGAGAAGCAUCGUCAAAAGCAAAAUUUCCAUGAUGGAAAUCCUCAUACCAGUCAUCCUCGUUGACGAAGCCCUCUUGGUGGAGCUCUCUGUACUGGGGCCUCCGGUUCUAUUCAUCUUGCGUAAGAUGACGAACCUCUUUAGAGGCUUUGUCUAUCUGCCUUUGUAGGUCAGCUAGCCGGGCCAUCUUUUCUUUCUUCUUUUGCACUUGUUGAUGCAGCAUUUCCAUGUUCCUGAUUUCUUGGUCCAAAUCGUCCUCCUGAGGCGUUGGACUGGUGGCCUUCCUCUUCUGGCUUCGGGCUUCCCGAAGAGAGAGAGUCUCCUGGUUCGUGUCCAGCGGCUGCAGAGCCGCAGCCCCUGUUGCUGAAGCUUUCUUUGGCGGCAUGACAAAGGUCGAUGCUUGCCGAAGGUGUUCGAAACUCAAAAAGUGGAAGUGAGUUCACCGGAGGUGGGCACUAAUGUUGGGGACUUGUUCUCAAAUGCUAAGAGUUAAGAACAAGGAAACAUAAAAAUGUUAAAUGCUAAAGUCCUUAGUCCUUCGAAGCAUUAUUUCCCUUAGGAUAUAAUGAAUUUCGGACGAAGGUUAUGAAGGACAUACCUUCAUAAGCACAACGAAUGAUGAAGAAGAAUUCAUAUAAAUUAUGAGAUAUAACAUAAACAUUUAAACAUUAUUAUUAACUCAUUUCUAUUGACUUGUCAGGGAAAAAUAGAAAUGAUAAUAAAUUACAAAUAUACCUUCGGCUUGAGAGAAGGUAAAGGUACAAGCGUGAGGCAAAAGCAAAUGCCAAGUCAGCGUGAAUAGUACGGGAACACUGUUCAUCUAUUUAUAGGCACGGGACGCAGCCCAUGCAAAAUUACAUCCAGGCCCUUUGCUUUUGACAAUAACUCUAUAGUAAUCUAUCUGGGUCUAGAUAGUCUUUUCCUCUUUAAGUCGGUUUCCUCUUUUCUGCCAUCAUGCCGAAGCUCCCUUGCGCACAACUUCUGCUCUGCUCCAUCCUUCGUAUUGUUUCCGUGCUUCUUCAUACCAUGGGCUCUUGUUCGAAGAUCCCUGUCCACACAUUAUACUCCAGAGGCAUUGCUAAAUCAUGUUUUUGAGGACCUUCGGAAGCCGAAGGCCCCCAACAGUUAUUUUGCUCUAAGAUCGGCAGUAAUGAAGUAUAAAUCAUCGUUGUGGUGUGCUACUCGGUUAAUUGAGCAUUAACACACACAAACAUGACGAGGAUGGUAUAAUCUCCAAAAAUGUGUACUUUGUUAGGUGGGACCCUAUAGCCUUGCAGAAUGUGCUAUGUUAGGCAUGCCUGGAAACGUGUGACGCAUACGUUUUGUGAACCUGUUCAUAUUAUAUGUGCUUUUAUAUUAUCGUAUUUUAUUAAAAUACUAAUAUUUAUUACUAGUAAGAUAUAACAUUCUAUCUAGCUUAAAAACUAACCAUAAAUAUUCCAUAAUAACUAGAUUUACCAAACUAAUAUACUAAAUAUACAUAAUAAAUACAAAAUUAACAAGACAAUAAUCAAUAUUUAUGAGCUUAAUAUAUUUAGACAUUAUGGUUGGUCGACGAUAAUCAUGCUAACUUUCCGUAAUUGCUUGAUUGUAAAUAUGCUUAGAAUAAUGCCUCUUUGUUCUACAUGGCAAAUAGGGACCAUUAUGGUGUAACACCCUGGGAUCCACAAACACCCUGAAAUGCUACUAAACUACACAACUAACCUUCAUAUAUUAAAUUUCGACAGCAUCUCCUUUGAAAAUUUGUAUAAACGUGGAAGCAACAGAGUAUAAACAGAUAUGAUGAUAAGGAAACAUAAUAGACAUUAAUAAUCUGCUAGAAAUGGGAAGAUAACCAUAACGACAUAAACUGAAUUAACUAGUGUGCACGGCAUGUUAAAAACAAACAUCGUUGACAAGAAGUUUCUAAUUAAAUCAUGGCUGUGCCUAGGCAGCGUUAUUAUAUGAGUGAAGGUGGACGUGAUGCUACUUCCCUCAUUCCCAACAUGAAUCAAGUACCUGUAUUGAGUAAUGCAAGAGUGAGAUGAAAACAUCUCAGCAAGUAAAUUGUUUUGACGAGAUAUUUAAACCAAAAAAAUUUGAUUUAAUCAACAUUUUAAAGGGAUCACAAUUGAGAUCAGACAUACUUGUAGAUAUAAAACUCAAUAGUCCCAAAAUAACCAAUGCCAUCUCAUUUCCACAAACAACCACAAUAGGUUGUAUAACACUUCCCUGCGUCAUCAAUACCUGCAAAUAUCACUUCAAUGUAUGCAUAGGAAUGCAAUGUUUAAGUCCUCUGCAUUCAUACUUCUUAGAGUAUAAAACCACACCAUCUGCAAAUAUCACUUCAAUGAAUGCAUAUGAAUGCAAUGCAUAUGUCCUCUGCCUUCAUACCUCUAAGGGUAUGAAGACGCAUCGUACCCCUCCUCGGGCAACGUACGAUGCUAAGUUGUACCGGUACGGUCGGACCAUAGGUCACGACAAAACUUCAGAUGCAAGUGAAUCAUGACAUGUAUAUGGCAUGCUGCAUUUAUCAAUAUACUACACUUCCUUCACAUACAAUACAAACCUCAAAUAAUACUUCGUUUACCUUCAGAUACAAUACAAACCUCAAAUAAUACUUCAUUCACCUUCAGGGGUGUUUAUUAAUCUCGUGGGUCAUACUCAAAUCAUCAUCAUCAUCAAUGAUGUUUAAGCAUCAGUAUAAUACAAUCAAGUAAAGCAUCACCAUAGAGUUCAAUUAUGAAAGAAUUCGAUGAUUCUGAAUAUUAGAGUGUAUGCGAUGAAACAACAAAGUCAAAACGGUAGCAACCACCGCUACAUUCACUUGCCUUCAUCGAAGAAGAAAAAGGUACUAGGCAUGAUUCGGAGUGUAGACACCUGCUGUGGGGCUUAAAACUUAGUACAAAUAUUCCACAAACAUUUGCCAACAACUAACAAAUCGCUCCUACACUUGUAACCAAGACCCGGUGGAAUGACUCCCACCCUGAACCACAUGUCAAACAGCAGGAGUGCUGUUUGUUAAUUUUGUAUCUUUAAAAUUAUAACAGUGGUGAUAUCAAACAAAUACUCUAGAAGUUUCUACACAAAAUACUCUACAACUUCGGUAUUCAAUGGAUAAUUAAAUUUUGCCAUCUAUAAGUUCUAAAACAUCUGACAAGAUAACUGACAGAAUCUGUUUCAGACAGCAGCAUAGUUAACUUCAAAAUUCGAUAUCUCCCAAACUCCUCAACCAAAAUUUAUGAAAUUAUGUUGACAGUAAGAACUUUUAUCCCUCUACAAAAGUCUCCAUAGUUGGAAGAGCCAAUUCGGCCAUUUACUAGAUGAAACCUACCAUUUAACAGACCCGCUCAUUUUUGUCAGGCAAACAAGAACCCUUAUAUAUCAAAGAGUAGUGGAUUUGAAUUUGUCUAAUAUGAAGUUUAUGGGCUUGGAUCAUUUAAAGUAUUUUAUAAUUCUGAAAGACAAGAUUAAACUAACUAUGUAUGAUCCUUUAGCACCGUACAGAUGGUCGAUGGGACAGUUACAUGGUUUAUAUAGAUGGACAUAUCUAUAUUCCUUCAGUGGUUGAGAAAAAGGUAAAGGUGUGUCACACUCACGCGUGCACUGCCUCCGCCGAGACGAGGCAUGGCGUUGCAAGGUGAGGCAUGGCAUGGUGCAGCACGAUCGUAUACAUGGUCGUGGCACAGUGUAGCACUGUUGUGGAUAGAUAGAUAAACUUUUGUUGUAGUUAGAGUGCAUGAGUUUUUGAAUGCAACACAAGAAUUUUCACAAUUUAACUUAAUUAAGAAGUUAUAUCUUGAUGACACAGAGUUACCUGACCAUUGAUCUCACAUGCCCUUUUAGCUCUCUCGUUCUCUAGACUCACCCUGACUAUUUAGGUCUCCUGACUCGCCAAUAUAAACACCAUCCUAUCAUUUGCUCUCGAAUACUUCUGUGUCACAACUCAACUGUCAGAUGAGUACUCCAUUACAGCACUGAGCAGGCCUCCGAAAUGAAUAUCUACUCAGAUGAAGGACGACAAUCGUGUUCUAGGGAAAUAUCAGCGACACAACUCCUUACUUCCUCCGCUUCUUCCUAGUGUUUUUUGUUGUGAUUGAGUCGACAUAGCAACAACACUGCACUAUUACAACCAGUACGACUAUAUCAACUAGCAAUGUCUUCCUUAUAUGUUACUAUUUAUUUUGCUCAUAUUCAUUAUGUUUAAAUCACAUAGGCGCCUUUAUGUUGGCAUCAAAAAAUCAGUAUCAACUUUAUAGAUUAAAAUGAAACUAAAAGUACCUAAAUUUCUAUCGGUGGGGAUCGAGUGAUUCUUUAAACCGAUUAUUACACAAGUUAACCACACUAAAAUUAACAAUGGUGAAUCGUGCCAUGAUUUUUUUCUAGUGGAAAAUAGCCAAACCAAGCAACACAUAUGUGGCUAUCGUUACACAUGUGUAAAGGUAUUGCAUCACACCAUUGUCACCCAUGUAUUUGGACAAUACCGAGAGGAAAAACCACUUAUUUAUUGUAUUAUAUCAAGUUUGUCUUGCUUACGUAUAAAUUAUAACCCAACAAAGUAAUCACUAAAUGUCAAAACCAACUAGAUACCAUGUCAUCUCUACCUUAUCUUACUAAUAUUCUUUUUGCAAAAUCCAAAAUUAAUCUUGCACAAGCACAAGGACUGAGAUGUGUAUAAAUAUCUCUUAAAUUAGUAGCUAAUAUAUCGCACAUAUUAUUGAGACCAACUAGCAACAUAGAAAGCACAAUAGUGUACCAACAAUGGCAGCCAAAAUAUUUUGCCUCCUUAUGCUCCUUGGUCUUUCUGCAAGUGCUGCUACGGCGACCAUUUUCCCGCAAUGCUCGCAAGCUCCUAUAGCUUCCCUUCUUCCCCCGUACCUCUCACCAGCGGUGUCUUCGGUAUGUGAAAACCCAAUUCUUCAACCCUACAGGAUCCAACAGGCAAUCACAGCUGGCAUCUUACCUUUAUCACCCUUGUUCCUCCAACAAUCAUCAGCCCUAUUACAUCAGUUACCUUUGGUGCAUUUAUUGGCACAAAACAUCAGGGCACAACAACUACAACAACUUGUGCUAGCAAACCUUGCUGCCUACUCUCAGCAACAGCAGUUUCUUCCAUUCAACCAACUAGCUGCAUUGAACUCUGCUUCUUAUUUGCAACAACAACAACUACCAUUCAGCCAGCUACCUGCUGCCUACCCCCAGCAAUUUCUUCCAUUCAACCAACUGGCAGCAUUGAACUCUCCUGCUUAUUUACAGCAGCAACAACUACUACCAUUCAGCCAGCUAGCUGGUGUGAGCCCUGCUACCUUCUUGAUACAACCACAGUUGUUGCCGUUCUACCAGCACGCUGCGCCUAACGCUGGCACCCUCUUACAACUGCAACAAUUGCUGCCAUUCAACCAACUUGCUUUGACAAACCCAGCAGCGUUCUACCAACAACCCAUCAUUGGUGGUGCCCUCUUUUAGAUUUCUUAUGAGUUAUAGUUCAAUAAUAAAGUUUUUUGUCUGAUGUUUGUGGCUUCCCAGAAAUAAGAAAGUACAUUUCUAGAUUCUUAUGUGCUUCUAGUCUCCAAAUGUGGUUGAUAGUUAUUUUGCUCUAAGAUCGACAGUAAUGAAGUAUAAAUCAUCGUUGUGGUGUGCUACUCGGUUAAUUGAGCAUUAACACACACAAACAUGACGAGGAUGGUAUAAUCUCCAAAAAUAUGUACUUUGUUAGGUGGGACCCUAUAGCCUUGCAUAAUGUGCUAUGUUAGGCAUGCCUGGAAACGUGUGACGCAUAUGUUUUGUGAACCUGUUGAUAUUAUAUGUGCUUUUAUAUUACCAUAUUUUAUUAAAAUACUAAUAUUUAUUACUAGUAAGAUAUAACAUUCUAUCUAGCUUAAAAACUAACCAUAAAUAUUCCAUAAUAACUAGAUUUACCAAACUAAUAUACUAAAUAUACAUAAUAAAUACAAAAUUAACAAGACAAUAAUCAAUAUUUAUGAGCUUAAUAUAUUUAGACAUUAUGGUUGGUCGACCAUAAUCAUGCUAACUUUUCGUACUUGCUUGAUUGUAAAUAUGCUUAGAAUAAUGCCUCUUUGUUCUACAUGGCAAAUAGGGACCAUUAUGGUGUAACACCCUGGGAACCACAAACACCCCGAAAUGCUACUAAACUACACAACUAACCUUCAUAUAUAAAAUUUCGACAGCAUCUCCUUUGAAAAUUUGCAUAAACGUGGAAGCAACAGAGUAUAAACAGAUAUCAUGAUAAGGAAACAUACUAGACAUUAAUAAUCUGCUAGAAAUGGGAAGAUAACCAUAACGACAUAAACUGAAUUAACUAGUGUGCACAACUUGUUUAAAACAAACAUCAUUGACAAGAAGUUUCUAAUUAAAUCAUGGCUGUGCCUGGGUAGCGUUAUUAUGAGAGUGAAGGUGGACGUGAUGCUACUUCCCUCAUUCCCAACAUGAAUCAAGUACCUGCAUUGAGUAAUGCAAGAGUGAGAUGAAAACAUCUCAGCAAGUAAAUUGUUUUGACGAGAUAUUUAAAGCAAAAAAAUUUGAUUUACUCAACAUUUUAAAGGGAUCACAAUUGAGAUCAGAAAUACUUGUAGAUAUAGAACUCAAUAGUCCCAAAAUAACCAGUGCCAUCUCAUUUCCUCAAACAACCACAAUAGGUUGUAUAACACUUCCCUGCGUCAUCAAUACCUGCAAAUAUCACUUCAAUGUAUGCAUAGGAAUGCAAUGUUUAAGUCCUCUGCAUUCAUACUUCUUAGAGUAUAAAACCACACCAUCUGCAAAUAUCACUUCAAUGAAUGCAUAUGAAUGCAAUGCAUAUGUCCUCUGCCUUCAUACCUCUAAGGGUAUGAAGCCGAAUCGUACCCCUCCUCGGGCAACGUACGAUGCUAAGUUGUACCGUUACGGUCGGACCAUAGGUCACGACAAAACUUCAUAUGCAAGUGAAUCAUGACAUGUAUAUGGCUUGCUGCAUUUAUCAAUAUACUUCACUUCCUUCAUAUACAAUACAAACCUCAAAUAAUACUUCGUUUACCUUCAGAUACAAUACAAACCUCAAAUAAUACUUCAUUCACCUUCAGGGGUGUUUAUUAAUCUCGUGGGUCAUACUCGAAUCAUCAUCAUCAUCAAUGAUGAUUAAGCAUCAGUAUAAUACAAUCAAGUAAAGCAUCACCAUAGAGUUCAAUUAUGAAAGAAUUCGAUGAUUCUGAAUAUUAGAGUGUAUGCGAUGAAACAACAACGUCAAAACGGUAGCAACCACCGCUACAUUCACUUGCCUUCAUCGAAGAAGAAAAACAUACUAGGCAUGAUUCAGAGUGUAGACACCUGCUGUGGGGCUUAAAACUUAGUACAAAUAUUCCACAAACAUUUGCCAACAAUUAACAAAUCGCUCCUACACUUGAAACCAAGACCCGGUGGAAUGACUCCCACCCUGAACCACAUGCCAAACAAUAGUAGUGUUGUUUGUUAAUUUUGUAUCUUUAAAAUUAUAACAGUGGUGAUAUCAAACAAAUACUCCAGAAGUUUCUACACAAAAUACUCUACAACUUUGGUAUUCAAUGGAUAAUUAAAUUUUGCCAUCUAUAAGUUCUAAAACAUCUGAUAAGAUAACUGACUGAAUUUGUUUCAGACAACAGCAUAGUUAACUUCAAAAUUCGAUAUCUCCCAAACUCCUCAACCAAAAAUUAUGAAAUUAUUCUGACAGUAAGAACUUUUUUCCCUCUACAAAAGUAUCUAUAGUUGGAAGAGCCAAUUCGGCCAUUUACUAGAUGAAACCUACCAGUUAACAGACCCGCUCAUUUUUGUCAGGCAAACAAGAACCCUUAUAUAUCAAAGAGUAGUGGAUUUGAAUUUGUCUAAUAUGAAGUUUAUGGGCUUGGAUCAUUUAAAGUAUUUUAUAAUUCUGAAAGACAAGAUUAAACUAACUAUGUAUGAUCCUUUAGCACUGUACAGAUGGUCGAUGGGACAGUUACAUGGUUUAUAUAGAUGGACCUAUCUAUAUUCCUUCAGUGGUUGAGAAAAAGGUAAAGGUGUGUCACACUCACGUGUGCGCCGCCUCUACCGAGAUGAGGCAUGGCGUUGCAAGGUGAGGCAUGGCAUGGUGCAGCACGAUCGUAUACAUGGUCGUGGCACAGUGUAGCACUGUUGUGGAUAGAUAGAUAAACUUUUGUUGUAGUUAGAGUGCAUGAGUUUUUGAAUGCAACACAAGAAUUUUCACAAUUUAACUUAAUUAAGAAGUUAUAUCUUGAUGACACAGAGUUACCUGACCAUUGAUCUCACAUGCCCUUUUAGCUCUCUCGUUCUCUAGACUCACCCUGACUAUUUAGGUCUCCUGACUCGCCAAUAUAAACACCAUCCUAUCAUUUGCUCUCGAAUACUUCUGUGUCACAACUCAACUGUCAGAUGAGUACUCCAUUACAGCACUGAGCAGGCCUCCGAAAUGAAUAUCUACUCAGAUGAAGGACGACAAUCGUGUUCUAGGGAAAUAUCGGUGACACAACUCCUUACUUCCUCCGCUUCUUCCUAGUGUUUUUUGUUGUGAUUGAGUCGACACAGCAACAACACUGCACUAUUACAACCAGUACGACUAUAUUAACUAGCAAUGUCUUCCUUAUAUGUUACUAUUUAUUUUGCUCAUAUUCAUUAUGUUUAAAUCACAUAGGCACCUUUUUGUUGGCAUCAAAAAAUUAGUAUCAACUUUCUAGAUUAAAGUGAAACUAAAAGUACCUAAAUUUCUAUCGGUGGGGAUCGAGUGAUUCUUUAAACCAAUUAUUACGCAAGUUAACCACACUAAAAUUAACAUUGGUGAACCGUGCCAUGAUUUUUUCUAAUGGAAAAUAGCCAAACCAAGCAACACAUAUGUGGCUAUCGUUACACAUGUGUAAAGGUAUUGCAUCACACCAUUGUCACCCAUGUAUUUGGACAAUACCGAGAGGAAAAACCACUUAUUUAUUGUAUUUUAUCAAGUUUGUCUUGCUUACGUAUAAAUUAUAACCCAACAAAGUAAUCACUAAAUGUCAAAACCAACUAGAUACCAUGUCAUCUCUACCUUAUCUUACUAAUAUUCUUUUUGCAAAAUCCAAAAUUAAUCUUGCACAAGCACAAGGACUGAGAUGUGUAUAAAUAUCUCUUAAAUUAGUAGCUAAUAUAUCACACAUAUUAUUGAGACCAACUAGCAACAUAGAAAGCACAAUAGUGUACCAACAAUGGCAGCUAAAAUAUUUUGCCUCCUUAUGCUCCUUGGUCUUUCUGCAAGUGCUGCUACGGCGACCAUUUUCCCACAAUGCUCACAAGCUCCUAUAGCUUCCCUUCUUCCCCCGUACCUCUCACCAACGGUGUCUUCGGUAUGUGAAAACCCAAUUCUUCAACCCUACAGGAUCCAACAGGCAAUCGCAGCUGGCAUCUUACCUUUAUCACCCUUGUUCCUCCAACAAUCAUCAGCCCUAUUACAGCAGUUACCUUUGGUGCAUUUAUUGGCACAAAACAUCAGGGCACAACAACUACAACAACUUGUGCUAGCAAACCUUGCUGCCUACUCUCAGCAACAGCAGUUUCUUCCAUUCAACCAACUAGCUGCAUUGAACUCUGCUUCUUAUUUGCAACAACAACAACUACCAUUCAGCCAGCUAUCUGCUGCCUACCCCCAGCAAUUUCUUCCAUUCAACCAACUGACAGCAUUGAACUCUCCUGCUUAUUUACAGCAGCAACAACUACUACCAUUCAGCCAGCUAGCUGGUGUGAGCCCUGCUACCUUCUUGACACAACCACAGUUGUUGCCGUUCUACCAGCACGCUGCGCCUAACGCUGGCACCCUCUUACAACUGCAACAAUUGCUGCCAUUCAACCAACUUGCUUUGACAAACCCAGCAGCAUUCUACCAACAACCCAUCAUUGGUGGUGCCCUCUUUUAGAUUUCUUAUGAGUUAUAGUUCAAUAAUAAAGUUUUUUGUCUGAUGUUUGUGGCUUCCCAGAAAUAAGAAAGUACAUUUCUAGAUUCUUAUGUGCUUCUAGUCUCCAAAUGUGGUUGAUAGUUAUUUUGCUCUAAGAUCAACAGUAAUGAAGUAUAAAUCAUCGUUGUGGUGUGCUACUCGGUUAAUUGAGCAUUAACACACACAAACAUGACGAGGAUGGUAUAAUCUCCAAAAAUGUGUACUUUGUUAGGUGGGACCCUAUAGCCUUGAUUAAUGUGCUAUGUUAGGCAUGCCUGGAAACGUGUGACGCAUAUGUUUUGUGAACCUGUUGAUAUUAUAUGUGCUUUUAUAUUACCAUAUUUUAUUAAAAUACUAAUAUUUAUUACUAGUAAGAUAUAACAUUCUAUCUAGCUUAAAAACUAACCAUAAAUAUUCCAUAAUAACUAGAUUUACCAAACUAAUAUACUAAAUAUACAUAAUAAAUACAAAAUUAACAAGACAAUAAUCAAUAUUUAUGAGCUUAAUAUAUUUAGACAUUAUGGUUGGUCGACGAUAAUCAUGCUAACUUUUCGUAAUUGCUUGAUUGUAAAUAUGCUUAGAAUAAUGCCUCUUUGUUCUACAUGGCAAAUAGGGACCAUUAUGGUGUAACACCCUGGGAACCACAAACACCCCGAAAUGCUACUAAACUACACAACUAACCUUCAUAUAUAAAAUUUCGACAGCAUCUCCUUUGAAAAUUUGCAUAGACGUGGAAGCAACAGAGUAUAAACAGAUAUCAUGAUAAGAAAACAUACUAGACAUUAAUAAUCUGCUAGAAAUGGGAAGAUAACCAUAACGACAUAAACUGAAUUAACUAGUGUGCACAACUUGUUAAAAACAAACAUCGUUGACAAGAAGUUUCUAAUUAAAUCAUGGUUGUGCCUGGGCAGCGUUAUUAUGAGAGUGAAGGUGGACGUGAUGCUACUUCCCUCAUUCCCAACAUGAAUCAAGUACCUGCAUUGAGCAAUGCAAGAGUGAGAUGAAAACAUCUCAGCAAGUAAAUUGUUUUGACGAGAUAUUUAAACCAAAAAAAUUUGAUUUACUCAACAUUUUAAAGGGAUCACAAUUGAGAUCAGAAAUACUUGUAGAUAUAGAACUCAAUAGUCCCAAAAUAACCAGUGCCAUCUCAUUUCCUCAAACAACCACAAUAGGUUGUAUAACACUUCCCUGCGUCAUCAAUACCUGCAAAUAUCACUUCAAUGUAUGCAUAGGAAUGCAAUGUUUAAGUCCUCUGCAUUCAUACUUCUUAGAGUAUAAAACCACACCAUCUGCAAAUAUCACUUCAAUGAAUGCAUAUGAAUGCAAUGCAUAUGUCCUCUGCCUUCAUACCUCUAAGGGUAUGAAGCCGAAUCGUACCCCUCCUCGGGCAACGUACGAUGCUAAGUUGUACCGGUACGGUCGGACCAUAGGUCACGACAAAACUUCAUAUGCAAGUGAAUCAUGACAUGUAUAUGGCUUGCUGCAUUUAUCAAUAUACUUCACUUCCUUCAUAUACAAUACAAACCUCAAAUAAUACUUCGUUUACCUUCAGAUACAAUACAAACCUCAAAUAAUACUUCAUUCACCUUCAGGGGUGUUUAUUAAUCUCGUGGGUCAUACUCGAAUCAUCAUCAUCAUCAAUGAUGAUUAAGCAUCAGUAUAAUACAAUCAAGUAAAGCAUCACCAUAGAGUUCAAUUAUGAAAGAAUUCGAUGAUUCUGAAUAUUAGAGUGUAUGCGAUGAAACAACAACGUCAAAACGGUAGCAACCACCGCUACAUUCAUUUGCCUUCAUCGAAGAAGAAAAAUGUACUAGGCAUGAUUCAGAGUGUAGACACCUGCUGUGGGGCUUAAAACUUAGUACAAAUAUUCCACAAACAUUUGCCAACAAUUAACAAAUCGCUCCUACACUUGAAACCAAGACCCGGUGGAAUGACUCCCACCCUGAACCACAUGCCAAACAAUAGUAGUGCUGUUUGUUAAUUUUGUAUCUUUAAAAUUAUAACAGUGGUGAUAUCAAACAAAUACUCUAGAAGUUUCUACACAAAAUACUCUACAACUUCGGUAUUCAAUGGAUAAUUAAAUUUUGCCAUCUAUAAGUUCUAAAACAUCUGAUAAGAUAACUGACUGAAUUUGUUUCAGACAGCAGCAUAGUUAACUUCAAAAUUCGAUAUCUCCCAAACUCCUCAACCAAAAAUUAUGAAAUUAUGCUGACAGUAAGAACUUUUUGUCCCUCUACAAAAGUAUCUAUAGUUGGAAGAGCCAAUUCGGCCAUUUACUAGAUGAAACCUACCAGUUAACAGACCCGCUCAUUUUUGUCAGGCAAACAAGAACCCUUAUAUAUCAAAGAGUAGUGGAUUUGAAUUUGUCUAAUAUGAAGUUUAUGGGCUUGGAUCAUUUAAAGUAUUUUAUAAUUCUGAAAGACAAGAUUAAACUAACUAUGUAUGAUCCUUUAGCACCGUACAGAUGGUCGAUGGGACAGUUACAUGGUUUAUAUAGAUGGACCUAUCUAUAUUCCUUCAGUGGUUGAGAAAAAGGUAAAGGUGUGUCACACUCACGUGUGCGCCGCCUCUGCCGAGAUGAGGCAUGGCGUUGCAAGGUGAGGCAUGGCAUGGUGCAGCACGAUCGCAGUCAUGGUCGUGGCACAGUGUAGCACUGUUGUGGAUAGAUAGAUAAACUAUUGUUGUAGUUAGAGUGCAUGAGUUUUUGAAUGCAACACUAGGAUUUUCACAAUUUAACUUAAUUAAGAAGUUAUAUCUUGAUGACACAGAGUUACCUGACCAUUGAUCUCACAUGCCCUUUUAGCUCUCUUGUUCUCUAGACUCACCCUGACUAUUGAGGUCUCUUGACUCGCCAAUAUAAACACCAUCCUAUCAUUUGCUCUCGAAUACUUUUGUGUCACAACUCAACUGUCAGAUGAGUACUCCAUUACAGCACUGAGCAGGCCUCCGAAAUGAAUAUCUACUCAGAUGAAGGACGACAAUCGUGUUCUAGGGAAAUAUCAGUGACACAACUCCUUACUUCCUCUGCUUCUUCCUAGUGUUUUUUGUUGUGAUUGAGUCGACACAGCAACAACACUGCACUAUUACAACCAGUACGACUAUAUUAACUAGCAAUGUCUUCCUUAUAUGUUACUAUUUAUUUUGCUCAUAUUCAUUAUGUUUAAAUCACAUAGGCACCUUUUUGUUGGCAUCAAAAAAUUAGUAUCAACUUUCUAGAUUAAAGUGAAACUAAAAGUACCUAAAUUUCUAUCGGUGGGGAUCGAGUGAUUCUUUAAACCGAUUAUUACACAAGUGAACCACACUAAAAUUAACAUUGGUGAAUCGUGCCAUGAUUUUUUCUAGUGGAAAAUAGCCAAACCAAGCAACACAUAUGUGGCUAUCGUUACACAUGUGUAAAGGUAUUGCAUCACACCAUUGUCACCCAUGUAUUUGGACAAUACCGAGAGGAAAAACCACUUAUUUAUUGUAUUUUAUCAAGUUUGUCUUGCUUACGUAUAAAUUAUAACCCAACAAAGUAAUCACUAAAUGUCAAAACCAACUAGAUACCAUGUCAUCUCUACCUUAUCUUACUAAUAUUCUUUUUGCAAAAUCCAAAAUUAAUCUUGCACAAGCACAAGGACUGAGAUGUGUAUAAAUAUCUCUUAAAUUAGUAGCUAAUAUAUCACACAUAUUAUUGAGACCAACUAGCAACAUAGAAAGCACAAUAGUGUACCAACAAUGGCAGCCAAAAUAUUUUGCCUCCUUAUGCUCCUUGGUCUUUCUGCAAGUGCUGCUACGGCGACCAUUUUCCCACAAUGCUCACAAGCUCCUAUAGCUUCCCUUCUUCCCCCGUACCUCUCACCAGCGGUGUCUUCGGUAUGUGAAAACCCAAUUCUUCAACCCUAUAGGAUCCAACAGGCAAUCGCAGCUGGCAUCUUACCUUUAUCACCCUUGUUCCUCCAACAAUCAUCAGCCCUAUUACAGCAGUUACCUUUGGUGCAUUUAUUGGCACAAAACAUCAGGGCACAACAACUACAACAACUUGUGCUAGCAAACCUUGCUGCCUACUCUCAGCAACAACAGUUUCUUCCAUUCAACCAACUAGCUGCAUUGAACUCUGCUUCUUAUUUGCAACAACAACAACUACCAUUCAGCCAGCUAUCUGCUGCCUACCCCCAGCAAUUUCUUCCAUUCAACCAACUGACAGCUUUGAACUCUCCUGCUUAUUUACAGCAGCAACAACUACUACCAUUCAGCCAGCUAGCUGGUGUGAGCCCUGCUACCUUCUUGACACAACCACAAUUGUUGCCGUUCUACCAGCACGCUGCGCCUAACGCUGGCACCCUCUUACAACUGCAACAAUUGCUGCCAUUCAACCAACUUGCUUUGACAAACCCAACAGCAUUCUACCAACAACCCAUCAUUGGUGGUGCCCUCUUUUAGAUUUCUUAUGAGUUAUAGUUCAAUAAUAAAGUUUUUUGUCUGAUGUUUGUGGCUUCCCAGAAAUAAGAAAGUACAUUUCUAGAUUCUUAUGUGCUUCUAGUCUCCAAAUGUGGUUGAUAGUUAUUUUGCUCUAAGAUUAGCAGUAAUGAAGUAUAAAUCAUCGUUGUGGUGUGCUACUCGGUUAAUUGAGCAUUAACACACACAAACAUGACGAGGAUGGUAUAAUCUCCAAAAAUGUGUACUUUGUUAGGUGGGACCCUAUAGCCUUGCAGAAUGUGCUACGUUAGGCAUGCCAAUGGAAACGUGUGACACAUACGUUUUGUGAAUCUGUUGAUAUUAUAUGUGCUUUUAUAUUACCAUAUUUUAUUAAAAUACUAAUAUUUAUUACUAGUAAGAUAUAACAUUCUAUCUAGCUUAAAAACUAACCAUAAAUAUUCCAUAAUAACUAGAUUUACCAAACUAAUAUACUAAAUAUACAUAAUAAAUAUAAAAUUAACAAGACAAUAAUUAAUAUUUAUGAGCUUAAUUUAUUUAGACAUUAUGGUUGGUCGACGAUAAUCAUGCUAACUUUCCGUAAUUGCUUGAUUGUAAAUAUGCUUAGAAUAAUGCCUCUUUGUUCUACAUGGCAAAUAGGGACCAUUAUGGUGUAACACCCCGGGAUCCACAAACACCCCGAAAUGCUACUAAACUACACAACUAACCUUCAUAUAUAAAAUUUCGACAGCAUCUCCUUUGAAAAUUUGCAUAAACGUGGAAGCAACAGAGUAUAAACAGAUAUCAUGAUAAGGAAACAUACUAGACAUUAAUAAUCUGCUAGAAAUGGGAAGAUAACCAUAACGACAUAAACUGAAUUAACUAGUGUGCACAACUUGUUAAAAACAAACAUCGUUGACAAGAAGUUUCUAAUUAAAUCAUGGUUGUGCCUGGGCAGCGUUAUUAUGAGAGUGAAGGUGGACGUGAUGCUACUUCCCUCAUUCCCAACAUGAAUCAAGUACCUGCAUUGAGUAAUGCAAGAGUGAGAUGAAAACAUCUCAGCAAGUAAAUUGUUUUGACGAGAUAUUUAAACCAAAAAAAUUGAUUUAAUCAACAUUUUAAAGGGAUCACAAUUGAGAUCAGAAAUACUUGUAGAUAUAGAACUCAAUAGUCCCAAAAUAACCAAUGCCAUCUCAUUUCCUCAAACAACCACAAUAGGUUGUAUAACACUUCCCUGCGUCAUCAAUACCUGCAAAUAUCACUUCAAUGUAUGCAUAGGAAUGCAAUGUUUAAGUCCUCUGCAUUCAUACUUCUUAGAGUAUAAAACCACACCAUCUGCAAAUAUCACUUCAAUGAAUGCAUAUGAAUGCAAUGCAUAUGUCCUCUGCCUUCAUACCUCUAAGGGUAUGAAGCCGCAUCGUACCCCUCCUCGGGCAACGUACGAUGCUAAGUUGUACCGGUACGGUCGGACCAUAGGUCACGACAAAACUUCAGAUGCAAGUGAAUCAUGACAUGUAUAUGGCAUGCUGCAUUUAUCAAUAUACUUCACUUCCUUCAUAUACAAUACAAACCUAAAAUAAUACUUCGUUUACCUUCAGAUACAAUACAAACCUCAAAUAAUACUUCAUUCACCUUCAGGGGUGUUUAUUAAUCUCGUGGGUCAUACUCAAAUCAUCAUCAUCAUCAAUGAUGUUUAAGCAUCAGUAUAAUACAAUCAAGUAAAGCAUCACCAUAGAGUUCAAUUAUGAAAGAAUUCGAUGAUUCUGAAUAUUAGAGUGUAUGCGAUGAAACAACAAAGUCAAAACGGUAGCAACCACCUCUACAUUCACUUGCCUUCAUCGAAGAAGAAAAAGGUACUAGGCAUGAUUCGGAGUGUAGACACCUGCUGUGGGGCUUAAAACUUAGUACAAAUAUUCCAUAAACAUUUGCCAACAAUUAACAAAUCGCUCCUACACUUGAAACCAAGACCCGGUGGAAUGACUCCCACCCUGAACCACAUGCCAAACAACAAUAGUGUUGUUUGUUAAUUUCUAUCUUUAAAAUUAUAACAGUGGUGAUAUCAAACAAAUACUCUAUACGUUUCUACACAAAAUACUCUACAACUUCGGUAUUCAAUGGAUAAUUAAAUUUUGCCAUCUAUAAGUUCUAAAACAUCUGACAAGAUAACUGACUGAAUCUGUUUCAGACAACAGCAUAGUUAACUUCAAAAUUCGAUAUCUCCCUAACUCCUCAACAAAAAAUUAUGAAAUUAUGCUGACAGUAAGAACUUUUAUCCCUCUACAAAAGUCUCCAUAGUUGAAAGAGCCAAUUCGGCCAUUUACUAGAUGAAACCUACCAGUUAACGGACCCGCUCAUUUUUGUCAAGCAAACAAGAACCCUUAUAUAUCAAAGAGUAGUGGAUUUGAAUUUGUCUAAUAUGAAGUUUACGGGCUUGGCUCAUUUAAAGUAUUUAAUAAUUCUGAAAGACAAGAUUAAACUAACUAUGUAUGAUCCUUUAGCACCGUACAGAUGGUCGAUGGGACAGUUACAUGGUUUAUAUAGAUGGACCUAUCUAUAUUCCUUCAGUGGUUGAGAAAAAAGUAAAGGUGUGUCACACUCACGUGUGCGCCGCCUCCGCCGAGACGAGGCAUGGCGUUGCAAGGUGAGGCAUGGCAUGGUGUAGCACGAUAGCAGUCAUGGUCGUGGCACAGUGUAGCACUGUUGUGGAUAGAUAGGUAAACUAUUGUUGUAGUUAGAGUGCAUGAGUUUUUGAAUGCAACACUAGAAUUUUCACAAUUUAACUUAAUUAAGAAGUUAUAUCUUGAUGACACAGAGUUACCUGACCAUUGAUCUCACAUGCCCUUUUAGCUCUCUCGUUCUCUAGACUCACCCUGACUAUUUAAGUCUCUUGACUCGCCAAUAUAAACACCAUCCUAUCAUUUGCUCUAGAAUACUUCUGUGUCACAACUCAACUGUCAGAUGAGUACUCCAUUACAGCACUUACGUACACGAGUUCUAUGAGAGCAGGCCUCCAAAAUGAAUAUCUACUUAGAUGAAGGACGACAAUCGUGUUCUAGGGAAAUAUCAGCGACACAACUCCUUACUUCCUUCGCUUCUUCCUAGUGUUUUUUGUUGUGAUUGAGUCGACACAGCAACAACACUGCACUAUUACAACCAGUACGACUAUAUCAACUAGCAAUGUCUUCCUUAUAUGUUACUAUUUAUUUUGCACAUAUUCAUUAUGUUUAAAUCACAUAGGCACCUUUCUAUUGGCAUCAAAAAAUUAGUAUCAACUUUCUAGAUUAAAAUGAAACUAAAAGUACAUAAAUUUCUAUCGGUGGGGAUCGAGUGAUUCUUUAAACCGAUUAUUACACAAGUUAACCACACUAAAAUUAACAUUGGUGAAUCGUGCCAUGAUUUUUUUUCUAGUGGAAAAUAGCCAAACCAAGCAACACAUAUGUGGCUAUCGUUACACAUGUGUAAAGGUAUUGCAUCACACUAUUGUCACCCAUGUAUUUGGACAAUACCGAGAGGAAAAACCACUUAUUUAUUGUAUUUUAUCAAGUUUGUCUUGCUUACGUAUAAAAUUAUAACCCAACAAAGUAAUCACUAAACGUCAAAACCAACUAGAUAUCAUGUCAUCUCUACCUUAUCUUACUAAUAUUCUUUUUGCAAAAUCCAAAAUUAAUCUUGCACAAGCACAAGGACUGAGAUGUGUAUAAAUAUCUCUUAAAUUAGUAGCUAAUAUAUCGCACAUAUUAUUUAGACCAACUAGCAACAUAGAAAGCACAAUAGUGUACCAACAAUGGCAGCCAAAAUAUUUUGCCUCCUUAUGCUCCUUGGUAUUUCUGCAAGUGCUGCUACGGCGACCAUUUUCCCGCAAUGCUCACAAGCUCCUAUAGCUUCCCUUCUUCCCCCGUACCUCUCACCAGCGGUGUCUUCGGUAUGUGAAAACCCAAUUCUUCAACCCUACAGGAUCCAACAGGCAAUCGCAGCUGGCAUCUUACCUUUAUCACCCUUGUUCCUCCAACAAUCAUCAGCCCUAUUACAGCAGUUACCUUUGGUGCAUUUAUUGGCACAAAACAUCAGGGCACAACAACUACAACAACUUGUGCUAGCAAACCUUGCUGCCUACUCUCAGCAACAGCAGUUUCUUCCAUUCAACCAACUAGCUGCAUUGAACUCUGCUUCUUAUUUGCAACAACAACAACUACCAUUCAGCCAGCUACCUGUUGCCUACCCCCAGCAAUUUCUUCCAUUCAACCAACUGGCAGCAUUGAACUCUCCUGCUUAUUUACAGCAGCAACAACUACUACCAUUCAGCCAGCUAGCUGGUGUGAGCCCUGCUACCUUCUUGACACAACCACAGUUGUUGCCGUUCUACCAGCACGCUGCGCCUAACGCUGGCACCCUCUUACAACUGCAACAAUUGCUGCCAUUCAACCAACUUGCUUUGACAAACCUAGCAGUGUUCUACCAACAACCCAUCAUUGGUGGUGCCCUCUUUUAGAUUUCUUAUGAGUUAUAGUUCAAUAAUAAAGUUUUUUGUCUGAUGUUUGUGGCUUCCCAGAAAUAAGAAAGUACAUUUCUAGAUUCUUAUGUGCUUCUAGUCUCCAAAUGUGGUUGAUAGUUAUUUUGCUCUAAGAUCAGCAGUACAACAACAACAACAACAACAACAACAACAACAACAAAGCCUUUUUGUCCCAAGCACGUUGGGGUAGGCUAGAGAUGAAACCCCGUAUGAAAACCUCAGAGCUCAACCCCCAAAGAACAGAAAAGGGAAACAAAGGCAAAGGAGAACCGAAAACAACGAAACGGGGAAACACAUAAAAGAGAUAAAACCCACAAGGACCAGCAAGAUCUAAAAUGGACACAAGAAAAGGUCAAACGAUUAAGGAGGAAAAGCGAAACUAUCAAUCAGGGUUCUGGCACGUGAAUUGCACACUUCCACCCCUUCCUAUCUGCGGCGAGCUCUUUGUCAAUAUUCCACUCCUUCAGGUCUCUCUUCACAGCCUCUGUCCACGUCAAAGUUGGUCGACCUCUACCUCUCUUCACAUUUUCGGGACGCCUAAUUAUUCCGAUAUGCACUGGUGCCUCUUCAGGUCUUCGUUGGAUAUGUCCAAACCAUCUCAAGCGAUGUUGCAUAAGCUUCUCCUCAAUUGGCGCCACUCCUACUCUCUCUCGUAUAUCAUCAUUCCGGACUCGAUCUCUCCUUGUGUGGCCACAUAUCCAGCGCAACAUACGCAUCUCUGCCACACUUAGUUGUUGGACAUGUCGUCUUUUAGUGGGCCAACAUUCUGCUCCAUACAACAUAGCCGGCCGGAUUGCUGUCCUGUAGAAUUUGCCUUUUAGUUUGCGUGGCACCCGGUGGUCGCAUAAGACACCCGCAGCUUGUCGCCACUUCAACCAUCCGGCUUUAAUUCUAUGACUGACAUCCUCAUCGAUGUCUCCCUCCUUUUGAAGCAUUGAUCCUAAGUAACGAAAAGUGUCUUUCUUGGGUACCACUUGCCCAUCAAGACUAACAUCGCCAUCCUCAUACCCCAUGGCACUGAAAUCACACUUCAUAUACUCUGUUUUAGACCUACUAAGCCUAAAACCUUUUGCUUCCAGCGUCUGCCUCCACAAUUCCAACUUUUGAGAAACACCACUCCUACUCUCCUCAAUAAGUACCACAUCAUCGGCAAAAAGCAUACACCACGGUAAAACUCCUUGUAUGUCCCUUGUGACCUCAUCUAUCACCAAAGCGAAAAGAUAAGGGCUCAAAGCCGACCCUUGAUGUAGUCCUAUGUUAAUUGGAAAGUCAUCGGUGUCUCCAUCACUUGUUCGGACACUUGUCACAACAUUAGUGUACAUAUCUUUAAUAAGAUUAAUGUACUUUGUUGCUACUUUGUGUUUUUCCAAGGCCCACCACAUUACACUCCUAGGUACUUUGUCAUAAGCCUUCUCCAAGUCUAUGAAGACCAUAUGCAGGUCUUUCUUUUGUUCUCUGAAUCUCUCCAUAAGUUGUCUUAGUAAGAAAAUGGCCUCCAUAGUUGAUCUCCCGGGCAUGAAACCAAACUGAUUUUGGGUCACGCUCGUCAUCUUUCGCAGGCGGUGUUCAAUGACUCUCUCCCAUAGCUUCAUUGUAUGGCUCAUGAGCUUAAUUCCACGGUAAUUAGUACAACUUUGAACAUCUCCUUUGUUCUUGAAGAUUGGUACUAAUGUACUCCGCCGCCACUCGUCGGGCAUUCUGUUUGCCCGAAAGAUGGUGUUGAAAAGCUUAGUCAGCCAUACUAUCGCUAUGUCUCCAAGACAUCUCCAUACCUCGAUAGGGAUACCAUCAGGGCCCAUCGCCUUUCCUACCUUCAUCCUUUUUAGCGCCUCCUUAACUUCAUAUUCUUGUAUCCUUCGUACAAAACCCCUGUUGUUGUCAUCGAAUGGUUCGUCCAAUUCUAUUGUAGCACUCUCAUUCCCUCCAUUGAACAAUUUGUUGAAGUACUCCUUCCAUCUGUUCUUGAUCUCUUCACUCUUCACUAAUAGUUGGUUUGCUUCGUCCUUGAUGCAUUUGACUUGGUUGACAUCCCUUGUCUUCCUUUCACGAAUCUUGGCCAUCCUAUAGAUAUCCUUUUCUCCCUGCUUUGUGUCCAGCCGUUGAUAAAGGUCGUCAUAGGCUUGACCCCGGGCUCUACUAACCGCUCGCUUUGCAGACUUCUUCGCUAUCCUGUACUUCUCUAUGUUUUCUGCACACUUGUCAUGAUGUAAGCGUUUGUAGCAAUCUUUCUUCUCCUUGAUAGCCUUUUGGACAUCUUCGUUCCACCACCAAGUGUCUUUAACUUCCCUUCUGUUCCCUUGACUCAACCCAAACUCUUCUGAAGCUAUCUUUCGGAUGCAUGUCGCCAUCUUCCUCCACAUGAUAUUUGCGUCUUCCUCUCCUGCCCAAGGGCCCUCCUCGAUAACUCUCUUCUUGAAAGUUUGGGCCACAUCCCCUUUAAGCUUCCACCACUUUGUUCUAGUGACCUUGUUAUGCUUAUUUCGUUGUAAACGAAUCUUAAAACGGAAGUCAGCAACGACAAGCUUAUGUUGGGUUACCACACACUCUCCAGGUAUAACCUUGCAAUCUAAGCAGGCAUGCCUGUCCUCUUUUCUCAAGAGGACGAAAUCAAUCUGGCUAGUGUGUUGGCCACUACUGAAGGUCACCAGGUGGGAUUGCCUCUUCUUAAAGAAAGUGUUUGCUAUAAACAUGUCAUAGGCUAGGGCAAAGUUCAGGAUUUCCUCUCCUUCUUGAUUCCUAGUCCCAAAGCCGAAGCCUCCAUGUACACCCUCGAAACUGGUGCUAGAUGUACCCACAUGGCCAUUGAGAUCUCCUCCUAUGAAGAGCUUCUCGCCAACUGGCACACUACUAACCAUGUCCUCUAGGCCUUCCCAGAACUCUCUCUUUGAGUUCUCAUUAAGGCCUACUUGAGGAGCAUACGCGCUGAUAACAUUGAGAACCAAGUCUCCAAUGACCAGCUUGACUAGGAUGAUUCUAUCUCCUACCCUCUUAACAUCUACUACCCCAUCUUUGAGGCUCUUGUCGAUCAAGACGCCUACUCCAUUCUUGUUUGUUGCAGUCCCCGUGUACCACAACUUGAAACCUGUACCUUUCACUUCCUUCGCCUUCUGUCCCUUCCACUUGGUCUCUUGAACGCAUAAAAUAUUUACCCGUCUCCUCACCGCAACGUCAACUAUUUCUCGUAACUUACCUGUUAAGGAACCUACGUUCCAACUGCCUACACGGACCCUAGUUGGCUCGACUAGCUUCCUUACCCUUCGCACCCGCCGAGGAAGAUGCAAAGACCCUUGCUCAUUUUUCACUACACCCGGGCGCCGAUGUAGCGCGCCACUAAGGAUGCGACGACCCGAUCCUUGCUCACUUAUCACCGGCUCCAGAUCAAGAGACAGCGCGUCACUUGAGGGGUGACGACCCGGCCCUUGCUCAUUUAACACCAUACCCGGGUUCCGAUAUGGCGCGUCGCUAAGAGGGUUACGCCCCAACGGUUUUCUUUGUGGUUUCAUCUCCAUAAGAUUUGGCUGGUUUUUUACGUUGGUUUGCCGGACCUAACACAACCCUCCUCCUUUACCGGGCUUGGGACCGGCUAUGUUGAAACGACUCAAGGAAGUCUUCCAAUCAACAUAGGCGGAGUUUAAGAUCAGCAGUAAUGAAGUAUAAAUCAUCGUUGUGGUGUGCUACUCGGUUAAUUGAGCAUUAACACACACAAACAUGACGAGGAUGGUAUAAUCUCCCAAAAUGUGUACUUUGUUAGGUGGGACCCUAUAGCCUUGCAGAAUGUGCUACGUUAGGCAUGCCGAUGGAAACGUGUGACGCAUACGUUUUGUGAACCUGUUGAUAUUAUAUGUGCUUUUAUAUUACCAUAUUUUAUUAAAACACUAAUAUUUAUUACUAGUAAGAUAUAACAUUCUAUCUAGCUUAAAAACUAACCAUAAAUAUUCCAUAAUAACUAGAUUUACCAAACUAAUAUACUAAAUAUACAUAAUAAAUACAAAAUUAACAAGACAAUAAUCAAUAUUUAUGAGCUUAAUAUAUUUAGACAUUAUGGUUGGUCGACGAUAAUCAUGCUAACUUUCCGUAAUUGCUUGAUUGUAAAUAUGCUUAGACUAAUGCCUCUUUGUUCUACAUGGCAAAUAGGGACCACUCUAGGAGACUAGGAUGUUGCUUGAGAUGAAAAUGUCAGAAUUGGUGUAGACUAAUUUCUAUCGGCCGCUGACUUCACUAUUGUAACCAUUAUAUCUUGGGUAAAUUAUAUACGAUUAUCCAGCCAAAGGGCCCAGAUGAUAAAAAACAAUUUUUAAUUGCUAUUUUAGGACAAAUGAAUUAGCAUGGUUCGAAGGAUUACGACCUUCCCCCCAUGACCUUUGUCAUACUGCUUUAGUCUAAUCGACAAAACCAAGAUUAGUUAUCAUCGAAGAAGUUCAUAAGCGAAGUUGUGACGAUGAAAGGAACAUGGUGGUAAUUGGACGAACGACGACACCUUUGUCUAAGAAUGGCAUCUAGAAGAAAUCUCAGACAAAAUAAGACAUGAAUGGCUUGUCAGUACAGCGCAAAUACUGAAACAUGCGCCCUUGAAUAUGAAACAUUUAUAUGUAAGAGGAAGGGAUAAAAAAACUAAUUACUCGUGCCUAAUGAUUUUAUUGGGAAUUUUAAGGCGAGACUUAUGGCAAAGGGUUAUACCAAAAAUAGGGGAGAGAUUAUUUCGAUACUUAUUCACUUGUUUCCCUUCAAAUGGCCAUACAUGUGUUACUUUUUUUGGCUGCCUCGCAUGGUCUUAUCGUUCAUCAGAUGAAUGUUAAGACUGCUUUCCCAAAUGGAGAGCUUAAGGAACAGAUCUACAUUGACUAGCCUAGUGGUUUUAUAUCAAAUGGUAAAGAGGAAAAGGUGUUUAAAAUAAUUGUUUGGUUUAAAACAAGCACCAAAGCACAUGAGAAAAUCGAUAAAGUUCUGACUUUGGCUAAAUUUGUUGUAAAUGAAGUUGAUAAAUGUGUCCAUUACCAGUUUGACAGGGGCGAAGGUAUGACCUUUUUAUAUGUGGACAAAAUAUUAACCUUUUGUAACGAUGUUAAUAUGAUAGAAGAAGUAAAGUAAUUUUUGUCUAGUAACUUAGAAAUAAACAAUCUGGGAGAGGCUAAUGUUGUUCUUAACAAAGAGAUGUUGAGAGAAGGAGGAAAUAGAGGGUUACUCUUGUGCAAUCCUAUUAGGUUGAAAAGUCGCUGAGUCGCUUUGGAUAUAGUGAUUACACGUCUGGUCCAACAACUUAUGACCCAAGUGUGUUAUUAAGGAAAAAUCAUAUAAUUGCAUAUGAUCAAUUGAGAUAUUGUCAAAUCAUGGUCUUCUCAUAUAUUUGGCAAGCCCAACGAUGUCUCAUAUCUGAUUUGUUAUGAGCAAACUCAGUUGCCUUGUCUCCAAUCUAGGGGAGGAUCAUGACAUGCCCUAGAGAGGGUAUUGCGCUUUCUCAAAGGGAUAUGAGUAAUGUCAUUUACUAUACUAGGCACCUAAGAGUACCAGAGUGUUAUAGUCAUGCAAAUAGGAUAUCUGAUGUUGAUUAGAUUUAUGCCACAAGUAGACUUGUGUGCUUCCUUGGAGGUGUGAUUGUUUCAUGGAAGUCUUGUAAGUAGACCAUCUUAACAAGGUCAACAAUAGAAGUAGAACUCACAACAUUAUAUACUACCAAAGUUGAAGUUGAUUGGCUCCGUGAACUCCUUACGGAUUUACCAGUAGUUGAAAAACCAAUACUGGUUAUCUCUAUGAGCUACAAUAAUCAAACAUUUGUAAUCGAAGUAAACAGUUCUAAAGUUAACAUGAUGUCUACAAAGCAUGUAAAAAUGGUUGAAACUGUUAAAACACUAAGAAACUCUAGAUUAAUUAUGUUGGACUAUAUCCAUACAUCGAAUUUGGUAUGCCAGUUUACAGAAGAUUUGUCACAUAAUAUGAUUCAAGGUGCAUCGAGGAAUAUGGGCUUGAGACCCACUUAAUGUCAAUCCAUAGUGGUAGCAGUUUCUAUGUGAUUGGAGAUCCCAUAAAGUAGAAUGGUGAAACAAGCUAGAGAAUGACUGAUGGAGAGACUCCUUAAAUAAAAUCUUGAUAAUUUGAGAUGCACAUUUCUCAUUUGAUGUAUUGUAGGCGAACUAAAAUCUUAAUAUGAUUUGAGUGACUUAUCUAAGCAGGGAUGUUAUCUUACAGAACAUCCUAGAAAGAACACACCUAUAUGAGUUUGCAUGUUAGUCAUAGUCUAUCAUGUGUGGUAAUCUUUAUAUACUCAUGAAAGGCUUGAAGUUUGACUUAUAUGCUUCAAACCAAGGGGGUGCUUGUAACAGUCUAGUACAAGAUAAGAACAUUGGUAAAACUCACUUAACGCAAAAUUGUCAAUUUAAGGCAUAGUUCAUUGUUUAGAUGUGAAUGUGUAAUCCCUGUUCUAGAUGGAUGGUCAACUUAACAGCCUCCACCAAAACCCUGAUAUCUCAAAGAGUAGUGGAUUUGAGUUUGUCUAAUAUGUGGUUUAGAUUUUGGUGGGGAAUUUUAAUAUUUUAUGGGCUUGGCCCAUUUAAGGUAUUUAAUACUUUCAAAAGACAAGAUUAAACAUGUGUGAAUAGUGUCAUGAUUUUUUUCUAGUGCAAAAUAGCCCAACAAAUCAACACAUAUGUGGCUAUCAUUACACAUGUGUAAAGGUAAUGCAUCACACCAUUGUCACCCAUGUAUUUAGAAAAUACCAAGAAGAAAAACAACUUGUUUAUUGUAUUUUAUGGAGAUUAUCUUGCUUACAUAUAAUUAUAACCCAACAAAGUGGUCACUAAAUGUCAAAACCAACUAGGUACCAGGUCAUCUCUAGCUUAUCUUGCUAAUGAUAUUUUUGCAAAAUCCAAAAUUAAUCUUGCACAAGCACAAGGACUGAGAUGUGUAUAAAAAUCUCUUAGAUUAGUAGGUAAUCCAUCACACAAAGCGCAAUAGUGUAGCAAAACUGGCAGUCAAAAUAUUUUGCCUCCUUAUGCUCCUUGCUCUUUCUGCAAGUGCUGCUAACGCGACCAAUUUUCUGCAAUGCUCACAAGAUCCAAUUGCUUCCCUUCUUCCCUCAUACCUCUCACCAGCGACAUCUUCAGUAUGUGAAAACCCAAUUCUUCAACCCUAUAGGAUCCAACAGGCAAUCACAGCAAGCAUCUUACCUUUAUCACCCUUGUUCCUCCAACAACCGCCAGCCCUGUUACAACAAUUACCUUUGGUGCAUUUGUUGGAACAAAGCAUCAAGGCACAACAACUACAACAACCUGUGCUGACAAACCUUGUUGCCUACUCUCAGCAACAAUAGUUUCUUCCAUUCAACCAACUGGCUGCACUGAACUCUGCUGCUUAUUUGCAACAACAACAACAACUUCCAUUCACCCAGCUAGCUGCUGCCUACCCCCAACAAUUUCUUCCAUUCGACUAACUGGCUGCAUUGAACUCUGUUGCUUAUUUACAACAGCAACAACUAAUACCAUGAAACCAGCUAGCUGUUGCGAGCCCUGCUACCUUCUUGACACAACCACAGUUGAUGUCGUUCUACCUGCAAGCUGUGGCUAACGUCGGCACCCUCUUACAACUACAACAAUUGUUGCCAUUCAUCCAACUUGCUUUGACAAACCCAAUAGUGUUCUACCAACAACCCAUCAUUGGUGGCGCCCUCUUUUAUAUUUCUUAUGGGUUAUAGUUCAAUAAUGAAGUUUUUGGCUGAUGUUUGUGGCUUCCCAGAAAUAAGAAAGUAUAUUUCUAGAUUCUUAUGUGCUACUAGUCUCCAAAUGUGGUUGAUAAUUAUGUUGCUCUAAGAACGGGAGUAAUGAGGUAUAAAUCAUUGUUGAGGUGUGAUACUCGGGUAGUUGAGCAUUAGCACGCACAAAUAUGAUGAGGACGGUAUAAUCUCCAAAAAUAUGUACUUUGUUAGGUGGGACCCUAUAGCCAUGCAGAAUGUGCUCUGUUAGACACGUCGAUGGAAACGUGUCACACAUACGUUUUGUGAACCUAUUGAUAUUGUAUGUGCUUUUAGUUGUGUGGUGCUAUAGAUAUGAGGGCUUGUUUCACGUAAUGAGCUAGGGUAGAAAAAUAAUUAUUUGCCUUGGAUUGUUAUGGAAGAACAUACCAAUUGUGACUGCCAUCUCAAUCUAGCUAACAUCUAAGUGACCUAAAAGGAGAGCAUAAGGAACUGAUCUACAAUGACUAGCCUAGUGGUUUUAUAGGAAAUGGCAAAGAGGAAAAUGUGUUUAAGUUAUUACAAUUGUAUGGUUUAAAACAAGCACCUAAGCACAUGAGAAAUUUUAUGAAGUUCUGACUUUGGCUAAAUUUGUUGUAAAUGAAGCUGAUAAAUGUGUCUAUUGCUAGUUUGAGAGGAGGGAUGGCAUGACCUGUUUUUUAUAUUUGGAUGAUAUAUUAAUCUUUUGUAAUGAUGUUAAUAUUAUCGAGGAAGUAAAAUACUCUUUGUGUGGUAACUUUGAAAUAAAUGAUUUUGGAGAGGCUAAUGUUGUUCUUAACAUAAAGAUGUUGGGAGAAGGAGGAAAUAGGGGGUAACUCUUGUGAAUCCUAUUAGGUUGAAAAGACAUUUAGUUGUUUUGGAUAUAGUAACUACACAUCUGGUCAAAUUACUUAUGACACAAGCGUGUUGUUAAGGAAAAUGAUAUAAUCGCAUAGAAUCAAAUGAGAUACUAUCAAAUCAUGGUCUUCUCGUGUAUUUGGCUAAUCCAACGAGGCCUAAUAUCUCAUUGCUAUGAUUAAACUUAGUCGAUUUGUAUACAAUGUAGGGGAUGAUCAUGGCAAGCCCUAGAGAGGGUAUUGCGCUACCUAAAAGGGACUAUGAGUAAUGUAAUUUACUAUACCAGGCACCUAAGGGUACCAGAGUGUUACAAUGAUGCAAACAAGAUAUCUGAUGGUGACGAGAUUUAUGCCACAAGUGGAUAUGUGUGCUUGCUUGGAGGUGUGAUAGUUUCAUGGAAGUCUUGUAAGUAUACCAUCUUAACAAGAUCAACAAAACAAGUAGAACUGGCAACAUAAGAUACUACCAUAGUUGAAGCUAAGUGGCUUCUUGAACUCCUUAUGGAUUUACCAGUAGUUGAAAACUAAUAGUGGUUAUCUCUAUGAUCUAUGAUAAUCAAAUAGUCGUAAUCAAAGUGAACAGUUCUAAGGAUAACAUGAAUUCUACAAAGCAUGUCAAAAAGCGAUUGAAACUAUUAGAACACUAAGAAUCUCUAGAGUAAUUGUGUUGGACUAUGUCCAUACAUCUAAGAAUUUGGUAGGUCGAUUUAGAGAAGGUUUGUCCAUAAUGUGAUAGAUGGUGCAUCGUGUAAGAUGGGCUUGAGACCCUCUUAAUGCCAUUCCUUAGUGGUAGCAUGUUCUAUGUGAUUGGAGAUCUCGUGAAGUAGAAUGGUGAAACAAGAUAGAGAAUGACUGAUGGAGAGACUCCUUAAAUAAAAUCUAGGUAAUUUGAUAUGCAUAUUUCUCCUUUGAUGUAUCGUAGGCUAACUAAAAUCUUAAUAUGAUCGGAGUGAUUUAUCUAAGCAGGGAUGUUAUCUUAUAGAACAUCCUAGAAGGAACACACCUAUAUGAGUUUGACUGCUAUUCAUAGUCUAUGAUAUUUGGGAAAUCUUUAUAUACACCUGAAAGGCCUAGAAAUGUGACUUCUAUGCUUCAAACCAAGGGGAUGCUUGUAACAAUCUAGUAUCAGAUAAGAACUUUGGUGAAACUCACUUCAUGCAAAACCGUUAAUUCAAAGCAUAGUCCAUUGUUCAGAUGUGAAUGUAUAACCCAUGUUCUAGAUGGAUGGUCAACUUAAUAGCCUCCACCAAGACCAUGAUAUAUCAAAGAGUAGUGGAUUUGAGUUUGUCCAAUAUGUGGUUUAGAUUUUGGUGGGGAAUGUUAAUAUUUUAUUGGCUUGACCCAUUUAAAGUGUUUAAUAAUUUUGAAAGACAAGAUUAAACAAAC
rnacentral:lncRNA from 1 species